rnacentral:lncRNA from 1 species
UCACCUGCCCUGUGUAGCUCUGUGAUGCUGGGUGUGUUUAUAGUUGUUUGUACCAUAACUGACCGAGCAACUAGCUAGGCUAGAUCAUUCGAGUGCCAUGCUUUGAGAGGUCAUCACCUUAGCCAAAGAAGCAUCACCACAAAUCACAACUCUAAGCAAAGCAAGAGGAGUCCCACAUCGGAAAACUACAAGAGAUGAAGACUCCUCCUCACCUAUAAAAGAAGACUGCUCUUUCCUUAGAAGAGGAUCCGGGUCUUGGAUCUAGACUCUUAGGCCUUGGACUCUCUCUUCUAGAUCACUAGACUGGGCUUCUCACUUGUUAUCUUUAUAUUUGGGUCUAAUCCCCUUGUACAAAUGUAAACAAACAUUAUCAUAAUGAGAACACCCUUCUCCGUGGACGUAGCCCAUCAUUCGGGUGAACCACUUUGAGCAUCAACAAUAGUUUUGAGUUUCCUUGCAGCAAUUGGUUUCGAUGGUAGACAUGAAAUUCUUAUCAAAUCAACAAAAUGUUCCGCUUCAGGAAAACGUGUUGUCUGCCAAUCGACGUUUUCUGUUCCUUCCCUAUAGAAUGUAGUACUGAACACAAAGAAAGACUACUUAUUGAAGGCUUAUUAGUAGAAGCAAAAUAUUUAUCUGCGACAAAAAGGUGCUUCAGAAUGAAGAGUGGCAACUGAUUUUCAAGCAUCCGCAAGUCAACCAAUACUGAUACACAUCCAUGGCCUAUAAAAUAUGUAGUCAUCCUCAUCUCCAAUUUUUUCCUCACUGCACUUCAACAAAAACUCAAUAACGAAGACGGCAUCCACUAGAAUGAUUUUUAGAAAGUCUUCACUGCUAUACUCAAUCGGUUCUGCAUAACAACUUCUUAGUCUUGCUUCUUGGUCCCGUAGUUUCUUCUUAAGAAACUCCAAUGUUAUCGUGGUUCUACGUAGAAAACUUCGUAGAUACCUCUUUUUGUGAUAUUCCAUACCAUUUAAGUGUUCCUUUCCAUGGUGAAGUGGGCCUAUAGAGACUACCUGAGGUGUGUAGGCUUCAUCAUCGUUUCCCUGACGUAGUCGCUUAGGAACUCUGUAGAUACACCGCAAAGGGCACAAGGAGAAGCUAUCCAAUUCCUGCAUCAAAUCGUAUGGCAUACUUUCCUCCUGAUCAUCAUGCACAGCGAUUCAAAUAUUUCAUUAUGAACGUUGGAAUUAGAGCUUCAAAGCAAACUUUUGAAAAGAAUAAAAAAACAAAUGACAAAUCAAAGUAGAUGGUUAGAAAAUCUAGUCACUUAAAGCGACUGUCUAUGGACACUCUCCCUUUGUAGCCCACGUGUCCUUAAGUAUUCUGGAGAAACAUUAAAAAAAAUAAUUACGUUACGGCAUCACAUUGUUCACCAACUUUAGUGAUACCAACUUACGUGGCAGAUGACAUAGCAUCUUUUCUUAAUUAUUUAAUCCAAUUUUUUUUUUAACAUUUAUAAAUUUUUUUAAAAAUAAAUCUGAUGUGCCCUCCCUUCAUCCUAAGAUCUGCCAUGGCCUCUGUGCUUCCACAAAUAUGUCAUGGUUUCCGUCUAAUCAAAGGAAAAAAAAAAACAUAUCCAAAAUUUUUCACACUUAACAUAUAUACUUAUCGUUUGUUUGCAUCUAUAUAUAACCAGUUUAGAUUUUAUCAAUGUUGCAAACAAAAAAAGUUGAGAUAUUUAUAGGCCCUCCUUGAAACAACUAGUACUAGGAAGCUAUAUGGGGUUUUCUACGUUAUGUGGAGCUUCAUUGCUGCAUCCUUCCACUUCCAUUAUGUGUUGUUCUGAUUGUAAGUGAUGAGGGUAUUAUUGGCACGAUAAUAAACAAAUGUUUCAAUCAUUACAUACAUUUCAAGAUGGUUCCUUCAAAAAUUUAGAAAACAUGCAUCACAAAAUGCGAAAUCGUACAAUAGAUAGGUUGAGAAGAUCCACACAUUGCAAAUUGCAAUUAUACAUUCCUAUCCUCCUAUAAAUAGGUCAAUCUCUCUCUCUCUCUCUCUCAAAAUCGACAAAUUUUCAUGUCAAUAAGAUAAGAGAUCUCAUUGCAAGUGACUUGUAGAUGAAGUGGUAAAGAACAAAAAGUCAUAUUCUUCCAAUCAAAACGAAGAAAAAAAAGUACGUAAAACAUCAUAUAAGAAAAUGGAUAUGUGGAGAUGGGUUUAUAUAUACAACACAGAAGAAAGAUUGUGUAUUGAAAAACAAAGCAAAAAAGGAAGUGAACUCACACCUUCUAUGUAUUUAAAAACAAGAAGCAAGUUGUGUUUUUGCCUUUUGGCGGCUCAACACACAGAUUACUUUCUCCUGAGCGGAUAGAUGUAGUAAUAAAUUCUCUUAAUACAAUCAAAGCACAAUGAUGUACUAUAUAUAACAAGUUAUGAUUCCACCCUUAUCCUUCCGUGACCAUUAACAUAUGGUGCAUACAAGUCUAUGGCAGAACUUCGACUUGGAAUAUUGGCUCUCCAAAGACCUGUAGAAGACAAAGAUCUUGACCUAAGAUAAAGACCCAAGUAGACCUUCCUUCUAUAGUCAUGCACAUUCUAAGGAAAGAUAACCACAUUCAUGCAUGUAAGAAAGUUGAUUUCUUCCAAUUUUUUUAUUGUAUGGUCGCGAUUGAUGCCUGUAGAUACACGGUAGAAAGUUUGUGCCCACUUCAUAGUUGUUUCAUGUUUUUUUGUUUUGAAAGCAACUAGAGAGUCCCCACGCAACUCUUGAGGAACUUCUAAGAGGACCCAAAACAAGGUGAUUCUUACUUUCCCAUGACUGUAUCAGCCUUAUCAGAGACGACUCUGUCGAUAUUAUCCUUUUAAGUUAUUUAGCUCUUGUGCUUCCAAUCAAAACAUUGCGAAACAAAGACCAAAUUUCCAUUAAGAUUGAAAGAAGUAACCUUUUUUGAUUCAAUCCUUGUACAAUUUGUCUGAGGGAGAUUUGAACACAGUAGCUCAUAUUGGUUAUAAAAAAAAUUUCUUAGACAGGAUCCUGCAUUUGCACAUAUGUGAGAAGCCGGUCGACUAACCUUCUCACAUUCUAUUCUAUACAUGCGGGAUCCUUUGUAUAGCUAUGGGUAUCGAAUAUACACCUCAAGCAAAGACAAACAAAUAAACCAAGCACAGCACAAUAACAGUAUUCAAUGUAGGAAGAGCUCAUGGGGGUUCUUGCUAGCGAGGAAAGCCUUGCGUCUCUCUAGGGUUUUCUUCUUCCACGUCCAGCUGCCGUCUUAAUGGGUUUCCAUCUACCACUCAUCUUUGGUCUUCUCAGUGUAAGCUUUUUUUUUUUUUUUUUAGUACAAGAGGGGAGGGGGAUUUCUCAAUGUAAGCUUUGCAAUUUGAUAAUUAAUAUUUCCAAUAUCUCAUUGUUAGUAAAAUACGGAAGGGGAAAAGUAUGAAUAAAAUACGUACGUGUUUUAUUCGACAAAAUUUUGACAAGAUACAACUGAAAAGUUUGGCUACUAUAUAAUAUUUUUAAUAUAUAUUAUUUUUAUUCAAUAAUAUGUGAAUAAUAGGUGUAUAAUAUAUGAAUUUUGUAUGUAUCAUUCAAAAUCUUGUUAAAUUUUUUUUUUUUAAAUGUGAAAAAUAUGUACGCACAUAUAUAAAACGUGUAUUGUACAUUUAGUUUUUUAAAAACUUGUAUUUUACUGAAUCUUUAAAUCGUAUAUGGAAAAUGGAAGAAUUAUUAAAAAAUACAUACAUAUACGUGUAUAAUACGAGUAUUAAACAGAAAAAUGUGCUAAGUACUUAUCUUUUAAUUUAAUAAUUCAUUUCAUUUUGUGAUCUCAUACGUAGUAAUGAGAGUUCAAAUUAAUGUUGCAGCUGACGAUGGUGGCUCUGGCAAGCCAUGCUGCUCUCCCAGUACCUCAACUUUACUGGAACUCUUUCCUGCCAAACACACAAAUGCCAAGAGCCAUCAGUCAACUUCUAUAGCCUGGUUUCUAUUAAGGGACUUUUCGAGAGCUUAUCAUCUACCUAAAUUUUACUCAUGUGACGUAAUUUUAAAAGUGAUUUGAUCCUUCGGCGAAGUAAAAAAGAAGGGCACUCGAAUAGGCAUGCCAUUUGGUAUUACCCACCUAAUUUCUUUUUAAAUUUUAGUAACUGAUUUUUAAGAUUAGAAAAUGGGAAAAUUUCAAAACCGAAAAACUUGUUUCACUAAUCAUGUGGCCUUCCAAGUGCUCAAGGUUAAGCCAGGAACCGUUCCUAUCUGCCAUUUCCUUCCCAACUAUGAUCAUGUUGUCUGGGUUCCAACCCACAAAUCUACAUCAGUACCUGAACUAAUCAGUUCUGCGUGAAUGUUCAUUCAUGGCAACAUUGGGCUAAGUAUUUGAAUUUGUAUGCAUAUAUUGGAUAAGUUUGAGAUGGCAGUGGCUUGGGUGUGGAGAGGAAUUGCAUGGGUGUCGGCUGAGCUUGAACAAGUUUGGGUGUGCUGAGUGUUUCCAUGGGUGUGUUUCUGAACAUGGUUAUUCGAUUUGUGAUAGUUUGAUUAGUUUGGGCUCAAUUUCUACAGAACUUGUCUCAAGCCUAGAUAGUUGAUUCUUAAGUUUAUCAGGAUAAAAAAAUAAAAAAAUCUUAAGUUAAGCCCAAGGCGCCGAACUUGGACUUCUCACCAAACUUGUGAAUAAAUUGAAAUAUUUAAUAGAAGCCCAAGAUUUCUAAAGCACAUAAUAUCUACAAAAAUCUACAAAAUGUUAUACUUUACAAAUUUCCUAUGUGUACCAAUUUCUACUAAAAUUAAUUUCUCUGUGGUGCUGAGAUUCAUCAUAAUUUUAGUAGAAAUUGGAAGUUUUCAUCAUUUUUGCUUUAAGUCUCUCCUCCACUCACUAAUAAAGAUUACUCAAGUGAGUUUACAAAACAUUUUUUUUCUACUCUAUCCUGAAGACUACACUUCUUCUCAAAAGUUUAGAUCACUUCACAUCUUGUAUAUGUGAAAACUAAUGCAAAAAGUUGAAACUUUAUCAUAAAACCUCGACAAAAAUUAGCUUUGCUUAAAACGUUAAAUUUGGAUUCGUUGAUUUUAAUGUCAAUUUGACACUUCAUAGAAAUUUUUACAUACAUGUGUUAGUGUUUGAUCACUUCACUUGUUACUUACUAUAUUUAUUCCAUGCUGCAAGACUCCAAGCAACCAUGAGAAUUCAUCAAAGGCAAGAAUCCCCUCUGGAACCCUUCAAUUUCAUGCUUUGUUCUUCCAUCUUCCUCCUUUCUCUCUCUCAAAACCCACAUCCAGAGAGAGCAAGCAUCAUCUCUCAUCUCUGGAACCCUUCGAUUUCAAGCAUUGUUCUUCCAGUGCUUCCCAUUUUCUCUUCUGUCAAAUCACCUAGGAGCUUGACGAAGCUUUCAUCAAGUUGCUGGAAAUAUGCUAAAGCCACCCAUGCUGCCAUCUUCUUCCUCUCUUUCCAUAAACACACAUCCAAAGAGCAAGCUUCAUCUCUCAUCCUCUAAACCUUUGCAAUUUCAAGCCUCAUUCCUCUAUCUUCUCCCAUUUUCAGCGGUAGUGAGAACGAUUUCUGCUUGUGCAUGGGAAGGAUUGUGACUCAGAUGAGGAGGAGAUGGUUUGGAGUGGGGUGAGGCAGUUGGACAGAGCUCUUGGACUUUUCAAGUUUGUAUGGGAAAGAGCAGGGAUGAAAGAAGCUUUACAACUGCAAGGGCAUAUAUGGUGCGUAGGGGCUGAAGGCAGAACACUUACAUAUAGAGGAAACACAUUUUUUGUCCAUGGGAUUCAUUUUUGACAAACACUUGUCUUAGAAUAUGAGUUCAAAUUUCAAAACCUUUUUUUUUCUUUCUGAAAUCAGGAUCAGUGUGGAGAACUAGCAAGGAUUGGAGAAACAGAUUUUUGGGCGUCACUUGACCACAGAUUGUUGAUUGCUCAAAAGUGUAGAAUUGGCCAUCUUAAAUGUCAAAAUGAUUUAUCAAUUGGGGUUUUUUUAGAAACGUAUUUAUGUUUGUCAAUAGAGACAGAAGACAGAGAACAUAAACCUUUCUCAGCAAAUUGAAAUUCUCAGUGCAUGCUCUGUUCUUCCAUGGCUUUCAAACCUUCUCUGCCCUUGUAAUGUUCCAAUCGAGGGUAAUAACAUUGCUAGUUUUCUAUGACAUCCUAUUUCUAAUGCAUGUCUACUCUUGUAAUGUUCCAGUCUAGGGUAAUAACACUGCUAAUUUCAUAUGACAUCCUAUUUCUAAUGCAUGUCUACCCCUGUAAUGUCCUAGUUUAGGGUAAUAACACUGCUAGUUUACUAUCAUGUUGAUUAAUUCUUGUCAUGUUGCUAUUUCUAAUACAUGUCCAACAAAGAAAAGAUGAAGAAAGAACAAACCAGACCAACUCAAAAUAAGUUGAGCCCAAAUAGUUAAUACUAUUAUGUCAUAGAAGUACGUUGUUAAUACUCUGUAAUAGAAGUACAUUGUUAAUACACUGUCAUAGAAUUACAUUGUUAAACAAAAAUAAGAUCCAUAACUGAAAUAGUAAUAAAAGAUAAAUCGAUCAUCAAAAAUACAUUUCAAAAAUCAACUAAAAUCCGAAGAGAAACACAUAAUUGAAGCAAAACAUCAAAAAUCUAAAGUCCAAACCAAACAACGACGACGACGACAAUGAUGAUGACAAUGACAAGAACGACGUGGUGAAGAGGAGUAGAGCUCGAAGAUGAGGAGUAGAGCUAAGAGCAUUUGAUCAGGGUUCGUUCGAGGUCUCGAACAAUCAAAAAAAAAAAAUCAAUAGAAGCAAGAUUUUAGAACAAGAAUCGAAGGUGAAAUAUUGAAAAUUGUAGAUUAAAGAUGAAGAAUAUAGUUGGACCUGAGACUGAGCUUCAAUGGAAGCUCCUCUUGCUCCAACACCAGAGAAAGCACCAACAAGAAAGGAGAAAAUAAAUAUGAUUUGGAUUUUUGGCAGAUCUGGUUUUUUGGCAGAUUUGUUUUUUUGGCAGAUCUGAUUUUUUUUUCUCUCAAAUUCAUAAUGCAAGGGCAAUAUAGGUAUUUAACACACACAAAUAAACUAAAAAACAGCUAUUAAAUUGAAAAUUUUGACAGCUGUCAAUUUUGGGAUUUUUUUUGGGUGUGUUUAUAGUUUUUAAAUAGUAUAGGGUUUCUUUAUAAGACUAUGUCUAAGAUUGGGUAUAUAAUUAAAUUUAUAUUAUUAAAAAAAAAGGACCCUAGUAAAGCCGUGCGACGAUACUCCUUUUAUAUAUUAUAUGAUAUAAAUAUUAUAAUAUAUUAUCUAAUACUUGGAAUAUUUACUCUAAAAUAAACAAUAUAUUAGGUUCUUUUUAUCUACAAAUUGACCAUUAAACUUCUUAAUCACUCUUAUACUUCAAUUAAAUCUACUAGGUUACAAUAUUUGCACUAAAAACUCCUAAUUGUUUUUUCUUCUCUUUCUCUUGCUCUUUUGUUUAACUUAAGCUGAAGUUUUUUAAUUUUUUUCCCUCCAUUUUUACAUGUAUGAGUAGGGUACUUUAAUAUUGGGAUUUAUGAACUUUUUUGUAUUUCUUCUCUAUGCUGGAAUAUAAAUUAGAGAUAUUUAGUCAUAUACCCAUUCUUAGCACUAAUAUUAUAAAUAAAUCCUAUAUCAUUCAAUUCCUAUAAACAAACCCAAAAAAAAUCCAAAAAAUAAUAGUUGGCCCUAUUGAAUUUAAUUUUGAUUAUUAAAUUACUUUGAUACCCUAUUGAGUGUUUUGAGAUUUUUUUAUGAGAUUUUGGAGUUGAGUUUGUUUUAAGAAAUCAAUGGCAAUUUUGUAAUUUAAAAAAAGUUAAAAGGCUUUUUGUUAUGUUGUAAAUAGGUUUCGAGUGUGUUUCUAAAGUCCAUUUCAUAUAGGUUUUUUUAUAUAUAAUAAUUUGAGCUCCUAUAUUGGGUAUAAUAGUGAAUCUCCAUUUAUUAACUUUUGAGUCUUUAAUAGUGUAGAUGAUGAGAUUAAUAUUCAACCAUUUUAUAAUAUGAAAUUAAGGACAAUCAUGAUUGUAAUGAAUGGAUUAUUAAUCAAUAUGAAAUGAUAUUAUGAAGUAGGCUAAAUCGAGUAGUUAGUAUCGUAUUAACUUAUUAACCGAUUAGCGCUUGAGCCCCCUAAUUCAAAUUAUUUUAUAAAAUUUUGUGAAGGGCCCCUUCUAAUGCAAAUUCCUGGCUGCGCCACUGCCUAUAGCAACUUGGUAAUGUGUGUGAAACACCCCCUCCUUUUGUCGUUUAGACUAUCGGUUCGCUUGUAUUAAUAAAAUAAAAAAUAAAAUAAAAGAUAAAAUUAUAAAUAAAACAAAACACAUAUUAAAGCCUAACUGUUAAUAAUGGAUCCAACAUAAGAUCCAGCCCAAGCCCAUGAAUAAAGCCCCCGAAAACGGUUGGACCCAAUUUUAAACACGUUAAUGCGUUAUAGGUUUUUUCCCGGCAAACCGUUGGUCUCUCCACCUUCAGCUUUACACGAGCGGCAUAGUCUCUUUCGUCAUUUUCUGUACCCAAUAGAAGUGUAGGCAAGCUUUUGAUCUUGGCUCUCCUGUGCUUGCAUCUUACCUGUUUUAUUGCCGAGUAAGCCGUCUCAAAUGGUUGGUCGUUCAGUUCAUAUUUGAAAGCAACAAAUUGCACGCCAUGUGUUCGAUGUAUUGUCUUACCGAAUUCAAUGCCCUUUUACUAUUGCAGUUUUAACUUCGGAGCGUCAACUUGAAGGGUUAUUUGAGGUUUUUUUUUUCCGAGGUCACAAUGGCCUGUAGACAUGUAGACAGGUUAAUACAUGGUGCAAGGCAUCUAAUGGCUAAGCGAAAGGGAGCUGUCCAUUUGAAUGGGAUGCUACAUCAUUGCUCAGAGGAGUCUCAUGGAGAGCCUAUGCCCCGAGAAUGGUAUCAAAAGGAAUUCCCCAAGUUAACAAAACUAUCCCAAUUGUUAAAAAAUGUCGAUUUGGUUGAUGGAAGGCUUGUUAACAUCAGUGAUGGUUCAAUUAUCAUGGAUGACCGUAUUGAACACAGAAUGCUUACUUUCAAGUCACUUGCCAGGGAAUUUAUUGGUUCUCCAUUAGUUCAGCAAACGUUAAAGAAUGAUGUCGUGGCGUUGUCAGGUGGUAGAAUCUGUAAUCAAUUUGUGUGUUUCAGUAAACCAAAUGAAAGAGAGCCCAUGGUUGUAAAAACACUCUCCGUAGUAAGUGGCUUUCUGAACAUCACUGCUCAACAAAGACAGUCAGUACGUGUUACAUUAUCUCCACAGAUUACACAGCACCGCAUAUGGACUGGGACGCUUGAGGAGGUACUGAAUGGAUUGAAAUCUGAGUUGGAAUAUUUAGAUCAUCGGUGCCCAAGCAAAGGGACGAAGAUGGGACAGCAGAUAGUUGCUAGCUGUCUGAAGUUCUUGGCUGACACAUCCACAUCCAUUUCAUAUGAACAUGAUUGCUCUUCAUGGACGCGCCUAUCGCCUGCAAAAGUUACAGACUCUUCUGGUUUGCAAAAAUGGGAAGAUGUUCUCGAGAUGUUCAACGACCUCAUUGAUUGUUUGAAAAAUGAAAGGGAGUUACUUCUUUACGUAGCGAAGCUUAAGGUCUUGAAAGAGGGGCUGUCUCAGAUCAAGGAUGUGUUGACUGAUAGAAAUAUAGGACACAAGGAAGUUCGGCAUCAAGAAAGCCUAGUGCAGAAGAAGCUGACAAAGACAUUGGGUCAUUCGUCCAAGUGCCUGUUCACACUUAUGUUAUAUUACCUCUUUGGGCAUGUUAGAGAUAUUGAAGUGGACGUACGUGGCGGCAUUUAUAGCAGCGGUAGUGAGAACGAUUUCUGCUUGUGCAUGGGAAGGAUUGUGACUUCAGAUGAGGAGGAGAUGGUUUGGAGCGGGGUGAGGCAGUUGGACAGGGCUCUUGGACUUUUCAAGUUUGUAUGGGAAACAGCAGGGAUGAAAGGAGCUUUACAACUGCAAGGGCAUAUAUGGUGCGUAGGGGCUGAAGGCAGAACACUUACAUAUAGAGGAAACACAUUUUUCGUCCAUGGGAUUCAUGUUUGACGAACACUUGUCUUAGAAUAUGAGUUCAACUGCAAGGGCAUAUAUGGUGCACGGGUUUUCUAUUUUAUUUGCAGCUUCAUCAAUUCCUUCCAUUUUCCUCCUGAUCAUCAUGCGCGGUGAUUCAAAUAUUUCAUAAUGAACAUUGAAAUGAGAUGCUACAAGCAAACUUAUGAAAAGAAACAGAAUAUACCAAAAAGACAAAUCAAUGUAGAUGGUUUAGAAAAUCUAAACAUUGCAAUUAUACUCCUUUGCCCAACUUCUAGGAGCAAACGUACACAAAGACCUUAUUGCUUCCAACUUUUCCAACAGAAUUUCGUAUGAAUUGCUCCAAGUGAAAUCCGUAUGAAAAAUCGGUAGUUGGAUUUUCAUCCUUUAAUAAGAUUAUUUAACUACUAACAAAAAAAAUCUUAUUACUUGAGCAAGUAAAAUACCAUUCCAGGUUUCUCCUAGUUCUAUAUGCGCUUAUAAUUGGUAUACUCUAUAAAUACCAUAAUCUGAAUUUCUCUGUUUUGAUUACUUUAAUUUAUUACUUAUGUUUUAAUUAUUGUUUACUUAGUGAAUUAUUAGUAUUUAAGAGAAGGCCCUCCAUCGAUUAGGCACCACGUGUCUAUAAUAAGUAAAGCCGUCCGGCUAUACUUAAAAAAAAAAAAUCGUAGUAUAGCCGACCGGCUAUACUAUUUAAUACAAAGGUAUAGCCGCGCGGCUAUACUAUUUAAUAAAAUAAAAAACAAAAGAAAAAGAAAAAUGACCCUCCUAUUUGCAUUAGUUUGCACUUUAUAGAUAUUAAUUUGCUAGUUUCAAGAUAUCCAAAGUAGAUAUUAGACUUUCACUAUAUAAUAUUUCAAUAUAUUUUUUUUUAUAACAUGUGUUGUUCUUAUUCAAUAAUAUGUUGAGAAUUAUUUGUAUAAUACGUGAAUUUUGUGUGUCUUACUGAAUUUUUCUAAAUACGUGUAUUAAACGUUACAAAUACAUACACAUAUGUACAACACGACUAUUGUACGUUUGCUUUAUAAAAAAAAAAGUGAGAUGUGUAUAGAAACAAAUGUAUUAUCAAAAAAUAUAUAUGUGUAUAUAUAUGUAAAAGCCUAUAGCCUCUCACCUAUACUAUUUAUUAAAGACAAUUUAAAAAUUACAACAACAAAAAAACCAGUACAACCACAACGCUAUACUAUUUUUUUAAAAAAUAGAAAAAAUAUCAAGUACUGCACAGCGCAAAGGCCCAGUGUAAAAUAGUAUAGCCAUACGACUAUACGUUUUUAAGAAGAAUUUAAAAAACUGAGUAUAGCCCACUGGCUAUACUAAUUUUUAAUAUAAAAAAAGGACCAUCCAUUAGGCGCCACGUGUCAACAGAAGUUUAUUUUUUAAAAAAAAAUUAAAAAACACGGAGUAUAGCCGGGCGGCUGUACUAUUUUUUAUUUUAAAAAGAAGACAGUCCAUCGAUUAGGGGCCACGUGUCAAUAAUAAGUACGGCCGCUCGGCUCUACUAUUUUUUGACUAAUUUUUUUUAGAAAAAUCGUACUAUAGCCGCCCGGCUAUACUAUUUAAAUACAUUAUAUUUAAAAGGUAUAGCCGCACGGCUAUGUGUUGGAUAUUUUGAAACUAGCAAAUUAAUAUCAAUAGCCGGUCGUAACCUAUGCUGUCCACGUCACUCAUGUUUUACCAGCGUUAAAGUAUCCACAAUGAGCUCCCUAAACCAUCUCUUUAGACAAAUUUUAGGGAGGAAUUGGAAAAGUAUAACUCCAACCAUGCUCCCAAUCCACCAACUAAAAUAGGGAGACCUCUUGGAGCUCCUAAAUCUGAGGAGAAGGAAAGGACUCUUAGUGACUCCCUAUAAUUUAAUGUUGCUUUGUUUUAUGCAUAUUUUAAACUUUUUAUUAAAUCAAAUUAUUUUUUUAUAUUAUUUUGUAUACAGAUGGACCAAUUAUAUUAAAUAAAAAAUAAUUAAAGUAUUUAUGACUCUCUAAACUAGGGAGUAUGAUUAGAGUUCAAAUUUUAUAAAAAGCUCUUAAAAUAGCUUUUAUGUGUUUUUAGCUAAAUUUUAACUAAAAAAUAGGGAGCAUGAUUGUAGAUCAUCUUAUAUACCUUAAUUUGAAGAUUCUUUAUUUGGGUUUCUUUCGAGACAAAAACCAUAUCCACAAUUAGCAGACAUCUUUGGCUGUUCUUCACAAUUGAGGGACAAUGAAGAAGACAUAAGGGAGAGGCUGCCAAAUACUUAUCACCUUAGCCACCACCAACACCACAAGACCAAUAUGUGUAGGCCAGGAGGCUCUCCAAUUUUAACAUAUAUAUUAUAAAAUAAAGAUUAUUGCUCCAUCCUCCAUGCACUUGCAUGCCCUCUUACAAAGUGUGAAGUAGAUUUUGUAUGCUUAAAGUCAUUGACUAGAGCUGAAACAUGGUUAGCUGGAUUUAUAAGAUCUUUUGUUUUCUGGGAAUUUUCAGAAUCAAGGAAAAUCAAGUAAAAUUAAUAAAGCAUAAUGGAAAGGGAAAAGAUCUAGAGGAUGCAUUGUAGGAUUGCUCAUGCCAAUAAUUGUACCCUCUAAAUAUAUAGGGACAUAUAUUUUUUUUGUUUUCAUGACACGUCGUCCUAAAAUUUUGGCUCCUAGCGGGCUCUCCACCCCUUCUCGAUUGAAAACCCAUUGUGUUAAUCUUCAAUCCUGAACGAUGCAUCUAAAACUCAAGUGUCCCAGGCCAAUUAUUGCUCUCAUACCACUUGUUGCAAUGCACAUCCACCCAUUCUUAGGGAAAGAUACCCAUCGAUAUUAUCUCAAAUUUAACCACUUUAGUCCAUUAUGAUUAACUAUGUAUUUUAUGGACGAAUCCAGUUGUGAGGUUUUAUACCCAAUUAGAUCGACCAAUACAGAGGUCACAGGUGGACUAAAAAGCUCCAUCGGUAGGGGAGUGUUUGACACCCUUUACUGCCGAGCGCAACACAAGACCCCUUACAGGAACUUGCCUGCUAGGACACAUGGAGCCACCACAACUAAUAUCAACAGUCCCACAUCGAAGUUUAACAUAACAUGCACACUCCCAAGACUUAUAAAGUGGGCACAAGUCCCAAAAAUAGGGGAACUUGGACUUUCGGCAAUUCAGCCAUUACUCUGUCCAGAUUACUAUACACUUCGUACUUAUUUUUACUUGAGCAUUGGAGAGCCUUCGGCUGGUACCACACCGGUGCCCAAGGGCUUACCGAGCAUUCUCUAUCUUGCAAAUUGAUAGCUCUACCAAAGCCCAGAAAGAGCUGAAGGUCAAUACAUCACUAAGUUGAGCCCAAAAGUGCUAAACCGCAUCAAAAAUAUAUAUAGAUUGAAAAAAUAAAAUAAAAAUCAAUCUAUUAUCAUAGGGUUAAUCUUUUUAUUAGUCCCCUAACUUUGACCAAAUUUGCAUUUGAGUACCUCAAUUUCCAAAAUGGUACCCACAGUCCCGCAACUUAAGUUUCGUUUGGAUUACUAGUCCCAUCGUUACUUUUGUCAAUUUUUUCGUUACAUUUAGGGGUAGAAGGGUCUUUGCAUGUUGGUUUUGAGGGACAAAAAAGACUUUUACUCUUUUAGAAUCUCUGAUACGAGUAUAAUGGACCAGAGUACGAACCAAAGAAGAACGAAAAAGCAGAAGAAGGGUGAAAAGACGAAGCUUUCAUACGAAAAGGUUUCUGCAGAAGCUUUCAGACAAAAGCAAAAAAGUUGAAGAGUUUGAGUUGAUUUUGUUUGGGUCAUUGUGUAUUUAGGUCGUCUGGGUCGAUACAUGUUGGUUAUCUCAUUGUGGAGUCAAUAGGUGUUGUCGACAACUUUGAUAGAGUUUGAAUUCAAGACUUCUGGAGACCUCCCUCCCCUCCAUAUACAGUAUGCGAUGCUAAUGGAAGUACUAGAAAUGCUUUUUUUAUAUGUUAAUUGAUUUUUGUUGUUUUGGAAUUCUGUCUGUGUCUGCUCGAAUUGUGCAGCAAUUAAGGGUUUUAUUUUUGUCUCUCUUUUGGGCAAAUAAAAAACUGUUUUCUUUUGUCUUUAUGUCAACAUUGAACGCAUACCUUUUGUUUUGUUCAAACAUUGAGUGCAUACUUGGUCCUACUAUCCUUGGUUGAAUUUAAGGGUUUGUGGUCCUAUUGGUUUGAUAUAUGUGAAUUGAUUGCACAGUUGCACACACUAGUACAUUUGGUGGUCCUACUGGUAGAGAUUUGUGGUCCUACUGGUAGGGUUUAGUUUGAUUUGUCUUUAUUCAGGUGAGUAGAGAUUUUAGAAAUUGGUGUUGAAUUUACUGAAUUGAGAUUAUUGCUUCAUUUGCAGAUAAGGGUGAGUUCUGCAGUUUCAAAAUUCACCAUGGGGGUGUUGUAUAAGAUGAGGUGUAUAAGGGGGGGGGGGGGGGGGGGGCAUUUGCUUAUUUGGACAACGUGUGGAUAAUUAUCUAUCACUCUUGGAUUUAAGGAAAAUAGGUAUAGCGUUAGGAUAUGAAGUGGACCUUACUAAGAAGGAGAUAGGUUUGCAAAUAUAUUGUAAGAUGUAUGACAGUAAUGGUGAAGCUAUUGUAAAGUUCAUUGACAAUGACAAUGUUACAUGUGAGAUGGUUGGCUGCAUAACAAGUAACAAAGUGUUAGUGUUAUACUAUAUUGACAAAAAAACAAGUGAAAAGACAUGGACUCAAAAAUCUGUGGAAUGGCCUAGUUUGCAGAGUGAAGAAUACAACUAUGCGAGAUUUAAUGAAGACCACAUGAAGGAGGUUAAUGAGCCUUUAGAUACUGAUGAGCAUGUUGUUUCGCUUGGAGAUUGUGAAGCUGCAGUUGAUGAAGAAGAAGAAGAAGGGUCAGAGUUUGUGGAUAGUGAUUAUGAGUUUAGUGAAGAUGAGGAGGCAAACAAAGGUUGUAAUGUAGACAUCAAUAUGCCUUGUGAUGAAGAAGUGAAUGUUGAGACUGAAACACAAGGGCCAGGAGAGAUUUCUGAUGAUGGGGCAGAUUCUGAUACUUUAUAUUCUGAUGGGAACACCUCAGAUGAUGAGAAUACUAGUCGACAUGUGACAAAAAAGCAGAGGAUUAGCCUACCAAAGUUCAAGCAAUAUAGGAGAGCUACUGACCUUAAAAAUCUAGAGUUUUAUUUGGGGAUGCAAUUUGUAAAUCGGGAGCACUUGAAAGAAGCAAUAAAGGAGUAUGCCAUUGUAAACGGAAAGCUGCUGAAAUUUGAUAAAAAUGACAAGAGGAGGGUGAAGGUCAUGUGUCGUGGAUCUAGAAAUUGUGCAUUUGUUCUUUAUGCAUCUAGGAUUGAUAAAGAGGAAUCCACUUUUGUAGUAAAGGCUAUACAUGCUGAACAUACAUGUGGCAGAGUAGACAGGUUGAGAUAUGCUAAUUCAACAUGGAUUUCAAAAAGAUUUUGUGAUAAGAUGAGAAGAAAUCCUAAUUGGAAUGUGGGGCAACUUUAAGGUAAGGUGAGGGAACACUAUGCAAUGAAUGUUACACAGAACCAAGUGUAUAGGGCAAAAAAAUUGGCUAAGAAGGUCAUUCAAGGUUUGUACAAGGAACAAUAAGAGAGAUUAAGGGAUUUUGCAGAGCAAAUUAAGAAGACCAACCCUGGAAGUACUGUGGUAAUUAAAACUGAACUAGCAGGUGAUGAUGCAUUGUUUGAAUGGAUUUAUAUUUGUUUAGCUGGUUUUAAAAAGGGUUUCGUAGAAGGCUGUAGGCCUGUCGUAGGGGUUGAUGGGUGCCACUUAAAAGGACCCUGCUCAGGGCAGAUCUUAACUGCAGUUGGUGUUGAUGGGAACAACGGUAUGUUCCCAUUGGCCUAUGCUGUAGUUGAAAUAGAAAGCAAAAGUAGUUGGAUAUGGUUUCUAGAACUCUUAAUUGCAGACUUGGGGAUCCAAAAUGGUUUGGCAUGGGUGUUUAUAAGUGAUAAACAGAAUGGGCUAAUUCCUGCUAUGCAAACAGUUUUACCAAAUACUGAACACAGAAUGUGCGUGAGACAUUUGUAUAACAACUUCAGAGGCCAGCACACAGGACUUGCUCUUAAACAUUUGCUAUGUGCUGCUGCAAAGGCAACCACAUUGCCUUGGUGGGAACCAGAGAUGGAUAAUCUGAAAAAGGAGGAUGCAGAUGCUUGGAGGUGGUUAAUUGAGAAGCCUGCGAAACAUUGGUCAAGAUCUCAUUUUGCAACACACUAUAAGUGUGAUUUGUUGUUAAAUAACCUAUGUGAAAGCUUCAAUGCAACCAUUAUUAAUGCAAGGGAUAAGCCAAUCCUAACAUGCCUUGAGAGAAUAAAGAUGUAUAUUAUGAUUAGGAUGGCUAAUAGAAGGGCUUCUUGUCAACAUUGGAGGUAUACUGUUGGUCCUAGAAUCUUCAACAUAAUAGAGAAAAAUAAGUUGGCAUCAAGUCAAUGCAUACCAAGGUUGGCUGGGGAGAAGAAAUAUCAAAUAAGUCAUAUGUAUGAGGGAGAAUUUGCUGUAGAUCUAAGAGCAAAGACUUGCUCUUGCAGAAGAUGGGACUUAUGUGGGAUUCCUUGCCCACAUGCAAUUUCUGCUAUUUUCCAAAGAAGUGAAGACAUAGAGGAUUAUGUGGAUAAAUUGUACAAGAAAGAGGCUUACUUAAAAACAUAUGGUCCUAUCAUUAGACAUGUUCCUUUCAUUGACCAAUGGCCAAGGAGUUGUUUACUUGUAAUUAAGCCUCCCAACUUCAGAAUCCAACCUGGAAGGCCAAGGAAGGUGAGGACACAAGAACCAGGGAAGGUGGAAAUACCAGCUCCAGUACCUUCAAAUCCAAAACCACCGAACUGGAAACCACAACCUGCAAGGCUCCAGCUCUCCAAGGGCAAGCCGAAGCUCUAGCUCCCCAAGCUUAGGCUCCAGCUCCUCAAGCCUAAACUCCAGCUCCCCAAGCCCAAGCUCCAACUCCCCAAGCCCAAACUCAUGCUCUCCAAGCCAGGCCCAACUAGUAAGUGAUAUUGAACCAAGUCUGAUUUGUCAUUCAAUAACCUCAAUGUUUAUAACUGAAACUGAAACUUUGCUUAUAGGUGGCAGCAACCAGGGAUUGUAGAGGUAGAGGGAGAAUGAGAGGCUUAGGAAGAUCAUCAUCUCAACCUUAAGCCCAAGCUCAAGUCCAAGUCCACGCCCAAGUCCAAGCCCAAGGCCAAACUGAAGUCUUUUCUGCAAAUAUCCAAGCAAGGGCAGUAAUUGGACCAAAUCAAAUGGUCUAACAUGUAAGUGAUAUUUGAAGAUGGUUUGAUAUUCACAUGUUCUUAUGUCAUUUGUAUAACAUCAAUCACAUAUGUGAACAUUUGCUUGUAGGUGACAGCAACUAGGGGUGUACAAGUAGAGGGAGCAUGAAAGGCUUAGGAAGAUCAUCAUCUCAACCUCAACCUCAUGCAUUACCUCCAAAUAUCCAAGAAAGUGCACUAAUUGGACCAAAUCAAAUGGCCCAACUUGUAAGUCAUAGUUGAAUAUGGUUUCAUACUCACAUUUUCUUAUGUCAUUUGAAUAACCUCAAUCACUUCUGUCAAUGUUUGCUUAUAGGUUGCAUCAACUAGAGGUGGUAGAGGGAGAGGGAGAAUGAGAGGCUUUGGAAGAUCAUCAUCUCAACCAGUAAGCAAAGGCUCUAUCACUAGAACAACCAAUGGUGCAUCAUCUUCACAGCCACCAAGAUGAAUAGUGUUUUGUAACGGUUUUGGGGAUACCUUUUGGGACUUAAACUAUGUUGUGACUGCUAUUUUAGGGAUACCUUUUGAUAUUUGAACAUGGCUAUUUUGAUAAUUAAGUGUCUUUUGUACUCUGUUUGAGUAACAAGUUAUCAUUUUGGAACAUGUGGUGGAUCUGGGCAUGUAUUAAACAUGUCAUAUGAUUGCACUUUCCCAAAAAAGGCUCUAUCUGUGAACAUUUGAAUUUGUAAUGAAUGUAAGUUUCACUCUUCUGCUUAUGUGAAAGGUUGCUCUACUAUUUCAUGUGCAUUUGUAUGCCUUAAUUUGAACAAGUCUUGUAUGCAGAUUGAGGUCAAUGAAUCUGGAAUUACAACAUUGCAAAUAACCAAAGUUUUCAAAAUCCAUAAGCCUUUUGCAUAACUAAUAACAUUACAAGAUUGCAUAACUAAUUUCGGGAAUUACAUUAGCUCCAAAAUGGGUUUCACUGCCCUUACUCCCAUACAUUUUCCAGACAUGUUUGACACCAUGAUCAUCACCAUCACAAUGGCCACAAAUAAAACACAAGCACCCAUACUCAUCCUACAUUCUCUUUGUCGAUGCCUCAUCAUAUUGUCUUCCAGCAAAAGUCUAAGCCUUCUGUUGUCUCUGAUUGCAUAAUCCAACUCCUUAUUUUUUUCAAUUAUGCCCUCCAUUUCCAAGUUUCAAGCUUCUAAGGAUUGAAGUGUGUUGACCACAACAUUUUUUCUCUCUUCUGUCUCCCUCAUUUCAGUCUCCAUCAUUCUUAUUCUUCUAAGCAGACCAGGCACCACAUUCUUCCCUCUUGUACAUGUCUCCUUGUCCAACCACCUAAAAUAAUGCUCUCCAACUCUGUUUUUCUACUUCAUUAUUAUCAAAUUCUUCAUCACAACAAAAUCUGAACAUAAUACCAAUUUUGUGCAUAAACCCAAAAAUCUAAAAUUGUUUACCUGGUUGUUGUCACAAGCCUCAAAGCGUCUUCCUGGAUUCAUGUCCGUCCAUGAAGUCCUUAAUUUGAUCAAACUCCCACAAUGACAAUACUUCACUGAUUUGGGGCUUUGGUUAGAUUCCAUUGAUGAUGUUUGAGACAUAUCACUUGCCAUCCUUUGAACUAAUUUGCUCUCCAAGCUUCCAAACUUGACGAUUCCAACUUUUACUCAGCCAAUAUGCGAGCUGCAGAAGCGGAUUGCAACUUUUAGUUCUUUAGGUUUUCAACGGCAGACUGUCGAAGGUCUAUUUCAGAGGGAAGGCAAGUUGUAGAAGGGGGAUAAUAAACCAACCUGAAAAGACCCAUCUAUCCCUAAAUGUAACGAAAAAAUUGACAGAAGCAACGGCGGGACUAGUAAUCCAAACAAAACUUAAGUUGUGGAACCGUGGGUACAAUUUUGGAAAUUGAGGUACACAAAUGCAAAUUCGGUCAAAGUUGGGGGACUAAUAAAACGAUUAACCCAUUAUGAUAUAUAUUAUAUAAAAUAAAUAUUGGGUAAAUUACUCAAAUGGUCCUCAAACUUAUACUCGAUUUACAUUUUGGUCCCUCAAUUAUUAUUUGUUCAAAUGGUCCAUCAACUCUAUAUUAUUCUCUCCAUUGGUCCUACCGUUAUAUUUUGUCAAUAUUUCUGUUAAAUGUGAGGGCAAAUUGGUCAUUAUAUAACUAAAAUUAGGGUAAAUCUAACAGAAAAUUAGACGGUAGGAAUUCGGGGCGGUUCAUGUCAAAAAGCUAAUCAGAGGGGCGAAAUUGACAAAUAAAUUUAAUACAAUGGCUAAAUUGGUUGAAAGAUUAAUUCAAGAUGUAGAUUUCAACAAGUGUGAUAAUUCAUGGGGGUAUUCGGUAAUUUACUCCUUUUUUCCCCCUUGAUCUUCCGUAUUCAAGUAAUGGAAAUGUGUUCCACAUUUUCCAUUUAGUUGAUUAUAGAAAAGGAAGAGCAAACAUGAGUUAAGCCCAAGGCACUGAACUUAGGGUCAGUUUGGCAUUGCUGUGCUGUGAAAAUAAUCGUUGUCAGAUUUGCUAUGAGAGAAAAUAGUUUGGCGUUUGGUAAAAUUUUUGUUAAAAGUAUUAUUAGUAUUUAUUUUACACAUAAUCAGAAAAUAAUUGCCGCAUAAUCAUUAAAUUCAGCGCCUCUUCGAAACUGAUUCUUGCAUAAUCAGAAAAUGAAAGCACAUCAUUAGCUGCUUUCCUUUAUAACUUUCUCUCACAGCAAUUUUUAACAAUAGGUGAUUUUCUCACAGUUUACCAAAUGGGUUGGGCUUCUCAAAAUUAAAAAAAAAACACUUAUCACCCCAAAUAAACAAUGCCAAACGGGCACUUAGACUUCUCACCAAGUGAGGAAGAAAAAUAUGACAAAUUGAUAUAUUUAAUACAAGCUCAAACUGUGCACAAAUUAAUAUAUGCAAUGGAAGCCCAAGAUUAUUUCUGAAGCACAUAAUUUCUGCAAAAUCUACAAAGUGGUGGGAGGCAGACCAACAAAAAAAAGUAGCGAAGGCUUAUAACUCUGGUAAAACAAGAGUGACAACUGAAGAUUUUUGGGUUUCUUUAAUUGGUUAAGUUUAUAUACCUUCAUUUGAAGAUUCUUUAUUUGGGUUGCUUUCAAGAUGAAAACCAUAUCCACAACCACAACCACAACUGGCAGACAAUCUUUGGCUGUUCAUCACAAUUGGGCGACAAUGAAGAAGACAGAAAUUGGAGUAAUGUAUGUUACCAGCAAUCCACGAGAAACUGACGUCUGCAAGCUUUCGUAAUAUAAGGAGGAUGGGGAGGUUGUGCAAUACUUAUCACCUUAGCCACCACCUACACCACAAGACCAAUAUGUUGUAGGCCAGGAGGCUUUCCAAUUUUAAUAUAUAUAAAAGUAACGUAAAAAAGAAAUUAAUGUAGGGUAAAGUAGAAUAGAAAAGAGAAUAAACAAAAUUAAUAAAAAAAAAUUUUAAAAAGUAAAAGGGAGUGUAAAUGGAGAAAAGAGGAAUGGGGAAAUCAGCUCCCUAUAUAUAUAUAUAUAUACAUGGAUUGAAAAAUUAAAAUUAAAAUAAAUCUAUUAUCUUAUAUAUUAUAAAAUAAAGAUUAUUGCUCCAAGGAAAUGAGAUCUUUUGUUUUCUGGGAAUUUUCUGAACCAAGAAAUAUCAAGUAAAAUUAAUAAAGCAUAAAUUGGAAAGGGAAAAGAUCCAGAGGAUGCAUUGUAAGAUUGCUGAUGCCAAUAAUUGUACUCUCUAAUUAUACAUGGACGGGCAUUCAAAUCGGCAAAUCGGAAAUUCGAGCCGAACCACAAAAAAAAAAACCGAGUUGACCAAAAAGUCAAAAACCAAUCAAAAACCAAACCGAAUCGGUUUGGACUGGUUUUGGAUCCAGUUCUAUGUCUUCAAAAACUGAACCAGGCGGAACCGAACCAAUCAAAUUUAAAAAUAUAUAAUUUCAAUAUUUAUUUAUAUUCAAUGCUAUAUUUUUAAUCUCAUAACUAAUAUUUAUACAAGUUCAAUUUCAAAACAUCUAUCUUUUCUAGCUUUAAUAUUUAUUUUUAUAUGAAAUUAAAUAAUUUAUUAAUUUUCAAGUCAAAAAAAUAAAAUUUUAGUUGAAAUUUGUAUUAAAAAAUUAAUUUUAAUAAUCCAGUUCAAAACCAAAUCGGACCGGAACCUAAUCGAAACUGGUUCAACCUGAACCAGACAGUUUUUGAAUUUUUUUUGUUAAAACUGAACCGAACCAAACUGGAUAAAUAGUAUCGGACUUUGUUCUAAUUUGAGACAAAAACCGGUCCAAACCGGACCGUGCCCACCCUACAUGGACAUAUUUUUUUUGUUUUCAAGUCUUAGAUGACAUGUCGACCUAAAAUUAUCGUUCCUAGCGGCUCUCCACCCCCACUCAACCUAUUGUGUAUUAUUAUUUUCAAUAUUAUCUCAAAUUUAACUACUUAUGUCCAUUAUGAUUAGUCAUCUAUUUUAUGGACCAUCCAGCUGUGAGGUUUUAUCUCAAAAACCUUCAGUAACUUUUUCCCGCUUGCAACAAUUGUAUUUGAUUCAGAAUUAUGUCCUAUAUUGGUGGGUGGAGUGUUACUUCUGGGUACCCCUCAUCAUUCGUCUAUAAAAUGGUGAAGCCAGUUGCUACUGUUACCAUAAGAUCCAGCUCCGACUUUCUUUAAUUUCUUGCUUCAUAUCCACUAGCUACAUCUGUUGCCGAGUUAAUUUCAGUCCUAAUGGGGUUUCAUCUCCCACUCAUCUUUGCUAUUCUCAUUGUAAGCUCUGCAAUUUGAUUAACUUUUCCAUUCUCUCUCAUUGUACUUUAUAUAAUCCUCUCCGAAAGUGUCGUCCACUAAUUAAUUACACUUUGUGAUUUUAUUUUAAUUAGAGUUCAAAUUAAUGUUGCAGCUAGCAGCGGUGGCACUGGCAAUCCAUGCUGCGCAACCAGCACCUCAACUUUACUGGAACUCCGUCCUGCCAAACACACAGAUGCCAAGAUCUAUCAGUGAACUUCUGCAUCCUGGUUUGUGUUAAGCCAUUUAGAAUCUUAGAUAUUUUUUCUACCUGCCAUUUUACUGAAAUGUGUUCCGACCACAUAUUUAUCGGUUAACUACUGUUUUCCAAUUUAUUAUUAACCUCGACAAAAGUUAUUACAUGAGUAAUUAUAGUAUGGUACUAGAGUACGUACGGCUAAAAGACUUACGGAAAUGUGUUCCGACCACAUAAAAGACUUACGGAAGGCUGGUGAGUUCUCCAAGUUUUCUAAACGCAGUGCCUGUUGGAAGAACCUGUAAGAGAGUUCAAUUAUUGAAGGCUCCCCAGUCUGAGCACCUGUGAGAUUGUAAAGAUCCUCGAGAAUGAAAAAUGGCAGCUGAUUUUCGAGCAUAAGCAUGUCAGGCAAUAUAUUUUGUUGCACCCAUGGUUUUUUAAAUAUCCAAGCAUUAUCAUCCGGCAAUUUUUCUUCCUGAAAUUUUUCUUCGGAUUUAUUCCUCAACAAUAGCUCAAUGACAAAGGCGGCAUCAACUAGAAAGAUAUUCACAAAAGCGGCAAUGUUAAACUUCUUAGUGUCUUCAUAAUAAUGACGGAGUUCAACUUCUCUCUCCUUUAGGUACCUGAGUUUGUGAUCUUCCAUGGCUUCUAAGUUUUUGCUGCCAUGGUGAAGUGGGCCUAUUGAGACUACUUGUGGUGUGUAGGCCUUUUGUUUUACGUUCCGUAGUCGCUCAGGCACCCUGUAGAUAUUGCAGGCAGGGGACAGGGCACGCAAGUUUGUCAACUGAUUUUCCAUGGAAGUUGCUUGGUUUUCUAUGUCAAAAGAAGCUUCAUUGCUGCUUUCUUCCACUUUCUUCCUCCGCAUUAUGUGUUGUUCUGAUUGUAAGUGACGAGGAUGGUGAUGAUUCUAGACACCAUAAUCAACAAAUGUUUCAAUCAUAAUUGACAUUUCAAGAUGCUUCCGACAAAAAAUUAGAAAACAUUCAUCACAAAAUGCGAACUCAUACAAUAGAUGGGUUGAGAAGAUCCACACAUUGCAAUCAUACAAUCCAAUUGCACAGGGAUUACUCCCUAUUCUCCUCUCUCUCUAAAAAAGAUUUUCAUAUCGAUAACAUCUUAUUACAAGGGAUUUGUAUAUCAAGUGGUGAUGAACAGAAAUUCAUAUUCUUUCAAUCAAAAUAUACAAAUUUCGAAAAAGUUUGUUUGUUUUAUUUUUGGAGGAAAAAAAUCUGAGCAUAUAUAGAUGCAUAUUAUACGUAGACCUAAGGUGAAAACAUACCAGAUUUUUACUCCAUUUUUCAUGAGGUUUAAGUUCUUGAUGUAUAUAUUUAUCUCAAGUGUAACAUCCCACAUUGAUCAACGGAGAGGGGGUGAUGUGCCUUAUAUGUACAUGCCAGCCUCCAUCUAGCACGAGGCUUUUUGGGAGCUCAUUGGCUUCGGAGUCAUAGGAACUUCGAAGUUAAGCGAGUUGGAGCUAGAGCAAUCCCAGGAUGGGUAACUCAUUGGGAAGUUGCUUGUAAGUUCCCAGAAAUAAAACCGUGAGGGCAGAUAGGGGGCCCAAAGCGACCAAUAUCGUGCUACGGCGGAACCGAUUCUGGGAUGUGACAAUUUGGUAUCAGAGCCACUCUGCCGUGUGGUGCGAGUGUGCCGACGAGGAUGUCGAACCCUUGAAGGGGGUGGAUUGUAAUAUCCCACAUUGACCAACGAAGAAUGGGUGAUGUGCCUUAUAUGUACAUGCCUGCCUACAUCUAGCACGAGGCCUUUUGACAGCUCACUGGCUUCAGAGUCAUAGGAACUCCGAAGUUAAGUGAGUUGGUGCUAGAGCAAUCCUAGGAUGGAUGACGUGACAUCAAGAAUUUAUAUCCUCCCUUUUAGAUCUCAUGUUCCAGUCAAAACAUAUAGAAACAAACGAAACAUAAGAAACUAAAAUCUUGUUUAUACCCAUCCUCCCACCCACCCACGGCCAUCCACCCCUACUGAAAGGACCCGCCCCCAAUUUUCUCAAAACCCGAGACGAACCCUUUGGAAUUCCUGACAUCACCCCGAUGCCAGGCCCACUUACUAAAAACUGAGACUUCCUGCCGAAAUUUCGGCAGAGUCUCCCCUAUAAAUUGGACAUUUCCCAAAAUUUCAACCUGCAUAAAAACGCAUUUAAUAUUCCCAACUGGCAGCAUGCACAAUAUAAUUUCAUGCAAUUCACACAAAUGGCCUUCGGCCUUUCAAUAAUUCCUAUCCAACUACCAAACCAUUCAAAUACAAAUUAUGACUAAUAUUUAGUCUGCGGCUGCACCUAAUAACCUUAGGCUGCCUACGUACCCUCCUUGAGGGAUCAAGCCACACGUAGUUCUUCCCUAAAACCCAAUUCCACACUUGGGCGAUACCUUAUUUCAUUUCUCUGGAUUUCAUAUAAUCUCCCCAUACGCCGGUACAACCAACGCCACGUAUGGGGCCUGUCAACACGCCGGAUAACCUACGCCACGUGCGACCAUGCCAUACUAUCAUAAUAUCUCCCCAUACGCCGGUACAACCAACGCCACGUAUGGGGCCUAUCCCAACGCCGGAUAACCUACGCCACGCGGGACCUCAAUAUUCAUAUCACAAAUCUCCCCAUACGCCGGUACAACCAACGCCACGUAUGGGGUCUGUCGACACGCCGGAUAACCUACGCCACGUGCGACCUCAACACAAUAUCACAAUAUCUCCCCAUACGCCGGUACAACCAACGCCACAUAUGGGGUCUGUCUCAACGCCGGAUAACCUACGCCACGUGAGACCUGAACAUCAUAUUACAAAUCUCCUCAUACGCCGGUACCACCAACGCCACGUAUGGGGCCUGUCCCAACGCCGGAUAACCUACGCCACGUGGGACCUAACUUUUACUUGGUGGUGCUUGUAGUGAAUCCAAAAUCCGGGGAGGUACCUAAAGUAGUGCGUAUAGCACUCCAAACUGACACUCUAGACUCUGUUGUACCCUUGUACAACCAUAUAUAAUUAUAGUUAUAUAAAUUAAUUCUAAUAUUGUGUAACCCUCCACAAUAAUCUAGCUCCCGAUAAUCCCCCCCUUAGAAAGGUGAGAUUACUCCGGGAGACUCACGGUCAACCAAGGGUCAAACUACUCUAACCCUGGUCAACCGGACCUGCAGAACCCACGACCUCCAAUUUCUGAUCCGAAAGUCUCUAUGGGUUCUACUAGGUAUAGGACACUUGUCCUGCAAGUUUGGUUCAGAUCGGACGGUCGGAUUUCUCACGAUCGCACGAUCUGACGGUUAAUAUAAAAUAUAAACUUUAAAAUUAUUAUUCGGAACAUCCGGGGCUCCGAUUCACGAUCUGUAAAUUCCUACAUGAUCCUAGAAAUACCUUGAUUAACAUAUAUUAAAUUUGGGACCAUCCAACGGUCCCAACCUAUCGAACCCGGAUAACAUACACUAUGCGAUUAUCUGUUCGAUAGUCAAACGACGUCCGAAUUGAGAUCCGCGAAAUCCUACGCACUCGUGACAACCUAAGGAUCUCAUCGGAACACAUCGCUACUUUUUAUACAGUGCCCACGCGCCGCCGCACGCUCCGGCAGCGCGUGGGUGCCCAAAGCGAUAACGCUUCGCCGGAAAAUCUCAACAUCUCGGCUCCAAACUCCUACCCUAGGUAUAACACCCUAUUUGGAGCCACUUUUGUUCUUGGACCUACCCCAAAAAUUGGCCGGAAAUGGCCGAUCACGGCGGCCGAAGUUCGGCCGAUUUUCAAUUCGAAAAUCGAGUUGUCUACGCUAAGAAUCGAUCUAAUCCUACCCAACAGGCAGCUAGAGCAUGAAAAAUAGGUGAGAAACCAUACCUUGCUCGUCGGAUUUGGUGGCCGGAGGAGGGAGAUCGAGCUCCUUGAAUUUUGGGUUAAAAUCGGUCGGAUUUUUGCAUUUUCCGGCGAGCACAGGUGGUUCCGGUGGCUGAGAUCGGUCGGGAUGGAAAGAGGAGGAUGGCACGGUUCUUUUGGGACCGGUGCCACCCCGAGUGGUGGCCGGAUGCGGCGACGGCGGCCCAAAAAACCGCCGCUGUGAACAGUAACAGGGGGGGCUGUUCUGCGCGCAGGGGAGAGAGAGAGAGAGAGAGAGAGAGAGAGAGAGAGAAAAUCUGAUUUUAUAAAAAAUCCCAUUUCAAAAUAUUUACGAUUGUGCCACUGGACUUCUUUUGACCAUAUCUCUCUCGUUACAACUCCGAUUCGAGCCCACUACGUGUCUGUGAACUCGUCUCAGUACGACCUAUCCAAAAAUAUAAGUCACGGUCCCAAACUCUCUCUGGUUAAAAAUAUGACUAAAAUACCCUUAAAUAAUUAAAUAAUUAAAUGAGGGUAAAAUUUGGGAAAAUUUGGGGUCGGGGUGUUACACCUACCCUCUAUCUCCAUUAAAUCUACAAGUAGCUCAUCAAUUUAUCCACUAUCCCAAGUUCAAUAUACAACCCAACAACCAUCUUACCCAUCUUCUCAUUGAUCUUCCACCCAGCAUCCAACACUAUCUUCAUAAACUCUUUACCCUUUAAAAUAAAUAUGGCAAUAAACUAAAAAUUCUGAUUUAACGCAUGUUUUGCUCAUAAGAGAACUAAAACCUAAAAAUUCUAUACUCUUACACAAAAAAUAAAAAAUAAAAACUAAAAUUGAAAUGGUUAUCAAACAAACCCUUAUAUUACAAAAAACACUGUAAGGGAGGUAAAUAGUACGUUUACAGAGUUUAAGUGUAAUAAAGGAAUAAAAACAUGCCCAGAGGAUUGAUAAGUGAUAUCAAUUCUUGAAUAUACAGAACGUAAAAUAAAGCAACACGUAAAAAAUUAUUUUAUAUGGUAAAACUCCAUCUCUGGGGAAAAUCCAUGGGACUUCUUAGUCCAAAACAAAUCCAUUAUAGAACGAUGAUUAUAAGAAGUACUCACACACUUAUCCUAAACACAUUCUAGAUAAUGUUUAUUGACCUCUUCGUAACUCAACUUCUGUCUCGGGAUGAUCUUUCGACACUCUUUAUGUUGAAUGCAAUAUUGGUCACGGUUUCUUCAAGCUCGUCAGAGUUCUUCCAACUCUCCUAAUAUUGAAUUCGAUACUAGUCACGAUUGAUUCAAGCUCAUCGUAGAAAAACCGUCACAAUGGUCUUGGUGCCCUCAACCGUAUGAGUCAUUGAACAUGCAAAUGAAUACAAUAUGAAUGAUAAAAGUGUUUGAUAAAUCACCGAGUUAUGGAACACUUGAUGAUUUAUCUCAAAUAAAAACUCAGCUUUCCAAAAUUUAUGAAUUGAAAAUAUGAUCGUUAAUGCUCUCUAAACAAAGAAGACAAAGGUCUUAUUUUAGACUUUUUCUUUACAAGAAAGAAAAUAAGUUGGAAACCAAAUCUCCAAUUUCCAAGGCAAAAUCACAAAAGUAUCUUUUCUAGAGAUUGGUCACAUGUAGUCCAACCAAUAGGAAAUGAGAUAUUUAAGAAAGGAAGAUUUUGAUCAAUAUCAAUAUCAAAUGAAUUCUUAUACGCCUAGUCAACUAUUAAGGGUAUCUUGACUCCUUGAUAUUUUGAUAUGAUUGAAACAUGAUUUCCAAGUUAGAAAAUUAAGGGGAUGUUAAAACAUGAAAGUAAUAGGAGAAACAAAUUUAUUUGGACCAAAAUUGCCUAAAAAGAAAACACUCCUAAAUAAACUUCAAUUCACUUUAGUAAAACAUGAUUGAAUCGUUCGUUAAAACAAUUCCCUAAUAUACAUGCAUGAUAAUGACAUCACUUACUCCUGAAUCAAAUUGUCACGCCCCGGACCCGGGGGUUGAUGGAAAUUCCGCGCCCGGUGCGUAAGAAAAUAAAAAGUAAAAUAAAAUAAAAAGAAAGCCGAAACAAGGUGCUAAAUGAAAACUAUGAGAGAAUAUUUGUUUGUGGGAAUUUUCUGUGUAUUCUUCUCCUUGUAGGAGGUCAUAUUUAUAAUACAACGAAACCUGAAUGGGCAAGUAAAUAAUAAAUUCCUAAAUCUAUUUGCAGUAGGAAAUCAGGAAUUAAAGUAAAUCAAUUACAAUUAUAAUAGGAAUUCUUGGUGUGUAAGGAAAGUAAAUCAAUAUCCACAAGUCAAGCCAACACUCCCCCUCACGUUGGUGCAUAGAUGUCGCCAAUGCCCAACUGAUCUAGUGAAUUGUGGAAUGCUUUACUGGAAAUCGCCUUUGUCAAAAUAUCCGUCAAUUGAUCCACGGAUUUCACAAAAGGAAACUGAAACACUUUAGCCUCAAGCUUUUGUUUGAUGAAGUGUCGAUCCACCUCAACAUGUUUUGUACGGUCAUGCUGAACCGGAUUCUGUGCAAUGGCUAUAGCAGCCUUGUUGUCACAAAAGAGAUUCAUUGUGGAUGUAGGUUUAUACCCAAGUUCAGUAAGCAACUUUCUUAACCAAAGAAGUUCACAAAUCCCUUUAGUCAUGCCUCUGACCUCGGCUUCUGCACUGGAUAAAGCUACUACAUUCUGUUUCUUGCUUCUCCAUGUCACCAAAUUACCUCCCACGAAUGUGAAGUAACCCGAUGUGGAUUUUCUAUUUGUUACAUUACCUGCCUAAUCUGCAUCUGAAUAACCAUCAAUAUUUAGAUGACCAUGCUUUGAGAACAUAAGUCCUUUUCCAGGUGCAGACUUCAAAUAUCUAAGUAUCCGAAGAACUGCAUUCAUAUGGUCUUCACUUGGAGAGUGCAUAAAUUGACUGACAAUGCUCACUGCAUAAGCAAUGUCUGGUCGAGUAUGUGACAAAUAGAUCAAUCUUCCCACUAAUCUUUGGUAUCUUUCUUUGUUAGUUGGAACUUGAUCCGGAUAUUCUCCAAGAUGAUGAUUCUGAACAAUAGGAGUGUCCGCAGGUUUACAAUCUAGCAUUCCUGUGUCUGUCAACAAGUCUAAGACAUAUUUCCUUUGAGAGAGAAAUAUGCCUUGCUGCGAUCGAGCCACCUCAAUUCCCAAGAAAUACUUGAGUCCACCUAGAUCCUUCAUCUCAAACUCCGUAGCCAGAUAGCCUUGUAGCUGUGAUAUUUUCUGUUUAUCAUUCCCAGUAAUAAUCAUAUCAUCAACAUAGAUUAUUAAUGUUGUUACCUUCCCUUUUCGAUGUUUCAAGAACAGAGUAUGAUCUGAGUUGCACUGUUUGAAACCAUUGUUCUUCAUUGCCAUGGUGAACCGUCCAAACCAUGCACAUGGUGACUGUUUCAAUCCAUACAAUGCUUUUCAUAACCUUCAAACUGUUCCAGUCUGAGUAGUAUUAUAUCCAGGAGGAAUGUCCAUGUACACCUCCUCCGUGAGUUCGCCAUGUAGAAAAGCAUUCUUUACAUCAAACUGGUGUAGUGGCCAAUCCAAAUUAGUUGCAAGGGACAAUAAGACUCUGGGUGUUUAACUUUGCAACUGGAGCAAAGGUUUCUUCAUAGUCUAUACCAUAGGUCUGUGUGUACCCUUUUGCCACAAGUCUUGCCUUGUAUCGCUCGAUAGAUCCAUCUGCAUUGUGUUUUAUAGUAAACACUCAUCUACAUCCGAUAGUCUUUUUUCCUCGGGGUAUAGUCUCCAAUGUCCAAGUCUGAUUUUUCUCAUUGGGCUUUCAUCUCCUCUUUUAUAGCUUGGACCCACUUAGGAUCUUUCAAUGCUUCAGAGACCUUGGUUGGAAUAUGGAUAGCAAACAACUGAUACACAAAAGCCUUGAGUAGUUCAGACAGCUUCUCAGUGGAUACAUGAUUUGCAAUUGGAUACUUGGAUGUCUUGCCAAUAUCAGGUGAAUAACGGUUUGGUGGCUUCCCACGAUUUUGCCUGAAAGGUAAUUGAUAUCCAAUAGUUUUAUCAUCUAAAUGCAAAGUCUAGUAGGAGUAGUUACCUCAAGGAUAUUCUCAGGAGAUUGGUCUGUUGGUACUGUUGAGUUAGAGCGGGGGUCUUCAUCUUGUUGUUCUGUAUUGUCUGUAGGUGUGAGACUCGGAUCAGAAAUAUCUUCACAUGGAUCAGGUGGGUCAGGCAAUUGAUCGCUAUGAAUGGGCGAUUGGUCACUUUUCGACAGAGAGUAAUCUCGUGCUCCAGACUCAGAAUGAUCAAUCAUUUCUAUACAAAGGAGAAUUUCUUUAUUUUCCAAGUCGCUCCAAUUAUGCUCUUCACUUCGUAUCUCCCCCUGAAGUGUAGAAUUGGAUGAUGGGUCAUGGAAGAACAGCUUAGAUUCCAGAAAGGUCACAUCCAAAGUGACAUAGGUUCGUUGGGUAGGAUGGUGAUAACAGCGGUAGCCUUUCUGAUGAGUGGCAUAACCCACAAAAAUACAACAAAGCGCACAUGGAUCAAGUUUGCUACGUUGAUUUUUGUGGAGAUGAACGAAAGCCACACAUCCAAAGAUUCGAGGUGUGAGUACCAAAACAGAAGGCAGAGGUCUGUGUUGUGCCAGCACCUGUAAGGGAGUUUUAAAGGUCAGUACACUAGAAGGCAUGCGGUUGAUCAGAUGAACUGCGGUGACAAUAGCAUCAUCCCAAUGAUGGCGAGGACCAUGAGCGUCAAUCAGAAGCGGGCGGUUUCAAGAAGAUGUCGAUUCUUUCGUUCAGCAACACCAUUUUGUUGUGGUGUCUGAGGACAAGUCGUCUCAUGGAUAAUUCCAUGUUGUUGGAACUAAUUCUGAAAGUCAUGAUUGACAAAUUCUCCACCAUUGUCUGAGCGAAGAAUCUGAAUUUGAGCAUUAAACUGAGUUUUCAUCUGUUUGUGGAAGGACUGAAAAUAGGAAAACACUUCGUUUUUAUUUUUCAGCAAAUAAAGCCAUGUCAUCCGUAUACAAUCAUCGAUGAAUGUGACAAACCAUCGAACACCAGAAGGAGCAGUGACAGGAGAAGGUCCCCAGACAUCAGAGUGAAUUAACGUAAAUGGAGUAGUACACUUGUUCGUACUCAACGGGUAAGGCACACGGUGACUCUUGGCCAAAAUACAAGUAUCACAUGUGAAGUCAGAGUCCUUGAAACCUGAGAAUAAAUCUGGUAUAAGAUGCUUCAUAUAACUAAAAGACGGAUGUCCCAAUCGACGGUGCCACAACCAGAUUUGCUUUUGUUUGCUAUCAAAGGGAUGUGUCACGCUGUUAGCCAUGCGAGACUGAAGUCAUCGACAUAAUAUAGCCCCCCUCUCUUAGUACCACGACCAAGAAUCUCCUUAGUGUGAAUAUCCUGAAACAAAUAAAAACUCGGGUAAAUGAGUACACAACAAUUCAAUUGUUCAGUAAGCUGACUAACUGACAACAAUUUAGUGGAUAAAGAUGGAACAAGUAAAGUAUUAGACAGUGUGAGAGAGGAUGAGAGUGCAACAGUGCCAGCCCCUGUCACAGGAUAAGUAACACCAUUGGCAUUUGCAAUACAGGGUCGUCGAGGUUGUGUAGUAUUCAGAAAAUCAUCAGGAUCAAACGUCAUAUGAUCAGUUGCACCGGAAUCAAUUAUCCAGCUCCUCGAAUCAAUCUUAUCGGAAGUAUGAAAUCCAUAACCAGUACCAUUACUGGUCAAAUUGCAUUGUCCUUGAUCUGUAAGAGUAGCCCACCAAUUGGGGUAGCCAUGCGAUUUAAAACAAGUCUCAAAAGUGUGUCUCGGAUCACCACAAUAUGCACAAGCUGGUCCAUGUGUCGGGGUCGUUAGUCUAGAAGUCAUAAUCUGUGCAGCGGAAGAUGCAUAGGAUACAGGUUGAGUAGGAAUUGGGAUUGGAAUCUGAGCCUGAGUCGGGGACGGAGUCGGAGUCGAAAUCGAGAUCAGGGUCUGAAUCAGAGACAAAUUCGGGGUUGGGGUCGUCAUCGGAGUGGGGUCGGGGUCAUCUUCGGAGUCGGGGUCGGGGUCGUCAUCGUCAUAGUCGGGGUCGGGGUCAGGGUCGUCAAAAGAGGAUCUUGAUUCUGAAUCGGAUUCGGGGUCAAAGUCUGCAUCUGUAGGAGCGGAGCCAUCUGGGCACUCAACUCAACGAUGGUGGGUGGAGAAUGAGAGAAGGAGUCGGUGGUGCUACCUCCAUGAGGGUUGAAAAAAUCAUCAACCCCCAUAGCAGCGGUGGGGGUUUGAAACUAGAGUCAGCAAUUCCAAGAUUACCGCUCUGAUACCAUACUAAAAUAUGAAAACUAUGAGAGAAUAUUUGUUUGUGGGAAUUUUCUGUGUAUUCUUCUCCUUGUAGGAGGUCAUAUUUAUAAUACAACGAAACCUGAAUGGGCAAGUAAAUAAUAAAUUCCUAAAUCUAUUUGCAGUAGGAAAUCAGGAAUUAAAGUAAAUCAAUUACAAUUAUAAUAGGAAUUCUUAGUGUGUAAGGAAAGUAAGUCAAUAUCCACAAGUCACGCCAACACAAGGGUUUAAAAUAAACCUCUCUUAUAAAAUAGCUCCAAAAUCUUACAACUUUACAAGAAAUAAAUAAAGCUUUAUCAUUCUUAUCUAAUUAAGCCUCAACUUGUUUAGUCCUUGUCUUGCCCACUAAUUCGUCUGAAAAAUUAAAGGGACAUGCAUGAGACCUUACCACAGUAGAUUGAUAUAACUAAAAUUAUCAUAAACAUAGAAAUAUAUAAGUAUUAUUAUAAUAGGAUUCAUAAUAAUUAAUAUAAAAGUAUAACAACAAUAUUUACGUAUACGUACCAAGAUAAUUACACAUAUAAAUAUAACCAAUAUAUAUUUAUAUAUAUUUUAAAAUACGGGUCUUCACACAAAUGCCUUUCGCUGGUCAAGCCACAAGUCUGUGUUUUGGGGAUUGCUGAGCUGCAUCAAUCCUGCCAAUGUCAAUUCUGCCCCUAGGCUCUCUCAAAGCACGUUUACAACCUAUGCUAACAUAUACUAGAGUUUGUGCUAGUAUCUAGAAAAUGCCAACACUAAUUUCGUAACACGUAGAAAUUGUUAGAGAUUGGAAGUUUUUAUCAUUUUUUCUUCCAAUCUCUCCACCACUCACUAAUAUAGAUUACUCAUGUGAUGAGGUUAUAAAACCUAUUUCUCUACUCUCUCAUUUGUUAUUUACUUUUUUUUUCCUUGGAAAUAUGUUCCGCCAACGUGAGAAAGAAAAAUAUGCACAAAUUGAUAUAUUUAAUAGAAGCCCAAGAUUUCGGAAGCACAUAAUUUCUACAAAAAUCUACAAAGUGUUCUACUUUACAAACUUCAUAUGUCUACCAAUUUCUACUAAAAUUAAUUUCUCUGUAGUGCUCAGAUUCAUCAUAUGUGUAUCCUUAAUUCUAGUGAAAAUUGGAAGUUUCCAUCAUUUUUAUUUUCUGAGAAUUUUCUGAACCAAGGAAAGGGAAAAUAUCUAGAGGAUGCAUUGUAGGAUUGCUCAUGCCAAUAAUUGUACCCUCUAAAUAUAUAAAGGGACAUUUUUUUUUUUUUUUCAUGACAUGUGGUCCUAAAAUUAUUGUUCCCAGCAGGCUCUCCACCCUUCUCAAAUUUAAGUGGUCCAUUAUGAUUAAUCAUGUAUUUUAUGGACCAUCCAGCUGUGAGGUUUUAUCUCAAAAACCUGCGGUACCUUUCUCCCACAUGCCACAUGCAAAUGAAUUUAAGUGAGAGAGGCAGUGGGAAGUAAUUAAGCUCUAUAUUGGUGGGUGGAGUGUUACUUCUGGGUACCCCUCAUCAUUCGUCUAUAAAAUGGUGAAGCCAGUUGCUACUGUUACCAUAAGAUCCAGCUCCGACUUUCUUUAAUUUCUUGCUUCAUAUCCACUAGCUACAUCUGUUGCCAAGUUAAUUUCAGUCCUAAUGGGGUUUCAUCUCCCACUCAUCUUUGCUCUUCUCAGUGUAAGCUCUGCAAUUUGAUUAACAUUUCCAUUAUCUCUCAUUGUACUCUAUAUAAACGAAAGUUUUGCGUUCCUAUAAUCCUCUCUGAUUUUAUUUACCACAUAAGUGUCGUCCACUAAUUAAUUACACUUUGUGAUUUUAUUUUAAUUAGAGUUCAAAUUAAUGUUGCAGCUAGCAGCGGUGGCACUGGCAAUCCAUGCUGCGCAACCAGCACCUCAACUUUACUGGAACUCCGUCCUGCCAAACACACAGAUGCCAAGAUCUAUCAGUGAACUUCUGCAUCCUGGUUUGUGUUAAGCCAUUUAGAAUCUUAGAUAUUUUUUCUACCUGCCAUUUUACUGAAAUGUGUUCCAACCACAUAUUUAUCGGUUAAGUACUGUUUUCCAAUUUAUUAUUAACCUCGGCAAAAGUUAUUACAUGAGUAAUUAUAGUGUGGUACUAGAGUACGUACGGCUACAUAUUCACAAAUGUGUCACUCACUCUUCAAUCGGCUGACCACUUAUUUUCCAUUAUGGCGUGGAUAUAUAAUUUGCAGACUCCAAAAAUGAAGAAAAGAGCACAAAUGACGUUGGCAAACCUGAAACUUUCCCAUUGGGCAAUAAACGUUACUACAGUCAAAAAAGGUAUGGAAGAGGCAAUAAAAGUUACCGCAGUCAAAAAAGGUAUGGAAGAGGCAAUAAAAGUUACUCCGUUCAAAAAAACUAUGGAAGAGGUGCUUCUCCAUCUGACAAUCAACUACUCCAUUAUAAAGACUUGGCUAUUUUCUUCUUGGAGAAGGACAUGAGCCCUGGCACAACAAUGAAGUUCCAAUUCCCUAGAAAUUCAAACACGGCUACUUUCUUGCCGCGAGAAAGCGCUCAAUCGAUCCCCUUCUCCUCUAACAAACUACCAGAAAUUUUCAACCAUUUUUCAGUGAAGCCAACAUCUGAGGAAGCCAAAACAAUUAAGCAAACAAUCGAAGAGUGUGAAGCUCCAGGCCUUAAGGGAGAGGAAAUAUAUUGCGCCACAUCUUUAGAAUCAAUGGUUGAUUUUAGCACUUCGAAGCUUGGAACAAGAAACGUUGAAGCAAUCUCGACGGAGGUAUUGGAAAAAGGAGGCACCAUGUCCAUCCAAAACUAUACAACAAUGCCGGGACUGAAGAAGUUGGCAGGUGACAAAGUCGUUGUGUGUCAUAAGCAGAACUAUCCCUAUGCUGUGUUUUUCUGCCAUGCAAUAAAACAUACAGCAGCUUAUGCUCUCUCCCUGAAAGGCGAUGAUGGGGAGAAGGUUAAAGCAGUAACCAUCUGCCAUCUAGACACAUCAGAAUGGGACCCAGAGCAUAUGUCCUUCCAAAUCGUCAACGUUAAGCCCGGAACCAUUCCCAUCUGCCAUUUCAUUUCCACUGAUGCUAUUGCCUGGGUUCCGAACCACAAAUCUGCAUGAUCAUCACUUAGCACUGUACGUAUAAUUAUCUCCUUACUUAUUUCUGCCUCUUCAUCAUGUGGUGUAAGAUAUAUGAUGAGAUGAAGUUUUUGGGAUUAGUGGUUGGGUUGCCUGAAAAACACAGAUUACAGAAACUGCUUGAAAUUAACCCGAUCAUGUUUUCUCUUGUAACUAUAUAGACUUCAACUUGUACUCAUAAUAAAGCAUGCUAUAUUUAUGAAGAGAUAUUAAUCUAUAUAUAUUUUUUAUAUAUGCUUUGGCUUUGUGGUUCUACCCAAUGUUUGAGUGUUGAAUUGUUACGUUGGAAUAGGCUGCUAAUGCAUGUAGUUAGAGAAGCCUUCAUUUAUAUCAAAGUCCUCAAACUAUCAAGAACUAAUGUAUCCAGAAACAUAUACCAAGACGCAAAACAACAUAUUUUCCAUGCUCUGUCUGUAACACCAAAGCAAACUUCCUUGAUCACAAAAGGAUCAAAUUCCAGUACUAAUCUAAUCCAUCAUGUAAAGCAUACAAGUGCCUCCCUAAAUACUAUACUCUUUUUGUUAUUUCCUACUAUACUAUUUAAGUUUGCAUACUCAUAUAGCAUAUGCAAACACAAUUAGAAAUUCUACAAGAUACAAACAACCCCCUCAACUUUGACCAGUGUGUCAAUUUAGUUCUUGAAAUUUAGAUUACAAAGCAAAAUCAAAUCAUACCAUGAAACACAAGCGACUUAAACCUCCAGGCAAAUAGAUAUUAUGAACAUAUAUAGCAAUUUAUAGAACAAUACAUUAAUCCAGAAGAAAUAUUAUGAAAUGAAAAGAAUAAAAAGUAGAAAAACACAAGGAAAGGAAUUUGCACCUGCUCACUUGCAGAUUGCUUUCUCCGGCCGUAGAUGUAACAGAAAUUUUCUCUUAAUAAUACCACAAUGAUCGGGUAAUUGUAAGAACAAGUUGAUUUAAAAUUCCUUGACCCAAAAAAAAAAAAAGUUGAUUUAAAAUUCAGGUCAACCCAUAGAUUUCUCCCCUUUUUCUUCUUCAUCUCGUGGGGCUUGUCUUCUUCUUGAGGAUUGUAUAGGCCAAGGAAAUGCUUUGAGUUAGUUUUUACGCUUUUGCGUUUUGGGCCUUGGAAGUUGGGACCCAAACCAACUUCACAAAAAGAAAACGCUCAGACUAUAAUGAAUGGAAAGUUAUAAGGGGUAAGUUAUAAGGGGUUCACUUUAUAGCCAUCAGAUCAAUCCAAGGGCUGGGGAGAAUUGAGAUAAAGUUUUAAAAUCGGGUAGGUGAGGAACCCAAACCCGAAUUGAAUAUCCAGCACGUCCGAAAAAGAAGAAGAAGAGGCAAGCACGUCCGAAAAAGAAGAAGAAGAGGCAAGUUCGAAGUUUGAACAGAAAAAACUCAUCUCUUUAAAACCCAUAGCUCUGAGAAACGGUUGAAGGCAACGGUUAACGACGGUUAAAGGCAACGGUUGAAGCCACUCCGUUCUCCAGACCCUGAAAAAGUAUUUAUUUUGAGUAGAAGGGGCAAAGGUGUGGAUUCCGAAACAGUGAAGGGGCGAAGCAGUGGAAGGGGGAGGAGAGAAGCCGUAUUCGUUGGAAGUGGUAGGUUCCAUUUGUGGAGCAAAGCAACACAAAGACCCCGCACAGACACCUUGCGAUUGUUCAAUAACCAGCAUUUGGUGAGUAAUUUAUGGAAUUUGAGUUUAGGGUUAGAGUAAUGGUUUUCCCCAAUUUGUACCAUCAAUUUUGUUGGAUUUGGCAUCUCUUCUUUGUGCUUCAGUUGCAUGUUAAUUUUUGCUUGGGUAUAUGUUAAAAAAAGAAUGAAAAUCAAGUCAAUAACAAGUGAAUAACAUGUCAAUAAUGAUAUGAAUAAGAUAAUGGUGUUGAAUUGGAGGAGGCCCUCAAAACAUUCCACAUUUGAAGCAGUGCAUAGUGCAGAUUAUCUCUCUGGCGCUAGAAUAUAUAUAUAUUUUGAAAUAAAUAUGAUUUCCUUUGUUACUAAAUUUGCCUGAGAAACAUGAGAACAGAUAAUAAUAAACUCAUGAAUAGAAGUGCAAAGCAUUUGAUGAGUAAUUUAUGGAAUUUGAGUUUAGGGUUAGAGUAACGGUUUUUCCCAAUUUGUACCAUCAAUGUUGUUGGAUUUGGCAUCUCUUCUUUGUGCUUCAAUUGCAUGUUAAUUUUUACUUGGGUAUAUGUUAAAAAACAAAUAAAAAUCAAGUCAAUCACAUGUCAAUAACAUCUCAAUAACAUGUUAGUAAUGAUAUGAAUAAGAUAUAAUGGUGUUGAAUUGGAGGAGGCCCUCAAAACCUUCCACAUUUGAAGCAGUGCAGAGUACCUCUCUGGCACUAGAAUUUAUAUAUUUUUUUAAAUAAAUAUUAUUUCAUUUGUUACUAAAUUUGCCUAUGAGAAAUGAGAACAGAUAAUAAUAAACUCAUGAAUAAAAGUGCAAAGCAUUUGAAAUAAAGGUUGAUCUAUGACAAUUGUGGCUGACAGAAGAAAAAGCUAGAAAGAAAGAAGGAUGUGGCAAUUGCUUAGCAAGCAGAUAGCAGAGUAGAUGCUUUGCUUUGCUUCCUUCCACUAUAUUAUUUAUUUAUUUAUUUUGUGUUGUGUAUGAGAUGACAAUAAUUGUCAUGUGUGUGAAGUGCAGAACUUGCCUAGAUUGCACUCACACUCACUCAUGCAUCAACCAUUGAUUCGAAUUUGGAUCCAUGAAUAAAACACAUGAAAUUGUUUGUAAUUCACAUAAUCAUUGCAUUAACAGGUAUUUGCACAAAAUUUUUCAUAUUGCUUUGAUGAUGUUAAAGCCUGUGAUCAGUAAUCCCUAUGCUUAUGUACUUUGUAAAAUUUGUAAUGUGCCUGGUUGACUAGUUGUGUAAAUACCAAUGUGAUUGUGCAAAUACGUGGUAGUAUAUGUGUUCAUGUUAUUUCAUCUUGUAUUUCAGGAAAUGGGAUCCAAUGUGGAGCUGGUAUGGCCAGAGUCAGAGGCAUAUUCGUCACGGGUGAACAACUGCUCACAUGCAAAUUCAUCUCUAGCUGCAAUUCGAGCGAAGUUGAGUGCGGAACAAUUAGAACAAUUCAAGACAUCAUGCUUUGGCCAUCUUCUGAAUAUAGAUAAGAUUCAGUUUAGCGGGCAGAUUGUGCAUGGGGUUGUGUUGCGUAGAGUAGCGGGGCAGGGUGUGAAAGACUUGGAUGGACUGAGUUUCUUAAUAGGGUGUGACGUUGCUCAGUUCACUCGUCAAGAUUUCUGUUUGAUCACAGGGCUUCGUUUUGGGGAAGUGCCUGAAGUUUCCAGUGGAGAGAGUGAUGAAAUUAGACUUCAGAAAAGAUAUUUUAUAGACGAAUGAAUUACAUGCAAUGCUUUAGAAUAAACAUUUUUGAGGUGCACAGAGGAAGAUGACAUCUACAAGCUAGCUCUUGUUUACUUUGCUGAGUUAGUGGUUUUGGGAAGGGACAAACAUUUGAACAUCAAUCUAAAUUACCUGACCCUUGUAGAGGACUUAGAUGCGUUCAACAGGUAUCCGUGGGGUUCGGUGUCCUUUGACAAAACCAAAGACAGUCUAUUUUCUGCACCAACAAAGUAUGUGAAAAGCUUUGAAAAUGAAGAGGGAAGAGGGAAGGGGAAAAGUAAGGUAACAGGAACAAGCCGGAGAAAUGAAAAGGGCAAGAAGGAUAAGCAUGGUGAAGUGCAAAGGGGUGGUUGGAGUUUUAAAGGUUUCACGUAUGCUUUCCAGGUACAUGGUAAUAAUGUUCAUGUCAGUUAUGUCUUGUUUUUCUUUAAAACUUAAAUAAUGACUUUUGUCCUGUGAAUUGUGUAGAUUUGGGUAUAUGAAUUAAUUGCUAGAAUGGCAGACCUGAAUUACUGCAAGGUUGUUGAUCCGACAGCUGUCCCGCGUAUUUUGCGAUGGAGAACUACUACGUCUGUUCCUGAGAUGAGAAAGUUGAACAAUUAUUUUUUCCAGAGCAAAGAGGUUUGGUUUGCAGCCCUUAGAACUAUUUAUAAGAUUUAAUGAAAUUAUGAAGUAGAAUGAUUGAAUAUGACUCUUGUCUGUAUUCUGAAACAGUCAGUUCAGUUGCGGGCGCUAUGUCCGAGUGAAGAGGAAAUGAGACAACCAUAUUGGAGUUGGCCACAGGAUCGCCCUGCUGUUGUCUCGGCAGAGUCAAUUCCUUCUUCAUGUGCUGACCUUGAUGAGUUGAACAAGGUGGUAAGCUUGUUGAGGUCCGAGUUGUUUCAAGUAAAGUUGGAAAAAGACGUCCUUGAGUUAAAGGUCAUACGGAUGGAAAAACUUUUGGACCACUGUUUAGGUCCUCAAUUUGAGCAGGAAGUAAGGAGGGACCUAGCUUUACUGAAAGAGAGGACGAAUCUUUGUGUCAUCUCACAUCUAUUUAAGGGAAGUGAGGAAAUGGAUGACAUUCAAUGGGAUGAAGGGCCAAGUAACAGAAAUGAGGGAGAGGAAAAGGAAGAUGAAGGGAUUGAAGGGGGUGAAGGGCCAAGUAAUAGAAUUGAGGGAGAGGAAAAGGAAGAGGAGGGGAUUGAAGGGGGUGAAGUGCAAGGAAAACCAAGUGAGGUAGAGGAAGCUCAAAGGAAAAGAAGUGAAGGAGAGCAAGUGAAAAUAAAAAGCAGUAAGGGAGAGAAAACGCAAAGAAAGAGCAGUGAGGGAGAGGAAGUGAAAAGAAAAAGCAGUAAGGGAGAGGAACUGCAAAGGAAAAGCAGUGAGGGAGAUGAUCCGCAAAGAAAAAGAAGGGAGGGCAAGGAAGUGAAAAGACAAAGAAGUGAGGAAAAGGAAGUGUAAAGAAACCAAUGUGAGAAAGAAGAUAAUGAAGUUAUGUUGCUUGGCGAUGACAUUGGCGAGAGCACAGAGGGGACAAAGGUUGAGUUUAGUCUCGGGGACAUUGAUUUGGAUCAACCUACAGCUGUGCUAUCUCAGUUGAAUGUUUGGUUGAAUGAUAAAGGUAAAGCUGUGGAACAAGGGGUCCAAUUACGGAAGAGGAAGAUGAUCAUUCCUAUGUGGAAGAUCAUUGAAGGUAGUGAAUUGGUUUCAAAAACUUUGGCAGAGACAACCGGACUUCAGAUGUUAGACCCAACGAAGGCGAUUCUGUAUGAUGAUCUGGUGAAAUUGCUGAAACUUUGUUGGGAAUGGCGCCAUAACCCAAAGUAAGUCCCUUGUUUUUUGAGAUAAAAGGCAUGAGUGUAUAUAUUUUUUAAUUGUUGUGUUCUAAAACUUUUUUAUAUUCAUAGUUUGGUGAUGCAAUUUGGCAACAUGGAAGCUGAGAUUGAAUUCUUCGCUUCCCUCAUCAAAGCUGAUGGUUGGCUGAAAGGAGAUGUAAGUUUAAUUGAUUAUGCAUUUGUUUUAAUGUACAUAGAUUAUGAGAUUGACAAGAAAAACAUGUUGCAGCACAUUGAUUUGGGGUUGUAUCUCAUCCGGAAGCGACAACAAGAGUUGGAGGAAGUAGAAAUAUCGGACUGGACAAUGACCGAUGUAUUUUUUAUGGUAUGUCAUGGGCCUUGACCAAGUGCUGUUAAUAAUUACAAAUUAUCCAUACUUGUUUUGUGGAGGUGUUUAACCAUUGAUUGUUUUCUAUUUCACAGAAUCACAUUCGUACUUGCUUUGCGGAUAAUAAAAGAAAAAAAGAGCAGGUUUGGUGGAAAAUUAGAAACAGUUUACUGAACGUUGUAAAUGGCAAGGUUCCGGCGUGUGAGAUGGAUUGGCAGAACAUAUAUAAGGUGUAUGCCCCUUGUAUGUUGACGAAGUACAAGCAUUGGGUGGCUGUAAUGAUUGAUCUAGUUUUGUGUGAAAUCCAAGUGUACGAUUCAAAGGUUUCACUUAUUCCAGAUGAGAUCUUAAAGGAAGAACUCGCCCCGCUUUCAAUUACGAUUCCAAAUCUUCUCAACACCAUCGACUUUUAUGAAGAAGGUGUUUACGUAAACAAUUGCAGCCGAGAUUGGUGGUGUCCGUGGCCAAUAGAGCGUGUGGAUGUUCCACAACAGUCUAAUCAGUAAGCACAACUUUUUAUUUAAUUUUAUUACUUUAAAUUGUCAAUUACGUUAGAAUGUCAUUAGUUGAAUUGAUCGAGUUCUUGUUUUGCUUCAGAGGCGAUUGUGGCAUGUUCGUGUUGAAGUACAUUGAGCUUUUGGGCGCUGAGAUUCCGUUAGCUACUUGCACCUCGGAGAACAUGCCCUUUUUUCGGUUGAAAUUGGCUGCAAAGAUAACACGGGGAGAUGCUUACAUGCCAUGAUAUUGGUUGAACUUGGUUUAGGUACAUGAUGAUUAAAUAGGUUUUGGGAAUGUCCAAUUUCAAACUCAUGUAAAUACACAAUAGAGACCUACGGGUCCUUUUCGAAUUCUACCUCUGCUCCUCUAUUCUUCUUCGUCUUUCUCAAUCUUAGUGUAUUUUUGUACAUAAUUUGAGGUUUAAGUUAUUGGACGAUAACAAUUAGAACCAAAAUAGUGGCAAAUAUUAUAGCGGAUGCAUGCUUUCAUUUUGAUUAGUGUGAUACUACGCUACAUUUAUUCUCAUAUUGUGCUAAAUGUAUAUGGAGUUGGAUGCAGAGCAUAGACAGAAAAAUGAAGAAACUGAAAUGGAGAUGCUGAGGCUUGGUGAGGAGAAAAGUAAAUGGAUCUGUAAAUCUAUUGCACGUAGGCAAUCUAAAUGGAUAGGCAGAUGAGUUUUUGAAGUUAGACACUUGUCAUUCCCAUACAUAGAAUGUGCCUAUGGAGUGUAAAGUAUUUUUGGAUUUAAUGAAACAAACUUCUGUGUAAUAUUAGCCUAACUCCUUCACGACAUUUACAUAACCUUAACCAACUGCAUUGAAUUGGGAUUUAAAGACUGCAUAUGUGAAUUGGGAUUUGAAGAUGGCUUUUUAAGUGUAUUACAUCAUUGCAAAGUGAUAUGUCAUCGUUUAUGCAAGCCACCAUUAAUCGCAAUAGGUUGCAUCUUAAUAAGGUAAUUCUGUAAGGGGAAUAAGCGGCUAUGGCCUCGCCUCUAAUGUUUUAUUCAACCAUGCCCUCUUUAUAGAAACACAUGAAAAAAUGUCCCCAGGUGCAAUGCUAUAAAAACUUCCAGUUGGUUCUGUACCGCCCCUCGGGUUUGAAUCCCUCUCUCCUUUAUAAUCGGUUAAUAAAUUCAUUGAUUUUCUUUUUUUUAUUGGUUUUGGGCAGCUCAGUAGCAUAAAAGUAAUGUAUAUUGGUGCGUCUAUAUUGCAUGUCUGUUGCGUCUAUAUUGCUUCUCUAUUGUGUGUAUAUCUUACAUUUAUUGUAUGUGUAUUGAUUGUUUAUUGCUUACGAAGGAAAUAAACAACAAUACACAGGCAACAGACAAACAAUAUAUACACAACAGACAAACAAUAUACACACAAUAGAUACGCAAUAUACAUACAAUAGACAUGCAAUAUACACACAAUAGACAUGCAAUAUACAUCCGUCCCCAAUUACACAAACCAUAAGGAAGUCGUAUUGAAUAGGAAAUUAAACUUAACAGUUGUUCUUCCUACUAAAAGAAAGAAUAAGGUCCGUUUUCCCCCUUAAAUCUUACUUGAGUGGUACUUGUGCCCCCAAUAAACAUCCAAUAUUGGAGCAAUAACAUUCGAUAUACAUGCAGCAAACAAUCAAUAAACCUUUAAUAAACAUUCAAUAUCGGUUCAAUAACAUGCGAAAUACAUGCAGUUAAUAAUCAAUAAACCUUCAAUAAACAUGUAAACAAUCAAUAAACUUUCAAUAAACAUUCAAUAUCGGAGCAAUAACAUGCGAAAUACAUACAGUAAACAAUCAAUAAACCUUCAAUAAACAUUCAAUAUCAUGCGAUUUAUAUGCAGUAAACAAUCAAUAAACUUUAAGUAUACGCAAAUAAACAAUCUAUAUACACUAAAUAAUUAUGCAAUUUUCAAAAAAAAAAAUGUAUUGUCUUGUUAUUGCAUCGUAUUGGCCCUGUAUUGUGAUUUUAUCGUCUUCGUAUGAUUUUAUUUUUUUAAAGUAAGUCUUGGAAAGUUUUUGCUGGGUUUCAAACAAAUAAAUGCUUUUGUUUAAAUUCAAUGCCAAUCCACUUAUUUCAAGAACAAAAAUUACAAAAUGGGUUUGAAAACUCAUUGGUGGUGCGUGCAACAUGUCUUUUUGGGGAGAAAUUUCACAAUCCUUGAAACCGUGCACUUAAUUGAUCAUUAAAAGAACAAAUAAUAUGACAAUUGAUACAACUAAUAAAACUAAUACCAAGUCCUUAAUGGACUUCAGCAUAUUCAGCACUGUAGCAUCAUACGUGUCAUCUUGAUGUUCUGCUUCAGCGGAGGUUACAUCAACCCAUUCGAAUCCAUUGCAACUGGUGGAUCCCUAAUUGCAGGCAUCAUAUAUGCAAAAUAAUUCUGUCAGAGUUAGACAUAGGUUUUUUUUCCCCCACACACAUAUUCUUGAAAUGAAAACUUACAUAGGAGGUUAGACACUUCCAAAAUGGCUUCCCUCGAUUUUUAUCUGAUUUUGAAACCCGAACCACCAUUGUAGCUCCACAAUACUGACACCUUUUUGUUUGAGCAGGAGAUGAAGACGAAGACAUGUUGAAUCUUCUCACUUGUACCUCUUCUCACUCAGAUCUUCUCACUGAAACCUCUUCGGACUCAUACCUUCUCACUCAUAGUUCUCAGUCAUACCCCUUCACUCAUAACCCUAAAUUUCUCACUCAGCUCUCUCUCAUCUCUGCCCAAAUCAAAUUAUAUCCUUCUUUGCUGUGUGUGGGUGGGUUGGUCACGAUCUGGACACCUGUACCGUCAGAAUUGUGACAUCUUUUACCCCGAAAAGCAAUAUAAUAUUUCACUACCAAAUAUUAAUCUGAAAAUUGAGGGGACACUGCUUGAAAUAUAUUAUUUUAUUUAUAUUUCAUUAAGACAACUAGUUGGAUAAGAAUCCAUCAUCAUUGGUUUCAUUUUAAUAACAUUACUAGUGGUAGUUUGGUGUGGGAAAAUGAAAAAGUAUAUGAUGGGACCUUCUGUGACUAGUCAGUAAUCCAUCACAUUUGUAUCAAUGAAUUUGAUGGUGGGAAAAUCCUAAAAAUGGCUAUGCAAAUAGGUUAUUAAUUGAAUUUUUGACUGUCUGACUCUCUAUGCAAUUUUAUGACGUUUUCCCUUCUUUUGUCUCGAGUUUUAGGGUGUCGGGUUCAGUUUCUUUAAAAACGGUCAACUUGGAAAAACCCCAAGUGGAAACACCUUUUAAAAACACUAUAAACAGAGGCUAAAACAAAACCAAAACCCCAUAUAUUCUCAUUUCUGCCCUCUUCCACUCCUCAAAUCGUUCCAUUCCAAAAACAUUUCAAUGAAUUCGAAACAUUUCACUACACUCGGAGGAAAGAGAAGGAAGCAUCUCCAUUUGGAUAUGCCCCAAGCCUUCAUCCCGGAGUUAGCUUGGUUUAAAGUGAUGUUAUACGUGGCAACCCAAUCAUCGGAAGAUCUCUUCCGUAUGGCAUCUGUGUGCCCAUUGUUCCAUACUUUGGCAAACACUCCACAAGUGUGGAACACCAUUUCAGUGGCAAAGUACCCAAACCAUCCUAGCUGGUACCGUGCCAAUCCUGCGGUCCAGCAUUUCUUGCAACAAUGCAGGGCUUGCGAUAACCCUAAGUCGAUAUUUAGAGAAGCAUUCGAAGUGUUUUUUAAGCAGGGUAACGUGGAAGCAUUGUAUGGGAUGCGCAUUACAGCCACGGCAGGCCAUAUAGAAGCGGCAUAUCUAGUUGGACUACUUGACAUGUCCGGAAUUGGUCAGUCAAAAGAGGAUGCAUUAGAAUUCUUGUGUUCUUUGAAUCAAUGUAACAACAUUGAUAUGAAAGGAACCAGGGAUGCUUUGAGACAAAGAUUAAGCCGACCAACAGUUGCAAGACAUAUCCUAGAUAUGUUUGACUAUGGGAAGAUUAAGUUCAAUCACUGCAGCCCUUGUAACAACAAUGAAUGGUGUUUUGUUAUUCAAGGCUGGCCUACUGAAGAAAAGAUAAAUCCUGCCUUCUGGACUUGUUGCAAUCGAUGCAAAUGGCACCGUGAGAGUAUUUUUUGGUUCAAGGUGAUGCGUGUGUAUGUUGUGCGAGGGAAUCCAUACCCUUAUAAUUAGUUGUAGUAUGUUUUUACGGUUUUUAUGCAUUGUGGACUUGCUUCUCUUCAGUUCUAGGUUCGCUGGCUACGUUGUACAAAUGUUGUUUAAAUGUGGGGUUUUAAUCUAUUUUGUCUGGUAUUUGUGCUGUCAUAAACCGUUUUAUAUAUAAAUGUAUAAUAUAUAUUAUAUAGCGGAAUUAUUACUGACAUCAUAGACGGCUACGAAUGACAUUUUACUGACACAGAUAUUUUGCACAACUGCAAUCUUAAUAUUUGGUAAACGAAAAGGCAUGCAUGGAGUAAAUAGGUGUCUUUUCACCAGUGCUUGGGAAUGACAUUUUCCCACUGAGCAUAUCCCAAAUGAUUUGGUUACAAGUUUCUUAAGCAAAACUUGAAUAGUGAAUGACGUUGAAUAAUUUUUUCCUAAUGUUGUAGAAUAGAUGACUUGUAUAUUUCCAUUUUAUUUUUCAAAACAUCCCUUAAACCUAAAAAAUAAAAAAAUUAACAAAUUGAAGAAGAGAGAAACCGAUUAGCACCAGAAAUGGCCUAUUCGCACGGAAAAUAAAAAUUAAAAAAAAAAGUUGGAGUAAAUAUAAUUAACAAAUGGACAGGCUAAAAAGUAAUAUAAUAAUAAUAAAAAUAAUUUAGGAUAAUAAUAAAAUACUAAUGUAACAUAACCAUGAAACAGGGAAUUCAGUAGGAAGAUGAAAUCUCAAUAAGUUCGUAGCAAUUUUCGAAACAUUAUUGGGAUUUUUGUGUAUUUAGUUAUGAAUUUUCCAAGAAAAAGUAAUAAAAUAAUAAUUUAGGGUAAAAUGCAAGGAUGUGGCCAUGUUGACUGACGUACACUUGUGCAAGUGAUGAAAGUUGACGGGCUGAGAUCGUGCCAGGUGUCCUCUUGCAAUUAUUUUGGCUUUUUUAGUGCAAAAAUCUUUGAAAAAAGGUAAUAAAUAGUAGGUCUUGUGACGUUAUAAAACUAGGGGAACCUAUAAAUCAUCCGUCUCGCAAUGAAAAAAUCCAAAUUAUUUUAGAUAACUCACUUUCCUCUUAACCCUAAGUAUUUAUGUUUGUUAACUUUAACUUCAAUAACCUACUUGAACAAUCAUCUCCCGUUAAUGUUCGGAAUUAUUUUUUUAAAAUGUGUAACCAUGUAUCGGGGAAUUCAACAAGGGAGAUUGAGUGUCAAUGAGUUCGUAGCAAUUUUCGGAUCAUUUUUCUAAUUUUUGUGUAUUUAGUUAUGAAUUUUCUAAGAAAAAGUAAUAAAAUAAUAAUUUAGGGUAAAAGGCAAGGAUGUGGCCAUGUUGACUGACGUACACUAGUGCAAGUGGUGAAAGGUGAUGGGCUGAGAUCGCGCCAGGUGUCCUCUUGCAAUUAUUUUGACUUUUUUAGUGCAAAAAUCUUUGAAAAAAGGUAAUAAAUAGUAGGAAAAUCCUAAAAAUGCCCCGAAAAUUACUCGGACCUCCUUGUGAUGUUAUAAAACUAGAGGAACCUAUAAAUCAUCCGUUUCGCAAUGAAAAAAUCCAAAUUAUUUUUACAUAACUCACUUUCCUCUUAACCCUAAGUAUAUAUUUUUGUUCACUUUAACAAUUAUAUUUCCUUAAUAUUCGUUAUAUAAUUUGUAAUAAUACAAGAAUUAGUUUCCUUUCAUAUAUAAGGAUGUAAAAUAAUUUGUUUUGUUAUAAUAAUGUACAUAUAUAAUAAUUGCACAUGCUUUGAAGCCAUCAUUGCAACUACGCCUAGAGCUUUGAACACGUCAGAGGUAUUCAAUAAGUUGUCCAUAUGACGCCGCAUUGGGAAUCAGUAAUAUAUUUUCUAUCAUGUCCAAUCACAUAAAAUAAUGCCAUACUUUUUCUGAAAAACCUCACACAAGUCAAGCAAUUUUAAAAUAUUAGUGAAUAUUUGUCCUAGUCUAUAUGAGUGAUUAUAUAUUCAGUCUGCAUUUUUUCACAGUAUAUGUUAACUUUCAGAGGGAUUCCACAAACAUAUAAUAUAAAGAAAGAAAGAAAUAGUAGGAGAUGAACCAGUACAAAAAACAAUAUAUAAAUGGUACAUAAUAAUUCCAUAACCUUGUCACAAACGCACUCACAAAUGCUUUUCCAUAAACCUUGUCCUAACAUAUAAUAAAUAAAGGCAACAUUGCAUAUGAUGCAACCAUGUCCAAAUCUGAUACGUGAUCACAAAAAAAUGGACAUGGCAGCAACAUAUGACUGAAGUAGAUGAGCUCUUUGCAUCUUGUGUUAUCGUAAUUAAAGACAUCAAAAGAUUAAGGUUGAAAUCUUCCAUAGUAGUAAGCAUCAAAAUAGGUUUGAAGCAGAGUUUAACGAAAAUUCCAAUUCCACUUAUUGGCCUCUGCUCAAACACGAGAACCAAAAUGGUUACUUCCCUUGCUGAGUAUAUUUGUUAACGUCGGAAACAGUAACAGAUGACCAAUCAAACCCGGGUACGACGAGUUUUGCAUAGGAUCGGAAGUAGUCGAAUCCAGCUUGCAUCACACGCUUCUUUGACUCCACUGCAUUAGAUGAGUUCUUGUAUUUUUGAACAGCUACACUCCGAAGUCGUUUGUGUCUACGCUUCAUGCACUGCAAAUUCGCCCUAUCCAGAUUGGCCUGCCUUUUGUCAUCUUCAAUUUGGCCUUCAACAAAUUCCAAACGUGCCCUUGGCCUUUGGAUUUCAUCACCAAGUUGAAGAUGCCUCUCCUUCCAAAAAGCAAGAACUCUUUCAGAUUCAAAACUUCCAACAAAAUGGUCAUUCUGUCUAGGAAUGUGACAUUGCUUGUCUAGUGACUCACUUGCGUUUCGAAGGCAGUCUUUGUUUGGAGGGGUGUUUAUUAUGCUCACAUCAAACUUGGUUAGUAAAUCCAUUUUAUGGGGGGAGUGAGUUUCUAUGGAGGAGAGAGUUUUAGUAGAUGGAGACAGAUUCGGUGAAGGAGUGAGUUUUGUGUGGAGGGAGAAUUUCUAUGAAAGGAGUGAUAGUAAUAGCAAUAAAAGGGUUCCCGCCAAAAAAUAUUUGGUUGACAAUGUAUAAAUUAAUUUUUGGUCUGAUACAAUCUAAGUUUAAUCCUAACUAGUUUGGUUGAGUUCACUAACUAGAUGUCACUUCCAUUGAGUUUCUUUCAACCACUAUCAGUGGUGUAAGGAGAGUGUGAGGUUGACAUGCUUGAAAAGCAAAACCUGACACCUCUUUUUUUAAAAAUUGAAAGAAAGUACAUAUGUUGACUACACACAACCUUUGGUAUGUUGGUCUAUAAACCUAUGUUCCCUUUCUCAAAUGAAAUUGCAUAUGCAAUCCUCAUCCUCCCAAAACAAAUAGGAUUAUUCAAGCAUGUCAACCUCUUCAGGCGCCAACAACACAAUCGAAGAUGACAAAUUGGAGUCGCAGGUUCUAUUUCCACAUUGUACUCACCGACCCCUUCCUUUUUCAACAUCAUUUGGGAGUGAGGGGGACUCCGAUGAUCCAUUAGAGGCAAUACAUGCAGUCAGUAGCAAGCUGGAUUAUAAUUCCAAACUGAUCAAUUCAUGGCACGAGAAAUGUGUUGAAGACGAGGCCAUUUUGGCUGAUCUUAACAUUAGAGUGAACAAAGGGUUCUCCCAAAAGAACAAGUACUUGAAGCUGAGUCAUAAAAGGAAGCUGAAAGCUGAGGAGUUGGAUACAGUAAUAAAUGAUGAAAUUAAAGGUUGUUUGAUGAACCAUAUGCGAUGCAAAGAGCAUCAUAGUGAACUGGAGUUGGCAUUCAACGAAGGAUUUUUAAAAUUUCAAGCAUUUGCGGCAACUACUCAUACAAGUUAUAAUUGGGACUAUGUGUCCCCUGAUGCUGUGAGAGAGAUACUAGACGAUGAUGGUGACAUGAAUGAGCAUAAGCACGUCAAAGCUGCUCGGAAGAAGCCGACCGAUACGACUAAGUGAUUGCGGCUACCGUUGUUCAGUUGGUUGAGGGUGAUCAUGGUAUUGCACAAAUUAGAAGUAUAUUCCCUUAAUGUCAUUAUCUAAUUUAAAAUAACACAAAUAUCAGUUUCAUUUGCUUCAUAUAUAAUUAUUGGGACUAUGUAUUGCAAGUCAUCAUGUGUUCCUUCUGUCUAACAUUAUAUUUUGCAAAUAUCGAAAUAUUAUUCAAUAAGCAGUCAAUAUCACAGCAAGUUGGGAAUCAGUAAACCCCCAUUAUCAUGUACAUUCACAUUAAAGAGCUGGUGUACUUUUUCUCAAAAAACUGACACGUGAGUCAUAAGUAACAUAACAUGUGCUAUACAUUGUUUAGUGAAUGGUUUAUGAUUUAUUUAUAUAUAAUAAAAUUCCAAAUAUUGCUGAAUAUUUAUUUCGUCUAUAUCACUGGGGACAUGAGUGAACAUACGCAUGUGAGACCUGCUAAGAAGAAGCUGACCAAUACGACCGAGGGAUUGUGGCUACCAUUGUUCCGUUGGUUGGGGAGAUCGUGGUAUUGCUAAGAGGGAGCACAUAAUAUGUUUUGCAAUCAAAUUUUCUUUUGUGUGUGGAAUUUUCUUUUAUGUGUGGAAUUAUGAGUAGUUCAAAUGUUAGUGUACCCUUUAAUAUUCUCCAACAGUUCAAAAUGUGAUUAGCUGAAUGUACUUUUUUACACGCUGCUUUCUAAUCACUCUGUUCCAACAAAAGGCUUUAAGUAUCCUUCAGUUACAAAUGUUUACAAAAUCGUGCCCCUAAUAACCAGUCGAGCUUAGAUCUUAAUAACCAGUAAAACACUAGAACAUAACAUUCGGAAAAAGUGAGUACUGUUGGAAAUCAUUACUGGUAAUGGAAACAACAGCUGGCUGCUGGAAAUGCUGCAUUAGCAUGUGAUAUAAUCAAUGAAUCUCUGUUAAAACAUAAUUCACCAUAAACUACCCAUUUUACAUGGUAAAAGUCAUUGCUUCUUCACAUAACUCAAAAUUUGAUACUUUAUCAAAUGUCUAUGAAAAUUUCUAAAUAGGGAGAAGACGUAAAAUUAACAUGUGUCCAAAUUUCAUGCAAGAAUGAAACCAAGCAAAUUUUCAUUUCAAUUACCAGUGGACAUAGUAAGAGCUCAUGGGUGGACAUGAACAAAAUAAUAAUAAUAAUAAAAACUGAAUCUAGAAAACUUCACCUGAUCAUUAGUCUUCAUAACAACCGGAUUUCGUCUAAUAGAAACAUAAAUCAUUCAGUUGGUCCGUGCAUCCUGUCAAAUUCGUCGAAUAAUGGGUCACUACGAUCUAUUGGAGUUGAUUCGUCAUUGUUCGAUGGUGAUGUCCUGCAUAAACAUCAAACAAAAGCACAUAAAAAAUUUACCUAUUCAAAUUUUAGGUGUUAUUAUAAAUAGUGUUAGCAUCUUACGGUGUGUUCAAAUUUCUUGAGCAUUGUCUUCUAUCAUGGCCAAUGUGUCCACACUCCCGACAGUGUCUAAUCCUUCGCUUCAUUGCCUUUUCCUUUGCUCCCGUUACUCGUUUCGACCUUCCUUUGCACCUCACUCUCUUAGGGUCUUUCAUAUAUUGUGUUUGAGAGCUGGACUCUCCAACUUCGUUAUUACUUGGUCCAUCCUUCAACAACUUCAACUUCACCUACAAACUUUUUAGAGUCUCUGACAGUAGCUCACAUCCUUCUUCACUCAUUAAUGCAUCCUCAACCACAUCUGAAGCAAGUCGAGACAUUGUACUCCGCUUUAUUAAAAGACCAGGAUUUGCAGAGUCUUUAAUUUCGUUGCCAUUUGCAUCUGACACCAAUCCAGAUUUCGCAGUUUUCUUCCACCUCUUCAAAAUAUAUUUAUCGGGCAUAUAUUCAAUCUGGUCCCUUCUGAACAAUGCUAAGAUGUGCUUGCAAAUAAUUCCAACAAAUUCAAAUCUUUUGCAGCUACACGAUGCGUGGUCAGAAUCUUUGACAUAUACAACUUCUGCCACUCUUGUUUCCCAAUUUUUCCUUUCGCUCACGUUAAAGACAACUUUAGAAGCAUCCUCUGUUUUGAGCUCUAGGAAACAUGCUGUACUUUGUAUUAGUUCUUGCUCAAACUUUUGAAACAUUGUCCUUGUGUACAAGGUAGCCAUUUGUUUGUUUAUUGGCAUCGGUAGAAUACAUUGAGCCACUUCAAAUGCAUCUAUGUGAUCAGCAACUAACUCUUUUUGACGUUGAUGAGAAAGUGCCCUCUCAAAUCGUAUUAUGAAAUCCAUCAACGAAUUUCUCUUUGAUAUGUAUUGCUUGAAAAAACCAUGAGAACCUUCCGCUAUUUGGCUGCUUGAUAUUCCAGCGGCAAAAAAUUGUCGUGCGUAGGCUGGAACCCAAGAUUCCCUUAAAUCAAACAUUGAACUUAGCCAUGGAUGGUCAGUCAAACCAGCCUUUGUAACCACAAUAUUCCAUUUUGCAUCAAACUCAUCCUUAUUGUCAGUAUCCCAUAUGACUUUCUGAAAUUCACUCCAAUACUCCUUAUAAGCAGAAUGUGGUAACUUAACAGAGAACUUUGAUGUGAUGUGCCAUAUGCAAAGUCGAUGAAAUGUAGUCGGGAAGGCUAUUGAAAUCACUCUGGUCAUUGCCGCAUCUUGAUCUGUAAUGAUCAUUUUAGGUUCGCCACCUGGCAUGGGUUUCUUAAACUCCUCAAACAUCCAAAUAAACGACUCAGUCGUUUCCUUGCUAAAAAAUGCACAUGCUAAGACAAUUGUCUGACCAUGGUUAUUAACUCCCAACAUUGGUGCAAAUGUCAAGUCGUAUCGAUUCGUGUUGAAUGUGGUAUCGAAUACAACAACAUCUCCAUAAAACCCGUACGCCCGUCUAGAAGUUGCAUCUGCCCAAAAAAAUCGACUAAACUUGUCAUGGCCAUCUCCCUCAAUCUUGAAAUAAAAAGCCUCAUUUUUUUCUGUUCAGCCAUAAAAUACUCGGUCACUAGUUCAACAUCGUGGUUCCUCAGCUUCCCAUUCACACUACAUUCAAGAUUGUAGAUAUCUUUUUUGAUAAAUCUGAUUUUAUCCAUUCCUCCGGAUUGCACCUCGAAAAUACUUACCUUCUGAUGAAUGAGAAUAUUAACUGAACCCAACUGUUUUGUGAGUACUUUUGUAGAAUCUGAAAUACGACGGUGUGAUCUUAAUAAAUGCAUUCUUUCUGAGGGUGUCAUCUUAUGAUUGUGUCCCUCUGCAAAAAGAGAGAUGGUAUACUUCUUGCUCCCAUUUGCCUUCACAACUACAAUCUUAGCUUUGCAAUUGCAUCUACUUAUUCCCCGUUGUCUUUUUCUCUCUCAAGUUUCAUCUCUCAUGUAUGCACCUUGUUUGCAACAUACAAAUUCUUUCCUCAAAAUCUCUUUCUUAUUUUUCCCCCAAAAGCUGGAAUGAAGUCGAAUACCAAAGCCAGCCAAGAAUGCAUAUCUAUUAUAGAAAUUGUAAACGAGGUCAAGCGAGUCGAACUUCAUCCCAACUGCUGGUGUUUCCUCAUUUCUUACUUCAGGAAUAUAAACCCUCCCAUUAGCUGUUACACAGUCAUCACUCUCUGAGCCCCCAGACAUUUUAUCUACAUAUAUUAUUGAUCCACUUCUAUAUUACUGCAUAGCAAAUAUUAAUUCAUUAAUCAGUCAUUACUGCAUCACAACAUAUCAAUGCAUUCCACUUACACAAAACAUUGCCCAAAUUGACACAAAACACACAUAGCCUAACUUGUUGGAUUCCGAUUACACAAAACGCAAGCAAAAUUUAAUAAUAGUUACGUCAUCUCUUGUGAAAUAAUCUGGAAAAAAUAACAUUAGAACCAACAUGUUCAACUAAGAACACAAAUGUAAUUCAAACCACCAAUUACAGAACUUCACCCAAUAUCCUCUCCAAAUGCUUACUCCUAAUGUCAUUAAGCCUAAAUUUAGGAUCUUUUACCUACAUUUCAUAAUUUUCCACCCCCACCAAAAACAAUCAACUAAGUAUAUUGAAUAUUCAUAAAGAAAGGACACAUUAUUGACUCCACCAAUGACGCAUUAUUGAUGCCACAAAUGACGAAUUUCCCACCCUCACAAAAAAUAAACCAAAGCCAAUAAAAUCAAUCCAGCAAGUGAACUUACCUCUCAAAAUCAAUCGGGAGCUCCGAAGUCAGUCAGCUUGAGAGAAUGUGGUGGACAUUAGAGAAGACUCUUUGGUAUUUGAGACUCCAUCUCUACCAAAAUUGAGGAACAACUGCUGCUGCGGCAUCUAGCUACAAAAAGAGAUAUGCUACUUUACUUUCAUCUGGAAUCUUGUCUGCUGAAUGAAAAAGAGAAGGGGUUUUCACUUGAGCCAUAAAAUCAAAACAGGGCAACAGCUAGGUAAGAGCCAUUAAUCGCAAUACCGAGGAUACCAUAGAUCGCAGGCCUCCCAAGAAGCUGAUGACAAUGGAGUGACUAUAGGGUUUGGGAGCUUUGGAUCCUUCUAAUUGUGGGUUUUCUUUACAUUCAAAAAGAGAGGAUUAUGUUCUUGAGUUUUUCACAAAGAGGGAAAGAGGGAAAGAUGAGACUGAAGUUGGGUUUCUAACGGGUUAGAUUUCAACCCGAUUCUACAUGCACCCUUUUUAAAAACUCACCGUUGGAUGAAAUCCAACGGCUCUUACAUACCCCUCAAAAACACCCCUUAUAACUUUCCACUCACUAUAGAAGCUCCCAAAAGAAAACAGAUUUGCCAAAAAUCAAAUUUUAAGUCUCUCCUACGAUCGAAAUUUGGAUUUGAUGAACUAAAGUGGUUUUACUUUCUCCAUCAGUGUUUGAUGACUUAAUUUGUUAUUUACUUUUUUUAAAAAAACUUUAUCUUAUAUAUAUUAGUUUUCUUUUUUCCUUCAUAUUCACCACCUUUAUGUUGCUUAAGUAUUUCAGUCUUAACGGGUUUCCAUCUACCACUCAUCUUUGCUCUUCUCAGUGUAAGCCUUUUUUUUAAGCAUAAGAUUAGAGGGGAGGGGGGGGAGGGGGAUUUCUUAAUGUAAGCUUUGCAGUUUCAUAAUUAAUAUUUCCAAUAUCUCACUGUUAGUAAAAUACAAAACAUGAAAAGUAUGAAUAAAAUACGCACAUGUUACUAAUUUAUUGAGAUAAAAUACCAUUUUGCCCCUAGAAUAUUUUAUUAGGUUUAAAGUUGACUUUUUGACCAGGAAGGAAUUUGGGUAUUUCGACUAUAUCGUUGCAUAGAGCACGACGAGGUGAUUCCAUAGACACGUGGUAGGCUCGAAUCGGAGUUGUAAUGAGAGACAUACGAUCAAAAUACCUUCAGUGGCAUAAUCGUAAUUUUGGCUUAAAGGGUUUGAUAAAAUAUGAUUUUUCUUUCUUUCUCUCUCUCUCUCUCCCCGCCCAGUCUCUCUCUCGUGACGGCAGUGAUAGCCGGCCACAUUUUGGCCAGCCGUGCUCUCGUCCGGCCACCAAAGCUGAUGGGGCCGGUACCAAAAUGAUCAGGCCACCAUCCUUUUCCAACCUCAGCCAGGCCCCGCCGCCAGCAGUCGUGGUUUUGCCGGAAAAUGGAGAAGAAGCGGCCGGUUUUGUUCGAACUUCUCCGACUUCGUUCUCCCUCCUCUGGCCACCGAUUCCGAUGAAUGAGGUAUGGUUUCUCACCUACUUUUCAUGCUCUAGCUGCCUGUUGGGUAGGAUUCGAUCAAUCCCUAGUGUAGGUGGCUUGAUUUUCGAAUUGGGUUUCAGCCGAUUUUGGGAUCUCGAUUCCAGCCCCUUUCGAUCAGUUUUUAGGGUAGGUCCCAGAACAAAAGUGGUUCCAAAUAGGGUGUUAUACCUAGGUAGGAACCUUGAGCCGUGAUUUUGAGAAUUUUCUACGAUGCCUAAUCGCUUUGGACACCCACGCGCUACCGGCACGUGGGCACUGUAGAAAAAGGGCAUUGUGUCCCGAUGCGAUCCCCUUGUUGUCUUGAGUGCAUAGGUGUGCUCGGAUUUCAAUUGAAUACCGUUUGAGUCUCGAACGAAUAUCACAUAUUGUGCGUUAUCCGGAGUCGAUAGGUUUGAACCGUUGGAUAGUCUUAGAUUUAUAAUAUGUUAAUCUAGAUAUUCUUAGGAUCAAAAAGGAUUUGACGGAUCGUAAAAUGGAGUCCCGGAUACUCCGAAAAUGCCAACCCUAGGGCUAGGUUCCUAGUAACCGUCCGAUCGUGCAAUCAUGAGCAAUCCGACAGUCCGAUCCGGACCAAACUUGCAGGACGUGUAUCCUAAACCUUGUAGAACCCAUAGGAACUUUCAGAUUAGAAUUUGGAGGUCGUGGGCCCCUUGGGCCCGUUUGACUAAGUUUGGGUAGUUUGACCAUUGGCUGAUCGUGAGUCUUCAAAGGUAGUUUUACCUUCCUAGGAGGAUUAUAAAGACCCUAGUGACAGGUCUUGAGCGUUGUUGAGCUAUGUUGACUAGGUUUAGACUUUUAGAGUGUUUAUUAUUAUCGUAGGAAACUCUUGGAUAUUAUUUUAAUAAUUGAAAUUAUGAAAUUUAUGUUUAUGUGCAUGAUCGUUGGUCUAAAAAUAGCAUUAUUUUCCUGAUAAAAUUACGUUGCAGUAUACUAUAGAAUGGUAUCACUAAAUGGGGAUUACCUCUAUUAUUAGUUUAGAUAAUUAUGAGUAUGUCAGUUUGAAGUGCUAUACGCACUACCCUAAGUACCACCCUGUGAUUGUUAGGUCCCAUGUGGUGUAGGUUAUCCAGUGUAAGGACAGACCCCAUACGUGGCUUCAGAUGUUCUGAAGUAUUGGGGAGAUUAUGUGAUGGUUUUGUCACACGUGGCGUAGGUUAUCCGGCGUGUUGACAGACCAUAUACAUGGAGUUGGAUGUUCCGGCAUAUGGAGAGAUUUUGUGAUUGUUAGGUCCCACGUGGCGUAGGUUAUUCGGCGCGAGGACAAACCCUAUAUGUGGCUUUAGAAGUUCCGGCGUAUGAGGGAGAUUAUGUGAUGGUUAGGUCACACGUGGCGUAGGUUAUCCGGCGUGUUGACAAACCUCAUACGUGGUGUUGGAUGUUCCAGCGUAUGAGGAGAUUUUGUGAUUGUUAGGUCCCACGUGGCGUGGGUUAUCCGGCGUAAGGACAGACCCCAUACGUGGCUUUGGAUGUUCCGGCGUAUGGGGGAGAUCAUGUGAUGGUUAGGUCACACAUGGUGUAGGUUAUCCGGCGUGCUGACAGACCCCAUACGUGGCGUUGGAUGUAACGACCCGGUCCUAAAUAAAUUAGUAAAUAUUAAUUUAUUCAAAGAAAAUACCAUUUUGCCCAUAGAAUAUCUUAUUAGGUUUAAAGUUGAUUUUGUGAUCGGAAAGGAAUUUCAGAAUUUCGACUAUACCGUUGCGUAGAGCACGACGAGAUGAGUCCGUAGACACAUAGUGGGCUCGAAUCGGAGUUGUAACAAGAGAGAUACGAUCAAAAUACCCUCAGUGGCAUAACCGUAAUUUUGGCGAAAAGGGUUGAUAAAAUCAUAUUUCUCUCUCUCGGCCGGAAAUCCCAGUUGACAAAAUCCCGGCCGGAAACCUUGAAUUUCAGCCACAGCUUCGACUGGUUUGAACAGGGUUUUUCCCGGCUUUGCCCCAUCGCCUCCGCCGCCCAAUUCUGGUGAAACAGGUAUGGUUCCUCACCUAUUUUCCGAGAUCUAGCUGCUGUUGUGUAGGAAUUGGACAAUUUUCGUGUUUAGGAACUCGAUUUAGAAUUUUGGUUUUGCCCGAAUUUUCAAAGUGAAAUUUCGGCCACUUCUGCUAGUUUUUGGGGUAUGUCCAAGAACAAAAGUGGUUCCAAAUAGGGUGUUAUACCUAGAGUAGGAACCUUGAGCCAUGAUUUUGAGAAUUUUCGGCGAUGCGUAAUCGCUUUGGAAGCGCGUGGGCACUGUUGAAAAGGGGCAUUGUGUCCCGAUGAGAUUCCCCUGUUGUCUUUAGCGCGUAGGUGUGCUCGGAUUUCAAUUUGGAUACCGUUUGUGUCUUGAACGGAUAUCACAUAGUGUGCGUUAUCCGGGUUCGAUAGGUUUGAACCGUUGGAUAGUUUUGAAUUUGAUAUAUGUUAAUCUAGGCAUUUCUAAGAUCGUGUAGGAAUUCACGGAUCUUGAAUCGGAGCCCUGGAUGUUCCGAUUUAAUAACUUAAAGUUUAUGUUUAUAAUAACCGUCAGAUCGUGCAAUUGUGAGCGAUCCGACCGCCCGAUCCAGACCAAACUUGUUGGACGUAUAUCCUAAACCUUGUGGAACCUAUAGAAAUUUUCGGAUUAGAAUUUGGAGGUCGUGUGCCCCAUGGGCCCGUUUUACCAAGUAUGGGUAGUUUGACCCUUAGUUGACCAUGAGUCUUCCGAGGUAGUUUUACCUUCCUAGGAGGAUUAUAAUGACCCUAGUGACAGGUCUUAACCGUUGUUGAGCUAUGUUGACUAGGUUGAGACUUCUAGAGUGUUUAUUAUUAUUGUAGGAAAUUCUUAGAUAUUAUUUUAAUAAUUGAAAUUAUGAAAUUUAUGUUUAUGUGCAUGAUCGUUGGUCUAAAAAUAAUAUUAUUUUCCUGAUUAAAUUACGUUACAGUCUACUAUAGACUGGUAUCACUGAAGUGGGAAUACCUCUAUUAUUAGUUUAGAUAAUUGAGAGUAUGUCAGUUUGAAAUGCUAUACGCACUACCCUAAGUACCACCCUAUGAUUGUCAGGUCACCCGUAGCGUAGGAUUUUCUGGCGAGAUGACAUACCCCAAUUGUGGCGUUGGAAUUUCCGGCGUAUGGAGAGAUUAUAUGAUUGUCAGGUUACGCGUGGCGUAAGAGUUUUCGGCAUUAUGACAGACCUCAUACGUUGCGUUGGAAUUUCCGGCGUAUAAGGAGAUUAUUUGAUUGUCAAGUCACCCGUGGCGUAGGAUUUUUCGGCGGGAUGACAGACCUCAUACGUGGUGUUGGAAUUUUUGGCGUAUGGGGAGAUGAUAUGAUUGUUACGUCACAUGUGGCGUAAGUUAUUCGACGUGCUGACAGACCCCAUAGGUGGCGUUGAAAUUUCCGGCAUAUGGGGAGAUGAUAUGAUUGUUAGGUCACACGUGGCGUAAGUUAUCCGGCGUGCUGACAGACCCCAUACGUGGCGUUGGAAUUUCCGGCGUAUGAGGAGAUUAUGUGAUUGACAGGGAGAUGAAUAAAGGUAUUGUAUGUGUUUGGAAUGGGGAUUUAGUAGGAAGAACUACGUGUGGCUUGAUCCCUCAGUGAGGGUAUGUAGGUAGCCUAAGGUUAUUAGGUGCAGCCGCGGACAUAGAUGUGAUUGUGUUAGGAGGUUAAAACCUCGUAUGUUGGAAUUGGAAAAGUUAGAUGAUGUAUGUUGUAUUUAGUAUUCAUAAUUCAUAUUUGAGUUUAUUAUUUGCCUUGCUGAAAGCAAUAUGUGACUCAAGAGCUUUGUGGGUAGUUUGGGAUAUUAAAUGUGUUUUAUGCAGGUUGAAAAAUUUGGGGAAUGAUCAAUUUACAGGGGAGACUUUGCCGAAAUUUCGACAGAAAGUCCCGGUCUUUAGUAAGUGGGCCCGGCAUCGGGGUGAUGUCGAGAAUUCCAUAGGAUUCGUAUCGGGUUUCGGGAAAUCUGGGGCUAGUCUUGUCAUUGGAUGUUCCGGCGUAUGGGGAGAUUUUGUGAUUGUUAGGUCCCACGUGACGUAGGUUAUACGACGUGAGGACAGACCCCAUACGUGGCUUUGGAUGUUCCGGUGUUUGGGGAGAUUAUGUGAUUACUAGUGAGAUGAAUAAAGGAUUGUUUAUAUUGGGAAAAAUGUGUUUGUAGAAAGAAUUACGUGUGGCUUGAUCCCUCAGUAAGGGUACGUAGGCAGCCUAGGGUAGUGGUUAGGUGCAGCCGCUGACUAAACGUUAUAAUGUUGUUUUUAGGUUUGAUUAUAUGGUAUUAUGGGCCGAGGCCCCUGGGACUAUUGGUUAUAAUUCAUAGAUGGUAGUUGAUGCAUGCUAGAAAUUUGUAGGAAGUUAUUUCAUGUGGAUUGCAGUGGUACUCGUAAAAUUUAUUUGAGUUCCUGAAUUGCAUUGUUAGUAUAUUAAUUGACUUAAGAGUACUGCUAGUAGUUCUGCCUUGAUUUAUUUGAAGGUUGGAGGCCUUGUCUGUAAACUGUGUGCAAUUACAUUGUGUGUGCUGGCAGUUGGCUUUUUAAAUUGUGAAUUUUGUGCAUGUUGAAAUUUGGGAAAUGUUCAAUUUACAAGGGAGACUCUGUCAAAAUUUCGAUAGAAAGUCUUGUGCCCUUAUUCCUUUUUCGGAAAAAGGAUAUAUAGCUUUAGAAGUGGGCCCGACAUCGGGAUGAUGUCGGGAAUUUCGACAGAAUUCGUCUUAGGUUUCGGAAAAUUCGGGGCGGGUCCGAAAAAGUUGCUUCAGUUUUGGCAAGUAUCGGAAAAGACCAAAAUUUUCCGACUUUAUUAUUACUAGAAACAAAGUCGAAGUAUUCACCAAUCAUGUGGCCUUCCAAGUGCUCAAGGUUAAGCCAGGAACCGUUCCUAUCUGCCGUUUCCUUCCCAACUAUGAUCAUGUUGUCUAGGUUCCAACCCACAAAUCUACAUUGGGCUAUGUAUUUGAAUUUGUACUAAAGCGUGAUCUAUAGUAUGCAUUUAUUAGAUAAGUUUGAGAUGGCAGUGGCUUGGGUGUCCGCCGAGCUUGAACAAGUUUGGGUGUGCUGAGUGUUUCCAUGGGUGCGUUGAUGAUCAUGGUUAUUAGAUUUGUGAUAGUUUGGGCUCAAUUUCAACAGAACUUAUCUCAAGCCUAGUUAGUUGAUUCAUAAGUUUAUCAGGAAAAAAAAAUGAAAAAUGAAAAAUGAAAAAUGAAAAAAUCUUAAGUUAAGCCCAAGGACUUCUCACCAAAGUGUGCAUAAAUUGAAAUAUUUAAUAGAAGCCCAAGAUUUCUGAAGCACAUAAUAUCUACUAAAUUCUACAAAGUGUUAUACUUUACAAACUUCCUAUGUGUACCAAUUUUUACUAAAAUUAAUUUCUCUGCGGUGUUGAGAUUCAUCAUAAUUUUAGUAGAAAUUGGAAGUUUUCAUCAUUUUUGCUUUAAGUCUCUCCUCCACUCACUAAUAAAGAUUACUCAAGUGAGUUUACAAAACAUUUUUUUCUACUCUCUCCUGAAAACUACACUUCUUCUCAAAAGAUUAGAUCACUUCACAUCUUGCAUAUGUGAAAACUAAUGUAAAAAGUUGAAACUUUAUCAUAAAACCUCGACAAAAAUUAGCUCUACUUAAAACGUUAAAUUUGGAUUCGUUGAUUUAAAUGGCAAUUUGACACUUCAUAGAAAUUUUUACAUACAUGUGUUAGUGUUUGAUCACUUCACUUGUUACUUACUAUAUUUAUUCCAUGAUUCUCCCUCAAGUUAGGUAAAUAUUAUUAUCAAACAUUUCAAUUCAUUUGUGAUCUUUCUUGUCCAUCUUUUAAUGUACCCUGAAAUCCAUUAGCCACAUAUGAUGACCAAAAUCCAUACGUUCCUAUUUUUAAUGUAUGUUUACUCCCUAUAAUGUUCCAGUCUAGGGUAAUAACACUGCUAGUUUCAUAUGACAUCCUAUUUCUAAUGUGUAUCUACCCUUGUAAUGUUCCAGUUUAGGGUAAUAACACUGCUAGUUUACUAUCAUGUUGAUUAAUGCUUGUCAUGUUGCUAUUUCUAAUACAUGUCCAACAAAGAAAAGAUGAAGAAAGAACAAACCAGACCAACUCAAAAUAAGUUGAGUCCAAAUAGUUAAUACUAUUAUGUCGUAGAAGUACGUUGUUAAUACUCUGUAAUAGAAGUACAUGGUUAAUACUCUGUCAUAGAAUUACAUUGUUAAACAAAAAUAAGAUCCAUAACUGAAAUAGUAAUAAAAGAUAAGUCGAUCAUCAAAUCUUAAAAUACAUUUCGAAAAUCAACUAAAAUCCGAAGAGAAACACAUAAUUGAAGCAAAAGAUCAAAAAUCUCAAGUCCAAACCAAACAACGACGACGACGACAAUGAUGACGACAAUGACGUGGCGAAGAGGAGUAGAGCUCGAAGAUGAGGAGUAGAGCUAAGAGCAUUUGAUCAAGGUUCGUUUGAGGUCUCGAACAAUCCGAAAAAAAAAAAUCAAUAGAAGCAAGAUUUUAAAACAAGAAUCGAAUGUGAAAUAUUGAAAAUUGUAGAUUAAAGAUGAAGAAUAUAGUUGGACCUGAGACUGAGCUCCAAUGGAAGCUCCUCUUGCUCCAACACCAGAGAAAGCACCAACAAGAAAAGAGAAAAUAAAUAUGAUUUGGAUUUUUGGCAGAUUUGAAUUUUUGGCAGAUCUGGUUUUUUUGGCAAAUUUGAAUUUUUGGCAGAUCUGUGCAGAUUUGUUUUUUUGGCAGAUCUGAUUUUUCUCUCUCAAAUCCAUAUUGCAAGGGCAAUAUAGGUAUUUAACACACACAAAUAAACUAAAAAACAGCUAUUAAAUUGAAAAAUUUGACAGCUAUCAAUUUUGGGUGUGUUUGUAGUUUUUAAAUAGUAUAGGGUUUCUUUAUUAGACUAUGUCUACGAUUGGGUAUAUAAUUAAAUUUCUAUUAUUAAAAAAAAAGGACCCUAGUAAAGCCAUGGGACGAUACUCCUUUUAUAUAUAUUAUAUGAUAUAAAUAUUAUAAUAUAUUAUCUAAUAUUUGGAAUAUUUACUCUAAAAUAAACAAUAUAUUAGGUUCUUUUUGUCUACAAAUUGACCAUUAAACUUCUUAAUCACUCUUAUACUUUUAAUUAAAUCUACUAGGCUAGGUUACGAUAUUUGCACUAAAAACUCCUAAUUGUUUUUUCUUCUCUUUCUCUUGCUCUUUUUUUAACUUAAGCUGAAGUUUUGUAAUUUUUUUUCCCUCCCUUUUUACAUGUAUGAGUAGGGUACUUUAAUAUUGGGAUUUAUGAACUUUUUUUGUAUUUCUUCUCUAUGUUGGAAUAUAAAUUAGAGAUAUUUAGUCAUAUACCCAUUCUUAGCACUAAUAUUAUAAAUAAACCUUACAUCAUUCAAUUCCUAUAAACAAACCCAAAAAAUAAUAGCUGGCCCUAUUGAAUUUAAUUUUGACUAUUAAAUUACUUUGAUGCCCUAUUGAGUGUUUUGGGCUUUUUUUUAUGAGAUUUUGGAGUUGAGUUUGUUUUAAGAAAUCAAUGGCAAUUUUGUAAUUUAAAAAAAAUUAAAAGGCUUUUUGUUAUGUUGUAAAUAGGUUUCGAGUGUGUUUCUAAAGUCCAUUUCAUAUAGGUUUUUUAUAUAUAAUAAUUUGAACUCCUAUAUUGGGUAUAAUAGUGAAUCUCCAUUUAUUAACUUUUGAGUCUUUAAUAGUGUAGAUGAUGAGAUUAAUAUUCAACCAUUUUAUAAUAUGAAAUUAAGGACAAUCAUGAUUGUAAUGAAUGGAUUAUUAAUCAAUAUGAAAUGAUAUUAUGAAGUAGGCUAAAUGGAGUAGUUAGUAUCGUAUUAACUUAUUAACCGGUUAGCGCUUGAGCCCUCUAAUUCAAAUUAUUUUAUAAAAUUUUGUGAAGGGCCCCUUCUAAUGCAAAUUCCUGGCUGCGCCACUGCCUAUAGCAACUUGGUAAUGUGUGUGAAACAUCCCCUCCUUUUGUCGUUUAAACUAUCGGUUCGCUUGUAUUAAUAAAACAAAAAAUAAAAUAAAAGAUAAAAUUAUAAAUAAAACAAAACACAUAUUAAAGCCUAACUGUUAAUAAUGGAUCCAACAUAAGAUCCAGCCCAAGCCCAUGAAUAAAGCCCCCGAAAACGGUUGGUCCCUCAAUUAAAUUAUUCGUUCAAAUGGUCCAUCAACUCUAUAUUAUUCGCUCCAUUGGUCCUACCGUUAUAUUUUGUCAAUAUUUCUGUUAAAUAUGAGGGCAAAUUGGUCAUUAUUUAUCCUAAAAUUAGGUUAAAUCUAACAUAAAAUUAGACGGUAGGAAUUCGGGGCAGGUCAUGUCAAAAAGCUAAUUAGAGGGGCGAAAUUGACAAAUAAAUUUAAUACAAUAGCUAAAUUGGUUGAAAGAUUAAUUCAAGAUGUAGAUUUCAACAAGUGUGAUAAUUCAUGGGGUAUUCGGUAAUUUACUCCUUUUUUUCCCCUUGAUCUUCUAUAUUCAAGUAAUGGAAAUGUGUUCCACAUUUUCCAUUUAGUUGAUUAUAGAAAAGGAAGAGCAAACAUGAGUUAAGCCCAAGGCACCGAACUUAGGGUCAGUUUGGCAUUGUUAUGCUGUGAAAAUAAUCGUUGUCAGAUUUGCUGUGAGAGAAAAUAGUUUGGCGUUUGGUAAAAUUUUUGUUAAAAGUAUUAUUAGUAUUUAUUUUACGCAUAAUCAGAAAAUGAUUGCUGCAUAAUCAUUAAAUCCAGCGCCUUUUCGAAACUGAUUUUUGCAUAAUCAGAAAAUGAAAGCACAUCAUUAGCUGCUUUCCUUUAUAGCUUUCUCUCACAUCAAUUUUUAACAAUAAGUGAUUUUCUCACAGUUUACCAAAUGGAUUGGGCUUCUCAAAAUUUUAAAAAAAUCACUUAUCACCCCAAAUAAGUAAUGCCAAACGGGCACUUAGACUUCUCACCAACGUGAGGAAGAAAAAUAUGACAAAUUGAUAUAUUUAAUACAAGCUCAAACUGUGCACAAAUUAAUAUAUGCAACGGAAGCCCAAGAUUAUUUCUGAAGCACAUAAUUUCCGCAAAAUCUACAAAGUGGUGGGAGGCAGACCAACAAAAAAAAGUAGCGAAGGCUUAUAACUCUGGUAAAACAAGAGUGACUUGGACAGAAUAAUGUUAUGUCGUACUGAAGAUUUUUGGGUUUCUUUAAUUGGUUAAGUUUAUAUACCUUCAUUUGAAGAUUCUUUAUUUGGGUUGCUUUCAAGAUGAAAACCAUAUCCACAACCACAACCACAACUGGCAGACAAUCUUUGGCUGUUCAUCACAAUUGGGCGACAAUGAAGAAGACAGAAAUUGGAGUAAUGUAUGUUACCAGCAAUCCACGAGAAACUGACAUCUGCAAGCUUUCGUAAUAUAAGGAGGAUGGGGAGGCCGUGCAAUACUUAUCACCUUAGCCACCACCUACACCACAAGACCAAUAUGUUGUAGGCCAGGAGGCUUUCCAAUUUUAAUAUAUAUAUAUAUAUAUAUAUAAAAGUAAAGUGACAAAGAAAUUAAUGUAGGGUAAAGGUAGAAUAGAAAAGAGAAUGAACAAAAUUAAUAAAAAAAAGUUUUAAAAAGUAAAAGGGAGUGUAGAUGGAGAAAAGAGGAAUGGGGAAAUUAGCUCCCUAUAUAUAUAUAGAUUGAAAAAUUAAAAUUAAAAUCAAUCUAUUAUCUUAUAUAUUAUAAAAUAAAGAUUAUUGCUCCAAGGAAAUGAGAUCUUUUGUUUUCUGGGAAUUUUCUGAACCAAGAAGAAUCAAGUAAAAUUAAUAAAGCAUAAAUUGGAAAGGGAAAAGAUCCAGAGGAUGCAUUGUAAGAUUGCUGAUGCCAAUAAUUGUACCCUCUAAUUUUAUACAUGGACGGGCAUUCAAAUCGGCAAAUCAGAAAUCCAAGCCAAAUCGCACAGGAAAAAAUCGAGUUGACCAAAUAGUCAACAACCAAUCAAAAACCAUACCGGACCAGUUUGGACCGGUUUUGGAUCCAAUUCUAUGUCUUCAAAAACUGAACCAAGCGGAACCGAACCAGUCAAAUUAAAAAAUAUAUAAUUUCAAUAUAUAUUUAUAUUCAAUGCUAUAUUUUUAGUCUCAUAACUAAUAUUUAUGCAAGUUCAAUUUCAAAACAUCUCUCUUUUCUGGCUUUAAUAUUUAUUUUUAUAUAAAAUUAAAUAAUUUAUUAAUUUUCAAGUCAAAAAAAUAAAAUUUUAGUUGAAAUUUGUAUUAAAAAAUUAUUUGAAAAAAAUUAAUUUUAAUAAUCCAGUUCAAAACCAAAUCGGACCGGAACCUAAUCAAAAUCGGUUCAACCUGAACCGGACAGUUUUUGAAUUUUUUUUGUUAAAACCGAACCAAACCAAACCGGACAAAUAGUAUCGGAUUCGGUUCUAAUUUGAGACAAAAACCAGUCCAAACCGGACCGUGCCCACCCUAUUUUUUUUGUUUUCAAGUCUUAGAUGACAUGUCGACCUAAAAUUAUUGUUCCUAGCGGGCUCUCCACCCCCACUCAACCUAUUGUGUAUUAUUAUUUUCAAUAUUAUCUUAAAUUUAACUACUUAUGUCCAUUAUGAUUAGUCAUGUAUUUUAUGGACCAUCCAGCUGUGAGGCUUUAUCUCAAAAACAUUCAGUACCUUUUUCCCGCUUGCAACAAUUGUAUUUGAUUCAGAAUUAUGUCCUAUAUUGGUGGGUGGAGUGUUACUUCUGGGUACCCCUCAUCAUUCGUCUAUAAAAUGGUGAAGCCAGUUGCUACUGUUACCAUAAGAGCCAUCUCCGACUUUCUUUAAUUUCUUGCUUCAUAUCCACUAGCUACAUCUGUUGCCAAGUUAAUUUCAGUCCUAAUGGGGUUUCAUCUCCCACUCAUCUUUGCUCUUCUCAGUGUAAGCUCUGCAAUUUGAUUAACAUUUCCAUUAUCUCUCAUUGUACUCUAUAUAAACGAAAGUUUUGCAUUCCUAUAAUCCUCUCUGAUUUUAUUUACCACAUAAGUGUCGUCCACUAAUUAAUUACACUUUGUGAUUUGAUUUUAAUUAGAGUUCGAAUUAAUGUUGCAGCUAGCAGCGGUGGCACUGGCAAACCAUGCUGCUCAACCAGCAGCUCAACUUUACUGGAACUCCGUCCUGCCGAACACACAGAUGCCAAGAACUAUCAGUGAACUUCUGCAUCUUGGUUUGUGUUAAUCACUUUAGAAUCUUAGAUAUUUUUUCUACCUGCCAUUUUACUAAAAUUUGUUUGACCACAUAUUUAUCGGUUAACUACUGUUUUCCAAUUUAUUAUUAACCUCUACAUGAGUAAUUAUAGUAUGGUACUAGAGUACGUACGGCAACAUAUUCACAAAUGUCUCACUGAAUCUUCAAUCGGCUGAUCACUUAUUUUCCAUUAUGACGUUGAUAUAUAAUUUGCCGACUCCACAAAUGAAGAAAAGAGCACAAAUAUCAUGAAUGCUGUUGGGAAUGGAAAGCCAACUGACCACAAGGGAAAACCUGAAAUAAACGCAUUGUUUAGCGGAUACACAAUUCAAGUACAGUAUGCAGGAGUUCCUAAUUCUGACAAUCAACUCCAGUAUUAUAAAAACAUAACUAUUUUCUUCUUGGGGAAGGACAUGCGCCUUGGCGCAACAAUGAACUUCCAAUUCCCUAGAAAUUCAAACACGGCUACUUUCCUGCCACGCGAAAGUGCUCAAUCAAUCCCCUUCUCCUCUAACAAACUAUCAGAAAUUUUCAAACAUUUUUCAGUGAAGCCAACAUCUGUGGAAGCCAAAACAAUUAAGAAAACAAUCGAAGAGUGUGAAGCUCCAGGCAUUAAGGGAGGGGAAAGAUAUUGCGCCACAUCUUUAGAAUCAAUGGUUGAUUUUAGCACUUCCAAGCUUAGAACAAGAAACGUUCAAGCAAUCUCGACUGAGGUAUUGGAAAAAGGAACUGCCAUGUCCAUGCACAAGUAUACAACAAUGCCGGGACUGAAGAAGUUGGCAGGUGACAAAGUCGUUGUGUGUCAUAAGGAGAACUAUCCCUAUGCUGUGUUUUUCUGCCAUGCAAUAAAACAAACAGCAGCUUAUGUUCUCUCCCUGAAAGGCGAUGAUGGGGUGAAGGUUAAAGCAGUAACCAUCUGCCAUCUAGACACAUCAGAAUGGAACCCAAAGCAUUUGGCCUUCCAAAUCCUCAAAGUUAAGCCCGGAACCAUUCCCAUCUGCCAUUUCCUUUCCACAGAUGCUAUUGCAUGAACAUCACUUAGCACUGUACGUAUAAUAAGCUUGCACCCCUGUAUAAUUAUCUCCCUACUCUACUUAUUUCUGCCUCUUCUGUUGAGAUUUCAAUCAGAACUUGCACACACAAUGCAUCAGCUCACACAAAACCAGAUGAAUUUAAGAAAACAGAAAAAUGCAGAGAAAGAAUGGAUUGGCUACUCAGUAAUGCUCAAAGGUUCGUUGCUAUGCACAAAACAUGGCAGUGCACAAUACUCUCAUUUCUAACGGAACCAUUCCUUUUUACAAUGCUGAGAAUGUGAUCUCAGCCUUACAAUUGAUCCAGCAAUGUAAGCUGGACACUUGUCUUAAAUCUGAGUCAUAUAAGUUUCAUCCAACCAAAAUAUUACAUCUGUGAAAUAAAACUUAAACCAGCAGGAAUUUAUAAUUCGACAUUCCCUUCUAAAUUGUUGACUGGUUUAACACCAAGUAGACCUCUUAAGUAAUUGAAUCGAUCCUUAGACAAAGCUUUAGUGAAUAUGUCAGCUGCUUGCUCUUCGGACUUGCAGUAUCUUAGAUCCACCACACCUUCUUGCAAAGCAUCUCGAAUGAAAUGGUAUAUGCGGUUAAUGUGUUUGGUCUUUUGAUGGAAAACUGGAUUCCUUGUCAUUGCAAUGGCAGAGGUGUUAUCUACCAUUAAUGGAGUUGCCUCUGUUUGCUAUUCUCCAAAGUCUUCAAGCACAAACUUCAACCAUAUAGCUUGAGUAGUAGCUUCACUUACACUAACAUAUUCAACUUCAGUUGUGGAGAGAGCAACACUGGGUUGCUUGACAGAUGCCCAAGAUGACACGCCACUUCCAAAUGAGAAAGCAUAUCUAGAAGUGCUCUUCAUGUCAUCUUGACUCCCACUCCAGUCACUGUCACAGUAUCCAAUUAAUACAACUUCUUUUCCCUUCUGGUAUUCAAUACCAUAAUCAAUUGUGCCUUUGAUAUACCUCAACACCCUCUUAGUUGUUCCAUAGUGUUUCUUUUAGGACAAUGCAUGAAUCUAGCUAAUAAGCUAGCUGCAAACAUUAUGCCAGGCCUUGUAGCUGUUAAGUACAACAAACUUCCCACAAUCUGCCUAUAUUCAUUCUCAUCUGCUGGAUCACUUCCAUCUGCUUUGCAUAAUUUCUCACUUGCCACCAGAGGAGUGCUAACAGGUUUACAUUGUUUUAAGCCAAACUUGCUUAACAGAGUCAAAGCAUAUUUCUUUUGACUUAUGAAAAUACUCUUUUCAGUUUGAAUCACAGCCAUACCAAGAAAAUGAUACAAAAGACCUAAGUUAGUCAUUUCAUACCUUCUCAUCAUCUUAGACUAAAAAUCUGCAAUCAAUUCUUCACUGCUUCCUGUAUACACUAUAUCAUCAACAUAUAUCGAUACAAUGAGUGUUCUAGAGUUUUCCUUGGUCUUGCAAUACAGAGUUGCUUCACUAGAGCUCCUUGUAUAACCGCAGUCAAUAAGAUACGAGUUUAUUUCCUCAUCCCAUGCUCUUGGCGCCUGUUUUAGACCAUACAGAGCUUUCUUUAGUUUGUACACUUUGUCUUUAGAGUUCUUAAUCACAAAACCAUCUGGCUGGUCCACAUAUACUUCUUCCUUAAGCACACCAUUCAGAAAAGCAGACUUGACAUCCAAUUGAUACAACUUCCACCCCUUUUGAGCUGCCAAUGCAAUAAAAGUUCUAAUGGUGUCUAAUCGGACUCUGCACCCCUCUCGAUUGAAAACCUAUUGUGUAAAUCUUCAAUCCUAAACGAUGCACCUAAAACACAUGUUGCAAUACACAUCCACCCAUUCUCAGGCCAAUUAUUGCUCAUAGUGGGCUCCCGACCCCCUCUCAAAUUUAAGUGGUCCAUUAUUCUUAACCACAUAUUUUAUGGACCAUCCAGCUGUGAGGUUUUGUCUCAAAAACCUUCGGUACAUUUCUCCCACAUGCCACAAUUGUAUAUUCACAAUUACGUCUGAUACAUCACAUCAUGCCACUUGCCUCAAAUGAAUUUAAGUGAGUGAGGCAGUUGGAAGUAAUUAAGCUCUAUAUUGGUGGGUGGAGUGUUACUUCUGGGUACCCCUCAUCAUUUGUCUAUAAAAUGGUGAAGUCAGUUGCUACUGUUACCAUAAGAGCCAGCUCCGACUUUCUUUAAUUUCUUGCUUCAUAUCCACUAGCUACAUCUGUUGCCAAGUUAAUUUCAGUCCUAAUGGGGUUUCAUCCCCCACUCAUCUUUGCUAUUCUCAGUGUAAGCUCUGCAAUUUGAUUAACUUUUCCAUGCUCUCUCAUUGUACUCUAUAUAAACGAAAGUUUUGUGGUCCUAUAAUUCUCUCUCGAUUUUAUUUAGUACGUACUUAAGUGUUGUCCACUAAUUAAUUACACUUUGUGAGAUUUGAUUUUAAUUAGAGUUCGAAUUAAUGUUGCAGCUAGCAGCGGUUGCACAGGCAAACAAUGCUGCUCAACCAGCACCUCAACUUUACUGGAACUCCGUCCUGCCAAACACACAGAUGCCAAGAUCUAUCAGUGAACUUCUGCAUCCUGGUUUGUGUUGAGCUCUUUAGAAUCUUAGAUAUCUCUUCUACCUGCCAUUUUACUUAAAUAUGUUCGACCACAUAUUUAUCAGUUAACUACUGUCAUUACAUGAGUGACACAUAUUCACAAAUCGGCUGAUCACUUAUUUUCCAUUAUGACGUUGAUAUAUAAUUUGCAGACUCCACAAAUGAAGAAAAGAGCACAAAUGACGUUGGCAAACCUGAAACUUUCCCAUUGGGCAAUCAAAAUUACUCCAGUCAAAAAAAUUAUGGAACAGGCAAUAAACGUUACUGCAGUCAAAAAAGGUAUGGAAGAGGCAAGAAACGUUACUGCGAUCAAAAAAAGUAUGGAAGAGGUGCUUCUCCAUCUGACAAUCAACUACUCCAUUAUAAAGACUUAGCUAUUUUCUUCUUGGAGAAGGACAUGCGCCCUGGCACAACAAUGAAGUUCCAAUUCUCUAGAAAUUCAAACACGGCUACUUUCUUGCCACGAGAAAGCGCUCAAUCGAUCCCCUUCUCCUCUAACAAACUACCAGAAAUUUUCAACCAUUUUUCAGUGAAGCCAACAUCUGAGGAAGCCAAAACAAUUAAGCAAACAAUCGAAGAGUGUGAAGCUCCCGGCCUUAAGGGAGAGGAAAUAUAUUGCGCCACAUCUUUAGAAUCAAUGGUUGAUUUUAGCACUUCGAAGCUUGGAACAAGAAACGUUGAAGCAAUCUCGACGGAGGUAUUGGAAAAAGGAGCCACCAUGUCCAUGCACAACUAUACAACAAUGCCGGGACUGAAGAAGUUGGCCAGUGACAAAGUCGUUGUGUGUCAUAAGCAGAACUAUCCCUAUGCUGUGUUUUUCUGCCAUGCAAUAAAACAUACAGCAGCUUAUGUUCUCUUCCUGAAAGGCGAUGAUGGGGAGAAGGUUAAAGCAGUAACCAUCUGUCAUCUAGACACAUCAGAAUGGAACCCAGAGCAUAUGUCCUUCCAAAUCGUCAACGUUAAGCCCGGAACCAUUCCCAUCUGCCAUUUCAUUUCCACUGAUGCUAUUGCCUGGGUUCCGAACCACAAAUCUGCAUGAUCAUCACUUAGCACUGUACGUAUAAUUAUCUCCUUACUUAUUUCUGCCUCUUCAUCAUGUGGUGUAAGAUAUAUGAUGAGAUGAAGUUUUUGGGAUUAGUGGUUGGGUUGCCUGAAAAACACAGAUUACAGAAACUGCUUGAAAUUAACCCGAUCAUGUUUUCUCUUGUAACUAUAUAGACUUCAACUUGUACUCAUAAUAAAGCAUGCUAUAUUUAUGAAGAGAUAUUAAUCUAUAUAUAUUUUUUAUAUAUGCUUUGGCUUUGUGGUUCUACCCAAUGUUUGAGUGUUGAAUUGUUACGUUGGAAUAGGCUGCUAAUGCAUGUAGUUAGAGAAGCCUUCAUUUAUAUCAAAGUCCUCAAACUAUCAAGAACUAAUGUAUCCAGAAACAUAUACCAAGACGCAAAACAACAUAUUUUCCAUGCUCUGUCUGUAACACCAAAGCAAACUUCCUUGAUCACAAAAGGAUCAAAUUCCAGUACUAAUCUAAUCCAUCAUGUAAAGCAUACAAGUGCCUCCCUAAAUACUAUACUCUUUUUGUUAUUUCCUACUAUACUAUUUAAGAUUUAAAAUUCAGGUCAACCCAUAGAUUUCUCGCCUUUUUCUUCUUCAUCUCGUCGGGCUUGUCUUCUUCUUGAGGAUUGUAUAGGCCAAGGAAAUGCUUUGAGUUAGUUUUUGCGCUUUUGCGUUUUGGGCCUUGGAAGUUGGGACCCAAACCAACUUCACAAAAAGAAAACGCUCAGACUAUAAUGAGUGGAAAGUUAUAAGGGGUAAGUUAUAAGGAGUUCACUUUAUAGCCAUCAGAUCAAUCUAAGGGCUGGGGAGAAUUGAGAUAAAGUUUUAAAAUCGGGUAGGUGAGGAACCCAAACCCGAAUUGAAUAUCCAGCACGUCCGAAAAAGAAGAAGAAGAGGCAAGCACGUCCGAAAAAGAAGAAGAAGAGGCAAGGUCGAAGUUUGAACAGAAAAAACUCAUCUCUUUAAAACCCAUAGCUCUGAGAAACGGUUGAAGGCAACGGUUAACGACGGUUGUUGAAGCCACUCCGUUCUCCAGACCCUGAAAAAGUAUUUAUUUUGAGUAGAAGGGGCAAAUGUGUGGAUUCCGAAACAGUGAAGGGGCGAAGCAGUGGAAGGGGAAGGAGAGAAGCCGUAUUCGUUGGAAGUGGUAGGUUCCAUUUGUGGAGCAAAGCAACACAAAGACCCCGCACAGACACCUUGCGAUUGUUCAAUAACCAGCAUUUGGUGAGUAAUUUAUGGAAUUUGAGUUUAGGGUUAGAGUAAUGGUUUUCCCCAAUUUGUACCAUCAAUUUUGUUGGAUUUGGCAUCUCUUCUUUGUGCUUCAGUUGCAUGUUAAUUUUUGCUUGGGUAUAUGUUAAAAAAAGAAUGAAAAUCAAGUCAAUAACAAGUGAAUAACAUGUCAAUAAUGAUAUGAAUAAGAUAAUGGUGUUGAAUUGGAGGAGGCCCUCAAAACAUUCCACAUUUGAAGCAGUGCAUAGUGCAGAUUAUCUCUCUGGCGCUAGAAUAUAUAUAUAUUUUGAAAUAAAUAUGAUUUCCUUUGUUACUAAAUUUGCCUGAGAAACAUGAGAACAGAUAAUAAUAAACUCAUGAAUAGAAGUGCAAAGCAUUUGAUGAGUAAUUUAUGGAAUUUGAGUUUAGGCCCAGGAAAUUCCUUGACCCCAAAAAAAAAAAAAAAGUUGAUUUAAAAUUCAGGUCAACCCAUAGAUUUCUCGCCUUUUUCUUCUUCAUCUCGUCGGGCUUGUCUUCUUCUUGAGGAUUGUAUAGGCCCAGGAAAUGCUUUGAGUUAAUUUUUGCAUUUUUGCGUUUUGGGCCUUGGAAGUUGGGACCCAACCCAACUUCACAAAAAGAAAACAGAUUUGCCAAAAAUCAAAUUUCAAGUCUCUCCUCCGAUCGAAAUUUGGAUUUGAUGAACUAAAGUGGUUUUACUUUCUCCAUCAGUGUUUGAUAACUUAAUUUGUUAUUUACUUUUUUUUUAAAAAACUUUGGCUUAUAUAUAUUAGUUUUCUUUUUUCCUUCAUAUUCACCACCUUUAUGUUGCAUAAGUAUUUCAGUCUUAAUGGGUUUCCAUCUACCACUCAUCUUUGCUCUUCUCAGUGUAAGCCUUUUUUUUUUUUUAAAGCACAAGAUUAGAGGGGAGGGGGAUUUCUCAAUGUAAGCUUUGCAGUUUCAUAAUUAAUAUUUCCAAUAUCUCACUGUUAGUAAAAUACAGAAAAAGUACUAAUAACAUAUGCACAUGUUACUAAUUUAUUGAGAUAAAACACCAUUUUGCCCCUAGAAUAUUUUAUUAGGUUUAAAGUUGACUUUUUGACCAGGAAGGAAUUUGGGUAUUUAGACUAUAUCGUUGCGUAGAGCAUGGCGAGAUGAGUCCGUAGACACAUGAUUGGCUCGAAUCAGAGUUAUAAUGAGAGAGAUACGAUCAAAAUACCCUCAGUGGUAUAACCGUAAUUUUGGCUUAAAGGGUUUGAUAAAAUAUAAUUUUUCUUUCUUUCUUUCUCUCUCUCUCUCUCUCUCUCUCUCUCUCCUCUCUCUCACGACGGCAGUGAUAGCCGGCCACUUUUUGGCCAGCCAUGCUCUCGUCCGGCCACUAAAGUUGACGGGGCCGGUACCAAAAUGACCGGGCCACCAUCCUUUUCCAACCCCAGCCAGGCCCCACUGCCAGCAGUCGUGAUUUUGCUGAAAAAUGGAGAAGAAGCGGCCGAUUUCGUUCGAACUUCUCCGACUUCGUUCUCUCUCCUCCGGCCACCGAUUUCGAUGAAUGAGGUAUGGUUUCUCACCUACUUUUUAUGCUCUAGCUGCCUGUUGGGUAGGAUUCGAUCAAUUCCUUGCGUAGGUAGCUUGAUUUUCGAAUUGGAUUUCGGCCGGUUUUGGGAUCUCGAUUCCGGCCACUUCCGGUCAGUUUUUGGGGUACAUCCCAAAACAAAAGUGGUUCUAAAUAGGGUGUUAUACCUAGGGUAGGAACCUUGAACCGUAAUUUUGAGAAUUUUCGGUGAUGCCUAAUCGCUUUGGACACCUACGCUAUGCCUGCGUGUGGGCACUAUAGAAAAAGGGCAUUGUGUCCCGAUGCAAUCCCCUUGUUGUCUUGAGCGCGUAGGUGUGCUCGGAUUUCAAUUUGGAUACCGUUUGAAUCUCGAACGAAUAUCGCAUAUUGUGCGUUAUUCGGGGUCGAUAGGUUUGAACUGUUGGAUAGUCUUAGAUUUAUAAUAUGUUAAUCUAGACAUUCUUAGGAUCGAAUGGGAUUAAACGGAUCGUAAAACGGAGUCCCGGAUACUCCAAAAAUGCCAACCCUAGGGCUAGGUUCCUAGUAACCGUCCGAUCGUGCGAUCGUGAGCGAUCCGACCGUUUGAUCCGAACCAAACUUGCAGGACGUGUAUCCUAAACCUUGUAGAACCCAUAGGAACUUUCGGAUUAGAAUUUGGAGGUCGUGGGCCCCUUGGGCCGUUUGACUAAGUUUGGGUAGUUUGACCCUUGGCUGAUCGUGAGUCUUCAGAGGUCUUGAGCGUUGUUGAGCUAUGUUGACUAGGUUUAGACUUUUAGAGUGUUUAUUAUUAUCAUAGGAAACUAUUAGAUAUUAUUUUAAUAAUUGAAAUUAUCAAAUUUAUGUUUAUGUGCAUGAUUGUUGGUCUAAAAAUAACAUUGUUUUCUUGAUAAAAUUACGUUGCAGUCUACUAUAGACUGGUAUCACUAAAUGGAGAUUACCUCUAUUAUUAGUUUAGAUAAUUAAGAGUAUGUCAGUUUGAAGUGCUAUAUGCACUACCCUAAGUACCACCCUGUGAUUGUUAGGUCCCAUGUGGUGUAGAUUAUACAGCGUCAGGACAGACCCCAUACGUGGCUUUGGAUGUUCUGGCGCAUGGGGGAGAUUAUGUAAUGGUUAGGUCAUACGUGGCGUAGGUUAUUCAGCGUGUUGACAGACCCUAUACGUGGCGUUGGAUGUUCCAGUAUGGAAAGAUUUUGUGAUUGUUAGGUCCCACGUGGCGUAGAUUAUCCGGCGUGAGGACAAACCCCAUUCGUGGCUUUGGAUGUUCCUGCGUAUGGGGGAGAUUAUGUGAUGGUUAGGUCACACGUGGCGUAGGUUAUUCGGCGUGUUGGCUAACCCCAUAAGUGCCGUUGGAUGUAACGACCGGUCCUAAAUAAAUUAGUGAAUAUUAAUUUAUUCAGAGAAAAUACCAUUUUGCCCAUAGAGUAUUUUAUUAGGUUCAAAGUUGACUUUUUGAUCAGAAAGGAAUUUGAGAAUUUCGAUUAUACCGUUGCAUAGAGCACGGCGAGAUGAGUCCGUAGACACGUGGUAUGCUCGAAUCGAAGUUGUAACGAGAGAGAUACGAUCAAAAUACCCUCAGUGGCAUAACCGUAAUUUUGGCAAAAAGGGUCGAUAAAAUCAUAUAUAUAUAUUUUCUCUCUCUCUCUCUCUCUCUCUCUCUCUCUCUCUGCGAUAUUGUCCCUCUCUCUCUUUGAUUCACUGCCAUCUGCCCACGGCAGGACUUGAGACUGGUCACGUUUGAACCGGCUCGAUGUCCCGAUCACGUCGCACCCAAAAUGCAAAUGGAAACCUUGAAUUCCAGCCACGGCUUCGACUGGUUUGAACUGGGUUUUUCCCGGCGUUGCGCCACCGCCUCCGCCGCCCAAUUCCGGUGAAACAGGUAUAAUUCCUCACCUAUUUUUCGAGAUCCAGCUGUUGUUGUGUAGGAAUUAGACGAUUUUCAUGUUUAGGAACUCGAUUUAGAAUUUAGGUUUUGGUCGAAUUUUCAAAGUGAAAUUUCGGCCACUUCCGCUGGUUUUUCGGGGUAUGUCUAAGAACAAAAGUGGUUCCAAAUAGGGUGUUAUACCUAGGGUAGGAACCUUGAGCUGUGAUUUUGAGAAUUUCCGGCGAUGCGUAUUCGCUUUGGACACCCACGCGCCGACAGCGCGUGGGCACUGUAGAAAAGGGGCAUUGUGUCUCAAUGCGAUCUGCUUGUUGUCUUGAGCUCGUAGGUAUGCUCGAAUUUCAAUUUGGAUACUGUUUGAGUCUCGAACGGAUAUCGCAUAGUGUACGUUAUCCGGGUUUGAUAGGUUUGAACCAUUGGAUAGUUUUGAAUUUGAUAUAUGUUAAUCUAGGCAUUUCUAGGAUCAUGUAGGAAUUCAGGGAUCAUGAAUCAGAGCCCCGGAUGUUCCGAUUUAAUAACUUAAAGUUUAUGUUUAUAAUAACUAUCAGAUCGUGCGAUCGUGAGCGAUCCGACUGUCUGAUCUGGACCAAACUUGCAGCACGUAUAUCCUAAACCUUGUGGAACAUAAAAAAAUUUCGGAUUAGAAUUUGGAGGUCGUGGGCCCCGUGGGCCCAUUUAACCAAUUAUGGGUAGUUUGAUCCUUGGUUGACCGUGAGUCUUCCGAGAUAGUUUUACCUUCCUAGGAGGAUUAUAAUGACCCUAGUGAUAGGUCUUGACCGUUGUUCAGCUAUGUUGACUAGGUUGAGACUUCUAGAGUGUUUAUUAUAUUAUUGUAGGAAACUCUUAGAUAUUAUUUUAAUAAUUGAAAUUAUGAAAUUUAUGUUUAUGUGCAUGAUCGUUGGUCUAAAAAUAAUAUUAUUUUCCUGAUAAAAUUACGUUGCAGUCUACUAUAGACUAGUAUCACUAAAGUGGGAAUACCUCUAUUAUUAGUUGAGAUAAUUGGGAGUAUGUCAGUUUGAAAUGUUAUACCCUAAGUACUACUCUAUGAUUGUCAGGUCACCCGUGGCGUAGGAUUUUCCGGUGAGAUGACAGACCCCAUACGUGGCGUUGGAAUUUCCAACGUAUGGAGAGAUUAUAUGAUUGUUAGGUUUCACGUGGCGUAGGAUUUUUCAGCGGGAUGACAAACCCCAUACGUGGCAUUGGAAGUUUCAGCGUAUGGGGAGAUGAUAUGAUUGUUAAGUCACACGUGGCGUAGGUUAUUUGGAGUGCUGACAGACCCCAUACGUGGCGUUGAAAUUUCUGGCGUAUGGAGAGAUGAUAUGAUUGUUAGGUCACUUUGGAUGUUCUAGCGUAUUGGGAGAUUAUGUGAUUACCAGUGAGAUGAAUAAAGGAUUGUUAUGUUAUAUUGGGAAAAACAUGUUUGUAGAAAGAAUUACGUGUGGCUUGAUCCCUCAGUAAGGGUACGUAGGCAGCCUAGGGUAGUGCCUUGGUGCAGUCGCUGACUAAACAUUAUAAUGUUGUUUUUAGGUUUGAUUAUAUGGUAUUAUGGGGCAAGGCCCCUAGGACUAUUGGUGAUAAUUCAUAGAUGGUAGUGGAUGCAUGCUAGAAAUUUGUAGGAAGUUAUUUCAUGUGGAUUGCAGUGGUACUCGUAAAAUUUAUUUGAGUUCCUUAAUUGCAUUGUUAAUAUAUUAAUUUACUUAAGAGUACUGCUAGUAGUUCUGCCUUGAUUUAUUUGAAGGCUGGAGGCCUUGUCUGGAAACUGUGUGCAAUUAGAUUGUGUGUGCUGGCAGUUGACUUUUUAAAUUGUGAAUUUUGUGCAGGUUGAAAUUUGGGAAAUGUUCAAUUUACAGGGGAGACUCUGCUGAAAUUUCGGUAGAAAGUCUUGUGCCCUUAUUCCUUUUUGGGGAAAAGGAUAUAGUUUUAGAAGUGGCGAUGUCGGGAAUUUCCACAGGAUUCGUCUCGGGUUUCGGGAAAUUCGGGGCGGGUCUGAAAAAGUUGUUUCAGUUUUGGCAAGUAUCGGAAAAGACCAAAAUUUUCCGACUUUAUUAUUACUAGAAACAAGGUCGAAGUAUUUACCAAUCAUGUGGCCUUCCAAGUGCUCUAGGUUAAGCCAGGAACCGUUCCUAUCUGCCGUUUCCUUCCCAACUAUGAUCAUGUUGUCUGGGUUCCAACCCACAAAUCUACAUUGGGCUACGUAUUUGAAUUUGUACUAAAGCGUGAUCUAUAGUAUGCAUAUAUUGGAUAAGUUUGAGAUCAGUGGCUUGGGUGUCCGCUGAGCUUGAACAAGUUUGGGUGUGCUGAGUGUUUCCAUGGGUGUGUUGAUGAUCAUGGUUAUUAGAUUUGUGAUAGUUUGGGCUCAAUUUCAACAGAACUCAUCUCAAGCCUAGAUAGUUGAUUCUUAAGUUUAUCAGGAAAAAAAAUUAAAAAUUAAAAAAUCUAAAGUUAAGCCCAAGGCGCCGAACUUGGACUUCUCACCAAACUGUGCAUAAAUUGAAAUAUUUAAUAGAAGCCCAAGAUUUUUGAAGCACAUAAUAUCUACAAAAAUCUACAAAGUGUAAUACUUUACAAACUUCUUAUGUGUACCAAUUUCUGCUCAAAUUAAUUUCUCUGUGGUGCUGAGAUUCAUCAUAAUUUUAGUAGAAAUUGGAAGUUUUCAUCAUUUUUGCUUUAAGUCUCUCCUCCACUCACUAAUAAAGAUUACUCAAGUGAGUUUACAAAACAUUUUUUUUCUACUCUCUCCUGAAGACUACACAUCUUCUCAAAAGAUUAGAUCACUUCACAUCUUGUAUAUGUGAAAACUAAUGCAAAAAGUUGAAACUUUAUCAUAAAACCUCGACAAAAAUUAGCUCUACUUAGAACAUUAAAUUUGGAUUCGUUGAUUUAAAUGGCAAUUUGACACUUCAUAGAAAUUUUUACAUACAUGUGUUAGUGUUUGAUCACUUCACUUAUUACUUACUAUAUUUAUUCCAUGAUUCUCCCUCAAGUUAUGUAAAUAUUAUUAUCAAACAUUUCAAUUCAUUUGUGAUAUUUCUUGUCCAUCUUUCAAUGUACCCUGAAAUCCAUUAGCCACAUAUGAUGACCAAAAUCCACACUCUGUUGUUUGCAAACGUUCAAUAUACGACUUGCAUCCACAGUCCUGACCCAAAUGAAAUGCGGAAACUGUCAAGCUAACUGUAGGGAGGACUAUAUUUGAUUUUACCUUAAAGACUGAUCCGAAACCACCUUCUCCAAGUUUAUUGUUGUUUGAAUAGUUUUUGGUUGCACAAACAACAGCGGCCAAGUCAAAUAAUGGCAAUUCCAGAUCUUCCUUUUGGCCGGGCUUCAGUUCUCCUGUGAAGUACGUAGUGAAGUAAAUAAUGUAGCAUGGAACCUUAGCUUAGAAACCAGAGAGGCAACAGCAAAAAUUUUCUAUAGAACUGAACCUACCUAUCUUAGAAAAUGAAGGGGCAGAAGAGUAGAAAAUCAAAUAGCUUACCAUAUUUUUGUUGCUGGUUCUUCCUCACAUAUAAUAGCAGGGUAAGGCCCAGGGUCAGCAGUCCAGUAGACAACACAGUACUGGUUACUAUGAUCUUUGUAUUGUGUCCUUGAUCUAGGAAUGAAGUAUUUGAAAGCAGAAGAUUGAGGAGUCAGAAAUUCAUAAAGAAAAAAUCUCUACUUUUUAUCAUCCAACGAACAAUUAAUGCUAGUUUCUGAGACAGUUCUAAAGAAAUAUUUUUCUAACAAUGUCAAAAGUUUUCUGGCUCUAUCUUGUUUCUAAUCAUGUCACUGUUGGAAGAUUUCUUUCUUCUUUUUUCCUUGGUGGCUUUUAUUUUUCUUUCAAACUUUGUUUUAAACAGCAAGAUGAUUCCAUACCUAGUUCUGACGAAGCCAUUCUUAUGUAAAUAUCUUGCCCAUUUAUAUUGGAAUAUCUUAUAUCAACCAGAUCGCUGAACCACAGCAAGGACCCCCUUCCUCCAUCUCGGAUAUCCAAAUUUGAAAAAGCGGCGCAGGAGCAGUUGUUCAUGCACAUCAUCUCACAUUCCUUGAGGUUCAUAAUUGUGUUAUACUAGGAUUGUUCUGUACUUUAUUUCACCCCAGUGUACUUCUUAAAGAUGUCUCCACUGCAAUUCAGUUGGCUCUUUCUCACAGAUCUAUAUGACCAAUCCACCAAGUCCCAGUCUUGUUGAAAGUCGGUAUAAAUCCUUUCAAGCAGCUACGUACUGGGGACUUGUCAAUACAACAUGCACCAUUCGGACCACAUAUUCCAUAUUUGUCGCAGAUAUCAGUCGUUGCUCUUAGAUAAACAACCCAACCUUGGUUUCCAUCACUCCCGAUGUAGCUCAGCCCAAAUCCAUCUUGAGUUAACGCCAGCCUGAAAAGAGUUGAGCUGUUGAGAAGCUUAUAACCAUAAUAUACUUCAUCAUCAUUAUCCAACACAAAAUCAUAUGUUGGAUUUAAAUUAUGCAUCCCACUAAAUUGGAUUCCAUUCCAUGGUGCAGUCCGAUAUUUUAUAACAGAACCCUCCCUCAGAAUUAAUUCAUGGUACCCAUAAGGACCAAGUUGAUAUGGGUAAUGUCCUUGAGAAGGAUCCUGGGGGCUUUUCCAGGGUGUAAGAUGCCAAUUAAAACCUGUGAUUUUGUUCCUAACAAGCUUCAUACCUGGUAUUAAUGUAUCUCCUGGGUAAUCAAAACUCUGCCAUAAAAUAUUAUCAGAGUCAUUACGACCAUUGCCAUCUAUCACAACAAGAUUUCCGGAAUCCAAAAUCUGUGCCACUGGAUUCUAUGAAGAACUUGAUGUGUUGGAAGACCUGUAGUGUUCUUUGUUGAAUAUUUGGAUUGCAAAGGGAGCAAGAAAUGUACUGAGAGAGAAAGAGAGAGAGAGAGAGAGAGAGAGAGAGAGAGAGAGAGCAGUGAGCCUUAGAUUGUUCUAACAGUUUUCUUACUCUGCAUGAACAUAGCAGCAGAGCUUAUAUUCCUUCAUGACUGUUACAUGUUCUCUCUUACAUCAGUAGAUUCAAAUCUAACGGUUUGUAAUAGUAAGCCAAUGUGAGUAUGACACAUGGCAAUACACAGCUGUCCUAACAGCUGGGAAUUCAAAACAGACUCUAGCAUUGCACCUGGCAUAUAAGCACAAGGCACUCAGCUAACACAAAGAUUAAAAACAGAUUGAAUAUAAACUGACAUAGAACUUACUAACUAAUCUGAAAUUAGCUAGACAGUUUACAUUUUAACACUCCCUUCUAAAGUGCUAGCUGAUUUCACUCCAAGCAUUCUCCUCAAAUAGUCAAACCUGUCUUUGGGAAGAGCUUUGGUGAAGAUAUCAGCAAUCUGCUCUUCUCCUUUGCAGUAGAGCAGUUCAAUCACUUCUUCUUGUAUUGCAUCUCUAAUAAAAUGAAACUUCCUUUUAAUAUGCUUGCUCCGUUGAUGAAAAACAGGAUUUUUAGCCAUUGCUAUGGCUGAAGUGUUGUCACAAAACACAGUUGUUGCAGUGGUCUGUUCUUCCCCAAAAUCUUCAAGAACAAACCUGAGCCAAAUGGCUUGUGAUGUAGCUUCUGCUGCACUCACAUACUCUGCCUCUGCAGUAGAGAGAGCCACACUGUGUUGUUUGACUGAUGCCCAUGAAAAAGCACCACUUCCAAAUGAAAAUGCAUAUCCAGAAGUGCUUUUCAUAUCUUCCUCAGAUCCACUCCAGUCACUGUCACAGUAACCAACUAAGAGUGCAGAUUUUCCUGUCACAUACUCAAUUCCAUAGUCAAUUGUGCCUUGUAUGUACCUUAGAACCCUUUUAGCUGCCCCAUAGUGCAUCUUAGAAGGGUUAUGCAUGAAUCUUGCAAGCAGGCAGGCAGAGAACAUGAUAUCUGGCCUGGUUGCAGUAAGGUACAGCAGGCUGCCUACAAUUUUUCUGAACAAACUUUCAUCUGCAGCAUCACUUCCAUCCUCUCUUUUCAAUUUAUCAGUAGCCACUAAUGGAGUGCUUACUGACUUGCAGUCUUUGAGUCCAAACUUAUCCAAGAGAGUGAGAGCAUACUUCUUUUGAUGAAUGAAGAUGCUCCCUUCAGUUUGUGUUACUCCCAUACCAAGAAAAUGGUGGAGUAAACCCAAAUCAGACAUCUCAUACUUGCACAUCAUUUCAGCUUUGAAUUCUUUCAUCAUUUCAUCUCUACUUCCUGUGUACACUACGUCAUCUACAUAGAUUGACACUAUUAGUGUUCCCACCUUCCUUUGUUCUCACAUAGAGAGUGGCUUCACUUGGACUUCUGUGAAAACCACACUGAUUCGAGUAGGUGUCAAUUUCACUAUACCAGGCCCUUGGAGCCUGCUUCAACCCAUAGAGGGCUUUUCUUAACCUAUACACCUUAUCCUCAUCAUCUUUAACCACAAAACCAUCCGGUUGAUCAAUAUAAACUUCUUCUUCAAGGACACCAUUUAGGAAGGCUGACUUGACAUCCAAUUGCCAUAGUUUCCAGCCUUUCUGAGCAGCAAGAGCUAUGAGAGUUCUAAUGGUGUCUAACCUUGCUACAGGAGCAAAGGUUUCAUUGAAAUCAAUCCCUGGUUUUUGUGUGUAUCCCUUGGCAACAAGUCUUGCUUUAUGUUUUUGAAUGGAGCCAUCAAGAUUAAGCUUAAUUUUGAAUAUCCACUUCACUCCCACAAUUGGUUUACUACUUGGCCUGUCAACCAAUUCCCAACUGGAGUUUUUCUCUAUCAUAAGUAUCUCCUCAGUCAUAGCCUUCCCCCAAGCUUCAUCUUUGACUGCUUCUUCAAAAUUUUCAGGUUCAAUGAUGCUCAUCUUGCAUUGAGCAUACACUUCACUCAAACUCUUCCAUUUCUUUGGGGUGUUAUCAUAAGUUUCUAAUGGAGCAGAGUCUUGAGUAGCAUGCACAUCAUUACUUGUUUGUGUUUCCAUAGGAGACUGUACAAUCUGUUGCUGUAACAGAUUUGGUUAUGAAUCCAAAUCUGAUACAAUUGAACUUACUCCAUCACCCCAAGACAUAGGGAUUUGCAAUGCCUCAUUGGUUUCCCAAUUCCACAUUGCUUCUUCAUCAAAAAUAACACUCCUAGACAGCUCAAUCUUUUGAGUUCUCAAGUUGAGCACUCUAUACCCCUUUUCACAUACACCAUAUCUUACAAAUACUCCCUUCUCACCUGUGUCUUCCAGCUUGUGCCUUUUCUGUGUGGGGAUGUGAAUAUAGCAUAGAGAACCAAAUAUUCUCAAAUGCUUGACACCUGGUUUUCUUCCACCGAACUUUUCAAAUGGAGUGGAAUUGUCCAGUGCACUUGUAGGACAUCUGUUCUGCAAAUAUACAGCUGUAUUGACAGCUUCUGCCCAAAACUUCAAAGGGAUUUUCUUCUCAUACAUCAUGGCUCUUGCCAUUUCCAUCACAGUACGAUUCUUUCUCUCUGUAACUCCAUUCUGUUGUGGAGAGUAGCCUACUGNNNNNNNNNNNNNNNNNNNNNNNNNNNNNNNNNNNNNNNNNNNNNNNNNNNNNNNNNNNNNNNNNNNNNNNNNNNNNNNNNNNNNNNNNNNNNNNNNNNNNNNNNNNNNNNNNNNNNNNNNNNNNNNNNNNNNNNNNNNNNNNNNNNNNNNNNNNNNNNNNNNNNNNNNNNNNNNNNNNNNNNNNNNGGUGUGGUCAUCAAUGAAGGUGAGGAAAUAUCUGUUCCCUCCAAGAGUGAUGGUCUGCAUUGGACCACAAAUGUCUGAGUGAAUCAGUUCUAGAGGUUGAGUGGCUCUCCAAGCUCCUUCCUUAUCAAAAGAGCUUCUGUGAUUCUUGCUUUCAGCACAACCUGAGCAGACCUUCUCAUGUUCUUGUAAAUUAGGCAUUCCCUGAACCAUAUCUCUCUCUUGUAACAACUUCAAACUAAUAUAGUUUAGGUGCCCAAAUCUUCUGUGCCACAGCCAGGAUGUUUCUCCAACUGUUGCUCUGUUUGCCAUAGGAGGAUUAACAUAGUCAAGAUUUAAAGGAAAACAUUUGUUUCCCUUCAUUGGCACUCUUGCAAUGCAAUCUUCCAACUGCCUAUCUCCAUAGAUAUCAACUGCAUUAUCACCAAAUACAAGCCAAUGCCCAUGUUCUAUCAUUUGACCUACACUUAGCAAAUUUUCAUCUAAACUUGGUACAAUCAUGAUUUCUUUGAUAUAUCUAGUCACACCCUUCAUUUCUAUAGCCAAAGUCCCUUUGCCUAUUAACUGCACUAGAUCACCAGUCCCCAUUUUGACUUUACUCUUCAUACUUUUAUCAACAUUUACAAGUAAUGACUCAUGGGAAGUCAUGUGAUUGCUGCAUGCACUAUCAACAUACCACAUAUUCACAUUCUUUCCAAUUGUUGCAGCAUGACAUGCAUAGAACAUAAUGGCAGGUUCAGUUACCUGAUUUGCAAUGUUAGCAAGUUUCCCUGCCUUGUUUGCUUGGUCACAGUCCUUAACAAAAUGACCAAAUCGAUUGCAGCCAUGACACUUUGGUUUUCCUUUAAACCAACACUCACCAUAGUGUAACUUCUCACAAUGUUUGCAUUUUCCAGAUUUGUCUCCUUGACUUGGUUUUCCCCCUUGAUUGGCACUGUUUUGGGGUUUAGAAUCCCAUUUCUUAUCCUUGGACUUCCAAUUCUUCUUUGAUUUAUUAGAGCCAGAACUAGAACUUGAUUGAGAUCCUUUUGAGUUUAUGCUCAUGCUGCUGAAAGCUUUCUCAGUGGUGCUUUCUGCAUGUCUGUCAAGGCGCUGAGCAAAACCUCUUAAUGCUGCAAUUACCUCCUGCACUUCAAUGGUUUCAAUGUCUCUAGUUUGCUCAAUCACAUAGCAGACUGGAUCAAAUUCCUUGGUUAAGCUUAUUAGCAGUUUUUGAACUAUCCUCCCUUUGGUCAGAUCUUCCCCAUAUCCCUUCAUCUGAUUUACAAGCUCAAGUAACCGAGUGAUGUAUCCAGACAAGAUCUCAUCAUCCUUCAUCCUGGUGUACUCAAAAUCUCGACGCAGACCCUGCAACAUGAUGGAUCUGACUUGCUUAUCACCAUGAAACUCCUGAUGCAAGAUAUCCCAAACACCUUUUGAGGUUUCUUCAUUUGAGAUUCUGGGAAAGAUGUCAUCUGAAACAGCACCUUGGAUAAUACCAAGAGCCUUAGCAUCUUUCAUCAACAAGGACACCAUCUCUGAAUCUGAUGACCCUUCUUUAUCAGCUUUUGAAUCUGGAACUUGAAGGCCUUUCUCAACCAAAUUCCAGAUUCCAUGAGAUUUGAAAAUUGUUCUCAUUCGAAUCUUCCAAAACUCAUAGUUCUCCCCAUUGAAUAUUGGAGCUCUAAGAUCACUCCCUCCUGACCCAGCCAUCUGAGACCAGACUCAAUGAGUUGAGAGUAGGAAAUUUCCCGUUGGAUUUCCAGACUCAGCUCCCACAGCUUCAACGCCCUCUAUCCAGAUCCAACCUGCGCACCUGAUACCAUGUUGAAUAUUUGGAUUGCAAAGGGAGCAAGAAAUGUACUGAGAGAGAGAGAGAGAGAGAGAGAGAGAGAGAGAGAGCAGUGAGCCUUAGAUUGUUCUAACAGUUUUCUUACUCUGCAUGAACAUAGCAGCAGAGCUUAUAUUCCUUCAUGACUGUUACAUGUUCUCUCUUACAUCAGUAGAUUCAAAUCUAACGGUUUGUAAUAGUAAGCCAAUGUGAGUAUGACACAUGGCAAUACACAGCUGUCCUAACAGCUGGGAAUUCAAAACAGACUCUAGCAUUGCACCUGGCAUAUAAGCACAAGGCACUCAGCUAACACAAAGAUUAAAAACAGAUUGAAUAUAAACUGACAUAGAACUUACUAACUAAUCUGAAAUUAGCUAGACAGUUCACAUUUUAACAUUCUUAUGGUCGGCAGGGACAAGAAUUCCAGGGCUGCUCAACUUGAAUACACCUGAUGAACCAGUGAGGGGUGUGUUUCUUUUAGUCUGCACUAUAUAUGCAGGGUCUGACUCUAAUUAGAAGAUAAUUGUAUUAAUUUGGUAAAGCUUUGUCUGUAACUGUCUCGCACCUUAAAAAAAUUUCACAAUUAGCAGCAUUGGCAAUACUUGAUUAGAAAGCAGAAACCCUACAGUAUAUAGUUAAGUUGAGUAGCUGGGAAGACAAUUAGUAAGCUUUCAAUACUAAAGUUGAAUAUUGGGGAGACAAAUUACUAGAGCUUCAAGUUCAGAUAAAUAGGAUGAAUUUCUCUUAAGGGAUCCCCUUUCACUGUAGCUUGGAGUAGAAUUCAUUUUGACACAAUAUCAAUUAUCAAUGUAAACACGUUACUGAUGCACUAUUGACAAUAUCGAUGCACGUCAUAUCAUAUUUGUGGGAGUAAAUUUCCUCACGAGAAUAUUUGGUUCAAAAGAUUCCCCUUUUUUUUUUUUUUGCCGCCUCUUUCUCCUUGCAAAAUAGAACAAAUAAGAGGACCACACCCGGGGGGUGUUGGCCAAAGGCCCUCCGAUGCUAAAUUAGUUCAAGUAUUUGUAAGAAAAAUACUAGCUAACUAGGGUACAGAGGUGUAUUUAAGGUGUAAACCGGGCAGCCGAAGUCUUAUGUAAAAGAGAGAGAGAAAGGAGGUGGCUAGCGUUUGAGAGGAAUUUUCUGCAGAGUUUUUAGUAGAGAUUUCAGACGUACCUCAACCAUUGUGUGUGGCCAUCUUUUUAUAGUGGUCUUGGAGGCUAGGGUUUCAGAGGAAUAAUUCCGUAGAUGGAAAGGAAUUAUUCCUCCCCUAUUUGGAAUUGAUUUGAUUAAUUAGGGAUUUGAUUUAUUAGGGUAAAUCAAAUCCCUAAUUGUGGUAGGUAUCAAAUCAAAUCCUUUUUUAAUUAGGUAACUCCUCAUUUAAUUGGGAAUUGUGGUAGGAAUCAAAUCAAUUCUCAACCUAAUUAGGUAACGUUCAAUUUAAUUGGGUAAUUCCCAAUUAAAUUGAGUAACUCCCAAUUAGGUUGAUUAAUUCCCAAUUAGAUCAAAUAAUCCCCUAAUUGAAGGAAUUAUUUGACCUAGGGUCUGAUUUAAUUCGAUUCCCACAAAUGCCCCCCAGCUUCUGCAUGGUGCAUGGUGGCACGUAGGAGAUGUAAAUUAUCUGUUGGGCUGUCCAGCUGUAACUGGGCUUCCUUCGUGGACCUGGGCUCCCGAGUAGAGGAGGUGUUUGACUUGCCAAUUUUAUGAACACCCAAUUGGAAAGGGUUUGAGAUUCCUUGUAGGUCAAGGAAUUUUGCUCCUUAUAAAUGUAGGGCUCCUCCAAAUUAUUCUCGACAUCAGAAAUCUACUCCUCCAAAUUUGUUAGUGAGAGAGAGAAGACUUUGGAGAAUUUUUCAGCGUGCUUGAGACUUCAUCUUUGCAGCCCAUCCAAGGUAAUUUGAUAGGAAGAAUUUUAUUUUGAGUUGCUAUGACUUUUGGCAGCAAGCUGUGAGACUAAGGGCAUGUCUUGAGGUGCGCGCUAGGGCUUUAGGCAUGGCAAGAGACUCGGAAAGGCUAGCAGGUUCGUUUCCACCUACGCUGGGCUCAAGGAGAAGGCAACAGGGCUUCAGGCCUUGUGGAUGAAGUGGGCUUUCGCUGGGAGCAAGAGGCCUGGAGCUGAGGCAAGGAGACAAUGGGCCUGGUACGAGGUGUGGGCUGAGCAUGCCAGCUUUGGAGCAAGGGGGCCAGGACGACUGCUGGGCAGGAGGUGCGCUGGGCUGCAUGCGCGAGCUGCGCCGAGUGCUGGCUGGAGGAGCGAGCUGGGCUGCGCGCUAGGCCAUUCAUGCUGGGCUACUUCCGUUUUUUUUUUGUUUUUUUUUAAAUUUUAUUUGCUGUUGCUGCUUUUUUUUUUGUUUUUUUGUUUUUUUUUUGUUUGGUAUUCUAACUCGUAAUUUUUUUUUUCUUCUUACAGCUACUUGUUGAUCAACCAUGUCUUCCGGAGAUGGUAGCAAGGCUCCAAGCUCUUAGGUCCUUUUGUAUUUAUGGGGAGGCUCCAUAGUGCAUGGCAAGAAGUUUGUGGUCAACUUGCAUCGCGUCACGACUUAUGCUCAGUUCCAGAAGUGGCGGGCCACUUAUGCGUCUGCCAUUCCAGAUGACGUGCUGGUCAAGCUAUUGAAAUCUCAAACUGAUAACGAGCCUUUGGUGGACGUGAGUGAUCAUGAUGCUAGGAUCAUUACCUUCCGUCCUUUUUACUUCUCUUUAGGCUUCAAAUUCCCGUUGUCAAAGCUCUUCAAGAAGGUGUUCUGUGCCAUGGGGUGUGCUCCGAGCCACUGUACUCAUGUGCUUCAAGAAUUUGAGUCGUUUCUUCAUGUUGGAGCUGACGAUGCGAGAGUUCUUUUAUUUUUUUCGAAGUGAGGCACUUUGAGCGGUACGCCCAAGUUCGUAUCUACAAGGCCAAGCUGUUCCACGGUCUCAGUCAAGGAGAUCACGCUUGACAUGAAGAUGUGUUGGAGGUCAGCAGACGGUGGGAGGGUGACGUCGGUGACGGCCCACCUGUUCCCAUCACCUAUUGUGAUGGUAUGUCUCUUUACGAUUUUUGAUAUGCUCCUUUUAUUUGAAUUUCUUGAAGUGUGGCAGACUAACUUCUAUCUUCUGCUCGUAGUGAGUGACAUUAGCAAGCAAUUGGAGCUCCGACCAGACAUGGCUAAGGUCCGUCGUGCUUUGAACAUCCCUCUAAGGUUUCACGAGUGGCGCUGGCUGUUGAGUGAGUACCGGGAGGAAGACGGUGGUUUUCUCCUUGCCGAGGAUGUCGAAAGGUGGAAGCAGAACGAUCCUGACCCUGAUGAUCUGCUUGGCAGACAGGAAGAAUGUUCUGCUUAAUCGCUCUUAAAGAGAAAGGCUGCUGCCAAAUCUUUGAGAUGUGAAGCUACUUCUUCGCAUGCAAAGGAUGGGUCUCCAUCGAGGAAGAAACCAAGGCUCCCUUCUGCUGAGAAGACUCAAGUGGGGUCUGCUCCCUCAUCAUCUGCCAGGGUUAAGCAUCUCGUGGGUGCAGAUAGCAAGAAGGUUGGUGGUAUGCAUGGUACUCGGGGUGUUCUGCCCAAGCUUCCUGCUGACACGCUCGAAAACCAUGAUAUACUUCGUGAAGUGGCUCGUGCCCAACCUAGUUCUGCCAAGCGUCAAAGAGAUGUAGACAUUCCUCCUAGAAGUUCGAGUUGUCUGCAUCGGUCAAAAGAUGGAGACCGAAGCGGGAGGUCUGCUUAUGAUCCAGCAUUAUUGACUCAUUUGGAGAUGAGGUUGGCGAAGGCUAAGAAGGUGAAAGAGUCAUCUGCCCGGGUUAAGGGUUCUUCCUCGGCGUUGGUAGUUGGUCCCAAGAUGAACAAGUCUAGCUCUGUAGGGGAUGCAUGCGUAUCUGAUCUGCUCAAGAUGAACUUCCUAUCAAACCCGUCCUCUUGUGUUGAGUUGGUUGAUCACAUCCCUCAAGCGGGCGAUCUAGGCACUUUCUCGUGCCUUUCCUUAGAAAAAUGAAGGAAAAUGACAUUCCAUCUGAUUCAAAAAGGACUGGUUUUUGCUACUGAGACUAUUUGGAACUCAUCUGCUAUUGCCCCUCUUCUGUCCAACUCAGCGAGUUGGAGAAGAAGAAUGCUGAUUGGCUAGACAGCUUUCCGCCGAGCAGGCCCGUUACGAGAAGAAGAUGUCUGAUUUGAGGGCGAUGAUAUCUGAGCUGAAAAGCUCCCUUACCGAGAAGGAUUUCGAGCUCAACUCUUCUGCUGCUGAUUUGGCUAGUCGAAAAGAUACCUUCUUUCGUCUUGAGCAUAAGAAUGCUGACAUCUUCCUUAGCUAUAACAAACUCCUGGCUAGAUUUCAUGCCUACCAUAAGUCUGCUAAAGAAUCCAAGACAGAUGGAGCUGCUGAAGGCGUAGCCGGUCAGGUGGAUGCCGAAGAGGCUGCAGCUUAAAAGUCUUCUGCUGGCGUCUCAGAGUAGAUGAAGACUCUUUUUUGUUUCUUUUCAGCUUUUGUAGUUUGCUUUAUUGUUUAGAAUAACUGGUCUUAUUUGACCAUCUUCUUUUUGUUGAACUUGGCUGGUUGGUCUGUUUGUUAGGGAAAUUUCAGUUACAUUUUCCAACUUCAAUUUGCAUAUUUGACUUGUGAACUGCUUAAGUAACCAGCCUGUGUUUUGAUUGCACAUCCCCCUUUAGAGAUUUGUGAGUACCAGGGUCCCCCUUGGAGGACUCCGGCCAUGCACAGUAUAUCUCGUAGGAUGGUUCCCCUUAGGAAGUUGGCGAGUACCAGGGUCCUCUUUGAGAGACUCCGGGUGUGUUCUGCACAUCCCGUAUGAUGCCUUAAUCGUCGCCUUGCUUCUCCCGUAGGACGCUGCUUAUAGGCAACUAUAUGACUAUCCUGCCUUUCUUAGGAAACGGAUAGGAACCUGGAUAUUUCCCGCAUGAAGCAUGGAGACCUCCUUUUAAGAAAUUUUUGGUGCACCAUGCUUCUCCCUUAGGACGCUUUUUUCGCAGGCUGGGUCUCCAAAUGGACGCUUUUAGUCGUUGCCCUGCGUCUCCCUUAGGACGCUCCUUAUGGGCAACUGUGUGACUAUCCUGCCUCCCUUAGGAAAUGGAUAAGACUUGAAUAUUUCCCGCAGUAAGCAUGGCGACCCCCUUUUAAGAAACUCCUGGCGUACCCUGCAUCUCCCUUAGGAUGCUUUUUAAGAGGGCUGCUUCUCCAAACGGACGCUUUUAGUCGUUGCCUAUGUCUCCCCUAGGAUGCUCCUUAUGGGCAACUGUGUGACUAUCCUGCCUCCCUUAGGAAACAGAUAGGAAACUAGAUAUCUCCCUUAGGAAAUUCCUAGCGCACCUUGCGUCUCCCGAAGGACGCUUUUUUAGCUGGCUACGUCCCGAAACGGACACUUUUAGUCGUCGCCCUGCGUCUCCCUUAGAAUGCGCCUUAUAGGCAACUGUGUGACUAUCCUGCCUCCCUUAGGAAACGGAUAGGAACCUGGAUAUCUCUCUUAGGAAAUUCCUGGGGCACCUUGCGUCUCCCGAAGGACGCUGCUUAUGGGAAAAUAUUGUGUUUCGUGGGCAGAUGAGACAUUUUGGAAUGAGAAACUGAACUUAUAUUGAUAUUCAUAAGAUUACAGUCCUUUAUUUGAAAAUGGAAAUAACUUGGUUCAAAAACUUAGAACUUCUAGCAGCUACGAGGAAGCACUAUGGAUAAUACUUUCGGAGAUGGUGAGCAUUCCAUUGUCGUGGUAUUUCCUUCCUAUCCAUGGUGUCCAGUGUGUUGCUUCCUCUGCCCCGGACCUGCUGAUCACAUAAACGCCCUCCCAGUUAGGAUUCACUUUUUUUGACCCGUGUCUUGGUGCAGUAAUGAAAGCCUUAGCACGAGGUCGCCUGGUUGAAACUGUUUGACCUUAGCUCUUUUGUCGUAGUAAGACUUCAACUGCUAGUGAUAGGAGGCGACCCGAAUAAUGGUCUUCUCACGCCUGCCCUCAAGUAAGUUGAGGUUGAGCCUCAUCUGCUCGGAGUUCUGAUCAACACUGCCUACCUUAAGACUUAUAGAGAGGACAGUGAUGUGAGGUGGUAUGAUCACUUCUGUUCCAUAGGCGAGAGAGAAUGGGGUUUCACCAGUCGAUCUUCGCUUGGUGGUGUGAUAAACCCAUGGUACUCUGGGGAGUUCAUCCACUCAUUUCCCUUCAGCGCCUUCCAGCCUUUUCUUUAAGCAGUCCAAUAUGACUUUGUUGGAUGCCUUGGCUUGUCCAUUUCCUUGUGGAUACCUCGGGGUGGACAAGUGUUGUUUGAUCUUGUAUUUCACAAAAAAAGCGGUGAUCUGCUUGCCAAUGAACUGUGAGCCAUUGUCGGUAACCAACGACUGUGGGCAGCCAAACCGGCAUAUGAUGUUUCUCCAGAUGAAUCACUCCACAUCGGCUUCUUUAGUAAAUGAUAGAGCUUCGGCCUCGAUUCAUUUAGUAAAGUAGUCGGUGGGGACGAUCAUCAUUUCUUUCUUGGCGGGCGCUAGUGGCAAGGGAUCCACUAGGUCGAUGGCCCAUUGCAUGAACAGCCAUGGACUGUUUUGCGGAUGAUAGACUUCGGCAGGCAAGUUAGGGAUCGGCUUGUAUUGCUGACAGCGUCACAUUUCUUGGCACAUUCAGCACAGUCGUGACGUAUGGUAGGCCAGAAGUAGCCUAUGUUUAGAACUUUCUGGGCGAGUGACCUGCCCCAGAAUGGUUGCCAUACUCGUCGUCGUGAAUUUUACAGAUAAUCUCAAGUGUUUGAUGGUACUUUAUGCAGGUGAGAUGAAGGCCGGAGUAUGAUCUGUGGAUGAGCUUGUUGCCGUGCAUGUAGUAUCUCUCGGCCUUUUGCUGGACUUUUCUAGCUUCGGACUUGUCCGUUGGCAGGUUUCCAUUCGUGAAAUAGUCGAUGAUGAGGUCUUGCUAGCUGGGGUCCUCGUCAAUCUGCAUGGUAUUAAUCGGCUCUAUUUCUUCAAUGCUUGGUCGGUCAAGGUGUUCGACCUAGAUGGAGUGUUUGAACUGGGUAUCCAGCGUUGAACCUUGGCUUGCCAGUGCGUCUGCAUGCGCGUUCUUUGCCCGGGACACUUGUUGGAUAGUGAAGGUAGGAAAUGCCUUCAACAGCUCUUGGACUCUAUCAAGGUAUAAGAUCAUCCUUGGGUGCUUUGCCAUAUAUUCACCUGAGGCUUGAUUCGUGAUCAACUGUGAGUUUGAGUAGAUGGCUAGCUUUUUGAUUGCGAGCUCCUUUGCCAAGCGUAAGUCGGCGAGUAAUGCCUCGUAUUCUACCUCGUUGUUCGAGACCGAGAAGCCAAGCGUAAUAGCUUGCUCUAACAGGGUUCUAUCCAGGGUGGUGAUAACGACCCCUGCUCCAGCUCCUUUUUGGUUCGACGCUCCGUCUACACGCAACUGCCACAUGUCUCUGGGAUGGCUUGGUUCUGCGGAGGUCCUGUCUGCUUUUGAACUUCCCUCCUUUUGGUUGACUAACUUCUCUUUUUUGGCUGAUGGGGUGAAUUCUGCGACGAAGUAUGCUAAAGCCUGGGCUUUUAUUGCAGUUUUUGGCCCGUAGAGGAGGUCAUAUUGGCUUAGCUCUAUAGCCCACUUCAUGAGUCGCUGAGAAGCAUCAGGGCUGUGGAGGAUUGAUCUCAAAAGAAAGUCAGUCAUGACUAUGACUCGAUGAGCUUAGUAGUAGGGUCGCAGCUUUCUCGCAGAAACUACAAGAGCCAAAAUAAGUUUCUCCAAUUUCGGGUAACGAGUCUCUGCAUCGAGGAGAGCUUUUGACGUGUAGAAUACCGGAUAUUGGGCCCCUAUCUCUUCUCGGAUGAGAGCUGAACUGACAGCUGAGUUGGACUUACCUCACUAGGGACUGGAUUUGAGAGCAUGGAAGGUGAGGUGAGGUAAGUCUUCAGAUUAUGGAAAGCUACUUUGCAGUCCUCAUCCCAUUUCUCUCUUUGUCCUUUCUUCAAAGCUUUGAAGAGUGGUCUGCACUUGUCGGUUGAUCUCGAGAGGAAUCGGUUGAGAACCGCUGCUUUGUCCGUCAGACUUUAUAUCUCUUUCACCGUGGAAGGCGACUUCAUCUCUAGAAUGGCUUUGAUUUGACGUGGAUGUGCCUCGACACCUCGUUGCGUGGCUAGGUAUCCCAAGAAUCGGCCGGAGGAUACACCAAACAGGCAUUUACUUGGAUUCAACUUCAUGCGAUACUGGCGGAGCAAGCUGAAUGAUUGGGUAAGACUUCCGAUGUGAUCUGCACGUUUUGGGGCUUUGACCAGCAUGUCAUCCACGUAGACCUUCAUAGUUUUGCCGAUCUGCUUAUUGAAGAUUUUAUUCCCGAGCCUUUGAUAGGUUGCUUUGGCGUUCUUCAGCCCAAAGGGCAUGACCUUAUAGCAGCAGGUCCCUCUCUCGAUGAUGAAAAAAGUUUUUGCCUUGUCAUCCUCGUGCAUCAGGAUUUGUUUAUAGCUGGACUAGGCGUCCAUGAAGCUAAGCAGUUGAUUGCCAGAAGUGGAAUCCACGAGUUGGUCGAUUCUCGGCAAUGAGAAGUUGUCUUUAGGGCAUGCUUUGUUGAGGUCUGUGUAAUCGACACAAACUCUCCAUUUGCCAUUUUCUUGUUUUGCCACCAAAACAACGUUGGCAAGCCACUCUGAGUAGGAGGCCUCUUCGAUGAAGCCGACAGCUAGGAGUUUGUCAAUCUCGGCCUCGAUGAUAGCAAGUCGCUGGGGUGCGAAGUUGCGUCUCUUCUGCGCCACUGGCUUGCAGGCAGGGUUGAAGUGGAGUCAGUGACAGAUGAUGUUCUUGUCGAUGCCAGACUUGUCUGACGGCAACCAUGCGAACAUGUCUCUGUUGCUCUGGAGGAAGGUGGUAAGCUCCACAUUCUCUUCUGGCCUUAGGCGCGAACCGAUCCACUCUUUCCUAUCUGGUUGGUCAGGAUCCAAGGGUAUUAACUCGACGUCCUCCUUGGGUUUCCAUCCUUCUUCAGGAAAGACCUAUGGACGGAUUUCCUCGACUUGGUCCUGACGCUUUAAUUGCUAUAAGAUAGCAAGAUCCAGUUGCUCAACCUCCUCCAGAUCUGCCUGGCUCACAGGGAGAAACUGCGCUUGUUUACCUUUCUUUAGCCCUUGGGCGGAGCAUUUCCUCGCCAUUGCCUAAUCGUUGUUGAUUUGGCCGACACCGCCCCCAAGGAUUGGGUACCGAAUUUUCUAAUGUGUGGCGGAGGUGAUUGCAUUAAUUUUGCCAAUCGAUGGUCUGCCCAGAAUGCCGUUGUAGGGUAAGACCUUAUUAAUGACCAUGAAGGUUAUGAGCUGAUUAUAAGUGGGGAGUAGACGUCGAGGUCUAUCAUGCCCACGGUAACCGUUGUUGCACCAUUAAAAUCGCUCAGCAACCUAGCUAAUUUGUAAAUCUUUGUCUCCAAUCCCAUCUGUUGAAUGACCUCCAGUUGCAGGAUAUUGGCUGCGCUGCCCUCGUCUGUGUGGAUUCAGUCUACCAUGACCUGAGCAAUUUGAAUGCUGAUGACAAGGGCUUCGUUAUGUGGCAUGUAGAGGCCGAUCAGAUCUUUCUUUUGGAAGCCGAUUACAGGAUCGUCUUCUGCUGGUGGAAGGUCGGUCGAGAUUUGGGAGAUCACAGUGGUCUGUUUGAUCUUCCUCUUUUUUUCCUUUCUGGUCAGCCCAGACUCCUCGGAGUCAGCUAGGAUUGUGUUAAUUCUUAUGACCUUCUGAGGCGGCUCCUUGGCGAUGUCACGAUCUUCUAUCCGCUGGAUGACCUUCUUUGCAAUGAAUUCUGUGCAGUGACCUUCUCUCACGAGUUCUUCAAGAUGUGCUUUCCAAGCGAAGCAGUUGUUCAUAGUGUGUCCGUGCAUUUCAUGGACGGCACAGUAUUUGCUAGUAUUCCUUUUGUCCGGAUCUUCUUUCAAGGGUGGUGGUCUUCUUACCCAAGGUUGUUCUUCACUUGGGCUAAGAUUUGAUGUAUGGAGAUGGUGAACUUGGUGUAGUUCUCUCCUGCCGUAGCAUCCCCUUAUGGGUGCGACCUGCGCUUGUCCUUGUCCCUGUUGCUAAAUCCGUCGCUUCUUUGGCCUGCCCCCUUAGUCGGCUGAUCUUCCUGCUUAGUAGAGUUCUUUGCGGCGAUUCGAUCGUCAUCCCAAAGCGCAUAGCUUUCCGCGGUCUCGUAGACCUCUGCCAAAGUUUGGCUGGGAGUGAUGGUCAGCUCGUGGUACAAGUCGUGCUCAGUCGAAAGGUCUUUCUUGAAAGCAGAGGACGCAAUUUGGUCAUCACAUCCUACAAUGUUGGCCUUUUCUACUUUGAAUCUCUUGAUGUAAUCUCUAAAGGAUUCGUCGAACUUCUUGCGCAGGUUAUACAGGUGGUCAGGGUUCUUCUUGAUUGUUCGGUAAGAGGUGUAUUCUUUGGUGAAUAAGUAAGUCAGCUCCUUGAAGCUGCUGAUCGACCUGGAUGGCAGAGUAUGGAACGAGUCUUGGGCUUCCUCACAAGGUCAUUGCAAACACCUUGCACAUCAGCGCGUCGUCAACCUUGUGGAGGAUCAUGACACUUUUGAAGUGUUUUAGAUGGCUCUCAGGAUCGGAAUCCCCCUUGAAGUGUGUGAAUGUGGGCGUUGAGAAUCGCUUCAGGAGAGCAGCCUGCUCGAUUUUGGCAGUGAAAGGUGUAGAGUAUGCCUGGUCUACCUCAUUUCGUACAUCUUCGAAAUUUCCACCGGUCUUCAAGUCUCGAAGUUGGUCAUUCACAAGCUUCUCUACGUCUUCCGCACACAUUGCUUGUCGGCCACAUUGGCGACCUUCACGAAUUGUUCGAUGCUGACUGACUUCCUCGUUGAUUUCCGAGGAUCGACCUUCUUGUCUGCAUUGCCUAGGUGGAGUGUUGGUGGAUUGCGCCUACGAAAGAUUCUCUGUGGCUUGUCAAUGAGAAUCGGUUCUUCGAGAGUGAGUAACGAAGUGCCUUUCCUCAUGGUCCUUAUUGUGAGGGUUAUCCAGCUGACCUCCCUGGGGCCUAGCCUUUCCUGAAUGCUUCUCUGCGAGUAGACAGUUGAAUGCUUUUCUUCACGAUCCUCGUUGUGAUGGUUGUUUGGCUGACCUCCUUAGGGUCUUAGCCUUUGAUGUACAUUUCCCUGCCUGCCCAAGUAGGUGCGGACGUCGAGUCGUGGGCCCAGCCUUUCGUGCACGUCGUUCCUUAAACUCAAUCUGCUCUGAGUGUGGCUUGCAGAUGCUUGCGACAUGUCGGCAGGUCGAUCACGUUGUUGUCCCUCGACUUGUCUGCCCACUCUUGCUUGACCUGCUUGGUACUCGUUGAGCUGUCUACCGGCCCGUUCAUCCUUCCUUCUUUCCUCGCCUGGUUGUCCAAGGCCAAGGUUUUGAGCAAAGCUUAUUUGGUUGAGGAGCUGCCUCAUUAGAUUGUUUUGGUCGUCCAUUCUUUAAGCUAGCUGGUCAACUCUCAGAUUAAGGUCUGCUUGAUUUCAUGGAUCAGGAGGAGAGAAGUGUGUGGAGCUCAACUGCACAUAGGCUAGGGUUUCAUUAGAGGUGUAUGCGGGAGCGUGUGUCGAGCGUGGAGGCAAUAGAGGGAAUGCUUGGAGUUGCUCCAAGACCGGCCCUAGGUCGGCGGUGGUAACGAGUCCACCUUGAUGGGAAGUUCCACCAUGUUUGGCGGCAGUGACCGAUGCAGUGGUGAGAGGUGGUGGUGCCACCAUGUCGAUCGCGGGAUCGUUGGUGGAGUGGCUUUGGGCCGUCGCAAAUCUAGCCAUCAUGGCGGCUUUGCCUCUCGUGUUCAUGCUUCCAACCAUGGUUGUUUGGAAGGCUUAGGUGGAUUGGAAAAUUAGAGGAACGGAUUCCUUGAGCACGCAUUGAGUAUAACUCGUGCUCUCAAUGAAAGCACCAAUUUGUGGGAGCAAAUUUCCCCACGAGAAUAUUCGGUUCGAAAGAUUCCCCUUUCUUAUUCGCCGCCUCUUUCUCCUCGCAAAAUAGAACAAAUAAGAGGACCACACCCGAGGGGUGUUGGCCAAAGGCCCUCCGAUGCCUAAAUUAGUUCAAGUAUUUGUAAGAAAAACACUAGCUAACUAGGGUAUGGAGAUGUGUUUAAGGUGUAAACCGGGCGGCCGGAACCUUAUGUAAAAGAGAGAGAGAAAUGAGGUGGCUAGGGUUUGAGAGGAAUUUUCUGCAGAGUUUUUAGUAGAGAUUUCAGACGUACCUCAACCAUUGUGUGUGGCCAUCUUUUUAUAGUGGUCUUGGAGGCUAGAGUUUCAGAGAAAUAAUUUCGUAGAUGGAAAGGAAUUAUUCCUCCCCUAUUUAGAAUUGAUUUGAUUAAUUACGGAUUUGAUUUAUUAGGGUAAAUCAAAUCCCUAAUUGUGGUAAGUAUCAAAUCAAAUCCUUUUUUAAUUAGGUAACUGCUCAUUUAAUUGACAAUUGUGGUAGGAAUCAAAUCAAUUCUCAACCUAAUUGGUAACGUUCAAUUUAAUUGGGUAAUUCCCAAUUAAAUUGAGUAACUCCCAAUUAGGUUGAUUAAUUCACACUUAGAUCAAAUAAUCCCCAAAUGGAAAGAAUUAUUUGACCUAAGGUAUGAUUUAAUUCGAUUCCCACAAUAUUUAGAUGCAUAAUUGAAUGCGAAUAAACAUCACUCUCUCCAGUGUGAAAUGGCGAAAAUUCUCUUCAAUCAAAAGUGGGCUUACUUCAAAUUUAGUUGAAGAAUGAUGGUGUGUCUUGCCUGACAAUUGACAAUUAGGUUUAGGAGCGUUCCUCUAGUAGAAAAAUCUAAAUCAUUUGUGGUCAUCCACUCACUUGGUUAGUCUUCCAGAAUCAAAUACCAAAUCAACCCAAAGGAAGCUGCAAUUUUCUGAAUUGUAUACUUGUUUUAAUUCUUCCUAUCUUUUUCUCUCUUUCAUUUUUUUUGUCUCCCUCAAGUUAAUACUUAAGUGAGUUGCCAAAUGGGGGUAAAAAAGAGAGUAGAAGAGAUGAACCCCACAUUUGACUUUAAUAGACAAAUGCCCAAGAGAAGUACCAGUAAGAGCAUCUCCAAUUGGGAGGUGCUAUCCUAUAAUUUGACACACAUUUCUUUUUUCUUUUUUUUCAAUUCUAACAACAUGUCAUCUAUAUCGCAAUAGGCCGUUGUAGUUAAAUUUUCAAAUAACCAAGUUGCUCUCUAUUUUCCAAAGAAGACUAGAAAACAACUUACCAUCUAUCUGGUGCUGCUUCUUCCAAACAUUAGAAAAAACAGAGCUACACCCAGGAGGAGCCCAGGAGAUGACACAAUACUGCCUACUAUGAUUCUUACUUUCUUCACAUUCAAUGAGACUAUAAAAUAUAACCCAAGUGGUCUAACCCCCCAGGGCGGAAAUUGGGUUUAGCAAGUUUAGCACUGAUUGUUGUAUAGUCUUAAACAGUCCUGAUCUCUUGGACCCCUGUAGUCCAAGAGAUUUAUGGUCACCCACCGUUGGAUGUAAAUUCAACGGUUGACUUGAAUCGGGUAAUAAUAAUUUAUGUCAUAUUGCAUUUAUAUAUAUCAUUUUGAACCAUUGGAUUAAUAUCCAACGGUGGGUGACCACAAUCUCUUGGACUCCUGUGGUCCAAGAGAUCGGGACUGUAGUCUUAAAAUAAGUAGUUUAGCGAGUGCAAACUUCGACUUAAAAAAACUCUCAUGUAUAGCCGCGCGGCUAUACUAUUUACAUAUAAAUAUAUAAAAAAGCACCCCCUAGUCACGUGUCACAAAUAGUAUAGUCGAAAACAGUAGAGCCGCGCGGCUAUACUGUUUUUAAAAUAAAAAAAACCAUAUUCGAUUCUCCUUAUAUUUAAAAGGGGUAUAGCCGCAUGGCGAUACUAAUUUUUUUUUUUCAAAAAAAGGGACCCCAGUACUCCUUUUAUAUAUUAUAAUAUAUUGUCUAAUAUUUGGAAUAUUUACUCUAAAAUAAACAAUAUAUUAGGUUCUUUUUGUCUACAAAUUGACCAUUAAACUUCUUAAUCACUCUUAUACUUUCAAUUAAAUCUACUAGGCUAGGUUAUGAUAUUUUCACUAAAAAACUCCUCCUUUUUUUCUUCUCUUUCUCUUCCUGUUUUGUUUAACUUAAGCUUAAGUUUUGUAAUUUUUUUUCCCGCCCUUUUUACAUGUUUGAGUAGGGUACUUUAAUAUUGGGAUUUAUGAACUUUUUUUGUAUUUCUUCUUUAUAUUGGAAUAUAAAUUAUUAACUUUUGAGUCUUUAAUAGUGUAGAUGAUGAGAUUAUUAUUCAACCAUUUUAUAAUAUGAAAUGAAGGACAAUCAUGAUUGUGAUGAAUGGAUUAUUAAUCAAUAUGAAAUGAUAUUAUGAAGUGGGCUAAAUCGAGUAGUUAGUAUCGUAUUGUUGAGACCCAAAAAAUCCAAGGCUAGGCCCAAAUAUAUUAUGAAGUGGGCUAAAUCGAGUAGUUAGUAUCGUAUUGUUGAGACCCAAAAAAUUCAAGGCUAGGCCCAAAUAUAUUUCCGGUCCAAUGCGAUACCUUACCGAGAAGAAACCUUAUUUGGGCACGCGAAAGUUCGUCAUAUGCUCUUGCACACAUGCCAUGCCAAGCAAAUAAGCAACAUGCCACGCUACAAGCUUAAGUGGGCCCAAGCCACGUGAAUGCCUAGGGCCUGCUGAGUGGGUUGUGGUAUGGAUGGUUAUGAGUAUUCACGAGGCCCAUUGAUGGUCUAAGGAGUGGAAGUUUUGGGCUACUUGGGAGCACCAAAACUCAAGCCCAUUCAUUGAGCCCAAACAUAUGGGUAAGCAUGAGAUAAAACCUAGUAGCCCAUCACCUUAAGAAAUCCUAAUAGCCCAUAACAUGUGAGAAAAUCCCACAUCAACCAAAGCUUCCAGCAGUCUGACGAAAUCAAAGGGAACUCACAAGCCGUUGGAAACAAAACAACCCAACACUGUAACACCCCGACCCCAAAUUUCCCCAAAUUUAACCCUUAUUUAAUUAUUUAAGGGUAUUUUAGUCAUAUUUUUAACCGGAGAGAGUUUGGGGCAAUGACUAGUAUUUUUGGAUAGGUCGUACUGAGACGAGUUUAUGGACACGCAGUGAGCUCGAAUCGGAGUUGUAACGAGAGAGAUAUGGUCAAAAGAAGCCCAGUGGCACAAUCGUAAAUAUUUUGAAAUGAGAUUUUUUAUAAAAAUCUGGUUUUCUCUCUCUCUCUCUCUCUCUCUCUCUCUCUCUCUCUCUCUCUCUCUCUCUCGCUAGCGACCUCUCUCUCUCUCCCCCGUCGGUCUCUCCCCUCUUUCUCCUCGUAACUCCGGCCACCGGCCCCGGCUGUGGACGGGGCCGGUACCAAAAUGACCGAGGCGUCGUCCUCUUCCUACCCCAGCCACCUCCCACCGCCAGCCGUCGCGGAUUCGCCGGAAUCUGGAGAUGAAGCGGCCUACGUCGUCCAAAUUUCAAAGCUGCCGAUCUCCCUCCUCCGGCCACCAAUUCCGUCGACCCAGGUAUGGAUUUUGAACUUCUCGAGCUGCUCUAGCUGAUGGUUGGGUAGGAUUAGAUCGAUUCUUAGCUUAGACAACUCGAUUUUCAAAUUGAAAAUCGGCCGAACUUCGGCUGCCGUGAUCGGCCAUUUCCGGCCACUUUUUGGGGUAGGUCCAAGAACAAAAGUGGCUCCAAAUAGGGUGUUAUACCUAGGGUAGGAGUUUGGAGCCGUGGUUUUGAGAUUUUCCGGCGAAGCGUUAUCGCUUUGGGCACCCACGCGCUGCCGGUGCGUGCGGCGGCGCGUGGGCACUGUAGAAAAAGUAGCACUGUGUUCCGAUGAGAUCCUUAGGUUGUCACGAGUGCGUAGGAUUUUGCGGAUCUCAAUUCGGACGUCGUUUGACUAUCGAACGGAUAUUCGCAUAUUGCGCGUUAUUCGGGUUCGAUAGGUUGGGACCGUUGGAUGGACCCAAAUUUAAUAUAUGUUAAUCUAAUUAAUUCUAGGAUCGUGUAGGAAUUCACGGAUUGUGAAUCGGAGCCCCGGAUGUUCCGAAUAAUAAUUUUAAAGUUUGUAUUUUAUAUUAAUUGUCAGAUCGUGCGAUCGUGAGCAAUCUGACCGUUCGAUCUGAACCAAACUUGCAGGACAAGUGUCCUAUACCUUGUAGAACCCAUAGGGACCUUCGGAUCGGAAAUUGGAGGUCGUGGGUUCCGCAAGUCGGUUUGACCAGGGUUAGAGAAGUUUGACCCUUGGUUGACCGUGAGUCUCCCGGAGUAAUCUCACCUUUCUAGGGGAGAUUAUCGGGUACUAGAUGAUUGUGGACACAAUAUUAGAAUUAAUUUAUAUAAUUAUAAUUAUAUAUGGUUGUACAAGGGUACAACAGAGUCUAGAAUGUCAGUUUGGAGUGCUAUACGCACUACUUUAGGUACCUCCCCGGAUGUUGGGAUUUACUACAAGUACCACCAAGUGAAAUUGAGGUCCCGCGUGGCGUAGGUUAUCCAGCGUUGGGAUAGGUCUCAUACGUGGGGUUGGUUGUACCGGCGUAUGGGGAGAUUUGUGAUAUUAUGUUCAGGUCUCACGUGGCGUAGGUUAUCCGGCGUUGAGACAGGCCCCAUACGUGGUGUUGGUUGUACCAGCGUAUGGGGAGCUAUGUGAUAUUGUGUUGAGGUCGCACGUGGCGUAGGUUAUCGGGCGUGUCGACAGACCCCAUACGUGGCGUUGGUUGUACCGGCGUAUGGGGAGAUUUGUGAUAUGAAAUUGAGGUCCCACGUGGCGUAGGUUAUCCGGCGUUGGGACAGGCCCCAUACGUGGCGUUGGUUGUACCGGCGUAUGGGGAAAUAUGUGAUAUGAUGGCAUGGUCGCACGUGGCAUAGGUUAUUCGGCUUGUUGACAGGCCCCAUACGUGGCGUUGGUUGUACCGGCGUAUGGGGAGAUUAUUUGAAAUGCAGAGAAACGAAAUAUGGUAUCGCCCAAAUGUGGAAUUGGGUUUUAGGGAAGAACUACGUGUGGCUUGAUCCCUCAAGGAGGGUACGUAGGCAGCCUAAGGUUAAUAGGUGCAGCCGCAGACUAAAUGUUAGUCAUAAUUGAUAUUUGAAUUGUUUGGUAGUUGGUUAAGAAUUAUUGGAAGGCCGAAGGCCAUUUGUGUGAAUUGCAUGAAAUUAUAUUGUGCAUGCUGCCAGUUGGGAAUAUUAAAUGCGUUUUUAUGCAGGUAUAAAUUUUAGGAAAUGUCCAAUUUAUAGGGGAGACUCUGCCGAAUUUUCGGCAGGAAGUCUCAGUUUUUAGUAUCUGGGCCUGGCAUCGGGAGGAUGUCGGGAAUUCCAAAGGGUCGUCUCGAGUUCUGAAAAAUUCGGUGCGGGUCCUUUCAAACACCUUAUAAAAUAUCCAACGCCGUGCAUCUCUGUUAAAACCAGAUCACAGCCAAACCACCAAAACCAUGCAAACCCAUAUGCUGAUCACCAUUUUUACUAGCACCCUUACCCAUUCUUUCCUCUUCAAGCUUUGGUGAGAAAACAAGAAACAAAAGUGGGCGGAUCUUCACCCACAUGGAGAAAUCCAGCUGCCUGAGGGCCCUGGAACUCCAAAAAACUUCUUACCUACAUGCUCAGGCUAGGGAAGUUUCACCAAAUAAGCAAGAAUGGAAGAAAGUGAAGGAAAAGGGGAAAGGGUGGCUUGACGAAAUUAAGGUUUUCAGCACUUAUAAAAGGAAACACUUUCUAUCCAGCAAAAACAACUCACCCUGGUUGCUGCAAGCCUCCUAGCAACCAUGAGAAUUCAUUGAAGGCAAGCAUCCCCUUUGGAACCCUUCAAUUUCAUGCUUUGUUCUUCCAUCUUCCUCCUUUCUCUCUCUCUCAAAACCCACAUCCAGAGAGAGCAAGCAUCAUCUCUCAUCUUUGGAACCCUUCGAUUUGAAGCCUUGUUCUUCCAUUGCUUCCCAUUUUCUCUUCUGUCAAAUCACCUAGGAGCUUGACGAAACUUUCGUCAAGCUGCUGGAAAUAUGGUAAAGCCACCCAUGCUUCCAUCUUCUUCCUCUCUUUCCAUAAACACACAUCCAAAGAGCAAGCUUCAUCUCUCAUCCUCUAAACCUCUGCAAUUUCAAGCCUCAUUCCUCUAUCUUCUCCCAUUUUCAGCGGUAGUGAGAAUGAUUUCUGCGUGUGCAUGGGAAGGAUUGUAACUCAGAUGAGGAGGAGAUGGUUUGGAGUGGGGUGAGGCAGUUGGAUAGAGCUCUUGGCCUUUUCAAGUUUGGAUGGGAAAGAGCAGGGAUGAAAGAAGCUUUACAACUGCAAGGGCAUAUAUGGUGCGUAGGGGCUGAAGGCAGAACACUUACAUAUAGAGGAAACACAUUUUUUGUCCAUGGGAUUCAUGUUUGACAAACACUUGUCUUAGACUAUGAGUUCAAAUUUCAAAACCUUUUUUUUUUCUUUCUGAAAUCAGGACCAGUGUGGAGAACUAGCAAGGAUUGGAGAAACAGAUUUUUGGGCGUCACUUGACCACAGAUUGUUGAUUGCUCAAAUGUGUAGAAUUGGCCAUCUUAAAUGUCAAAAUGAUUUAUCAAUUGGGGUUUUUUUAGAAACGUUUAUGUUUGUCAAUAGAGACAGAAGUCAGAGAACAUAAACCUUUCUCAGCAAAUUGAAAUUCUCAGUGCAUGCUCUGUUCUUCCAUGGCUUUCAAACCUUCUCUGCCACGGUGAAAUGGAUCGAUAGAGAUAGUUUAGGCCGUUCCAUUUGUUUGAUGAAGCAUUCGUUCUAGGGAUUCUGUAUAUUCAUAACAAAAUCACUAGAAUGAUUCUUAGAAAUUCAUCACUGCUAAAGGCAAUGGGUUCAGCAUAAUAACUUCUUAGUCUUGCUUCUUGGUCCUUUAUUUUCUUUGCAUAAUACUCCAAGUUUACCUGGGUUCUACAGAGAAAAUCUCGUAGAUACCUCUUUUUGUGGUCUUCCAUGGCAUUUAAGUGCUGCUUUCCAUGGUGAAGUGGGCCUAUAGAGACUACCUGAGGUGUGUAGGCUUUGUCAUUUCCACGCCGUAAUCGCUCAGGAACUCUGUAGAUACACCUUCAAGGGGGACAAGGGAGACAAACUAUCCAAUUCCUUGCGCCUUACAAAUAGAUCGCAUGGGUUUUCUAUUUCAUCUGCAGCUUCAUCAAUUCCUUCCAUUUUUCUCCUGAUCAUCAUGCGCGGUGAUUCAAAUAUUUCAUAAUGAACAUUGAAAUGAGAUGCUACAAGCAAACUUAUGAAAAGAAACAGAAAUACCAAAAAGACAAAUCAAUGUAGAUGGUUUAGAAAAUCUAAACAUUGCAAUUAUACUCCUUUGCCCAACUUCUAGGAGCAAACGUACACAAAGACCUUAUUGCUUCCAACUUUUCCAACAGAAUUUCAUAUGAAUUGCUCCAAGUGAAAUCCGUAUGAAAAAUCGGUAGUUGGAUUUUCAUCCUGCUUUAAUAUGAUUAUUUAACUUCUAACAAAAAAACUCUUAUUACUUGAGCAAGUAAAAUACUAUUCCAGGUUUCUCCUAGUUCUAUAUGCGCUUAUAAUUGGUAUACUCUAUAAAUACCAUAAUCUGAAUUUCUCUGUUUUGAUUACUUUAAUUUAUUACUUAUGUUUUAAUUAUUGUUUACUUAGUGAAUUAUUAGUAUUUAAGAGAAGGCCUUCCAUCGAUUAGGCACCACGUGUCUAUAAUAAGUAAAGCCGUCCGGCUAUACUUAAAAAAAAAAAAAAUUGUAGUAUAGCCGACCGGUAUAGCCGCGCGGCUAUACUAUUUAAUACAUUAUAUUUAAACGGUAUAGCCGCGCGGCUAUACUAUUUAAUAAAAUAAAAAACAAAAGAAAAAGAAAAAUUACCCUCCUAUUUCAUUAGUUUGUACUUUAUAGAUACUAGCCCCUUGACACAUGCUCACGCAUGUGCCAAUUGGUUUUCUUUUUCUUUUUUAUUUUUAUUUUUAGAAUUAAGAAAAAAUAACAGGAUAGUUAUGUUCCAUAAAAGUAGGACCUAUUAUCUUAUUUUGUUUUUAAUUUUAAUUUUUUUAAUAUUAAAAAAAUAUGAAUUUACGAUAUUAUCCUCAUUUAAUUAAUAAUUUCAAUUCUUAAUGUUUGAAUUAACAAAGGGCAUUUUCUGGUAUUUUGAAUGUUUCACCAUUCUCUGCCUUUUGCUUUAUAUAUAUAGAUUAAUUUGCCAGUUUCAAGAUAUCCAAAGUACAUAUUAGACUUUCACUAUAUAAAUUUCAAUAUAUAUUUUUUAUAACAUGUGUUGUUCUUAUUCAAUAAUAUGUGAGAAUUAUUUGUAUAAUACGUGAAUUUUGUGUGUCUUACUGAAUUUUUUUAAAUACGUGUAUUAAACGUUACAAAUACGUACAUAUAUGUACAACACGACUAUUGUAAGUUUGCUAUAUAAAAAAAAGUGAGAUGUAUCUAGAACACGAAUGUAUUAUCGAAAAAUAUAUAUGUAUGUAUAUAUAUAUAUAUAUAUGUAAAAGCCUAUAGCCUCUCACCUAUACUAUUUAUUAAAGACAAUUUAAAAAUUACAACAACAAAAAAACCAGUACAGCCACAAAGCUAUACUAUUUUAAAAAAAAAAAAUAGAAAAAAUAUCAAGUACUACACAGGGCAAAGGCCCAGUGUAAAAUAGUAUAGCCGUACGGCUAUACGUUUUUAAGAAGAAUUUAAAAAACUAAGUAUAGCUCACCGACUAUACUAUUUUUUAAUAUAAAAAAACAACCCCAUCCAUUAGGCGCCACGUGUCAACAGAAGUUUAUUUUUAAAAAAAAAAAUUAAAAGACAAGGAGUAUAGCCGGGUGGUUGUACUAUUUUUUUAUUUUAAAAAGAAGACAGUCCAUCGAUUAGGCGCCACGUGUCCAUAAUAAGUACAGCCGCUCGGCUAUAUGUUGGAUAUUUUGAAACUAGCAAAUUAAUAUCAAUAGCCGGUCGUAACCUAUGCUGUCCACGUCACUCAUGUUUUACCAGAGUUAAAGCAUCCACAAUGAGCUCCCCAAACCAUCUCUUUAGACAAAUUUUAGGGAGAAAUUGGAAAAGUACAACUCCAACCAUGCUCCCUAUCCACCAACUAAAAUAGGGAGACCUCUAGGAGCUCCUAAAUCUGAGGAGAGGGAAAGGACUCUUAGUGACUCCCUAUAAUUUAAUGUUGCUUUGUUUUAUGCAUAUUUUAAACUUUUAAUUAAAUCAAAUUAUUAUUUUAUAUUAUUUUGUAUACAGAUGGACCAAUUAUAUUAAAUUAAAAAAUAAUUAAAGUAUUUGUGACUCUCUAAACUAAGGAGUAUGAUUAGAGUUCAAAUUUUAUAAAAAGCUCUUAAAAUAGCUUUUGUGUGUUUUUAGCUAAAUUUUAACUAAAAAAUUUGAAGAUUCUUUAUUUGGGUUUCUUUCAAGACGAAAACCAUAUCCACAACAGACAUCUUUGGCUGUUCAUCACAAUUGAGAGACAAUGAAGAAGACAUAAGGGAGAGGCUGCCAAAUACUUAUCACCUUAGCCACCACCAACACCACAAGACCAAUAUGUGUAGGCCAGGAGGCUUUCCAAUUUUAAUAUAUAUAUAUAUAUAUAUUAAAAAAUAAAAUAAAAAUCAAUCUAUUAUCAUAUAUAUUAUAAAAUAAAGAUUAUUGCUCCAUCCUCCAUGCACUUGCGUGCCCUCUUACAAAGUAUGAAGUAGAUUUUGUUAGCUGGAUUUAUAAGAUCUUUUGUUUUUUGGAAAUUUUCUGAAAUAAGGAAAAUCAAGUAAAAUUAAUAAAGCAUAAAUUGGAAAGGGAAAAUAUCUAGAGGAUGCAUUGUAGGAUUGCUCAAGCCAAUAAUUGUACCCUCUAAAUAUAUAGGGACAUAUUUUUUUUGUUUUCAUGACAUGUCGUCCUAAAAUUAUUGUUCUUAGCGGGCUCUCCACCCCCUCUCGAUUGAAAACCUAUUGUGUAAAUCUUCAAUCCUGAAUUAGAAAAGUACAACUCCAACCAUGCUCCCUAUCCAUCUCCUAAAAUAGGGAUACCUCUAGGAGCUCCUAAAUCUGAGGCGAGAGAAAGGACUCUUAGUGUCUCUUUAUAAUUUAAUGUUGCUUUGUUUUAUGCAUAUUUAAACUUUUAAUUAAAUCAAAUUAUUUUUUUAUAUUAUUUUGUAUACAAAUGGACCAAUUAUAUUGAAUUAAAAAUAAAUUAAAGUAUUUAUGACUCUCUAAACUAGGGAGUAUGAUUGGAGUUCAAAUUUUAUAAAGAGCUCCUAAAAUAGCUUGUGUGUGUAGGGGUCUUUUUCUUCUGGCAACUACAGAUGGGUUGGGCUACCGUAAGGAGCAAACUGAAGAAAAUAUCCCCUGUGUCUGAGUUCAAAGAUUCGGCCCCAAAAUAUUUCGAAAAGGCAGUAAAGCCUUAGGAAACACCUUAGUUACCUUCACCAACGAAAAUGACGGCUGCUUACAGGUAGAUUCUUAGUGCUUACAGAUGAAUUCUUAGCUUAGCAUGAGGAGAUCGUGGCAUGGAAGCAAAGUUAGCAUGAGUUUAGCACUAAAGAGAAAAUUAUGUGUUCUUGGGAGGAAGAAGGGGUGUCCAGGUAAAUGGGAAAAGGUUUUGCAAGUAGAUUUGGCUAAGAGAGAAGGGAGAGAGAGAAGAGGGUGGCUAGAGUGCUUCUUCCGGCAGCUUGACAGUGACUCUGUCAAAUGUUAGAGCAAUCUGCCAUAAGAGGGAAAAUGGGGAAGAAGGAUGAACAGUGCACAAAAUUGCUAGGUUUUUGCAAGUAAGAGAGGAAGCUUGCUCUCUGGAUGUGGAUGAUCCGUUGGGUAGAAGAGGCCCCAUUUUAUAGCCGCUGGAAACUAUCAUUUCUCAAGAAACCCUAAUAGUUUCUACCCAAUUUGGUCAAGCUUUUCCCUUCCUUUCUCAUCUCCUCCCUUGACUUUUCCUAUCUUGGUGAAAUUUCCUCUGUCUAUUUGCACAAAAUCAGGAGCUCAAGGCCUCCCUUUCCCGCAACUGUUCAAUGGGAGACUCCAUUCUUAGCUAUUUUUCUUCUUCUUUCCUUCCUCCUUCCCUGACCAAAUCUGAUGAAGGAAAGCAAAUAGGUGCACACAUUGGUUUGAAGGGUGCUUCUCCUUCUAGCAGCUUACAUGCCAAUAUCCCUUGGGUCCUUGCAUGUUUUUUGCUUUGAAACUUGUUUCUUCCUUCCCGUCAACUCACGUGGUCUUCCAUGCUUCUUCAUGGCUUUAUCUUUCAGCCAAAAGAUGGAGUUUUUACUGCUUGCUACUUUUAAUUGUAUGGGUCUUCUAGGAUAGGAAGUCAACCUACCAAACAAAUGGGCCACCUUUAUCAAAUAUUGGGCUGUUGGGGUUAGUUUUAGUGGGCCAUUUUGACUGGGCUUUUUGGUUGGGUUAUUUAAGUUAUUUUCCCUUUUGUGCUCACCCAUGUAUUUAGGCCUAAGAAAUGGGCUUGGGCUCCGAGUCUCCCAAGCAACCCGGAACCUCCAUUUCUUGGCCCAUUAAUGGGCCUCAUGACAACCUAUUACCAUCCAUACCACAACCCACUCAAGCAAGCCCCGGGCAUUUGAAUGGCUUUGGCCCACUUUAGGCUUGUAGUGUGAUUGGGUGUGGCAUAACGAUUUCUCGCUUGGCAUGGCAUGUUGCUUGGCAUGUUUUUUCAUUACGAUGCUUGAUGGAUUUGUAGAGCUACCUAUUUUUAUGAUCUUAAUCUUGAUUCCUAGCAUGACAAAUUUAUUUAUUUGGCAUGGCAUGCGGAGCGUGACUUGUGCGUGGCGAGUUUUGUAUGCUCCAACUUGGGCCUUUCCUAAAUAAUGUAUCAUUUUGGGUUAUGAAUUCUUUCGGGCCCAACCGUGAAUUUUUUGGGUUUCAACAGUGUGUUUUUAGCUAAAUUUUAACUAAAAAAUAGGGAGCAUGAUUGUAGAUCAUCUUAUAUACCUUAAUUUGAAGAUUCUUUAUUUGGGUUUCUUUCAAGAUGAAAACCAUAUCCACAACUGGCAGACAUCUUUGGCUGUUCAUCACAAUUGAGAGACAAUGAAGAAGACAUAAGGGAGAGGCCGCCAAAUACUUAUCACCUCAGCCACCACCAACACCACAAGACCAAUAUGUGUAGGCCAGGGGGCUUUCCAAUUUUAAUAUAUAUAUAUGGAGUGAAAAAAAUAAAAUAAAGAUUAUUGCUCAUCCUCCAUGCACUUGCAUGCCCUCUUACAAAGUGUGAAGAAGAUUUUGUGUGCUUCAAGUCAUUGACUAGAGCUGAAACAUGGUUAGCUGGAUUUAUAAGAUCUUUUGUUUUCUGGGAAUUUUCAGAACCAAGGAAAAUCAAGUAAAAUUAAUAAAGCAAAAUGGAAAGGGAAAAGAUCUAGAGGAUGCAUUGUAGGAUUGCUCAUGCCAAUAAUUGUACCCUCUAAAUAUAUAGGGACAUAUUUUUUUUGUUUUCAUGACAUGUUGUCCUAAAAUAUUUGUUCCUAGCGGGCUCUCCACCCCCUCUCGAUUGAAAACCUAUUGUGUAAAUCUUCAAUCCUGAACGAUGCUCCUAAAACUCAAGUGUCCCAGGCCAAUUAUUGCUCUCAUACCACUUGUUGCAAUACACAUCCACUCAUUCUCAGGGAAAGAAACCCAUCGAUAUUAUCUCAAAUUUAACCACUUUAGUCUAUUAUGAUUAACUAUGUAUUUUAUGGAUCAAUGCAGUUGUGAGGUUUUAUACCCAAUUAGAUCGACCAAUACAGAGAUCACAUGUGGACUGAAAAGCGCCAUCGGUAGGGGAGUGUUUGGCACCCUUUACUGCCGAGUGCAACACAAGACCCCUUACCAGGAACUUAUCUACUAGGACACGUGAAGCCACCACAAGUAAUAUCAACAGUCCCACAUCGAAGUUUAACAUAACAUGUACACUCCCCAGGACUGAUAAAAGUGGGCACAAGUCCCAAAAAUGGGGGAACUUGGACUUUCAGCAAUUCAUCCAUUAUUAUGUCCAAAUUACUAUACACUCCGUACUUAUUCUUACUUAAGCAUUGGAGAGCCUUCGGCCGGUACCACACCAGUGCCUAAGGGCUUACCGAGCGUUCUCUAUCUUGCAUAUUGAUCGCUCUACUGAAGCCCAUAAAGAGUUAAAGGUCAAGACAUCACUAAGUUGAGCCCAAAAGUGCUGAACCACAUCAAAAAUAUGUAUAGAUUGAAAAAAUAAAAUAAAAAUCAAUCUAUUAUCAUAUAUAUUAUAAAAUAAAUAUUGGAUAAAUUACUCAAAUGGUCCUCAAACUUAUACUCGAUUUACAUUUUGGUCUCUCAAUUAAAUUAUUUGUUCAAAUGGUCCAUCAACUCUAUAUUAUUUCUGCAAAAUCUACAAAGUGGUGGGAGGCAGACCAACAAAAAAAAUUAGCGAAGGCUUAUAACUCUGGUAAAACAAGAGUUACUUGGAUAGAAUAAUGUUACGUCGUACUGAAGAUUUUUGGGUUUCUUUAAUUGGUUAAGUGAAGAUUCUUUAUUUGGGUUUCUUUCAAGAUGAAAGCCAUAUCCACAACCACAACCACAACUGGCAGACAAUCUUUGGCUGUUCAUCACAAUUGGGCGACAAUGAAGAAGACAGAAAUUGGAGUACUGUAUGUUAUCACCCACACCACAAGACCAAUAUAAGGAGGAUGGGGAGGCUGCGGAAUACUUAUCACCUUAGCCACCACCUACACCACAAGACCAAUAUGUUGUAGGCCAGGAGGCUUUCCAAUUUUAAAUUAGAUAAAUCGGAAACUGUUUCGAUAUCCAAUUGUAUUCUAUAAAAUCAAUGAACACGGUGCUUCAAGAAAGUAAUAAAAUUUCAAUAAUUCAAUUGAGUGGUCAAAUUCAAGUGAUUUUUUGUAGUGAUGAUCUUUGAAUGAGUAUCUAUAAAAGAGACGGUUUGGAUUAGUGAAAUACAAUAUGGAGUGGGCCCUACCAGCAAUCCACGACAAAAUGUCUGCAAGCUUUCGUAAUAUAAGGAGGAUGGGGAGGCUGCGCAAUACUUAUCACCUUAGCCACCACCUACACCACAAGACCAAUAUGUUGUAGGCCAGGAGGCUUUCCAAUUUUAAUAUAUAUAUAUAUAUAUAUAUAUAUAUAUAUAUAGGGAUGUGAUUUCUCUACUCCCCUUUUCUCUACUUAUACUCCCUUUUGCUUUUAAAUACUUUUUAAUCAAUUUUUUUUCCGCUUUCCUAUUAAUAUUCUACCAUUUCCCUACAUUAAUUUCUUUUUACUUCACUUUUAUAUUAGUUCUUUUUCUUUAUACUUAAUUUUUCAACUUGCACUCCAUUUUCAUUAUUUUUUUCCUAAUCGAGUAAGAAAUUAAGUUUUUUUUCCCCAUUUAAUACUGAAAAUGGAGUGUAAGUUAGAAAAUUAGGUAUAAAGAAAAAGAAAUAAUAUAAAAGUAAAGUAAAAAAGAAAUUAAUGUAGGGUAAAGGUAGAAUAGAAAAGAGAAUGAACAAAAUUGAUAAAUAAAUAAAAAAGGUUUAAAAAGCAAAAAGGAGUGUAAAUGGAGAAAAGGGGAAUGAGGAAAUCAGCUCCAUAUAUAUAUAGAUUGAAAAAAUUAAAAUUAAAAUCAAUCUAUUAUCAUAUAUAUUAUAAAAUAAAGAUUAUUGCUCCAAGGAAAUGACAUCUUUUGUUUUCUGGGAAUUUUCUGAACCAAGGAAAAUCAAAUAAAAUUAAUAAAGCAUAAAUUGGAAAGGGAAAAGAUCUAAAGGAUGCAUUGUAGGAUUGCUGAUGCCAAUAAUUGUACCCUCAAAUUAUACAUGGACAUAGGGGUGGGCAUUCAAAUAGGCAAACUAGAAAUCCGAGCUGAACCGCACCUAGGAAAACCGGAAAAAAAACCGAGUUGACCAAAAAGUCAACAACUGGUCAAAAAUCGAACCGGACCGAUUUGGACUGGUUUUGGAUUCAGUUUAUAUGCAAUGCUACAUUUUUAGUCUCAUAACUAAUAUUUAUCCAAGUUCAAUUUCAAAACAUCUUUCUUUUUUAGCUUUAAUAUUUAUUUUUAUAUGAAAUUAAAUAAUUUAUUAAUUUUCAAGUAAAUAAAAUAAAAUUUCAGUUGAAAUUUAUAUUAAAAAAAUAAUUUUAAUAAUCCAGUUCAAAACCAAACCGGACCAUCCAGCUGUGAGGUACAUUUCUCCCACAUGCCACAAUUGUAUAUUCACAAUUACGUCUGAUACAUCACAUCAUGCCACUUGCCUCAAAUGAAUUUAAGUGAGUGUGGCAGUGGAAAGUAAUUAAGCUCUAUAUUGGUGGGUGGACUGUUACUUCUGGGUUCCCCUCAUCAUUCGUCUAUAAAAUGGUGAAGGCAGUUGCUAUUGUUACCAUAAGAGCCAGCUCCGACUUCCUUUAAUUUCUUGCUUCAUAUCCACUAGCUACAUCUGUUACCAAGUUAAUUUCAGUCCUAAUGGGGUUUCAUCUCCCACUCAUCUUUGCUCUUCUCAGUGUAAGCUCUGCAAUUUGAUUAACUUUUCCAUUCUCUCUCAUUGUACUCUAUAUAAACGAAAGUUUUGUGUUCCUAUAAUUCUCUCCGAUUUUAUUUAGUACGUACUUAAGUGUCGUCCACUAAUUAAUUACACUUUGUGAUUUGAUUUUAAUUUGAGUUCGAAUUAAUGUUGCAGCUAGCAGCAGUGGCACUGGCAAACCAUGCUGCUCAACCAGCACCUCAACUUUACUGGAACUCCGUCCUGCCAAACACACAGAUGCCAAGAUCUAUCAGUGAACUUCUGCAUCCUGGUUUGUGUUGAGCUCUUUAGAAUCUUAGAUAUCUCUUCUACCUGCCAUUUUACUAAAAUAUGUUCCACCACAUAUUUAUCAGUUAACCACUGUUAUUACAUGAGUGACACAUAUUCACAAAUCGGCUGAUCACUUAUUUUCCAUUAUGACGUUGAUAUAUAAUUUGCAGACUCCACAAAUGAAGAAAAGAGCACAAAUGACGUUGGCAAACCUGAAACUUUCCCAUUGGGCAAUAAACAUUACUCCAGUCAAAAACAUUAUGGAAGAGGCAAACCUGAAACUUUCCCAUUGGGCAAUAAACAUUACUCCAGUCAAAGACAUUAUGGAAGAGGCAAACCUGAAACUUUCCCAUUGGGCAAUAAACAUUACUCCAGUCAAAGACAUUAUGGAAGAGGCAAACCUGAAACUUUCCCAUUGGGCAAUAAACAUUACUCCAGUCAAAAACAUUAUGGAAGAGGCAAACCUGAAACUUUCCCAUUGGGCAAUCAGCAUUACUCCAGUCAAAAAAAGUAUGGAAGAGGUGCUUCUCCAUCCGACAAUCAACCACCAAUUCCAUAGAAAUUCAAACACGGCUACUUUCUUGCCACGAGAAAGCGCUCAAUCGAUCCCCUUCUCCUCUAACAAACUACCAGAAAUUUUCAACCAUUUUUCAGUGAAGCCAACAUCUGAGGAAGCCAAAACAAUUAAGCAAACAAUCGAAGAGUGUGAAGCUCCAGACCUUAAGGGAGAGGAAAUAUAUUGCGCCACAUCUUUAGAAUCAAUGGUUGAUUUUAGCACUUCGAAGCUUGGAACAAGAAACGUUGAAGCAAUCUCGACGGAGGUAUUGGAAAAAGGAGCCACCAUGUCCAUCCAAAACUAUACAACAAUGCCGGGACUGAAGAAGUUGGCAGGUGACAAAGUCGUUGUGUGUCAUAAGCAGAACUAUCCCUAUGCUGUGUUUUUCUGCCAUGCAAUAAAACAUACAGCAGCUUAUGCUCUCUCCCUGAAAGGCGAUGAUGGGGAGAAGGUUAAAGCAGUAACCAUCUGCCAUCUAGACACAUCAGAAUGGGACCCAGAGCAUAUGUCCUUCAAAAUCGUCAACGUUAAGCCCGGAACCAUUCCCAUCUGCCAUUUCAUUUCCACUGAUGCUAUUGCCUGGGUUCCGAACCACAAAUCUGCAUGAUCAUCACUUAGCACUAGUACUGUGCGUAUAAUAUGCCUGUAUAAUUAUCUCCCUACUUAUUUCUGCCUGUUCAUCAUGUGGUGUAAGAUAUAUGUUGAGAUGAAGUUUUUGGGAUUAGUGGUCGAAAUUAACCCGAUCAUGUUUUCUCUUGUAACUAUAUAGACUUCAACUUGUACUCAUAAUAAAGCAUGCUAUAUUUAUGAAGAGAUAUUAAUCUUCAGGCAAAUAGAUAUUAUGAAAACAUAUAUAGCAAUUUAUCCAGAAGAAAUAUUAUGAAAUGAAAAGAAUAAAAAGUAAAAAAACAGAAGGAAAGGAAUUCGCACCUGCUAUGUAUGAAAGGACCAAGAUUGUUUUCCCUUUGGUUAAUGACUAGAAAAGCUCACUUGCAGAUUGCUUUCUCUGACCGUAGAUGCAACAGAAAUUUUCUCUUAAUAAUAGCACAAUGAUCGGGUAAUUGUAAGAACAAGUUGAUUUAAAAUUCCUUGACCCAAAAAAAAAAAAAAAAUCAUUUCAAAUUCAGGUCAACCCAUAGAUUUCUUGCCUUUUUCUUCUUCAUCACGUUGGGCUUGUCUUCUUCUUGAGGAUUGUAUAGGCCCAGGAAAUGCUUUGAGGUAGUUUUUGGCCUUGGAAGUUGGGACCCAACCCAACUUCACAAAAAGAAAACAGAUUUGCCAAAAAUCAAAUUUCAAGUCUCUCCUCAGAUCACUAAUACAGAUCAAAUUUUGGAUUUGAUGAACUAAAGUGGUUUUACUUUCUCUGUCAGUGUUUGAUGACUUAAUUUGUUAUUUACUUCUUUUUUUUUUUUUACUUGAUCUUUGUAGGGGUUUUUUUCUUCCGGUAACUUAAACGGGCUGGGCUGCCGUAAAGGGUAGAUUGAUGAAAUUGUCUCCUUUGUCUGAGUUCGAAAAUCAAGCCCCAAAAGCGCUUCGAAAGGGCAGUAGAGCCUUAGGAAGCGUUCUAGUCAUCUUCACCAACUAAAACAACAGCAACUUACAGAUGAUUUCUUAAGGCUUACAGAUAAAUUUUCUAGCUUGGCAUGAGAGGCUUGUGACAUGGAAGCAAAAUCAGCAUGAGUUUAGCACCAAAGAGGAAAAUAUGGCUUCCUAGGGAGAAAUGGGAGUGUUUAAGGUGAGGAAGAAGAGGUUUGCAGGCUGAUUUGGCUGAGGAGAGAGAAAGAAAGAACAAUGUUCUUCCAGUAGCUUGACAAAGCUUCUGACAGAUGUGAAAGUCGUCUGCCAUAAGAGGAAAAUGAAGAAGAAUGGUGAAUAGUGCAUGAAAUUGCUGGGUUUUUGCAGGUAAGAGAGAAAGCUUGCUCUCUGAAUUUGAGUUGGUUUUUGGUUGGGUAGAAGAGGCCCCCUUUUAUAGCUGCGGGAAACCAUCUUUUUUCAAGAAACCCUAAUGGUUUCUAUCCAUUUUGGCCAAGCUUUUCCCUUCAUUUCUCUUCUCCUCCCUUGACUUUUCCUAUCUUGGUGAAAUUUCCUCUGCCUAUUUGCACAAAAUUAGAGAUUUUGAGGAGCUCAAGACCCCUUUCCCGCAGCUGCCUCAGUGGAGAAUCCCCAUUUUCAGUCAUCUUUCUUCCUUCUUUUCUCCCAUCUUCCAAGGUUAGGUCUGAUGAGGGAAAGAAAUGGGUAUGCACACUGGUUUGAAGGGUAUUUUUGCUUGAAACUUGUUCUCUCCCAUGUGCUGGAGCUUCCCAGCAACUUACACACAUGGAUAUUUUGGCUUUCAUCGUGGCUUUUGUUUUCAGCUAGGUGCUGGAGAUUUCGCAGAUAUUUUCAUGAGUUGCUUGGGCCUUCUAGGACAAUAGGUUGGUUUAUCAAGUGAAUGGGCUAACUUCAUCAAUUGUUGGGCUAUUUUGGUUGAGUUAAUGGACUAUUUUGGUUGAAGUAAUGGGCUAUUUUGGUUGAAUUAAUGGGCUAUUUUUCUCUCUUUGUGCUCACCCACAUAUUUGGGCCUAAGAAAUGGGCUUGAGUUCCGGGGCUCCCAAGCAACCCCGGGACUUCCAUUUCUCGGCCCAUCAAUGGGCCUCAUAUCAACUUAUUACCAUCCAUAUCACAACCCACUCAAGCAAGCCCUGGGCAUCUUGCGUGGCUUGGGCCCACUUAAGCUUGUAGCGUGACGUGUUGCUUAUUUGCUUGGCAUGGCAUGUGUGCAAGCGCAUAUGACGAACUUUAGCGUGCCCAAAUUGGGUUUAUUCUCGGUAAGGUAUCGCAUUGGGCCGAGAAUUUAAUUGGGCAGAACUGUGGAUUUUUGGGCCUCAACAAUCUUAUAUAUAUUGGUUUUCUUUUUUUCCUUAAUAUUCACCACCUUUCUGUUGCAUAAGUAUUUCAGUCUUAACGGGUUUCCAUCUACCACUCAUCUUUGCUCUUUUAAGUGUAAGCUUUUUUUUUUUUUUUUUAAGCACAAGAUUAGAGGGGAGGGGGAUUUCUCAAUGUAAGCUUUGCAGUUUCAUAAUUAAUAUUUCCAAUAUCUCACUGUUAGUAAAAUAUGGAACAGGAAAAGUAUGAAUAAAAUACACACAUGUUUUAUUUAGCAAAAUUUUGACAAGAUACAACUGAAAAGUUUGGCCACUAUAUAAUAUUUUGAUAUAAUUUCUACACUUCUUCUCAAAAGAUUAGAUCACUUCACAUCUUGUGUAUGUGAAAACUAAUGUAAAAAGUUGAAACUUUAUCGUAAAACCUCGACAAAAAUGAGCUCUACUAGAAAAUGUUCAAUUUGGAUUCGUUGAUUUAAAUGGCAAUUUGACACUUGAUAGAAAUUUUUACAUACAUGUGUUAGUGUUUGAUCACUUCACAUGUUACUUACUAUAUUUAUUCCACUCAAGUUAGGUAAAUAUUAUUAUCAAACAUUUCAAUUAAUUUGUGAUUUUUUUAUUAUUUAAUCAAUUAUGAAUUAAUGGAUUCUUCUUGUUGUUUUGAAGACCAAUAAAAAAAAAAGGGUAAGGAUGGCUUAUAACUCUGAUAAAACAACAGUGACGUGGACAGCAGAUGUUACACCGUACUGAAGAUUUUUGAAGAUUCUUUAUUUGGGUUUCUUUCAAGAUGAAAACCAUAUUAUCCACAACCACAAUGAAGAAGACAGAAAAUGGAGUAAUUCAGAUGUUACCAGCCAUCCACGACAAACUGAAGUCUGCAAAGCAUUCGUAAUCUAAAGGGAGACUUUGGAAAAGCCCAAAGGAGAGAGAAAAUUUUUAAAAGAAGCAAAAAUGGACAAAAUUGCCCUUAUUUAUUUUUUGAUUUCCUAAGAAAUCCUUUACAUUUGCAUGUCUUUGGUUUGAAAGUUGAGAGGUUAUUCUGUCUUUUUUCAAAAAGCUUUGGCUUUUUCCAAAAGUGAAAGUUUUUUUAUGGGUAAAACCUAAAUUUACUUAAUCCCUAAAAAGGAUGGGGAGGCUGCGCAAUACUUAGCCACGUGUAGGCCAGGAGGCUUUCCAAUUUUAAUAUAUAUAUAAAUUGAAAAAAUAAAAUAAAAAUCAAUCUAUUAUCCUAUAUAAAAUAAAGAUUAUUGCUUCCAUGGGCAGUGCUAUGCACAGGACAGUGCCUGCCCAGCACAAAUUUUUUUUAAAUAAAAAAAAAAAAUCUACAUAUGUUAUAAGCUCAUCCAAAAAAAUAAAAUAAAAUAAAAGUAAAUUCUACAUAUAUGUUGCCCAUCUAGGUGGUUCCAUAUCUUCUCUCUCCUUCUCUUUUGGCUAUUAGACUUCUUGUUUCUCUCUCUCUCUUUGCUACCUCACAUCAGCAAGUUUCUCCCUCUCUUUUUUUGGGGUCAAAUUCUUCCUCUAUUGACAAAAUCUUCUAUUAUCUUGGGUGGGCAACUUGGCAACAACAUCUUCUCUUCUCCUUUUGUCAACAACAAGUAUUAUUCUCAUUCUCUCAUUUGCUAUAUAUCUUUAAUUAUAGUUUUAAUUUAAAAUUGAGUAUUCUAGGGUUUAAUUAGGGAUGAAUUAUAAUUUUAGAAUUUUGUUGAAAUUAAUUAAGGCUUCGAUUAGGGGUGAAUUAUUCUACUGCUUUGGUUUGGAAUUUUGUUAAAAUUGAGUAUUAUAGGGUUUAAUUAUGGAUGAAUUAUAAUUUUUGAUUUUGGUAUUAUUGAGAUGUUAUUAUGAGAAUUUGUUUCAUUUUUUUAUUGGUAUAUUUGAUUAAAAUUCUUUCUACAUAUUAUUCAUAGGCUAUCUUUUAUUAUGUCGGAUCACAAUCGGAAUCCCAAGAGAACAAAGAAUUUGAAUAGUGUUGUUUUGUAUUGCAUUGCAUUUACUUUUGGUUUUAGUUUUGCUUUUAGUGUAAAUUACUCAAAUGGUCCUCAAAUUUGUACCCGAUUUACAUUUUGGUCCAUAAACUAAAUUAUUCAUUCAAAUGGUGCACCAACUCUUUAUUAAUCAGUGCUUUGGUCCUACCGUUAUGUUUUCUAUUAAAUUUAGUCAUGUGAGCAGCACAUGCUACAUUUGUAGGGGUAAAUAAGACUUUUGACCACUUUAUCACCUAUGUAUCACCACUUUAUAACCUAUUUGGAGAACAUAGGUCAGUUAUGGACGGUUUUACAAUUAUAUUUGACGGCAACAUUAACAUAAUGUAACAGUGGGAUCAAUGGAGCGAUUAAUAUAGAGUUGAUGGACCGUUUGAACGAAUAAUUUAAUUGAGGGACCAAAACGUAAAUUGAGUAUAAGUUUGAGGACCAUUUGAGUAAUGUACCCUUCGCUUUUAUAUUUGUUGAACUUUUAUUUAUGGAUAGAUAUGCAUUUGAGGGUAAGACCCAUUAUGUUCCCCCUGACUUGGUGUAUCUUUUUAUGUUUAUUAAUGAAAUUCACUCGAACUGUUGAGUUUAGUAUGUAAGUUUUGCCUAACCGGCUUUUGAAUCCUAGAACCGCCACUGUUGCUCCAUCCUCCAUGCACUUGCAUGUGCUCUUACAAAGUGUGAAGUAGAUUUUGUGUGCUCCAAGUCAUUGACUAGAGCUGAAACAUGGUUAGCUAGAUUUAUAAGGACCCAUCUCUCUAUUUCCUAGACAUAUACCCAUCUCUCUAUAAAUCUAUAUGUAAAACUCAAUUUCAAACUUAAAUGACCAGUAAGAUAUAAGAGGUCAUAGUAUUCCUAUGUUUUUACAUCGUUGCCACCAGACUUCUUAUUUUAUUUAUAAUUUAUUUCAAGCAUUUCAUUAACUGCCAUAAUUGUAAUUAAUACUCCAUAUUAAUAGCAUAUCAAUCACCCCAUUUCUUUUGAUUGCCAUUCCCUCUAACAUAUCGCCCCUUAAAAUUGAAAACCAAAAAAAAAAAAAAUGUAAAUUACAUAUCCAAUAAUGUACCUAUGAAAAAUAUAAAUAUAAAUAUAUACGUAUAAAAAUAUAGGUUUAUUAUUUACCAAAUAAAAAAUAUAAAAAAACUAGGUCAGUUGCUUUGUAAUUGAAAUUUCUAUACAUUUUCCACAAAUUAAAAAUAGGUACACAAUAAUUUAUAGAAAAUAUAGGUGCAUUAUUUAUCCAUAGGUAAAAAUACCUAUAAAUGCACAUAGGUAAAUUAUUUACCCAUAUAUUAUUUUUUUGCUAAGGAUUUACCUUAGUUUUUAGUAGAUUAAUUUACCUACCUAGAGGCAUAGGUAGCUUAAAAAAAUUGUAGCACCUUAGUUGGUUGCAUACUAAUUUACCUACCUAGAGGCAUAGGUUGCUAAGAAAAAAUGUAGGUAAAUUCAUGUACCUAAACACAUAGGGGUCAAAUAGAGAAUAACAUGUUAUUUCCCUUCGAACAAAUUAAUUUCAAACCAUAACAAUAAUUGAAUUCGGAAAUUGGUAUAAAUAAAAGGAAAUAAAUAAGCUAUCAAUUUGAAAAUUAAAAUAAGAAAUGAUCAAGUAGUCAUAUUUGAAAAAAAAGAAAAGAAUAUAUUCUUGGUUUUUAUAGGAACAACGUGUAUAUUCAAACCAAAUGGCAGUAACUACACCAAGCUUUAAUUACUUUUUUUUAAGGCCAAAAGUCACUUUUGGUCUCUGUAGUUUGACACUUCUAUUACUUUUGACGCUGUAGUUUCAAUUCCGUCAAUUUUGCCAUUGUAGUUUCAUAUUUGUAGCAAUUCAAGGACAUGUUAAUAUUAAUGUCAAUUUGUUUAAUGAUGCAAGGGGUAAUUUCGUCAUCCCAAAAUCCUUGAGCAUAAAAGCUUGUCUGAAAUUCUCCCCAUUUCAUAUUAGGGCUCGAAAUUCAACCACUAAUCCCAAUUUUUGAAGAACCCUAUACCCAAAUGACCAAUUUCAAGCCCUAAUAACAAAUUAGGGAAGUUUUAGAUGAGCUUUUAUGCUCAAGGAUUUUGAGUUGAAGAAAUUGCCCCUUGCACUGUCAAAGAAAUUGAUAGGAAUACUGACUUGUCCUUGAAUUGCUACAAAUACAAAAAUACAGGGUCAAAAUUAACAGAAUUUAAACUAUAUGGUCAAAAGUGGUUAAAGUGCCAAACUACAAGGACCAAAAGUGACUUUUAGCCUUUUUGUUUAAAUAAGGAAAAAACUUACCUAUUAAAUCCUUGGAAUCUAUACAAAAUUGAAACACAGUUAAUCAGCAUUGAAUUGCAGCUAAUUUCUUAAACAAGGGUAUUAUAGGAAUUUAAAAAGUAUAACAUUUAAUCCAUUGAGCUUGAUUAGGAAUCUUGAUGAGUUGGAUCCUAGUUAUAUAGUUUCUCUUAUAAAAAUCGGGUUUUAUUUAUAGACAAAUAAAACAAUGGGUUGUAGGUAAGAAAAUAUUAAUUUGAAGGGAAAGUGUCACAUCCUGGGAUCGGCUCCGCCGUAGCACGAUAUUGUCCGCUUUGGGCCCCCCUCUCUGCCCGCACGGUUUUGUUUCUGGGAGCUCACGAGCAACUUCCCAGUGGGUCACCCAUCCUGGGAUUGCUCUGGCCCCCAACUCGCUUAACUUCGGAAUUCCUAUGACUCCGAAGCCAGUGAGCUCCCAAAAGGCCUCGUGCUAGAUGGAUGCGGGUGUGUACAUAUAAGACACAUCACCCCCUCUCCGUUGGUUGAUGUGGGAUCUUACAGAAAGAGUCAAAUUUACUAAAUUAAUAAAGCAUAAAUUGGAAAGGGAAAAGAUCUAGAGGAUGCAUUGUAGGAUUGCUCAUGCCAAUAAUUGCACCCUCUCGAUAUUGAAAAACCUAUUGUGUAUUAUUAUCUUCAAUCAUGAAUGAUGCACCUAAAACCCAAGUGUCCCAAGCCAACCAUUGCGCUCAUACCACUUGUUGCAGUACACAUUCACCCGUUUUUAAAGAAAGAAAUUCUACCAAUCGAUAUUGUCUCAAAUUUAAUCACAUAGGUCUAUUAUGGUUAACCAUAUGUACUUUUAUCGGCCAUAUAGAGGUACCUUUUUCCAACGUGCAACAAUUGUAUUUGAUUCACAAUUAUGUCUGAUAUACAUCACAUCAUGCCACUUGCCUCAAAUGAAUUUAAUUGAGUGAGGCAAUGGGAAGUAAUUAAGCUCUAUAUUGGUGGGUGGAGUGUUACUUCUGGAACCCUCAUCAUUCGUCCAUACAAGGGAACAAUUCCCUUCCUUCUAUAAAAUGGUGAAGCCAGUUGCUAUUGUUUGUUAGAGUUUUAGGAUCUGAGUGUUAGAUUUUGUGAGAAGAGAGAAGAGAAUUUAGUGAAAACUUCCAAUACUGCUCUGCUAUACGUGUAGCAGAGAGAACAUUCUGUUUUGUUAUAUAUUUUCAGUACAACAACACACACUUGGUGUGAGAAGAAAAAUGACUGUUAUGCACAGUACCAGCUGGAUGCUUUCCAUCAAAGUAAUCUCAGCCAUUCACUAUCUAACCAAUCAAGCUAUGACACCUGGACUAAGUAUAAAGAAAUACAACUAAGCAGAAAACAAGACUCUUAAUCCUGAAAUCAACUUAAGCACUUAUAAUUCAACACUCCCCUUUAAGUCUUGAGGUGAUUUCACUCCAAGCAUGCCUCUGAGAUAAUUGAAUCUGUCUUUGGCCAGAGGUUUGGUAAAAAUGUCAGCCAAUUGUUCAUUUGUAGGACAAUAUUCCAGAUUGAUUACCCCUUCUUGCAAUGCAUCCUUGAUGAAGUGAUACCUCCUGUCAAUAUGCUUUGUCUUCUGGUGGAAUACAGGGUUUUUAGUGAUUGCAAUUGCUGAGAUAUUAUCACAAUGCAAUGGAGUAGCUUCAGUUUGAAGCUCUCUAAAGUCUUCUAGCACAAAACGGAGCCAAAUAGCUUGAGUAGUAGCCUCAGCUGCACUGAUGUACUCAGCUUCUGCAGUAGACAGUGCAACACAGUUCUGUUUCACUGAGGCCCAAGAAAAUACUCCACUUCCAAAACUAAACGCAUACCCUGAUGUGCUCUUGCAAUCACCAACUGAUCCUCCCCAAUCACUGUCACAGUAACCAACUAGAAUUGAUCUUUUGCCUUUCACAUAUUCAAGACCAUAGUCCAGAGUUCCUUUGAUGUAUCUCAAAACCCUUUUAGCUGUUCCAUAGUGUCUAUUUGUAGGACAGUGCAUGAAUCUAGCUAGCAAGCUUGAGGCAUACAUGAUGUCUGGUCUUGUAGCAGUUAAGUACAGCAAGCUACCAACAAUGCUUCUGUAUUGUUCUUCAUUUGCAGCUCAACUCCCAUCAUCCUUAGCUAGUUUCUCAGUGGCAACAAGGGGUGUUGUCACAGGUUUGCACUCAGUCAAACCAAACUUGCUCAACAAGGUGCUAGCAUAUUUCUUUUGAUGUAGAAAUAUACUAGACUCAGUCUGAAUAACUCCCAUGCCAAGAAAGUGAUGAAGUAAGCCCAAAUCAGUCAUCUCAUACUUAGCCAUCAUGUCUUCUUUGAAUUCAGCCAACAAUGCUUGACUGCUCCCUGUAUACACAAUAUCGUCUACAUAGAUAGACACAAUUAGAAUCUCCUUAUCUCCCCUUACUUUGGUAUAUAAGGUUGUUUCACUUAAGCUUUUCACAAAACCACAUUGAGUGAAGUAGCUGUCUAUCUCUCCAUACCAAGCCCUUGGGGCUUGCUUCAGACCAUAAAGGGCUUUAUGCAAACGAUAAACCUUGUCUUCUUUACCUUUAAUUACAAAACCUUCAGGCUGACUGACAUAAACUUCCUCUUGCAGCACACCAUUAAGGAAAGCAGACUUCACAUCAAGCUGGAACAAUUUCCAAUCCUUUUGAGCAGCUAGAGCAAUAAGUGUUCUAAUGGUGUCCAAUCUGGCUAUAGGUGCAUAAGUCUCAUUAUAAUCCAGUCCAGGCUUCUGAGCAUACCCCUUAGCCACUAAUCUUGCUUUAUUCUUUUGCACUGAGCCAUCCAAAUUCAGCUUUGUCUUGUACACCCACUUAACUCCAAUCACUGGUUUUUCAGUUAGUCUAUCUACCAAUUCCCAUGUUUCAUUCUUUUCAAUCAUCUGCAGUUCAUCUUCCAUAGCCUUAAGCCAAGAUUCAUCCUGAGCAACAUCAGCAUAUUUUUCUGGUUCCAUGAUACACAAGUUACACUGAGCUAGAACAUCAUCUAGCCUUCUCCAUUUUAGAGGGGUGUGAUCAUAAGCUUGAGUUCUCCUUUCUUCACUGCUUAUAUCACCUGGAGUUGAUGAAAUGCUCUCUUGCAUAUCCAAAGUUUGAGGUGUACCAGUAGAAUUCUCAUUAGAACUGUCAGAUUUCAAGUCCAAAUCAACUUGGUUUUCAAUUGAGUAUGUUGUCAUAACUGAACCAUUUUUGUUUGUCCAAUGCCAAGCAUUUUCUUCAUCAAAUGUCACAUCCCUUGAUAGUAAAAGCUUGUUAGAAACAGGAUCAAAAACUCUAUAUCCUUUUUCACAAGUUGCAUAUCCCACAAACACUCCCUUUGUACUCUUAGGAUCCCGCUUGUGUCUCAAUUCAGUUGGCACAUGAACAUAACACAGAGAACCAAACACUUUCAGAUGUGCAAUUCCAGGCUUCCUUCCACUAUAUGCUUCGAAUGGAGUAAUGUUGUUGAGAGCUUUGGUAGGACAUCUGUUCAGCAAAUAGAUAGCUGUAUGCACAGCUUCUGCCCAUAGGAAAUAAGGCAUUCCCUUCUCAUGUAACAUUGAUUUUGCCAUCUCAAUGACAGUUCUAUUCUUCCUCUCAACUACUCCAUUCUGCUGAGGAGUAUAGGCCAUUGUAAGCUGCCUUUGAAUGCCAUUAGCUUCACAAAACUCCAAAAAAUCAGUAGACAUAAACUCUCCACCCCUGUCACUUCUUAUGCACUGAACCUUGUGUCCAGUUUGUAAUUCAGUCAUGGACUUGAACUUCUUGAAACAAAAGAAGGCUUUUGACUUGUUUCUCAAGAAGUAUACCCAAAUCAUUCUUGUGAAAUCAUCUAUAAUCAGCAUGAAAUAUCUGUUCCUUGCAACAGACUCAUUUCUCAUGGGACCACAGAGAUCCACAUGUAUUAGCACUAGUACUUUGCUUGCUCUUUGAGCUUGAUCUUUUGGAAAAACAUUUCUGUGCUGUUUUCCAAAUUGGCACCCGUCACACACACCACUUUGUUCUUCCAAUUUUGGUAAACCAUGUACCAUUUCUUUAUCACUUAGCUGCUUCAAUCCUCCAAAAUGCAGAUGACCAAAUCUCUUGUGCCAAAUCCAUGUGGAUUGAAGAAAACUAGUCUUCAUUAGUAACUGUUUUUCAGCUAGAAAAGAGACAGGAUAGCAUCUGUUACUCUUCAUUUGCACCUUUAUGAUGAGAUAAUCCAUGGAUGGGCUAUCAAAUACCCUGCACAUCCCUUCUCCAAACACUAGACAGUACCCAUGUUCAUCCAUCUGCCCAACACUUAGCAGAUUUUCUUUCAAUCCUGGCAGAUACAUUACUUCUCUGAUGUAUUUCCUGCCCUUUGCUGUAUCAAUACUCAGUGAGCCAAUACCAGCUACACUCACUAAUGCACCAGUUGGCAUUUGUACUCUCCCAGCUACAUUAGUUCUCACAUCAACCAGCAAAUCUAAAUUUCCUGUCAUAUGAUUGCUGCAGCCACUGUCAAUGUACCAUUCAUUGGUUUUGAUCUCAGUGGUUGAGCAAUUGGCAUAAAACAGGUUUCCUGUAACCUCCAUUUGAUUUACACAAUUAGCCUUCUGCACAUUUUUGCUCACUGUACAGUCUCUAGCAAGAUGUCCAACUCUGUCACAGUUAUAGCAUUUUGGUUUUCCCUUAUACCUGCACUCACCAAAAUGAUGCUUUGAACACACCUUGCAUUGAGGCUUUGUGUUUUCCUGAUUUGAGAACUGUGUUGAAGUGUGGUUCUGUGCAGAAUAAUUAUUCUGCUGUGUCUUGUCUUUUGCCUCCCAUGACUUCCCUUUAGAGUUCCAGCUUCUCUGUGACUUAGAUGAACCAGACUGAGAAGCAUUUUUGUUCUGACCCUUUGAAUUCACAGUGAAUGAGGCAAAUGCCUUCUCAGCUGUAUCAACACUAUGCAUUUCAAGCCUUUGCUCCCGACUCUUCAAAAUGGCAGUUACUUCCUGCAAAUCCACAGUUUCUAGUGUCUUUGUGUUUUCAAUCACAAUGCAUAUAGGGUCAUACUUCUUACUUAGACUAAUUAACACCUUCUGAACCUACCUCUCAUUUGACAGAACUUCACCAAAUGUUUUCAUUUGGUUAAUCAAUUCAGUUAGUCUAGUAAGAUAUUCAGAUAAGGUUUCACUAUCACGCAUCCUACUGUAUUCAAACUCACGUCUAAGGUUUUGAAGCUUUACCGAUCUAACAUGCUCUCCACCAUGAUAUUCUGAGUACAGCAGAUUCCAAGCCAUCUUUGCAGAGUCAGCAUUGGCAAUUCUGGGAAAAAUCUGAUCAGAAACAGCAUUUUGAAUGAUACCCAAGGCCUUCGCAUCCUUCAUGAGAAUCGCAGCUGUUUUCUCAUCAACUUCUUCUUCUGAACCAUCCUCAGAUUCCUGCUUCGUCUUUGAAUCUGGGAUUAAAAACCCCUUCUCUACCAAACCCCAUAAACCAUAUGAUCUGAAUAUGGUUACCAUCUUAAUCCUCCAAAAUUCAUAGUUCUCACCUGAGAAAAUGGGGAUUCUAGCCUCUGAACUUCCAGAUCCAGCCAUUACGAAUUUCAGAUUCGCCUGGAAACAAGAUGUUUUCAGAUUUGACCCUUGAUCGAGCUCAAUCAGCUUCGUGAGCUUAGAAUGAGCUCACCUCGAUCGAUUUUCUUCACAGAACAACGCCCAGCUUCAGAUAAUCAAACUUGGCUCUGAGGCCAUGUUAGAGUUUUAGGAUCUGAGUGUUAGAUAUUGUGAGAAGAGAGAAGAGAAUUUAGUGAAAAUUUCCAAUACUGCUCUGCUAUACGUGUAGCAGAGAGAACAUUCUCUUUUGCUAUAUAUUUUCAGUACAACAACACACACUUGGUGUGAGAAGAAAAAUGACUGUUAUGCACAGUACCAGCUGGAUGCUUUCCAUCAAAGUAAUCUCAGCCAUUCACUAUCUAACCAAUCAAGCUAUGACACCUGGACUAAGUAUAAAGAAAUACAACUAAGCAGAAAACAAGACUCUUAAUCCUGAAAUCAACUUAAGCACUUAUAAUUCAACAUUGUUACCAUAAGAGCCAGCUCCGACUUUCUUUAAUUUCAGUCCUAACGGGGUUUCAUCUUCCACUCAUCUUUGCUCUUCUCAGUGUAAGCUCUGCAAUUUGAUUAACUUUCCCAUUAUCUCUCACUGUACUCUAUAUAAAGGAAUAAGUGUCGUCCACUAAUUAAUUACACUUUGUGAGAUUUGAUUUUAAUUAGAGUUCGAAUUGAUGUUGCAGCUAGCAGCGGUGGCACUGGCAAACCAUGCUGCUCAACCAGCACCUCAACUUUACUGGAACUCCGUCCUGCCAAACACACAAAUGCCAAGAGCUAUCAGUGAACUUCUGCAUCCUGGUUUGUGUUGAAUAAAUAUAGUAUGUUACUGGAGUACGUAUGGCAACAUAUUCACAAAUGUGUCACGUAUUUUCCAAUAUGACGUUGAUAUAUAAUUGCAGACUCCACAAACGAAGAAAAGAGCACAAAUGUCAUGAAUGCUGUUGGGAAUGGAAAGCCAAUUGACCACAAGGGCAACCUGAAAAUACUGUACUACCACAGCUUGCACGACGCCCAUUUUCUUACAAGAGUGAUGAUCGUCCCACUGACAAUCAACUCCAUUAUAAAAACGUAGCUAUUUUCUUCUUGGAGAAGGACAUGCGCCCUGGCACAACAAUGAGCUUCCAAUUCCCUAGAAAUUCAAACACGGCUACUUUCCUGCCACCAGAAAGAGCUCAAUCGAUCCCCUUCUCCUCUAACAAACUACCAGAAAUUUUCAACCAUUUUUCAGUGAAGCCAACAUCUGUGGAAGCCAAAACAAUUAAGCAAACAAUCGAAGAGUGUGAGGCUCCAGGCAUUAAGGGAGAGGAAAUAUAUUGCGCCACAUCUUUAGAAUCAAUGGUUGAUUUUAGCACUUCGAAUUUUCGAACAAGAAACGUUCAAGCAAUCUCGACAGAGGUAUUGGAAAAAGGUGCCACCAUGUCCAUGCACAAGCAUACAACAAUGCCGGGACUGAAGAAGUUGGCAGGUGACAAAGUCGUUGUGUGUCAUAAGCAGAACUAUCCCUAUGCUGUGUUUUACUGCCAUGUAAUAAAACCAACAGCAGCUUAUGUUCUCUCCCUGAAAGGCGAUGAUGGGGUGAAGAUUAAAGCAGUAGCCAUCUGCCAUCUAGACACAUCAGAAUGGAACCCAAAGCAUUUGGCCUUCCAAAUCCUCAAAGUUAAGCCCGGAACAAUUCCCAUCUGCCAUUUCCUUCCCACUGAUCAUAGUGUCUGGGUUCCGAACCACAAAUCUGCAUGAUCAUCACUUAGCACUGUACGUAUAAUAAGCUUGCACCCCUGUAUAAUUAUCUCCCUACUCUACUUAUUUCUGCCUCUUCAUGUGGUGUAAGAUAUAUGAUGAGAUGAAGUUUUUGGGAUUAGUGGUCGGGUUGCCUUAAAAACACAGAUUACAGAAACUGCUUGAACUUAACCCGAUCAUGUUUUCUCUUGUACUCGUAAAGCAUGCUGUUGUGGUUCUACUUAAUUUCGUUCUCCCCAAUGUUUGAGUGUUUAAUUGUUACGUUGGAUAAUGCUUGUAGUUAGAGAAGCCUUCAUUUAUAUCAAAGUCCUCAACUUGUAAAGAUAUCAAUGGUCCUAGUGCUGCCACGUGUAAGAAGAUUGAAGAAUAAAGCUGUUGAGAUAUUGUUAGACCUGUUAUGCAGUUUAGGAAAACUGUUAGUAUUGAUAAGAGAAGGUUAGAGAUGUUAGAGAGGUUAGAAAACACGUGAACAAGGCUUUAACUCAGCUGAUAUAAAGUCUGUAGUUGUGCUCAGUUGAACUUAAUGAGAAAUACAACAAGUCUCUUCUCUAUCUCUGAAAUUCUCUCUGCUCUCUCUGCUUUACUUCUUUUGUCUCUGCUCUACAUUUUUUUUCAAUCUUCCUAUCUUAACAAAACUAUCAAGAAUUAAUGCAUCCAGAAACAUAUAUACCAAGACGCAAAACAACAUAUUUUUCAUGCUCUGUCUGUAACACCAAAGCAAACUUCCUUUAUCACAAAAGGAUCAAAUUCCAGUACUAAUCUAAUCCAUCAUGUAAAGCAUACAAUCUACAAGUGCCUCCCUUAAUUUGUCCAUUGGAUAUAUAUGUCACUUUUUGGUAAUUUGGUAUAGCAGCACCACGUAGUCUUGAAAUAGUAGUGCGGCUAUACCAAAUAUACCAUUUGCCCCUGCAUUUAACAGAAAAGUAAACAAAAUUGACGGUAGAACUAUUUGUCCUAACGAAACUGCAGUUGAAAGACCAUGAGAACGAUUUUGAAAAUUGAGGGACUCAAAUGAAAAUUGGGUCUAAGUUCAAGAACCAAUAAAACGAUUAACCCAUAGAUUUUGGAUCCAGUACCACAUCCCAAAGAGAAAACCACAAGUUUGCAAGCAAGUUUGUCCAUAAUAACACUACGUACAGUAUGGGCAGUGCGCUAGACUCAUCUCACUUUCUCAACCUAUCCUAUAGUUGUCUAAAAGAGUUUCUAAUUUAAUGUACUGAGAUUUACGAAAGAAAUAUCAGAGAAACAAUUUUCAGGCAAUAAAAAAAUGUCUUGGCAAGAAAAUGUACAAUUUGUUACAUAACUUAUUAAAUAUGAACAGUUGAAAGAAAAAAGAAUCUGGAUGAGGGAUUUGCAAAUUCCUAUGGCCCAAUUACCUUUUUUUCUUUGUUGUUUUUUUUUUUUUUUUUUUGGUUCUUUUGAUCCAGUAGCAUAUUCCAAAGAAUGAAAACCACAGGCAUGCAAUGCAAGCUCUUUUCCCACGUUUUCCUCUGUUUUUCUCCUAUCAUGGAAGUGAUUAAAACACACCUCUAAGCUUGUUUUGCGUUUGGUAGCCGAGUGUAAAAGCUCAAUGCAAGAUAGUUUGAGGUAGAAUUUUCUCCUAUUUUAUUAGGACAAUGAUAAUUAAAAAAAAGUGUGAUUCAUUGAAUAUUUGCGGGGUUUUGUUCAGACCUGACAAAGUUCUAAGUCAACACAUCAAAUUCCUUUUUCCAACAUGCAACAAUUGUAUUUGAUUCCCAAUUUUUUCUGAUAUACAUCACAUCAUGCCACUUGCAUCAAAUGAAUUUAAUUGAGUGAGGCAAUGGGAAGUAAUUAAGCUCUGUAUUCGUGGGUGGAGUGUUACUUCUGGAACCCUAAUAAUUCGUCCCUACAGGACUCUAGAACUCUCAAACUUCUUACAAGGACUACUUAACUCUAUAGCUUAAUGCAUAUAGCAUAUAUAUGCAAACACAAUUAGAAAUUCUACAACAGAAGCAAGAUCAAUCUCACUAUGCCUUCUAAACAAACAAACAAAUAAAACAAGCAUAUUAAUUGCUUUAAUCACUCUACUAACAUCAACACAGCACACUUAGUUUACUAACAGAUGAUAUAGAAAGGAAAAAAAAGGACCAAUAGGGAGAAAAUGGUGAACUAAGGAGAGACUAAUACUUCUGGUCCUUAGAAGGCAUAACAGAAAUAAUAGAGCACACUGCUUGAAUGCAAGUCAGUAUUAGGAGCAAAACAGCUGCAAUGAAAGAAAUAGUUGCCCAAGGUGUAUUGAAAUAAUGUUGCCUCAAAUUUGCCUUCCAUUUGUUCCAAGGCUUUCUGCAGUAGCUAUUAAGGCGCUCAGAAAGAAUAGCAAAGUAGAAGCUUUCACGAUACACUGCAAUUCCUUUUCCGAGGUUGUUAAUCAGAGUGCACACCUCAUUGUAGUCACCAAGCAUAUUUUUGACAAUCCCAUCCUUCAGAAGGAACUCCACAUCCUUUUCGGUGUUCACAAACUCAUCCAUGAGUGAAACAUAAUCACUUAUGUAAUUCUUACGGCAAUGGCACUAUUCAAAGGCAAUGAGGUUACGGAGUGUGAGCUCUGUGUAAUCGUGUAUUUUUAGUUUUGGAAUUUCUAGAAUCCCAUCGUUGAAUUGUGUUAACGCAGCUUUCCUUUCCUAGCCUACACGGAAGUCAACUUCACAAUCUCCUCCUAGCAAUUAGUCUUUCCUGCUGUAAAUCAGAUUUCCUACUGUAAAUCGGAUUGUAUUCAUGUCUAUAUUAUUUCCUACUUUAAGUAGAUAUCUUGUACUAGUAUAAAUAGGGACUUUGUGUAAUCUGUUAAAUACAAGGAAAUAUAUACUCUGCAUGGUAUCAGCCUAACCUAGGGUUCUCUCUCUCUCCCUUAUUCGAUCCUCUUCUCCUUUAGGUCCACCUCAUGGCUUUGUCUGAAUCCACCAUCUCCCUCCCAAGCCCCAACUCUUCUAUUUUAUCAAGCUUAUUGACUCCAACUAUCUUCUUUGGCUCCGCCAACUCAAACCCUUUUUAGUCGGCCAUGACCUCUGGAAAUUUAUCGAUGGCAUUCAUAAACAACCUUCUGCCCACACCUCCACCUCUACCACCGCAACACCCACAACCACCACCACUCUUACCCAAAUCAAUCAUGCCCAUGCUCAGUGGUACCAACAAGACCAACUCAUUGUUAGCUACAUCACCAAUACACUCUCUGAGUCCAUUCUCUUUCUCACUGUUGGUUGCACCUCUGCCCGGGAUCUCUGGGAGUGUCUCCAACGCCACUUCUCUCAAUCCAGUAUGGCCAGUGAAUCUACUCUUCGUUUUAAACUCAUGGAUUUGCAAAAAGGCUCUGAACCCACUUAUGCUUACAUUCGUCAUGCUAAGUCCUUUGCCGAUUCACUGGCUGCCAUCAAUGAACCUGUCUCCCCAAAAGAACUUGUCACUACUGUGCUUUGGGGUUUAAGACCCUAUUGCAACAUCCUCGUCACAGCAAUUCUCAAUUUCCCUCUGCUUCCUAACUUUGCUAAUCUUCGUGCUCGUUUGUUAGCAUUUGACGCACAGACUCCUUGAAUCUCUCCUGAUCAAAACACAGCGCAAAUGGCCACCCAAUCCUCUCCUCACACCACCGGUCAUACUUCCUUCCCUUCUCACCGUGGUGGUGGCUCUUCCAACAACAGGCGUGGUGGCCUCGGUGGCUGGCGCAAUAGCGGCCGGGGUGGCUGGCGCAGCUUCUCAUCUUCCUGGAGCAACCCGUGGAAUGGCUUCCAGCAGCUCCAAUGACCUAAUCAACCAUGGCCUCCUUUUGCUCCAAGUUCUGGAUCUCAAAGCAACUGGCCUUCCUUUCAGCCUCCUUGGGCCUAAUCUGCCGCUUCUAUCAAACACUUUGCCCGGCCCAACUCAGCUCCUGGUGUCUUGGGACCCGCUUGGUGCACUACCUGCAAUACCAAUCACAUACUACUACAAUAUGUCCUCAUCGCUACAAUGGCCCAGAAUCCUUUCUUUGCUAGGGCUCAAUUCAUGUAGCCACCUGACUCUACUUGGUACCCUGACACAAGUACCACUCAUCAUAUGAUUGGUAGUCCUUCUAAUCUCCAAAAUCAAUCCUUCUAAUCUCCAAAAUCAACAGCCAUAUCAGGUUCAUAAUUCUGUAUUUCUUGGUAAUGGAGAUUCUCUCCCUAUCUCUCAUACUAGCUCUCUCUUUUGUCUUCCAUCUCUUCGUACUAAUCUUCUUUUUGUUGCCCAUUUUACUUGUGAUAAUUUAGUUUUCUUUGUCUUUACUCUUGACUUUUAUCAAAUCUAUGACUUAUGUACUGGUUCGUUACUCUUUCAGGGCCCUUCUAAAGAUGGUCUUUACCCACUUUCCAUCUCCUCUCACUCAUCCAUAGUCCCCCAUGCCCUUACCACCGUGCACUCUCCUGCUUGGCAUCAUUGCCUUGGCCAUCCAUUCCAUCGUGUGCUCUCUCAUUUAGCGCCAUCUCUAGGCUUUAAAGUUUCUCAUGCUUUCUGUAAGGAUUGUGCACUUAGCAAAUCCACCAAACUGUCAUUUCUUAGUAAUAAAACCUUUGCCCCAUCUCCCUUUUAUUUAAUUCACUCUGAUGUAUGGAUGUCCUCGGUCAUUUCUGUCACUGGUUAUCGCUAUUAUGUCUUGUUUACAGAUGACUUUUCUCGUUACUCCUGGAUCUAUCAUAUGCACCGUAAAAAUGAGGUCUUUUCUCACUUUCAAACCUUUCUUGCUAUGGUUAAAAAUCAAUUUCACACCACUGUACAAAUUCUUUAAAGUGACAAUGGCACUGAAUAUGUUAAUAAUGCUUUCUCUGAUCUUUGCAGUCAACUAGGCAUCCACCAACGUUUCACAUGUCCCCACACUCCCCAACAAAAUGGCCUAGCUGAACAUAAACACAGACACAUUGCCACCAUGAUCUGUCCCCGGUCAUUUAUUCAACCAUCUUGACCUUUUGCUUGAUCAUUUUCCACAAGCAACCGUCCACGUACCCCAAUAAUUUAAAAGGGCUGAUGAUCUUUAAUUUGGUGAAAGCUUCUAUCUACCUACCGUGCUAUAUAUGAGCUAUGCAAUCGUGACCGUGUUACAUGACGUCCCAAUGUCGUAGGGAUAAAAAAAUAAUAGUCAUGGUUUUCUUAUUAAUGUCAAUACAUUCAUAGCAAAGAGCUUGUAGCUCUAGUGGUUAAGAGCAAUUACCCAUGCACUUGAGAUAUUUUGUGUUUAAAUCCCCUCUUCCCCAAUAUUUCUUGUAUAAAAAUAAAAAUAACAAUAAUAAUGACAUUAAUGUUGUAUUCUAUAAAGUGUUGGACAUGUUUUAUACCCCUUUCUUGCAAAUUACAGUUUGCCACGUGUACAAAAAUAAUAGAUAAGUGUUGGACAUCAAGAGCACUUACAUAUAGGUUUAAUAGGUAAGUUUUGAAUAUUUCUGUAUUUAGCUUUAAAUAUUGAAAAUCAACCUAUUAGCAUAUUAAAGAUUUGUCCAUAUUCGACGUACAUUCUCUUAUUUUUCUCUCAUUGAAGUAAAUACAAAACUAAGCACAUAGUGGGAAAGUGCGUCACGAUUAGGGGUGGGUUUAGUCUAGGUUGGUUCAUUUUUGGGCUCAAUUUGAACACCGAACUGUAAGCUUCGGUUUGGCUAUUUUGGAAACCGAAACCAAACCAUAAUUGAUGAAAACCGACCACUUCGAUUACCUUCUGGUCUUCCAACCAGAAGAAAACUCAAAACUUUAACCAUACCAAGUGCAACAGAAUUACACCAGGCUGGAUUCAAGUUUAUGAUGGUUAAAGAUAAAAACUUAUUUGACAUACAAUUUGAGAAUGGAAUCCUCAAAAUUCCACACCUGCGAAUACGGGGUUUAACAGAAAUUUUCUUCCGCAAUCUUAUUGCCUAUGAGCAGUGUGAGCUUCAUGAUCAUUACAUCAACGACUAUGUCUUCAUCAUGGACCGCCUGGUCGACAGUGCCAGGGAUGUGGAAUUGCUUGUGAAGAGUGGAAUUCUUGAAUCUAUGCUACCGGACAGCGAGGCAGCAGGGGAAUUUAUUAAUUCUCUUGACUUGGGGCCUAUUUUAGGCAAGCUUGAAACAAGACUAUUUCAGUUCACCAUGGGCUGGCCUGUCUAUUAUUGUAGCCGCUAUACUAGUUGUGCUCACAUUUAUUCAAACAGUGUGCUCCGUAAUGGCGCUGUAGGUUCUUCAUUUCCUCAAUUUCAUGUUUAGUGGUUGCAGAUUUGUUGCUCAUGUACGUGUUUAUCUAAAGUUAAAUAAGAGUGAUUGACUGGAUUGACUGUUAGUCUGUUAGUUUGUUUUUCUGGGGUUUUUCCCCCCUGUUCGUCAAAAAAAAAAAUAAAAGAGUGAUGGCUUGUGCCUAUGAAAAUUACUUAGGAGUAUGCUCCACAGAGCCAAAAUAAAUAAACUAGGGAAGUGGAGGUUCUUCUGUUUGUAUAUAAAUGAGCAAUUCAAACUCUCAGUGCCAAGGGAGUUACCCUUGAUACAUUUGUUAAAAAUUAUAUAUUUGGUCUUACAUCAAACAAAUAAUUUGAAGGGCUUUUUUGACAACUGCUGACAGCGUUUGGCAGAAAAGUUUAGAAGCGCUUCUACGCUUCUAGAUCAUAAAAGUGCUUUACCAAAAAGCACUUAGAUUUCUUAUGAAAAUUUCAACAUUUUUAUAAUAAAAGCGCUUGCUAGAAGCACUUAUAAGCAGAAGUGCUUCAUAGAGAAGCAGUCCCAAACGAGCUUGAUUUUCAAAUGUGCUGCUUAAGAAGAAAUUUAAUACGUUUUGAAAACAAAAAAAAAUACGAAAUUUAAUACGUUUGUUUUACAAAUUGUAUUAAUUGUUAUCAAUAAUACUUGUGCACACCCACAACAUACUUCUUUCUUUCUUUAUUUUCCUUCAGUACAGUUCUGCCUUUCUUUAAUUAUUUUUAACGAAUGCAAAGAGUUUGUCACAAAAUCAAGGAUUGAAAAAAAAAGAGAGUAAAUUAUGUGCUAGAGAAACUUUCCUGCAGAAAUUGAAGAACAACUCUAGUUUCUCUCUUUCGCCUUGUACUCCCGCACUGAGGUUAGUAUUGUUAUAAUGUGCAGAUUAUACGGUCACUCUUGUAUAAUGGCGAGAAGGCUCUAAUUAUAUUUUUGAACCUCUUUGACAGGACCCGCCCCGAAUUUCCCGAAACCCAAGACGAAUUCUGUGGAAAUUCCCUACAUCACCCCGAUGUUGGGCCCACUUCUAAAACUAUAUCAUUUUUCCUAAAAAGGAAUAAGGGCACGAGACUUUCUACCGAAAUUUCGGCAGAGUCUCUCCUGUAAAUUGAACAUUUCCCAAAAUUUCAACCUGCAUAAAACACAUUUUAUAUUACCCAACUGGCAGCAUGCACAAAAUAAUAACAUGCAAUUCACAUAAACGGCCUCUGGCCCUCCGGUAAUUCAGAGCAAUGCAAACUAGCAACUCUAAACCUAAUAAAACAACAUAAGUAACAUUUAGCCAGCGGCUGCACCCAGGCACUACCCUAGGCUACCUACGUACCCUUACUAAGGGAUCAAGCCACACGUAGUUCUUUCAUACAAAAUUUCCAAAUCCAUCAACAUGCAAUCAAUUACAGAAUCCCAAACAAAAUCUUUCUCAAACAUCAUUAGUUCCCAACUCAGUAUAAUAAUCCUUAAUUCAUCUCUGUAAUAAUCACAAUAUCUCCCCAUACGCCGGAACUACCAACACCACGUAUGGAGCCUGCCUGUACGCCAGAUAACCAACGACACGUGGGACCUCAUCAUCAUAUCACAUAAUCUCCCCAUACGCCGAAACUACCAACACCACGUAUGGGGUCUGUCAACACGCCGGAUAACCUACGACGUGUGACCUCAACAUCAAAUCACAAUAUCUCCCCAUACACCGGAACUACCUACGCCACGUAUGGGGUCUGUCCACAUGCCGGAUAACCUACGACACGUGGGACCUCAUCAUCAUAUCACAUAAUAUAUUAACGAUCAAGAAAUAUCACUACGGUCAUUUAAUCCUCCUGGGAAGGUAAAACUAUCUCAGGAGACUCACGGUCAACCAAGGGUCAAACUACCUCAUACUUGGACAAACGAGCCCACGGAGCCCACAACCUCCGUUUUACUAUCCAAGAGUUCCUAUAGGUUCUACAAGGUUUAGGAUACACGGCUUGCAAGUUUGGUCAAGAUCAGACGGUCGGAUCGCUCACGAUAGGACGGUUACUGCAAACCUAGCCCUAGGGUUGGCAUUUUCGGAGUAUCCGAAACUCCGUUUUACGAUCUGUCGAAUCAUAGACGAUCCUAAGGAUUUGCAGACUAACUAUAAUAAAUUCAAGACCAUCCAACGGUCUAAACCUAUCGAACCCGGAUAACGCGCAAUAGGCAAUAUCCAAAUUGAAAUCCGAGCACACCUACGCACUCGUGAGGACUAGGAGAUUACAUCGGGACAUAGUGCCCUUUUUCUACAGUGCCCAUGAGCCGCCGCACGCACCAGCAACGCGUGGGUGCCCAAAGCGAUUAUGCAUCGCCAAAAAAUCUCAAAACCACGGCUCAAGACUCCUACCCUAGGUAUAACACCCUAUUUGGAACCACUUUUGUUCUUGGACCUACCCCAAAAACUGAUCAGAAGUGGCCGGAAUGGCUGAAAUGUAAUUCAAAAAUCAAGCUACCAACGCUCAAAAUCGAUGCAAUCCUACCCAACCAUCAACUAGAUUAUGAAGAAUGGAUAAAUUUCCAUACCUUGAUCGCCAACAAUGGCGGCCGGAGGAGAGAGAUCUGAUCCGGCGAAGUUCGAGUGAAAACGGCCAAAAAUCAUCUUUUUCAGGCGGCUGGAGGGCGACCGAUGUCAGGGAAGGGCAGGGUCGUGACGCUAAGGCUGAGCCUGUCCUUUUGGCACCGGUCCCUUCCGCAGCCGUGUCCGGUGGCUGGAGUUUCGAAGAGAGAGAGAGAGAGAGAGAGAGAGAGAGAGAGAGAAAUCUGAUUUUUAUCAAACCUUUUUGCCAAAAUUACGGUUAUGCCACUGAGGGUAUUUUGAUAGUAUCUCUCUCGUUACAACUUCGAUUCGAGCCCACCACGUGUGUACGGACUCAUCUAACUGUGUUGUACGCAACGGUAUAGUCGAAAUUCCCAAAUUAUUUCCUUGUCAAAAAGUCAACUUUAAACAUUAUAAAAUAUUUUAGGGAAAAAAUGGUAUUUUCUCUCAAUAAAUUAGUAACUAAUUUAUUUAGGACUGGGUCAUUAUACUCUUUUUCGCUUCAAUGGAUGGGAAAAAAUUUUAUGUAAUAUCCCACAUCGACCAACGAAGAGGGGGCGAUGUGUCUUAUAUGUACAUGCCCGCCUCCAUCUAGCAUAAGGCCUUUUGGAAGCUCACUGGCUUCAGAGUCAUGGGAACUCCGAAGUUAAGCGAGUUGGGGGCUAGAGCAAUCCCAGGAUGAGUAACCCACUGGGAAGUUGCUCGUGAGCUUCGAGAAACAAAACCGUGAGGGCAGAGAGAGGGGCCCAAAGCGGACAAUAAGGCCUCGUGCUAGAUGGAGGCGGGCAUGUACAUAUAAGGCACAUCACUCUCUCUCCGUUGGUCGAUGUGGAAUGUUAGAAUGGAAUUGUUACCUUUGGUGUGGAGGUGUUCUAUCAUUUGAGCAAGAAAUUCCCACAUAUUCUUCAACUAUUUUUCAAGCAUGCAUAUUCCUCCCUAUCAAUCUUUGGUUUCUUCCUUUACUGUGCAUAGUAAGGAUCCAGUCAGGGACGGACCGUCGCUAUGACUAUCCUGGGCUAUAGCCCAGGCAAAUUAUUUUUUUUUCUAGUCUAAAAUAGCAAUCCCACCGCUUGCUGUAGUACUUGUUCAGUUCGUCACAAACAUGAGCAUAAUAGAAGUUAUCAACAUCUAUAUAGGAACCCCAAUGAAAAGGCUGUUAACUAAUAAUGAAGUUAACCCGUCAAUUUUUCCGCAUAUCAGAUAUCUCUCAGAAUAUGCGAUUCCAUAUUCAAUAAGCCACUCCACAUGCCCUGAGGUUUUCAUCAAACCACCCAUUAAGGAAACAUACUGACUCAUGUAAUUAUCAUUACUCAUCGGGUAAUGCAAUUGUUCAAAGGCAAGGACAUUUCUCAUUAUUUAUGUAGCGAACCCCAAUGGAAAUGGUGGGAUCUUCAGAACCCCAUCGGUGCUACUGAAUUGUAUGUCAAAUAUGUUUUCACCUUGUCACGCCUCAAACUUGACUCCAGCGUGCUGUAAUUCUGUCAAGCUGGGUAUGGAUGAUGGGAGUUUGAUGCAGGAGCAUAGGGGUGGAUCAAGAUAGAUAUUUACUAUUUAAUUAGUUAUUUCAUGAUAUAUUGUUAUUUUCUUAUUUAGGUAGUUUUAUGAUAUCUUUUAUUAUUUAUGUGUGAUUUUAUAAUUAAUUAGUAUACUUUUGGACCAAGUAGCCUUGGUGCUCAAGUCUUGUAAAGCCUAUAAAUAAGGCUAAUGUAAUAGUUGUAGAAUAGAUGUCGAUGAUUAAUAAAAUCGUUUAUUUGUGGCAUGGAUUUGCUACGAUAUAUGUGAGUUUGCACUAGCCCUAGAUUUCAGUGCUCGUGUAUGUGGUUGGUGACCUGUGUCCGGAUCCCGAUCCCCAUCAAUUGGUAUCAGAGCUAUGGCUCAAGAUCUGCUAUAUCGGGGAGGUUUUUGGAUGGAGGGUCGUUUUAACAACUACAACGACAUGGAGGAAAUUAGGAGGAUGCUACGGCAACUUAUGGAACACAUUGCUCGCAUUGAAGCUCGAACCCAGAUAGGUAAGAGUUCUGACGGGGAGGGAUGUGUGAACCCUUAUCUGAACCGAGUAGCUCGCAUCGACACUCUAAGCCGUGAGAGUCUCGACGGGGAGUACGAGGGAGAUAGCCCUUUUCAUUAUUGUGCUCCGCUGUGUGAGUCAAGUGAAGAGGGGCACGGUUAUUCUCAUUGUGUCUUUGAAGGUAUAAAUGAAUUUAGUAAUUUUGGUGCAUCUUGUUAUUCAUCAAAGUUAUUAAAUUUGGAUUUACCUCCAUUAUUUGAUCCUUGCAAUUGUGAAAAUUGCAAUAAAAAUUGUUUGGGUGUUCAAAGCAAUUUUGAUAAGCAAUUUAUUGACCAGAACAGUGAAGAGAUGAGAAUUGAGAAAACUUUCGAAGAUAUUAUUGAUUUUAUGGGCAUUAAUAUUUUCACUUGGAAGGUUGCCAAAAAUCUGGUUGAUUUUGUCAAUCGGUUGAAGAUUCUAGAGAGAAACAUUUGCAUUGCUAGAGGGAGUAAGAAGUCAAGAAUAACGAAAUAUUCCAAAUAUCUUUUUAUUUGGAAAGGAAGGUUUCAAUUGGAUGCUAAAAGAUCCAAAAUUAAUAUGCAGCAAUUGAAGAUUCUACUCGGAUUUUCCUUAAUCAAAGGCUUGAAUUCGAGGACGAAUUCUUUCCAACUAUGGGAGUCUGAUGCAGGAGCAUAGGGGUGGAUCAAGAUAGAUAUUUACUAUUUAAUUUGUUAUUUCAUGAUAUAUUGUUAUUUUCUUAUUUAGGUAGUUUUAUGAUAUCUUUUAUUAUUUAUGUGUGAUUUUAUAAUUAAUUAGUUUACUUUUGGACCAAGUAGCCUUGGUGCUCAAGUCUUGUAAAGCCUAUAAAUAAGGCUAAUGUAAUAGUUGUAGAAUAGAUGUCGAUGAUUAAUAAAAUCGUUUAUUUGUGGCAUGGAUUUGCUACAAUAUAUGUGAGUUUGCACUAACCCUUGAUUUCGGUGCUCGUGUAUGUGGUUGGUGACCUGUGUCCGGAUCCCGAUCCCCAUCAGAGUUCCCCUCCAGCUUUUGAUUCCAACGGUUGAUAGAGUUUAAAUAUUUUCCUGAAAAGAUCAAUAAUAUGUGCCACUGAUCUAAAAGUCUCCAAAUUGUCUUCCAAUUUGUCAACAGGCAAUAGAUGUUCGAAGAAACUGAAAGAAAUACAAAUUAUUGAAAGCCCCUCAGUAAUGCUGUUAUUGUCAGCAUUAGCAGGGAGUGUAAUUUUCUGUGGGUCGAAAAGAUCCUCGAGAAUGAAGAAUGGCAACUGAUUUUCAAGCAACCACGUAUCUGUCCAUGCAUCUUGCAACAUACCUGGUUUGUCAAAUAUGCGGUCAUUUUCGUCCCAAAAUUUGAAGUAGUCCUUCAAUAAGGGCUCAAUAACGAAGGCGGCGCCCACUAGAAUGAUUGUUACAAAUUCAUCACUGCUAAACUUGAUGGGUUCUCCAUAACAACGUCUCAAUCUUGCUUCGUGGUCCUUUAUUUUCUUAAUAUAAUCCUCCAAACUCACAUUGGUCCGACCUAUAAAAUCUUGCAGGUAUCUCUGUUUGUUCUCUUCCAAUACGACAUUCAAGCCUUCCUUUCCAUGGUGAAGUGGACCUAUAGAGACCGACUGCCUGAGGUGUGCAGAGCUUUUCAUUCACACAUACGUAGAUAAAAUGUCUGGGGGCUCAGAGAGUGAUGAAUGUGCAACAGCUAAUGGGAGGGUUUAUAUUCCUGAAGUAAGAAAUGAGGAAACACCAGCAGUUGGGAUGAAGUUUGACUCGCUUGACCUCGUUUACAAUUUCUAUAAUAGAUAUGCAUUCUUGGCUGGCUUUGGUAUUCGACUUCAUUCUAGCUUUUGGGGGAAAAAUAAGAAAGAGAUUUUGAGGAAAGAAUUUGUAUGUUGCAAACAAGGUGCAUACAAGAAGGAUGAAACUCGGGAGAGAAAAAGACAACGGGGAAUAAGUAGAUGCAAUUGCAAAGCAAAGAUUGUGGUUGUGAAGACAAAUGGGAGCAAGAAGUAUACCAUUUCUCUUUUUGCAGAGGGACACAAUCAUAAGAUGACACCCUCAGAAAGAAUGCAUUUAUUGAGAUCACACCGUCAUAUUUCAGAUUCUACAAAAGUACUCACAAAACAGUUGGGUUCAGUUAAUAUUCCCAUUCAUCAGAAGGUAAGUAUAUUCGAGGUGCAAUCCGGAGGAAUGGAUAAAAUCGGUUUUAUCAAAAAAGAUAUCUACAAUCUUGAAUGUAGUGUGAAUGGGAAGCUGAGGAACCACGAUGUUGAACUAGUGACCGAGUAUUUUAUGGCUGAACAGAAAAAAAAUGAGGCUUUUUAUUUCAAGAUUGAGGGAGAUGGGCAUGACAGGUUUAGUCGAUGUUUUUGGGCAGAUGCAACUUCUAGACGGGCGUAUGGGUUUUAUGGAGAUGUUGUUGUAUUCGAUACCACAUUCAACACGAAUCGAUACGACUUGACAUUUGCACCAAUGUUGGGAGUUAAUAACCAUGGUCAGACAAUUGUCUUAGCAUGCGCAUUUUUGAGCAAGGAAACGACUGAGUCGUUUGUUUGGAUGUUUGAGGAGUUUAAGAAAGCCAUGCCAGGUGGGGAACCUAAAACGAUCAUUACAGAUCAAGAUGCGGCAAUGGCCAUAGCGAUUUCAAUAGCCUUCCCGAGUACAUUUCAUCGACUUUGCAUAUGGCACAUCACAUCAAAGUUCUCUGUUAAGUUACCACGUGACGCUUAUAAGGAGUAUUGGCCUGAAUUUCAGAAAGCCAUAUGGGAUACUGACAAUAAGGAUGAGUUUGAUGCAAAAUGGAAUAUUGUGGUUAUAAAGGCUGGUUUGACUGACCAUCCAUGGCUAAGUUCAAUGUUUGAUUUAAGGGAAUCUUGGGUUCCAGCCUACGCACGACAAUUUUUUGCCGCUGGAAUGUCAAGCAGCCAAAGAGCGGAAGGUUCUCAUGGUUUUUUCAAGCAAUACAUAUCAAGGAGAAAUUCGUUGAUGGAUUUCAUAAUACGAUUUGAGAGGGCAUUUUCUCAUCAACGUGAAAAAGAGUUAGUUGCUGAUCACGUAGAUGCAUUUGAAGUGGCUCAAUGUCUUCUACCGAUGCCAAUGAACAAACAAAUGGCUACCUUGUACACAAGGACAAUGUUUCAAAAGUUUGAGCAAGAACUAAUACAAAGUACAGCAUGUUUCCUAGAGCUCAAAACAGAGGAUGCAUGUAAAGUUGUGUUCAACGUGAGCGAAAGGAAAAAUUGGGAAACAAGAGUGGCAGAAGUCGUAUAUGUCAAAGAUUCUGACCACGCAUCGUGUAGCUGCAAAAGAUUUGAAUUUGUUGGAAUUAUUUGCAAGCACAUCCUAGCAUUGUUCAGAAGGGACCAGAUUGAAUAUAUGCCCGAUAAAUAUAUUUUGAAGAGGUGGAAGAAAACUGCGAAAUGUGGAUUGGUGUCAGAUGCAAAUGGCAACGAAAUUAAAGACUGUGCAGAUCCUGGCCUUCUAAUAAAGCGGAGUACAAUGUCUCGACUUGCUUCAAAUGUGGUUGAGGAUGCAUUAAUGAGUGAAGAAGGAUGUGAGCUACUGUCAGAGACUCUAAAAAGUUUGCAGGUGAAGUUGAAGUUGCUGAAGGAUGGACCAAGUAAUAACGAAGUUGGAGGGUCCAGCUCUCAAACACAAUAUAUGAAAGACCCUAAGAGAGUGAGGUGCAAAGGAAGGUCGAAAGGAAUAACGGGAGCAAAGGAAAAGGCAAUGAAGCGAGGGAUUAGACACUGUCGGGAGUGUGGACACAUUGGUCAUGAUAGAAGACAAUGCCCAGCCUUGAACACACCGUAAGAUGCUACCACUAUUUGUAAUAAUAUCUAAAAUAUGAAAAGGUAAAAUUUUUAUGUGCUUGUGUUUGAUGUUUAUGCAGGACAUCACCGUCGAACAAUGACAAAUCAACUCCAAUACAUCGUAGUGACCCAUUAUUCGACGAUUUUGACAAGAUGCACAGACCAACUGAAUGAUUGAUAUUUGUAUUAGACGAAAUGUGGUUGUUAUGAAGAUUAAUGAUCAAGUGAAGUUUUAUAGAUUCAGUUUUUGAAUGUUAUUGUGUUUUUGUUCAUGUCCACCGAUGAGCUCUUACUAUGUCCACUGGUAAUUGAAAUGAAAAUUUUCUUGGUUUCAUUCUUCCAAGACAUUUGGAGACAUGUUAAUUUUACGUCUUCUCCCUAUUUAUAAAUUUUCAUAGACAUUUGAUCAAGUUUGAAAUUUGUAGUUAUGUGAAGAAGCAAUGACUCUUACCAUGUAAAAUGGGCAGUUUAGGGUGAAAUUUGUUUUAACAGAGAUUCAUUUUUCAAUUCCUCAGGGUAAUGCAGCAAUUACAGCAGCCAGCUGUUGUUUCCAUUACCAGUAAUCAUUUCCAGCAGCAGCCACUUUUUCCGACUGGUUAUUAGGGGCACGAUUUUGUACACUUUUGUAAGUGAAGGAUACUCGAAGCACUUUGUUGGAACAGAGCAAAUAGAAACCAGCGGGUAAAAAAAAAACAUAACAUUGCAGCUAAUUACAUUUCGAUACAUAGGUGAAAAAUAUUAAAGGGUACACUAACUUACAUAAAUACUCAUAAUUCCACACACAAAAGAACAUUUGAUUGCAAAACAUAUUAUGUGCUUCCUCAUAGCAAUACCACGAUCUCCCCAACCAACUGAACAACGGUAGCCACAAUCACUGGGUCGUACUCGUCAGCUUCUUCUUAGCAGGUCUCACAUGCUUAUGGCCACUCAUAUCCCUAGUGAUAUACACGAAAUAAAUCUUCAGCAAUAUUUGGAAUUUUAUUAUAUAUAAAUAAACCAUAAACCAUUCAGUAAACAAUGUAUAGCACAUGUUAUGUAACUUAUGACUCACGUGUCAGUUUUUUUUUUAACACAUUAGUACUCCAGCUCUUUAAUGUAAAUGGACAUGAUAAGGAGCAUUUACUGAUUCCCGGCUUUCUAUGAUAUUGACUGCUUCUUGAAUAAUAUUUCCAUAUUUGCAAAAUAUAAUGUUAGACAUUAUAACACAUGAUGACUUGCAAUACAUAGUCCCAAUAAUUAUAUAUCAAGCAAAUGAAACUGAUAUUUGUGUUAUUUUAAGUUAGAUAAUGACAUUAAGGGAGUAUAUGUGCAAUACCACGGUCACCCUCAACCAACUGAACAGCGGUAGCCGCAAUCACUUAGUCGUAUCGGUCGGCUUCUUCCGAGCAGCUUUGACGUGCUUAUGCUCAUUCAUGUCACCCCCAUCGUCUAGUAUCUCUCUCACAGCAUCAGGGGACACAUAGUUCCAAUCAUAACUUGUAUGAGUAGUUGCCGCAAAUGCUCGGAAUUUGUCGAAUCCUUCGUUGAAUGCCAACUCCAGUUCAGUAUGGUGCUCUUCGCAUCGCAUAUGGUUCAUCAAACAACCUUUGAUUUCAUCAUUCAUUACUGUAUCCAACUCCUCAGCUUUCAGCUUCCUGCUAUGACUCAGCUUCAAGUACUUGUUCUUUUGGGAUAACGCUUUGUUCACCCUAAUGUUAAGAUCAGCCAAAAUUGCCUCGUCUUCAACACAUUUCUCGUGCCAUGAAUUGAUCAGUCUGGAAUUAUAAUCCAGCUUGCCACUGACUGCAUGUAUUGCCUGUAAUGGAUCAUCGGAGUCCCCCUCACUCCCAAAUGAUGUUGAAAAAGGAAGGGGUCGGCGAGUACAAUGUGGAAAUAGAACCUGCCACUCCAAUUUGUCAUCUUCGAUUGUGUUGUUGGCGCCUGAAGAGGUUGACAUGCUUGAAUAAUCCUCUUUGUUUUGGGAGGAUGAGGAUUGCAUAUGCAAUUUCGUUUGAGAAAGGGAACAUAGGUUUAUAGACCAACAUACCAAAGCUUGUGUGUAGUCAACAUAUGUACUUUUUGGCGGGAAUUUUUUAAAAAUAGGUGUUAGGUUUUGCUUUUCAAGCAUGUCAACCUCACACUCUCCUGACACCACUGCUAGUGGUUGAAACAAAGUCAAUGGAAGUGACAUCUACUUAGUUAACUCAACCAAACUAGUUAGGAUUAAACUUAGAUUGUAUCAGACCAAAAAAUAAUUUCUACUUUGUCAACCAAAUAUUUUUUGGCGGGAACCCUUUUCUUGGUAUUACUAUCACCCCUUUCAUAUAAAAUCUCCUUCCACACAAAACUCACUCCUCCACCGAAUCUGUCUCCAUCUACCGAUACUCUCUCAAGCAAACAAACUCAUUCCCCCCAAAGAAUGAGCAUAAGCACAACCAAGUUUGAUGUGAGCAUAAUAAACACCCCUCCAAACAAAGACCGGCUUCGACACGCAAGUGAGUCACCGGACAAGCAAUGUCACAUUGCUAGACAGAAUGACCAUUUUGUUGGAAGUUUUGAGUCUGAAAGAGUUGUUGCUUUUUGGAAGGAGAGGCAUCUUCAACUUGGUGAUGAAAUCCAAAGGGCAAGGGCACGUUUGGAAUUUGUGGAAGGCCAAAUUGAAGAUGACAAAAGGCAGGCCAAUCUGGAUAGGGCGAAGUUGUAGCGCAUGAAGCGUAGACACAAACGACUUCGGAGUGUAGCUGUUCAAAAAUACAAGAACUCAUCUAAUGUAGUGGAGUCAAAGAAGCGUGUGAUGCAAGCUGGAUUCGACUACUUCCGAUCCUAUGCAAAACUCGUCGUACCCGGGUUUGAUUGGUCAUCUAUUACCGUUUCCGACGUCACCAAAUAUACUCAGCAAGGGAAGUAACCAUUUUGGUUCUCGUGUUUUAGCAGAGGCAAAUAAGUGGAAUUGGAAUUUUGGUUACACUCUGCUUCAAAGCUAUUUUGAUGCUAACUACUAUGGAAGAUUUAAACCUUAAUAUUUUGAUGUCUUUAAUUACGAAAACAGAAGAUGCAAAGAGCUCAUCUACUUCAGCCAUAUGUUGCUGCCAUGUCCAUUUGUUUUUGAUCACUUAUCAGAUUUGGACAUGGUUGCAUCAUAUGCAAUGUUGCCUUUAUUUAUUAUAUGUUAGGACAAGGUUUAUGGAAAAGCUUUUGUGAGUGCGUUUGUGACAAGGUUAUGGAAUUAUUAUGUACACUUUAUAUAUUGUUUUUUGUACUGGUUCAUUUCCUACUAUUUCUUGCUUUCUUUAUAUUUUAUGUUUGUGGAAUCCCUCUCAAAGUUAACAUAUACUGUGAAAAAAAUAUUAUGCAACUGAUUAUAUAAUCACUCAUAUAGACUAGGACAAAUAUUCACUAAGGGUUUUAAACUUGCUUCACUUGUGUGAUGUUAUUGACAAAAAGUAUGGCAUUAUUUAUGUGAUUUGACAUGAUUGAAAAUAUAUUACUGAUUCCCAAUGCGGCGUCAUAUGGACAACGUAUUGAAUACCUGUGACGUGUUAAUAACUCAAGGUGCAGUUGCAUGUGGACAACUUCUUGAAUACCUCUGACGUGUUGAAAACUCUAGGUGCAGUUGCAUGUGGACAACUUAUUGAAUACGAACUGACGUCUUCAAAGCUCUAGGCGUAGUUGCAAUGAUGGCUUCAAAGCAUGUGCAAUUAUUUUUUAUGUACAUUAUUAUAACAAAACAUAUUAUUGUAUAUAGUGAAACUAAAUAUUGUAUUAUUAGAAAUUAUAUUUCGAAUAUUAUCCGAAAUAUACGUGUUAACGUGAAUUUGGGUUAAGAGGAAAGUGAGUUAUGUACAAAUAAUUUUCAUUUUCUCAUUUUCCGGGCAUUUUUUGGAUUUUCGUAGAAUUUAUUACCUAUGUCCACAGAUUGUUGCACUAAAAAAGCCAAAAUAAUAGCAAGAGGACACCUGGAGCGAUCUCAGCCCGUCACUGAUGACUACUUGCACAAGUGUACGUCAGUCAACAUGGCCACACCCUCCCAUUUUACCCUAAAUUAUUAUUUUAUUACUUUUCCUUACAAAAAUCAGAACUAAUUACACACAAAAUAAAAAAAUUAUCCGAAAAUUGCUACGAACUCAUUGACACUCCAUCUCCGUUGCUGAAUUCUCCGAUUCAUUGUUACGUAUUUGUAAAAUUAAUUCCCAACAUUAACGGGAGAUGCUUGUUGAAGUAGGUUAUUCAAGUUGAAGUUAACAAACAUCAAUACUUAGGGUUAAGAGGAAAGUGAGUUAUGUAACACAAUUUGGAUUAUUUCAUUGCGAGACGAAUGAUUUAUAGGUUCUCCUAGUUUUAUGACGUCACAAGUAGGCCGGAGUAAUUUUUGGGGCAUUUUUACGAUUUUCCUACUAUUUUUUACCUAGUUUCAAAGAUUUUUGAACAAAAGAAUCCAAAAUGUAAAAGAAGAUGACACCUGGCGCGAUCUCAGCCCGUCACUUUUCACUACUUGCACAAGUGUACGUCAGUCAACAUGGCCACAUCCUCUCAUUUUACCCUAAAUUAUUAUUUUAUUACGUUUUGUCUUGGAAAAUUCAUAACUAAAUACACAAAAAUUCAAAAUUAUUUCUGAAAAUUGCUACGAACUCAUUGACACUCCAUCUCCGUUGCUGAAUUCUCCGAUUCAUUGUUACGCAUUUUUAAAAUUAAUUCCCAACAUUAACGGGAGAUGCUUGUUGAAGUAGGUUAUUCAAGUUGAAGUUAACAAACAUCAAUACUUAGGGUUAAGAGGAAAGUGAGUUAUGUAACACAAUUUGGAUUAUUUCAUUGUGAGACGAAUGAUUUAUAGGUUCUCCUAGUUUUAUGACGUCACAAGUAGGCCGGAGUAAUUUUUGGGCCAUUUUUACGAUUUUCCUACUAUUUAUUACCUAGUUUCAAAGAUUUUUGAACAAAAGAAUCCAAAAUUAACAAGAAUAUGACACCUGGCGCGAUCUCAGCCAGUCACUUUUGACUACUUGCACAAGUGUACGUUACCGAACAUGGCCACAUCCUCCCAUUUUACCCUAAAUUAUUAUUUUAUUACCUUUUUUCUUGGAAAAUUCAUAACUAAAUACACAAAAAUUAGAAAAACGAUCCGAAAAUUUCUACGAACUUAUUGCGAUUUCAUCUUCCUACUGCAUUCCCUGUUUAAUGGUUAUGCUACAUUAGUAUUUUAUUAUUAUUUAUCCACAAUUAUUAUAAUUAUUAUGAUAUUACUUUUUAGGCUGUCCAUUUGUUAAUUAUACCACAUCCAACUUGUUGAAAACAAUUUUAUUUUCCGUGCGAAUAGGCCAUUUGUAGUGCUUAUCGGUUUCUCUGUUCUUCAAUUUGUUAAUUUUUUUAUUUUUUAGGUUGAAGGGAUGUUUUGAAACAUAAUAUGGAAAUAUACAAGUCAUCCAUUGUACUCCUUCCACACAAAAAAAUAGUCUACGUCAUUCACUGUUCAACACCCUAGGUUAAGACACGUGUAACCAAAUCCGUUCGGAUAUGCUAAGUGGGAAAAUGUCAUUCCCAAGCACUGGUGAAAAGACACUUAUUUACUCCAUGCAUGACUUUUGGUUUACCAAAUAUGAAGAUUGGGGUCGGUGAGCAAAAUAUCUGUGUCAGUAAAAUGUCAUUCCUAGCCAUCUAUGAUGUAAGUAAUAAUUCCGCUAUAUAAUAAAUAUUAUACAUUUAUAUAUAAAACGGUUUAUGACAAAAUACCAACAUUUGAACAACAUUUAAACUGAGAUAGGUAUAACGUAGCCAGCCAACCUAGAAGUGAAGAGAAGCAAGUCCACAAUGCAUCAAAACUGUAAAUUCGUACUAAAACUAAUGCAAAAAUACGUGAUUCCCUCGCACAACUUACUCACGCAGGAUUUUGCACCAAAAAAUACUCUCACGGUGCCAUUUGCAUCGGUUGCAGCAAGUCCAAAACGCAGGAUUUAUCUUGUCUUCACUAGGCCACCCUGGAAUAACAAAAUACCAUUCAUUGUUGUUACAAGCGCUGCACCGAUUGAACUUAAUCUUCCCAUAGUCAAACAUAUCUACGAUAUGUCUUGCAACAAAUGCUCCGCGACAUCUUCCUGUUAAAGCAUCCCUGGUUCCUUUCAUAUCAAUGUUGUUACGUUGAUUCAAAGAACACAAGAAUUGUAAUGCAUCCUCUUUUGACUGACCAAUUCCGGACAUACCAAGUAGUCCAACUACAUAUGCCGCUUCCAUAUGGCCUGCCGUGGCUGCAAUGCGCAUCCCAUACAACGCUUCCACCUUACCGUCUGUGAAAAAACCUUCGAAUGCUUCUCUAAAUAUGGACUCAGGGUUAUCGCAAGCCCUGCAUUGUUGCAAGAAAUGCUGGACUGCAGGUUUGGCACGGUAGCAGAUAGGAUGGUGUGGGUACUUUGCCAUUGAAAUGGUGUUCCACACUUGUGGACUGUUUGCCAAAAUGUUGAACAAUCGGCACACACAUGCCAUACGGAAGAGAUCUUCCGAUGAUUCGGUUGCCACGUAUAACAUCACUUGAAACCAAGCGGACUCCGGGAUAAAGGCUUCGGGCAUAUCGAAAUGGAGAUGCUUCCUUCUCUUUCCUCCGACUGUAGUGAAGUGUUUCGAAUUCAUUGAAAAGUUUUUGGAAUGGAACGAUUUGAGGAGUGGCAGAGGGGAUAAAUGAUAAUAUUUGGGGUACACGUUCUACUUCCGAGCCUCUGUUUAUAGUGUUUUGAAAAGGUGUUUCCAGUUGGGGUUUUUCCAAGUUGACCCUUUUGAAAGAAACUGAAUCCAAGUGAAUUAAAACUUAAGACAAAAGAAGGGAAAACGUCAUAACGGUGCAUACAGAGUCAGACAGUUAAAAAGUUAAUUAAAUGGCUAUUUGCAUAGCCAUUUUUGGGUUUAUCCCACUAUCAAAUUCAUUGAUACAAAUGUGAUGGAUUACUGACUAGUGACAGAAGGUCCCAUCAUAUACUUUUUCAUUUUCGCACACCCAACUAUCCCUAGUAAUGUUAUUAAAAUGGAACCAAUAAUGACGGAUUCUUAUCCAACUAGUUGCCUUAAUGAAAUAUAAAUAAAUUAAUAAAAUUGAAGCAGUGUCCCGUCAUUAGUCAGAAAAUAUAUUUGGUAGUGAAGUAGUUUCUAUUGCUUUUCGGGCUAAAAGAUGUCACAAUGCUGACGGUACAGGUGUCGACAUCGUGACCAACCCACCAAAUGAUCCCAAAAAAAAGUAAUAUAACUCGAUUUGGGCAGAGAUGAGAGAGAGCUGAGUGACAAGUUUAGGGUUAUGAGUGAAGGGGUAUGAAUGACAACUAUGAGUGAGAAGGUAUGAGUCCGAAGAGGUUUCAGUGAGAAGAUUUGAGUGAGAAGAGGUACAACUGAGAAGAUUCAACAUGUCUUCGUCUUCAUCUCCUGCUCAAACAAAGAGGUGUCAGUAUUGUGGAGCUACAAUGGUGCUUCGGGUUUCAAAAUCUGAAAAAAAAUCGAGGGAAGCCAUUCUGGAAGUGUCUAACCUCCUAUGUAAGUUUUAAUUUAAAGAAUAUGUAUGUGGGUGAAAAAAAACCUAUGUCUAACUCUGACAGAAUUAUAUUCCAUAUAUGAUGCCUGCAAUUAGGGAGCCACCAGUUGCAAUGGAUUCGAAUGGGUUGAUGUAACCUCCGCUGAAGCAGAACAUCAAGAUGACACGUAUGAUGUUAGAGUGCUGAACAUGCUGAAGUCCAUUAAGGACUUGGUAUUAGUUUUAUUAGUUGUAUUAAUUGUCAUUUUAUUUGUUCUUUUAAUGAUCAUUUAACUGCACGGUUUAAAAGAUUGUGAAAGUUCUCUCGCACAAGACAUAUUGCACGCACCACCAAUGAGACCCUAAACCCAUUUUGUAAUAUUUGGUAACUGCAUGUAUUUCGCAUGUUAUUGAAUGUUUAUUGAAGGUUUAUUGAUAGUUUGCUGCAUGUAUAUGGAAUAUCAUUGCCCCAAAAUUGGAUGUUUAUUGGGGCCACAAGUAUCACUCAAGUAAGAAUGAAGGGGAGAAACGGACCUUAUUCUUUCUUAUAGUAGGAAGAACAACUGUUAAGUUUAAUAUCCUAUUCAAUACGACUUCCCUAUGGUUGGUGUACUUGGGGACUGAAGUAUAUUGCAUCAUUAUUGUGGGCAAGGGCAUGUCUAUUGUGUGUGUUAAGGGAGUAUUGUGUGGGCAAGGGCAUGUCUACUGUGUGUAUAUUGCAUGUCUACUGUGUGUAUAUUGCAUAUCUAUUCUCUGUAUAUGGCAGGCCAAGUUUGUGUAUAUUGUUUGUCUGUUGUGUGUGUAUUGCUUGUCGGUGCGUUUGUGAAUUGUGGUUCAUUUUGUGUAUAUUGUCUUUGUUUCUACUUUUAUGCUACUGAGCUGCGGAAAACCUCGCAUGUUUAGACACCUAUUAUGAUGCAACACAUUGCGAUUAAUGGUGGCUUGCAUCAACAAUGACAUAUCACUUUGCAAUGAUGUAAUACACUUAAAAAGCCGUCUUCAAAUCCCAAUUCACAUAUGCAGUCUUAAAAUUCUAAUUCAAUGCAGUUUGGUUAACAAACAUGUAAAUGUCAUGAAGGAGUUAGCGGUAGAAUUCGAUAAGGACCCGUACGUCUCUAUUGUGUAUUUACAUUAGUUUGAGAAUGGACAUUCCCAAAACCUUCUCAUGUACCAUUUGUCAUCUUCAACCAAUAUCAUGGGAAGUAAGCAUCUCCCCUUGUUAUCUCCGCAGCCAAUUUCAACCGAAAAAAAGGCAUGUUGUGCGAGGUGCAAGUAGCUAACGGAAGCUUAGCGCUGAAAAGCUCAAUGUACUUUAACACAAACAUGCCACAAUCGCCUCUGAAGCAAAACAAGAACUCGAUCAAUUCAACUAAUGACAUUCUAAUGUAAUUGACAAUUGAAAGUAAUAAAAUUAAAUUGCAAGUUGUGCUUACUCAUUAGACUGUUGUGGAACAUCCACACGCUCUAUUGGCCACGGACACCACCAAUCUCGGCUGCAAUUGUUUGCAUAAACACCUUCUUCAUAAAAGUCGAUGGUGUUGAGAAGAUUUGGAAGCGUAAUUGAUAGCGGGCCGAGUUCUUCCUUUACGAUGUCAUCUGGAAUUAGUGAAACCUUUGAAUCGUACACUUUGAUUCACACAAUACCAGAUCAAACANNNNNNNNNNNNNNNNNNNNNNNNNNNNNNNNNNNNNNNNNNNNNNNNNNNNNNNNNNNNNNNNNNNNNNNNNNNNNNNNNNNNNNNNNNNNNNNNNNNNNNNNNNNNNNNNNNNNNNNNNNNNNNNNNNNNNNNNNNNNNNNNNNNNNNNNNNNNNNNNNNNNNNNNNNNNNNNNNNNNNNNNNNNNNNNNNNNNNNNNNNNNNNNNNNNNNNNNNNNNNNNNNNNNNNNNNNNNNNNNNNNNNNNNNNNNNNNNNNNNNNNNNNNNNNNNNNNNNNNNNNNNNNNNNNNNNNNNNNNNNNNNNNNNNNNNNNNNNNNNNNNNNNNNNNNNNNNNNNNNNNNNNNNNNNNNNNNNNNNNNNNNNNNNNNNNNNNNNNNNNNNNNNNNNNNNNNNNNNNNNNNNNNNNNNNNNNNNNNNNNNNNNNNNNNNNNNNNNNNNNNNNNNNNNNNNNNNNNNNNNNNNNNNNNNNNNNNNNNNNNNNNNNNNNNNNNNNNNNNNNNNNNNNNNNNNNNNNNNNNNNNNNNNNNNNNNNNNNNNNNNNNNNNNNNNNNNNNNNNNNNNNNNNNNNNNNNNNNNNNNNNNNNNNNNNNNNNNNNNNNNNNNNNNNNNNNNNNNNNNNNNNNNNNNNNNNNNNNNNNNNNNNNNNNNNNNNNNNNNNNNNNNNNNNNNNNNNNNNNNNNNNNNNNNNNNNNNNNNNNNNNNNNNNNNNNNNNNNNNNNNNNNNNNNNNNNNNNNNNNNNNNNNNNNNNNNNNNNNNNNNNNNNNNNNNNNNNNNNNNNNNNNNNNNNNNNNNNNNNNNNNNNNNNNNNNNNNNNNNNNNNNNNNNNNNNNNNNNNNNNNNNNNNNNNNNNNNNNNNNNNNNNNNNNNNNNNNNNNNNNNNNNNNNNNNNNNNNNNNNNNNNNNNNNNNNNNNNNNNNNNNNNNNNNNNNNNNNNNNNNNNNNNNNNNNNNNNNNNNNNNNNNNNNNNNNNNNNNNNNNNNNNNNNNNNNNNNNNNNNNNNNNNNNNNNNNNNNNNNNNNNNNNNNNNNNNNNNNNNNNNNNNNNNNNNNNNNNNNNNNNNNNNNNNNNNNNNNNNNNNNNNNNNNNNNNNNNNNNNNNNNNNNNNNNNNNNNNNNNNNNNNNNNNNNNNNNNNNNNNNNNNNNNNNNNNNNNNNNNNNNNNNNNNNNNNNNNNNNNNNNNNNNNNNNNNNNNNNUUUUCCUCUCCCUCAUCUCUAUUAUUUGGCCCUUCACCCCCUUCAAUCCCUUCAUCUUCUUUUUCCUCUCCCUCAUUUCUGUUACUUGGCCCUUCAUCCCAUUGAAUGUCAUCCAUUUCCCCAUAUCCCUUAAAUAGAUGUGAGACGACACAACGAUUCGUCCUCUGUUUCAGUAAAGCUAGGUCCCUCCUUACUUCCUGCUCAAACUGAGGACCUAAACAUUGGUCCAAUAGUUUUUCCAUCCGUAUGACCUUUAAGUGAAGGACGUCUUUUUCCCGCUUUUCUUGAAACAACUCGGACCUCAACAAGCUUACCACCUUGUUCAACUCAUCAAGAUCACCACAUGAAGAAGGAAUUGACUCUGCCGAGACAACAGCAGGGCGAUCCUGUGGCCAACUCCAAUAUGGCUGUCUCAUUUCCUCUUCACUUAGACAUAGCGCCCGCAACUGAACUGACUGUUUCAGAAUACAGACAAGAGUCAUAUUAAAUCAUUCUACUUCAUAAUUUCAUUCAAUCUUAUCAAUAGUUCUAAGGGCUGCAAACCAAACCUCUUUGCUCUGGAAAAAAUAAUUGUUCAACUUUCUCAUCUCUGGAACAGACGUAGUAGUUCUCCAUCGCAAAAUACGCGGGACAGCGGUCGGAUCAACAACCUUGCAGUAAUUCAGGUCCGCCAUUCUAGGAAUUAAUUCAUAUACCCAAAUCUACACAAUUCACAGGACAAAAGUCAUUAUUUAUGUUUUAAAGAAAAACAAAACAUAACUGACAUGAACAUUAUUACCAUGUACCUGGAAAGCAUACGUGAAACCUUUAAAACUCCAGCCACUCCUUUGCGCUUCACUAUGCUUAUCCUUCUUGCCCUUCUCAUUUCUCCGGCUUGUUCCCGUUACCUUACUUUUCCCCUUCCCUCUUCCCUCUUCAUUUUCCAAGCUUUUCACAUACUUUGUUGGUGCAGAAAAUAGACUGUCUUGGGUUUUGUCAAAGGACACCGAACCCCACGGAUACCUGUUGAACGCAUCCAAGUCCUCUACAAGGGUCAGGUAAUUUAGAUUGAUGUUCAAAUGUUUGUCCCUUCCCAAAACCACUAACUCAGCAAAGUAAACAAGAGGUAGCUUGAAGAUGUCAUCUUCCUCUGUGCACCUCACAAAUGCUUCUUCUAAAGCAUUGCAUGUAAUUCCUUCGUCUAUAAAAUAUCUUUUCUGAAGUCUGAUUUCAUUACUCUCUCCACUGGAAACUUCAGGCACUUCCCCAAAACGAAGCCCUGUGAUCAAACAGAAAUCCUGACGAGUGAACUGAGCAACGUCACACCCUAAUAAGAAACUCAGUCCAUCCAAGUCUUUCACACCCUGCCCCGCUACUCUACGCAACACAACCCCAUGCACAAUCUGUCCGCUAAACUGAAUCUUAUCUAUAUUCAGAAGAUGGCCAAAGCAUGAUGUCUUGAAUUGUUCUAAUUGUUCCGCACUCAACUUCGCUCGAAUUGCAGCUAGAGAUGAAUUUGCAUGUGAGCAGUUGUUCACCCGUGAUGAAUAUACCUCUGCCUCUGGCCAUACCAGCUCCACGUUGGAUCCCAUUUCCUCAAAUACAAUGUGAAAUAACGUGAACAUAUAUACUACCACGUAUUUGCACAAUCACAACUAGUCAACCAGGCACAUUACAACUUUUACAAAGUACAUGAGCAUAUGGAUUACUCAUCACAGGCUUUAACAUCAUCAAAGCAAUAUGACAAUUUUUGUGCAAAUACCUGUUAAUGCAAUGAUUAUGUGAAUUACAAACAAUUUCACGUGUUUUAUUUAUGGAUCCAUACUCGUGUGAGUGCAAUGUAGGCAAGUUCUGCACUUCACACACAUGACAAUUAUUGUCAUCUCAUACACAACCCAAAAUAAAUAAAUAAGAAAUAUAGUGGAAGGAAGCAAAGCAAAGCAUGUACUCUGCUAUCUGCUUGCUAAGCAAUUGCCACAUCCUUCUUUCUUUCUACCUUUUUCUUCAGUCACCCACAAUCGUCAUAGAUCAACCUUCAUUUCAAAUGCUUUGCACUUUUAUUCAUGAGUUUAUUAUUAUCUGUUCUCAUUUCUCAUAGGCAAAUUUAGUAACAAAUGAAAUAAUAUUUAUUUCACAAAAUAUAUAAAUUCUAGUGCCAGAGAGGUACUCUUCACUCUGCACUGCUUCAAAUGUGGAAGGUUUUGAGAUGUUAUUGACAUGUGAUUGACUUUAUUUUCAUUCGUUUUUUAACAUAUACCCAAGCAAAAAUUAACAUGCAAUUGAAGCACAAAUAAGAGAUGCCAAAUCCAACAACAUUGAUGGUACAAAUUGGGGAAAACCAUUACUCUAACCCUAAACUCAAAUUCCUUACAUUACUCAUCAAAUGCUUUGCAGUUCUAUUCAUGAGUUUAUUAUUAUCUGUUCAAAUGUUUCUCAGGCAAAUUUAGUAACAAAGGAAAUCAUAUUUACUUCAUAAAAUAUAUAUAUAUAUAUAUAUAUUCUAGCGCCUCUUCUUAAUCUGCACUAUGCACUGCUUCAAAUGUGGAAGGUUUUGAGGGCCUCCUCCAAUUCAACACCAUUAUCUUAUUCAUAUCAUUAUUGACAUGUUAUUCACUUGUUAUUGACUUCAUUUUCAUUCUUUUUUUAACAUAUACCUAAGCAAAAAUUAACAUGCAACUGAAGCACAACGAAGAGAUGCCAAAUCCAACAAAAUUUAUGGUACAAAUUGGGGAAAACCAUUACUCUAACCCUAAACUCAAAUUCCAUAAAUUACUCACCAAAUGCUGGUUAUUGCAAGGUGUCUGUGUGGGGUCUUUCUGUUUCUUUGCUCCACAAAUGGAACCUACCACUUCCAACGAAUACAGCUUUUCCCCUUCCCCUUCCACUGCUUCGCCUCUUCACUGAUUUGGAAUCCACACCUUUGCCCCUUCUACUCCAAAUAAAUACUUUCUCGGGGUCUGGAGAACGGAGUGGCGAAUCGUUGCCUUCAACUGUCGUUAGCCGUUGCCUUCAUUGGGUAUCUCAGACCUCUGUGUUUUAGAGAGAUGAGUUCUUUCUGUUCAAACUUCGAACUUGCCUCUUCUUCUUCUUUUUCGGACGUGUUUCCCUCUUCUUCUUCUUUUUGGACGUGCUGGAUAUUCAAUUCGGGUUUGGGUUCCUUACCUACCCAAUUGUGAAACUUUAACUCAAUUCUCCCCAGCCCUUGGAUUAAUCUGAUGGCUAUAAAGUGAACCCCUUAUAACUUACCCCUUAUAACUUUCCACUCAUUAUAGUCUUGGCCAGGUAUGGCGGCCAUGCUAGUAAGUGUUGGGUCUUUGACCCAACUUAAGCUAAAUGGGUCAUAAGAUGACCGAUCAUCUUAUCUCAUAAGGAUAUAUAAGUCAUGUUAUGAUUUAGGAUUUUAUAGGGUUUCCUUUGUAAGAGGUAAGAGAGAAACAAGCUCUCUCUCUCUCUACACAAGGAGGUCAGCCAUAGCAAGGGAAAGGCUCCUAGCACUCUCCUCUCUCUUAUUAUAUCAUCCUUCCAAGGACAGCUUUGGUAUGGUAAAGUUGGAGGUUGCACACUUUGUGCACUUUGGUAAGAACUCAUCCAAGGGAGCCAAGAUUAAAUUGGUUAGCUGUUGGAUUAAAUUGGUUAGCACGAUUCAACGGUUAAUAGAUAAAACUUCACAUAAAAGUCAUAUAUAAGGCCCUCACUAUAGAAUGACUCGUUAGUUUAGUCUCUUGUUACAUAUCAAAUGUUAGAGAUAUUUUUUAAUAAGGAUCUGCCAUACCACAUAGUUGGAUAAGACAUUAUACACGGCUUUUGUAAGAGCAUCUCCAGCGCUCCAAACUAGCCCAAGCAGCAGGGGGGCCUAAGUCUAGGAAGCAGCUCCAGCUCGCAAGAUUCAACCCAGGCAAGGUGUGGAACCCACGAGGAGAUCUAGCCCGUCACCUUGCCUUUGGGUUUCAGUCAAGCUGAUGUCAACGAAAGAAUUUCAAAUUUUUUUUACCGUUACAAUGUACGCGCCAACGAUAAAUUUUCUUUGGAUUUCUUGCAUUGAUCCACAGCUACCAAAAACCAACAGCUACAAGCCACGUGGCUUCUCCAGGAGCCUCCGAUCCAAAAAUCAUGUCAAAUCUAACGGCAGUCCAUUUUUUGGCUAAAAAUAUCAAAAAAUUAUGGAAACAUGUUCUAUAAAUUCCUACAAAUAUUAUUCACUUCCCACACCAAAUCUUCAUACAAAUUCAUAUCCUUUCAAUAUUUUUCACUUUCCAUACAAGAUUUUCUACUACUAAGUUUCGUUUGUGUAAAAAUACAAAUGACCUCUUCUAUCGAAGCCGGAGGCGCGUGUACAACCGUGGAAGAUAUUUUGUUGCGUGAGUGUUGGGUCAAAGUUGGUCAUUCCCUGAUCACGGGCAAUGAGAUGAAGUCCUCUCGUAGGAGUUUCUGACAUCGCAACGAAAGUAAGAUGUGAUAUGAAAAUGUAAGGAAUUUGAUGAGAGGAAUGGGAUUUGAGGAGUUUGAUGUAGGAAUUGAUGUAGGAAUUGAAUUUGGGAGGUAUGUAUAUAAGAUUUGAGGGUAUGUGUUUAGGGAUUUUGAUAAGAGGAUUUGAGGAAUUUAGAUUUGAAGGAUUUGGAUUUGGGGAAUUUAAAUAUGAGGAAUUUGAUUAGGGUUUGGGUUUGAAUAUGUGAAAUUUGAUAUGAGAGUUUAGAGACAACAGAUGAUCGAUUGCUCUGAUACCAUGCUAAAAUAUGAUAUGGUUUGAAUACUUUAGGUUGAGUUUUAUUCUUUUCCAUAAAAAGGUAUAUAUAGGAGUUUACAUGAGUGCUUUACAAAGAAAUAGAUACAAUAAUCAAUUAGGAUAAUAUCUCCUAAUUAUACAAUAAUUUGUCAACUAUAUAGAAUAGGAAAGUAAAUUCCUUAAUUAAUCAAGAAAAUAAAUCUCAUUGAUUAAUUAGGAGACUAACGUCAACAUUUAUAAGCCAUAAAAGAGCAGAAAAAGAGGUACUUAGGAGAUUUUAUACGUCGGACUAAGGUAAGCUUAAAGGACUAUAUCAAAAAAAUAAGGGACCAAGAAGCAAGACAGAGAAGUUGUUAUGCAAACCCAUUAAGUUUAGCAGUGAUGAAUUUGUAAAAAUCAUUCUAGUGGAUUCUGCCUUCACUAUUGAGUUCUUAUUGAGGUUCUAUCUGAAAGGAUCUGGACAUGAAGGAGACCGCUUAUUAAACAAACCGUGGAUGUUUACAGCCUGACAUGUGGUUGCUUGAAAAUCAGCUCCCAUUCUUUAUUCUUGAGGAUCUUUAUCACACAUACAUAAUAACCGACUCUUUUAGGAAUUAUUACAGUACUCAUGAUCAUGAGAGGCUUUCAAUAAUUAAUAUUUCUAAGAAUUUCUUCACAGCCGGAAUAUUGAAUUUGGAGGGGAAGGGAGACAAAUGGAACAGAAUAUCAUCUUCUUCUAGUGUUGGAAAUUUUAUAUUAUUUAAUAAUAUUUAAUUUCUAUUGUGAAUGAAAAAUAAGUUUCUUUAAGAAACGUGUGUCUUAGGCCAGUUUUUCUAACUGGUCGGCUUCCUUAGAUUUGUGCCUAUUGCUUUUCAAAGUAUAAUGAUGCAAUGGUUGUAUCUCGUUCAGGCAAAUGGAAGGUAUAUAGCAAUUUAUAGAACAAUACAGUAAUCCAGAAGAAAUAUUAUGAAAUGAAAAGAAUAAAAAGUAAAAAAAGAGAAAGAAAGGAAUUCCCACCUGCAAUGUAUAUGUAUGAAAGGAAGGACCAAGUUUGUUUUAAAAUGGUAAGAACAAGUUGAUUUUAAAUUGGGUUCAGAUCAACUCAUAGAUUUCUUGCCUUUUCUGUUCUCCUUCCUUGGACAUGAACUGUUUAAUCUUGGACUCUUCCCCAUCAUGUUGGGCCUGUCUUCUUCUUGAGGAUUGUAUAGGCCUAGGAAAUGCUUCGGGGUAGUUUUUGUGUUUUGGGCAUUGGGACCCAACUUCACAAAAAGAAAACAAAUUUGACCAAAACACAAAUUUGAAGGACAUUGAAAUUGUACCCGUAGGAUAGAUUAAAACACUAUAAGGGAGGUAAAUAGUACGUUUACAGAGUUUAAGUGUAAUAAAGGAAUAAAAACAUGCCCAGAGAAUUGAUAAGUGAUAUCAAUUCUUGAAUAUACGUGAAAAUUAUUUUAUGUGGUUAAACCCCACCUCUGGGGAAAAUCCACGGAACUUCUUAGUCCAACUUCUAUCACUUAUCCUAGACACAUUCUAGAUAAUGUUUGCCAACCUCUUCGUAACUCAACUUCUGUCACGAGAUGAUCUUUCAACACUUUAUGUCGAACGCAAUACUGGUCACGAUUUCUUCAAGCUCGCCGGAGUUCUUCCAAUUCUCCUUAUAUUGAAUCUGAUACUAGUCACGAUCGAUUCAAGCUCAUCGGAGAAAAAUCGCCACAACAAUCUUGGUGCCCUCAACCGUAUGAGUCACUGAACAUGCAAAUGAAUACAAUAUGAAUGAUAAAAGUGUUUGAUAAAUCACCAAGUUAUGGAACACUUGAUGAUUUAUCUCAAAUAAAAAUUCAGCUUUCCAAAGUUUAUGAAUUGAAAAUAUGACCGUUAAAGCUCUCUAAACAAAGAAGACGAAGGUCUUAUUUUAUAGACUUUUACUUUACAAGAAAGAAAACACGUUGAAAACCAAAUCUCCAAUUUCCAAGGCUUGACAGAAAAUCACAAAAUUAUCUUUCCUAUUCUAGAGAUUGGUCACAUGAAGUCCAACCAAUAGGAAAUGAGAUAUUUAAGAAAGGAAGAUUUUGAUCAAUAUCAAUAUCAAAUGAAUUCUUAUACGCCUAGUCAAUUGUUAUGGGUAUCUUGACUCCUUGAUAUUGUGAUAUGAUUGAAACAUGAUUUCCACGUUAGAAAAUUAAGGGGAUGUUAAAACAUGAAGGUAAUAGGAGAAUCAAAUUGAUUUGGGCCAAAAUUGCCUAAAAAGAAAACACUCCUUAAUAAACUUCAAUUUACUUUUAAAAAUAGUAAAACGUGAUUGAAUCGUUCUUUAAAACAAUUCCCUAAUAUACAUGCAUGAUAGUGAUAUCACUUACCUUUGAAUCAGAUGGCUUUCACGGGUCAAGCCACAAGUUUUUGUCUUGGGGAUUGCUGAGCUUCAUCAAUCCUGCCAAUGUCAAUUUUGCCCCUAAGCUCUCUCAAAGCACGUUUACAACCUAUGCUAACAUAUAUUAGAGUUUAUGUUAGUAUCAAGAAAAUGCCAACACUAAUUUCGUAACACGUAGAAAUUGUUAGAGAUUGAAGUUUUUAUCAUUUUUUCUUCCAGACUCUCCACCACUCACUAAUAUAGUUUACUCAUGUGAUGAGUUUACAAAACCUAUUUCUCUACUCUCACAAAGACUAUACUUAGGGGGGUGUAUUCAAUUAGGAUUCUAAAGCGUUUAAAAAGAUUUUGUUUAAGUGCCAGCUUUCAUAGAACUUGAUGGAACUUUAUAAUUCGUAUAGAACUUGAUAGACUUUCAGAAGACUUCUGUAUAAUUUUUUAAUAAAACUUUCUUAAGCUUUCAUAGAACUUGAUAGGCUUUCAUUCCAAACUUAUGUAGAUGGUAUAUUUCAUUUUAUCCCCAUCCUUGACAUUUAAAGAAAGAAACUUGAAUUUUUUCAAUCAAAUUUGUUUUUGUUACCAAAGCAGCAAAAACAAAAAGUACUUGUUUGCGAUGGAAGAACAUAUGCACAGUUCAAAAUGAAAAGAAUAAGAAGCAAAGUACCUAUUUGACCAAUGAAUGCUGUGUCAACUAGAGAAGCAAUUGGAUCGGCUGUCAAAGCCAAUGCUGCAGGCAAUGCAUCGAUGGUCCAAAUUGCAAUAAAAAAAUAUUUUGAAUAAUGGCUCUUGCAGACAAAGACCACAUAAAUUCUGAACUGGUCUAGCUUGAAUAAUAAGGUUAGAUUAGCCAAUUGAUGAGAUUAAAAGCAAAGCAAGUUGAUGAAUUUAUCAUCAACUAUUUAAUAACCACAGUCCUGAUCUCUUGGACCCCUGUAGUCCAAGAGAUUUAUGGUCACCCACCGUUGGAUGUAAAUUCAACGGUUGACUUGAAUCGGGUAAUAAUCAUUUAUGUCAUAUUGCAUUUAUAUAUAUCAUUUUGAACCAUUGGAUUAAUAUCCAACGGUGGGUGACCACAAUCUCUUGGACUCCUGUGGUCCAAGAGAUCGGGACUGUUAAUAACCAAUAGAGUAUUUAAACAUAAACAACAAUGUUUGAUCAACAAAACAAAUAGUCCAAAUAUCAUCCAAAAAACAAUAACAAAAAAUCAAUCAUUCCAAACAAACUAGUCAUUCUCAAAAACUCUCAAAAAACCCACUCAUUCCAAAUUGUAGGAUAUCCAAUUUGAGCACUCCUCAGGAGACAUUUUCAAAAAUGCAUCCUUUUUUGUGUUACUAUGCAACAAAGAGAGUGCUUUAUAACGAGCAUGUUCAUCCAAAUUUGGGGUCUCCUUAAUGGCAUCCCAUAUAUAACUCCGCUGCUCUCUCUCUUUUUCCCUUUUUGCCAAUAGGUUAUGGACCUCCCGGAAGUCGAUGACAAUUGAAUCAAUGCUAAGGCUAAUUCUUCCCAUAGCUUGCUGGGUGGUCACAUUUGAGAUAGCAUUCCCUUCCAAAUAUGUUCUAGUUCGUUUCCUCUAGUAACAAGCAUAAAUCCUAGUAACAAGCAUAAACCCUAACCCCAACCUAUAACCUAAUAACAAGAAGAAAACCCAACGAGGUAUUGAUCAAAGAAAAAUUAGGGAGCAUACCUUCACAGAUGGAGGAAGGAAGCUGUUCGUCUUCGCAGAGAGAAAAUCUAGGGAAAGAGAAAAACGUCUUAUGAAAUACUUGGGGGGGAGGUUGGAUUUAUUUUGGUCUUUUUUAUUUAUAACUCUCCCCUUAAAACCUACGUAAAUUUAUCACUUAAUGAAAUCCUUCCAAAUAUAUGACCUUUCGAAUACACCUAGAUUUGAUUCAACUUUUUUAUAAUCAUAAUUGAAUACACCCAUAUUUGAAUGGACUUUUUAAAAGUUCAUAUAGGUCCGAAAUGAAUAUACUCAAACUUGUAAAACCUCUUUUAAAGUUUGUAUAAAUCCAAAUUGAAUACACCUGGAUUUUUAAAAUCUUUUUAAACACUUUAUAAUCCUAAUUGAAUACACCCCCCUUAUUCUCAAAAGACUAUAUUACUUUACCUCUAUCUCUGUGAAAUGUAAAAAGUUGAAACUUUAAUGUCAAACCUCAACAAAAGAUGAACUUUCAUCAGUUACGUUGAAUUUGGAUUUGUUGAACUUAAGUGGUUUUAUUUUCUUUGUCAGUGUUUGAUGACUUAAUUUGGUAUUUAUUUCUUCUUUUUUUUCCUUGGAAAUGUGUUCCACCAACGUGAGGAAGAAAAAUAUGCACAAAUUAAUAUAUUUAAUAGAAGCCCAAGAUUUCGGAUGCAUAUAAUUUCUACAAAAAUCUACAAAGUUUUUUACUUUACAAACUUCUUAUGUCUACCAAUUUCUACUAAAAUUAAUUUCUCUGUGGUGCUCAAAUUCAUCAUAUGUGUGUCGUUAAUUUUAUUGAAAAUUGGAAGUUCCCAUCAUUUUUGUUUUUUGGGAAUUUUCUGAACCAAGGAAAAUCAAGUAAAAUUAAUAAAGCCUAAAUUGGAAAGGGAAAAUAUCUAGAGGAUGCAUUGUAGGAUUGCUCAUGCCAAUAAUUGUACCCUCUAAAUAUAUAGAGACAUAUUUUUUUUGUUUUCAUGACAUGUGGUCCUAAAAUUAUUGUGUAAAUCUUCAAUCCUGAACGAUGCACCUAAAACUCAUCCACCCAUUCUCAGGCCAAUUAUUGCACCUAGUGGGCUCUCGACCCCCUCUCAAAUUUAACCACAUAUUUUAUGGACCAUCCAGCUGUGAGGUACAUUCCCCCCACAUGCCACAAUUGUAUAUUCACAAUUACGUCUGAUACAUCACAUCAUGCCACUUGCCUCAAAUGAAUUUAAGUGAGUGAGGCAGUUGGAAGUAAUUAAGCUCUAUAUUGGUGGGUGGAGUGUUACUUCUCGGUUCCCCUCAUCAUUCGUCUAUAAAAUGGUGAAGGCAGUUGCUAUUGUUACCAUAAGAGCCAGCUCCGACUUCCUUUAAUUUCUUGCUUCAUAUCCACUAGCUACAUCUGUUACCAAGUUAAUUUCAGUUCUAAUGGGGUUUCAUCUCCCACUCAUCUUUGCUCUUCUCAGUGUAAGCUCUGCAAUUUGAUUAACUUUUCCAUUCUCUCUCAUUGUACUCUAUAUAAACGAAAGUUUUGUGUUCCUAUUGUUCUCUCCGAUUUUAUUUAGUACGUACUUAAGUGUCGUCCACUAAUUAAUUAUACUUUGUGAUUUGAUUUUAAUUUGAGUUUGAAUUAAUGUUGCAGCUAGCAGCAGUGGCACUGGCAAACCAUGCUGCUCAACCAGCACCUCAACUUUACUGGAGCUCCGUCCUGCCAAACACACAGAUGCCAAGAUCUAUCAGUGAACUUCUGCAUCCUGGUUUGUGUUGAGCUCUUUAGAAUCUUAGAUAUCUCUUCUACCUGCCAUUUUACUAAAAUAUGUUCCACCACAUAUUUAUCAGUUAACCAUUGUCAUUACAUGAGUGACACAUAUUCACAAAUCGGCUGAUCACUUAUUUUCCAUUAUGACUUGAUAUAUAAUUUGCAGACUCCACAAAUGAAGAAAAGAGCACAAAUGACGUUGGCAAACCUGAAACUUUCCCAUUGGGCAAUCAACAUUACUCCAGUCAAAAACAUUAUGGAGGCAUACCUGAAACUUCCCCAUUGGGCAAUAAACAUUACUCCAGUCAAAAACAUUAUGGAAGAGGCAAACCUGAAACUUUCCCAUUGGGCAAUCAGCAUUACUCCAGUCAAAGACAUUAUGGAAGAGGCAAACCUGAAACUUUCCCAUUGGGCAAUAAACAUUACUCCAGUCAAAAACAUUAUGGAAGAGGCAAACCUGAAACUUUCCCAUUGGGCAAUCAGCAUUACUCCAGUCAAAAAAAGUAUGGAAGAGGUGCUUCUCCAUCCGACAAUCAACAACUCCAUUAUAAAGACUUAGCUAUUUUCUUCUUGGAGAAGGACAUGCGCCCUGGCACAACAAUGAAGUUCCAAUUCCCUAUAAAUUCAAACACGGCUACUUUCUUGCCACGAGAAAGCGCUCAAUCGAUCCCCUUCUCCUCUAACAAACUGCCAGAAAUUUUCAACCAUUUUUCAGUGAAGCCAACAUCUGAGGAAGCCAAAACAAUUAAGCAAACAAUCGAAGAGUGUGAAGCUCCAGACCUUAAGGGAGAGGAAAUAUAUUGCGCCACAUCUUUAGAAUCAAUGGUUGAUUUUAGCACUUCGAAGCUUGGAACAAGAAACGUUGAAGCAAUCUCGACGGAGGUAUUGGAAAAAGGAGCCACCAUGUCCAUCCAAAACUAUACAACAAUGCCGGGACUGAAGAAGUUGGCAGGUGACAAAGUCGUUGUGUGUCAUAAGCAGAACUAUCCCUAUGCUGUGUUUUUCUGCCAUGCAAUAAAACAUACAGCAGCUUAUGCUCUCUCCCUGAAAGGCGAUGAUGGGGAGAAGGUUAAAGCAGUAACCAUCUGCCAUCUAGACACAUCAGAAUGGGACCCAGAGCAUAUGUCCUUCCAAAUCGUCAACGUUAAGCCCGGAACCAUUCCCAUCUGCCAUUUCAUUUCCACUGAUGCUAUUGCCUGGGUUCCGAACCACAAAUCUGCAUGAUCAUCACUUAGCACUAGUACUGUGCGUAUAAUAUGCCUGUAUAAUUAUCUCCCUACUUAUUUCUGCCUCUUCAUCAUGUGGUGUAAGAUAUAUGUUGAGAUGAAGUUUUUGGGAUUUGUGGUCGAAAUUAACCCGAUCAUGUUUUCUCUUGCAACCAUAUAGACUUCAACUUGUACUCAUAAUAAAGCAUGCUAUAUUUAUGAAGAGAUAUUAAUCUUCAGGCAAAUAGAUAUUAUGAAAACAUAUAUAGCAAUUUAUCCAGAAGAAACAUUAUGAAAUGAAAAGAAUAAAAAGUAGAAAAACAGAAGGAAAGGAAUUCGCACGUGCUAUGCUAUGUAUGAAAGGACCAAGAUUGUUUUCCCUUUGGUUAAUGACUAGAAAAGCUCACUUGCAGAGUGCUUUCUCCGACCAUAGAUGGAAGAGAAAUUUUCUCUUAAUAAUAGCACAAUGAUCGGGUAAUUGUAAGAACAAGUUGAUUUAAAAUUCCUUGACCCAAAAAAAAAAAAAAAGUUCUUUUCAAAUUCAGGUCAACCCAUAGAUUUCUUGCCUUCGUCUUCUUCAUCACGUUGGGCUUGUCUUCUUUUUGCGUUUUGGGCCUUGGAAGUUGGGACCCAACCCAACUUCACAAAAAGAAAACAGAUUUGCCAAAAAUCAAAUUUCAAGUCUCUCCUCCGAUCACUAAUACAGAUCAAAUUUUGGAUUUGAUGAACUAAAGUGGUUUUACUUUCUCUGUCAGUGUUUGAUGACUUAAUUUGUUAUUUACUUUUUUUUUUUUACUUGAUCUUUGUAGGGGCUUUUUUUUUUCCGGCAGCUUAAACGGGCUGGGCUGCCGUAAAGGGUAGAUUGAUGAAAUUGUCCCCUUUGUCUGAAUUCGAAAAUCAAGCCCCAAAAGCGCUUCGAAAGGGCAGUAGAGCCUUAGGAAGCGUUCUGGUUACCUUCACUAAUUAAAACAACAGCAACUUACAGAUGAUUUCUUGAGGCUUACAGAUAAAUUUUCUAGCUUGGCAUGACAUGGAAGCAAAAUCAGCAUGAGUUUAGCACCAAAGAGGAAAAUAUGGCUUCCUAGGGAGAAAUGAGAGUGUUUAAGGUGAGGAAGAAGAGGUUUGCAGGCUGAUUUGGCUGAGAAAAGAGAAAGAAAGAACAAUGUUCUUCCGGCAGCUUGACAAAGCUUCUGACAGAUGUGAAAGUCGUCCGCCAGAAGAGGAAAAUGGAGAAGAAGGAUGAAUAGUGCACGAAAUUGGUGGGUUCUUGCAGGUAAGAGAGAAAGCUUGCUCUCUGAAUCUGAGUUGGUUUUGGUUGGGUAGAAGAAGCCCCCUUUUAUAGCUGCGGGAAACCAUCUUUUUCCAAGAAACCCUAAUGGUUUCUAUCCUUUUUGGCCAAGCUUUUCCCUUCCUUUCUCUUCUCCUCCCUUGACUUUUCCUAUCUUGGUGAAAUUUCCUCUGCCUAUUUGCACAAAAUUAGAGAUUUUGAGGAGCUCAAGGCCCCUUUCCCGCAGCUGCCUUAGUGGAGAAUCCCCAUUUUCAGUCAUCUUUCUUCCUUCUUUUCUCCCAUCUUCCAAGGCUAGGUUUGAUGAGAGAAAGAAAUGGAUAUGCACACUGGUUUGAAGGGUGUUUUUCCUUGAAACUUGUUCUCUCCCAUGUGCUGGAGCUUCCCAGCAGCUUACACACAUAGAUAUUUUGGCUUUCAUCGUGGCUUUUGUUUUCAGCUAGGUGCUGGAGAUUUUGCAUAUAUUUUCUUGAGUUGCUUGGGCCUUCUAGGACAAUACGUUGGUUUAUCAAGUGAAUGGGCUAACUUCAUCAAUUGUUGGGCAAUUUUGGUUGAGUUAAUGGACUAUUUUGGUUCAAGUAAUGGACUAUUUUGGUUGAAAUAAUAGGCUAUUUUUCUCUCUUUGUGCUCACCCACAUAUUUGGGCCUAAAAAAUGGGCUUGAGUUUCGGGGCUCCCAAGCAACCCCGGGACUUCCAUUUCUCGGCCCAUCAAUGAGCCUCAUGUCAACUUAUUACCAUCCAUACCACAACCCACUCAAGCAAGCCUCAGGCAUCUUGCGUGGCUUGGGCCCACGUAAGCUCGUAGUGGCAAUGUUGCUUAUUUGCUUGACGUGGCAUGUGUGCAAGUGCAUAUGACGAACUUUCGCGUGCCCAAAUUGAGUUUCUUCUCGGUAGGGUAUCGCAUUGGGCCGAGAAUUUAAUUGGGUAGAACCGUGGAUUUUUUGGGCCUCAACAAUCUUAUAUAUAUUAGUUUUCUUUUUUUCCUUAAUAUUCACCACCUUUCUGUUGCAUAAGUAUUCCAGUCUUAGCGGGUUUCCAUCUACCACUCAUCUUUGCUCUUUUAAGUGCAAGCUUUUUUAUUUUUAUUUUUUUAUGCACAAGAUUAGAGGGGAGGGAGAUUUCUCAAUGUAAGCUUUGCAGUUUCAUAAUUAAUAUUUCCAAUAUCUCACUGUUAGUAAAAUAUGGAACGGGAAAAGUACGAAUAAAAUACACACAUGUUUUAUUUAGCAAAAUUUUGACAAGAUACAACUGAAAAGUUUGGCCACUAUAUAAUAUUUUGAUUUAAUUUUUUUUAUUUUUUUAAUAUAUAUUAUUUUUAUUCAAUAAUAUGUGAAAAAUAGGUGUACAAUAUAUGAAAUUUGUAUGUAUUAUUGAAAAAUUCGUAAAAAAAAAACAUGUUAUUAAAUGUGAAAAAUAUGUACGUAUAUGUAUAAAACAUGUAUUGUACAUUACUUUUUAACAAACUUGUAUUUUACCUAGUCUUUAAACCGUAUAUGGAAAACGGAAGUAUUAUUGAAAAAUACAUAUGUACGUAUAUGUAUAAAACAUGUAUUGUACAUUACUUUUUAACAAACUUGUAUUUUACCUAGUCUUUAAACCGUAUAUGGAAAACGGAAGUAUUAUUAAAAAAUACAUAUGUACGUGUAUAAUAUGAGUAUUAAACAAAAAAAUGUGCUAAGUACUUAUCUUUUAAUUUAAUAAUUCAUUUCAUUUUGUGAUCUCAUACGUAGUAAUGAGAGUUCAAAUUAAUGUUGCAGCUGACAAUGGUGGCUCUGGCAAGCCAUGCUUGAUGCAGGAGUAUAGGGGUGGAUCAAGAUAGAUAUUUACCAUGUAAUUAGUUAUUUCAUGAUAUAUUGUUAUUUUCUUAUUUAGGUAGUUUUAUGAUAUCUUUUAUUAUUUAUGUGGGAUUUUAUAAUUAAUUAGUUUACUUUUGGACCAAGUAGCCUUGGUGCUCAAGUCUUGUAAAGCUUAUAAAUAAGGCUAAUGUAAUAGUUGUAGGAAAAGAGAUGUCGAUGAUUAAUAAAAUCGUUUAUUUGUGGCAUGGAUUUGCUACGAUAUAUGUGAGUUUGCACUAGCCCUAGAUUUCGGUGCUCGUGUAUGUGGUUGGUGACCUGUGUCCGGAUCCCGAUCCCCAUCAAUGCUGUUCUCCCAGUACCUCAACUUUACUGGAACUCUUUCCUGCCAAACACAAAUGCCAAGAGCUAUCAGUCAACUUCUGCAUCCUGGUUUCUAUUAAGGGACUUUUCGUGAGCUUAUCAUCUACCCAAAUUUUACUCAUCCGACGUAAUUUUAAAAGUGAUUUGAUCCUUUGGCAAAGUAAUCUUGAACUACAAAAAAGGAGGGCACUCGAAUAGGCAUGCCAUUUGGUAUUACCCACCUCUAAUUUCUUUUAAAAUUUUAGUAAUUGAUUUUUAAGAUUAGAAAAUGGGAAAGUUCAAAACCGAAAAAGUUGUUUCAGUUUUGGCAAGUAUCGGAAAAGACUAAAAUUUUCCGACUUUAUUAUUACUAGAAACAAAGUCGAAGUAUUCACCAAUCAUGUGGCCUUCCAAGUGCUCAAGGUUAAGCCAGGAACCGUUCCUAUCAGCCAUUUCCUUCCCAAGUAUGAUCAUGUUGUCUGGGUUCCAACCCACAAAUCUACAUCAGUACCUGAACUAAUCAGUUCUACAUGAAUAUUCAUUCAUGGCAACCUUGGGCUAAGUAUUUGAAUUUAUGCUCAUAAAGCUUUAAUGCUUUUGAGGGCCAAUCGUUGUCUACAUAUGGUAUUGUAGCAUCUUUAGAUGGAAGAGGUCAGGGGUUCAAUUCUUGUUUUCCACUUCUUUAUUUGUUGGUUUAUCGAGUGUAGAGUGGAGUUGCACCUAUAUGUUCGUCUCUCACCCCAUCAUUUACCAUUGAUAUAUAUUUAAUAGAAGCCUAAGAUUUCGGAAGCACAUAAUUUCUACUUUACAAACUUCCUGUGUCUACCAAUUUCUACUAAAAUUAAUUUAUCUGCGGUGCUGAGAUUCAUCAUAAUUUUAAUAGAAAUUGGAAGUUUUCAUCAUUUUUGCUUUAAGUCUCUACUCCACUCACUAAUAAAGAUUACUCAUGUGAGUUUACAAAACAUUUUUUUUUUCUACUCUCUCCUGAAGACUACACUUCUUCUCAAAAAAUUAGAUCACUUCACAUCUUGUGUAUGUGAAAACUAAUGUAAAAAGUUGAAACUUUAUCGUAAAACCUCGACAAAAAUGAGCUCUACUACAAAAUGUUAAAUUUGGAUUCGUUGAUUUAAAUGGCAAUUUGACACUUGAUAGAAAUUUUUACAUACAUGUGUUAGUGUUUGAUCACUUCACAUGUCACUUACUAUAUUUAUUCCACUCAAGUUAGGUAAAUAUUAUUAUCAAACAUUUCAAUUAAUUUGUGAUUUUUUUAUUAUUUAAUCAAUUAUGAAUUAAUGGAUUCUUCUUGUUGUUUUGAAGACCAACAAAAAAAAAAAAAAGGGUAGUGAUGGCUUAUAAUUCUGGUAAAACAACAGUGACGUGGACAACAGAUGUUACGCUGUACUAAAGAUUUUUGAAGAUUCUUUAUUUGAGUUUCUUUCAAGAUAAAAACCAUAUUAUCCACAACCACAAGCACAUCCGGCAGACAAUCUUUGGCUAUUCAUCACAAUUGGGAGACAAUGAAGAAGACAGAAAAUGGAGUAAUUCAGAUGUUACCAGCCAUCCACGACAAACUGAAGUCUGCAAAGCAUUCGUAAUCUAAAAAGGAUGGGGAGGCUGCGCAAUACUUAGCCACGUGUAGGCCAGGAGGCUUUCCAAUUUUAAUAUAUAUAUAGAUUGAAAAAAUAAAAUAAAAAUCAAUCUAUUAUCAUAUAUAUUAUAAAAUAAAGAUUAUUGCUCCCAUGGGCGGUGCUAUGCACAGGACAGUGCCUGCCUAGUCCAAAUUUUUUUUAAAUAAAAAUAAAAAUCUACAUAUGUUAUAAGCUCAUCCAAAAAAAAAAAAAAAAAUAAAAGUGUUGUAAAUUAUAAGGUGGAGCCCACAUGUUGGAAGGCUUUGCCUACAAAAGGGUUCACACCCUCCCUUUGUAAUUAGACAUUGAGAAUACUAAGGAAGACAGAAAUGAAUAGAGAGAAAACAUUCCCUUCUCUCCAUCUCAAUUCCCUCUCCAAUUCCUCUAGAUUUAUAACACGUUAUCAGCAGCACGAAUCGCUUUCAAACAAUACCAGCUGAAUUUUAUGAUGAAACCCAGAUCUCUCAUCCAUCUCUGCUGCUCCACUACUUCAAAAUAAAUCCCACAGAAAAAGAAAAAGCCUCAAUGCUCUCUCUCUCUCUCUGUCUCGCUUGGGAGACUUGGACAAUUCCUCAUCCCCGUUACUGACAAUUUCAACAGCUUCAGGGGAAGCUAGUUUAUCUUCCUCUGCUCACGAAACCAUGACUCUUUCAGAGCCAAACAACAACACAAUAGACAACGCAUGGAGACCAGACUGGAGCUCGUCGGCUAAGGCACCGACGAUCCGACCCUACCCGUAUGGACCUUCCGGAUGUGGUUCCUGGGUCUUGUCUCAUGUGCCCUCCUCUCAUUUCUCAACCAAUUCUACAAGCAGCAGAGCUUCAAAUCAAACAGAUCAUGGCAUCGCUUUCACACCUCCCCAUCUUCCUCUUCCUCCUGUUCACCGCUUUCUAUUCUACAGCUUCGCAGUCCUUCAUCGGCGCAUCCAAAGGCGACAUACCGGCGCUCGCCUCAGAUCCGAACGCGGCGGCUCAGUGGGUGAACUCGAAUGUCCUCGCCUUCUACUCGGCCAGCAACAUCGACCUCAUCAACGUCGGCAACGAGGUCCUUUUUCUCCAACGACCAGGGCCUCAUCUCGCAGCUCCUCCCCGCCAUGCGAAAUGUCCAAUCUGCCCUCUCCGCCGCGUCCCUCGGCGGCAAGGUCCGUGUCUCCACGGUCCACUGCCUCGCCGGAUCGGGAUCCUUCCUUCAAGUGUUUCUCUGUCUUCGACUUGAAAAAGAAGGUCAUGGCAGGCCUAUGUAAAAAUUGCGAAAAGGAAGGCAAUCUUCAACCUUUUCUCCUGUCUCUCUCUUGAUCAAUUCAUGGAAGGCACAUUUGGGUCUUCCGGGGGCUCAUCAAAUGAGUCAGCAAUGUCAAAGGUGGAGGUGGUGGAGCAAGACUACGUGGGGAUGUCAUAUGAGGCAACCUCAUACCCAGCUGAGGCAGAGCUUGUGCUGGGCCUGGGCCUUGGCCUGAGCCUUCGUGGUGGUGGUGCAGGGAAGCAGCCAAAGCCAUGUGCAUGGGGUGAGCGUGGUAGAAUCUUGACUGCUAAAGUUAGGUGCUGAGUUACACUGUGUUCUCUGCUACUGACCCUAAGAGGAGUGCUAGAAACUUCCAUGUUCCGCCAUCAUUUCGCUUUCACUGUUACAAGGCACUGGAGUAUGUUUAAUUGAAAAGUGAGAUACACAGCAAGUUGAUCAGCCUAGUGGAAAGCAAAGGAUUAUUGCCAGGGAUAUGAACACCCACCGAAAUAAAGGGAUAAGUACUCUUUUUCCCUUCGACCAGUUUUUUUUUGUCCCACUGGGUUUUUACUGGCAAGGUUUUUCACGAAACAUAUUCCGUAUCAUUUGUGGUCUCUAAGAGGGAGUGUUGUAAAUUAUAAGGUGGAGCCCACAUGUUGGAAGGCUUUGCCUACAAAAGGGUUCACACCCUCCCUUUGUAAUUAGACAUUGAGAAUACUAAGGAAGACAGAAAUGAAUAGAGAGAAAACAUUCCCUUCUCUCCAUCUCAAUUCCCUCUCCAAUUCCUCUAGAUUUAUAACAAAAAGUAAAUUCUACACAUAUGUUGCCCAUCCAGGUGGUCCCAUAUCUUCUCUUUCCUUUUCUUUUGGCUAUUAGACUUCUUGUUUCUCUCUCUCUCUUUGCUACCCCACAUCAGCAAGUUUCUCCCUCUCUUUUUUUGGGAUCAAAUUCUUCUUCUAUUGACAAAAUCUUCUAUUAUAUUGGGUGGGCAACUUGGCAACAACAUCUUCUCCUCUCCUUUUGUCAACAGCAAGUAUUAUUCUCAUUCUCUCAUUUGCUAUAUAUCUUUAAUUAUAGUUUUAAUUUAAAAUUGAGUAUUCUAGGGUUUAAUUAGGGAUGAAUUAUAAUUUUGGGAUUUUGUUGAAAUUAAUUAGGGCUUCGAUUAGGGGUGAAUUAUUCUACUGCUUUGAUUUGGAAUUUUGUUAAAAUUGAGUAUUAUAGGUUUAAUUAUGGAUGAAUUACAAUUUUUGGUUUUGGUAUUGUUGAGAUGUUAUUAUGAGAAUUUGUUUGAUUUUUUGUUGGUAUAUUUGAUUAAAAUUCUUUCUACAUAUUAUUCAUAGGCUAUCUUUUAUUAUGUCGGAUCACAAUCGGAAUCCCAAGAAAACAAAAAAUUUGAAUAGUGUUGUUUUGUAUUGCAUUGCAUUUACUUUUGGUUUUAGUUUUGCUUUUAGUGUAAAUUACUCAAAUGGUCCUCAAAUUUGUACCCAAUUUACAUUUUGGUCCAUAAACUAAAUUAUUCAUUCAAAUGGUCCACCAACUCUUUAUUAAUCGGUGCUUUGGUCCUAUCGUUAUGUUUUCUAUUAAAUUUAGUCAUGUGAGCAGCACAUGCUACAUUUGUAUGGGUAAAUAAGACUUUUGACCAGUGGCGGAUCCACGUUGGGACAAGAGGGGUCGGACGACCCCUUGGAAGGCUGGAAAUUUGGCAAGGGAGUCCAUGAAAGCCCCCUUGGACAGCUGCUGGAAGCCCCCUUGUAUGCACACAAUGUGCUCGACGAAAUGCCCCAACGAAAUGUCCUGCGCAGCUGUGCUGCGCCUUGCGCGUAAUUUUUUUUUAAAACCAGCCUUGCCAAACGACGUCGUUUGGUCAAGGCUCAGUCAAAUUUUUUUUUAAUUAACCUGGCCUCAAAACGACGUCGUUUUGGGCCAGGUUUAAAAAAAAAAAAACAGAACAGUACACACGCACAGCAGCUCUGCACAGAUUCAUUUUCUCCAAACCUUUCAUUCCCAAUUCCACAGCCCCUCUUCCCAUCCUCUCAAACCCUAACCUCCCAACCUCCCAACCUUGGACAACCUCCAUCAACUCUUCACCGGUGGCCCAAUGCCGAUCACCACCACCUUCUACCGCCGUCCGCCGCCCAUUUUUUAAACUACAAGUAAGUAAGCAUGGAAAAUCUGAUAUUAAUAAUUAUAGUGAUAAUAUAUAUUGUUGAUAUUGAUAUUUUUUUUUUAUGUAAUGAAAUUUAUGGAUAUGAAUCAUAUUGAUUGAUUGAGUUUAUGCUUGAAAUUUAUGGAUAUGAAUCAUAUUGAUAUUUUUUUUUAUGUAAUUAAAUUUAUGGAUAUGAAUCAUAGUGAUAAUCAUAUUAAUGUAGAUUGAUUGAGUUUAUGCUUGAUUGAUAAUAUGAAUUGAUUGGGUAUAUUAAAUAUUGAUUGCUAUUUGAUAUGAUAAUUUGGUAUAUUGAAUAUUGAUUGAUAUGGGUUUAGGGAGUAUAUUGAAUAUUGAGAGUGGGUUAUUGAAAUUUUCAUAUUCAUAUGAUAAUUAGGAUAAAAAUUAAUGAUUGAUUGAAUUAAUUGAUUUGUAGAUUUAUGGAACGAUUCUUUAAAAGAAAAUUAUCUACGGAUAGUUCUUCUCUGUCUAAUCCGGGUAGUUCAAAUGCAAGACCAAUUGAAGUAGAUGAGAUCUUAGCUAAUCUUCAAGCAGACCCUGGACUAAGAACUCGAAUGGCGGAUUAUAGUCCUAAUAUUAGGGAUGAGAUCCGAAGAGCAUAUCUACAAAAGGGACCUUGUCAACCUAGAAGUUAUAAAUUCCCACAAACUAAUCAAUCAGGAAUUAAUAGACGCUUCAUUGCUCAUUGGUUUGAUGAUCAUGAUUGGUUGGAAUAUAGUAUUGCUAAAGAUGCUACGUUUUGUCUUCAUUGUUAUCUCUUCAAAUCUAAUUUUGAUCAAGUGGGUGGUGAUGCAUUCACUGGGGUAGGCUUCAAUAAUUGGAAGAAGGCGAAAGAAAGAUUUAACCUUCAUAUUGGACCGGUUGGUAGUGUUCACAACCAAGCUAGAGAAGUUGCUUACAAUUUGAUGCAUCAAACUACACACAUUGAAACAAUUGUGCUCAAGCAAACAAGCCAAGCUCGCACGGCUUAUCGCACUUGCUUGAAUGCAUCACUUAAGUGCACUAGGUAUUUGUUGCGGCAAGGGCUUUCUUUUCGUGGUCAUGAUGAAAGUGCACAAUCAAGUAAUAAAGGGAAUUAUUUAGAGCUCUUGCAAUUUCUUGCGGAUCAUGAUGAAAAAGUUAAGGCCGUUGUAUUGGAAAAUGCUCCGGGAAAUUUAAAGUUAAUAGCUCCUUCAAUUCAAAAAGAUCUUGUCAAUUCUUGUGCCAAAGAAACCAUUGAUCUUAUCUUGAGUGAUGUAAAAGAUAGAUAUUUUUCAAUAAUGGUGGAUGAAGCACGUGAUGUUUCAAUAAAGGAGCAAAUGGCAAUGGUGUUGCGUUAUGUGAAUGACAAAGGACAAAUAAUUGAAAGGUUUGUGGGGGUUCAACAUGUAACCGACACUACUUCAAGUGCACUAAAGGAAACAAUUGAUGAAUUCUUUUCUUCCGCGAAUUUGAGCUUUUCCAAGCUACGAGGACAAGGUUAUGAUGGAGCUAGCAAUAUGAGAGGUGAGUUCAAUGGCCUUAAGAGAAAGAUUUUGAGAGAACAACCUUGUGCAUUUUAUGUUCAUUGCUUUGCUCAUCAACUUCAACUAGCUCUUGUUGCGGUAGCAAAGAAAAACAUUGAUGUCAACUCUUUUUUCACAACGGCUAAUAGUUUGGUUAAUGUGGUUGGAGCAUCUUGUAAGCGUCGCGAUGCACUUAGAGCACAAUACCAAGAAGAGCUUGUGAGAGCUUUUGAAGAUGAUUGUCUUAUAACGGGGCGGGGCUUAAAUCAAGAAAGGACUCUCAAACGUGCCGGCAAUACACGAUGGAACUCACAUUAUGGUACGUUGAUUAGUAUCAUUUCUAUGUUCCCAUCUGUGGUGAAUGUGCUUCAAAUGAUUGUUGAUGAUAAUCUUAAUGAUAGUUCGGGUGAAGCCUAUAAGUUAAGGAGAGAAAUACAAUCUUUUGAGUUUGUGUUUCACUUAUUUGUAAUGAAAGCUAUAUUGGGAAUAACAAACACUUUGUCUCUAGCAUUGCAAAAGAAAGAUCAAGACAUUGUGAGUACAAUGAAUUUAGUGAAAACAUGCAAGGAAAACCUGCAGUUGAUGAGGGAUAAUGAGUUUGAAGAAUUGGUUGGGCAAGCAUCCUCGUUUUGUUACAAAUAUGAUAUUAUAGUUCCUACCAUGGAUGAGGAAUAUGUAAUUCCAGGGAGAUCAUGGCGUAAUGCUCCAAUGAAGACAAAUUAUCAUCGUUAUCGUGUGGAGAUCUUUAUUCAUGUAAUUGAUGGGCAACUUGCGGAAUUAAAUGAUCGCUUCAACGAGGUAAGUACUGAGUUACUUACUUGUUUGGCAUGCUUGAGUCCAAAAAAUAACUUUGUGACUUUUGACAAACGAAAGCUAGUUCGUCUUGCUCAAUUUUAUCCUUAUGAUUUUUCGGAUAGAGACUUAUUGAUGCUUGAAGAUCAACUUGGUGUUUAUGUUCAUCAUAUGCGUUCGAGUAGUGAUUUUUCUCAAUUGGAAGGGAUUAGUAGUCUUGCGGAAAAAAUGGUGGAGAAAGGAAUGCAUGAAAUAUUUCCUUUUGUAUUUGCUUCUUACAUUGGCUUUGGUUUUACCGGUUGCAACUGCAUCAGUGGAGAGGGCAUUUUCCGCUAUGAAUAUUAUUAAAAAUCCACUUCGCAACAGAAUGGGAGAUCAAUGGUUGAAUGAUAGCUUGCUUGUUUACAUUGAGAGAGAUGUUUUUGCUUGUAUUGAUAACGAAAUUAUAAUGCAAUGUUUUCAGAAUAUGAAAACUCGUCGUGGACAAUUGUAACUUGUAUUAUUGGUUUUGUUAUGAAUUAUGAAUGAAAGUACUAUCUUUCUAUCUUUUUAGCAUUAUUUUCUUUGUAGAAAAAUUUCAGAACUUUUACACUAAGCCCCCUUGGCUACAUAAUCCUGGAUCCGCCACUGCUUUUGACCACUUUAUCACCUAUGUAUCACCACUUUAUAACCUAUUUGGGGAACAUAGGUCAGUUAUGGACGGUUUUACCCUUACAUUUGACGGCAACAUUAACAUAAUGUAACAGUGGGAUCAAUGGAGUGAUUAAUAUAAAGUUGAUGGACCAUUUGAAUGAAUAAUUUAAUUGAGAGACCAAAAUGUAAAUCAAGUAUAAGUUUGAGGACCAUUUGAGUAAUUUACCCUUCGCUUUUAUAUUUGUUGAACUUUUAUUUAUGAUAGAUAUGCAUUUAAGGGUAAGACCCAUUAUGUUCCCCUGGCUAGGUGUAUCUUUUUAUGUUUAUUAAUGAAAUUCACUCGAACUGUUGAGUUUAGUAUGUAAGUUUUGCCUAACUGGCUUUUGAAUCCUAGAACCGCCACUGUUGCUCCAUCCUCCAUGCACUUGCAUGUGCUCUUACAAAGUGUGAAGUAGAUUUUGUGUGCUCCAAGUCAUUGACUAGAGCUGAAACAUGGUUAGCUAGAUUUAUAAGGACCCAUCUCUUUAUUUCCUAGACAUAUACCCAUCUCUCUAUAAAUCUAUAUGUAAAACCUAAUUUCAAACUUAAAUGACCAGUAGGAUAUAAAAGGUCAUAGUAUUCCUAUGUUUUUAUAUCGUUGCCACCAGACUUCUUAUUUUAUUUAUAAUUUAUUUCAAGCAUUUCAUUAACUGCCAUAAUUGUAAUUAAUACUCCAUAUUAAUAGCAUAUCAAUCACCCCAUUUCUUUUGGUUGCCAUUCCCUCUAACAUAUCGCCCCUUAAAUUUGAAAACCAAAAAAAAAAAAUGUAAAUUACAUAUCCAAUAAUGUACCUAUGAAAAAUAUAAAUAUAAAUAUAUACAUAUAAAAAUAUAGGUAUAUUAUUUACCAAAUAGAAAAUAUAAAAACCUAGGUCAGUUGCUUUGUAAUUGAAAUUUCUGUACAUUUUCCACAAAUUAAAAAUAGGUACAUAAUAAUUUAUAGAAAAUAUAUGUACAUUAUUUAUCCAUAGGUAAAAAUACCGAUAAAUGCACAUAGGUGAAUUAUUUACCAAUAUAUUAUUUUUUUGCUAAGGAUUUACCUUAGUUUUUAGUAGAUUAAUUUACCUACCUAGAGGCAUAGGUAGCUUAAAAAAAAUGUACCACCUUAGUUGGUUGCAUACUAAUUUACCUACCUAGAGGCAUAGGUUGCUAAGAAAAAAUGUAGGUAAAUUCAUGUACCUAAACACAUAGGGGUCAAAUAGAGAAUAACAUGUUAUUUCCCUUUGAACAAAUUAAUUUCAAACCAUAACAAUUAUUGAAUUUGGAAAUUGGUAUAAAUAAAAGGAAAUAAAUAAACUAUCAAUUUGAAAAUUAAAAUAAGAAAUGAUCAAGUAGUCAUAUUUGAAAAAAAAGGAAAGAAUAUAUUCUUGGUUUUUAUAGGAACAACGAGUAUAUUCAAACCAAACGGCGAUAACUACACCAAGCUUUAAUUACUUUUUUUUAAGGCCAAAAGUCACUUUUGGUCCCUGUAGUUCGGCAUUUCUACCACUUUUGAUGUUGUAGUUUCAAUUCCGUCAAUUUUGCCAUUGUAGUUUCGUAUUUGUAGCAAUUCAAGGACCUGUUAAUAUUAAUGUCAAUUUGUUUAAUGAUGCAAGAGGUAAUUUCGUCAUCCCAAAAUCCUUGAGCAUAAAAGAUUGUCUGAAAUUCUCCCCAUUUCAUAUUAGGGCUCGAAAUUCAACCACUAAUCCUAAUUUUUGAAGAACCCUAGACCCAAAUGACCAAUUUCAAGCCCUAAUAUGAAAUUACGGAAGUUUUAGAUGAGCUUUUAUGCUCAAGGAUUUUGAGUUGAAGAAACUGCCCCUUGCACUGUCAAAUAAAUUGACAGGAAUACUGACUUGUCCUUGAAUUGCUACAAAUACAAAACUACAGUGUCAAAAUUAACAGAAUUUAAACUAUAGGGUCAAAAGUAGUUGAAGUGUCAAACUAUAAGGACCAAAAGUGACUUUUAGCCUUUUUGUUUCAAUAAGGAAAAAACUGACCUAUUAAAUCCUUGGAAUCUAUACAAAAUUGAAACACAAUUAAUCAACAUUGAAUUGCAGCUAAUUUCUUAAACAAGGGUAUUAUAGGAAUUUAAAAAGUAUAACAUUUAAUCCAUUGAAUUUGAUUAGGAAACUUGAUGAAUUGAAUCCUAGUUAUAUAGUUUUUCUUAUAAAAAUCAGGUUUUAUUUAUAGACAAAUAAAACAAUGGGUUGUAGGUAAGAAAAUAUUAAUUUGAAGGGAAAGAGUCAAAUUUACUAAAUUAAUAAAGCAUAAAUUGGAAAGGGAAAAGAUCUAGAGGAUGCAUUGUAGGAUUGCUCAUGCCAAUAAUUGCACCCUCUCGAUAUUGAAAAACCUAUUGUUUAUUAUUAUCUUCAAUCCUGAAUGAUGCACCUAAAACCCAAGUGUCUCAGGCCAACCAUUGCGCUCAUACCACUUGUUGCAGUACACAUUCACCUGUUUUUAAAGAAAGAAAUUCUACCAAUCGAUAUUUUCUCAAAUUUAAUCACAUAGAUCUAUUAUGGUUAACCAUAUGUACUUUUAUCUGCCAUCCAGAGGUACCUUUUUCCAACGUGCAACAAUUGUAUUUGAUUCACAAUUAUGUCUGAUAUACAUCACAUCAUGCCACUUGCCUCAAAUGAAUUUAAUUGAGUGAGGCAAUGGGAAGUAAUUAAGCUCUAUAUUGGUGGGUGGAGUGUUACUUCUGGAACCCUCAUCAUUCGUCCAUACAGGGGAACAAUUCCCUUCCUUCUAUAAAAUGGGAGCAAUUCUCUCACUGUACUCUAUAUAAAGGAAUAAGUGUCGUCCACUAAUUAAUUACACUUUGUGAGAUUUGAUUUUAAUUAGAGUUCGAAUUAAUGUUGCAGCUAGCAGCGGUGGCACUGGCAAACCAUGCUGCUCAACCAGCACCUCCACUUUACUGGAAUUCCAUCCUGCCAAACACACAAAUGCCAAGAGCUAUCAGUGAACUUCUGCAUCCUGAUUUGUGUUGAAUAGAUAUAGUAUGUUACUGGAGUACGUAUGGCAACAUAUUCACAAAUGUGUCACGUAUUUUCCAUUAUGACGUUGAUAUAUAAUUGCAGACUCCACAAACGAAGAAAAGAGCACAAAUGUCAUGAAUGCUGUUGGGAAUGGAAAGCCAAUUGACCACAAGGGCAAACCUGAAAAUACUGUACUACCACAGCUUGCACGACGCCCAUUUUCUUACAAGAGUGAUGAUCGUCCCACUGACAAUCAACUCCAUUAUAAAAACGUAGCUAUUUUCUUCUUGGAGAAGGACAUGCGCCCUGGCACAACAAUGAGCUUCCAAUUCCCUAGAAAUUCAAACACGGCUACUUUCCUGCCACGAGAAAGAGCUCAAUCGAUCCCCUUCUCCUCUAACAAACUACCAGAAAUUUUCAACCAUUUUUCAGUGAAGCCAACAUCUGUGGAAGCCAAAACAAUUAAGCAAACAAUCGAAGAGUGUGAGGCUCCAGGCAUUAAGGGAGAGGAAAUAUAUUGCGCCACAUCUUUAGAAUCAAUGGUUGAUUUUAGCACUUCGAAGCUUCGAACAAGAAACGUUCAAGCAAUCUCGACGGAGGUAUUGGAAAAAGGUGCCACCAUGUCCAUGCACAAGCACACAACAAUGCCGGGACUGAAGAAGUUGGCAGGUGUCAAAGUCGUUUUGUGUCAUAAGCAGAACUAUCCCUAUGCUGUGUUUUACUGCCAUGUAAUAAAACCAACAGCAGCUUAUGUUCUCUCCCUGAAAGGCGAUGAUGGGGUGAAAGUUAAAGCAGUAGCCAUCUGCCAUCUAGACACAUCAGAAUGGAACCCAAAGCAUUUGGCCUUCCAAAUCCUCAAAGUUAAGCCCGGAACAAUUCCCAUCUGCCAUUUCCUUCCCACUGAUCAUAUUGUCUGGGUUCCGAACCACAAAUCUGCAUGAUCAUCACUUAGCACUGUACGUAUAAUAACCUUUACCCCUGUAUAAUUAUCUCCCUACUCUACUUAUUUCUGCCUCUUCAUGUGGUGUAAGAUAUAUGAUGAGAUGAAGUUUUUGGGAUUAGUGGUCGGGUUGCCUUAAAAACACAGAUUACAGAAACUGCUUGAACUUAACCCGAUCAUGUUUUCUCUUGUACUCGUAAAGCAUGCUGUUGUGGUUCUACUUAAUUUCGUCCUCCCCAAUGUUUGAGUGUUUAAUUGUUACGUUGGAAUAGGCUGCUAAUGCAUGUAGUUAGAGAAGCUUUCAUUUAUAUCAAAGUCCUCAAACUAUCAAGAAUUAAUGCAUCCAGAAACAUAUAUACCAAGACGCAAAACAACAUAUUUUCCAUGCUGUGUCGGUAACACCAAAGCAAACUUCCUUUAUCACAAAAGGACCAAAUUCCAAUACUAAUCUAAUCCAUCAUGUAAAGCAUACAAUCUACAACUGCCUCCCUAAAUUUGUCCAUUGGAUAUAUAUGUCACUUUUUGGUAAUUUGGUAUAGCAGCACCACGUAGUAUGCAUUUAACAGAAAAGUAAACAAAAUUGACAGUAGAACUAUUUGUCCUAACGAAACUGAAGUUGAAAGACCAUGAGAACGAUUUUGAAAAUUAAGGGACUCAAAUGAAAAUUGGGUCUAAGUUCAGGGACCAAUAAAACGAUUAACCCAUAGAUUUUGGAUCCAGUACCACAUCCCAAAGAGAAAACCACAAGUUUGCAAGCAAGUUUGUCCAUACUAACACUACGUACAGUAUGGGCAAUGUGCUAGACUCAUCUCACUUUCUCAACCUAUCCUAUACUUGUCUAAAAGAGUUUCUAAUUUAAUGUACUGAGAUUUACGAAAGAAAUAUCAGAGAAACAAUUUUCAGGCAAUAAAAAAAUGUCUUGGCAAGAAAAUGCACAAUUUGUUACAUAACUUAUUAAAUAUGAACAGUUGAAAGAAAAAAGAAUUUGGAUGAGGGAUUUGCAAAUUCCUAUGGCCCAAUUACCUUUUUUUCUUUGUUUUUUUUUGGUUCUUUUGAUCCAGUAGCAUAUUCCAAAGAAUGAAAACCACAGGCAUGCAAUGCAAGCUCUUUUCCCAUGUUUUCCUCUGUUUUUCUCCUAUCAUGGAAGUGAUUAAAACACACCUCUAAGCUUGUUUUGCGUUUGGUAGCCGAGUGUAAAAGCUCAAUGCAAGAUAGUUUGAGGUAGAAUUUUCUCCUGUUUUAUUAGGACAAUGAUGAGCUAUAUGUGACAACAAAUUGCUUUAAUAAUGAAAAUUAAAAAAGUGUGAUUCAUUGAAUAUUUGCGGGGUUUUGUUCAGAGCUGACAAAGUUCUAAGUCAACACAUCAAAUUCCUUUUUCCAACAAUCGUAUUUGAUUCACAAUUUUGUCUGAUAUACAUCACAUCAUGACACUUGCAUCAAAUGAAUUUAAUUGAGUGAGGCAAUGGGAAGUAAUUAAGCUCUAUAUUGGUGGGUGGAGUGUUACUUCUGGAAUCCUAAUCAUUCGUCCCUACAGGACUCUAGAACUCUCACACUUCUUACAAGGACUACUUAACUCUAUAGCUUAUUGCAUAUAGCAUAUAUAUGCAAACCCAAUUAGAAAUUCUACAACAGAAGCAAGAUCAAUCUCACUAUGCCUUCUAAACAAACAAACAAAUAAAACAAGCAUAUUAAUUGCUUUAAUCACUCUACUAACAUCAACACAGCACACUUAGUUUACUAACAGAUGAUAUAGAAAGGAAAAAAAAGGACCAAUAGGGAGAAAAUGGUGAACUAAGGAGAGACUAAUACUUCUGGUCCUUAGAAGGCAUAACAGAAAUAAUAGAGCACACUGCUUGAAUGCAAGUCAGUAUUAGGAGCAAAACAGCUGCAAUGAAAGAAAUAGUUGCCCAAGGUGUAUUGAAAUAAUGUUGCCUCAAAUUUGCCUUCCAUUUGUUCCAAGGCUUUCUGCAGUAGCUAUUAAGGCGCUCAGAAAGAGUAGCAAAGUAGAAGCUUUCACGAUACACUGCAAUUCCUUUUCCGAGGUUGUUAAUCAGAGUGCACACCUCAUUGUAGUCACCAAGCAUAUUUUUGACAAUCCCAUACUUCAGAAGGAACUCCACAUCCUUUUCGGUGUUCACAAACUCAUCCAUGAGUGAAACAUAAUCACUUAUGUAAUUCUUACGGCAAUGGCACUAUUCAAAGGCAAUGAGGUUAUGGAGUGUGAGCUCUGUGUAAUCGUUUAUUUUUAGUUUUGGAAUUUCUAGAAUCCCAUCGUUGAAUCGUGUUAACGCAGCUUUCCUUUCCUAGCCUACGCGGAAGUCAACUUCACAAUCUCCUCCUAGCAAUUAGCCUUUCCUACUGUAAAUCGGAUUGUAUUCAUGUCUAUAUUAUUUCCUACCUUAAAUAGAUAUCCUGUACUAGUAUACAUAGGGACUUUGUGUAAUCUGUUAAAUACAAGGAAAUAUAUACUCUACAUGGUAUCAACCUAACCUAGGGUUCUCUCUCUCCCCCUUAUUCGAUCCUCUUCUCCUUUAGGUCCACCUCAUGGCUUCGUUUGAAUCCACCAUCUCCCUCCCAAGCCCUAACUCUUCUCAUUUUAUCAAGCUUACUAACUCCAACUAUCUUCUUUGGCUCCGCCAACUCAAACCCUUUUAGUUGGCCAUGACCUCUGGAAAUUUAUCGAUGGCAUUCAUAAACAACCUUCUGCCCACACCUCCACCUCUACCACCACAACACCCACAACCACCACCACUCUUACCGAAAUCAAUCCUACCUAUGCUCAGUGGUACCAACAAGACCAACUCAUUGUUAGCUACAUCACCAGUACACUCUCUGAGUCCAUUUUCUCUCUCACUGUCGGUUGCAUCUCUGCCCGGGAUCUCUGGGAGUGUCUCCAAUGCCACUUCUCUUAAUCCAAUAUGGCCAGUGAAUCUGCUCUUCGUUUUCAACUCAUGGAUUUGCAAAAAGGCUCUCAACCCAUUGAUGCUUACCUUCGUCAUGCUAAGUCUCUUGCCGAUUCACUAGCUGCCAUCAAUUAACCUGUCUCCCCAAAAGAACUUGUCACUGCUGUGCUUCGGGGUUUAGGACCCGAUCACAAAAUGCUCAUCACAGCAAUUCUCAAUUUCUCUCCGCUUCCAGACUUUGCUGAUCUUCGUGCUCGUUUGUUAGCUUUUGAUGCACAGACUCCUCGAAUCUUUCCUGAUCAAAACACAACGCUAAUGGCCACCCAAUCUUCUCCUUACACCACCGGUCAUACUUCCUUCCCUUCUCACCGUGGUUGUGGCUCUUCCAGCAAUAGGCGCGGUGGCUGGUGCAGUAUUGGCCGUGGUGGCUGGCACAACUUCUCAUCUUCCUAGAGCAACCCGUGGAAUGGCUUCCAGCAGCCCUAAUGACCUAAUCAACUGUGGCCUCCUUUUGCUCUAAGUUUUGGAUCUCAAAGCAACUGGCCUUCCUUUCAACCUCUUUGGGCCCAAUCUGCCGCUUCUAGCAAACACUCUGCCCGACCCAACUCAGCUCCUGGUGUCUUGGGACCCGCUUGGUGCACCACAUGCAAUACCAAUCGACAUACUACUACAACAUGUCCUUAUUGCUACAAUGGCCCAGAAUUCUUCCUUUGCUGGGGCUCAAUUCAUGCAGCCACCUAACUCUACAUGGUACCCUGACACAAGUGCCACUCAUCAUAUGACUGGUAGUUCUUCUAAUCUCCAAAGGAAAUUAAAUGAAGGAGUCCUACGAAGGCUCAAGGCUCGAAAGCACACGAUCCGGCUCUGCUGCGGAGCUCACUCAACUACUGGCUGAGGGGGCGCAAAACAGAAAAUUGUGAGUGGACAAAAAUAAAAAUUCAGUUCAGUGUAAACCAACGUAAUAUAACCCCACCGUUUAGAAAACCAUGCAAGAAAUCCAAAUGCAUCUCAAAACCAUCAUAAUCAUCAAAUCAAAAUCAAAUACUGGAUGCCAAGUCCGAAAUCCAUAAAGAAAGCUUUACAAACCCACCAUCCAAAUCUUACAAUCCCACAACUAAACUCUCGAAAGCGUACCCAUUGGCAGUACCAGCAAGGAAGUAUCCUCACCGAGAAACAAGAACAAAAGAAUAGCUAUAUAUAUAAUUAUAUAAUAUAACCACACCUAGUUGUACCGGGAAAACAAUCCAACCGGGGGAUUGUUUGACUAGUCACCAUGGCAGAGUCAAAGUAAACAAAUUCCUCAAUUCACCAUGUGACUAGGGAACGAGCUGUCCAACUGGGGGACCAACUCUCAGCCAGCAUGUACCGUCGAUAGCCUCAAAACCCGUACGUCUGUGACCAGUCCUACGCGUGCAGACUACCCAAUCAAGGGUUUACAGCAACAUCCCAUCAAGGAUGCCCUAGGUUCCCACAAUUCCAAGUAUCUCAAGUUUGCGUAUCCAAGUUCCAAAUCCGGGGAGGUACAUAGGGUAGUGCUUAUAGCACUCCAAAUUGACAUUCUAUACUCAUCACUUUCCACAAUCUCAUCUCAACAACCUAAGUACCCCACACAUAGCCAAACAUAUAUAGAAAUUCUCAAAAUCCAUAUAUACAUACUCAAGAUACUCAAAUAUGUCAAAAUCCAAAAUAUAUUUCCAAUGCAUCAUAAAAAUAUCACUUUUAACAAUUGAAUAAAUAAUAUAUAUCCAAUAUACCAAUUAAAACAUCAUGCAUAAUAUUUCCCAUCAUAAAAUCAUGCAUAAGAUUUGAAAACAAAGUCCACUCACAAGUAGUCCCACACUGCUUGACCUUGAGAGGGUCCCGCCUACUGCGUAUGCGUGGUUGGAGUACCUAUUUCAGAAUACGUAUACGAGAUUAAUAAGAAGCGUUUCGAACGAGAACUUUGAAUUAAAUAUCCUAAUUUCCCAGGUUUCUAGUAAGUGUACUAGGAACGAGACGUUCUAAGGUUCCACUACCCAAUUCGAACCAUGGAAGAGCUUCGGGAGACACUCGGUCAACCGGCGGUCAAAUUCCCAAAUCGGGUCAACUGGCCCACGGGACCCACGACCUCCGUUUUUAAAAUCCGUAAGUUCCUAAAGGUUUCACAAUGUCUAAGAUACUACUAUCACAAGUUUGGUCCGAAACGGACUGUUAGAUCGCUUACGAUCGCACGAUCAGACGGUUAUUGUAAAACGUAAACUUUAAGUUAUUGAAUCAGAACAUCCGGGGCUCCGAUUCACGAUCCGCGAAUUCCUACACGAUCCUAGGAAGGUCUAGAGUAACAUAUAUUGGAAUGGAGUCGAUCCAAAGGUCCGAACAUAUCGAACCUAGACCGGAUAACUCCUAAUAUGUGAGAUUCGUUCGGGGUUCGAACAUCAACCAAAUUGGAAUCCUAAGGUACCUACGUGCUCGUGACAUUAAGGGGAUCAAUUGGGACAAAAAUGCCCCUCUGCUACAGUGCCCACGUGCCACCACACGCGGCGGUAGAGAGUGGGUGUCCAAAGCGAUUUCUCUUCGCCGGAAAAUCUCCAAAUUACAAGCCACUCUCCUGGCUACAGGUUCUACUCAACGAGUGGAACACUUUAUUCAACUACAGCCAAGUCCAAUUCGGACGGCAAGUGGCCGGAAACUCACGGUUUAACCCGGAACUUCAUGGCUUGGAUUGGGCGACCAUCGUCACCAUUGUCGUGGCACAACCUAGGAAAUAGCUAAAAGGAGAGGAGGGCUACCUAUUCCAAGCGAUGGCGCAGCUCGCGGUAGCCGAAAAUGUAGCCGAUGACGUUGGCAGUUUUGGCCGGUUUUUCACGUCGUUGCCAUCGCCGUUUGUCGAGUUUUCGAUUGGAGAAAAGGGGUGGGGUGAGUAGAGGAGGAAGAGAGGAAGCUUUUGCAAGAAAUGACACUUGUCAGGGAGGGGGGGGUUGGGGGAAGAGAGAGAGAGAGAGAGAGAGAGAGAGAGAAAAAAAAAAAAUUUCAGAUUUUCAUCCAAACCCUUUUCGAAAUAUUUACAAGUUUGCCACUAAACUACUUUUGGUUGCCAAAUCUUCGUUAUAACUCCGAUUCAAGCCUACCACGUGUCUACGGAUUCGUCUCAAUACAACCUACCCAAAAAUACCAGUCACUGCCCCAAACUCUUUUUGGGUAAGAAAAUGACCAAAAUACCCCUACCCCAAGGGUAAAUUCAUAAUUUCACUUCAAUAAUUUAAUAAAGAAUUAAAUUUGGAGUCGGGGUGUUACAUUAACUACCUGUUUAGUAGGUGUGGGGUUUUAUACAAAAAGCAUCGAUGUUAUUGGGAGUGGAACCACUUAUUAUAAGUUGUGAUUUAUUUAGUCAAGUUUCCUAUGUGGGAUUUUCUAUUCUUCAACAAGCCCCCUCAUGUGGGACCACCACAUAGUGGGCCACAUGUAAAGCUAAGUCCACAUCGGAGUCAAUCAUUCAAGCCCAAUACCUAAACACCACGUAUUGUGUGAGGGGUAGGGGUAAACAUUCAAGCCCAACAUGUGAACCACCAAAUAUUAAGUAAGGGUAAAGGCUCAAUUCAGGCCCAAUCAAUGAACCCAUUAUGAUAUCAUGUUAAAUUUCAGAUAGACGGGACUGUGGCCCACCACUAGCAACAUUGAUAUUGUCCCCAACUUAACUACAUGUUUAGUAGGUGUGGAGUUCUAUACAUAAGGUCUCGAUGUUUUUAGGAGUGGAACCACUUAUUAUAAGUUAUAAUUUAUUUAGUCAAGUUUCCAGUCAACCUGACUUUGAUACCAUGUUAAGAUUUUAAAGGGACGAACUCUUGGCACUAUUAGUAACAUCGACAUUGUCCCCAACUUAACCACCUGUUUAGCAAGUGUGGGGUUUUAUCCUAAAGGCCUCGAUCUUAUUAAGAGUUGAGUCAUUUAUUAUAUGGAACUUUCUAUUUUGUUAACUCUGUGUAUUCUUCAUCAAUGUGAACACCCCUAAACCAAUCAUACCUGAUACGAAUUGAAACACAAGUUUGUUUUUUGCCUUUGGUAGAUGAGUAGCUAGAAAAGCUCAAUGCACUUGCUCUUCUGCUACAUUUCAAUAUAAGAACAAGGUUUGGAAGUCAGGUCAACUCCUCAUAGCUUCCUUGCCUUUGCUUUGACAUGUCUAUGCACUUCUUGGGGAAGUUUGAAUAAUCCAUUGCAGGCCCCAUGACAACUAAGGAACCAACAUUUUGUAGAAGGUUUUGUCUAUACCUUUUGACUAUAAGUAAAAUCUUUUGUAUCUGCUCUUAUGUUUCGGUGAAGUUUCUAUGUGUCCUUUGUGCCGAGUUUCUAUGCGUCCUUUGUUGAACCAAAAAAUGAGGUUGUUUCUUACUAGAUUCAAAUACUUAAAAGAAAAAAAGAAAUUGUUGUUUCUUAAUGGAUUUUAUGAUGAACAAUAUCAAACUCUCCUCUUAUACGUCUGUUGGUAAAUUUUAACAACAAUAUUAAAACCUUGCAAGUGCACAAAUCAAAUGAUAGUAUAGUAAGCAAGCAAGGGUCGAUCCCACGGAGAUUGUGAUCUAAAGAGAUGUUUAUCAAUGUCACGCAAUGAAAAUCAAAACAAAGGACUUCCAAACACACGCCAACACCAAGGGGGGUUUUGAUUUGUUUUUGUGAAUCAAACAAAAUAAGGAAAAGGAAACAAAAGAGAAUUUAAAUUAGAGUUUAAGAGAAAUUGGUUUAAAAUCAAUCAAGAUCAAUAGCUAGGACUUACUAUCCACCUCCAAACAAUCAAUCAAUCCAUAAACAACAAUAGAUAAUCAAUUUCUAGUAAGCACACUACUACAAAAAAGCAAAAAGACGACGGUAAAUCACCGUCGUGUAUUCGGUUUUUCAAUGGUCGUGGAAUCCACCGUCAUCUUUUCCCUCAUAAACCACGACGCUAAAUCACCGUCGUUGUUACAAUAUACAACGUCAUCAACAAAUACAAAACGACGUCUUUGUACUGCAAAAAGAUCUAAAAAAGCAAUCGAUGAUGAGAAAAGACGACCAACUCUCUAAACAAACCGUCGUUAAAAAGAAAAAAUAUGACACAUAUUAACAGAACAUGGCCGCAAGAUAGACAUACAACGACGAAAAUUAAAAUAAGACGCCGUUAAAUAUCAUUUUCACGACAAUAAAAAAUAUGUCGUCUUUAAAUACAUUAGAAGACGACGUUAUUGAUACCUACUACGUCGCCUAUAUAAAAAUAACCGUCGUAAAAUAAAUUUUCCACUUCGAUUUUUCUAUAAAAGAUGACGUGGAAAUAGUUGUCAGUGUCAUUAUUUACGACGUAUGUAUUUAUAGAGUAGACGUUGAACAACGAAACAACGUCGGUUACAAAUAUAUGAGAGUCGUAUUACAAAAUUUAUACGUCCUAUUUUCAGAAACAAACAACGACGAUAAAUAUUAGACGUUGUUAAAUAAAACAACGUCGAAAACAAAUAAAAACAGACGUGUUUAGUCUGCUAAAGUUCUAAAAAAUAGUCGAGGAUGAGAAUAGACGACCAACUCAAACAAAUCACCGUCGUUAAAAAGGAAAAAUAUGACACAUAUUAAAAGAACAAGGCCGCAAGAUAGACAUACAACGACGACAACUAAAACACUACGCCGUCAAAUAUAAUUUUCACGACAAGAAAAAAUAUGACGUCUUUAAAUACAUGAGAAGACGACGUUAUUGAAAUAUACUACGUUUCUUAUUUACAAACAACCGUCGUGAAAUAAAUUUUCCACUUCGAUUUUUCUAAAAAAGAUGAUGUGGAAAUAGUUGUCAGUGUCAUUAUUUACGACGUAUGUAUUUAUAUAGUUGACGUUGAAAUGCGAAACAACGUCGGUGGCAUUUAUAUAGUCGACGUUGUAUUUAUAUGUAUUCAUUACUCACGACGCACUUAUUAAUAUAGACGACGUUGAACUUCUAAACAACGUCGGUUCCAAAUAAAUGAGAGCCGUAUUACAGAAAAUAUAGAUGGCGUUGAUUAUGAUGAGAGCCGUAUUACAAAUAACGUCGUUUAAUUGAUAUUAGACGGCGGUUAUAAUGAAUUACCGUCGGAAUUCAUUUCGUUCCUCUUCGUUUAUAAAAGAACUUGCGACGUGGAAAAUGUAUGAUGACGUCGUAUUUUUUAACGUUCAGAUUAUAUAUCUCGUUUUUUAGACGUCGGUAUUAUGGGAUUGGAGUCGUGUUAUUUUGAAUUACAUGGCGGUUCUUAAUCCUUCCCCGACGUGAUAUCCUGAAUAAUUGCUUCAUAAUAGCGUCGUGGUUCUUCAUUGUUACGUUGCUUUAAGACGUCGGUAAAUAUGCUGAAUAACUGGUUCACAAUAACGUCGUGUUUUAUUUGAACGUAGAAAGUGAAGAAAUCACAUUACAAUAUAUUACAAAAUUAAUGUCAUACACUGCCAAUUACAUAAGCAUCAUUCAAUCCAUAUAUCUUCACACCCAUCUCGAAUAUUUUGACCGCCUAACUCACCCACCAGUUCAUCAAAUGUGUCAACAUUUGGCAUCCCUCUAGUAAAUGGCUCACACUCAAUUAUCACAUCACCUAAGACUUCAUCACCAAUAACAUUAUUAUAUUCUCUAUUAGGCAUUGAUAACACUACCGACCAACCACGAUGCAUCGGGUCGUCAACAAAAAAUAUUUGUUUGACUUGAGAAGCCAAAACAAAUUGGUCAUUCCUAUGUCCAAUUUUACUCAAAUCUACAAGGGUAAAUCCAAGUUCGUCGACUACAAGACCAGAACUAUCUAUCCAAUCACACCUAAAGACUGGGAUUGUAAACUUUUGGUAGUCAAGGUCCCAAAUUUCUUGAAUGACACCAUAGAAACCCAUAUUUGAGAGAAUUGAGUUUUUAUCCUUGGCACUAGCAACUUGCAUGGUAUGUGCAAGUAAAUAAACUCCACUAUUUUGAGUUGUCCGCACAUCAUCUUGUGCCUUGAUAUUGAAUUUAAUACCUUUAAUAAGAUAGCUCCUAUAUAAUGGCACAGCCAUGUUUGGACCAGCUGCUAGCCACCUUAAAUUUUCUGAUACGCCAUGAUUGUCUUCCUCAAGUUCACUUUGAACCUGCAAAUUAAUCAUAUAUCUUAAUGCAAUCUAACAUAGAAAUAAGAAGAAAAUUAAAAGAGAAAUAUGUUAUUCAACAACAUAUACCUUGAAGCGUAGCCAUUGAAUGAAAGUGUUAUUGUGCUUAUCCUGCAGCCACUUUGUGAUUUAAGGUAUGACAAUCAUGUGAUUUAAGGCCAAGAAGUCUUGAAUCUUGUAAAGAUACAAGAUUUUUAAUAUUUGAAGAAUAACCUUCAGGGACCUUCAUACCAUAGAAAGAAUUGCAAACCUCUCUCUUCUCUGCUCUUGACAAAUUCCAAGGCCCAGGAGGCAAACGAGUACGUCUUUCUCCAUACUCGGGUUGCAAAUCAGUUUUGACCCCCAUGUUCAAUAAAUCUAAUCGAGCAGCAAUCCCAUCUUUAUUUUUUCCAGGGAUCUCCAGCAAUGUACCAAUGAUACUAUCGCAAACAUUCUUCUCAAUGUGCAUAACAUCUAGGGCAUGCCUCACAGGAAGGUAUUUCCAAUACUCGAGAUCAAAGAAUAUUGAUUUCUUCUUCCAACAAACUCUGUCACCAUUUUCAACCAUGUGCAGCACUUCUUCUCCGGUUAAUGGCUCGGGAGGUAUGCCAUAUUCAGGUUUCCCAUUAAAAGCUGCACGUUGCCUCCUAUAUGGAUGAUUGAUUGGUAACCAUUUUCUAUGCCCAAUGUAACAAAUUUUGUGGCCAUUUUCAACCUGUGACUAGGUGUAUCAUCGCCGCAUAUUGGACAAGCUUUAUAUCCUUUAACAACACAACCAGAUAAGUUUCCAUAGGCGGGGAAAUCAUUAAUUGUCCACAUUAAUGCAGCUCUGAGUGUAAAGUAUUCUCCAUUAUGUGCAUCAUACACUCCUCUAAUCCCAUCCCACAAAGAUUUUAAAUCAUCAAUCAAAGGCUCCAAGUAGACGUCUAUAUCAUUUUCGGGUUGUUUAGGACCGGAAAUCAAUAAGGUUAACAUCAUGAACUUUCGUUUCAUGCACAGCCAUGGAGGGAGAUUAUAUGUAACUAAGAUAACCGGCCAACAACUAUAUCUGCUACUUAGAGAACUGUGGGGAUUGAAUCCAUCAGAUGAAAGAGCCAAUCUCAAGUUUCUCGGCUCAUUACCAAACUCAGGCCAUUUAUCAUCAAGAAGUUUCCAAGACGGGGAAUCCGCCGGAUGAGACAUCUGACCGUCAAUUGAUUUUCUAGCAGCAUGCCAAGUCAAACUCUUAGCUGUCUCAUGUGAUUGAAACAUCCUUUUAAACCUUGGAAUUGGAGGAAAAUACCACACCACCUUCGCUGGCACAUCCUCUUUCAAGAUUGAAUCUUUGCCUUCCUUCCACCUUGAGAUACCACAAGUAGGACAAUUAGUUGAAUCCUCAUACUCCUUCCUAUACAAGAUGCAAUCAUUGGGGCAUGCGUGCAUUUUCUCAUAACUCAGCCCCAAUGCACACAAAGUCUUUUUUGCCUCAUACAUAGAGGUUGGUAUUGUAUUUCCUUCUGGAAGCAAAUCGCCUUGAAGUAUCAAUAAUUCUGUAAAACAGACAUCACUCAUCCCAUGUUUUGCCUUCAAAUUAUACAACUUCACUAAUGCCGAUAACUUCGUGUACUUUCUACAACCAGGGUACACUGGUUGAUCUCCAUCCCCAAUCACAUUGGCAAACUCAUACGGAUCGGAACCAAAAUCACCAAAAUCAUUAUCAUCCAUAUCAAUUUCUUCAGACACAAAACUGUACCUACUAUGGCCAUCAUCUUCUUCAACAUUUCUACUAGCAUUAGUAGUUGCUUCCCAAGGUUCUCCGUGAAAUGUCCAAUUCUUAUAGCUUUGGUCAAUUCCAUUAAAGUAUAAGUGAUCCCUUAUAAUUCCAACCCCAAACAACUUCAAAUUAACACAUUUAACACAUGGACAACGGAUAUGUGUUGUAGUUAGAAGAUUUUCUACAGCAAAGUUCAAAAAUGCUUCCACCCCAAACUCAUAUGCCUUCGAUCUUCUAUCCGAGUGCAUCCAUGACUUAUUCAUCUCCGACACUAUAACCUAUUAUCUAUAAUAAAGUGAAAAUACAGGCAAUGACCAUCACUAUAGCAGAUUAUACAAAGAUCUAAUAGCAAGUAAUACAUAACAGAGACGACGGGUUUUAAACAAAAACAGACGUAUUUGGCAUAUAUAGACGACGGAUUUUCAACAGACGUCGUCUAAUAUAAGUAAUACAAACGACGGUUUAUGAAAAAACCGUCGUGUAUAAGUAAUACAACGACGGUUUUUUCAUAAACCGUCGUGUAAUCGUCGUCGUAUGCCUAAAAAGGCGUCGUGUCUCAGUUUAUUUUCAAGAACCCAAAACCCAUUAAGAACACAACAUAUAUAUGAAACCAAGCAAGAAACCAACAUAUACAUGAAGCCAAGCAUGAAAACAAUAAAUCCAUUCCCAAUUCAACAUAACAUAGGGUGAUUAAAAGAUCCGACAAAAUUAAAACCAUUCCCAAUUCAACAUAACAGAUAAUGUAAUCCAUGAACCCAUUAAACAGAAAAUCCAUGAACCUAUACCUAUAAGCACAUUAUUAACAGAUCGCAAAGCAUAUACCUAAAACCCUUUAACAAAACAACCUAAUAUCAUUCAAUGAAUUUACAAAGGGAAGAUAGGGUUUGUACUUACAGGUUGGACGAGCUCACAGAUUCGACGAAGCCUGGAGAGUGCAACUUUUAAUUAGAGCAGAAGUGAGAGAGCGAAUGUUAUGUUGCGCGAAAUCUGAAAAUUUUAGGGUUCAGGGUUAGAAGUAUAAGAAUAAGAGCCAAAUAUAAAAAAAUUUAGGGCGCGCGAAAAUUUUUAGAGCGCGCGCUCUUUAAAACGUCGAAAGAAAAACCAUGGCGAAAGUUCUACAAGAACCGACGUAAAUGUAAUAUUCCACGACGAAAACACUUAACGUAACGCCGUUUAUUUUGACGUUCAUUUUUCGGAUUAAUUUUAAAUUUAUUUUGAAUAUUUUGAUAUAAAGACGACUGAAAAACCACGUCGAAGUUAAGAAAUUGAAAACGUUGUAAAUUAUAAUAGACGACUUACAUAUUAAAAUGACGUCGUUUAAAGUGGAAACCAUGUCGGAUAUUUUACUGCACGACGUAACAUAUGUAUUCCACGACUCAACCACCGUCGUUAACAAUUAAUACCCUAAACCCUUAAAACUAAAUUAUAUAAUUUUAAAAAUUAAGUUUAUAAAAGGGUUUAUGGUUUUACAGCCUAAUAUAUACCCUAUACUACCCAAAAAUUAUACUUUAAAAAUAAACCCCAAUAAAUAACAACCCUAAUCUCUAAACCCUAGACUCUAAACCCUAAACCAUAAAACUAGAAGUGAUUUUAUGACUCAUCAAAACAAUUUUGUUUUGGAUGGUCAUUUUAAAUUUUUUUUAUUCAAAAUGAAUUUUUUCAAGGUUUAGGGGGAAGAAAAUAUAUCAAUGACUUCAUAGGAGUUGACUUUUCAUUUUUCUGAUUUAUUUUAAAUUUAUUUUGAAUAUUUUGAUAUAAAAAUAAUAAAAUAUUCUUAUCACAAUAACAAACCACGUCGGUGUUAAUAAAUUUUAGACGUUGUAAAUUGUAAUAGACGACUAAGUUGUUAAAAUGACGUCGUUUAAAUGAGAAACCAUGGCGGAUAUUUAACUAUCCGACAUAAAAUAUAUAUUCCACGACUUAACCGCUGUCGUUACAAAGUACUACCCUGAACCCUUAAGAAAUUGAAGACGUUGUAAACCAUAAACGACUCAAUUGUUCAAAGAACGUCGUCUAAAUAUCCUUUUACGUCGGAUUUGGUUAAAACGAAACAACAAAAAACGACGGCUUUUGACUUUAUUACGUCGUUGGAAAAGUAUUACACGUCGGUUACGCAAUUUGUAUGUUUGUUUUUUUUUUUAAUUUAAGAAAACCUCAACAAAUUUUUACAUUAUAUAUUAUAGACAAAAUUUGUACAUUAUACAUAAAUAUCAAGUGUUCAAUAAUUCCCCUAUUCCAGGUGAAGGCAAACAAACUCUGACCAUUCAUUCCGGACUUCAUCAAUUGCUUCUUGGGGGUAUGGCGCUUCCUGUUUUCCCUUGGCAUACUGCAUAAACAAUGACUAUUAGGGUUUAUAAAUAAAAAGAAAUUCAAUCACAGACGACGAUAUUUUUCAUAACCGACGUACUAUAUCUAUUCAACGACGGUAAUUUUACAUGACCGUCGUUGAUAAUACAAAAAACGACGUAAAAUGUAUGAAGGUAAUUUCUUCUUACCUUCUUCUCAAACCCCAAGGAAGGAUCCAUGAUGAUGUCCCUCAUGAAGCGCAUCACAUAAUACCCGCAUUCGACAUUGCUGGGUUGCUUUGGUGUCCCUGACAGAGUUUUCCAAAUGGCUGCCUUACGGCCUGGUCUGGCUAUGUGAGAAUUAUAAAUUUUUAUAGCACUGUUCACAAUGUUUUUGGCCUCUUCAUCGACCACACGAUUUCCUGGCAGAGGAUCCAGAAAAUAGACGGUUUCUCUCUUUGCUCUUACAAUCAGCAAGAUCCAAUGACGGCUGCACAAAAUUAAUAUAAAAACGACGGUUAUUUACAAUAACGACGUAUUAUAAUGUUUCACACGACGAAAUAAAGUAGCAAUCGACGACAUUUUACAUUUAUCACGACGAUAAAUAACUACCGACGUGGUUAGUAGUUUCAAACGACUCAAUAAAAUAAAACACCGACGUGGUUAGUUUAUACGCUGUAAUUUAUUGAAAAUCAUAAAAACAAAAUCCUGUUAAGGAGACUAACCCUGGAUUGUAAGGCAUCAGGAAAAUCUGUUCACCGUCAGUCUUUUGAAGUCGAGCUGCUAGUAAGCGUGAUCUGUCAGCUAUUGUGCCAGAGUUGGCACUAACUGUAGCAAGGUCGAUAAAGCCAACCAUAUUGCACAUAUUUGCUCGUUUCAAAACAUCGUGCAAGUGCCUAAAUAUAUAAAAUAAUAUAAACAAGUCAGCACAAAAAAACACACGACGGUUAUGUAUAACAAAACGACGUAUUAUAAAAUUUCACACGACGUACUGAAAUAGACAACGACGUUAUAAUAUAUUUAUCACGACGGUAAAUACUAACGACGUGGUUAGUUAGUUAAGACGACGUAAUAAAUAAACCAACGACGUAUUAUUUUAGAAUGACAAACCUCAUAUAUACAAAAAAACACGACGGUUAUGUAUAACAAAACGACGUAUUAUAAAAUUUCACACGACAUACUGAAAUAGACAACGACGUUAUGAUAUACUAACGACGUGGUUAGUUGGUUAAGACGACGCAAUAAAUACACCAACGACGUAUUAUUUUAGAAUGACAAACCUCAUAUAUACAGCAAUGACAGUGGCUCCUAUUUCUUCCAUGCCUGCAAAUUGUGUAAUAUCUUCAGGCAGGAGGAAGGUAUCGCGCUCUAGACCAAACACCUCCUUAUCAAUUGUAAAGUGCAGGGUCUUAUCCUGAGGCACGAGUGUCGUUUCCACAUAACGACAAAGGGAGUUUAAAGAAGAUGGCGCCUCCAUAUUUGAAUAAUCAACAACUUUAAUAACCUGUUUAAAGAAAUAUAAAAAAUGACGUGGUAAUUCAAUAAAAACGACGGUUUAAGGAAUAAAACGUCGUCUGAAAAGAAUUUAAACGUCGUCUGAAGAAACCGUCGUGGUGAAUAAUUUAUUACGUCUUAAAAAAAAUUCCGCCGUCUAAGUUGUAAACAAACGACGGUUUAAAGAAAAAUAUCGACGUCUGGAAUUUUGAAAAACAAAUAAAAAAGGCAAAGUUAUGUGAACAUACCUGGUCGUCAUCUUCUUUCUCCUUUUCAUCAUGUUUUUCUUCUGUCUUCCCUUCAUCUAUUACGUCGAGAAUGACUAACUCCGUCGUCUAAAAACCACAAAGUUUUAAAAUAACGACGUUUAAUGGCGUGUAAAACAAGUAAACUAAAUACGACGUGGUAUUGAAAUACAAACGACGGUUUAUGUUUAAAAUCGUGGUGGUAUGUAUUUCAAACGACGGUUUUAUUAAUAAUAACGACAUCUAAUGGUUUUUAAAAAAACAGAGAAUUCAAAGUUCAGAUAUGUUACCUUUUCUUCCUGAUGUUUCCCAUUUUUGGCAGUAUCAUCCUCAAAAUGCUGGGAUCUCACAUCACCUCCAGAGCAGCUUGCUUUGUCAGACAUUGGAUUUUUGGGACUUUGGCUAAUUCUGGGUUUAAGCAUGCUUGGAUCAAAAUUGGGAAUUAAUUGGGAAAGCUGACUCAGGAAAUGCUCCCUCUCAGCCUCUACCAAUUGUUUCGUUCUAGCCUCCAUCCUUAAAGCCUCUUCCCUUGCCUUAGCUUCCAUCUUUUUAGUCUCUUCUUGAAGGAGAACUCUUAAACUGUCCUUCAAACGGUCGUCAAAGCUCACUCUCUGUGGUUUGGGUAAAUUGAAAUAUUGCCUUGGUGAGAUCCCAGCACCUACUCCUCUCACUCUGCCUGGAUGCUCGGGGCCCAAAGCCAUGGUCAGCACAUCAUUGCUGCCAGAAACAGUGACUUUGCCUUCCGAGACUUGUUUUUGCAAUUCAUCCUAAAACAAAGAUAUAUAAAAAAGUAAGAACAAAAACACACGACGGUUAUUUAUAUACAAACGACGUAUUAUAUAAUUUCACACGACGCAAUAACAUAUAAAUCGACGUUAUUAUAAUUUAUCACGACGGUAGUUUUUAAACCGACGUGGUUAGUUUUUAAAACGACGAAAUGAAUAAACCACCGACGUCUUAUGCUUUAUUUACAGAUAACAGAGGGAUGAUUCAAUAUUCACACCUUUAACGACCUUGUUUAAAAUAUUUCGACGUAGUAAUUCAAUACAAACGACGCGAAAAUGAACCACCGACAUCUUAUGCUAUAAUUACAGAAAACAGAGUAGUGAUUCCUGAUUUAGACCUUUAACGAUGUGGUAAUAUCAUUCACACGACGCAAAAUAUAACAUAAGACGUAAUAAGAAUUAUUCACAGUUUAAUAAAAAUUUAAAACAGAGUGAGUAGGCUUACAAUUAAUUUUGCUUUCUCUGCCACCUUUGGAUCCGGGAUGUUACCAUGUUUGUCCUGUCUAGCUCUCUUCCAUAAGGUAGAUCGAUCAAUUUCUACCCCAGGCAUGGUUUCCUCCAAUUGAUCCUCCAAACCAGCAUAUCCUUUUCGAGACAAUCGAUGAUUGUACUCAAGUUUCUCCCUAAUCUGUGCAUGUUGAGAAUGCACAGACUCAAAAUCUUUGGAUAACCUUGAAGCUACAAAGGCAUCCCAUUGUGCUUUCUCUAUGAAUUUAUAUAUUUCAGGGGGUUGGCUUAAUCUCUCCCUGUCAUUAGUGUAUGGAAGGAUAUAUUGCCUCGUUAGUGUAGACUUGAAAUCCUUCCAUUUCUUGGCAGCAGAAGCUAACACAGAGCUCUUGCCCCCUUGACCUACCACAAAAGCAAUGUCAACUGCUUCCCAAAUCUGCUCCUUUAUAUCCUUGGAGAUUUGAGCCUAUUUCAUGUCCACAAGUGGAACUCUGGAGCGUGCCAACACACCAAUGUAGGACUGCAUCUCACUAUGUGCUUGGCCAAUUCCUUUCCCCCUUUUAUUGUACUCAACAAUUGGCCUCAGUUUCUGAAGUUUUCUCUUCACAACAUGAGGCAUUGUGCUCAUACCUCGACCAGACUUUGAAUCAUCAGAGAUUGUUGUCGUGCUGGUUCGUUCUGUCUCAGCAGAUGAUGAAGCAAACUUCAUCUUCUUCGAAGGCUUCACUUGAGGAGGUACCAUUCCAAGGUCCUUACCUCCAUUUUUCUUGGAGCCAGAAUCCUUACUUUGGUCUUAGUGAGAAACCAUUUUUACAGACAAAACUGCAAGUGAAAAUAUUUCAGGAAAAGAUUAAGAACACAAACGACAGUUAUUAAUAAAAUACGACGUAUGAUAUGAUUUUAAACGACGCAAUGAAAUAAUCUCAGACGUAAUAAAUGUUUAAAACCAAGGUAAUUAAACAACGACGAAAUAAUUAACUAUAAACGACGUGAUAAUUAACUAUAAACGACGAAAUAUUUAUAUAACGUCGUGGUAUUGAUGUUCACACGACGUCAGUCGUAAUAUACCGUCGUCUAUAUAAGGAUCCAAAACCCUUCUUUCUUUCUCUGUGAAUGUUUGAUUGCAGAUUUGAUUUUUCUGAACCAUGGUUUUUGUUUUCUAAUUUGAUAAAAUACAAGGCCAAGAAAGAAAGUUUUGGAAUCUUAUAUAGACGACGGUAUUUUAAUAUGACGUCGUGGUAUUAACAUUCACACGACGUAAAACAAUAAGAUACUGUCGUCUAUAUUAGAUACCAACCCUACUUUCUUUUUCUUUAUAUUUUAUCAAAUUAGGGAAAAACAAAAACCAUUGUUCAGAGAAAUCAAACCUGCAAUUAAACAAGCAAAUAAAAAAAAGACUAUAAUUUUAAAAACAACUUUGUCAAUUUUCAGACGACGCUAGAACGACUGACGAACCGUCGUGGUCUACAUAUUUAACCACGUACAUAAGAAGCUACCGUCGUCUUAUUUAGUUGAGGUAGUUGUCUUCAAAGUUGGAAACUUUCCCUCUUUGUCUGUAUAUUUUAUUGAACUUGGAAAGAAGUAAAAUGAUUUUGGCCAGAAAAAAGGUAAAAAGAUUUUUCAAACAAAAAACGUAUGAGCAUGCAAAACAACAACCAAAAUAGUGAAAAUGAAAGCUUACCUUUUGCGUGCAAUGAAAGCAAGAGGAAGAUUAUGUUUAAGUUCAGAGACGACGAAGAAGAAGAGAGGAAGACGAUGAGAUACUCUGACAGUGCUCUGACAAGGAAAAAAGUCUAAAAGUUUUCUCUGGGAGAUUGAACUUUUUAAUCGGGUUUGAAAACGGCGCAUGUGUAUGUCAGGUAGACGAAAAGUUGCUUACAUAUAAAACCAUUUCAAAAAAAUAAUACGGCGGUUACAUAUAACUACGACGUAUAAAUUACAAAAUACGACGGUACAUUUAACUUCGGACGUGGUAAAUAAAUACGACAGUAGUGUUGUAGGUACCGUCGUAGUAAACUCAAAAAUUAAAGUACAUAAGUAAUAACUCGCGUCAUGGUAGAUUAUUUAACACGUCGUUUUUAUUAAUUUACCGACGUGGAUUUCUGUAAUAUACGUCGAUAAUACCGACGUUGAUUUUACAAUUUAAACGGCGGUUUUUUUGUAAGGACCGCCGUUGGUUUUAAAAAUUUAUUCUAUAAAUUUGUCGCUUUCAUUCAUUUUCGGUUUACAUUUAAGGUUCCAAGUUCUUCCUCUCUCAGUCUCUCACGUCUCAAAGACAAUAAUUUGGAUGUCUUUCUCAAAGAGAAAUUGAGCUUACUCGCAUCAAAUAUAUGUCCACAAGAAGAAGCUUGUCAACUAGCCUUCUCACUUCCUUGAUCAAGCCUGAUAGGACACUUAGUGCUUCUGAAUACUCCUUGCUUUCCAUCAAAAGAGAUGCAAGCCUGGCCUCCACUCGCUGUCGAAGGAAAGUUCGCUUCUCAGGGAAAUCUUCUUGAUUUUCUUGGCUAAGAAGAUCCGUCAGAUUUGUGAUAGCCUCUUCCUUUAUCCGUAGAGCUUCAGAAGAAGAAGAUGGGUUUCAAGAAUGCGAUAAAGAAUAGAAAUGGCUUCAGAUGGCCUCUAAAGCAUGAGCAAUCGAAUCAGUAGUUGUUGGGAGAUAUGAUGAAGACAUUGUCAAUGCUUUGAACUAUACAAGUCCUGCAGAAAGAUAAAGGACCAAACUGUUAAAGAAACUGAAACAAUGGCGGUUUUCUGUUCUACCGUCGUCUUUUCUCGUCGUCUAUAUUAAGGUAAGAUGGCGGUAGAUUUAUAAUUACCGACGUAGAUUAUUUUGUUAAACGUCGUUAAGUGUACUACAACCGACGUGGAUUUUAUUUUUAAAUUAUAAAUAGAGUUUUUUUUCCCCUAUUCUUUCAGUUUUAGUUUUCAAUUACAAAGCGUGAUAAAUAGAUUUUUCUUUCCCGAGGAAAUUUAAAAUGAGGGAAAUUAAUGUUCUAGAAUUUGUAAACUAACACGACGCAAUAUUUGCAAAUCUGUGUCAUCUGUUAAGAUUAUGAUGUGGAACAGAGUUCCAUCUGGUAAGAUUUCGUAACCCUUGGGAUCUCAGACAAAUCUGAUUAUGUCGGCGGUUUUCUAUAUAAAUCGUCGUGGUUAUUUCAAUUCUUGUCAUUAAGUAGAUCUACCGACGUAGGAUAAGAAAAUCAAAGAAAAAAAUUGUUAACAAAAAUUCUUAUUAAGACGACGGUUAAAAUUAAAGGUACGACGUAUAAAAUGAAUAAAUACGACGUUAAAUUUUAUUGUACGAUUUAAAGAUAACGUCGUAGAACUAUAAGAGAAUGACGUCGAUAUAUUUAUAUUUUCCGUCGUUGUACAUUAAUUUAAUACGGCGAUAUUUUGUAUUUUAAAGCCGUGGAUUUGUUUGUAAUUAUACGGCGUCUUAUACGAAAACCUCGUCGUGUUAUUUUAUGAGUAAAAACGGCAGUUUUUAUUGAAAUCGUCGUCUUUACUUUCUACGUCGGUCGAUUCAUAACUUCUGCCGUUCUUUGUUGGCAUUGAUUUUACACUGCGAAAAUCUGUUUCAAAUAGACGUCGGUUGUUUAAUUAUGUACGUUGUUGUUUUUGAACAGCCAUUUGAAUCUCCAUUUUUUAGUUGUCUAAGGUUGUAUUACACGACGGUGUUUUUAGAACCGUCGUCUUUUUAAAAACCACGACGGUUUUCACUUAGACCGUCGUUGUUUUCUGGUCGUCUUUUUCACUUUUUGUAGUAGUGGCAUAUGAUGACGACACUCACAACAAGAUCAUGGCAUUUGACUCGAGUUGUAUGAUUCUCUCUUAAGUGUAUGUAAAGUGUAUGACAUUUACAUCAAUACGUGUAUUCUUAAUUGAAAUCUACUAUGGCAUUUACUCAAAUUAACAAUCAAGAAUCCAUUAAGAUCAAAGAGAAUAUGAGUGUCACAAAAACCCUAAAACAUGGCAUUUGUUAUUAGGAAUUCAAGAAUCGAUUUCUCAUAACUAGUUCUUAACCCAAUUAUUCGUUGCAAAUAAGAACACAUUCAAUAUGGCAAUUGACCUAUGUUCUACAACAAUUUAAUUCCAAUACAUGCUUCUAAGUUAGCUACUCAAAGAAACAAAAUAUCAGAAUUCACAUAACAUAUAGAAACCGAAAACAUCACGCUUGUAGAAACUAAAAAUCCAUUAACCUUGUUUAUAAAAUUGAAAUCAUGUUUAGGGCUUCAAGAUUAAGCCCUAACUAACAAGAAAUUAGUUACUCAUGGUCUUGGAUGAACUCAAAAAUAAAUACAUAAGAACUGAAAAUUAAAGAAGGAAGGAAAAGAAAGAACUCGUUCGCAGCUUUCUCCUCUUGCGCUGUUGAUCUCUUUAGGACGUGAAUCCUUUUUAUCAGCCUUGCCUCGUCUUUUAUAUCACUUAUAUCAGAGUUCUAAACCCUAAAAUUGACUGAAAAGUCGUCCAAGAAGUCUUGGUAAACAAGGAAUCCAAAUAGGAAAGUAAAAAUCACAAUUCCUAACUCCACUGGGAAAUACAGCUCAGCCCAAUGUUCACACGAUUUUGGGAUCUUCGACCUUGUAGAAAAAUCAUUAAAAAUAUAUUUUAGAAAGAUAAAUGUCUUAUCUUUCCAACCAUAUAUAGCACGUAACUUGAAAAAUUCGGAAAGGCUUCCGUUUCUUCACAUUCACGUAGCAUGUACGAAACUGUCCUGUCUGCACGUGGGCUAACUUUACUUGUAAUACUGUACCAAUUGGCUCGGUAGAAAAUUCUAGAAAAAUCAUAGAUUGAACUUCAAGAUGUUAGCUUUCAUCUCCAAUCAGGGGCGGCCUUGGGGAGGUGCAAGUGGCGCCACCGCACAGGGCCCCCGAAAAAAAAAAUAUUUAUAUUAUAUAUAUAUAUUAAUAUUAUAUGAAUCGUAUAUAUAAUAUAGCGUCUGGAUAUUUGCACAACAGCGUGUUCAGGGGAGUUGGAUGGAGCACAUCUCUCUUUGGCAAAAGGGCCCGAGUUCGAUGCUCCUUGAUGUCGUUCUACUGGCUAGCCUUUUGUGAUAUUAUUUUUGCAUUCAAACUUUACAUAAUUAUUGAACCAUUGGAUUAAUAUGCAACGAUGGGUGACCACAAUCUCUUGGACUCCUGUGGUCCAUGAGAUCGGGACUGAUAUUACAUGACUUAUUUUAUUAAAUUAUUAUCAUGUUGAUGAUUGGUUGUAUGAGAAUAUAGUUUGUAGAAAUAUUUAUCUAUUUCUUGUUGGGGUUUUCUUCCAGGUUAUAGGGUUUUGGAAUUUUUCUUUGUAAUCUAAACAUGCCACCUACUAGAAAAUACGUUUAUGGAUAUACAAAACGGCUUAGAAAAAGAAAAUUCGAGGAAUUGACUCAAUCUCAAAGAGGAGCUCUUGAUAGAUUCAUUGUUAGAGAAUCACAUGCUACAAUUGAUGAAAAUAUUUAAAUUUUUAUGAAUUUAAUUUCUGAUUUUCAUUGCAUAUUUAUUGAUGGUGAAUUUUAGUUAUAAAAAAAAAUUGUUUAUGACAUUAAGUUAUGGCAAAUUUUUAUAGUAUUUUCGUAUUAGAUUAUGCAAGGCCCCAAUUUAAGUUUCGCACAGGGCCCUCAAAAUCUCAGGGACGGCCCUGUCUCCAAUUGGUCUUGUGCUAAAAUUCCUCCGAAAAGUUGAUUUUCCCUUAAAAACCUUCUAAGAGUGCAGAAAAGCUGAAAAUCAGAAAAAUAAAGUAAUAAGCCAUUUUUAAAUCUAAUUCUCUUACAAAACCAAAGUAAAAAGAGUACAUAAAUGAGUAUAUUUAUGGACUUAUCAACGUCUUCUUCGUUGGACUUGGGGUUGUUUUCCUUAUAUGUCCCCUAUAUAUAUAUAUGGCCUUUAGUUGAGCCCACAAAUACCUUCAGUUAGUUUUUGGGUUUAGGGGCCUACAGAACCUGCACUAAACAAUAAAAGAAAAUACCUAAUUAGUUUAGUACGAAUUUAUAAUGAAGGCUUUAUUAGGUGAAGUUUUAUUUCUUAAUCGUUAGAUCAAAUUGGUUAGCAUCUGAAGUCGCCCAAAGAUUUGAGAGGGAUUCCACAAACAUAUAAUAUAAAGAAAGAAAGCAAUAGUAGGAGAUGAACCAGUACAAAAAACAAUAUAUAAAUAGUACAUAAUAAUUCCAUAACCUUGUCACAAACGCACUCACAAAUGCUUUCCAUAAACCUUGCCCUAACAUAUAACAAAUAAAGGCAACAUUGCAUAUGAUGCAACCAUGUCCAAAUCUGAUACGUGAUAAAAAAAAAAGGACAUGGCAGCAACAUAUGACUGAAGUAGAUGGGCUCUUUGCAUCUCGUGUUAUCGUAAUUAAAGACAUCAAAAUAUUAAGGUUGAAAUCUUCUAUAGUAGCAAGCAUUAAAAUAGGUUUGAAGCAGAGUUUAAAGAAAAUUCCAAUUCCACUGAUUUGCCUCUGCUCAAAGACGAGAACCAAAAUGGUUACUUCCCUUGCUGAGUAUAUUUGUUAACGUCGGAAACGGUAAUAGAUGACCAAUCAAACCCAAGUACGACGAGUUUUGCAUAGGAUCAGAAGUAGUUGAAUCCAGCUUGCAUCACACGCUUCUUUGACUCCAUUGCAUUAGAUGAGUUUUUGUAUUUUUGAACAGCUACACUCCGAAGUCGUUUGUGUCUACGCUUCAUGCGCUGCAACUUCGCCCUAUCCAGAUUGGCCUGCCUUUUGUCAUCUUCAAUUUGGCCUUCAACAAAUUCCAAACGUGCCCUUGCCCUUUGGAUUUCAUCACCAAGUUGAAGAUGCCUCUCCUUCCAAAAAGCAAGAACUCUUUCAGACUCAAAACUUCCAACAAAAUGGUCAUUCUAUCUAGGAAUGUGACAUUGCUUGUCUGGUGACUCACCUGCGUUUCAAAGGCGGUCUUUGUUUGGAGGGGUGUUUAUUAUGCUCACAUCAAACUUGGUUAGUAAAUCCAUUCUAUGGGGGGAGUGAGUUUCUGUGGAGGAGAGAGUUUCAGUAGAUGGAGACAGAUUCGGUGGAGGAGUGAGAUUUUUGUGGAGGGAGAAUUUCUAUGAAAUGGGUGAUAGUAAUACCAAUAAAAGGGUUCCCGCCAAAAAGUAUUUGGUUGACAAUGUAUAAAUUAAUUUUUGGUCUGAUACAAUCUAAGUUUAAUCCUAACUAGUUUGGUUAGUUUGGUUGAAUUCACUAACUAGAUGUCACUUCCAUUGAGUUUCUUUCAACCACUAUCAGUGGUGUAAGGAGAGUGUGAGGUUGACAUGCUUGAAAAGCAAAACCUAACACCUCUUUUUUUUAAAAUUGAAAGAAAGUACAUAUGUUGACUACACACAAGCUUUGGUAUGUUGGUCUAUAAAGCUAUGUUCCCUUUCUCAAACGAAAUUGCAUAUGCAAUCCUCGUCCUCCCAAAACAAAUAGAAUUAUUCAAGCAUGUCAACCUCUUCAGGCGCCAACAACACAAUCAAAGAUGACAAAUUGGAGUCGCAGGUUCUAUUUCCACAUUGUACUCGCCGACCCCUUCCAUUUUCAACAUCAUUUGGGAGUGAGGGGGACUCCGAUGAUCCAUUAGAGCUAAUACAUGCAGUCAAUAGCAAGCUGGAUUAUAAUUCCAGACUGAUCAAUUCAUGGCGCGAGAAAUAUGUUGAAGACGAAGCCAUUUUGGCUGAUCUUAACAUUAGAGUGAACAAAGCGUUCUCCCAAAAGAACAAGUACUUGAAGCUGAGUCAUAAAAGGAAGCUGAAAGCUGAGGAGUUAGAUACAGUAAUGAAUGAUGAAAUUAAAGGUUGUUUGAUGAAUCAUAUGCGAUGCGAAGAGCACCACAGUGAACUGGAGUUGGCAUUCAACGAAGGAUUCGAAAAAUUACGAGCAUUUGCAGCAACUACUCAUACAAGUUAUAAUUGGGACUAUGUGUCCCCUGAUGUUGUGAGAGAGAUACUAGACGAUGGUGGUGACAUGAAUGAGCAUAAGCACGUCAAAGCUGCUUGGAAGAAGCCGACCGAUACGACUAAGUGAUUGCGGCUACAGUUGUUCAGUUGGUUGAGAGUGAUCGUGGUAUUGCACAAAUUAGAAGUAUAUUCCCAUAAUGUCAUUAUCUAAUUUAAAAUAACACAAAUAUCAGUUUCAUUUGCUUCAUAUUGUAACACCCCGACCCCAAAUUUCCCCAAAAUUUACCCUCAUUUAAUUAAUUAAUUAUUUAAGGGUAUUUUAGUCAUAUUUUUAACCGGAGAGAGUUUGGGACCAUGACUUGUAUUUUUGGAUAGGUCGUACUGAGACGAGUUCAUAGACACGUAGUGGGCUCGAAUCAGAGUUGUAACGAGAGAGAUAUGGUCAAAAGAAACCCAGUGGCACAAUCGUAAAUAUUUCAAAAUGGGAUUUUUAUAAAAAUCUGGUUUUUCUCUCUCUCUCUCUCUCUCUCUCUCUCUCUCCCGCGACUUCUCUCUCUCUCCCGUCGGCUCUCUCUCUUUCUCUCCUUGUAUCUCCGGCCACCGACCACGGCUGUGGGCGGGGCCGGUACCAAACUGACCGGGACGACGUCCCCUUCCUUCCCCGACCAUUCCCCGCCGGCAACGCGGCCGUUGCUGGCCGGAAAAUGCAGAAAACCGCCGGGAGGUCGUCGAAACUUCAACGCCGUCGAUCUCCCUCCUCCGGCCACCAUUUUCGUCGACCCAGGUAUGGAUCUUGAACCUCUCGAGCUGUUCUAGCUGUUUGUUGGUUGGGUUUUGAUCGAUUCGAUCUCUAGAUCACUCGAUUUUCGAAUUGAAAAUUGGCCGAAACUUCGGCCGCCGUGAUCGGCCAUUUUCGGCCACUUUUUGUGGUAGGUCCAAGAACAAAAGUGGCUCCAAAUAGGGUGUUAUACCUAGGGUAGAAGUUUGGAGCCGAGAUGUUGAGAUUUUCCGGCGAAGCGUUAUCGCUUUGGGCACCCACGCGUGCGGCGGCGCGUGGGCACUGUAGAAAAAGUAGAUGUGUUCCGAUGAGAUCCUUAGGUUGUCACGAGUGCGUAGGAUUUGGCGGAUCUCAAUUCGGACGUCGUUUGACUAUCGAACGGAUAAUCGCAUAUUAUGCGUUAUCCGGGUUCGAUAGGUUGAGACCGUCGGAUGGUCCCAAAUUUAAUAUAUGUUGAUCUAGGUAUUUCUAGGAUCGUGUAGGAUUUCACGGAUCGUGAAUCGGAGCCCCGGAUGUUCCGAAUAAUAAUUUAAAGUUUAUAUUUUAUAUUAACCAUCAGAUUAUGCGAUCGUGAGAAAUCCGACCGUCUGAUCUGAACCAAACUGGCAGGAAAAGUGUCCUGUACCUGGUAGAACCCAUAGGGACCUUCGGAUCGGAAAUUGGAGGUCGUGGGUUCCGCAAGUCUGUUUGACCAGGGUUAGAGUAGUUUGACCCUUGGUUGACCGUGAGUCUCCCGGAGUAAUCUCACCCUUCCAGGGGGAAUUAUCGGGAGCUAGACUAUUGUGGAGGGUUACACAAUAUUAGAAUUAUUUAUAUAAUUAUAUAUGGUUGUACAAGGGUACAACAAAGUCUAGAAUGUCAGUUUGGAGUGCUAUACGCACUACUUUAGGUACCUCCUCGGAUUUUGGAUUCGCUACAAGCACCACCAAGUGAAAGUUAGGUCCCGCGUGGCGUAGGUUAUCCGGCGUUGGGACAGACCCCAUACGUGGCGUUGGUUGUACCGGCGUAUGGGGAGAUUUGCAAUAUGAUGUUCAGGUCUCACGUGGCGUAGGUUAUCCGGCGUUGAGACAGGCCCCGUACGUGGCGUUGGUUGUACCAGCGUACGGGGAGAUUAUGUGAUAUGAUGUUGAGGUCCCGCGUGGCGUAGGUUAUCCGGCGUUGGGACAGGCCCCAUACGUGGCGUUGGUUGUACCGGCGUAUGGGGAGUUAUAUGAUAUGAUAGUAUGGCAUGGUCGCACAUGGCGUAGGUUAUCCGGCGUGUUGACAGGCCCCAUACGUGGCGUUGGUUGUAUCGGCGUAUGGGGAGAAUAUGUGAAAUGCAGAGAAAGGAAAUAAGGUAUCACCGAUGUGUGGAAUUGGGUUUUAGGGAAGAACUACGUGUGGCUUGAUCCCUCAAGGAGGGUACGUAGGCAGCCUAAGGUUAUUGGGUGCAGCCGCAGACUAAAUAUUAGUCAUAUUUGGUAUUUGAAUUGUAUGGUAGUUGUUUGAGAAUUAUUGGAAGGCCAAAGGCCAUUUAUGAGAAUUUGCAUGAAAUUAUAUUGUGCAUGCUGCUAGUUGUGGAUAUUAAAUGUGUUUUUAUGCAGGUUGAAAUUUUGGGAAAUGUCCAAUUUAUAGGGGAGACUCUGCUGAAAUUUCGGCAGGAAGUCUCGGUUUUUAGUAAGUGGGCCUGGCAUCGGGGUGAUGUCAGGAAUUCCAAAGGGUUCGUCUCGGGUUUUGAGAAAAUUCGGGGCGGGUCCUUAAACAUAUAUAAUUAUUGGGACUAUGUAUUGCAAGUCAUCAUGUGUUCCUUCUGUCUAACAUUAUAUUUUGCAAAUAUCAAAAUAUUAUUCAAUAAGCAGUCAAUAUCACAGCAAGUUGGGAAUUAGUAAAGCCCCAUUAUCAUGUCCGUUCACAUUAAAGAGCUGGCGUACUUUUUCUCAAAAAACUGACACGUGAGUCAUAAGUAACAUAACAUGUGCUAUACAUUGUUUAGUGAAUGGUUUAUGGUUUAUUUAUAUAUAAUAAAAUUCCAAAUAUUGCUGAAUAUUUGUUUUUUCUAUAUCCCUGGGAACAUGAGUGACCAUAAGCAUGUAAGACCUGUUAAGAAGAAGCUGACUAAUACGACCGAGUGAUUGUGGCUACCGUUGUUUAGUUGGUUGGGGAGAUCGUGGUAUUGCUAAGAGGGAGCACAUAAUGUGCUUUGCAAUCAAAUUUUCUUUUGUGUGUGGAAUUAUGAGUAGUUCAAAUGUUAGUGUACCCUUUAAUAUUCUUCAACCGUUUGAAAUGUGAUUAGCUGCAAUGUACUUUUUUACACGCUGCUUUCUAAUCACUCUGUUCCAACAAAGUGCUUUAAGUAUCCUUCAGUUACAAAUGUUUACAAAAUCGUGCAUCUAAUAACCAGUCGAGCUCAGAUCUUAAUAACAAGUAAAACACUAGAACAUAACAUUCGGAAAAAGUGGGUGCUGCUGGAAAUCAUUACUGGUAAUGGAAGCAAGAGCUGGCUGCUGGAAAUGCUGCAUUAGCCUGUGAUAUAAUCAAUGAAUCUCUGUUAAAACAUAAUUCACCAUAAACUACCCAUUUUACAUGGUAAAAGUCAUUGCUUCUUCACAUAACUCAAAAUUUGAUACUUUAUCAAAUGUCUAUGAAAAUUUCUAAAUAGGGGAAAGACGUAAAAUUAACAUGUGUCCAAAUUUCAUGCAAGAAUGAAACCAAGCAAAUUUUUAUUUCAAUUAUCAGUGGACAUAGUAAGAACUCAUCGGUGGACAUGAACAAAAAAAUAAUAAUAUUAAAAACUGAAUCUAGAAAACUUCACCUGAUCAUUAGUCUUCAUAACAACCGAAUUUCGUCUAAUAGAAACAUAAAUCAUUCAGUUGGUCCGUGCAUCGUGUCAAAUUCAUAGAAUAAUGGGUCACUACGAUCUAUUGGAGUUGAUUCGUCAUUGUUCGACGGUGAUGUCCUGCAUAGACAUCAAACACAAGCACAGAAAAAAUUUACCUAUUCAAAUUUUAGGUGUUAUUAUAAAUAGUGUUAGCAUCUUACGGUGUGUUCAAAUUUCUUGCGCAUUGUCUUCUAUCAUGACCAAUGUGUCCACACUCCAGACAGUGUCUAAUCCCUCGCUUCAUUGCCUUUUCUUUUGCUCCCGUUACUCGUUUCGACCUUCUUUUGCACCUCACUCUCUUAGGGUCUUUCAUAUAUUGUGUUUGAGAGCUGGACCCUCCAACUUCGUUAUUACUUGGUCCAUCCUUCAACAACUUCAACUUCACCUGCAAACUUUUUAGAGUCUCUGACAGUAGCUCACAUCCUUCUUCACUCAUUAAUGCACCCUCAACCACAUCUUAAGCAAGUCGAGACAUUGUACUCCGCCUUAUUAAAAGACCAGGAUCUGCAGAGUCUUUAAUUUCGUUGCCAUUUGCAUCUGACACCAAUUCAGAUUUUGCAGUUUUCUUCCACCUCUUUAAAAUAUAUUUAUCGGGCAUAUAUUCAAUCUGGUCCCUUCUGAACAAUGCUAGGAUGUGCUUGCAAAUAAUUCCAACAAAUUCAAAUCUUUUGCACCCACACGAUGCGUGGUCAGAAUCUUUAACAUAUACGACGUCUGCCACUCUUGUUUCCCAAUUUUUCCUUUUGCUCACGCGAAAGACAACUUUAGAAGCACCCUCUGUUUUGAGCUCUAGGAAACAUGUUGUACUUUGUAUUAGUUCUUGGUCAAACUUUUGAAACAUUGUCCUUGUGUACAAGGUAGCCAUUUGUUUGUUCAUUGGCAUCGGUAGAAUACAUUGAGCCACUUCAAAUGCAUCUACGUGAUCAGCAACUAACUCUUUUUGACGUUGAUGAGAAAGUGCCCUCUCAAAUCGUAUUAUGAAAUCCAUCAACGAAUUUCUCCUUGAUAUGUAUUGCUUGAAAAAACCAUGAGAACCUUCCACUCUUUGGCUGCUUGACAUUCCAGCGGCAAAAAAUUGUUGUGCGUAGGCUGGAACCCAAGAUUCUCUUAAAUCAAACAUUGAACUUAGCCAUGGAUGGUCAGUCAAACCAGCCUUUGUAACCACAAUAUUCCAUUUUGUAACAAACUUAUCCUUAUUGUCAGUAUCCCAUACGGCUUUCUGAAAUUCACGCCAAUACUCCUUAUAAGCAGAAUGUGGUAACUUAACAGAGAACUUUGAUGUGAUGUGCAAUAUGCAAAGUCGAUGAAAUGUAGUCGGGAAGGGUAUUGAAAUCGCUCUGGUCAUUGCCGCAUCUUGAUCUGUAAUGAUCGUUUUAGGUCCGCCACUUGGCAUGGCUUUCUUAAACUCCUCAAACAUCCAAAUAAACGACUCAGUCGUUUCCUUGCUCAAAAAUGCGCAUGCUUAGACAAUUGUCUGACCAUGGUUAUUAACUCCCAACAUUGGUGCAAAUGUCAAGUCGUAUCGAUUCGUGUUGAAUGUGGUAUCGAAUACAACAACAUCUCCAUAAAACCCGUACGCCCAUCUAGAAGUUGCAUCUGCCCAAAAACAUUGACUAAACCUGUCAUGGCCAUCUCUCUCAAUCUUGAAAUAAAAAGCCUCAUUUUUUUUUUCUGUUCAGCCAUAAAAUACUCGGUCACUAGUUCAACAUCGUGGUUCCUCAACUUCCCAUUCACACUACAUUCAAAAUUGUAGAUAUCUUUUUUGAUAAAACCGAUUUUAUCCAUUCCUCCGGAUUGCACCUCGAAAAUACUUACCUUCUGAUGAAUGAGAAUAUUAACCGAACCCAACUGUUUUGUGAGUACUUUUGUAGAAUCUGAACUAUGACGGUGUGAUCUCAAUAAAUGCAUUCUUUCUGAGGGUGUCAUCUUAUGAUUGUGUCCCUCUGCAAAAAGAGAGAUGGUAUACUUCUUGCUCCCAUUUGUCUUCACAACCACAAUCUUAGCUUUGCAAUUGCAUCUACUUAUUCCCCGCUGUCUUUUUCUCUCCCGAGUUUCAUCUCUCCUGUAUUCACCUUGUUUGCAACAUACAAAUUCUUUCCUCAAAAUCUCUUUCUUAUUUCCCCCCCAAAAGCUGGAAUGAAGUCGAAUACCAAAGCCAGCCAAGAAUGCAUAUCUAUUAUAGAAAUUGUAAACGAGGUCAAGCAAGUCGAACUUCAUCCCAACUGCUGGUGUUUCCUCAUUUCUUACUUCAAGAAUGUAAACCCUCCCAUUAGCUGUUACACAGUCAUCACUCUCUGAGCCCCCAGACAUUUUAUCCACGUAUAUUAUUGAUCCACUUCUAUAUUAUUGCAUAGCAAAUAUUAAUUCAUUAAUAAAUCAUUACUGCAUCACAACAUAUCAAUGCAUUCCACUUACACAAAACAUUGCCCAAAUUGACACAAAACACGCAUAGCCUAACUUGUUGGAUUCCGAUUACACAAAACGCAAGCAAAAUUUAAUAAUAGUUACGUCAUCUCUUGUGAAAUAAUCUAGAAAAAAUAACAUUAGAACCAACAUGUUCAACUAAGAACACAAAUGCAAUUCAAACCAGCAAUCACAUAACUUCACCCAAUAUCCUCUCCAAAUGCUUACUCCUAAUGUCAUUAAGCCUAAGUUUAGGAUCUUUUACCUACAUUUCAUAAUUUUUCACCCCCACCAAAAAUAAUCAACUAAGUAUACUGAAUAUUCAUAAGGAAAUGACGCAUUAUUGAUGCCACAAAUGACGAAUUUCCUACCCUCACAAAAAACAAAUCAAACCCAAUUAAAUCAAUCCAGCAAGAGUGAACUUACCUCUCAAAAUCAAUCGGGAGCUCCGAAGUCAGUAAGCUUGAGAGAAUGUGGUGGACAUUAGAGAAGACUCUUUGGUAUUGGAGACUCCAUCUCUACCAAAAUCGAGGAACGAACUGCUGCUACGGCGUCUAGCUACAGAAAAAGAUAUGCUACUUUACUUUCAUCUGGAAUCUUGUUUGCUGAACGAAAAAGAGAAAGGGUUUUCACUUGAGCCAUAGAAUCAAAACAAGGCAACAUCUAGGUAAGAGCCAUUAAUCGUCAUAUCGAGGAUACCAUAGAUCGCAGGCCUCCCAAGGAGCUGAUGACAAUGGAGCGACUAUAGGGUUUGGGAGCUUUGGAUCCUUCUAAUUGUGGGUUUGCGUUACAUUCAAAAAAAGAGGAGUGUGUUGUUGAGUUUUUCACAUAGAGGGAAAGAGGGAAAGAUCUUCAACUGAAGUUGGGUUUCCAACGGGUCAAAUUUCAACCCGGUUCUACAUGCACCCUCUUUUAAAAACUCACCGUUGGAUUUCAUCCAACGGCUCGUACAUACCCCUCAAAAACACCCCUUAUAACUUUCCACUCACUAUAGAAGCUCUCCCCAGGAAAUGCUUCGAGGUAGAUUUUAUGUUUUGGGCCUUGGGACCCAACUUCACAAAAAGAAAACAAAUUUGACCAAAAAACAAAGUUGAAGGACAUUGAUAUUGUACCUGUAGGAUAGGUUAAAACACUAAAAGGAAGGUAAAUAGUACGUUUACAGAGUUUAAGUGUAAUAAAGGAAUAAAAACAUGCCCAGAGAAUUGAUAAGUGAUAUCAAUUCUUGAAUAUAUAGAACGUAAAAUAAAGGAAUACGUAGAAAAUUAUUUUAUGUGGUAAAACUCAAUCUAUGGGGCCACGGGACUUCUUAGUCCAAAAAAAAUCCAUUGAACGAUGAUUACAAGAAGUACUCACACACUUAUCCUAGACACAUUCUAGAUAAUUUUUACUAACAUCUUUGUAACUCAACUUCUGUCAUAGGAUGAUUUUUUGACACUCCUUAUGUUGAACGCAAUACUGGUCACGAUUUCUUCAAGCUCGCAGGAACUCUCCUUAUAUUGAAUAUGAUACUAGUCACGAUAGAUUCAAGCUCAUCGGAGAAAAACAGCCACAACGGUCUUGGUGCCCUCAAUGGUAUGAGUCACUGAACAUGCAAAUAAAUACAAUAUGAAUGAUAAAAGUGUUUGAUAAAUCACCAAGUUAUGGAACACUUGAUGAUUUAUCUCAAAUAAAAACUCAGCUUUCCAAAGUUUAUGAAUUGAAAAUAUGAUCGUUAAAGCUCUCUAAACAAAGAAGACGAAGAUCUUAUUUUAUAGAAUUUUUCUUUAUAAGAAAGAAAACACAUUGAAAACCAAAUCUCCAAGGCUUGACAGAAAAUCACAAAAGUAUCUUUCCUAUUCUAGAGAUUGGUCACAUGUAGUCCAACCAAUAGGACAUGAGAUAUUUAAGAAAUGAAGAUUUUGAUCAAUAUCAAUAUCAAAUGAAUUCUUAUACGCCUAGUCAACUAUUAAGGGUAUCUUGACUCCUUGAUAUUGUGAUAUGAUUGAAACAUGAUUUCCACGUUAGAAAAUUAAGGGGAUGUUAAAACAUGAAAGUAAUAGGAGAAUCAAAUUGAUUUCGGCCAAAAUUGCCUAAAAAGAAAACACUCCUAAAUAAACUCAAUUCACUUUUAAAAACAGUAAAACGUGAUUGAAUUGUUCUUUAAAACAAUUCCCUAAUAUACAUGCAUGAUAAUGACAUCACUUACCUCUGAAUCAAAUGCCUUUCAUAGGUCAAGCCACAAGUCUGUGUUUUGGGGAUUGCUGAGCUGCAUCAAUCCUGCCAAUGUCAAUGCUGCCCCUAUGCUCUCUCAAAGCACGUUUACAACCUAUGCUAACAUAUACCCUAAACCCUAGUAUCAAGAAAAUGCCAACACUAAUUUCGUAACACGUAGAAAUUGUUAGAGAUUGGAAGUUUUUUUUCUUCAAGUCUCUCCACCACUCACUAAUACAGAUUGCUCAUGUGAUGAGUUUACAAAACCUAUUUCUCUACUCUCACAAAGACUAUACUUCUUCUCAAAAGACUAUAUCACUUUACCUCUAUCUCUGUGAAAUGUAAAAAGUUGAAACUUUAAUGUCAAACCUCGACAAAAGAUGAACUUCCAUAAGUUACGUUGAAUUUGGAUUUGUUGAACUUAAGUGGUUUUACUUUUCUGUCAGUGUUUGAUGACUUAAUUUGGUAUUUACUUCUUCUUUUUUUCCUUGGAAAUGUGUUCCACCAACGUGAGGAAGAAAAAUAUGCACAAAUUAAUAUAUUUAAUAGAAGCCCAAGAUUUCGGAAGCACAUAAUUUCUACAAAAUUCUACAAAGUGUUCUACUUUACAAACUUCAUAUGUCUACCAAUUUUUACUAAAAUUAAUUUAUCUGCAGUGCUCAAAUUCAUCAUAUGUGUGUCCUUAAUUUUAGUGAAAAUUGGAAGUUUCCAUUAUUUUUGUUUUACGGGAAUUUUUUGAACCAAGGAAAAUCAAGUAAAAUUAAUAAAGCAUAAAUUGGAAAGGGAAAAUAUCUAGAGGAUGCAUUGUAGGAUUGCUCAUGCCAAUAAUUGUACCCUCUAAAUAUAUAGGGACAUAUUUUUUUUGCUCAUACCACUUGUUGCAGUACACAUUCACCCGUUUUCAAAGAAAGAAAUUCUACCAAUCGAUAAUGUCUCAAAUUUAAUCACAUAUUUUAUGGACCAUCCAGCUAUGAGGUUUUAUCUCAAAAACCUUCGGUACAUUUCUCCCACAUGCCACAAUUGUAUAUUCACAAUUACGUCUGAUACAUCACAUCAUGCCACUUGCCUCAAAUGAAUUUAAGUGAGUGAGGCAGUUGGAAGUAAUUAAGCUCUAUAUUGGUGGGUGGAGUGUUAGUUCUGGGUACCCCUCAUCAUUCGUCUAUAAAAUGGUGAAGCCAGUUGCUACUGUUACCAUAAGAGCCAGCUCCGACUUUCUUUAAUUUCUUGCUUCAUAUCCACUAGCUACAUCUGUUGCUCUUCUCAGUGUAAGCUCUGCAAUUUGAUUAACUUUCCCAUUAUCUCUCACUGUACUCUAUAUAAAGGAAUAAGUGUCGUCCAUUAAUUCUCUCCGAAAGUGUCGUCCUGAUUUUAAUUAGAGUUCGAAUUAAUGUUGCAGCUAGCAGCGGUUGCACUGGCAAACCAUGCUGCUCAACCGGUACCUCAACUUUACUGGAACUCCGUCCUGCCAAACACACAGAUGCCAAGAUCUAUCAGUGAACUUCUGCAUCCUGGUUUGUGUUUGAGCACUUUAGAAUCUUAGAUAUCUCUUCUACCUGCCAUUUUACUAAAAUAUGUUCAACCACAUAUUUAUCAGUUAACUACUGUCAUUACAUGAGUGACACAUAUUCACAAAUCGGCUGAUCACUUAUUUUCCAUUAUGACGUUGAUAUAUAAUGUUGGGAAUGGAAAGCCAAUUGACCACAAGGGAAAACCUGAAAAUACUGUACUACCACAGCUAGCACGAAGCCCAUUUUCUUACAAGAGUGAUGUGGGGACCAAAUCUCAUGUAUCAUAGCUUAACCCAUAUGCCACAACUAAAAGACGUGGGAUGAUCGAACAGCAUACCCACAUGGUCAUGGAUCUCUUCAGAUAAUCAAUAUUAAACAACCCAUAAACUUCUCCCUUUGAAGAACAAAUUAAAACCAAUUUCUAGAGGAAGGUUACAAAACAUUUUAGCCCGUGAAGAACAAAUCAAGACAAUAUAACCCAUUUGAUAACAAAAUCAAAAUGAGAUUUACCAAUACUAGAUGACCACGGCGCCAGUAUAAUGGUACGACGGCGGCGUUAUUGUAACGGUGGAGAAGUGGAUGGUAUGACGACGGUGUUAGUGUGACGGUGGAGGAAACGAUAUUAUGAAGGAGGCGUUGCUAUGUUCGGUGGAGGAGUCGUGUGUUUCACAGUUCAAUAUAUCCUUUUUAGUCAUUUUAUAUUAGGGUAAAUCAGUAAUUCAAUAAAUAAUUUGAUAGUAUGGUGUACUCAGUUAAUAUUAGGGUUCAUUUAACAGCACUCAAAUUAACUAGUGUAGAGUCUAUCUAUAUUAUUAAUACUAAAAAUAAAUAUAUGACUAAAUAACUCAAAAAAAAAAUAAAUCUACAAUCUUUUUUUUAAAAAAUUUUUUUUAUAGAAUUUUAUUAGAUUAAUAGGCACUACUAAAAAAUCUCCUUAUAAACUACAAAUACACGCAUAACUUAUACUAAUGUGAGCUACUGACACCACCUGCCACAUGACAGUUGUCCAAGCAUAGUGUUGUCAUUCAUUAUUCCCCACAGCAACUAACAUCCAAUAAAGGGUUGGGGCCCACCCAUACUCCACCUCUCUGUAUGUAGCUCUUUGAGAAUACAGAAGAAAUAUUUUUUAGGGAAAUAGCUUAAAAUGAUACCCAUUUCAUAAUUUUAAUUAAAAAUACCACCCCUUUCCAAUUUUUGUACAACUAUCACCUAUAAAUAUAAAAUUAUUGUCCACUUAUUGCUGAUUUUUCACAAGUUCAGAAAUUUUGGAAAGAAGAAGCUCACACAGCUCUCUCUCUCUCUCUCUCUCUCUCUCUCUCUCUCUAGCACAACUCUCUUUCUUUGGUAUCUGUCUAUCACAGCUCUCUGUGUCUCUCUUGGCUCUCUCUAUCUUGGCUCUCUCUCUCUCUAGCACAACUCUCUGUCUCUCUCUUUGCUCUCUUUCUCAUAGCGCAGCUGUUUCUCUCUCUAGCUUCGUUAUGUCUCUUUCUCCCCUAUUCGAUCUCUUGCUUUCUGUUUGGAAUCGCGAACCCCUCCCUUUAGCUAUGUCUUCUGAAUAGCUGCUUGCAACCUUGAAGCUCUAGUGGAUUGCCGACCUCGAAAAGGUAGUGUUGAUGGUUAUUUUCUUAAUAUCAGUGGGAUUAUGUGAAAUGGGUUAUAGUUUGAUUGUUUGGGUUUGUGUUAAAUUCGUUUUGGCUUUAAUUUCUUUGGGUUAGGUUUUGUUGAAUAUUCAUACUCAUUCAUCUGGGUUUGUACCAAUUGCAUUUAGAUUGGUCUGGAUAUGUGAAUCUUGAAACUUGGGAUUUUCUAUUUGAUGUAGUAGAUCUGUAUAGUGUGAUUCUGUUGUGUUCCUCUUAUUUUACAGUCGUAUUGCUGUUAUAUUGUCAUUAUAUUGCUUAUAUAUUGCUGUUAUAUUGUGGUUAUAUUGCUAUUGUAUUGUUUGGUUAUUGUGGUUAUAUUGUGUUAAUGAAAUGUUGUUUUGUCAUGGUCAGAAAUGGAGACAAUUGUUAUUCUCGUGUGCUACAAUGGAAAAUGGGUCACCUCGAAGAAGAUGUGCAAAUACGAAGGGGGUGACUCAAAAGGCUUAAUAGUUCCACGGACCAUCAAAUUUGUUGAACUGUUGGACCGUGUGCAUUAGAUUGGUAAUACAAACAGCAGGGAAGACAAGGUUUGCUUAAAAUUCUCAGUUUUGGUGGCCUCGAAUGAGUGGAAGCACAUAAAUAUUGAGGACGAUGAUGAUAUCAAUUUUUUUAUGAAGUACAAUUCCGAGGUAACACCUUCAAAACUAGCUCCCUUACUCGUGAGUAUAGAAGAUAAAGGAUUGACAAAUGAUGUAGUUCAUAGUAUGCAUAUCACGACAGAUAGUAGUCGGAUGGGUCAUUCUUCAGUUGCCAUUGUUGAAAGCAAUGAAGUAACUUGGAAUAAUACGAAUGUCACUGAUGUGGGAGGUGAAGUAGGGACAGAUUUUGUGGAUAUGAUUGAUUUUAGCGAGGUGUAGGAGAUGCAUGGUGGUGAUAAUAGUACUGAAAGAAAUGAAGUGUCAGUGUACUCUGCCCCUCCUAAUUUGGGCUGCUUCAACAUAGCUGCCCAGUUGCCAAUAAUGCGUUUAGGAGGAGAAUCUGAACCCACUCGUCAACAUUAUUGGAGUCAAAUAGGUGAACAAAAUCGGUACAAUGCAGCCGGUGUAAAUGAUGAAGAAGCAUAUUUGGACAGCGGGUUUUCACGAAGUGAUUGGAAUCCGAAAAUUACAGUUGGGCAAAUUUUCUCUAGUAAGAAAGCAUUGUUGACGGAGUUACGGUUGACGGCAUUAAGAGGCCACUUUGAAUUUAAGGUGCAAUUCUCUUGCACUAAAAGGUUGCUUGUGGUUUGUUGUCAACGUCCAUGCCCAUGGCGGGUCCGAGCAUCGAGAAUUGGAGAAUACAGCUUCAUGAUUGUGAGGUGUACAACUGUCCAUGAAUGUGAUUUGAGGUUCGUAAGUGACAAGCAUCGUCAAGCAACCGCAGCACUUGUAGCCACUUCACUUAAAAGGAAGUGACAUUAUGAGAGAUGUGAAACACAACUUUGGUUGCACCAUCCAUUAUUCGAAAGCUUGGAAAGCAAAGGAGUUAGCUCUAUUGUCCAUUAGAGGAUCAGCGGAGGAGGCAUAUUAUAUCCUUCCAGCUUAUUGCUAUGAAUUGGAGCGUAUGAAUCCCGGCACAAAAACACACAUCCAAACUGAUGAGAACAAUCACUUUGUGUAUUUAUUUAUGGCGGUUGGCGCAUGUAUUAGAGGGUUCCGUUCUUCCAUGCGCCCAGUGAUAGCCGUGGAUGCCACUCAUUUAAAAUCCAAGUACAAGGGUGUUAUGUUUGUAGCAAAUGCAUUCGAUGGUAAUUGAAAUAUAUAUCCUCUUGCUUUUGGGAUCGGGGAUUUGGAGACGGAUGCAUCAUGGCAUUGGUUUUUCACUAAACUUCAUGAAGCCAUUGGUGAGUGUCCCAAUCUUGUUAUUAUUUCUGAUCGCAAUGUUAGCAUAGAGAAUGUGUGGAACAAAAUUUUUCCAACUGCACAACGUGGCAUAUGCUUUUAUCAUAUGAAGGGGAACAUGAAACGCACUUGCUAGUUGAAAAAGCGUGAUCACAUACUUAUGCACUUUGAGCAGGCUGCGAAAUCUUAUUCCAUUGCUGAAUUUGAUUGUCAUUUUUGCAAGAUCAAGCGAAAGGAACAUGUUGCUCAAUAUCUUGAAGAGACAGGGUUACAUAAGUGGUCUAGAGCUCACAUGGAUGGACGCCGCUACAAUGUAAUGACAACAAAUAUUGCAGAGUCAAUCAACUCAGUCCUUAGGUUUGCAAGGAUGCUGCCAGUGGUUCAUUUGAUAGGGGAAAUUGUUAAUCUCCUUGUGAAAUGGUUCACCGAACGUUGUGAGUUGGUUUUGAAUUGCACAACAACAUUGUGCCCCAAUUUUGGAGAGAAGAAGUUGAGGAACAGGUUGGAGGAUGCUGCAAGGAUGAAUGUGGUUAAAGUAAAUAAUGCACAGUUUAAUGUUUUGGACGGUGAUAUGGACGGCCUCGUAGAUUUGGCGAACAGCAGUUGUAGUUGUAGAAAGUUUCAGCUUGAGCAGCUACCUUGCAAGCAUGUAGUUGCAGUUUGCCGCUUCUUGAAAGUAAAUGUAUACGCAAAGGCUUCUCGGUAUUACACUCAGAAAACCUGGAUGAUGCUUAUUCGGAUAGCAUCUACCCGGCACAACCUCACGGAAUGUGGGAUAUUCCUGAAGAUGUUCGAAGUCGAGUUGUGCUGCCUCCCAUGGCAAGGGUCAUGCCAGGCAGACGAAAGAAGAUCAGAAUUCCCUCGCAAGGAGAGGGCACCAUUAGAAGAAAGUGCUCAAGGUGCGGUUCCGCAGGCCACAAUAAAAGCACAUGUAAAAACAAUAUUCCAUUGCGCAAUGUAUCUUAGACAAUAUGAUUUGUGUUGCUUUGGUAGGUCAUGUAAACUCUACUUUUAUUUGUGGUGGGUUUCGUGUUAUGUUGAAUGGGAAUUCUUUUAAAUUUGCAUAAUUUGGGUUGCAUUGCUACAGCAUGCUGUAUUGCUGACAGAUUGCUAUUAUAUUGGACUUUUAUUGUACUGGUAUUGCUUCCAGAUUGCUAUUAUAAUUUGAGUGCGAAAUUAAAGGGACUGGAAUGUAAUUCCAAAUGGAUCCAAAUCAUUAAAGUUCUUAGAAUUCCUAUAUUACACAGUUACUGUGAUACUCCGACUAUACCUUCUUUUAUGAUUACAAAUUCGGCCAAUGCAUAGGCCAGAUGUGGGGCAAAUACAAGGUGAAAUGUCCUAUGUGUUUGACUACAUAUACUUGUUGAAGGAGCAUUACGAAUGCUAACCUCAAUAGAUUGCUCAUGUCUUGCCAAGAACACUCUUGAAUUUAUGCAAUGUGCCCAAGCCAGUCCCAAAGCUGGACUCACCCGUCUGCCUGAUGUGUCCAGGGACUCCAAGUUUCCCAACCUCACCUCAUUCACUUUAUCAUGUGGCCCAAUAAAAUCCACCACUUGGUUGGUGACAACCACCGCCAACCCAAACUUAUUUGCUAAACCCUUCAAUGUCCCAGAUAUGUUGAAAAAUAUUUCAAACCGCCAUUUCAAAUCUGCUGGUGUUGUCUGAUACUGUGAUCGGAACAAUGCAGCAAUGGAAUCAAUGACAAUGAGUUUCACAGGUAGGUGGGUGUGAUCAAUGGCAAUAAAUGCUUCUAUGUCUCCAAGGACAUGGAUGAGUUGUUGAGCAUCAUGAACACCAUGAACAUAUAUGUCUUCCAAUGGCUCCAACCUUAUUAAGUUGGGGUAUGAUGCAUGAUAAAGGUUGCCUAGUUGUUGCAAUCGACGAAAUGGGAAGCUGAAUUCUGUGAAUAUGUAGACGGUGGAGCCCUCUAGUCCGCCAUGUGAGGGUGGGAGCUGAGCUGGUACCGUAAGUUGGAGACAAAGUUGCGUCUUCCCAGAACCACUCUCCCCUACCAAUUCUGUUAUAGAGUUGCAGGGUAUCCCACCCCCCAAGCAGUCAUCUAGUAUUGGGCAUCCAAUGGAUAAUUGAGGGGUUGAAAGAGGAAGGAGCAUGAGGUUUUAGGGUGUCAUAUUUGUGUAAUUUAGGGGGGGAUGUGAUGGUGCUACAAGGCAUGCAUUAUAUAUAUAUAUAUAUGUAGAGUUCAUUUUGAAGGUCUGUAUUGUAGGCCAUAUGUCUUUUAAGGGAUGUAUAAUCCAUCCUUUUUUCAGGUUGUAAUUAAUUUUUUGUUUAUUUAUUAGUAUUUUUUUGGACCAAAUAAUUUAAAAAACAUUAUGAUGCAGUACGUACUGUAAUAGGAUCAUAUUGUAACUCUAUCAUCACUCUAUUGUACUCUUAUUGACAUAAUAUUGCCGUUAUAUGCAUGUUUAUUAUAUAGUUAUUACUGCUAUAUCGCCACUGAACUGGACACCGAUAAACUGUAUACGCACAAAUACAAAAAGAGGCUUCAUCAUUCCAUAAAAUCCUAUUUCCAAACUUACAUAAUACAACAACAGGCCACCCCAUCGUUACAUAAUACAAAAAUACGCCACCUCAUAGUUCCAUUUCCCUACUGUUGACAAAUUCGAAGUUGCAUACUCUUCAAGUGCGGUGACCGCGACGCAUGAAAUUCAUGACCCCGGCCACAGUGAUGUUGGCCUAGUUUCCUGCCGGAUCCACUAUUUUUGCAAACUUACGAAAUAGUUCGAAUCCGCUUUCCACUUCUUCUUGCUUCAACUUGGCCGUUGCUUCUGAUUCCUUGAAUACCAUAAUUGCAGUGGUAGGGGCAAUUUCAAUUUUUGCUUUCAUUGUCUUUAUAUGUAGGAGAUGCAUGCGCGCAUGAUAACGAGAGCGAAUUGUGCGGUUUUUUAUGACACCCCAUCUAGUUUGGCCCUCCACAAUUUUGAAACUAUGUCUGCAUGAAGAUUUUUCCAAAACAUGGUAUUGCCUCGACAUUGCUGCAUGCCAUGGACCAAGUCUGCAGGGAGUGAAUUGGGUGACUUGGCUUGUGUUUCAGUCUUCUCUCCUUCAGUAAUUGAAAGUGUUGGGUGUGGUGUGAGGUUAUGGUCCAUGGUCUUCGAUAUUUAUUGUAGCCUAGUGUACAACUUAAUUGGAAAAAAAGGGGACUAAAUGCGAUGGGAGUGAAAUCAGUGGGGAAGGUAGUGGCUGUAAGCAGGAGUUAAUGUGAUGGAAGUUUUCAUUUCAAACAACUGGGUUGAUUAAUAUAGGCAAGUUUUAAUGACCUGGAGUAACUCAGAGAGUUAUUGGUGGGAGGGAUUAGAGGGAGUAAUUGGCGGGAGGGAUUGGCGGGAGUCUUAGGCGGGAUAGUAUUGGGCGGGAGUUAUUACCCAGUUGACUGUAUGCCUUUUUGUAAUAUAUUUGUAUGUUGGACGUUCCAAACUUGGUAAUUUUCCCAUUAUGUAAUUCAAAUAAGGGAUUUGCCUAUUUGCCUAAUUGACCAACUCAUUCAAAUUGACCAAUAUGGUUAUUGUCUUAUUUCUCAUUUCAGCAAUCUCAAUUCGUUUCCAUUUUUCCAUUCUUCAUAUUUUCCUAUUUUCCAUGUGUCAUCCAAUUUUCCAAUUUUCCAAUUUUUCAUUAUUUUUGCCUAUUUUUUCCUAUUCCCUAUUUUCCUAUUGUGCAAUUUCCCAAGUUUCCUUUUGUUGUAUUUCUAGUUUUCCAAUUUUUCAAUGUUCCCAUUUUCCCAUUAUGUAAUUUAAAAAAAGUUGCCUGCUUUGCCUAAUUCAGAAAGUAAUUAAAAUGGUCCAAUAUGGUAAUUGUCUUAUUUUCCAUUUCCACAAUUUCAAUUCGUUUCCAAUUUUCUUAUUUUCCAUGUGUCCCUAUUUCCUAUUUCCAUUUUUCAAAUUUUAAGUUUUUGUCCAAUUAUCCAAUUAUCUUUUUUCCAAUUGGACUAUUUUCUAAGUUUCCUUUUUUUCCUAUUUCCAAUUUUCCAAUUUUUCAAUUUGCUAACUUUCCUUUUGUUCUAUUUCCAAUUUUGCUAUUUUCCAAGUUGCCUUAUUUCCUAUUUUUCAAUUAUCCAGUUAUCCAAUAUUCCAAUUUUCCAAUUAUCCAAUUUUCAAUUUUCCAAUUUGCGAAUUUGCCUAUUUUCCAAGUGUCCUUUUUUCCUAUUUCCUAUUUCAAAUUUUCCAAUUUUCAUGUUUUCAGAGUUUCCUUUUUUUUUCCUAUUUUCCAAGUUUCCUUUUGUCCAAUUUCAAAUUUUCCAAUUUUCCAAGUUGCUUUAUUUUCCAAUUACCCAAAUUUCCUAUUUUCCAAGUGUCCUUUUUUCCUUUUUCCAAUUUUCCAAUUUUCCAAGUGUCAUGUAAUCCUAUUGCCUAGUUUCCUCUUUCCAAUUUUUCCUUUUUUCCUAUUUCCAAUUUUCAAUUUUCCAAAUUUCCCAAAUUUCCAACUUUCCAUUUUUUCGUAUUUCCGAUUUGCCAAUUUUCCUUUUGUUCUAUUUCCAAUUUUCCAAGUUUCCUUAUUUCCCAUUCUCCAAGUUUUCACUUUUCCUAUUUUUCAAUUUCGCUAUUUUCCAAUUUUCUGUUCUGAAAUUCGCAAUAAAUGCUUAGUUACACAGUCCUAUUUUGGGUUGAAAUCCACAAUUUUCAAUUUCCCAUUAAGGUUUGCUUUUUUGUCGUUUGGAAGCCAAUUUUAUUGUUGUUAAUGUAAUGUUGUACUGUUGUAAAUUACAGCCAAUGAGUUAAUGAUGUAGUUUGCAAUCCCAUCAAUUGAAUGCACCAACUAAAUACCCAAUAUACUUCAUAUAAGUUCGUACAUAUAACUCAACCUUCCUAUACAGAACUGCAACAGAGGCACCUUCUUAACGGGAAAGGUAAUUAGUCUUACUAAAACGCAAAUAUUCUCCACUACAGCUAACCAAUUGUCGUUUACAACUGGAGACUGAAUCUACCUUUAUUUGUUUUGUUGCAGGCAACAGCUGUGAAUUGUCCCCGGCAAUACUUAAAGAUGUCGGAUGUACGCCCUCCAAAUGAGCAUGUCACAGUUACCCGGGGGACCAGCCGUGGCAUGUGCCAUUCCCAUCUCCACCUCGGACUCCCAAUCAUGAUCCCACUUCAUCUGGAAGUGAGGCUGAGAGCAAUGAUCCGCUUGACAAAAUCUCUGCCGUCAAGCACCACCUCCAAUAUAUGUCAAAGGCAACGGAUUGGUGGGAGAGUAAGUGCGAUAUUCAUGGCCAAGUUAUGGGAAACUUGGCCAACAAGUUGAACAAAGCAUACGCUGGAGAGGUGAAGCAAACUCUAAAAGCAAAAAGUCGGAGCAAAGAGUUAGAGUCCUUGAAGUUGAAAUUGGAAGAGAGAAAGAAAAAUGCUGUCGAAAAAUUCACACAAUCUGAAGAAUAUAACCAUGAAAUGGUUGAAUGUUUCAACAACGGCUUUGAAAUGUUCCGAGAUUAUGCUUCGGUCAUCUCACCAGACUACAAUUGGAGUGAAAUUGAUGUAGCUGGUGUUUGGCAGGUGCUGAAUAUGGGUGCUGAGGGAAUGGCUCAUCAUAGCCUCGUGCAUGCAGCAAGGAGAAAGGACAAAGACUUGGAUCUUUUGAUGGACCUGUAGUAACAGUGAGUGCUGCUUCAGUUCAACUCACCUGAGUACAUGGAUCUUUUGUUGCCUUCAUUUUCCCUUCGCAGGCUAGUAUUGUUAAGGUUCGGUGGCGAUUUCUUUUGCAUGUGUAAAAUGUUGUCUGUAAUGUGUAUGUAUUGUAUGUAGAUUGACUUAAUAUUGUAGUUCUAUUGUAUGUAUAUUGCCUUAAUAUUGCCUUUGUAUAGCAUAGAUAGUGUAUGCAUAUUGCCACCGUAUUGGAUGUAUAUUGUAAAACUAUUGGUAUCGUAUUGCCCUUAUAUUGCUCUAAUAUUGCCUCUAUAGUGCACCUAUAUUGACCUAAUAUUGCUCUUAUAUCGUAUGUCAAUGGCAUGUGCUCUAAUAAGUCUCCAGUUCGUUGAAAGUAAUCCUGAAUUCAAAUAUGAUGGACAAGACAAUUGUUAUCCAUCCUUAUAUUACCAUGAAUUGAUUUGGACCUUUCAAAUGAUAGUUGGAGUUGCACAUGGAUUCAUAUUCAAAAGGAAAGUAAUUCUCUCCCUCAAUGAAUUGUCGUUCAAAAGAAGGCAGCUAUCAAAUUUUGGGUACAAAAAGGCAACAUCCACGGUAAAUUAAUUGGGCACAAACCACAUAUUACAAAACCAGGAUGAUUUUUGGCAUGCUUCAAAAGAGAAGGGCCAAAUACAACAGAAAAGAAAAUCCAUUCAAGCUUGUACAAUAGAAUGCACAAUAACCCUUUUACAUGUCCUUCCAACACCAGUGUUUUGCCUACUUUAGAGUCGCAGGAGGAGAGCUUAUUGCCAUUGUGCAAUUCGAGGGGGCAGUCAAUUUGGAAUGGUGGCAUAAACAUGUUUACUCCACGGAUCACCUAUAUGGGACAGAGCUUCCUUCUUCCCUUGUCGUCUGUAGGUUUCAACUUCACACUUUUUAUAUACAUGUAUGAGAACUUGUGGCUAUUUAUUUAUGGCCUUCUAACACUUGUUCUGCCAUUCCAAAGUGGGUUGGAGACUUUUUGAGUUGAAUGACUGGAAAGACUUCAGAUGACAGAAACUAGAGAGUUUGAAGAAAAAGGGUUACCAAGAACAGCAGUCAUGCCCACGACAUAAACUAAACAUGCUAUAAGCUCCACAGUAAUAUUUACUUCAUCUCCAUAAUCAGAAUAUUGGGAAAAAAAUACCACGGAGAAAUACGUGAAAUGAAAAACAACUCGGCAGUUACUGUGAGAUUGUGUACAUAAAACUUGGAACAACCAAACCAAUUAAAGCUAAGCCAUCUCAUACGUAUACCUACAUCAAAUAACAGUGUAUGGUCAUCUUGUUUAGAAUAUUGCAAUCAACACUUGGUUGAGACCGACCUGCAAAAACAACUGGGUUAAGUACAGAUGAAGCCAUUUAUGAAGGGCAGUUCCAGAAUUAAGACCUACGUUAAUUUGUAACUGCCACCGAAUCAGUUCAUAGUGCCAAAUGCAUCUACCAAGCACACAGAUAUGACCAGCCAAAAGAAAAAAAAGCAAAGUAAAAAAGAUAAAAGAGGCAUGCCAUAAAUGGGAACCUCAGCAGAAAUCAUCAGAUAUGCAUACAAGCAGAUUGAGUAACAUCUCACUAAGUAGAGGUCAUGUUGGUAAUCGCAUGUUGUGUUUGCACACAGACAUUUGGUUUUUGCAAACACAACAUGCAAUUGCAUUCCAUGAUGUGUGUGUUGUGUUUGCACACAGACAUUUGGUUUUUGCAAACACAACAUGCAAUUGCAUGAUGUGUGUGUUGUGUUUGCACACAGACAUAUGGUUUUUGCAAACACAACAUGCAAUUGCAUAUUGUGUGUGUUGUGUUUGCACACAGACAUAUGGUUUUUGCAAACACAACAUGCAAUUGCAUAUUGUGUGUGUUGUGUUUGCACACAGACAUUUGGUUUUUACACACACGAUAUGUAACAUUUAGUUUUACCCUUUUAUUCUUAUUUUCUUCGUUCAAACAUGGUGGUGAGAAAAGCACCAAACCAUCCCAUCAUAUAAAGCAAAACUCAUACAAUAUUUUAGAUGCAAAAGUUAUAUAUUUUAUAUAAAUGCAUCAUCCGCAUGGCUUGAAAUUACAAAUUCACGUUCACAUAUUACUUUUCACAAGCGCACAGACUAACAAUAAUAAUAAUCAACCAAGUAGUUGCGACAUUCAUCCUAUUACGUCCAUAUUGAUAAUGUCAGAAGUUUCAUCGAUAAGCCUCAUCAAACUACAAGUUUUUUAAUUUGAAUUAUGAAUUCAGAACUAAAAGCUCAUGAUAUGCAGAAAAUGACAUACAUUGUCCACAAUCGACUUUUCGAUAUAUUUCUGCUCUAGCAAUUUAUCGUCCAAAUUCUGGACUCUCUGUGUCAGGUGCUUCUUUGUGUUCUAUCCAGCAUAAGAAUAUUUAAUAGUGUGAUUUCAAUUGUUUAUACAAAUUCUAUAAGUAAUAUUGAUGAGUGCUGUAAAUCUAUUUGAUAUUGGGAACAAACAUGGUCCCACUAACAGAAACUCAAACAAAACAGGAAUUUUUUUUUAUUUUUUUUGGCAUAGACAGCCGAAAAGAAACUUACAGCAAUAGCCUCUGUCACGCUCUCCAGACGUUUAUGCAAUUUUGAAACAGCAGCAUUCAUACUACGCUUUGUCACAUACAGAAGAUCUGAGAAUUUUAGACCCUAACCAUUUGUGAAGAGCAAAUAUUAGAUUUGCUUAAAGAAGACAACAACUCACAGAACCAAUGGAUGAAAUAAUAUGAACAUAAAUAUAUCAUUUGGAUACCUUCCACCACAUGUAACCAUAACCCAAUGCCCCCAAGGUAGCUGUUGGCAUUAUUAGUGAUGUCAAACCUAUUAAAAAAAUCAAAAAAAAAAAUAUAACCAAGUAUAAAAUGUUUCUAUUGCAUUAUGAAAUACAUACGUGUAAGGAAUUAAUCGUUUUACAACUUAACCAAAAAGUCAAGGCAGGAGCAUGCAUUCAUUGAGUGGUUAUAAGCAAGAGGAAAAAGCACAAAGCAUGCUAAGAAUUCAUUUGAACACAGAAGAGAAAGUAAGCUACCUUGGAAUUUGGCUGUCAUUCCCCUUCAGGACGGCUCUCUGUAGUGACGAGUCUAGUUGUCGGACCUCAGCUGCCAGUCGGCGCACCUAAAACAAAGUAACACAGGAAAAUUGAUAUCCAUUACAAAAAACAAAAAUUGAACACGAGAAAGCAUCCUUCGACACUAAAUUUAUAGCAGUUUUUCCAAUACCUGUGAUGCGAUCGCAUAAAAGUCACCUUCUGAUUGUUCUCCGGUUCCAUUGAACAAAGGCUGCAAACAAAACAGAAAUAGACACAAAUCCAUCAAUUUUUUGAGCAACAAGACACAAGCUCCGAAAUAAAUAAACUAUCUAACUGAUCAAAACCCUAGUUUACCAAAUGCAUUACAAAAUUAAAAACUCAUACAAAAAUAACACCAAAUACAAAUGUUCUGCGAGUUCCACUAGCAAAGCAGAGUACAAAUCAUGAAAAUGGUACCUGAAGUUCACCGAUCAAUUCAGAUAAUUGACCAUUCUUACGCAGGAUGGUGCUCGUAUACCCUGUAGAAAGAGAACAAUCACUCAGAUCAAAUGUAGCUAAAUACACAAGGAAACUAAUCCAGUAUGCAAGAUGAAAGAGGAGUGAUUGGUACCUACUCCAGCGAAGAUCAGCAAACACAGUAUGAGGUUCCAAAUUCAAAUAACAACAUAAUGCUAAGCAGAGAAGUAGAAUUGCUGCCGAAAUUAUUUAAAACGAACUAAGUCAAAACUAAAUGGAGAAAUGUUAACAAAGUUGUAUGCUUCAGUAAGUCCAGUAACAGAUUCCCAAAACCACAGAGACAAAAUGUGAACAAUGGCUACAAAAGCAUCCAUAAAGAGCAACUAUGUUUAUAUAUGGAGGUGUACAAAAUAGUUAACCUUCAAAAUCGAAACAGUGUGUGUGCCAUGUAAGGCAAUUAGCCACUGCUUCUAGACUAUACAAUAUUACACCUCACAAUAAUAACUAAACCAACUAGCUCUAGCAAAAAGGCAGGAUGACCAUAUAAAGUACCCCCAGCAAAGCAUCUACGUCUGCAUCUUCAUAUCAAGGAGUUCCUGACAUAAGUAAUGAGCAAAGUGAAUUCCCAAGUCAUAAGUCCAGAAUGAGGUGAAUUCACGGACAUUAAAACAUUUACCUCAUAAAUAUGCCUCCCCCCUUAAACCCUCAAUUGCAAGCCUCAGCCGGUAAUAUUUGAUCUUCAAAGGGUCAACUUUAUCUACCGAAAUCCCAGCACUGAGAUGCUCGAUGAAUUUGACGGUCAUGAUUCCGCAAGACGUACUGUGAGACCAAUAAGUUGGGAAAUUAGAACUGCAGUUAUGUAAGAUUUGGAUAAACUGCACUAAAUUCACAAAGCUUACCCAUCUCGUUGUUGUGGCACAUCUGCAAUGCUGCAAACUGAGAAUGGCGUAAACGUCAACAUCUUCAGCCCCUUUUGCUUAACCUUUUCAACCUCAGAAUCUUCAUAAAAGUGCAUAUCGUACAGCACUCGUGCCAGCGUAUCGCUAAUAGGGUGCAGAAGUGUAACCAGCUUCGAACAUUUGGUAAAAGCAACAUAUGAGUCAUACACAGUUGCAGUAUGUCAGACGAAAUCAAUUUCGAUUGCAACCCAGUAAGACCCUUUAAGAUUAUAUGGAAUAUAGACCUUCCGGACUUUUGUCCAAGCUUGGCCAUACCCGUGUUGCCACGUACCGCGUACAAAGUAAUGUAUAUUCUGCAGCUUGCUGGGUGGAAGGUCAACGGUGUUUGAAGCAACUGCCUUCUUCGAUCCACGUUUCUUGGCAGUCGGUUUGAACGGAUCUAGAAAUUGCUGCAUAAAUUGAAAUGAAGGCAUAUUAGAAAAUCACAACCGAAAGCAAAUGAAGCAGCGAAUGUAACAUGGUAACAUGUUUACCUGCAAGCAACAAUCUGCUGUUGUCCAGUCAGUUCCAAAUACCAACGGAUGAGAGAGUUGCCUUUUCCAGAUAAGAAAGGUUGCCAUGUCCAGGUGCUGAAAGUUGACACACAUAAUAUCAGCACAAUUUCAUACAACUGUACACUUAAAAAAGGUGAGAAAACAAUUUAAUUAUCGCAAUAAAGUAGAGCUUUGUGUAUUCUUACCCUUGAGCUAAUCCAUUCCGUUUCAUCGAUAAGUCUGUAGAAAAAAUCAGCGCCCACUGAAAAUAAUUCCAGCUGCACCUCCGCACUACAAAAGGCAAACUUGCAAUGGUUACUUUUAUAGUCAUCUCAUAAUUCUGACUUUGUUGAUGACAAAAAUACACAUGUAUAUUAAAGCAAACUCUACGUUUUCUCAUUAGUCUAUGACUACAUACUAGAAUAGGAUGAAGAUUGGAAUUCAAAGGUAAAGAAUCCUAACCUGAUAUCGUUUUUCCAGGCAGUACAAAACUCUAUUACUGCCUUCACAUCUUCAAUGGGCACGGAUUUUGAUGGAUCAAAACAUGGCGGGGUUGCAGUCGCAGCCAACACACUCAUCGUCCUCUUCUUCCUCAAAGGAUCAGUAAAUGGGCUCAACAAUGUCUGCGCCGGGCGCUUCUGUCUGCACCCUUUACCUUCCACUUCUUUUUUUUCCACACUCGAACUACCUUCUUCAUCACCAGCCAUACUAACUGUGGGUAGACUUGGAGGAUUCAUCGGACCUCCCGAUGGCAUACUCUUAGUCACUUUCCAAUCUUCUAACAGAGACAACACUUUUUGGCAGAUUUCGUCACACCCGGCCACAUCUUCCGGGGUAGGCAGCUUCUCGGAUUGUGCCUGCUCAGCUGCUUCAUGCACUUGUAAGUGAGGAACUGAAGCGGCCAUUUCUGCCUCUUCGACUACCAUGGCUGCGGAAGGUUCGGCUCCAUCACCGGGAACUUGUGUUUCCAUUACCGCCGGUUCUGUAGGCGGACUAACAUGGUCAUGUAAUGGCGACAAGUGAUUGUCGCCUCCUUCAUUCAUAUGAGGACUACUGAGGUCCUCAUGUCCUUUCCCACCUUCAUUCACCCCACCAUUUCGUUUUUUCAGCUGCUCUAUCUCCACAUUAAAAUAAUGCUCCAUUAAAGCCAGGGUGUUGCGGAAAUCCUCCACACACUUUUUAUUUUUUUCGAACUCUCUUUCAACUUUCAAUGACUCCUUCCGUACCAUGUCUUCCAACUGAUGCACUCUGUUGCGAAGCGCUCGAUUUGAUAUGGCAACUUUGGCCAAUUCAUCCUUUGUCCUUUGAAAGUCACGCUUCAAAGUGCGUAACUCUCUGGACGCGACUGUACCCUGCAUUCAGUUAUAAUGCAAGUGUUACAAUAUUUUCAAAAUAUAUUGCAACAAUACAGCAGUUAUUUUCCUAUUGUAUUAUGACGUAUAUCUUGGAAAAAAAUGUAAUGCUUGCCUUAGAAGACGACGGAAGGCUAGCAGUUUCGUCAAUGUCCUUAUCUUUUUCUUCUACAGAGGCAGAAGUGCUGGUUUUUUGUUCAGCGUCAUCGCCAAACAACUGAACAAGUUCUUCAGUGUCGUCAACACUGUCACCCCAAGUCCAAUACGGCUGCUGCUUGUCGAUUACAGAUGGCCGGAGAAGUUGCACAUCAACCUGCAAUUUACACAUACAAUAUACAUAUCAGUAAACUUAUUAUAUUAUAUUUUCAUAUGCCUAACAUUAUCAUUAAAAACUUAACUAACCUCACGGUUCUCGAAUACUUGGCUCAUUAGCUCAUAAAAACACGGCGAACUAUUGCUCCUCCAAUGUAGUAAACGAGGGAUGUAGGCAUUAUCUUCGUGCACCACCAAAUGUAGUGCAGCCAACGCUGGAAAAACCUCAUAAGCCCAAAUCUGGUUUGAGGAAUAAAACGUGAGUCACUGUAAACAAAUGAAAUUUAACUUCAACAUGAAUGGAAAUUUGCUCACCUGAAGUGCAUAGGCAAAACCUUUGAGGUGGUACUCUCUUGGUCUACCAGUUGCCGUUGUUUUUGCUUUCUUUUCAGAUUUUUUUGUUUUUGCAGCUUUUUUGGGCACUUUCACUCGCUGGUAAUCUGUACAAAGUGCCCUCAGAAGUGACACAAUUGUCUUGGCAUAACACACAGCACCCCAUGGAUACUUCCCAAACUCUUCAAGGUCUUCCACCAACUUCAAAUAUCGCAUGUCAAUCUGGACAUGUUUUUCACUGCCCAACAGCACAAACACAGCAAAGUAUACAAAUCUGAGCUUCAAUACAUCGUCCGCAUCAACGCAUUUGAGGAAGGCCUUUUCUAAUUCCAAAACAUUGACAGUUUUAUAGUUGCCAAAGUACUUCCUUUUCAAUGAGCAGUUCUCAUUAGUGGGAAUCGGAAUAAAGGGAAGGUUUCCAAACCUUAGCCCUGUCACGAUGCAAAAUUGCUGCGCCGUGAAUUGGAUCACCUUAUUGCCAACGAUGAAUUUGAUCCCGUUGAGUUGGGAAACUGUCUUUGGAUCAGCUUUCCUCAGCAGCAAGCCGUGGACAAUUGGCGAAGUCCACUUGAGGUCCUCAAUCAGUAGGAGAUGCCCAAAACAACUCUCUUCAAACCUUUGUAGCUGUUGUUCACUGAAUUUCUCCUUUAUCGUGCUGAUUGCAGUCUUCGUAUGGGAUAGGGACAAUGCUUUUCCUUGGAACUUUUCUUCCUCUGCAAUCAUCAACUUCAUUUGAGCAACCAUCUUUCCCUGCAUGCCAAUAUUAUAAAAAAAAAUUCAGUCCGUUGCAAUCUAGACAAUAACAAGCAAUAAACAAUCAGCACUUAUCUACAGCCUAUUAUAGGAUAUUAAGUGAAAACAAAAAAACAAAAAAUACAGGGCAUAAACAAAACCCCAGCUAUUUACAACUGACCUACUAAUUCAAUAGCUCAAAGCCACAUCCCAAGACACCCAGUACUCUACCACUCUUGCAUAAUAUAAUAUCUAAAGACACAUCUCAACACACCAGAUAAUCAUGACACAGCUUCAGCUAGAAUGGGAAUGUGCGGUAGCACAAGCCUAAUUGAGAACAAUUCAAGACUAACGAUAGAAAUCUAUCUGACUAGAAAGAGUUUUAAAAAAACAAGAAGACAUCGGGAAAGAAUUGAUUGACUUCAAGGUAUAAUGUAAUGGAACAUCCUAUGAAUUAGUGGCAACCAUAAUAAUGACUCCACUAUGGCCCUCCUUUCAAAUGUAAGAAAAUGAAUGAAAUUGGCACCAUCCCUUCAGUUUUUUCUUAACAAAAUAAGAGAUUUGUAUGUAUUCUCUGCUUUAUCGAUAUCAAAGAUAAAUUAAUAAAUAAACCAUCAAAACUGUAUAAAAUGUUUGUUAGACAUGUACAAUUACAAAAUUAUAAGUUCUCCUCAGAAACAAAGUUCUCUAAGUACGCAAACAAGAAAAGCAAAAGCUUAAAGAGUUAGCUUAUAGCAAAAUCAAUGUCCCCAUUUCUCUAAACCACACCUGCUGGUGGUAGGUUCCCAUCUUCACUCAUUUCCCGCUUUCUUUUAAACAGACAAUGAUCAAGCACAAAAGAGCAAACUUUUAAAUAACUCAUAUUACACCACAAAUAGUUCUAAAGAAAACUUAUUCAUAUCCAAUAUGCAACCCCUAAAGUUAGUAAACAGAGUUAUAAAAAAAUAUGUCAAAUUAACAAGCAUUAUUCUCAAACAAAAAGUAUGAUAUGGUUGGGAGUUUACAAGUUCAAAAUGAUAUACACAGGUUAAUUGUCUUAGACUUUAGAUAUCAUCUUCAACAAAGAAAAUAGAUACCGAUUAGACUUGUAAGAAGGUUAAAUGCAAUGGUCAUAAAGACCCAUAGUAAGCCACCAAAUACCAAUCAAUAACUGCUAUAAAAACCAUAAUAAAACCAUAAUAAACUAAAAAUACAACAGCACUAAAAUGCCAACACAACAUCACUACAUUAGCAAUAUAGUAGCAACAAAACCACAAUACGACAUCAAUAGCAACAGCAAAACAACAGCAGUGCAAGCAUCAGUCCACAAAGAACAAACCCAUUCACUGUUUCAAACAAGGAAUCAUCAUACUAAGAUCAUUUCAGAGAAACCCCAAAACCAAUUUCAGUGAAACCCCUAAACCAAUUUCAGAGAAACCCCUAAACCAAUUUCAGAGAAACCCCUAAACCUUCAACCAAUUUCGAACAAAUCCCUGAACCAAUUUCAUAGAAAUGCAUAAACCCUAAACCAACUUCAAAGAAACCCUAAACUGUAAGAAAAUGACGAUGAACAGUACCUGUUCAAGGUGAACGAUGGAGUUGAGCUUCGAUGAACAAAUUUCGCUCGGAGAGGAAGAGAGAAGAGAGAGUCAGAGCUGAGCGACGAGAGAUUAAGGGCUGAGCGACGAGAGAGUGAGAGCUGAUCGACGAGAGAUGAGAGAGUGAGAGCAAAGUGACGACAGAGUGAAGAGAAAUUGAGAGAAGGAGCCAAGAGAGAGAGCUGAGAGAGAACUUCAGCAAAACUGAUAGAGAACUUCAGCAAAAGUGAUAUGUGUACAAUAAGGGGACAAUAAAUAUAUAUUUAUAGGUUAUAGUUCCAAAUUUUUUUAAAAAGAGUGGUAUUUUCAGUUACAAUUAUAAAAAUGGUGGCAUUUUGAGCUAUUUCCUUAUUUUUUAUUCAACAUGGACGCAGAAACUGUUGCUAAACUGCAAACUUCUUAAAAUAUUUGUCUCACUUUCUCAACCCUAUAUUUGUCUAACUUUCUAGAUCCAUGUACUGAGAUUUAUUAGGGAAAUAUUGUAGAAACUGAUUAUUUUGAAAUAUUAAAUGUGAAAAACUGAACAAAAAUUUGAUGGGUUACAUAUUUCAACUCAUUUCAGCAGCUUAGAUUUUGAAGACCUCGGAAGAGGCCAUGCAGUGAGCCUAGCUAGUGCACUGUUGAUCACUUCAGUGUCUACCGAUCUGUAAUUUUUCCAGAUUGGUUAUAUUUUCCUUUACAUAUUCUUAUAUUAUUCCCAGCUGUAAGUGUUUUACACACUUGUCUAUUAGAAAAGGGGAGACUUAUAAAUAAAUCCAAAAUGGGUACAGUAUUUAUAAAGAAUGACAAAAUUAAAGUGUUUGGGCAAUAAUGCCCUUAUUCAUUUUGAGAUUGCCUAAGGAAUAUUUUUUCUGAUUUUCAGAAGAUGCCAAAGGACCGUUGUUUGAUGAUUGCCGUAAGGAGCUAAGAAAACUUGCUUUGAUAGUUUUGGACAGAUGCAUGCUACUGUUGCUGGGAUGAUCUCUUCACGUGAAAUGAGGAUGAUGAUGCUUCUACACUACACAAUCCAACGAAUUCACAUGUCUAUUUCAGAUACAAGUAUAAACUAACAAGGCUUUAAAAUAUGGGCUGAUGCACUGUUGUUGAUGUUGCUGACACUGUUACUGUGUUGUUGAUACUGUCACUGCGUUGCUGUUGGAAAAAGCACAAGGACUUCACAUGUUGCUUUCGUCUUUUGUGGAGGAGAGAGACCUAGGACUUGCAUGUCUUAGAUAUUUAAGAUAAGGGGCUUUCGUUCCAUUUUGAAAAUACUUUGGGUGUUUUUGAAAGGUGAUUGUUUCUUUUGGGUUUCUCACUAAAUUUCGCUUUAGAAGGGAAAAUAAUAAUAAUAAUGUCAAACAAAGUAGGGUAAAUAUUCAGAUAUGCUCAUAUUAUUAUUCUUCUCCAAUAUUGAGGUAUUUAUACAAGUACAAAGAUGUGUUAACCCUAAAUAAAAUAGGAAAUAUAUCUAAAUUAUAAUAGGCAGUAAAUCUCUAUUACAAUAGGACUAAAUAAUAAUUGGUAAGUAACCAAAAUUCUAAUGAAAUAAGGAAUCAAAAUCCUAACUAAGUAAGGACUCGCCAACACUCCCCCUCAAGUUAGGGCAAACAUAUUUCGCAUGCCUAACUUGACAAGCGAGUCAUAGAACACCAUACUUGAGAAGCACCAAUUGUAGAGAAGGUCUUUUCGUCAACCACGAGUGAAACAAGUGACAAACUAAAGCAAAGUUCGCAGCGGAAACACAAGAGCGAAUCCUAAAAAAUAGGGCACAUAGCAGAACACAAAAAUCCUGGAGCACGACAGUAGAUAAGGCAGAACACAGAAACCCUGUUAGCACGGCAAUAGGUAAGGCAGAAAAAGUCAAGAGCAAAGGCAAGGUCAACAGGCGUGACCACAACGAAAACACACCAGCAAAGACAUGAGCAACAAUAUUAGCACCAUAAUAGACAUGAGCAACAAUACUGGUACCAACAACAGCAAUACAAGGCACUGGCACCAGCAAGAGCAACAAGGCAUGGACAUAACAUGCAUAAUCAAUAGUAAUCAACAUUGUCCCCAACAAGAGUCAUAAUAGGCAUGAGCAAUAACAUUGUCCCCACUAAGAGACUUAACAGGUAUGAGUAACAGUACUGGCACCAGCAAAGGGCAUAGUAGUCAGCAGCAAUAACAAUGACAAAUACUUCUAUUAUUGCAGAGACAACUUCUCUUCACUCCCCAUCUCCCCUUGAAGAGAAGGGGUCAUCGGAACCAUAAGAAAAGUGGCACUUAAGAAACAGAAGUUGACUGACGCUCAAAUGUAGAAGAAUCAGCCAUGGCAAAUAGGUAGCUGAAUUGCAGCGGAAUAGAUGAGCAGCGGUGUCACUCCCCCUCAUAUCUGAUAAUGUAUGAGAGUCGAGAUUUGGAGAAAGCAAUAUCGAAAAAUAAAGUUGCAGAACCCAAAUAAAGUUGCAUCUAUCUCCCCAUCAAAUCCGACACUGGUAAAGGGUCGAGAUUUGAAAGAGGAGAAAUUGAAAUAAUAGUAAAGAGACUCAAACAUGCAGUCUCAUGGCAGAAACAAAUGCAAGAGGGGAAGAUGGUAGCAUACGGUUGUCCCAUGAAGAAAAAACUUCAGAAAAGGAGAAUAGUAAGGGAGGAAACCUAGCAAAUCAUGAACAGAGACAAAGACAAAGAUGCUCAAACUGAGAAGCGGAAAGGCAACUCAAGAGAGCAACCGAAGAAGACAGAGGCCCGCAGAACAGUCAAAGUUAAGGCUCGGCGAGUGGUGACGAUGCUCGCGGAGGAAAGCAACGGCUCGGUGAGCGGUGAUGAGGCUCACGGAGUAAAGAGACUUGUUAUGAAGUUUCAAAGAUAGAGAAGCUGAGACAUCAAGAAAGACCAUCUGGCAUACAAAGAUGAAAAAUAAAAAUUUUGGAACAGUAGCAAAGAAGCAUGUGAAGGCUGGUGCGGUGAAAACACAUAUGAAAGGAUGAACAAAAGAAGAUGACUAUACAAGAUGAAGACCCAUGAUGGGUUAGGAAUGAGGAGUGCCAACGACUCUCAAUUUGGCAGAGGUUAUCGCAGGUUAGGAACCUGGCUCUGAUACCAUGUCAAACAAAGUAGGGUAAAUAUUCAGUUAUGCUCAGAUAUGCUCAUAUUAUUAUUUUUCUCCAAUAUGGAGAUAAUUAUACAAGUACAAAGAUGUGUUAACCCUAAAUAAAAUAGAAAAUAUAUCUAAAUUACAAUUGGAAGUAAAUCUAUAUUACAAUAGGACUAAAUAAUAAUUGGUAAGUAACUAAAAUUCUAAUGAAAUAAGGAACCAAAAUCCUAACUAAGUUAGGACUCGCCAACAAAUAAUAGUACAACUCUUAUUAGCAACAGGUUACAAACUUCUUCUACAACACACCAACAUGAAUCUAGCCCUGAUCCACUCUUUUACAUACUUGAAAACAAAACAAAACACGAAAAACAAAAAACAAGAAACAAGAUAGGGAGAAAAUGGCUACGGAGAGACUUCCUGCUAAUCAGGGGCGGCCCUGGGGUGGUGCAAGUGGCGUCACCGCACAGGGCCCCCGAUUCUUAAGGGCCCCCAAAAAAUAAUUCUUUAUAUUAUAUAUAUAUAUAUUAAUAUUAUAUGAAUCGUAUAUAAAGUAUAGCGUCUGGAUGAUAAAGAGACUCAUUAUCAUUAUCUUAGUCAUAAGAUUCAAAAUGAAUUGAUACUUUUGUUAGCUUCUGAGCUCAAAAGUGCAAUCAUUAAAAAGAUUGAAGAAGCUAAAUAUUUUUCUGUGAUUCUUGAUUGUACUCCAGAUGCUAGAAACCAAGAACAAAUGAGUUUGAUAGUAAGAUGUGUGGAUGUCUCUACUAAUUCAAUAAAGGUUGAAGAAUUCUUUUUGGAAUUUUUGAUUGUGAAUGAUACAACAGGACAAGGACUUUUUGAAGAGUUGCAAACGGUGUUGCAAAAACUUAAGCUUGAUAUUGAUAAUGUGAGAGGACAAGGCUAUGACAAUGGAUCAAAUAUGAGUGGGAAAUAUCAAGGUGUCCAAAGAAAAUUUUUGGAUGUAAAUCCUAGAGCAUUGUACACACCUUGUGGUUGUCAUAGUCUUAAUUUAACACUUUGCGAUAUUGCAAACUCUUGUGGAAAAGCAAAAGAUUUUUUUGGAAUCAUACAACGUAUUUAUACAUUGUUUGCUAAUUCUACAAAGCGGUGGAAGAUAUUGAAAGAUAAUGUUAAACACUUAACUCUGAAAUCAUUGUCAGUUACACGUUGGGAAAGUCGUAUUGAAAGUGUGAGAGCAAUAAGAUUCCAAGCUGCAGAUUUAAGAGAAGCUUUACUUCAGUUAGCAGAAAGUGACGGUGACUCCAAAAUAACAAGUGAAGCUAAUUCUUUGGCAACAUAUGAACUUGGAAAUUUUGAGUUCUUAUUGGGCAUGGUUAUUUGGUAUGAUAUAUUAGGUGGUGUCAAUGUAGUGAGCAAAAACUUACAAUCUGAAGACAUGCUUAUUGAUGUUGCUAUUGAUAAAGUGAAAGGGUUGAUUACUUUUUUUUUGAAAAGUAUAGAGAAAAUGGGUUUACAGAAGCUAUGUGUACUGCUAAAAAAAUUGCUACUGACAUGGGAAUUGACCCGGUGUUUCCUGAGAAGCGAAAAAUUCGUAGAAAAAAACAUUUUGAUGAGAAUACUUGUGAGCUAUCCCAAUCAGUUCCUGAAUCAACUGAAGAAAAGUUUAGAAUUGAUUAUUUCUUGUAUUUAGUGGACCAAGCUAUUGGUUCUUUACGAAGAAGGUUUCGACAAUAUCAAGAGUAUGAGAAUUUUUGGGUUUUUGUUUACUUCAGAGAAGUUAAAUUCAUUGGAUGAUUGCGAUUUGAAGAAUAGUUGCAGUCAUCUGGAAAGCAUUUUGAAAAAUGACAAGUUUUCUGAUGUCGAUGGGGAGGAUUUAUUUGUUGAGUUGAAAGUUUUACAAGAGCUUUUACCAAAAGUAAAUACCACAGCUACUGCAAUAUUAAAUUUCUUGAAAAGAUUAAAUUGUUUUCCAAAUGCAUUCAUUGCAUAUAGAAUCCUAUUGACUAUUCCUGUUACUGUUGCAUCUGCGGAAAGAAGUUUUUCAAAAUUAAAAUUGUUAAAAUCAUACUUGAGAUCAACUAUGUCGCAAGAAAGAUUAAAUGGACUAGCUUUGAUUUCAAUUGAAAGUGAACUUCUUGAAAAACUUGAUUAUGAACAUUUGAUUGAUGAUUUCUCUUCUAAAAAUUCAAGAAGAUCAAUUUUCAGACAUUAGUAUUGUACUAGCUGUGUUUUUUUUUUUCUUCUAGGGUAAAAGCUCUCAUAAUAAUUUUAAUUCUUCAAAUAAGACAGCAAAUACAAUGUGAUGAAUUUUGGAUAAUCAGGUAUGUUUUUGUUGUUGCUUUUGUGUUUAAUGCAAUAUAAUCUAAUUUUUUUAAUGACAUUUGUGUGCAACUACUCUUUGAUUUGUGAUUGCCAAUUUUUUUUUCUUUCUAUUAAACACAGAUUGCUUAUUGGAGGCAGCAAGAGACCUUAUAGGGGCACAAGGAGCUUAUUUUUGUACAAAACAUUUAACUUUAUCAAAUGGAAACAUUUAAAUUUUUAUGAAUUUGAUUUCUGAUUGUCAUUGCAUAUUUAUUGAUGGUGAAUUUUAGUUAUAAAAAAAAAAUUGUUUAUGACAUUAAGUUAUGGCAAAUUUUUAUAGUAUUUUCGUAUUAGAUUAUGCGAGGUCCCAAUUUAAGUUUCGCACAGGGCCCUCAAAAUCUCAGGAACGGCCCUGCUGCUAAUACUUGAUCAAUAACAGAGAUAAUAGAGCACACUGUUUGUAUGACAAUGAGUAUCAGAAGAAUAAUAGCUGCAAAGAGAGAAAUAGCUGCCCAAGGUGUGUUGAAAUACUUUUGUCUCAAAUUUGCCUUCCGUCUGUUCGUGGUCUUCUUGCAGUACUCGUUUAGUUUGCCAGCAAGAUCACCAAAAUAGUAGUUUCCGUGGUUCGGAGCAACUUUACUGCAAAGCUUGUUAAUCAUAAUGGAAACCUUAUUGUUGUCACCUAGCGUGUUUACAACAAUUCCAUUGUCAACAAGCAACUCUACAUCCUUUGGGGUGUUUACAAAUUUAUCCAGGAUGAAAACAUAAUCGCUUAUGUAUUUAUCCACGCAAUGGCCUUGUUCAAAGGCAAUGAGAUUUCUAUGUGUAAGCUGUGUAAUCAUGUAUUUCAAUUUUUGGAAUUUCCAAGGUGUUUUUCUUGAACUGUAUAUCGAAUAAGUUCUUGCUUGAUCCCACGUUAAACUUAACUCCGGCCUGGUGUAGUUUUGUCAUGCUGGGUGUACUUUGGAGCCCUCCAUUUUUUUUUCUUUUGGCAGAUGUAAAGUUCUAAUAAAAUCAACAAAAUGUAAAGGUUUUUUAGGAUCAGGAGGCAUAAAAGACUUACGGAAGGCUGGUGAGUUCUCCAAGUUUUCUAAACGCAGUGCCUGUUGGAAGAACUUGUAAGAGAGUUCAAUUAUUGAAGGCUCCCCAGUCUGAGCACCUGUGAGAUUGUAAAGAUCCUCGAGAAUGAAAAAUGGCAGCUGAUUUACGAGCAUAAGCAUGUCAGGCAAUAUAUUUUGUAGCACCCAUGGUUUUUUAAAUAUCCAAGCAUCAUCAUCCUGCAAUUUUUCUUCCUGAAAUUUUUCUUCGGAUUUAUUCCUCAACAAUAGCUCAAUGACAAAGGCGGCAUCAACUAGAAUGAUAUUCACAAAAGUAGCAAUGUUAAACUUCUUAGGGCUAGUUUGGCGGCGUUGUGCUUUUAAAAAAAUAUGCUUCUGCUGUGCUGUGAAAAUAAUUAGCUGUGAAAAAAAGCUACUAGGCGUUUGGUAAACUGUUUUUGAAAAACUGCUGUGAGUAGUCAAAGUGUUUGGUAAAUUUUUAUCAGAAGUACUUUUAGUGUGUAUAAUGACCAAAAAGGACAUGAUGAUGAAAUUGUUUGUUAUUUUCUUCAUUCUUUUUCUACUUUAAAAAAAAAAAAAACCCAAUUUCACUACAUAAAUUUUUAUUCUUUUUUAAUUCACACCUUUUUAUCAAAAAAUUUAAUCUACAAUUAACAUACAUAUUUUACCAUAAAUUAUAAAUUACUAUUAUAACAAAAGUAAUUCUAAAUAUUGUUAUAUUAAUAUGGGCUUCGGACAUGACAAAAAUACAAAAAUUGUUCAAUUUUAAAAUGCCCCAAUAGAUCACUACAAUAUAAAAGAAGCUAAUUAGAUGCAUUCAUUAAACUUGUAGCGAUGCUAUUUCUUAAUGCAUUCAUUAGCUUCUUUUUUUGGUUUCCAAUGGUUCUCUAACAAUUUUAACUAAAAAAACAACCAUAAUGCUUUGUGAACAAUAAAUUCAAGUCCAAAUCUGCUAUUGCCCACACCAUACAUAUAUACAUAAUUGUUCCUUUCAUAAAACUUGAAGAUUCAAUAGUAAUUACACAGUUUACCAAUCUUGAUUCCAACUAUAUCCAUAAAAUUAAACUAUAAUUAGAAAUAGAGGAGCUACAUGUGAUUACUCAUAAAUGCUUCCCACUCUCAUCAUCAUCAUCAUCAUCAUCUUCCUCCUCUGUACUUUGCCUUUCACAAAUGGACAAGACCAGAUGGUAACGUACACGACAUGGUCCACAUAUAGAUAAAUUUUGGGUUCACUGGAGAACAUAAAAGAGUUUUUACACGAAUACAAAGUUAGUUAAGUAGUGAAUAAAGUAAAACUAUUCUGUACAAUUCUAGCUGAUGCAGUCCAAAAAGAAUAUAUGUCUAAUAACUUAAAUAACAAUAAAGAGAAACAAAAGCCUCAUGAAAAAUGCUAGAGUAAAAGUUACAUAACUGAAUCGAUGGACAGAGAACUCCACAGGCAGAGAAACAGCAACAAAAAUUGUCAAAACAGUAGCAAGACCAUGUUGGAGUCAAGGCCAAAGAUCAUAUUUCCUGUGUAUCUUCUUCCAUUCUGAAUUAUUCUCGUAUUCAAAUACUGUAACUCUAUUUCAAGUGCACCCCAAAAUACUUAUCUAAGGCCAGUACAUAGGACUUCAUAAAGGGUGCGAUAAAAAAUAUUGCCCCUUAAUUGAUAAACAGAACCAAGAUCCCAACAGCACACCAAAACUAUACCAACCACACCUACAUAAUAUGGACAGAAAAUCCUGUUGUUCCGAUCUCUAACCACACCAAUGACAUUCAUUAGGAAAAUACAAAAGAUGGGUACCCUGCAUUUCUAACAUUUAAGAUAAAAUUCACUGCCAGCUAAUCACAAAUUUGAAAAGAUGGCAAGAAAAUUGGCUAAGCUUUAACAAAAACCAGAGCAGUCCUUGCAUAGACCUGACUUUUUGCUCCAAGCUUUAGCAGAUCACUUACUGGUAGAGAGCAGAGAACAUGUAUGUGAAUAUCUGAAGUUGGAAGGGUAAGCCAUCACAAACACCAAGAGAUCUGAUUCUCAUCUCUUGUUACAACAACAAAUCACAAACACCAAUACAUCUGAUUCAGAAUCUCAUAAACAAUGGAGGAACAAACACAUAUUCACACACAUAUAAAUCCCUAAACAGAAAAAAUAAAAAAUAAAAAAAAAACCAUGAAAGUCAUAGGAGAAUCAAAUUGAUUUGGGCCAAAAUUGCCUAAAAAGAAAACACUCCUAAAUAAACUUCAAUUCACUUUUAAAAACAGUAAAACAUGAUUGAAUCAUUCUUUAAAACAAUUCCCUAAUAUACAUGCAUGAUAAUGACAUCAUUUACCCCUGAAUCAAAUGCCUUUCACUGGUCAAGCCACAAGUCUGUGUUUUGGGAAUUGCUGAGCUGCAUCAAUCCUGCCAAUGUAAAUUCUGCCCCUAGGCUCUCUCAAAGUGCGUUUACAACCUAUGCUAACAUAUACUAGAGUUUGUUUUAGUAUCUAGAAAAUGCCAACACUAAUUUCGUAACACGUAGAAAUUGUUACAUAUUGGAAGUUUUUAUCAUUUUUUCUUCCAGUCUCUCCACCACUCACUAAUACAGAUUACUCAUGUGAUGAGUUUACAAAACAUAUUUCUCUACUCCCACAAAGACCAUACUUUUUCUCAAAAGACUAUAUCACUUUAUCUCUAUCUUUGUGAAAUGUAAAAAGUUGAAACUUUAAUGUCAAACCUCGACAAAAGAUGAACAUCCAUCAUCAAUUACAUUGAAUUUGAAUUUGUUGAACUUAAGUAGUUUUACUUCUCUGUCAGCGUUUGAUGACUUGAUUUGUUAUUUACUUCUUCUUUUUUCCUUGGAAAUGUGUUCCAUCAACGUGAGGAAGAAAAAUAUGCACAAAUUAAUAUAUUUAAUAGAAGCAAAAAUUAAUAUUUACAAAAAUAUGCACAAAUCAAGUAAAAUUAAUAAAGCAUAAAUUGGAAAGGGAAAAUAUGUAGAGGAUGCAUUGUAGGAUUGCUCAUGCCAAUAAUUGUACCCUCUAAAUAUAUAGGGACAUAUUUUUUUUUGUUUUCAUGACAUGUGGUCCUAAAAUUAUUGUUCUUAGCGGGCUCUCCACCCCUCUCGACUGAAAACCUAUUGUGUAAAUCUUCAAUCCUGAAUGAUGCACCUAAAACUCAUGUUGCAAUACACAUCCACCCAUUCUCAGGCCAAUUAUUACUCCUAGUGGGCUCUCCACCCCCUCUCAAAUUUAAGUGGUCCAUUAUUAUUAACCGUAUAUUUUAUGGACCAGCCAGCUGUGAGGUUUUAUCUCAAAAACCUUUCUCCCACAUGCCACAAUUUAUGUCUGAUACAUCACAUCAUGCCAGUUGUCUCAAAUGAAUUUAAGUGAGUGAGGCAGUGUUACUUCUGGGUACCCCUCAUUAUUCGUCUAUAAAUUGGUGAAGCCAGUUGCUACUGUUACCAUAAGAGCCAGCUCCGACUUUCAAAAUAAAAAUUCCAACAACGGUCUUAGUGCCUUCAAUUGUAUGAGUCAUUGAACAUGCAAAUGAAUAAAAUAUGAAUGAUAAAAGUGUUUGAUAAAUCACCAAGUUAUAGAACACUUGAUGAUUUAUCUCAAAUAAAAAUUCAGCUUUCUAAAGUUUGUGAAUUGAAAAUAUAAUCGUUAAAGCUCUCUAAACAAAGAAGACGAAAGUCUUAUUUUAUAGAAUUUUUCUUUACAAGAAAGAAAACAUGUUGAAAACCAAAUCUCCAAUUUCCAAGGCUUGACAGAAAAUCAAAAAAAUAUCUUUCCUAUUCUAGAGAUUGGUCACAUGUAGUUCAACCAAUAGGAAAUGAGAUAUUUAAGAAAGCAAGAUUUUGAUCAAUACCAAUAUCAAAUGAAUUCUUAUACGCCUAGUCAACUAUUAAGGGUAUCUUGACUCCUUGAUAUUGUGAUAUGAUUGAAACAUGAUUUCCAUGUUAGAAAAUUAAGGGGAUGUUAAAACAUGAAAGUAAUAGGAGAAUCAAAUUGAUUUGGACUAAAAUUGCCUAAAAAGAAAACACUCUUAAAUAAACUUCAAUUCACUUUUAAAAACAGUAAAACAUGAUUGAAUCAUUUUUUAAAACAAUUCCCUAAUAUACAUGCAUGAUAAUGACAUCACUUACCCCUAAAUCAAAUUGUCACGCCCCGGACCUGGGGGUCAGUGGAAACCCCACGUUCGGUGCGUGAGAAAAUAAAAAGUAAAAUAAAAUAAAAAGAAUGCCGAAACAAGGGUUUAAAAUAAACUUCUCUUAUAAAAAUAACUCCAAAAUCUUACAACUUUACAAGAAAUAAAUAAAGCCCUAUCAUUCUUAUCUAAUUCAGCCUCAACUGGUUUAGUCCUUGUCUUGCCCACUAAUUCAUCUAAAAAAUGAAGAGUGUUGCUAAACGAACCCUAAAAUUAAUUGAGUACACCCUACUACCAAACGAUUUAUUGAAUUUGUCACAUCUCGGGAUCAACUCCGCCGUAGCACGAUAUUGUUCGCUUUGGGCCCUCCCUCUCUGGCUCGCAUGGUUUUGUUUCUGGGAACUCACGAGUAACUUCCCAGUGGGUCACCAAUCCUGGGAUUGCUCUAGCCCACAACUCGCUUAACUUCGGAGUUCCUACGACUCCGAAGCCUGUGAGCUCCCAAAAGGUCUCGUGCUAGAUGGAUGCGGGUGUGCACAUAUAAGGCACAUCACCCCCUCUCCGUUGGUUGAUGUGGGAUCUUAUAGAAUUACUAAUUUAUCCUAAUAUAAAAUGACCAAAGAAGAUAAAAUAAUAUUGGUAUCUAUUGCUUUGAAUCCAUGCCUUCAAACAAAUUGACUUAAUUUUUAACAAACAACACGGAGUCCAGGAGAAGUGUAUUGAUCCAAGUUGAUUUUUGUAUGCGUAAAACUUAAACAAUCAAUAACACAAAGCAGUUCAUGCUGAAAUAUUGGAAACCCACACCCAAAGAGUUCUCCGCUGCGAGGUUGAAGGCAGGAGAGAUGGGUGACAGAUUUUACUUCCACUGCGAAGUUGGAGGCUAGGAGAGUCUGUGACUGCCAUGGUUGAGGGAGAAGAUGCGUUCAAAAUGCCUAUUGAUAUUUUACAUUAUUGGCUUUUUUCAAAAGUGAAAGUUUUUUUAUGGGUAAAACCUAAAUUUACUUUUUCUAUACAAGUUAACAGUGUUUGUGUAUUGUGAAAAGGUGGAGAGACGUGUCAAAAUUUUAGACAAAGGACAGGAGGAGAUAGGGAAUUUGGGGACAGCAGAUCUCAACUCCCUUGAGACCCUAUUCUCUACGCCACCCCUCCCCCUCAACAACCCUAGUCACCAUUUCUCCUUCAACUCCAACGGCAACUCAUUAAAACCCAAUUCUCAAAUGCAACAAUCUAAUCCCAAUCCCAAUUCAGAUGUUUCUAAAAAACCCAUUGUCGUGGUGGAGAACUGCAAUUCCAGGUGGUGGUGGUGGUACCACAUGGGAGAGAGAAAAAAGAAGAAGAAGAAGCAGGAGAGAGAGAGUUUUUUAUUUUAUUAUUAUUUUACUGUAAUUUUUUAAUUUAAAUAAUUAAAAAAAUUAAAAGUUAAAGAGGAUGUACCAUGGGUAUUUUUGGUAGUUAAAUAAGGUGUACUUAGGGUCAGUUUGGCAUUGCUGUGCUGUGAAAAUAAUAGCUGUCAGAUUUGCUGUGAGAGAAAUCAGCUGUGAGAGAAAUCAGUUUGGCGUUUGAUAAAAUUUUUGUUAAAAGUGUGUUGAUAUUGAUUUUAUGCUUAAUCCGAAAAUGAUUGCUGCAUAAUCAUUAAACCCAGCGCCUCUUCGAAACUGAUUCCUAUAUAAUCAGAAAAUGAAAGCACCUCAUUAGCUGCUUUCCUUUAUAGCUUUCUCUCACAGCAAUUUUUAACAAUAAGUGAUUUUCUCACAGUUUACCAAACGGGUUGGGCUUCUCAAAAUUUUUUAAAAAUCACUUAUUACCCCAAAUAAGCAAUACCAAACGGGCACUUAGUUAAUUUUACAUUUUAAUUUAAACAUUAGGGUGUACUCAGUUAAUUUUAGGGUUCGUUCAGCAGCACUCAAAAUUAAACAAGGUGAGGGAUGAGCAAGUAGGGACAUGAGACAUUGCCACAGUAGAUUGAUAUAACUAAAUAUUAUUAUAAACAUAGAAAUAUAUAAGUAUUAUUAUAAUAGGAUUCAUAAUAAUUAAUAUAAAAGUAUAACAACAAUAUUUACAUUUAUGUACCAAGAUAAUUACACAUAUAAAUAUAACCAAUAUAUAUUUUUAUAUAUUUUAAAAUAUAAGUCUUUACGUAAAUGCCUUUCACGGGUCAAGCCACAAGUCUGUGUUUUGGGGAUUGCUGAGCUGCAUCAAUCCUGCCAAUGUCAAUUCUGCCCCUGAGCUCUCUCAAAGCACGUUUAAAACCUAUGCUAACAUAUACUAGAGUUUAUGCUGUAUCUAGAAAAUGCCAACACUAAUUUCGUAACACGUAGAAAUUGUUAGAGAUUGGAAGUUUUUAUCAUUUUUUCUUCCAGUCUCUCCACUACUUAUUAAUACAGAUUACUCAUGUGAUGAGUUUACAAAACCUAUUUCUCUACUCUCGCAAAGACUAAACUUCUUCUCAAAAGACUAGAUCACUUUACCUCUAUCUCUGUGAAAUGUAAAAAGUUGAAACUUUAAUGUCAAACCUCGACAAAGUGUUCUACUUUACAAACUUCUUGUGUCUACCAAUUUGUACUAAAAUUAAUUUCUCUACAGUGCUCAGAUUCAUCAUAUGUGUGUCCUUAAUUUUAGUGGAAAUUGGAAGUUUCCAUAAUUUUUGCUUUAAGUCACUCUUCUGAAGGAAGUUGAGGUUCCACUUCAUAAUCCAAAAUGUCAGGUUGACUUAUGGCAAACAAUGUAAAUAUGUAGGAGUACUAUGACCUUUUAUAGCAUUUUUAGUUUGAAUUUGGGUUUUAUACAUAGAUUUCAAAAUUAAUAGGUUGAUGCCUAGGAAAUAGAAAUUGUAAGGGCCUAUAUUAGAGUAGCCCUCUUAAAAAUAAUAUUAAUUAAUGAAUAUUUGUUCUUCUUGUUGUUUUGAAGUAGUGGUGGGAGGCAGACCAACAAAAAAAAAAUAUAGUGAAGGCUUAUAAGAGCAUUUACAAUCAUGCUCCCUAUUUUUUAGUUAAAAUUUAGCUAAAAAUAGAAAAAAAGUUAUUAUAGGAGCUCUUUAUAAAGCUCCUUUAUAAAAUUUGAACUCCAAUCAUACUCCCUAGUUUAGGGAGUCAAAAAUACUAUAGUUAUUUUUUAAUUCAAUUUGAUUUUGGUUAAUCUCUAUAAAUAUGAAAAAAUAGUUAGCAUUAAUUAAAAGUUUAAACUAUGCAUAAAACAAAGAAACAUUAAAUUAUAGGGAGCCACUAUGAGUCAUUACUCUCUCCUCAGAUUUAGGAGCUCCUAAAGGUCUCCCUAUUUUAUGAGGUGGAUAAGGAGCAUGGUUGGAGUUGUAUUUCUUCAAUUUCCUCCCUAAAAUUUGUCUAAGGAUGUGGUUUAGGGAGCCCAUUGUGAAUGCUCUAACUCUGGUAAAACACGAGUGACAUGGACAACAUAUGUUACGUCGUACUGAAGAUUUUUGGGUUUCUUUAAUUGGUUAAGUAGCAUCCACACAGCUUCCUAAAUCAUCUCCUUAGACAAAUUUUAGGGAGGAAUUGGAAAAGUACAACUCCAACUAUGCUCCCUAUCCACCAACUAAAAUAGGGAGACUUCUAGGAGCUCCUAAAUCUGAUGAGAGAGAAAGGACUCUUAAUGACUCCCUAUAAUUUAAUGUUGCUUUAUAUUAUUUUGUAUACAGACGGGUCAAUUAUAUUAAAUUAAAAAAUAAUUAAAGUAUUUAUGACUCUCUAAACUAGUGAGCAUAAUUGUAGAUCAUCUUAUAUACCUUAAUUUGAAGAUUCUUUAUUUGGGUUUCUUUCAAGACUUAUCACCUUAGCCACGCCACCUACACGUCUGCAAGCUUUCCUAACAAGGAAGGGGAGGCUGCGCAAUACUUAUCACCUUAGCCACACUACACCAAAUUGACGUCUGCAAGCUUUCGUAAUCUAACAAGGAAGGGGAGGCUGCGCAAUACUUAUCACCUUAGCCACACCAACACCACAAGACCAAUAUGUGUAGUCCAGGAGGCUUUCCCAUUUUAAUAUAUAUUAUCAAAUAAAAUAAAAAUCAAUCUAUUAUCAUAUAUAUUAUAAAAUAAAGAUUAUUGCUCCAUCCUCCAUGCACUUGCAUGCCUCUUACAAAGUGUGAAGUAGAUUUUGUGUGCUCCAAGUCAUUGACGAGAGCUGUAACAUGGUUAGCUGGAUUUAUAAGAUCUUUUCUUUUCUGGGAAUUUUCUGAAUCAAGAAAAAUUAAGUAAAAUUAAUAAAGCAUAAAUUAGAAAGGAAAAAUAUCUAGAGGAUGCAUUGUAGGAUUGCACAUGCCAAUAAUUGUAUCCUCUAAAUAUAUAGGGACAUAUUUUUUUGUUUUCAUGACAUGUGGCCCUAAAAUUAUUGUUCCUAGCGGGCUCUCCACCCCCUCUCGAUUGAAAACUAAUUGUGUAAAUCUUCAAUCUUGAAUGAUGCACCUAAAACUCAAGUGUCCCAGGCCAAUUAUUGCUCUCAUACCACUUGUUGUAAUAAACAUCCAUCCAUUCUAAAGGAAAGAUAACCAUCGAUAUUAUCUCAAAUUUAACCACUUAAGUUCAUUAUGAUUAACUAUGUAUCUUAUGGACCAAUCCAAUCAUGAGGUUUUAUACCCAAUUAGAUCGACUAAUACAAAGUUCACACGUGGAUUGAAAAGCGCUAUCAGUAGGGGAGUGUUCGGCACCCUUUACUGCCGAACGCAACACAAGACCCCUUGCAUGCCUUCACUAAGUUGAGCCUAUCUAUUUUUUAGCAUUAACAAUAUAUAUAGAUUGAAAAAAUAAAAUAAAAAUCAAUCUAUUAUCAUAUAAAAUAAAUAUUAUUGCUCCAUCCUCCAUACACUUGCAUGCCCUCUUACAAAGUGUGAAGUAGAUUUUUUGUGCUCCAACUCAUUGACUAGGGCUGAAACAUGGUUAGUUGGAUUUAUAAGAUCUUUUCUUUUCUGGGAAUUUUCUGAAGCACGGAAAAUCAAAUAAAAUUAAUAAAGCAGAAACUGUACCCUUUAAUUAUAUAUGGACGUAUGUUUUUUUGUUUUCAAGUCUUAGAUGACAUGGGGACCUAAAAUUAUUGCUCCUAGUGGACUCUCGACCCCUCUCAAAUUUAAGUGGUCCAUUAUUAUUAACCACAUAUUUUAUGGACCAUGCAGCUGUGAGGUUUUAUCUCAAAAACCUUCGGUACAUUUCUCCCACAUGCCACAAUUGUAUAUUCACAAUUACGGCUGUUACGUCACAUCAUGCCACUUGCCUCACAUGCAACAAGUCUGUGUUUUGGGGAUUGCCGAGCUGCAUCAAUUCUGCCAAUGUCAAUUCUGCCCCUGGACUCUCUCAAAGCACAUUUAAAACCUAUGCGAACAUAUAUUAGAGUUUAUGAUGUAUGUAUCUAGAAAAUGCCAACACUAAUUUCGUAACAUGUAAAAAUUAUUAGAGAUUGGAAGUUUUUAUCAUUUUUUCUUCCAGUCUCUCCACCACUUAUUAAUACAGAUUACUCAUGUGAUGAGUUUACAAAACCUAUUUCUCUACUCUCGCAAAGACUAAACUUCUUCUCAAAAGACUAGAUCACUUUACCUCUAUCUCUGUGAAAUGUAAAAAGUUGAAACUUUAAUGUCAAACCUCGACAAAGUGUUCUACUUUACAAACUUCUUGUGUCUACCAAUUUGUACUAAAAUUAAUUUAUCUACGGUGCUCAGCUUCAUCGUAUGUGUGUCCUUAAUUUUAGUGGAAAUUGGAAGUUUCCAUAAUUUUUGCUUUAAGUCACUCUUCUGAAGGAAGUUGAGGUUCCACUCCAUAAUCCCAAAUGUCAGGUUGACUUAUGGCAAACAAUGUAAAUAUGUAGGAGUACUAUGACCUUUUAUAGCAUUUUUAGUUUGAAUUUGGGUUUUAUACAUAGAUUUCAAAAUUAAUAGGUUGAUGCCUAGGAAAUAGAAAUUGUAAGGGCCUAUAUUAGAGUAGCCCUCUUAAAAAUAAUAUUAAUUAAUGAAUAUUUGUUCUUCUUGUUGUUUUGAAGUAGUGGUGGGAGGCAGACCAACAAAAAAAAUAUAGUGAAGGCUUAUAAGAGCAUUUACAAUCAUGCUCCCUAUUUUUUAGUUAAAAUUUAGCUAAAAAUAGAAAAAAGUUAUUAUAGGAGCUCUUUAUAAAAUUUGAAUUCCAAUCGUACUCCCUAAUUUAGGGAGUCAUAAAUAUUAUAGUUAUUUUUUAAUUCAAUUUGAUUUUGGUUAAUCUCUAUAAAUAAAUAAAAAUAUGAAAAAAUAGUUAGCAUUAAUUAAAAGUUUAAACUAUGCAUAAAACAAAGAAACAUUAAAUUAUAGGGAGCCACUAUGCCAAUAAUUGUAUCCUCUAAAUAUAUAGGGACAUAUUUUUUUUGUUUUCAUGACAUGUGGCCCUAAAAUUAUUGUUCCUAGCGGGCUCUCCAACCCCUCUCGAUUGAAAACCAAUUGUGUAAAUCUUCAAUCUUGAAUGAUGCACCUAAAACUCAAGUGUCCCAGGCCAAUUAUUGCUCUCAUACCACGUGUUGUAAUAAACAUCCAUCCAUUCUAAAGGAAAGAUAACCAUCGAUAUUAUCUCAAAUUUAACCACUUAAGUUCAUUAUGAUUAACUAUGUAUCUUAUGAACCAAUCCAAUCGUGAGGUUUUAUACCCAAUUAGAUCGACCAAUACAAAGUUCACACGUGGAUUGAAAAGCACUAUCAAUAGGGGAGUGUUCGGCACCCUUUACUGCCGAGCGCAACACAAGAUCCCUUGCAUGCCCUCACUAAGUUGAGCCCAACUAUUUUUUAGCAUUAACAAUAUAUAUAGAUUGAAAAAAUAAAAUAAAAAUCAAUCUAUUAUCAUAUAUUUUAUAAAAUACAUAUUAUUGCUCCAUCCUCCAUACACUUGCAUGCCCUCUUACAAAGUGUGAAGUAGAUUUUUUGUGCUCCAACUCAUUGACUAGGGCUGAAACAUGGUUAGUUAGAUUUAUAAGAUCUUUUGUUUUUUGGGAAUUUUCUGAAGCAAGGAAAAUCAAAUAAAAUUAAUAAAGCAGAAACUGUACCCUUUAAUUAUAUAUGGACAUAUGUUUUUUUGUUUUUUUGCUCUCGACCCCUCUCAAAUUUAAGUGGUCCAUUAUUGUUAACCACAUAUUUUAUGGACCAUCCAGCUUCGGUACAUUUCAAAAAGCUUCGGUACAUUUCUCCCACAUGACACAAUUGUAUAUUCACAAUUACUUCUGGGUACCCCUCAUCAGUCGUCUAUAAAAUGGUGAAGCCAGUUGCUACUGUUACCAUAAGAGCCAGCUCCGACUUUCUUUAAUUUCUUGCUACAUCUGUUGCUAAGUUAAUUUCAGUCCUAAUGGGGUUUCAUCUCCCACUCAUCUUUGCUAUUCUCAGUGUAAGCUCUGCAAUUUGAUUAACUUUUCCAUUCUCUCUCAUUGUACUCUAUAUAUAUAAAUGAAAGUUUUGUGUUCCUAUAAUUCUCUCCGAUUUUAUUUAGUACGUACUUAAGUGUCGUCCACUAAUUAAUUACACUUUGUGAGAUUUGAUUUUAAUUAGAGUUCGAAUUAAUGUUGCAGCUAGCAGCGGUUGCACUGGCAAACAAUGCUGCUCAACCAGCACCUCAACUUUACUGGAACUCCGUCCUGCCAAACACACAGAUGCCAAGAUCUAUCAGUGAACUUCUGCAUCCUGGUUUGUGUUCAGCUCUUUAUAAUCUUAGAUAUCUCUUCUACCUGCCAUUUUACUAAAAUAUGUUCGACCACAUAUUUAUCAGCUAACUACUGUGAUUACAAGAAUGACACUUAUUUUCCAAUAUAAUUUGCAGACUCCACAAAUGAAGAAAAGAGCAAACCUGAAAUUUUCCCAUUGCAGGGCAAUAGAGUUUACACUCAAAGCCAUUAUAAAAAACGUCCUCCUCCUCCAUCUGACGAGGGCAAACCUGAAACUUUCCCAUUGGGCAAUAGCCAUUACACUCAAACCCGUUAUAAAAAACGUCCUCCUCCUCCAUCUGACGAGGGCAAACCUGAAAAUUUCCCAUUGGGCAAUAGCCAUUACACUCAAACCCGUUAUAAAAAACGUCCUCCUCCUCCAUCCGACGAGGGCAAACCUGAAAAUUUCCCAUUGGCCAAUAGCUUUUACACUCAAACCCGUUAUAAAAAACGUCCUCCUCCUCCAUCUGACGAGGGCAAACCUGAAAAUUUCCCAUUGGCCAAUAGCUUUUACACUCAAAGCCAUUAUAAAAAACGUCCUCCUCCUCCAUCUGACGAGGGCAAACCUGAAAAUUUCCCAUUGGCACGUUCUCCUCCAUCUGACAGUCAACUAAAGCAUUACAAAGACUUAGCUAUUUUCUUCUUCGAGAAGGACAUGCGCCCGGGCACAACUAUGAAGUUCCAAUUCCCUAGAAAUUCAAACACGGCUACUUUCCUGCCACGCGAAAGUGCUCAAUCGAUCCCCUUCUCCUCUAAGAAACUACCAGAAAUUUUCAACCAUUUUUCAGUGAAGCCAACAUCUGAGGAAGCCAAAACAAUUAAGCAAACAAUCGAAGAGUGUGAAGCUCCAGGCCUUAAGGGAGAGGAAAAAUAUUGCGCCACAUCUUUAGAAUCAAUGGUUGAUUUUAGCACUUCGAAGCUUGGAACAAGAAACGUUGAAGCAAUCUCAACGGAGGUAUUGGAAGAAGGAGCCACCAAGUACAUGCACAACUAUACAACAAUGCCGGGACUGAAGAAGUUGGAAGGUGACAAAGUCGUUGUGUGUCAUAAGGAGAACUAUCCCUAUGCUGUGUUUCUCUGCCAUGCAAUAAAACAAACAGAAGCUUAUGUUCUCUCCCUGAAAGCCGAUGAUGGGAUGAAGGUGAAAGCAGUAACCAUCUGCCAUCUAGACACAUCAGAAUGGGACCCAGAGCAUUUGUCCUUCCAAAUCCUCAACGUUAAGCCCGGAACCACUCCCAUCUGCCAUUUCCUUACCACUGAUGCUAUUGCCUGGGUUCCAAAACACAAAUCUGCAUGAUCAUCACUUAGCACUGUACGUGUAAUAAGCUUGGUCGGGUUGCACCCUAGGCCUGCAUAAUUAUCUCCCUACUUAUUUCUGCCUCUUCAUCAUGCGGUGUAAGAUAUAUGAUGAGAUGAAGUUUUCUCUUGUAACUAUGUAGACUACUUCAACUUGUACUCAUAAUAAAGCACGCUGUUGGGGGGUUCUACUUAAUUUCGUUCUCUCCAAUGUUUGAGUGUUGAAUUGUUACGUUGGAAUAGGCUGCUAAUGCAUGUAGUUAGAGAAGCCUUCAUUUAUAUCAAAGUCCUCAAACUAUCAAGAAUUAAUGUAUCCAGAAACAUAUACCAAGACGCAAAACAACAUAUUUUCCAUUCUCUGUCUGUAACACCAAAGCAAACUUCCUUUAUCACAUCAUUUAAAGGAUCAAAUUCCAGUACUAAUCUAAUCCAUCAUGUAAAGCAUACAAGUGCCUACCUAAAUUUGUCCAUUGGAUAUAUAUGUCACUUUUUAUUUUUUGAUAGAGAUAUAAAUGUUGAAAAAAUUAGAGUACACAACUCUUAUAGACACUACUACGAUUUACUAUUUGCGCGACGGAAGUUUGCGCGACGAACAUUGUUUCGUCGCGCAAAAAGCACUAUUGCGACGAAAAAAAAAUACCGUAGCGCAAACAACAUAACACAAGCGCGACAAACAGUUUCGUCGCGCAAACAAUCUAUGCGCGACCAAUAUUAAUUUCGUCGCGCAAAGGUAGGGGAAAAAAACCCGGUUUUUUUUUUUUGGCGCCAUAAUCUUGCGCGACAACAACAAUCGUCGCGCAUGACAAUAUUGCGCGACAAUUCAAAGAAUUCGUCAGGUAAAGAUGGACAGAAAAUUGUCUCAUUUUUUUGGCGGUAAAAAACUUUGCGCGACGAAAUUUUUCGUCUCAAAAGACAACUUAGCGCGACGGAAAUAUGUACCGUCGCGUAAAAAAACGAGGGAUACUUAUUUUUGGCGCCAAAAUGCAGGGUGGAUAAAAAAAAUUUUGCGCGACGGAAUUACCUUCGUCGCGUAAAGUGUAAUGCCGGUGCUUUCUUGCGCGACGAAAUAAAUAAUUUGCGCGACGUAAUUUAAACCUUGCGCGACGAAAAGUAUUAUUUGCGCGACGAAAUUUUGUGCGACGAAUAAUAUGUUUCGUCGCACAAAAAAGCAGAUGUCGACAGGUAAUUGCGCGACGGAAAUGUUGUUUUGUGCGAUGGAAAAGUGGGUUUUCGCGACGGCAUUUUGCGCGACGGAUAUUGGUGUUCGUCGCGCAAAGUCCUUCUUCUUCAUAUUAGUAUCUGCCAUUGCAGAGGCAGAAUGCAGAAAUUGCAUUCUGCCUCUCUCUCACUCUCCCUGCCGCUGCUCUGCUGUGAAUUCAAUACGUUCAUUGGGUAUGUAUUUUUUGUCGUUAGUUUAAAUGUAUUAAUGUAAAUUCGUAGUAACGCUAUUAAUUUUGUUAUCGUUAGGGAUAUUUGUGAUUAGUGAUUGGUGGAGAACGAUUGAGAAGGUAUGUUAUUGUAAAAGUUUGUUUGUUAUGUUUGUAAUUUUUUUGUGAAGUUAUAUGUAUAUAAUGUUGUGAAAUUGUGCGUGACAUAGCACAAUGUGUUGUGAUGUACGAAGUUAAUUGAAAUUAACUUCGUACUUUUAUUUUUAUGUUUAGUAACACGUAGUUUCCCGUUCGAGAUUAGUUGGAUUUCGUGCAUGGAUGAGUAAUGCAUGACUGCGGUCCAAUUAAUUCUUGAAUUGUCCCAUUAUUUGGACAGUUUGGUAAUGCAUAGUGUUGUCACAUAAUCUUCGGCUACAGGAUUAGGUUUCGAUUGUGGAGAUUUCGGUGUCAUCUCGGUACGUUCUUCGAGUGGUACGUAGGUAUUUAUACCUAUGCCCACUUCAAGAACUGUGUCGAGAUGCUGCCGAAAUUAAUCCACGUCGAAAUCUAAUCUCAUGUAGCCGUAGGUUACGUGACAGGACUAUGCAUUCCCGAAUGGGAUAGGGCCCUUACCGGAGGCAUAAGGUGACAUUAUAACUUCGUAUGAAGUUGUUGUGAUUGUUGUGUCGUGAUUGUGGUUUCAUGAAUUAUGAGCAGAAGGUGGAUACAUAACCCGAAUAGAUGCGCAGACGAAUACUUGGAUGGAAUCGAGGAUUUUAUUGAGUUUGCACAUAGACACAACCCGGGUGCAAGUAGAAUCCGUUGUCCUUGUAGGAGGUGUAACAACACGUUGUGGGAGACAAUUGAAAAUGUUGGAUUUCAUUUAGUAAGGAAUGGAAUGAUUGAAACAUAUAGCAUUUGGAACCUUCACGGCGAACAUGUAGGCCAUGCUUCGUCUUCAAAUGCCCCAAGAGUGGACAAUGUUGAACCUAUUGUGGAUCCUAAUGAUCAAGUCAUGGGUAUUAUACAGGAUGCUUUUCCAUUCGCAUCGACCAACAUCAAUCAGGAAGGGGAAGAUAACGUGCCUACACCAAUAGACAGUGCGGAGUUUGAACAGUAUGAAAAACUGUUAAAAAAUGCCAACCAAGAGUUAUACCCGGGGUACGAGAGCUUUUCCGUUCUCACUUCUAUUGUGGAGCUAAUGCACGGAAAAAUAAAGUAUCGUAUGUCGAACUUGUGUUUCGAUUACUUUUUGGGGGUUUUCAAGAGAAUGCUUCCGACGGAUAAUUAUUUGCCGAAAGACCAGAAACAUGCACAGAAGGUGUUGCAUGGUCUUGGAUUGGGUUAUGAAAAAAUCCACGCUUGCAAAAACAAUUGCAUGUUAUUCUACAAAGAGCAUGAAACGUUGGAUACAUGCCCUAUAUGCAAUGAGUCGAGGUUCAAAAUGACAUCCCAGAAUAGAACGACUAAGAUACCACAAAAAGUCAUGCGUUAUCUGCCCCUUAAACCUGGGUUGCAGCGAUUGUAUAUGUCGACGCAUACUGCCACAGACAUGAGAUGGCAUAAGGAAAAACGGGUAGACGAUGAUGUGAUGCGGCAUCCUGCAGAUGGGGAGGCAUGGAAAGAGUUCGAUCGAACGUUCCCCGAGUUUGCUGCUGAUCCCCGAAAUGUAAGAUUGGGACUUGCCACUGACGGAUUCAAUCCGUAUGGGGUUCUAAACCAACACCACAGCACUUGGCCGAUUUUCGCAUUCCCAUAUAAUUUGCCGCCUUGGAAAUGCAUGAAAAAAGAAUACAUGAUGAUGACUGUUUUGAUAACUGAGGAUCCUGGCAGGUCAAUUGAUGUGUACUUAAGGCCUCUGGUUGAUGAGCUGAAAGAUUUAUGGACAAACGGUGUUCGCACGUACGAUAAAUCAACUGGGAGGAUGUUCACUUUGCGAGCAGCAAUUAUGUGGACUGUGAAUGAUUUUCCAGCAUAUGCAAUGGUUUCUGGGUGGAGCACAAAAGGUUAUAUGGCAUGUCAUGUAUGCAAGGAAGAUGUAACUUCUGGUUGGCACGCGGGAAAAGUUUGUUACCUUGGUCAUCGGAGAUGGUUGCCAUGGGACCACGAGUGGCGAGAAAAAGAUAAAGAGUUCAACGGGAACACAGAGCGUCGCCUCAGACCUGGAGAAUGGUCCGGUGAUGAGAUCUUGGAACAGCUGAACCGUUUGGAUUUUGGUCCGUUCGGAAAAACAAUUAGUCGGACCAGACCUUCUACACAUUUGAACUGGACGCACAAGCCUAUGUUUUUUGAGCUCCCAUAUUGGUCGAAACUGAAAUUGAGGCACAAUCUAGAUGUGAUGCAUGUUGAGAAAAAUGUAUUCGACACAUUGGUGGGCACGAUUCUAGAUAUCGAGGGGAAGACGAAGGACACGAUCAAAGCUCGUCUUGAUUUGGAAAGAAUGGGCAUACGAAGGGGUUUAUGGAUGAAUAGGGACAGUGAUAAAGCUAGAAGGGAUCUUGCAUUCUUUUCUAUGAAACCGAAUGACAAAAAGGAGUUUCUAAAGUUUGUAUCGUCUGUCAAAUUUCCCGAUGGGUAUGCUUCUAAUAUCGCACGUUGCGUGAAUGUCGAUGGGGGUAAAUUUACUGGACUUAAGAGCCAUGACUGCCAUGUUCCUGUGGGUAUUCGACACCUACUGCCGGAAGAUGUGGUGAAGCCAAUCAUGUUGUUAUCCAGAUUUUUUUCCCAACUGACGGCAAAAACAUUGCGAAGGACAGACAUGUUUCAGUUGCGCCAUGACAUUGUCCAAGUCCUAUGCAAGUUUGAGAUGAUAUUUCCUCCGGCUUUCUUUACAAGUAUGAUGCACGUAAUGGUUCACUUGCCAGAAGAGGCAUUGCUUGCUGGUCCUGUCAACUAUCGCUGGAUGUAUCCAAUAGAAAGGUAUAUAAUCUUUAUCAUUUGUGUAUGCAUCAUUAUCGACACUUUGCUAAUUUGUAUCAUAUCGUUUUAUUUUGGCAGGCUUCUCGGAGAGCUGAAAAAAAGUGUACGCAACAGGGCAAAGCCCGAAGGAUUAAUUAUAGAGGCUUGGGUUCAAUAUGAGUCGCUUACUUUCUGUGGAAUGUAUUUAAAAGAUGUGGAGACGGUUUUCAAUCGUCCUCAACGCAAUAAUGACGGAGGUAUGAGAAAUGAAAAACUUUUUGUUUUUGCCCAAAGCGCAUGACCAUUUGGAGAUCCUGGACGAGGAGAGUCGUUUUCUAGAAAUGACAUGGAGGUAGCGCAUUGGUUCGUACUGAACAAUUGUGAUGAGAUAAUGGCCUACUUAGAUGAGCAUGAACAGAUGAUGAAGCGAGAACAUCCAUCACAUUUGGUUGCCCGGAAACAUCGUGAAUUAUUUCCACAAUGGUUUUUGGAUUCUGUAAGUUAUAACUGUUUUGUAAUUGACAAAUAUAAAUUGUAGUAUUUAAUUUUGUCAGACUAACAUGUAAAUGAUUUUGUAUACUAUUAGGUGAAUAAAUUGAAAUCAUCGAAUUCCCCCACUUACAGUGAUGAGUUAUAUAACUUGGCGUUCGGCCCAAUUCGUGCUGAGUUGUUCUCGGGUUGUAAUGUUAACGGCGUCAAAUUUUUGGGGGCCGCACGAGAUGACAAGUUGUGUAUGCAAAACAGCGGUGUCCAUGUCCCAGGUGGAGGCGAAAGUACGGACAUUGAUUUCUAUGGCAAACUGACAACUGUCGUGCAAUUGCUUUAGAAAGAUCGAUACCAAGUCAUCAUGUUUAAGUGUCGAUGGUUCGAUACCAACCCAAAUAGGGCGGGAAGUGUUAAAAUCGACCAUGGAGUACUGUUUGUGAACAUGGCGUCCCAAAUUGUGUAUCUAGAUGACCCUAAAGCCGGGAGCGGGUGAAAAGUUGUGCAGAAGAUGGAUCAUAGGAACGUGUAUGAUAUACCAGAACUAGACCCAAGUGACAACGACGUCGACAAUGUGGCUGACCAACGUUUAGAAUCUUCAAUGGAAAAUGAUGCGGAAACACUUCGAGAUACAAAUGUUAUACAAGAACCGUUUCAAAUAGAAGGAGUGUCUUCAGUAGAAAUACCGAUUCAGUCAAUUACAAUUGACCUCGGUGAUCUUCCCCGAUACGAUGUUGCAGUGGGUCCUAGCAACGCCGAUGAUGCAGUUAUAGAGGAGGAGGAGGAAGAAGAUUGGGAGACCGAGAGUGAUGAUAGCGAUGAUAACGAAAGUUAUUAUAGUUCAGAUGAUGAAUAAUGAAUUUAUUUGUAAAGUUAUUAUGUUAGUGUAUUCAUUUUGUGUAAUACAAAUCUUUGAAUAUAUGUAGUUGUCCAUAUGUAGUUGUGUAUUCAUUCUCCAUAUUUCAUCACAAACUUCAUUGGAAUGUCAAUACUUUAGUCAAUACUUAUUACGACCCCAUGCUUGUCGAUUGGUUUUUAUUUAUUUAUUUAUUAAUGUCUUUAACUCUUCAAUUAUUAUUUUUUUCUUUUGAGAUAUAGUUAUUUCUUCAUGUUUAAACAAAAAAUAUAAGUUAUUUCUCCAAUAUUAUCUGUGUGCCACUUAUUUUUCUUCACUUUGGUUCAUGAUUAGUGGCAUCAAUCUAGUCAAACCGAUAAAAUCGGUCGAUUCAAAUCUUAAUUAUCAAUUUAGUUUGGUUUUGAUGAAGAAAUACAAAGCCUUUCCAAAAAAUACAGAGCAUAAAAAAUGAUGAAUACAAAACCUUUCCAAAAAAUACAAAGCAUACACAAUUUGAAUUAAAUGAGGAUUUAUGGCGCCAAAUCCUUGCGCAACGAUAAGGAGCCCUUCGUCGCGCAAAUAUAUAUUAGGUAACGUUAUAGUAUAAUAUAUACCCACAUAUAUAUUUAAAAUUGGCGAUCGAAGUAGUUCAUUGUAUUCAUAUGAAGUGUAGGACUGUAGCUGCAAAAAAUCAUCAACAUCGGAGUUAAAAUAACCGUUCAAUCAUCACUUUUUAUUUAGAACCGUCGAAAAGUUUUACCCCGUUACUUAAUCUCUGAAUGUUUUUUUUGUCUGAUUUUUGCUGUCUAUGAUCUCGAAGUAUAACAAAACAAGUUUGACGGCUGGAUGACUGAAGCUAGUUUCGUAGACUGCGUGUGCUAUCAAAAUCAUAUAUUCACCAAAAACUCAAAAAUUUGUUCAUACAUUUGUGAAAAUGUAACUUAAUGUUUAUGUGGUAUCCCCUAGUGUAAAAAUAUGAAAUUGAAGAUCAAAUUCAGUCAUUGUAUUCAUAUAGGGUCAACAAAUGUUGCUGUAAAAAAUGAUCAAAAUCGGAGUUAAAAUAACCGUUAAAUCAUGACUUUUCAUUUAUAACCGUCAAAAUAUUUUGUCCUGUUCCCUGAUAUCUGAAUGUUUGGUCGUUUUGAUUUUUGGCGUAUACGAUCUCCAAGUAUAAACAAAUAAGUUUGCCGGUUGGAUCAUUGAAACUAUUUUAGGGUUUAGGGUUUAGGGCUUAGGGCUUAGGGUUUAGGGUUUACAUUUUAGGGUUUAGGUUUUGCGCGACGAAUAAACAUUCCUUUCGUCGCACAAAGUGAAAGUGACAAAGAUUGCGCGACGGAUAAGUCUUCCAUUCGUCGCGUAAUCUGGGACACACAUUUCACCCCUCCAUACCCUUUGAACACUUAGUGAAAAUUUCAACCGAAUGAAAUUCUUGAACCCGCGCGACGAACAAAGCAAAUACGUCGCGUAAAGUGGACGUGAACAAGAUUGCGCGACGGAUAAAUCUGGUAUUCGUCGCGCAAUCUGGGCCACACUUUCACCCUUCCAUCCCCUUUGAACACUUAGUGAAAAUUUCAACCGAAUGAAAUUUUUGAACUCGCGCGACGAACAAAACAAAUACGUUGCGCAAAGUGGACGUGAACAAGAUUGUGCGACGGAUAAAUCUAAUUUUCGUCGCGCAAUCUGGGCCACGCUUUCACCCUUCCAUCCCCUUUGAACACUUAGUGAAAAUUUCAAGCGAAGCAAAAUCUUCAACUCGCGCGACGAAUAAAAGUAUUCGUCGCGCAAAAGGCACAGGCCUCUGAUUUUUGUUAGCAAACAUUGCGCGACGUUUACUGUCUUCGUCGCGCAAAAGGCACAGACCCUUCAGUUUCAGCCUCCCGCUAAACCCAAAAUUUUCCCAAAAUUUUGGCGGAACGACAGCGUUUUGCGCGACGAACAUAUGACUUUCCGUCGCACAAGGUUAACCUUGCUCGACGUUUACUAUCUUCGUCGCGCAAAAGCACAAACCCUUCAGUUUCAGCCUCCCGCUAAACCCUAAGUCCCAAAAUUUGGGCGGAACGACAUCGUUUUGCGCGACGAAUAUAUGAUUUUCCGUCGCGCAAGGAGAACCUUGCGCAACGUUUACUAUCUUCGUCGCGCAAAAUCACAGUUUCAGCCUCCCGCUAAACCCUAAAUCCCAAAAUUUUGGUGGAACAACAGCGUUUUGCGCGACGAACCAUGUAUUUUUCGUCGCGCAAAAGGCACAGACCCUAAUCCCCAUUCAAAAUUUGGCGUUCUGGGAGACCUUGCGCGACGGAUAUUUCAUCGCGCAAGAUUCAUUAAUACCAUUUUGCACGACGCAUUCUGUUCUUCGUCGCGCAAAGUCGAAUAAAUUUGCAGAAACGGCCCGAUGCCUCCUUCUUCCCCAUUUUCUGGUUUCUCUCCGUUUCUUCCUCUCUCUCCGCCGUCACCUUAGCCCUCUCUCUCUGCCAUCACCUCAGCCACCUCCGCUCGUUCCGUAGCCUCCCUGCCGUCACCGUCGAGCCUGCCGUCGCAAUUUCGUCAGUUUUUCCCGAUUCUUCGCCGGCCGAUUUCUCUCUCCUCCGGCCACCAUUUUCGACGCCUAAGGUAUGAUUUCUCGACUAUUUUUUGUGCUCUAGCUGAUGGUUGGUUAGGAUUUCUUGAAUUUUCGCUAUAGGAAAUAGGAAUUAAAACCCUAGGUUUUGGCCGCUUUGGGAAUUUCAAAUCCGGCCACUUCCGGCCAUUUUUCGGGGUAGGUCCGAGAACAAAAGUGGCUCCAAUUAAUGUUUUCAACCUAGGGUAGGAACCUUGGCCCUUAGUUUUUAGAAUUUUCCGACGAAUGUUAUCGCUUUGGACACCCACGCGCUGCCGGCGCGUGUGGUGGCGCGUGGGAUGUUGUGGCAGUGGGGCAUUGGGUCCCAGAGCAAUCCCCUGUUUGUCACGAGCGCGUAGGUUUGCUCGGAUUUGAAUUUGGUUAUCGUUUGAGUCUUGAUCGGAUUUCGGCUAUUGUGCGAUUUCCAGGUUUGAUAUGUUCGGACCGUUGGAUCGAACUCAAACUCACGUAGUUGUACCUUUGUGUUUCUACGAUCGUUUAGGAUUCGACCGAUCGUUGAUCGGUGUCCCGGAUACUUCGAAAUUCCAAACCCUAGGUGAAGCUAUGCUUUUAAUUAAUUAGUUUAAAUUCUUAAUGAAAUUAUAUGUGCAGAUGUCAGAUUUGAUUAGACGUGGUAGGUCGAUGAUGACUGCACCGAGUUCGGAUCCCCCUGCUCAGUCGGCAUAUGCUGCCACUGCUCCAGCUUUGAUGGAGCACGUGCUGGUUGGUCCCGGGGCGUCCCAGGCGCCUGCGUCAUCUGCGUCAUCCGUCGCGCAGCCAGCUAGUGCUAGGCGGCGGCACCGGCCCGCCGACACGACAUCGACCGACGGUACUGGUGCCUCGGGAUCACAGCCAGAUAUAACUACCAUUUUGUAUUGUUAAUUUUAUAUUGAAAUUUGACAAUGUUGUUUAUUUAACAUUAAUAUCUUUUUUCUUUGCAGCGAAGAAGAACACCUGAGGGCCGUGUCGUCAGCUGAAGACGGCGAAGGUCACCCGGGUGACCAACAGUCGUAUCAGCAUCGGAUACGACGAGCGCCAUCGGGCUGCACCGACGGCGGAGUUGCAUAGCUCCUUGGCCCACGACAUUGGCCACGUCGUGCGGACCCAUUGCCUGAUGCAAUGGAAGUCUUGGAGGGUCAUGCCUGACGAGAUCAAGGUGGAGGUUCGCGGCCAGUUGUCGGUAUGUACCUUACAUUUUCAUUAAUUUUCUUUAAAAUUGUGUAUAUUUCUAUUACUUAACGUAUCUAAUUAAUUGAUUGCAGACGAACUAUAACUUGGAGGAUCUCGACGAAGAGUCGUUGGCGUACGUCAACAGACUCUUCGCUGAGAGGUACAAGCAGUGGAAGAGCGACUUGCACCAUCAUUUUCAGGCCUUUGAUGAUCCGCAAGUCGCUCUUCAGGAGGGUUGCCCGAAGGAGCUUGAGGGGCGGGAGGAUAGUUGGGAGUGGCUCUGCGCUCAUUUUCAAGCGUCCGAAUAUGUGGUAUUUUUUUAAUAAUAUUUGUUUAAUUAUUACUUAUUUCUUAUUAAUGUUUAUUUCAUUUUUUUUAUUUCAUUAUUAUUUAAUUUGUUAUGUUUUAACUAAUACGUUUCAUUUUUUGUAUAACAGAAUAAGGCCCAAGUGAAUAAGGGUAAUAGGAAGAAGAAGACCCUUCUCCACCAUUCCGGCUCCAGGCCCUUUUCGUAUAGGAUGGAUGCCCGGCGACGGGUAAUAAUCACAUAAUUUAUAUUUCAUUUUUAAUGUCAUUUUUAUUAAUUUAUUUUUUUCAUACUAAUAUUUUUCUUCUCUUGUUCAAUUUAGGAGGGGUCCAAGUUCCCAGAGAUCGACGUCUUUGGUGACGUUUAUGUUCGACCCGGGAAUGAGUUGGCCGAGUCCCUUCAUGUAAGUAUUAUUUAAUUUUAAUUCUUAUGUUACGCAUUCAAUUUAUAUGCAUGUUUAAAUUUAUAUUUUAUGUUAUGUUCAACAGACGACGAUGGUGGAGAGGAGCCAGUUGGUUCUUCAGGAGUCCGCCUCCCAGCUUCCUCCCGAGACUCCGAUCGAGUCUGUGGCUCCUCCACAGGAUGCUGGAUUUCAGAUCUUGACGGAGACGUUGGAUCAGACUCUCGGGAGGAGGCCGGGGACAUAUUGUCGAGGGAUGGGGAAUGCCCGGCGGAGGGAACCUAGACCUCGUUCAUCGGCCCAGUCAAACAGUCAGGUGACUGCUUUGACAGCACAGGUGGCCGAGCUUCAGGGUCAGAUGUCGGUGAUUCUACAGUCCCUCGCACAGAGCGGCUUUCCAAUCCCGCAGUUUCGUGCGUCAACCUCCCAGCCCGUCCACCCCGAGUAUGCCCACCAGACCACUGCCCCGGUGGACGCCCAGACCUCCGAGCCGCAUACUGGCGACGACCCGAUUGAUUUUGCUUCAUUAUUUGAUUAGUGUAUUUAUUUUCAUCAUAAACAUUUAUUUUAUUUGUAAUACAUUUAUUUUAUUUUAUAACAAAAUUUUGUUCUAAUUUAUUUUUAUUGCAAUUUCAUUGUUUAAUCAAUAAAAAAACCAAUUUUAUUUAAAAAAAAUAAAAAUAAAUAAAAAACAAAAACAAAAAAAACAAAAAAAAAUUGUAAUAUUAUUUUUGCGCGACGGAAGACAUUUCGUCGCGCAAAACCACAUGUAACAAAAAAAAUUAAAAAAAUCAAUUUUUUAUUACUUUAAUUCUUGCGCGACGAAUACAUACGUCUCGCAAACAUUUUUUGCGCGACGAAAUGUUUCGUCGCGCAACAGCUUUUGCGCGACGACUGAAAUUUUCGUCGCCAAAUAGAUGAGCGACGAAAACUUUCUCAUCGCGCGAAUAGUUCUGCGACGAAUAUAUACGUCUCCCGGACUAGUUUUGCGCGACGAAUUAUUUUCGUCGCGCUAUUCGUUUCGUCGCGCAAAUAUACGUGCGCCGAAUACUUUAUCGUCGCGCAAAUAUUUAUGCGACGAACAGUUGUUUCGUCUCCACACCGUUGGUGCAACGAUGGUUUACCCGUCGCACAAUUAUGCGCGACGAAGUGUUGUACCUCGUCGCGCAAAGGCUUUCUUCACGAUCUUCGCGCGACGGAAGGUGCGCGACGAAUUUUUUGUCGCGCUGAAAUUAGGGCGACUAAAUAAGACUUUGCGCGACGUUUUGUUAUUCGUCGCGCAAAGAGUAAAAUGUAGUAGUGAGACUUGUUGGAGACAAAACAGGUAAACAAAUUACUUGUAUUAGACUCACAAAAUAUUACAACAAGACAACUCUCAAAGAAAAGACAAACUCUCACACUUCUCACAAGGACUACUUAACUUUAUAGCUUAUUGCAUAUAGCAUAUGCAAACACAAUUAGAACAUACCUACGUACACUAUGGGAACACUCGUGUAUAUUUCAACACAAGAAAACAUGUGCACCGUGCACGGUUCACAUGAAGUAAGAAAUGAAGAGGAAAUAAAGAAGAAGAAUACAAAAGAAAAUGGAGAUGAGAAAAAAAAAAAAACCGAAUAAUGAAAAAUGAAUUGACAAUUAUAUAUGGUUGACAUUAGAUCUAAUAUUAUAUGUAACAACUAUUGAUCUAAAAUAAACAUUAAAUCAAACAAUAAUUAAAAGAUUUGACAAUAUAAAAAUUUAUUGAGGACAAAAAAAGGCAAAAACUUAUGAAAAAUGGAAACAAUAAAUAUGAACUGAGUCAUCAACUCACCAUGGUAAGUUUGCUGACGUAUAAAAAUAGUCAAUGGACAUCGAAAAGUAAUUGGCUUACAUCAAAAAUUAAAAUCACGUGGGUUAUUCCUAAGAAACCUUAAUAUUUGCCUUCCAUUUGUUCCAGCAAAAUAAAAGUCAUUGCUACUUAUUGUAACCCCUUUUCCAAGCUUAUUAAUCAAAGUAGACACCUCACUGCUGUCACCUAGCCAAUUUUCAACAAUGUCAUACUUAACAAGCAACUCCACAUCCUUUGAGGUGUUCACAAAACGAUCCAUGAGACUAACAUAAUCACUUAUGUACGUCUCCUCGUAGUGGCAUUGUUCAAAUGCGAUGAGAUUUCUAAUUAAUACCUCUGUAUGAUCGCUUAUUUUCAAUCUUGGAAUUUCAAGAGUCCGGCCAGCAAAUCUAAUAAGGUAUUCAUUGAUCCCUCAUUCAACUUGAACCCUGCCCUGUGUAGCUCUGUGAUGCUGGGUGUGUUUAUAGUUAUGAGUUUCCCGUCAUUAGUUUUUAGGGUUAUUCGUUAUAUGAGUCCCUGAACUUAGACCCGAUUUGCAUUUUAGUCCCUCAAUUUCCAAAAUCGUUCCAGUGGUCCUUCAACUUUAGUUUCGUUAGGACAAAUGGUCCUGCCGUCAAAUGAUUAUAAAGUGGAAAAAACAAGAACAAAAAAGGAAGUGAGUUAAAUUUGCACCUGCUAUGUUCAAACGACAAAGUUCGUUUCCGUUUGGUCGAUUACAAGAGAAGCUCAAUGCAGCUUACUUGGUUCCUCUUGGUAGAUGGAAAUAUAAUUUUUCUCCUAAUAACAAAGGUUUAGUGCAAUCAAUGAUGGGCUGUAUAGAACAACUUUUUUGUUUUAUAUGUUUAUGUGAGACAAGUUUUGCCAGAUUGAAUUAAUGUCUUCUAGCUAUGUACCUUAUCUUUUUGCCGGGCCAUGAGUUGAAUGUAGAGGCAGAGCAUGGCCUUGGGUUUGUAAAAGACAAAAGACUGAACCAGACGUAAUUAUUUAGAUUUUGGAUCCAGUUCCACAUCCCAAAGAGAAAACCACAAGUUUGCAAGCAAGUUUGUCCAUAUUAACACUACGUAGAGUAUAGGCAGUGUGCUACUCAUCUCACUUUCUCAACCUACCCUAUAUUUGUCUAAAAGAGUUUCUAAUUUCGUGUACUGAUUCACUACUACAUUUUACACUUUGUGCGACGAAGAGAAUUUCGUCACGCAAAAUACAUUGGUCGCGCAAAGUUUAAAAAAAAUUUUAAAAAAAUAAAAAAUUCCCGCGUCCAAUUUUUGGUACUUGUCCAAAUUUUUUGAGUUUUGCGCGACGAAUACUAACAUCGCGCAAAUAUUUGCGCGACGAAAUAUUUUUUGUUUUAAAUUUUUUUAAUUUAAAAUAAACUAAUUUAAUAGUUUGCGCUACGAAAUAUUUUGUCGCGCAAGGUUUUUGACUUUUUGUUUUAUUAUUUCUUUAAUAUGAAUUUAUUUAUAUGAAUUUUUUGAAAUUUUUACUUUUUAAAUUUAAUUUAAUUGUAUGAUUUCUUUUUAAAAUUACUUUAAUUUAAAUUGAUAUUAAUUUUUACUUUUUAAAUUUAAUUUAAUUGUAUGAUUUUUUUUAAUUACUUUAAUUUAAAUUGACAUAUUCAAAAUAAAAUUACAUAUGAAAAAUAGUGAUUAAAUUAUCCAAUAAAUAUAUAUAUAUAUAUAAUAUUCAAAAUGUACACAUAAAUUAACAAAGCACAAUAAUAAAAUCCUAAUACAAGCGUAUUGUGGUGGUAGUGUCGGAGGAUAUGUUUUGAUAGCUUCCUAAUCCUCAACUUUAGCCGUCAAAGUCUCGAUGAUUCCCUACAAAAAAAAUAAAUAUGGUCAAAUAACCACAAACAAAAAAAAAAAAAAAAAAAAAGGCAUAAUCUCCCCUAAAAUUGUUAUACCACAAAUCCAACCCAAACUCCAAUCCCUCCCCUUUACUCAACCCCAAAACCCACACAAACUCAAAAUUAACUCCAAAAACACAUAUUAAUGAAAAAAAUUUAAAAUUUGGAGAGAAUAUACCUUUUGGCAAGAUUGAGAGUGAAUGAGAGGGAGAAGUGAGUGUGAGAGAAUUAGAGAAGAUAGUGAUAGAGAGAUGAGAGAGAUGAGAGAGUGAGUGAGAGAGAGUGAGAGAUAGUGAAGAGAGAGAUGAGAGAUUAAGUGAGAGGAGUGAGUGAGAGAAAUGGUGGGAUUUGGGGAGAGGGAAAGAGAAAGGAGAGGUAAGAGUAGAGAAAGGCAUUGAGAAAAUGGUGGAUGAGUUAUUUCGGUUUUAAAAACCGUAUCACUUUGCGUGACGAAAAAUAUUGUUGGUCGCGCAAAGGUUUGCGCGACGAAAAAUAUUGGAAUAUUGAUCGCGCAAACUUUUGAGCGACGAAACAUAUUGGUCGCGCAAAGUCUAAAAAAAUUAUUUAAAAAAAAUAAAAAUCCCCGCGUCCCAUUUUUGGUACCCGCCAAAAUUUUUAAAUUUUUGCGCGACGAAUAUAGGAAUAUUGAUCGCGCAAAGUCUAAAAAAAUUAUUUAAAAAAAUAAAAAUCCCCGCGUCCCAUUUUUGGUACCCGCCAAAAUUUUUAAAUUUUUGCGCGACGAAUAUAGGAAUAUUGGUCGCGCAAAGUCUAAAAAAAUUAUUUAAAAAAAUAAAAAUCCCCGCGUCCCAUUUUUGGUACCCGCCAAAAUUUUUCAAUUUUUGCGCGACGAAAAAUACAUAUUGGUCGCGCAAAGUCUAAAAAAAUUAUUUAAAAAAAUAAAAAUCCCCGCGUCCCAUUUUUGGUACCCGCCAAAAUUUUUAAAUUUUUGCGCGACGAAAAAUACAUACUGGUCGCGCAAAGUCUAAAAAAAUUCCCGCGUCCGAUUUUUGGUACCCGCCCAAAUUUUUGCGAGACGAAAAAUAUAUAUUGGUCGCGCAAAGUUUUGAGCGACAAAAAAUAUUGGUCGCGCAAAGUCUAAAAUUUUUUUAUUUUUUUUUUAAAAUCCAGCGUCCCAUUUUUGGUACCCGUCCAAAUUUUUAGAGUUUUGCGCGACAAACUGUUGGUUGCGCAAACUUUUGAGAGACGAAAAAUUGGUUCGUAACACAAUAUUUAUAAAAAUAAUUGUUAUGAAUAAUAAAAAUAAAAUUAUUUUAUUUUACAAUUUAAAAUAUAAAUAAGGUUAAAGCUGCUUAAGAAAUAUAUAUACUAUUCAAUUUCUUAAGUGUUAUACGUACAAAAUAAAUAAAUUUAAAGGUACUUAAUAAAUAAAUAUAUAUACACACACCAUUCAACGAUCCAACCGUCAGACUUAUUUGUAUAUACUUCAAGAUCGUAUACCCCAAAAAUCACAAAAAACAAACAUUUAGAGAUCUAGUAACGAGACAAAACUUUUCGAUGGUUAUAAAUGAAAAAUUACGAUUUAACGGUUAUUUUAACUCCGAUUUUGAUGAUUUUUUUUUACAGCUACACUCCUUGACCAUAUAUGAAUACAAUGACUGAAUUUGAUCUUCAAUUUAAAAUAUUUACACUAGUGGAUACCACAAAAUCUUAUGUUAUAUCUAACGAACGUAUAAAUAACCUCUUAAUUGUUAGUGAAUAUAUUGUUUUGAUGGCAUAUGCAUUCACCAAAACUAGUUUCAACGAUCCAACCAUCAAACUUGUUUGUUUAUACUUCGAGAUCAUAUACGCCAAAAAUCAGAAAAAAUAAACAUUCAGAGAUCAAGUAAUGGGACAAAAAUUUUCGACGGUUAUAAUGAAAAAUCACGAUUUAACGGUUAUUUUAACUCCGAUUUUGAUGAUUUUUUACAGCUACACUCCUUGACCCUAUAUGAAUACAAUGACUGAAUUUGAUCUUCAAUUUAAAAUAUUUACACUAGUGUAUACCACAAAAUCUUAUGUUAUAUUUAACGAACGUAUAAAUAAACUCUUAAUUGUUAGUGAAUAUAUUGUUUUGAUGGCAUAUGCAUUCACCAAAACUAGUUUCAACGAUCCAACCGUCAAACUUGUUUGUUUAUACUUCGAGAUCAUAUACGCCAAAAAUCGGAAAAAAUAAACAUUCAGAGAUCAAGUAAUGGGACAAAACUUUUCGACGGUUAUAAUGAAAAAUCACGAUUUAACGGUUAUUUUAACUCCGAUUUUGAUGAUUUUUUACAGCUACACUCCUUGAACCUAUAUGAAUACAAUGACUGAAUUUGAUCUUCAAUUUAAAAUAUUUACACUAGUGGAUACCACAAAAUCUUAUGUUAUAUUUAACGAACGUAUAAAUAAACUCUUAAUUGUUAGUGAAUAUAUUGUUUUGAUGGCAUAUGCAUUUACCAAAACUAGUUUCAACGAUCCAACCGUCAACCUUGUUUGUUUAUACUUCGAGAUCAUAUACGCCAAAAAUCGGAAAAAAUAAACAUUCAGAGAUCAAGUAAUGAGACAAAACUUUUCGACGGUUAUAAUGAAAAAUCACGAUUUAACGGUUAUUUUAACUCCGAUUUUGAUGAUUUUUUACAGCUACACUCCUUGACCCUAUAUGAAUACAAUGAACUAAUUCGAUCGUCAAUUUAAAAUAUAUAUUUUCUAACAAAAACCCAAUCUGAACAACAAUAAUAUAUUUUUCUAACAAAAAUCCGAUCCGAUCUAAAAUAAUAAAUUUAAAGCUACUUAAUAAAUAUAUAUACUGUUUAAUUUCUUAAGUGUUAUGCAUACAAAAUAAAAAACAAAAAUAAAUUAGUAUAGGCGACAAAAUGUUUGGAUUACGUCAUGCAAAGAUUUUAAAAUAUAUAUAUAUAUUAUUUUUAUAAGGACUUUGCGCGACGAAGUUCAUUGUUUCGUCGCGCAAAGUCACUUUGAGCGACGAUGUAUUGUUGUCGCGCAAAAGUUUGUCGCGCAAAGUUACUUUGCGCGACGAAUUUUUUUUCAUCGCUCAAAAUUUGGUCGCGCAAGACUUUGAGUGACGAUGUAUUGUCGUCGCGCAAAAGUUUGUCGCGCGAAGUGACUUUGCGCUACGAAUUGUUUUUCGUCACGCAAAAUUUGGUCGCGCAAGACUUUGAGCGACGAAGUUUUGAGUUUCGUCGCGCAAAGUGACUUUGAGCGACGAAUAGUUUUUCGUCGCGCAAAAUUUGGUCGCGCAAGGGGUUUUUUUUUACUAGUAUGAGUUUUAUAUACAAUUUAUAACAAUAUUUUCAGGCAAAAAAAUGUCUUGGCAAGAAAAUGUACAAUUUGUUACGUACUUAACUGGAACGAUUACCUUCAAAUUCCUAUGGCCAAUUACCUUCUUUUUUCUUCCUUUUUUUUUUUUUUUUUUUUUUGGUUGUUGUUGUUCUUUUGAUCAAGUUGCAUAUUCCAAAGAACGAAAACCAGUACAGGCUCUUUUCCAAUGCAAGCUCUUUUCCCAUGUUUCCCUCUGUUUUUCUCCUAUUUUUCUUAUAUGGAAGUGAUUAAAAUACACCUCUAAGCUUGUUUUGCGUUUGGUAACCGACUGUAAAAGCUCAAUGCAGAUAGUUUGAGGUAGAAUUUUCUCCAAUUUUACUAGCACAGUGAUAAGCUAUACUAUAUGUAACAACAAAUUGCUUUAAUAAUGAUAAUGAAAAAAGUGUGAUCCAUCGAAUAUUUGCGGGGUUUUGUUCCAAGUCAACACAUCAAAUUCUUUUACACCAUGAAAUUAAAAAAAAUUUAUUCAACCAUCUCGACCUUAUGCUCGAUCAUUUUGCACAAGCAACCGUCCACGUACCCCAAUAAUUUAAAAGGGCUGAUGAUCUUUAAUUUGGCGAAAGCUUCUAUCUACUUCUACCGCGCUAUAUAUGAGCUAUGCAAUUGUGACGGUGUUACAUGACGUCACAAUGUCGUAGGGAUAAAAAAAUAAUAGUCAUGGUUUCUUAUUAAUGUUAAUACAGGCAUAGCAAAAAGCUUGUAUUUCUAGUGGUUAAGAACAAUUACCCAUGCACUUGAGAUAUUAUGUGCUUAAAUCCCCUCUUCCCCAAUAUUUCUUGUAUAAAAAUAAAAAUAAAAAUAAAAAUAAUAAAGAUAUUGAUAUUGUAUUCUAUAAAGUGUUGGACAUGUUUUAUACCCCUUUACUGCAAAUUACAGUUUGACACAUGUACAAAAAUAAUAGGUAAGUGUUGGACAUCAAGAGUACUUACAUAUAGGUUUAAUAGGUAAGUUUUGAAUAUUUCUGUCUUUAGCUUUAAUUAUUGAAAAUCAACCUAUUAUCAUAUUAAAGACUUAUCCAUGUUCAACGUACAUUCUCUUAUUUUUCUCUCAUUGAAGUAAAUACAAAACUAAGCACAUAGUGGAAAAGUAGGUCACGAUUAGGGGUGGGUUUGGUCUGGGUUGGUUCAGUUUUGGGCUCAACCCGAACACCGAACCGUAGACCUCGAUUUGGCUAUUUUGGAAACCAAAACUAAACCAUAAUUAAUGAAAACCGACCACUUCAAUUACCUUCUGGUCUUCCAACCAGAAGAAAACUCAAAACUUUAACCAUACCAAGUGCAACAGAAUUACACCAGGCUGGAGUCAAGUUUAUGAUGGUUAAAGAUAAAAACUUAUUUGACAUACAAUUUGAGAAUGGAAUCCUCAAAAUUCCACACCUGCGAAUACAGGGUUAAACAGAAAUUUUCUUCCGCAAUUUUAUUGCCUAUGAGCAGUGUGAGCUCCAUGAUCAUUACAUCAACAACUAUGUCUUCGUCAUGGACCGCCUGGUCGACAGUGCCAGGGAUGUGGAAUUGCUUGUGAAGAGUGGAAUUCUUGAAUCCAUGCUACCGGACAGCGAGGCAGCAGGGGAAUUUAUUAAUUCUCUUGACUUGGGGCCUAUUUUAGGCAAGCUUGAAACAAGACUAUUUCAGUUCACCAUGGGCUGGCCUGUCUAUUAUUGUAGCCGCUAUACUAGUUGUGCUCACAUUUAUUCAAACAGUGUGCUCCGUAAUGGCGCUGUAGGUUCUUCAUUUCCUCAAUUUCAUGUUUAGUGGUUGCAGAUUUGUUGCUCAUGUACGUGUUUAUCUAAAGUUAAAUAAGAGUGAUUGACUGAUAGUCUGUUAGUUUGUUUUUCUGGGGUUUUUCCCCUGUUCGUCAAAAAAGAAAAAGAGAAAGAGUGAUUGCUUGUGCCUGUUUGGGCCUAAUUUGACACACCCAAUCCAAAAUCAAAAAGUCCAUGUCAAUUUUGGACAGCCACCAGCAUUCCCUUUGUAAUUAGGCCAAAAACUGCACACCCAACCUAGCACUGGAGCCUAGAACAAACAAGGUAAACUCAGGACCCAAGCAGUUUGAUUUUUUCAUUUAAAUUGGAAUCAAGGGCCCCAAGUCAAAAAAGCCCAAGCCCAAGGCAGAUUUUUUACCAAAAAGACCCAAGGAAGCCCAGUGCAUGCGAAUUGCUUAGCCCACAAUCCCAAAACUCAAAACUAAGUUUGGCAUGAUUAAAUAAAGAUAGAGAGAAGCCCAAAAUUGAAGAAACCCAAAACAGUUUUAUCAAAAUUGUCAGCUCUCUACCCAAGACCUAAAAAGGGUCAAAAAUACCACUAUUGGCAAAAUUGACGCACUCAGCCUUGGAUCACAAAGAAAUCCACGUGACUAUUUGACUUUGAGAAGUCAACAAUUUCAACUAGUCACAAGAGAAGUUGAUUGGAAUUAAUGUAGGCAGGUCAUUACAGAAAAGACUUCUUUGAAACUCUGUAGCCAAAAGAUCAAAAUCCCUUUCUAUAUAAUUCUGCAUCAGAGUAGGUGGUCUUUCCAAGAGAUAAGCAGACUACGUUUUCAAGAGAUAAGUAGAGAAUGAGGGAGUUGUUCAACAAGAAAAGCAAACUAACCAUCAUGAUAGGUUGUGUUCUUUCUCUCUACAAAAAACAAUAGGGAACAAAGAAGAGUUGGUUUUUCUUUCAGAAAAAGGAAGGAAAAGACCUACAUGAAAACUAAUUAUUGAUGGUUCUUCUCUGCCAGAACAGAUAACUUCUCAUUUUCUUUGACAUUUAAAAAUGAAAGGUCUCGCUUUUACAAAAUCUGCCGCCCAUUAUUUAAAGAUUAGAAAACCCACUCCAGCAUUUCCUAUAAAUAUGAGAGGAGGUGAUGUCACAUCACGGGAUUGGCUCUGCCGUAGCACGAUAUUGUCCACUUUGCGCCCCCCUCUCUACCCUCACGGUUUUAUUUUUGGGAACUCACGAGCAACUUCCCAGUGGGUCACUCAUCUUGGGAUUGCUCUAGCCCCCAGCUCGCUUAACUUCGGAGUUCCCAUGACUCCGAAGCCAAUGAGCUCCCAAAAGGCCUCGUGUUAGAUGGAGGCGGGCAUGUACAUAUAAGGCACAUCACCUCCUCUCCGUUGGUCGAUGUGGGAUGUUACAGGUGAACAUAUCAAAGGACAGCCAAAAAAUCAAUCAAAGACAAAAACUCAAAAUGAUCACUUGAUCUCAAAAGCCUUCAAAACACUGAAGCAAGCAAAGCUCAUUGAGCCACAACGAACAAGUCAGCUAGAAUUCAGAAUCUUUAGAGUCAGUUCAGUUUCAGAGAAAUAAUCAAAGAAAGCGAGAUCUCUCUCGUUACAAAUUUGGUUCAGCUUAAAGCCAAAACAAGCAGAGUUCAGGUUCUUACAAAUAUGAAAACCUCAAUAAAUUUAUGGAGAGCCCUGAUCAAGCAAAACAGGUACUACAGUGCAGUUCUAGCUUAGUAAUAAUCAAAUCCACCCACUUCUGCCCCUUCCAGAUUGAGAAGGUCCCAAUUCUGCCCAUUCAAAAAGCCUUCCAAGACUUGAAAUAGAUUAAAGCUCUGCCAAACUCAAAUGUUGGAAUCAAUUCGCAGCUGAAACAUGACAGUUGAAGGUGUUGAUAGUCCAGUCCAGCACAGACAUACCCAGUCUAGCCCAGAUCAGAAGCAUUCACCGAGGCAGAAAUUGAAGUCCAAAGCUCUUUUUGUCUUUUUAGAGUUGGUCUUCCUUUUCUGAGCUUUGUAAAAGGCAAUUCUGCCUAAAACAGUUCACUUUCUUAUCAUUUAUUCUGGCCAGAACUACCAGUUUUGUACUGUGAAAAAUUAUGAAGUCCUCACCAGUCUAAGGCAAGAAAAGAACUUACUUGGGAGAUAUUCCUCACCAAAUUCACAACCGUUUGUUUAGAAAUCAGUAACUUGGUGUAACGACCCGGUCCUAAAUAAAUUGGUAAUUAUUAAUUUAUUCAGAUAAAAGACCAUUUUGCCCAUAGAAUAUUUUAAUAGGUUUACAUGUUGACCCGGGAGGCUUCGGUGAAAUUGUUACAUCUCGGUCCGAAAAAGUGUUAAAAUAAUUAAAGUAGAGUGCUGCUAAAAGAACCCUAAAAUUAACUGAGUACACCCUAUGAUCUAAGUACACCCUAAUAUUUUAAUUAAAAUAUAAAAUUAACUAAGUACACCCUAUAAAACUAUCAAAAAUAACACUGAUACACCCUAAUACUUGUAGCAUUAUUUUAUAGUUGAUUAUUUUAAUAGUGUUUAUAAAUCUUUGACUUUUCAUAUGGAUUUAUGCUUCUACUAAAAUUGUUGCCACUUUUUUUCCAAUUCCAAGUUCUUGCAAUCACCACAUCUUUCGUUAAAAACACAAUAGGACAAGCAAUCUCUUGAUUAGGGUUGAAUAUGGUUAGUAGGGUGUACUUAUUAAUAUUAUAUUUGUUUCACAAUUCCAUAUAUCCUUUUUGGUCAUUUUAUAUUAGGGUAAACCAGUAAUUCAAUAUAUACUUUUAUAGUAGGGUGUACUCAGUUAAUUUUAGGGUUCGUUUAGCAGCACUCUUAAAGUAAGAGAGAAUAAAAUGAAAUAAACAUUAAAAUAAAAUGAUUUGAAUUAAUUAAGGUUUUUGAGAAAUUAAAAUAUUAUUUAAUAUUAUAAGGGGAAAAAGAUCAUUUUAAGUUUGGGAAGGAAUUUGGAAAUUCCAAUUGUACCGUUGUGUAGAGCAUGUCGAAACGAGUCCGUAGACACGUAGUGGACUCGAAUCGUAGUUAUAACGGAGAAAUGGCGAUCAAAAGAAGUUCAGUGGCAUAGCCAUAAAUAUUUCGAAGUUCAGUUUUUUUAAAACCCAAAUUUCUUCUCUCUGGGGAGUGGGAGAGCCAACUUCAAAUGGUGAUUUCUCCCAACUCCGACCACCACACUUCCCUCUUCCUUCAGUUUUGGCAUCAUGAUGGGUUCCAUCCCGGAAUGACACAUUUUCGACGCUAAGGACGUCACAAAUGGUAUUUGAGAUGCUUUGUAAAUUUGUAACCAUGGAAAACACAAUGAACUUUAUGUUCGGAGUUGCAAGAGAACAUUAAGGGGAAUAUGGAGAGUGGGAAAAUAGUAAUAAGUGGAGAUCUGUAUGCUUACUUACUACUGAACUUCCGUCGUGGUGGUUAGUAUGAAAAAGUGUUAGAGAUUAUAGAUUUUAUGGAGGAACAUGGUUGUACACUGAUAAGUAGUCGGUAGGAGUUGAUUUAAGUUCCAAGAGAAAUUCAUUAUGAACUGGGAUGAAUUACUGCAAGAUUCUUGCUGUUUUGAAGUUAUUGAUUUUAGGGGCAUCACCUCUGAAUGAUCAUAAUAACCAUGCGUGGGCUCUGCAUGAGGUUUCUUUGACAUUGUUUGAUUUUGUGUAUUGAUAAUUACACUUAGGGGUGUCACGUUUCUAGAAACGUGUCUAUCCAAAUUGUUGUAUCUCAAUAUCCUAUGGAAGGAAAGCUGAGAAGCUGAAAAUACUGGAUUUAUGGUGGUGAGAUAAAAAUUGUCAGGAACUUUCAAAAGUCAAAUUAUUUCACAAAGGGAAAUACUGGAGAGAAGUAUUAGAGAAUUUUCUUUGGAUAAGUUAUAUAGGAGUGGAGGAGUUGCGAGUUUAACCAAGGAGGGUUGUGACAAUUUAAAUUGAGAAGUAGUGGUGUUGGGUGAAGUAUUAUUUCAUUCGCGUGGGCUUGAAUGCCGCGAUUGACAGGAAUGGAACAUUAGGGUUCUUCUUCCUUGCUCUCUCACGCGAGCUCGCCAUAGAGAGUAUUUCUUGGCGUGGUACUGGCUUCGUCCGACCUCCGAUUACUGUGAUUUUUGAAAGGACCCGGCCCAAAUUUCUCAAAAUCCGAGGCGAAUCCUGUGAAAUUCCCGACAUCACUCCGAUGCCAGGCCCACUUACUAAAGACCGAGACUUUCUGCCGAACUUUCGGCAGAGUCUCCCCUAUAAAUUGGACAUUUUCCAAAACUACCACCUGCAUAAAACACAAUUUAUAUCCCCAACUGGCAGCAUGCACAAGAUAAUUUCAUGCAAAUCACAUAAUCGGCCUGCGGCCUUCAAAUAAUUCAAAACGAAACCACCAAGCACACUAUCAAAUUAAUUCCUACCUUAAACAAGGCAAACAAUAAAUUUAAAUAUGAAUUAUGACUACUAAAUUUCAACAUACGAGGUUUUAACCUCCUAACACAAUCACAUCUAUGUCCGCGGCUGCACCUAAUAACCUUAGGCUGCCUACGUACCUUCACUGAGGGAUCAAGCCACACGUAGUUCUUCCGUAAAACCCAAUUCCACACAUAGGCAAUACCUUUAUUCAUUUCUCUGUAUUUCACAUAAUCUCCCCAUACGCCAGUACUACCAUUGCCACGUAUGGGACUUGUCAACAAGCCGGAUAACCUACACCACGUGCGAUCUCAACAUAAUAUCACAUAAUCUCCUCAUACGCCGGUACAACCAGCGCCACGUAUGGGGCCUGUCAACACGCCGGAUAACCUACGCCACGUGCGACCUCAUCAUACUAUCACAUGAUCUCCCCAUACGCAGGUACAACCAACACCACGUAUGGGGCCUGUCUCAACGCCGGAUAACCUACGCCACGUGAGACCUGAACAUAAUAUCACAUAUCUCCUCAUACGCCGGUACAACCAAUGCCACGUAUGGGGCCUGUCAACACGCCGGAUAACCUACGCCACAUGCGACCUCAAUAUACUAUCACAAUAUCUCCCCAUACGCCGGUGCAACCAACGCCACAUAUAGGGUCUGUCUCAAAUUGGAUAACCUACGCCACGCUAGACCUCAACAUCAUAUCACAAUAUCUCCUCAUACGCCGGUACAACCAACGUCACGUAUGGGGUCUGUCCGCAUGCCGGAUAACCUACGCCAUGUGGGACCUAACUUUCACAGAGUGGUACUUGUAGUGUAACCAAAAUCUGGGGAGGUGCCUAAGGUAGUGCAUAUAGCACUUCAAACUGACAUUCUCUCACUUAUCUAAACUAAUACUAGAGGUCUUCCCAUUUUAAUGGUACCAGUCUAUAGUAGAUUGUAACGUAAUUUAAUCAUAAAAAUAAUAUUAUUUCUAGACCAACGAUUAUUCACAUAAACAUGAAUUUCAUAAUUUCACUAUUUAAAAUAAUAUCUAAAAGUUUCCUAUAAUACAAAUAAACACUCUAAAGAUCCCAACUUAGUCAACACAGCUCAACAAUGCUCAAGACCUGUCAUUAGGGUCAUUAUGAUCCUUCUAGGAAGGUAAAACUACCUCGAAAGACUCAAGGUCAACCAAGGGUCAAACCACCCACAAUUGGUCAAACGGGCCCACGGGGCCCACGACCUCCAAAUUCCAAUCCGAAGGUUCCUAUGGGAUCUACAAGGUAUAGGACACUCGUCUUGCAAGUUAAGCCUAGAUCGGAUGGUCAGAUCGCUCACGAUCGCACAAUCUGAUGGUUAAUAUAAAACAUAAACUUUAAAUUAUUUAAUCGGAACAUCCGGGGCUCCCGAUUCACGAUCUGUUCCUACACGAUCCUAGAAAUACAUAGAUUAACAUAUAUUAAAUUUGAGACCAUCCAACGGUCCUAACCUAUCGAACCCGGAUAACGCGCAAUAGGCGAUAUUCGUUCGAUAGUCAAACGACGUCCGAAUUGAGAUUUACGAAAUCCUACGCACUCGUGACAACCUAAGGAUCUCAUUGAGACAUAUUGCUAUCCCAAAACCGACCGAAAUCCAAUUCGAAAAUCGAGUUACUUACGUUAAGAAUCGACCGAAUCCUACCCAACAGGCAGCUAGAGCAUGAAAAGUAUGUGAGAAACCAUACCUCACUCGUCGAAAUCAGUGGCCAAAGGAGGGAGAUCGACGAUAGAGAAGUUCGGACGAACUGACCGCUUCUUCUCCAUUUUUCAGCGAAACCACGGUAGCUGGUGGCGGGACCUAGCUGGGGUUGGAAGAGGAUGACGCCCCGGUCAUUUUGGUAUCGGCCUCGUGGUCAUCGGUGGCCGGAUGAGAAAACAGCCGGCGAAAAUGUGACCGGCUGCCGUUGCGCACGCGAGAGAGACCACGAGAGAGAGAGAGAGAGAGAGAGAGAGAGAAAUCUGAUUGUGCCACUGAGAUUCUUUUGACCAUAUCUCUCUCGUUACAACUCCGAUUCAAGCCCACCACGUGUCUACGGACUCAUCUCGGUACGACCUAUCCAAAAAUACCAAUCACUACCCCAAAUACUUUUUGGAUCAGAAAGUGACCAAAUUACCCCUACCUCAAUGGUAACUUUGUAAUUUCACUUAAAUAAUUUAAAUAAGGGAUUAAAUUUGGAGUCGGGGUGUUACAAUUUUUGUUGCUAAAUGUUGUCAUCAUUUCUCCUCUACAUCACUCAGUGAUCAUUCACUCCCAUUUCUCUAGUUUACACGGUGAAUUUUAUUUCUAAAAUUUCUUAAAAUUCCGGCCACUGUGAGUUUGACCAGCGACUUGGGUUACUUUUGCCCAUCUUUUUGGAAAUGGAACCGAUUUGAGGAAGAUUAGGAGGAAAGAUACAUAGGCCGCUGAGGCAGAAGUAAAGCCGGAGCUUUACCAUAGACAGAAGUUGUUUUAGAAGUCCUGGAAGAUUGUGAACAGGAAUUGGAAGUUUGCAUGGGGUGAUAGGAUUUUUAGUACUUGUGCAAACAGUGUUAAAAAUCACAUAAAAUACUUGCAAGAAUACAAGGCUAUUGUAGUCUAGAUGCUCAUGCAAGGUCGUUUUCCUCAAGGACUAAUUAGCAAUUUAUGUAAAAAUAAAUUCCAAUUACUACUUAAAAUAAAAAGUCAAGAAAGAUGAUUAUAAAUUUGGUUGAUUCUAAAAAACAAAUAUUAAACAAAAACAAAUACGAUUGAAAGAAAGAGUUUUGAAUAUCAAUUUAUAAAAACACUAGGGUUUCACCAUCACCUAGCAAUCCUAUGAACUUUUACCAAUUACUUAUGAUUUGCACAUGCCACUUUGAAGGUUAGGUUUUCCUAAUGUAUAUUCUACUUAGAACCUCCAACACAGAAUGUAUAUCCAACAUGCAACCCGUCCGGACGUUCGGAUCAAAUCUGAACAUGAAAGACUCAUUAAGUUUUGUGAAAACCCUUUGAAAAACCAUGCAACCCUUAAGACGUGGUGUUCAUCUUAAGUGAAAUUACAAUUAUUAAUCAGAAGAAGCUAGCAUCAAUUUCAGGGAACCUUCCGACCAAAAUUGCAUCCAAUUACUUUUCUAAAGAUCCUAAUGGUGAUCAGGCAUUAAGACAAUUAGAUAGUUUAAAACAGUGAUUAACAAUUCAAAAUACGCAUGCACUCAUCAUAAGCAAUUAAAUAAAAAUCACAUAUUCAUGCUAAGGUUCAAGGCUUCACCCUAGCAAAAGAAAUUUAGUUACGCAUACUCAUAAUUGAAAUCCAAGAAAAUAUCAUUAAGAAGAAAAGAACGAAAACACCUGAAAGUUGUGAAAACCCAAAACCCUAGCAAUUGCUCUCCACAAUGCAAAGUUCAAAAGUGAAAAGGGAGUCCUCCAUUCCUUGUGAGAAAGAGCUUAAAUACCCCUUAAAACCUAGCUGCCAAUGUACAGCUUUUCUAUCCCCACAAGGAAACUAAUUAAAAUAAAAUAAUACUAGGAAAUAAAGUCCAAAUUGGAAUAGGAGAAUCUGCUCAAAAUCUGCCCAGCCACGUUUUGGCCCCAAAUCUCCUCCAAAUCUGGCCCAAGAUAGCUUGUUUUAAAGAUAAAAAAUGUUCUGAACACUUCUUUAGAAGGCCACGAACCCAUCCGAGGUCAUCUUGGGCUCCAAAAACGCAAUAAAAGCCCAACACGUCACUAUUCCAGCACCGCGCACUGCUCCUUUAUUUUGUUGCCAGAAAAUAACCGCUUGGAAGAAAAAUCUGAAAUUUUGAUACGAUCAAGCUAAGUGACUCAAGAACGUCCUCCAACUGGAAUUACUCCAAAAUUCCUCAAUUUGAUUAUGUUUUGCUCCAGAGAGAUUCGAAAGUCCUAUAUUGGAAAUAUAAUUCAAAGUAUCAAAAGUCUUCCAAAAUAAUAACCAAAAUAUACUAAGAAUGAGGUUAAAUAUAUAAUAUAAAAUAUGUCCAUCAAAAUACCCCCAAACUUAGCUUUUGCUUGUCCUCAAGUGAAACAAGACUCAAACAAAAAUAAAAACUUAACAGAUUAGACAUCUGGCUAACACUUAACUAGGACAAAAUUUCCACCUUCAAGUUGCAAUCCAUAGAAAAUUUUAAAAACUAGAACAUCCUUUCAAUAGAUCUAAGUAAUCCCACCACAAAGUCUAAGCUAUUUAGACUCAAUUAGAAAAGAAUUCACAAACUUCUUUCGGUGCAAAGUGAACCAUUAUGGUUAUGGAGACUUGACUAAAACCCUUAACUCUCAUCCCUUUUAUUCAUACUUCACACACUCCACACUUUUUGUUUUUUUUGUUUUUUGUUUUUUGUUUUUUUGUUUUUUUUUCUUUUUGUUUUUAUAGUAACAGUAGUGGUUGUGCAAUGUUGGUUCCCUUAAGCUUUCAAUCCAACCGUGUAGCCAGCUUUAGGUCAAUGUCUCCCAAACCACUCGGGUUUUAGGGCACUAGGUGUAGAACACCCCUAAGGACUUAUUAACUCAAGCUGAAAAGGCUACGAAACCAACUAACCACCCUGCCUCAUGCCAAAACUCUACCUUUUGUCUCGAGAAUCACUGCUGAUUAGGCAGGAUUGACCCGGUUACUAGCAAAGCUUCGGGUGAGGUAAUUAUUACUUUAUAACACAAACUAACUUUAUUUAUAUUGAACAUAAAUUAAAACACAUUUGGACAAAAAGUAAGUAUUCCAAUCUCACUCCCCAAAAACCAUGUUGGUGUGAUGUGCAAAUUUCAAAGUAUAAUUCAUGAAUUAAUGUCUAAGCAACAAUAAAUAGAAAAUACUCUACCGUGGGAUUGAUUUUCACCAUGUCCAUUUGUUCUAACGUUUAAAAUAAUCUAUGGAUAUUGACUGAAAAACGAAAAUUUGUAAACAAGACUCAAAAAAUGAAAAAUAAAAAAAAUUACGUUCCCACCCCCUAACUUAAAUCACACAUUGUCCUCAAGGUGGGGUAAAUAAUCAAAAGAAACAAGAGCAGAAACAAAACGACUAAAACUUAGAAAAUGGAAAUCAAAAAUAAAGAAAAUACUCUAAGAAAAGAAAUUAGGAAGGCAAAGGAUGAGAUCCAGAUGGAUCUGGUAAUCCUAUCCGUAGAGAUGGAAAGAUUCUAUACACGCCAUUGAGACUGGAUUUGGAGAUGAGGAUUUGACCCUACCUUGUUCGACGAAUUCCCUCAAGGGGAAUUAUAGCAAUAAAAUACAUAUGCUUCUACAAACAUUUAAUUGCACUGCUACGACGUGGAAAGAGUGCUUUGGGGUCUCAUCUCAUGUGAACCCGUUCGAGUAGAAAUCUUUCAUUAGAAUCAGAAAUGGGUCAUGGUAAAGAGAGGUAGAUGAUGAUUACAGUUCGGUAAAAAUGAUCAUUUCUGACAUUCCUCUCAAAGAACCGUGUUGGCAAUGUCGUUUAUCGAUUCUAAAGAAAGAAGAAAAAUAUCAACAAGUCAAAGAACGUGGAUUUCUUUUAAGGGGAGAGCUAGAACAAAAUCAAAUCACGAAUGGAAGAGUUUAGCUUUCAGAGGAAGAUUGAGCAUUACAGCAGCUAUUAAAGGAUAUUUUUAGUUGAAGAAUGAGAUUUUUCUUCCUCUGAUUGUUUAGCUAGAGCUUUUGGCUUGACUGCCAACGUGGUUGUGGAGGAAGAAACUUGGGAACCCGAGUAGUAGAUGCGAGCCCACUACCCAUACCCCUUUUGAGUGACAGGUAUGAAAUUUCAAGGAUGAAAUUUUUAUAAGAGGGGUAGAUUGUAACGACCCGGUCCUAAAUAAAUUGGUAAUUAUUAAUUUAUUCAUAUAAAAGACCAUUUUGCCCCCAUAAUAUUUUAAUAGGUUUACAUGUUGACUUGUUGACCGGGGAGGCUUUGGUGAAAUUGUUACAUCCCGGUCUGAAAAAGUGUUAAAAUAAUUAAAGUAAGAGAGAAUAAAUUGAAAUAAACAUUAAAAUAAAAUGAUUUGAAUUAAUUAAGGUGUUUGAGAAAUUAAAAUAUUAUUUAAAAUUAUAAGGGGCAAAAAGAUCAUUUUAAGUUUGGGAAGGAAUUUGAAAAUUUUGAUUGUACCGUUGUGUGGAGCACGUCGAAACGAGUCCGUAGACACAUAGUGGACUCGAAUCGGAGUUGUAACGAAAAAAUGGCGAUCAAAAGAAUUUCAGUGGCAUAACCGUAAAUAUUUUGAAGUUCAGUUUUUUUAAAACCCACAUUUAUUCUCUCUGGGGAGUGGGACGUGCCAACUUCAAAUGGUGAUUUCUCCCAACUCCGGCCACCAAUUCAAGUAAGACCGGCCCCGUUAGAACCACCACACUUCCCUCUUCCAGUCCCAGCCCAUCUCAGUCUCGAUCCGCCGUCGUAGUCGCCGAAAAUCGCCACGAAACAAGGUGGUUUGGAUAGUUUUUGUCGAAAUUUCGUGGAGCUCGUUCUCCCUCCUCCGGCCACCGUUUCAGGCGAGUGAGGUAUCAUUUCUCACCUAUUUUCUAUGAUAUAGCUGAUGGUUGGAUAUGAUUUGAUAAAUUUUGAGCGUUGAUAGUUCGAUUUUCGAAUCAAAGUUUGGCCGAAUUUCGGGAUGAAAUUCCGGCCACUUUCGAUCACUUUUUGGGGUAGGCCCAAGAACAAAAGUGUCUUCAAUUGAUGUCCUGAUCCCAGGGUAAGAGCAUUGGUCGAAAAUUUUGAGAUUUUCCUGCUGGUGGUAUCGCUUUGGGCACCCAUGCGCUGAUGGCGCGUGUGGCAGCGUGUGGGCACUGUAGCAGAGGGCCAUUGUGUCCCAAUGCGACCCCCUUGUUGUCACGAGUGCGUAAGGGUGCUCGGAUUCCAAUUUGGUUGAGGUUUGAACCCCGAAUGGAUUUCGUAUAUUGUACAUUAUCCGGGUUUGAUAGGUUUGAACCGUUGGAUAGUCUUGAAUUUAAUAUAUGUUAGUCUAGACAUCCCUAGGAUCAUAUAGGAUUUCGCGGAUCAUGGAUCGGAGCCCCGGAUGUUCUGAUUUAAUAAAUUAAAGUUUGUGUUUUACAAUAACCGUCCGAUCGUGCGAUCGCGAGCAAUCCGACAGUCCGAUCCGAACCAAACUUGCAGGACGGGUAUCCUAAAUCUUGUAGAACCCAUAGGAGCUUUCGGAUAAGAAUUUGGAGGUCGUGGGCCCGGUUGACCAAGAUUAGGUAGUUUGACCCCUCGGUUGACCAUGAGUCUUCCGAGGUAGUUUCACCCUUCGAGGAGUACUAGAAUGACCUUAUUACAUAGUCUCGACCUUUAAUUGAGCUAUGUUGACUAUGUUGAGAUUUUUAGAGUGUUUAUUAUUAUCGUAUGAAAACUCUUGGAUAUUACUUUUAAUAAUUGAAAUUAUGGAUUUGAUGAGCGUGGGUAAAUUGAUUUGAUGAGUGGUGAAAAGAAGUCGUGGGCUUGGCUAUGACUAUUAGGAAGUGAGGGGACAUUUAUGUUGAAUAUGCAUUAAUUUCAACAAUUGAAAGAACAUGCAUGGAAUGGGUAUAUAUAUAUAUAUAGAUAAAUUGGAUUAAAGAUUGAGAAAUUAAUAAGUUGAGAUAUUAGUAAUAUUUAAUUGAGAAAUGGAUUUUGAGGUGGAAAUUGGAAGGUUGAAUUUGGGGAAUUUUGGAAUUGAGAAUUAUGGGUUAAUACUGAAAGAUGUAGGAUUAUACUAUGUAAGUACCAUCCCCUAGUUACUAGGCUUCCCAUACGUGGAGUUGGAAUUUCUGGCGUGUGGGAAGGAUAUAUGAUUAUUAGAUCUCACAUGCCGUUGGAUUUUCCAGCGUGAGACAGACCCCAUACGUGGGGUUGGAUUUUUCGGCGUAUGGGGAGAUUAUGUGAUGGUUAGGUCACACGUAGGGUGGGAUUUUCCAACGUGUUGACAGACCCCAUAAGUGGCGUUGGAUUUUCCGGUGUAUAGGGAGAUUAUGUGAUGGUUAGGUCACACGUGGCAUAGGAUUUUCCAGCGUGUUGACAGACCCCGUACGUGGCGUUGGAUUUUCAGCGUAUGAGGAGAUUAUGUGAUGGUUAGGUCCCAUGUGGCGUAGGAUUUUCCGGCGUGUUGACAGACUCCAUACGUGACGUUGGAUUUUCCGACGUAUGGGGAGAUUAUCUGAUGGUUAGGUCACACGUGGAGUAGGAUUUUUCAGCGUGUUGACAGACCCCAUACGUGACGUUGGAUUUUCCGGCGUAUGGAGAGAUUAUGUGAUGGUUAGGUCACACGUGGCGUAGAAUUUUCUGGCGUGUUGACAGACCCCAUAUGUGGCGUUGGAUUUUCCGGCAUAUGGGGAGAUAAUGAGAUGGUUAGGUCACACGUGGCAUAGGAUUUUCUGGCUUGUUGACAGACCCCAUAUGUGGCGUUGGAUUUUCGCGCGUAUGGGAAGGAUAUGUGAUUAUUAGGUCUCACAGGUGGCGUUGGAAUUUCCGGCGUAUGAGACACUAACAGUGAGAAGAGAAUGAGAUUAUUUUUCUAUAUCAGAGAAAGGUUAGAGUAUAAAAAGAAAUAUGUUUGGUGUGUGGUAAUUUAAAUUAAAACAGGGAAAGAUAACUUACCUGUACUACUGAAACAGUUGUGUAACAUUUGGAGCAUGAUUAUGGAGUGAAAGAACUACGUGUGGCUUGAUCUCUCAGUAAGGGUACGUAGGCAACCUAGGUGCAGUCGUAGACUAAACGUUAUUUAUGUUGUUUUAUUGAGAUUGGUUCUGACCCUGUCGUUGGUCCUGAAAUUCGGUUGAAAACUAGAUGCGAGUAAAUAAUUGUUCAUACUCCCGUUUCGUUGAGGGAGGAUUGUGUAAAUGUGUUCUGGUCAAGACAGGUAUAAGAACUCGUUUAGGAUUGAUGUACGAUUUGGGCUAAGGCCUUAAACUACUUGUUGUUGUAUUAGGAGAUUAAAACCUCGCAUGUGGGAUAAUUGGGAAAGUUAGAUGAUGUAAAGUGCACUUAGGCAUUCAUAUAUAUGUUUAAAUUUAUUAUUUGUCUUGCUUAACGUAAUUGUUUGACUUAUGGGCUUUAUUGGUGAUUUGCUUCAGAUUAUUUAAAGGCCGAAGGCCGUUUAUGUGAAUUGCAUUUUGAUACAUUGUGCAUGCUACUAGUUGUGGAUAUUAAAUGUGUUUUAUGCAGGUUGAAAUUUUUGGGAUUGUUCAAAUUACAGGGGAGACUGCCAAAAUUUUGAUAGAAAGUCUCGGUCAUUAGUAAGUGGGCCCGGCAUCGAGGUGAUGUCGGAAUUUACACAAGAUUCCUCUCGGGUUUUCAGGAAUUCGGGGCGGAUCCUGUUACUUGGGGUGCAAAUUAUCCAUUUGUUCACCCGUUUUCGUGUUUUACUUCUGAGGUGGAAGGGCGAAGUUUCCCACUGGCUUGGAGACCACUUGUUGGUCGACAAGUCAGCUUUCUUUGGUGUGUGUGAGCGUGCCACUGCUAGCAAUGUAAAUUCUAGCAGACUUAUUUUUUAGAGUGGAUAACUUGCGCCUCAAGUUACUGACUUCUAAAACAAAUGAUUGUGAAUUUGGGUGAGGAAUAUCUCCCAAGUAAGUUCUUUUCUUGCCUCAAACUGGUGAGGACUUUCACAAUUUAUCUCAGUAUCAAAUGGUUGUUCUGGCCAGAAUAGAUAAUAAUAAAGUAGACUGUUUCAGGCAGAACUGCCUUUUACAAAAUUAAGAAGGGAGAAAUCAACUCUAGAAAGGAAAAAAGAUGGCUGGAAUCCCAUUUCUGCCUGGGUAGAAACUUCUGAUCCGGGCUGGACUGGGUAUGUCUAUGCUGGACGGUGCUGUCAACAACUUUAGCUUGCUCGGCUUUAGUUGUAAAUCGAUACCAAAGUUCAAUUUUGGCAGAGCUUCAAUCUACUUCAAGCCUUGGGAGACUUUUGAGUGGGCAGAACUGCAGCUUCUUCAGUUUGAAGGGACAGAAGUGGCUAUUCUCGAGGAUUUAGCAAGCUGGAACUAUGCUAUAAAAUUUGUUGAGGUUUUCAUAUUUGUGAAAACUCAAACUAUGUUUGUCUUGGCUUUUGCUGAACCAAAUUUGUAACGAGAGGGAUCUUGUUUUCAGAAGACUUAUUUUCUAAGUCUGAACUUUGGAAUUCUGAUCUAAAGCUGUUUUCUUGUUUGUUUUUUUUUGAUUGACUGAUGAAUUGAGUGUCCUUUGUUUCUUUGCCUUCUUUCGCUUUUAUAAGAGAUCCUCCUAAGGAGGUCAUUUUUAAUCCUAAACAAUGGGCGGCAAAAAGAUCUCUUAUAAUGUAAAGUAAGAAGGGUUUCUUAUCAAUCAAGGCAGAUAGGUUCUGAGCAGUCACCUCCUAAAAACAGUCCAUUCCCUGGUUUCCUGGGUGGCAGCUUUCUAAUUCAACCAACGCCACCGUCUGUGUGGGCUUUUUAUGGCAGUUUUGGCUCUUUUCUUUUGUAUUUUCUGAGUGGUUCCCUGUUUCCCGUUCUAAUUUAGAAAGCGUGAUUCGUGAAUUCCUUGGGAGAUGGUGUAUUGAUUUGGAGCAAAAUCUUGAACACAGAUGGGUUUUUGAUCUUCAAUUGGCAGUGUUUCAGAGACGUCCCUCUCACAUUUUUAAACUUUAGUUGGAAUUGCUGACUUUUCCAAAGUUGAGGCAAUCACGUGGGUGUGUCUUUGAUCCCUUGGUUUUGAAUCUAUCGAAAAUUACGGGCUGAUCUUUGAAGCCCAUUUCGAAAGUUUCCACAUCUGGGCUUUCUUUGGGCUGAGGCUUUAUUUCCAACAUUCUUGGUGUGAAGCCCAAACUGUCUGGGUCUUAUUUUCGUUUUUCUCAAGUCUCUGGGCUGGGCAGGCAAUUUUAUCAUGGGCCUGUCUUCUGGUCUUGGGCGUGCCGAAUUUGGGCCCAAACAAUGCCCCCUAAGUCUGAAUCGUUUUGGAAUGGUUUCAGACUUAAUGUUUUGCCAUUUAAUUCACGUGCCAGUUUCUUCCGUGUUUUCGCCCACGUCUGCCACGUUUGCCUGCUACGAACUAGAGUUCGUGGGAAAACGGCUAGUUAUUAUCUAGUUACUAGCUAAUAAUCAUCAGGUGCCGUCCCAUCUUCUUCUUCCCACGUUUUCGAGCCCCUCUUUAAAAGAAAUUCAAAUUCAUAGCUUCUGAAAAAAGAAACCCUAAACCUUCCAGCUCUUGUUCCUGCGAGUUCUUUCUUCGAGAUUUCCAAAGCCUUCUUUAGACCUUCCUUUCUUCUGCUUCUUCCCUUGAAUCAGAAAUGUCUUCCCCAAGGUCCCGCGCUCAGUCUUCUUCCGCUUCAGUUCCUCCCGAUUAUAUCACUGGGAGCGGGAUUGAUGCUCACGCGAUAGAAAUCAGGAGCAAGCUUCAUCCCUUUGCCCAGAAGAAUCUGGACGAGAAUGUCCUCCAUUUGUUUGAGAACACCCUGGUGUUAGGGCCUCACUGGUUUGGUCCUGUUCCAGCUGAGAUGGCAGAAUUGCUAAAAAAGGAUGCCGAGGCUCCUUUGUGUUUUGAGAGCUCUUCUGCCCUGGCUUCUUAUUCUUGGGUUAGCAAGAAUUUGAGCCGGUCCUUCCCGUCCAGCGAGGUGAGGAAUAGUCUGGUCAAAUGGGCAGACUGGAUUGAUAGACUUCUCCCGAGAUAUGGGGGUCACUGGAGGAGAGCUGGGAUUUAUGACGCCAUUUUUCUGUCCAAACAAUCGAUUAACAGAGAUGAGAAUCUGCUUGCUGCUGCUUUAUGCUUCUGGAAUUCUGCCAGCAAUACAUUUGACUUCCGCGUGGGUCCUAUGGCGCCAACCUUGCUGGAUAUGGCUCAGAUUUUUGGGUUCAGGCCCCAUGGUAGGCCUGUUGAUGCCAUUGGAGAUUAUCACAGGCGAAGGAAUCAAGAGAAAGUGGCCACCCCUUUUACUAUCCCUCCAGCCGUGAUCAACCAGAACUGCUCUUUCUCCAACUAUCUGAAGAAGUUCAGUGCUGAUAAGGACAAGGAUCAGCAACAUAUGUUGUUCCUUCUGUAUUGGCUGAAUUGGUUCGUUCUCCCCAAUCGGUCUUCUGCAGUUCUGCUAGAGUACAGACACUUGGCAGAAGCACUCCACAAUCACACUGAUGUGGGGCUCGGGCCUACAGUUCUGGCUCACCUUUUCAAGAAUCUGCAUACUUCCACCCUGGAGAACCCAUUGAACCUGUCAGCCCCUGGCGCAUUCUGGAUGAUCCAGAUCUGGCUGCAGGUUUAUUUUCCAGAACUAAGGUUCCCAGACAUAGUUCUGCCUGAAGAUCAAGUCCUGGCUCUUCCUCUGAUGUCGGCAGAAGUGCCCAAGCAUUCUAUUGAGGAGUAUUUGAUGCUCUUCAGGCAUUGUACAAAGAGGUCGGCAGCUCAGUGGCAAGUGGUGAUCAGGAGGACCUAUCCUUGGUUCCAGACCGGAUUUCGGUUGUUUGAGAAGGAGCCAGAAGAUGAAGCUGCCAGAACAGAUUUCAGGAGGAAAUUUCUGAGCAUUACUCUGCCCAGAGAUCUACCCCAUGGUGGGGGCAAACCUCCAAACUAUCAUCUGGGGGCAGAAGUCUACCAUCCCAACUUCUGCGCGAGGCAGCUUGGUUGUCCCCAACUCAUUCCGCUGAAAUCAUAUCGGAGUUGUAACCGGGCCUCUUCUUGGAGGGAUGCAGAUGAUCUGGAGGUGCACAAGGAUGCCCGGUGUGCAGUGAACAAAAUCAACAACAGCACGGAUGCCCUCUAUCCCUCGUGGGAGCUGAAUUCCUGCAGUUCUGCCGACUUUGACGCAUGGUGGAAAGCCAGAUUCCAAAGUCUGCCUGCUUCUGUCACUGCCCUCAAGGUGCUGUUUGAUGGUUGGGAAAACUGGGUCGUUUUUGCGAAUGGGGAUGCCAAGACGCAUAUGAUCCAGACCAUCAAGGAUAUUAACGCGCAAAUUAUAGAAGGUAGAUUUCUGAUUCUGUAUGGGGUUCGUUCUGUCCUGAUGAUUGAUUUCUAAUGUCUAUUCUGCCUGUAUCAGAUCCUUCUUUGACCAGCGUAGGUGGGCAGUCUGUUCAUGCUGGGGAAGUGAUUGGUAAGUCUUUUCUUUUAAUUCUAUUCUGUCUUUUCCUGCUGGAUUGGUCUCUAAUGUCUAAUGCCUUGGUGCAGUCUCUUCCGUUAUUGCUGCCGGGGACUUGGAGCUCCCUUCUGCGGAUGAAGGAGAUGAGGUCCAGACAGAACAAACACCUACCGAGGCCGCUCUUUCUGGCAGAAGAAAAAGGAAAGGACCUGCCCCUCCUUCGGAUAAUCCCACGCGGCCUGGUAUUUCAGGUAAGCUCGUGAUGUUCCAACCAUUCUCUUUAAAUUUAUUAUGUCUUGCCUUCUUUUCCCUAAUACUGCUUUUUGUUCUGUGCAGCUGGAAGUCCUUCCCCUCCUCCUACCAAGUUGAAAAAACUUAAAAAGAGGAGUGAGGAGGAGUAUGUCGCCGCGGAAGAGACGGCAGCAAUUCCCACCACUACCUCCGGGACGGAUGAAGAGCUGCGAGAGGCUUUUGAGGAGGUGGAGCAGGAAAAAGAAUUGGAAGAGCUGGAAGAAACGCCUCAGGAAAAAACGGCAGUGGCGGAAGGAGAGGUAAGUUUUAUUUCUGUGAUUCGCAUCAGUUCCCUUCUCGCCCUGUUUCUUCCGUUCUGACCCUUAUUUUGUAGGAGAAGAUCCCUGCUGAGGUGAUUGCAGAGAGCAUUGCCUUGGCGCAGAAGCAACAAGGGGGUCCAAGGGCUGAGCGGACUAGCUCAGAACUAGCCCUAUUUGAGGAUGCUGAGGCAGAGCAUUCUACUGCCGUUCCAGCGGCUGAGGAUCAGGCGGAACGGUCUGCAUCAGAGCCUGUGGAUCAGGCAGAGCUGUCUGUUGUGGUUCCGGAGGCUGAAGUGGAAACAACCGCCGCUGCCCCUGUGGUUGUGGUAACUUUCUUUCUUUAUCUGUCCACACUCUCCUGCAUUUCUGCCUUGUUCUUUAUUUUUAACUGUUGUAGCCUUUUCAGGUAGAAGUGCCUAAAGCUGUUGGCGUCCUGGCAGCGGUUACCAGUCCCCAGAAGCCUCCCAUUGUUGCUGUAAGUUUUCAUAACUUUUGGGCCUUUAUUUUCCACUUUCUGCCUGGUCUUACCUUAUGCUUUCUUCUUGCAGAUGCCAAUUCAUUCCCUUCCAGGAUCAUCUGCCACGGCUUCUUUUGCUGAUCCAGAACUCGAAGAGUUUGAAGCCAUGGAUCUGGAUGCCCAAUUGGACAGAUUGGAGAAACUCAGCUCUCCUCCAGGCAAGGCAAAAUCUAGGGCAGUGGAGGAGGCCAUGGAGAGGUUGAAAAUCUGGCAGUCUAAUGAGCUGGAGUUUGAUCAAGACAAUGAAGCCUUAAAUCAGCUGAUGAAGGACCUGGACCUGCUUCACAGACAGAACAUGGCUCCAAAACCUAUCCUUGAGAUGGGCCUAAGCUUGGCCAGAGAUGUGCUCAAUCUGCAUGAUCGCUAUGAGGAUCUCAGGCCUACUUUCAAGACUUCUGAAUUCUGCAAGGCCACUCAUGAAGCCAACCUGGCUGAUUUUGCAAAGCAGAAAGCAGAACUGGAUCAGAUGGUGGCCGGAUAUAAGGAAGCCAGGGCCACUGCGGACAAGCUGGAGAAGCCGAUGGAAGAGCUCCAAAAACAACUGGCAGAAUGCAGGGAGGUGCAGAGCAGGCUUGGGGCUGGACUGAGUUCUAAAACUAAGGCCACUUUCCUUGUGCAAAGUAUGGUUGCAGCUUCCAGGACAGCCUUGGAGAUUGCAGAGGCUUCAAUUCACCAGGGGGUGCUGCUCCAGAAAGAGCUUUCUGUCAAGAAAGCGAACCUGCAGGAGACUCUUAGAAAACUAGGAUUUUAGCUUCUUCUUUCCUUUUAUUGUUCGAAUAAUUUGCCGCAAAGGUGGCUAUUUUUAUAUAAGCUUUCAAAGCAUUUUACUGCUUUUCAUUUAUUCUUGAUGCAAUAACUGGAUACGGCUUUGAAAGUAAAAAACAGAACAACUUUAAAGCAAAAAUAAAUCUAAACAAAAUUCUUUUCAAGAAACAAAAAGGUCAAACUUGUUCCUCUUCUAUCCCGGGAUCUGUUUAUACAGCCUGCGAAUCCCACGUGGUUGGAUAGAACUUCUUUAACCAUUUACCAUUGAUUGGGGCAAAAUGAACAACUCCAUCUCGGUCCUGCAACCUGUAUGCCCCCAUUCCGAGGAUUUGGUUAAUUAUAAAAGGGCCUUCCCAUGUAGGUGACCAUUUCCCAUAUCCAGCUAUGUGUGCUCCAAGGGGCAGAAUUGCCUUCCAGACUAUCUCUCCCUCUUCAAAACUCUUGUUUUUGACUCUUUUGUUGUAGGCCCUUGAUACAGCCUGUUUUCCUGCUAAGAGUUUGUUGAGGGUGUCAAUUCUGCUUGCAUCCAAUUCUUCCAAUUCCAGCAACAUGGCUUGAGAGUAAUCCUCCCCAGUGAGACCAUGCUGGUGAGCAAUUCUAAGAGACUGGACCGCUAUCUCCAUGGGAAGAAUUGCAUCGUGGCCGUAGGUUAGAGCAUAGGGGGUCAUGCCAGUUGCUUCUCUCUUUGAAGUUCUGUAUGCCCACAAAGUUUCUGAUAACUUCUCAUGCCAUUACUUUGGAUUCUUCUCUAGCAUCUUUUUGAUGAUAUUGAUAAUCACCUUGUUACUUGAUUCCACCUGUCCAUUAGCUUGAGCAUAGUAAGGAGUAGAUUGAAGCAGUUUGAACUUGAACGUUUCUGCCAUAUCUAGCAUGUCCCUAGAUAUGAAAGAAGAACCCCUAUCGGUUGUGAUUGAUUCUGGAAUGCCAAACCUUUGUAUGAUCUGUUCUUCUAUAAAGGUGAUGAUCUCUUGAGAUGUUGUGGUUUUUACUGGCUUGGCCUCUACCCACUUGGUGAAGUAAUCUGUGGCAACGAUAAUGAAACAGUGCUGCUGGUUGCUGGCUGGAUAGAUUUUGCCAAUGAGAUCCAUUGCCCAUCCCCUGAAAGGCCAUGGUUUUACUACUGGAUUCAUGGGAACCGAAGGAGCCUGCUGGAUUGGGCCGUGCCUUUGACAGGCUUCACAUCCUUUGGAGUAGUUGAUGCAAUCCUUCAUCAUGGUUGGCCAGAAGUAGCCAUACCUUCUGAUUAACCAGCACAUCUUUCUUCCCCCUUGGUGAGCUCCACAGAUCCCCUCAUGGGUUUCUCCCAUGGCUUUCAUAUAUUCUGUCUUCCCGAGGCACCUUAAUAGUACCUCAUCCUUACUUUUUCGGACCAAAUCUUCAUUCCACAUGAGGUAGUUUGUAGCCAUGAUUCUGACUCUUUUCUUAGAGGGCAGAGUGGGAUAUCGUAAGUAAGUCAUGAUAGGCUCCCUCCAAUCAUCUUCAGUGAUCAAGGCAGAAUUGACUUCUAUCUCCAUUCCUCUCGUCAAAACAGAUGGUAGACUUUUCCUUCCUAUCUUGAUGAUCCUUUGGACGCAGUCUUCGGGCAUUUGUAUGCCUGAUGCCACCUGAGCCAGUUCAUUGGCUGCAAAGUUUUCCUCCCUUGGGAUGUUCUCCCAAGUAGCUUCUCUAAAUUCUGUUAGCAGAUUUCUAGCUGCUACUAGAUAUACAGCCAGAGAAGGAUUCAGACACUUAUAUUCUCCAGCAAUCUGUUUUAGGACAAGCAUGGAAUCUCCCAAGAUCUCCACGGACUGGACUCAUAAUUCUACCAACAUCUCGAGCCCUAUAAUCAAAGCCUCAUACUCGGCCAUGUUGUUGGUGCAUUGGAAAUCUAGCUGGAAGGAAUAGCAAUGUCUGACCCCUAAUGGUUCUUCCAGAACAAUCCCUGCUCCUGAAGCCUUGUCUGUCUUUGAUCCAUCAAAAUAUAACUUCCAAGGUGUGAGAUGAAUCGAGUAGAUUGGAUUGUUAAGGCAAACAUGAGCUCUAGUUAGCAGAUCUGCAUUUGCUAUGUCCAAAGAAUCCAUGUUUUCAAUUUCCUCUCCCGAGUGAUCUACCAAGAAGUCUGCCACAGCUUGCCCUUUGACAGCUUUCUGGGGGACAUACCUGAAGGUGAAUUCUGUCAAAGCCAAAGUCCAUUUCCCAAUUCUGCCCCUCAGCAUUGGUCUUGUUAGCAUGUAUUUGAUUAAGUCUGUUUUGGCAAUGAUGUAGAUAGUAUGUGGCAGCAUGUAGUGCCUGAGCUUUACAGCAGUGAAAUAUAAGGCCAGGCAAAGCCUUUCUAUUGCGGAAUACCUUCUUUCCACUUCUGUCAAUGUUCUGCUUAGAUAGUAGGCUGCCUGUUCUUUUCCUUCUUUGUUAUCUUGAACUAUUAGACUUCCAAUGGAUACUUCUGAUGCAGAUACAUAAAGCUUGAGGGGUCUGCCCCUUUUUGGUGGGGACAGAACUGGUGGAUUUGAGAGGUAAUGCUUUAUUUCCUGGAAAGCCUGUUGGUGCUGUUCUUCCCAUUUGAAUGUCUGUUCCUGCUUCAGUCUUAACAGGGAAGAAAAAGGUUGGAUUUUUCCUGCAGAAUUGGAUAUGAAUCUCCUUAGAAAAUUGAUUUUUCCUAAGAGACUUUGAAGUUCCUUCUUGUUCUGAGGUGGUAGAGCUUCUAUGAUGGAUGUUGCUUUAUUUCUGUCAACCUCUAUACCUCUCUGGUGGACCAAGAAUCCUAAGAAAUUCCCUGCUUGGACUCCAAAAACACAUUUUUUGGGGUUCAUUUUCAGUUUGUGCUGCCUCAUUCUUAGGAAUGCCCUUCUCAGGCUUGCUACGUGAUUUCCUUCCUCAGGGGAUUUAAUCACCACGUCAUCUAUGUAUACUUCCAAGGAAUGUCCUAUCAUAUCAUGAAAAAUAGAAUUCAUUGCCUUUGGUAGGUGGCUCCCGCAUUUCUCAAACCGAAAGGCAUUACAGUAUACUCGAAAGCACCUAUAUGUCCUGGACACAUAAAGGCUGUCUUGUGGAUGUCCUGUUCUGCCAUCAUGAUCUGGUUAUAACCUGCAUUGCCGUCCAUGAAAGAUAGCAUCUGGUUAUGAGUGGCUCCAUCCACUAGCAUGUCUGCCAUUGGCAUAGGAUAUUCGUCUUUAGGAGAUGCCUCAUUCAGAUUUCUGUACAAUAUUUGCUAACCAAUCGGAAUAGACGGCUGGCCUGAUGAAUCCUGCCUUGAGCAGCCUUUCUAUCUCUUCUUUGACCUUUAGUUCUGUGUCCAUAGACAUUCUUCUUCUGGCCUGUUUGACUGGAAGGUAGCCAUCUUUAAUUGGCAGCUUGUGCUCCACUCACUGCCUGUCCAAUCCUGGCAUUUCGUGGUAAUGCCAGGCAAAACAAUCUCUGAACUCCUGUAAAAGUGCCAUGAGUUCAGUCUUGAGUGGUUCCUUCAAAAGUGUGCUGAUGAAAGUAGGCCUUGGAUCUUCUUCUGUUCCUAAGUUUAUCUCCUGUAGAGGAUCCUCUACUUCUGGCAGGGAGUCAUCCAGUGCUGCUGGUGCAAAAUCUAAUACUUCCUCCUGUAAAAUUUCCUCCUCUUGCUCUUUUGUGCUUUCAUGGGUGAAUUCUGCCAUAUUGAUGGCUGGAUUCUGUAUGAAAAGCCUCCUUUCUCCCCAGUAUAUCAACAAUCUUUUUGUGAUGGAUCGGAUUGUUGCAGCUCGAUCCUUGUCUAGUUGAUUCGGACUAAACAUCAGAGUUCUGGAAGUUCAGCACAAAAAGGUCUAUUCCAGUCCUCUAGAGAACUGGCUAAACCUUCUUCAAUGAGUCUUUGGGCCGUGACACCAUGUGGACGGCCGUUCUGAUUGACUCCAAGGAAAGUGAAAGGACCGAGGUCAUCAUGAUAAUACCUUGUUUCAAAGCACAUGGCAGAGGGCAGGAAUGGCCGUGGAUCAGCCUCUAUAAUCUCCAUGCAGCCUUCUUCAUUCCAUAGUGCUAACUGCGGGUGGAGGGUGGAAGGAAUACAAAGGCUCUGGUGAAUCCAAUCCCUGCCAAGUAGUGCAUUGUAGGUGGUGGAAGUAGUGUCUAUAACAAAGAAUGCUAUUUUCAACUCUUUGCUUCCGAUUAUGACAUCCACAUCUAAGAUGCCAUGUAUUUUGGUGAUGCAACCAGAAGUUGGUGACGGUCAAUCGUGUUGGAAUCAGAUCUUUCUCUGUCCUGCCCAGCUUGGUCAGCAUUCUGUGGGGUAAUAGAUUAAUGGCUGCACCUCCAUUUACCAUGAUCUUGGAAAUAGGAAUACCCCCAAGAUUUGCCGUUAUAAACAAAGGUCUGAGGUGAAACAAGGUUGCUCUGUAGCUGGUUUAUUGGCUGUUCUGCCUGUCUUGGGGUUUUCUGCUUGUGGUUCUGGUGGCUCCUCUGCUUCUGCCAAUCUACAUUCAAAGCUUUCCUGAGAGAAAACAUCCCCUUCCAGAGUGCUUUCUUGUCCUUCGGCUGCCCUGAAUUUACUUGGUAGGAUGAAUACCAUGUUAAUUCCCAGAUCACCCUGUAGGAGGUCUUCUAAUUCUGCGCCAAAAGCUUCUGUUUCUGGGUCCAAUUCUACACCAAAUUCCAUUAAUUCUUCCCCGUAUUCUUCCGUCCAGUCAUCCUGUUCUGCUACUUCGAGGGGCUCUUUCUGAUCAUCUGCGGAAGGUUCAUAGUCCAAUUGCUCUUCUUCAUAUUCCUCAGUGUAGUCGUCUUCUCCUUGUAACGGGGUAGACCCAGAUUUCUCUGGUGUCUGCGUGGUGUCAGGACGGCUGCUGGACGACGAGGCCACAUGGAUAGGAGACCUGGCUGGGGGUUCUGUUUUCAGCAAUUCCCUUGACUGGCAAGCUUUCUGUUCUGUCUGGGGAAGUGUUUCAGGAUUUUUUCCUUUCCUAGCAGAACUGGGUUGUGAACGUACCUGCGUAUUAUCUUGGCUCUUAAGAUAUGUGCAGUAUUGCCUCUGGAUUCUCCUUUUCUGGGUUCUGGUUAGCUCCAGAGUCGGUCUACCGCUUCUUCCUACGGAAUACCAUCUCCCUUCUAUGAUCGUUGCCAAGGAUCUUUCGUUUCUGGGCAUCUUGACUGGUAUUUCCUUUCUGGGUUGCUCCAUCCUCCUCUCGCUGUAUUGUGUAGGCCUAAGACAGCUCUUCUGCCUUGUUUUGUCUCGGGAUGAGGUUCCAAUUCUGUCAAAGACACUAGGUGUGGGCUGAUUUUGUCUGUCUAGAACCACCUCUAGCUCUGUUUCACAUUUGCACCUACUGCAGAGCACUACCCCAGCCGAGAUGGUCGCUCUUGGUAUUUGACUGGUCUCCCUUAUGAUUCUUCUGCCUCUGCUGCAACCAGCAUCUGUGAUUGGCUCGGUUUUCCUCUGUUCUGGCCAAUUUAAGUUGACCAUAUUGACUUGUGGUUGAGGAAAAGGAUCCGUUGUGACGGAUGGUGGUUUUUCUGCCAGUUUCAACCUUCCUGCCGUUAUCCCUUCUUGUAUUACGUCCCUGAAAACAACACAACUAUUGGUAGAAUGGUUCCAAGAGUUGUGCCACCUGCAGUACUGUCUGCCCUUGAGUUCUUCCGGCUUCGGUAUUCUGUGAGGCGUCUCUAUUGCCUUCUACAGUAGCAUUUCGUGGAACAAGGCAUCAACCUUGGUUAAGUCAAAAGAGUAAACCUUGUUUUACGUUGGUUUGUUUGGAACGAAUCCUCCUGUGAAUGGUGGUGGCUUUUGGUCUUUAGGUGGCUUUGUGAGGGCUUUGCAACUAAUGGGAUGUUUUAGUUUUGCCAUUUCUGCCACUGAAACCUCUUUCUCUUCUGAUUCUUCUGCAUCUUCUUGUGAUUCCACCUCGAUCAGGUGGACUGAAGAAGAAGGGGUUUUAUAGUAUGUACCUUUGGAGGAGUUCCUCCUUUGCUGUUCCUCCCUGAGUAACUCCUCAUAUUUGGAUGCCUUAUCAGCCAGUUCUGCCAGAUCUCCGAACAAUAUCCCGUCGAACCUUUUCCUGAGAGAGAUUUUAAGGGCAACUUGGGCCAUCUGGAUGAAGUGUCUUUCUUCCAUCGGGAUUCGGCACUUCAUUUUGAGCUUUCUGAACCUGGUUAUGAAAUCUUGGGCCGGUUCAUCUUCACUUUGCUUGAGGGCAGCUAGAUCACUGAUGGUGACUUCUGGCUGAAUCCUGUAAUAGUAGUCAUGGAAGACAUUUUCCAUCUGUUCCCAGGUUUGAACAGAGUUAGCUGGCAGGCUGGUGUACCAGGUAAAAGCUUGCCCAAAAAGAGAGUUGCCGAAAAGCCUUAAUUUCAGCAGAGGGUUGCUUUCUAUAGCUAUGCAUUGGACGGAGAACCUGCCUAUAUGUUCAACUGAGGAAGAAUGGGGGUCUUCCCCAUUGAACAAAGUGAAGUUUGGCACUUUGAAACCUGGAGACAACAGUAUUUGAUCGAUAUAGGCUGGGUAUGGCUUUCUGUAAGUAGGCCUUUCCCCUAUUCUAGCCUCGGGUUCCAUGAUUUCUCUGAUCAUUCUUUGCAACGCUCCUAUGUCAUUCAAAGCAUUGACUGGGGGAAGAUUUUGUCCCUGUUCUGGCUGAACGUAAUCAAACCUGGGCUCUGCUCUGUGUGGUCUGGGUGGAACUUCCUCCCUGUGUUCUUCCUGCUCUUCGACUUCUGGAUGAUUCCUCCAGUUUGCCCCCGGUCUAUUCCUGUCAUGAUUAGCAAAAAGGUUGUUCCCUCCUCGGCCUCUCCUCCUUCUUGCAAGUGGAGGGAAUGGAUUAGGGUCCAUCCUUCUGGGUCUAUAUGGCAAUACUGCCGGUGGUUCAGGCAGAAGCGCCAAAGGUUGAUCAUGUGGGAGCACAUGAAGUGGAAUGGGCUGAGGUUCUGGCUGGUUCUGAGCCAGUGCCAGGUUAUCUGGUUGAGCUGGGGCUUCAUGUUUUUGAUUAGGAAGGGCUCCUUCCCUCGGACCAGCCUGAAUUUCUCCGUGGUCUGGCACUCCAGCCAUCUGUGCAACUAGGAAAUUUUCCUGGUAUGGCCAUAUUAGUCCUGGCGGAGGGCCAUAAGGGAGAUCCAACUGCUGGAUUACAGGAUCUGGGUUUGGGUUUCUGGCCAUGGCGGAUUCUCGGUCCUUCCGGAACUGUCUGUUUACCUGCCAUUACAUCAUGGCUGUCAUGUUAUUGAGAGUGUCCUGGCUCCUUCGUACUGUGAUCUCUUGUCGGAGUACUGACUCCUGUAUUUGAUUCAUCCUUUUGGAGCCAGUCCUGGAACGUCUACUUCCUGUACUGCCGUGGGCAGAUUGCCUAGCAUCGCUUUUUUCUGAUUCGAGGCCUUCCCUGAGAACCAUCUUGUUUUUCUCCAUAUCUGGUGUGGGUUCUGACUAGAUCUUCCGGUAUUUGUGAAUCUGUGAAUGAUUCUGUCAGAGUAUAUAUACUGAGAAGUCCCACUGGGUGUGCCAAAUUAUUCACCCGUUUUCGUGUUUUACUCCUGAGGUGGAAGGGCGAAGUUCCCCACUAGCUUGGAGACCACUUGUUGGUCGACAAGUCAGCUUUCUUUGGUGUGUGUGAGCGUGCCACUGCUAGCAAUGUAAAUUCUAGCAGACUUAUUUUUUAGAGUGGAUAACUUGCGCCUCAAGUUACUGACUUCUAAAACAAAUGAUUGUGAAUUUGGGUGAGGAAUAUCUCCCAAGUAAGUUCUUUUCUUGCCUCAGACUGGUGAGGACUUUCACAAUUUAUCUCAGUAUCAAAUGGUUGUUCUGGCCAGAAUAGAUAAUAAUAAAGUAGACUGUUUCAGGCAGAACUGCCUUUUACAAAAUUAAGAAGGGAGAAAUCAACUCUAGAAAGGCAAAAAGAUGGCUGGAAUCCCAUUUCUGCCUGGGUAGAAACUUCUGAUCCGGGCUGGACUGGGUAUGUCUAUGCUGGACGGUGCUGUCAACAACUUUAGCUUGCUCGGCUUUAGUUGUAAAUCGAUACCAAAGUUCAAUUUUGGCAGAGCUUCAAUCUACUUCAAGCCUUGGGAGACUUUUGAGUGGGCAGAACUGCAGCUUCUUCAGUUUGAAGGGACAGAAGUGGCUAUUCUCGAGGAUUUAGCAAGCUGGAACUAUGCUAUAAAAUUUGUUGAGGUUUUCAUAUUUGUGAAAACUCAAACUAUGUUUGUCUUGGCUUUUGCUGAACCAAAUUUGUAACGAGAGGGAUCUUGUUUUCAGAAGACUUAUUUUCUAAGUCUGAACUUUGGAAUUCUGAUCUAAAGCUGUUUUCUUGUUUGUUUUUUUUUUAUUGACUGAUGAAUUGAGUGUCCUUUGUUUCUUUGCCUUCUUUCGCUUUUAUAAGAGAUCCUCCUAAGGAGGUCAUUUUUAAUCCUAAACAAUGGGCGGCAAAAAGAUCUCUUAUAAUGUAAAGUAAGAAGGGUUUCUUAUCAAUCAAGGCAGAUAGGUUCUGAGCAGUCACCUCCUAAAAACAGUCCCUUCCCUGGUUUCCUGGGUGGCAGCUUUCUAAUUCAACCAACGCCACCGUCUGUGUGGGCUUUUUAUGGCGGUUUUGGCUCUUUUCUUUUGUAUUUUCUGAGUGGUUCCCUGUUUCCCGUUCUAAUUUAGAAAGCGUGAUCCGUGAAUUCCUUGGGAGAUGGUGUAUUGAUUUGGAGCAAAAUCUUGAACACAGAUGGGUUUUUGAUCUUCAAUUGGCAGUGUUUCAGAGACGUCCCUCUCACAUUUUUAAACUUUAGUUGGAAUUGCUGACUUUUCCAAAGUUGAGGCAAUCACGUGGGUGUGUCUUUGAUCCCUUGGUUUUGAAUCUUUCAAAAAUUACGGGCUGAUCUUUGAAGCCCAUUUCGAAAGUUUCCACAUCUGGGCUUUCUUUGGGCUGAGGCUUUAUUUCCAACAUUCUUGGUGUGAACUGGACUAAACAGUUAGUCGGACCAGACCGUCUACACAUAUGAACUGGACUCACAAGCCUAUGUUUUUUGAGCUCCCAUAUUGGUCGAAACUCAAAUUGAGGCACAAUCUAGAUGUGAUGCAUGUUGAGAAAAAUGUAUUUAACACAUUGGUGGGCACGAUUCUAGAUAUCGAGGGCAAGACAAAGGACACAAUCAAAGCCCGUCUUGAUUUGGAAAGAAUGGGCAUACAAAGGGGUUUAUGGAUGAACAGGGACAGUGAUAAAGCUAGAAGGGAUCUUGCAUUCUUUUCUAUGAAACCGAAUGAUAAAAAAGAGUUUCUAAAGUUUGUAUCGUCUGUAAAGUUUCCUGAUGGGUAUGCUUCUAAUAUCGCACAUUGCGUGAAUGUUGACGAGGGUAAAUUUACUGGACUGAAGAGCCAUGACUGCCAUGUGUUUAUGCAACGCCUACUUCCUGUGGGUAUUCGACAUCUAUUGCCGGAAGAUGUUGUGAAGCCAAUCAUGUUGUUGUCCAGAUUUUUUUCCCAACUGACGGCAAAAACAUUGCGAAAGACAGACAUAUUUCAGUUGCGCCAUGACAUUGUCCAAGUCCUAUGCAAGUUUGAGAUGAUAUUUCCUCCAGCUUUCUUCACAAGUAUGAUGCACGUGAUGGUUCACUUGCCAGAAGAGGCAUUGCUUGCUAGUCCUGUCAACUAUCGCUGGAUGUAUCCAAUAGAAAGGUAUAUAAUCUUUAUCGUUUGUGUAUGCAUCAUUAUCACAGACUUGCUAAUUUGUAUCAUAUCGUUUUAUUUUGACAGGCUUCUCGGAGAGCUGAAAAAAAGUGUACGCAACAGGGCGAAGCCCGAAGGAUCAAUUAUAGAGGCUUGGGUUCAAUAUGAGUCGCUUACUUUCUGUGGAAUGUAUUUAAAAGAUGUGGAGACGGCUUUCAAUCGUCCUCAACGCAAUAACGACGAAGGUAUGAGAAAGGAAAAACUUUCUGUUUUUGCCCAAAGUGCACGACCCUUUGGAGAUCCUGGACGAGGAGAGUCGUUUUCUAGAAAUGACAUGGAGGUAGCGCAUUGGUUCGUACUGAACAAUUGUGAUGAGAUAAUGGCAUACUUAGAUAAGCAUGAAGAGAUGAUGAAGCGAGAACAUCCAUCACAUUUAGUUGCCCAGAAACACCGUGAAUUGUUUCCACAAUGGUUUUUGGAUUCUGUAAGUUAUAAGUGUUUUGUAUUUGACAAAUAUAAAUUGUAGUAUUUAAUUUUGUCAGACUAACAUGUGAAUGGUUUUGUAUUAUAUUAGGUGAAUAAGUUGAAAUCAUCGAAUUCCCCCACUUACAGUGAUGAGUUAUAUAACUUGGCGUUCGGCCCAAUUCGCGCUGAAUUGUUUCGGGUUGUUAUAUUAAUGGCGUCAAAUUUUUGGGAGCCGCACGAGAUGACAAGUUGUGUAUGCAAAACAGCGGUGUCCAUGUCCCAGGUGGAGGCGAAAGUACGAACAUUGAUUUCUAUGGCAAACUCACAACUGUCAUUCAAUUGCUUUACAAAGAUCGAUACUAAGUGAUCAUGUUUAAGUGUCGAUGGUUUGAUAGCAACCCAAAUAGGCCGGGAAGUGUUAAAAUCAACCAUGGCUUACUAUCUGUGAACAUUAACAGAACUUGGUAUGAUGACGACCCUUACAUUUUGGCAAACAUGGCAACACAAAUUGUGUAUCUAGAUGACCCUAAAGCCGGGAGCAGUUGGAAAGUUGUUCAGAAGAUGGAUCAUAGGAACUUGUAUGCUAUACCAGAACUAGACCCAACUGACAAUGACGUCAACAAUGUGGCUGACCAACGUUUAGAAUCUUCAAUGGAAAAUGAUGCGGAAACACUUCGAGAUACACAUGUUAUACAAGAACCGUUUCAAAUACAAGGAGUGUCUUCAAUCGAAAUACCGAUUCAGUCAAUUACAAUUGACCUCGGGGAUCUUCCAAGAUUCGAUGUUGCAGUGAGCCCGAGCAACGAAGAUGAUGUAGUUAUAGAGGAGGAGGAGGAGGAUUGGGAGACUGAAAGUGAUGAUAGCGAAGAUAACGAAAGUUAUUAUAGUUCAGAUGAUGAAUAAUUAAAUUUUUUAUAUUUUUAUUAUGCUAGUGUACAGACUUUGUGUAAAACAAAAGUUUGAAUAUAUGUAGUUGUGAUAUCCAAACCUUAUAUAUGUGGACAACUGAAACAUUAUUAAAAUAAAUUUAGUUAUAAAACAUCGGUAAAUCAAUAUAUCCAAACCCUUUUAAUAUUCAUUUAAAAUUUUUUUUUUUGACAAAAACGUUUACAAAAUGAAAAUGAUAAAAUAUUUGUUAUAAAACAUUGAUAAAUAAAUAUAUCCAAACCAUUUUCAUACAAAGUUUGAAAAUUAUUGACAACAAACAUUUUUCAAAAAUGAAAAUCCUUGCGCGACGAAGUACACCUCGUCACGCAAAGUUUGCGCGACCCAGUAAACAGUCGUUGUGUAAAGUUAAAACAUUGCGAGACAAAUUAUCAUCCGUCACGCGAUAGAAUUUUGCGCGACGAAUAUUUACUCUCGUCGCGCAAAUGUAUAUUCUUUUAUAAUAUAUUUUAUAUACACAUAUAUAUUCGAAAUUGACGAUCGAGUUAGUUCAUUGUAUUCAUAUAGGGUCAUGGAGUGUAGCUGUAAAAAAUCAUCAAAAUCGGAGUUAAAAUAACUGUUAAAUCAUGACUUUUCAUUUAUAACCGUUCAAAAAUUUUGUCCCGAUACUUGAUCUCUGAAUGUUUUUUUUUUCCGAUUUUUGGGGCCUAAGAUCUCGAAGUAUAAACAAACACGUUUGACGGCUGGAUUAUUGAAACUACUUUCGUAGAAUGCGUAUGCCAUCAAAACUAUAUAUUCACCAACAAUGAAUAGUUUACUUAUACUUUCAUUAAAUAUAACAUAAGAUUAUGUGGUAUCACCCUAGUGUAAACAUCUUAAAUUGAAGAUCAAAUUCAGUAAUUGUAUUCAUAUAGGGUCAAGAAAAGUAGCUAUAAAAAAUCAUCAAAAUCGGAGUUAAAAUAACCGUUAAAUCAUGACUUUUCAUUUAGAUUCGUCGAAAAGUUUUGUACUGUUACUUGAUCUCUUAACGUUUUUUUUGUCAGAUUUUCGGCGUAUACGAUCUCGAAAUAUAAAAAAACAAGUUUGCCGGUUAGAUCAUUAAAACUAGUUUCGGGUUUAGGAUUUCUGCAGUUUAGGGUUUAGGGUUUGCGCGACGAAGCCAUUUCGUUGGUCGCACAAAGCCUGCAAAGAACAGUCUUGCGCUACGAAACUAGGAUUCUUUGUCACGCAAUCUCAACCAGCCCUUUCACCCUCUUCCUCCUUGGACACUUAGCCAAAAAAAGUUGCGAGUUUACAGAAAGCGGCUUUGCGCGACGCUGCCGGUAUUCGUCGCGCAAUAUGUAUGCCAAUAAAACCUAAAUCCCAAAUUUUGGCGAAUUACAACUUUGCGCGACGAAUAUGGGAAGCUUCGCGCAAAGUUUUCAAUCUUUCCCGCUAAACCCUAAGUCCCAAAAUUUUGGCGGAUUGACAACAUUGCGCCACGAAAGAAGGUACUGUGCGUCGCACAAAGUUUUCAAUCUCUCCCGCUAAACCCUAAGUCCCAAAAUUUUGGCGGAUUGACAAUAUUGCGCGACGAAAGAAGGUACUGUGCAUCGCGCAAAGUUUUCAAUCUCUCCCACUAAACCCUAAGUCCCAAAAUUUUGGCGGAUUGACAACAUUGCUCGACGAAAUAUGGUACUGUGCGUCGCGCAAAGUUUUCAAUCUCUACCCAAUAUUUUGCCGGAUUGACAACAUUGUGCGACGAAAGACGAUACUGUGUGUCGCGCAAAAACUACCCUGAUACCAAAUUUUGGGAUUAACAAUAUUGCACGACAGAAGUUAUACUUAUGUCGUCGCGCAAGUGUCAAUUAAAAUAUUUUGCGUGACGCUUUUGUUUGUUCGUUGCGCAAAAUCGAAUAAAAUUGCAGAAACGACGCGAUAGCCUCCUUCUUCCCCAGAUUUGUUUUUCUACCCUAACUCUCUCUCUCUCUCUCCGCCUUCAGCUCAGCCCCCUACCCCAGUGGAUUUUGGACGACGGCGCCACAACAGUGGUACCCCGGAGGUUUCCCGCCGUCACCGUCGAGCCAGCCGCCCUAAUUCCUCGAUUUUCACCGAAUCUGCGCCGCCGUCGUUCUCUCUCCUUCGGCGACCAAAUCCGACACCUGAGGUAUGGUUUCUGUCCUAUUUUUGAUGCUUUAACUGAUGGUUGGGUAGGAUUUGUGUAAUUGUUGCAAUAGGGCAGUGGAUUUGAAACCCUAAAUUUCGACCGAUUUUUGAAUUCCAAUUCCGGCCACUUCUGGCCAUUUUUCAGGGUAGGUCCGAGAACAAAAGUGGCUCCAAUUGAUGUUUUGAACCUAGGGUAGGAACCUUGGCCCUUAGUUUUAAGAAAUUUUCGACGAUUGGUAUCGCUUUGGACACCCACGCUCUGCCAGCGCUUGUGGUGGCGCGUGGGGUACUGUAGCAGUCUUGCAUUGGGUCCCAGUGCAAUCCCAUAUUUGUCACGAGCGCGUAGGUGUUUUCGGAUUGGAAUUUGGUUACCGUUUGAGUCUCGAACGGAUUUUGCCUAUUGUGCGAUUUCCGGGUUUGUUAUGUUCGGACCGUUGGAUCGAACUCAAACUCACGUAUGGUGUACCUUGUAUUUCUUGGAUCGUCUAGGAUUCGACGGAUCGUGGAUCGGAGUCCCGAAUACUCCGAACUCGCAAACCCUAGGUCAAGAAUCUUAAUAAAAUUGUAUGUGCUUUCAAAUAUUCGUAUGUUUUAUUAAUUUGUAUGUGUAUUAAUGAAAUUGUGUAGAUGUCAGACCUGAUUAGACGUCGUAGGGCGGUGACGACUACGCAGAGUUCUGAGCCCCCGGCUCAACUGACAUCUGCUGCCACUGCGCCAGCACUGAUGGACCACUUGGCAGUUGGUCCCGCGGGGUCCCAGGCUCCUGCUUCAUCAGCUUCAUUAGUGGCACAACCUGUUAGCGCCAGGAAGCGUCAUCGGCCUGCCAGCACCACCGACACCACAUCCACUGAUGCGUCGGGGUCACAGCCAGGUAUAGAUUUCCUUAAACUCCAGUUAUUUAUAUUUUUGUUUUUGUUUUUAUUUUUGUUUUUGUUUUUGUUUUUGUUUUUAUUUGUGUGUGUAUUUUAUAGUUAAAUUUGUUAUUUAUUUAACAUUAAUGUCAUCUUUCUUUGCAGCCAAGAAGAACACCCGAGGGCCGUGUCGGUAGUUGAAGACGGCGAAGGUCACUCGGGUGACCAACAGUCGUAUCAACAUCGGAUACGACAAGCGACAUCGGGCUGCACCGACGGCGGAGUUGCAUAGCUCCUUGGCCCACGACAUUGGUGAUGUCAUUCCGAGCCAUUGCCCGAUGAAAUGGAAGUCUUGGAAGGUGAUGCCUGACGAGACCAAGAUGGAGGUUCGCGGCCAGUUGUCAGUAUGUAGGCCUUUUAAUUCUUUUUCUUUCAAAUUUUAUAUUUCUAUUAUUUAAAUGUAUUUAAUUAAUUUAUUGCAGACGAACUACAACUUGGAGGACCUGGACGACGAGUCGUUGGCGUACAUCAACAGACUCUUCUCUGAGAGGUACAAAUAGUGGAAGAGCGACUUGCACCACUAUUUUGAGGCGUUUGAUGAUCCAGAAGUCUCUCUUCAGGAGGGUUGCCCGAAGGAGCUUGAGGGGCGGGAGGAUAGUUGGGCGUGGCUCUGCUCUCAUUUUCAGGCGCCCGCUUUUGUGGUAAUUUGUAAUAUGAAUUUCAAAUUUAUUAUAUUUUUCUUACUAAUGUUUUUUUAAUGUUUUAUAUUUAAUUUCAAUUUCAACUAAUACGUUUUAUUUUUUGUAUAACAGAAUAAAGCCAAAGUCAAUAAGGGCAAUAGGAAGAAGAAGACUCUUCUCCAUCAUUCGGGUUCCAGGCCCUUCUCCUAUAGGAUGGAUGCAUGGCGGCAGGUAAUCAUAAAAAAAAUUUUAUUUAAUUUUUAAUAUUUAAUUAUUCUUAAUUUAUUUUUUUGUACUAAUAUUUUUCUUCUCUUGUUCAAUUUAGGGGGGUCCAAAUUCCCAGAGAUCGACGUCUUUGGCGACGUUUAUGUUCGACCUGGGAAUGAGUUGGGCGAGUCCCUUCAUGUAAGUAUUAUUUAAUUUUAAUUAUUAUGUUACGCAUUCAAGUUUAAAGGUUAUUAUAUGAAUGUUUUAAUUUAUAUUUUAUGUUAUGCUAAACAGAUGACGAUGGUGGAGAGGAGCCAGUUGGUUCUUCAAGAGUCCGCCUCCCAACUUCCUUCCGAUACUCCGAUCGAGUCUGUGGAUCCUCCACAGGAUGCUGGGUUUCAGAUCUUGACGGAGACAUUGGAUCAGACUCUAGGGAGGAGACCGGGGAUAUAUUGUCGAGGGAUGGAGAAUGCCAGGCGGAGGGAAGCCAGACCCCGUUCAUUAGCGCAGUCAAGCAGUCAGGUCACUGCUUUGACAGCACAGGUGGCCACUCUUCAGAGUCAGAUGUCGGACAUUCUGCAGUCCCUCGCACAGUUCGGCAUUCCAGUCCCGCAUUUUGAUGCGCCGACCUCUGAGCCCGUCCAUCCUGAGCAUCCCCACCAGACGACGGCCCUUGUAGACCCCCAGACCUCUGAACCGCAUGUGCCAGACGACAAUGUAGAUUUUGGAACAUUAUGAUUAGUUUUUUUAUUUUCAUAAUUAUUUUUUAAAUAUUUCUCUUGCAGCAUACAUUUAUUUUAUAUAAUAAAUAUGUUCUUUACAAUUCUUUUUUUUAUUGGAAUUUCAUUUUAUUACCCAAAAAAAAAAAACCAAAUUUAUUUUUUUAUAAAAUAAAAUAAAAAGUAAUAUUAAAAUUAAAUAAUAAUUAUAUAUAUUAAUUUUGCGCGACGAAAUCUUUCUCGUCGCGCAAAUUUAUAUAUUACGAAAUAAAAAUGUUUCAUUUUUUUAAAUACAUAUAAUUUAUUCUUGCGCGACGAAUAUUUUCGUCUCUCAAAAAGGAUUUGCGCGACAACAGUUUUUCGUCGCGCAAAAUGUGUUGACACGAAUUGCACGACGAAGAUAUCUUUGUGCCGCAAAUAUCUACGACACGUAUUGCGCGAUGAAAAUGUUCGUCGCGCAAAAAACGUAUGCGCGACAACAAUGUUUCGUCGCGCAAUACGUGUAGACAUGAAUUGCGCGACGAAGAACUCUUGGUGCCGCAAAUGUGUACGAGACGUAUUGUGCGACGAAUAUUAUUCGCCGCGCAUCGUUGUGGCGACGAACCCGCUUUCGUCGCGCAUAAGUUUGUGCGACGAACUAUUGCAUCGUCUCUGAACCUUUUGUGCAACGAAGGGUAACCGUCGCACAAAUUUGCGCGACGAGUGAUACAAUCAGUCGCGCAAAGUCUUUCUUCACCAUCUUUGCACCACAGAUUACGCGCGACGAAUUUUCUGUCGUGCUUGAGUUUGUGCGACCAAAUUUAACUCUGCGCGACGAAAUUGGCUUCGUCGCGCAAAUCGUAAAAUGUAGUAGUGGAAGUUAUCAACAUCUAUAGGAACCCCAAUGAAAAGGCUGUUAACUAAUAAUGAAGUAAACCCCUCAAUGUUUCCGCGUAUCAGAUAUCUCUCAGAAUAUGCGAUUCCAUACUCAAUAAGCAACUCCACAUCCCCUGAGGUUUUCACCAAACCACCCAUUAAGGAAACAUACUGACUCAUGUGUAAUUAUCAUUACUCAUCGGGUAAUGCAAUUGUUCAAAGGCAAGGACAUUUCUCAUUAUUUCUGUAGUGAACCCCAAUGGAAAUGGUGGGAUCUUCAGAACCCCAUUGGUGCUACUGAAUUGUAUGUCAAAUAUGUUUUCACCUUGUCGCGCCUCAAACUUGACUCCAGCGUGCUGUAAUUCUGUCAAGCUGGGUAUGGAUGAUGGGAGUUCCCCUCCAGCUUUUGAUUCCAACGGUUGAUAGAGUUUAAAUAUUUUCCUGUAAAGAUCAACAAUAUGUGCCACUGAUCUAAAAGUCUCCAAAUUGUCUUCCAUUUUGUCAACAGGCAAUAGAUGUUCGAAGAAACUGAAAGAAAGACUAAUUAUUGAAAGCCCCUCAGUAAUGCAGUUAUUGUCAGCAUCAGCAGGGAGUGUAAUUUUCUGUGGGUCGAAAAGAUCCUCGAGAAUGAAGAAUGGCAACUGAUUUUCAAGCAACCACAUAUCUGUCCAUACAUCUUGCAACAUACCUGGUUUGUCAAAUAUGCGGUCAUUUUCAUCCCAAAAUUUGAAGUAGUCCUUCAAUAAGAGCUCAAUAACGAAGGCGGCAUCCACUAGAAUGAUUGUUACAAAUUCAUCACUGCUAAACUUGAUGGGUUCUCCAUAACAACGUCUCAAUCUUGCUUCGUGGUCCUUUAUUUUCUUAAUAUAAUCCUCCAAACUCACAUUGGUCCGACCUAUAAAAUCUUGCAGGUAUCUCUGUUUGUGCUCUUCCUAUACGACAUUCAAGCCUUCCUUUCCAUGGUGAAGUGGGCCUAUAGAGACCACCUGAGGUGUGCAGAGCUUUUCAUUCACACUUCGUAGUCGUUGAGGAACUCUGUAGAUACAGCACUUGGAGGAUGGGGGAGACAAGCUAUUGAACCCUUUUCUCAUCGAAUUUGCUAAUGAAAUGUAUGGGUUUUCUAUGUCAUUUUGAGCAGAUUGAUGGCUUCCUGCCAUUUUCCAGCUCCUGACUAUAUGUGGUGUUCCGAUUGUAACAGAUUACAAUAAUGAUGAGUAUGGAUAACUGAAUUACUGAUAAAACAAUCAAGAAACAUUUCGUUAUUUUCCAUUCCCAAUAACGAAAUCAAAAUGUUCAAGGAAAUAUAAUCAGGAUAUUGCAAUUAUAUAGCCAUUCAUAAGCUGCCUGGCAUGGAAUAAGAGGUGGAAACCAAAUCUACUUAUUGGCCAAAGUUCGAAUUCACUAUAUAUAGAUAUAUAUUUUGCCAAAAUCUAAAACUGACCAACCUUAGAUACAAAAACACGGUACAGCCCGGUUAAAGUAAUUCCAAGUGCGAAGAAAGAAAGGAAUUGAGCGUUUGUACCUCUACAGCUAGCCAAAUUUUCUAUUGAUUCUUUAAAUUUUAGAGAGCAAUUACUCUUAAUUUGGUAGGUGUAGGACUGUGCAACUUCAAGCUUUAAUGAAAGAAGCCAAGUUUAUUCUAAGGGGACAAGUCAGAGACAACGAAAUUUUGCUCAGCUUCAUUUUCAAAUUUGCUGCUUAAGAAGGAAAUUUAAUAUGUUUGUUUCACAAAUUGUAUUGUCAUCAAUGAAACUCGUGCACACCCAACGAAAUUUGCAUGGCUUAUUUUCAAAGGAGUACUGCUAUUUCCAUCCUCUGUCCUAUUUUUCCACUCACCUUAUCUUCAAAAUUUUAAAGACAAAAAUAAACCCCUUUGUAAAAUGCUUAAAAAGAAAUUUAAUAUGUUUGUUUCAAAAAUUGAUAUUGUCAUCAAUGGUUAAAGAAUUGCUGGUGACAACAUAUACUUCUUUUCUACUGUAUUAAUUUCUUUCUUUAUUUUUUCUUCAGUAUAGUUCUGCCUUUCUUUUACAUGUUUAUGCGCAUAUUUGACACGUUCAAGUAUACUUAUAUAACAAAUGCAAUGAGUUUGUAGUCACAAAAAUCAAGGAUUGAAAACAAAAAGUAAUAUUAUGUGCAAGAGAAACUUACCUGCAGAAACUGAAGAACUCCUCUAGUUUCUUCUCUGUCGCUAUGUACUCCCGCGUUCAAGUUAUUAUUCUUACAAUGUACAUACACUAUUAUAUAAUGGCGAGAAGGCUCUGAUUAACCUCCUUUUUGCUUCAUUGGAUGGGGCAAGAAUGGAAUUGUCACCGUGGGUGUGGAGGUGAUCUACCAUUUGAGCAAGAAAUUCCCACAUAUUCUUUAACUAUUUUUCAAGCAUGCAUAUUCCUCCCUAUCAAUCUUUGGUCUCUUCUUUUACUAUUUUUCAAGCAUGCAUACUUUGAUUUUAAAUCAUCUUUUCCGCACUAAUUUGCUUCAAUCAAGAAACAGUUAAUAUAUUUUGUAUCAUCAUUAGAGAACACUUGAAACUGCAUAAGUUAAUUUUGAAGAUGAUGGCAGAACCAAAAUGUGUAUAGCUUAUAACUAUAAUUUCUUGAUUACAACAAGAGGUUUCAAGUUUUCAACAACACAAAUAUGAAUCUCCCAAGCAAAGAUAAACAAUAAAGCAAGCAUACGGAUUGUCAAAUUGCCUUCAAUCACUCUAAAAUACUUCAUACCGUCCGACACUGGCUUCAAUUACUCUACAAUACUUCAAUUCAUAUAUUGUCCUAUUUUCACAUGUACAUCCUGCUUUUACUUAAGGGUUAAUUGUUGAUUUACCCCUUGAACUUGUACUCUACUUUCAAUUUGCACCCUCAACUUUUUUUUUUGAAAAUUAGGUGCAUGAACUAAUUUUUAUUGCCAAUUCCCCCUACCAACAUGUCAUCUAAUAGUCUGUCAAAUCAUUAAAAAAUAUAAUAUUUUUGGAAAAAAUUAAAGAAAAAAAAAUUCCUAAGGACCCACAGACCCAGAACCCACCCUCCGUUGCCCCCGCUUGCUGUUUUCUUCUCCUCCCAGUCCCCCAUGACCACCACCCUCCACUGCCACACCAAUCCCCUACCCAACAGACCCCUCACCCCUUCUUUUUUUUCACCCCCGAACCCAGCAUGAGUUAUUGGUUAAUACCAUUUUCUUAAUUGCCAAAUAAAAAAAAAAAACAGAGUUAACCCUCUGUUAAGCUAGCUGACUAGUGGGGCGAAAUGGAGGAAAAUCAAUAUGGAGACAGCGGAUCCGGUCCCGUGUAAGUGUAUCUGAUGGAAUAAAAGAAUGAUAUUAUUGGUGGUGGGUACGGUUAUGUGGAAGUAAUAAUGGGUAAGAGAAGAAACUUGUUCUCUUGUGAUAAUCAAAAGACAGAAAGUAGUGGGAAAAGACAGAAAGUAGUGGGACACUAUUUUAGAUAUGAUAAUGUUCCUUCCUUGAUUGAUGCAAAUGAAGAGAAAAGGGUGGCUUUAUAUAAUAGCCACUACCGACCUAACACAUUAAAAACACAACUAACACCAAACAUAGUUAAUUCAACUAACUUCUACCACACCAUUAAUUUAACACACAACUACUAACAAACUGCCAACUAUUUCAAAGUUACCAGCCGACUAUUAAUGAAGUCUAGAUUACUUUAACAUCCUCCCUUAAGCUAGACUUCAUUUACGCCAAUUAAUUUUCUCAUCUUGAUGAGCGGCUCUUUCUUCAACGGUUUGGUGAACAAAUCUGCCAGCUGAUCUUGGGACUUGCAAUACAGAACCUCAACUUCUUUAUCUUUGAUUAGCUCUCUGAUGAAAUGGAACUUGAUCUUGAUGUAACACCCCGACCCCAAAUUUUCCCAAAUUUUACCCUUAUUUAAUUAUUUAAUUAUUUAAGGGUAUUUUAGUCAUAUUUUUAACCGGAGAGAGUUUGGGACCGUGACUAGUAUUUUUGGAUAGGUCGAGCUGAGACGAGUUCAUAGACACGUAGUGGGCUCGAAUCGGAGUUGUAACGAGAGAGAUAUGGUCAAAAGAAGCCCAGUGGCACAAUCGUAAAUAUUUCGAAAUGGGAUUUUUUAUAAAAACUCAAAUUUUUCUCUCUCUCUCUCUCUCUCUCUCUCUCUCUCUCUCUCUCUCUCGCGACUCCUCUCUCUCUCUCCCGUCGGCCUCUCCUCUCUCUCUCUUCGUAACUCCGGCCACCGGCCGCGGCUGCGGACGGGGCCGGUGUCAAAAGAACCGGCUCGACCUCGGCAUCACGACCCAGCCCAUCCCCGCCAUCGGCCGCCGCUCCAGCCGCCGGAAAAUGGCGAUUUUCGCCCAGAUGUCGCCGGAACUUCAACGCCGUCGAUCUCCCUCCUCCGGCCACCAAUUCCGUCGACCCAGGUAUGGAUUUUGAACCUCUCGAGCUGCUCUAGCUGAUGGUUGGGUAGGAUUAGAUCGAUUCUUAGCGUAGAUCACUCGAUUUUCGAAUUGAAAAUCGGCCGAAACUUCGGCCGCCGUGAUCGGCCAUUUCCGGCCACUUUUUGGGGUAGGUCCAAGAACAAAAGUGGCUCCAAAUAGGGUGUUAUACCUAGGGUAGGAGUUUGGAGCCGUGGUUUUGAGAUUUUCCGGCGGAGCGUUAUCGCUUUGGGCACCCACGCGCUGCUGGCGCGUGCGGCGGAGCGUGGGCACUGUAUAAAAAGUAGCGAUGUAUUCCGAUGAGAUCCUUAGGUUGUCACGAGUGCGUAGGAUUUUGCGGAUCUCAAUUCGGACGUCGUUUGACUAUCGAACGAAUAAUCGCAUAGUGUGCGUUAUCCGGGUUCGAUAGGUUGGGACCGUUGGAUGGUCCCAAAUUUAAUAUAUGUUAAUCUAGGUAUUUCUAGGAUCGUGUAGGAAUUCACGGAUCGUGAAUCGGAACUCCGGAUGUUCCGAAUAAUAAUUUUAAGUUUAUAUUUUAUAUUAACCAUCAGAUCGUGCGAUCGUGAGCAAUCCGACCGUCCGAUCUGAACCAAACUUGCAGGACAAGUGUCCUACACCUGGUAGAACCCAUAGGGACUUCCGGAUCGGAAAUUGGAGGUCGUGGGUUCUGCAGGUCCGUUUGACCAGGGUUAGAGUAGUUUGACUCUUGGUUGACCGUGAGUCUCCCGGAGUAAUCUCACCCUUCCAGGGGGAAUUAUCGGGAGCUAGACUAUUGUGGAGGGUUACACAAUAUUAGAAUUAUUUAUAUAAAUUAUGUGGUUGUACAAGGGUACAACAGAGUCUAGAAUGUCAGUUUGGAGUGCUAUACGCACUACUCUAGGUACCUCCUCGGACUUUGGAAUUUCUACAAGUACCACCAAGUGAAAGUUAGGUCCCACGUGGCGUAGGUUAUCCGGCGUGUCGACAGACCCCAUACGUGGCGUUGGUUGUACCGGCGUAUGGGGAGAUUUGUGAUAUGAUAUUGAGGUCCCGCGUGGCGUAGGUUAUCCGGCGUUGGGACAGGCCCCAUACGUGGCGUUGGUUGUACCGGCGUAUGGGGAGAUAUUAUGAUAGUAUGGCAUGGUCGCACGUGGCGUAGGUUAUCCGGCGUGUCGACAGACCCCAUACGUGGCGUUGGUUGUACCGGCGUAUGGGGAGAUUUGUGAUAUGAUAUUGAGGUCCUGCGUGGCGUAGGUUAUCCUGCGUUGGGAUAGGCCCCAUACGUGGCGUUAGUUGUACCGGCGUAUGGGGAGAUAUUAUGAUAGUAUGGCAUGGUCGCACGUGGCGUAGGUUAUCCGGCGUGUUGACAGGCCCCAUACGUGGCGUUGGUUGUACCAGCGUAUGGGGAGAAUAUGUGAAAUACAGAGAAAUGAAAUAAGGUAUUGCCCAAGUGUGGAAUUGGGUUUUAGGGAAGAACUACUUAUGGCUUGAUCCCUCAAGGAGGGUACGUAGGCAGCCUAAGGUUAUUAGGUGCAGCCGCAGACUAAAUAUUAGUCAUAAAUUGUAAUUGAACUGUUUGGUAGUCGUUUGAGGAAGUAUUGAAAGGCCGAAGGCCAUUUGUGUGAAUUGCAUGAAAUUAUAUUGUGCAUGCUGCCAGUUGGGAAUAUUAAAUGCGUUUUUAUGCAGGUAUAAAUUUUGGGAAUGUCCAAUUUACAGGGGAGACUCUGCCAAAAUUUCGGCAGGAAGUCUCGGUUUUUAGUAAGUGGGCCUGGCAUCGGGGUGAUGUCAGGAAUUCCAAAGGGUUCGUCUCGGGUUUUGAGAAAAUUCGGGGCGGGUCCUUUCACUUGAUAUGCUUACUCUUGCUGUGAAACAUUGGAUUUUUGGAAAGACAAAUAGCUGAUUUGUUGUUGCAGAACAGCUUUGUAGGUCCUUCUUGAACUUGACCCAUCUCUUCUAAAAUACUUUUCAGCCACCUAGCUUGACAACCUGCUGAUGCAAGAGCAACAUACUCAGAUUCUGUAGUUGAAAGUGCCACUAUAGAUUGCUUUUUGGAGGACCAUGAAAUCGCACUUGAGCCAAUGCUAAAGACAUAACCAGAUGUGCUUUUGCAAGUAUCAACAUCUCCACCCAAGUCACUGUCACUGUAGCCAGUCAAAUUUAGAUUCUGAAUAGGAUAAUAAUGCAAACCAUAAUUGAUAGUUCCAACCACAUAUCUUAGGAUUCUCUUUCCAAGCUCCCAAUGAACAUCUUUUGGUGACUCCACUAAACGGCUGAGGAAGCUUACUGCAUAUGUAAGAUCUGGCCUUGUUGUAGUUAAAUACAAGAGGCCACCCACUAGACUUCGAAACAAAGUUUGAUUUACCAUUGUGCUUCCAUCAUUCUUACCUAUCUUAACACCAACCUCCAUUGGAGUAGCAAUUGACUUUGCAUUUUCCAACCUGAACCUUUUCAACAAUUCCUUUGCGUAUUUCUUUUGAGAAAUAUAGAUACCAUUCUCAUUUUGUUUGACUUCAAUUCCAAGAAAGAAAUGAAGCAAACCAAGGUCUGUCAUUUCAAAUCUUUGUGACAUAAUCAUCUUGAAAUUAUCACACAUUUGAGCAUUACUUCCAGUAAAUAUUAAGUCAUCCACAUAUAAGCAGACAAUCAAAAUCUCACCUUGAGAGUUCUUCUUGGUGUAAAGAGUAUGCUCAUAUGGGCAUUUGUGAAACCCAUACUCUUGGAAGAAUGCAUCAAUCCGACUGUACCAAGCUCUUGGAGCUUGUUUCAAACCAUAUAAAGCCUUCUUCAAUCUACACACUUUUGUUUCUUCAUUUCCCUGCACAUAACCUGGAGGUUGAGCAACAUACACUUCUUCUUCCAAAAAACCUUGCAAGAAUGCUGGUUUAACUUCCAUUUGAAAGACUUUCCAACAAUUUUGGGCAGCAAGAGCUAACACCAUUCGGAUGGUGUCAAAGCGUGCAACUGGAGCAAAAACUUCAUUGUAAUCAAUUCCAUAAUUUUGCUUGUAGCCUUUAGCUACCAAGCGAGCUUUGUAUUUCUCAACUUCUCCUUGAGCAUUCAGCUUGGUCUUAUACACCCAUUUUACUCCUAUAGGCUUCUUUCCUUGAGGAAGAUCAACCAGCUCCCAUGUGUCAUUUUUCUUAAUGGAAUCAAUUUCUUGAUCCAUAGCCUUCACCCAAUUUUCAUCCUUUGAAGCCUCUUCAAACAUAAUUGGGUCUGCAUCUACAAAUAGAGCAAAAUUUGUGCCACCAUUAGUGAUCAAAACAUAAUCACUAGAUGGGUACCUUGUGGAUGGUUGAUGAGCUCUUGUUGAUCUCCUUUGUCCUCUGCAAAUUUCUUCUUCCUCACUGCUAUCACUAGAAGAAGUUGAUGAUGACCCUUGUGAUGAAGAUUCCUAUGAUGAUAGAGUUGUUGGUGGAGUUAAAUCUGGAUUUUCAAGGCCAAUGUCCAACAGUAUUGGACUUUGAUUUUCAGCUUCACUCCAAUUCCAUGCUUCUUCUUCAUUGAACUUGACAUCACGACUAACAAUAAUCUUGUUAGUCAAUGGAUUAAACAACUUAUAUGCCUUGGCCUUUUCACUAUACCCAACAAGAAUGCACUUUUCUGAUUUGUCAUCCAAUUUUCUCCUUGUUUUAUCAGGAAUAUGAGAAUAAGCAAUGCUGCCAAAUAUCCUUAAGUGACUAAUACAUGGCUUGAGGCCACUCUAAGCUUCUUGAGGAGUCUUGCCUUCCACACUAUUGGACGAUGCACGGUUCAAGAGAUAUACAGCACAUGCCACUGCUUCUGCCCAAAAACGAUUAGGCAUUGCUUUUGCCUUCAACAUGCUUCUUGCCAAUUCCAUAACGGUCCUAUUUUUUCUCUCGGCCACACCAUUUUGCUGUGGGGUGUACCGAGCUGUGAACUGAUGCUUAAUCCCAUUUUCUUUUAGAAAAUUUUCGAACACAUUGGAUGAGAAUUCUCCACCUUGAUCAGACCGCAAGGUUUUCAAUGCAAAUCCACUUUGCUUCUCAGCCAAAGCUUUGAAAACUUUAAAGUAAUCAAACACCUCUGAUUUAUAUUUGAGAAAAUAGACCCAUGUCUUUCUGCUAUAAUCAUCAAUGAAUGUAAGAAAGUAGCGGUUACCUCCUGUUGAUGUUGUGUUCAUGGGCCCGCAUACAUCUGAGUGCACCAGCUCAAGAGGAUGGGAUGCUCUCCAAGAAUUUCCUGUAAGAAACGAAUUUCUCUGAUGUUUUCCCAGCACACAUGCUUCACAAACUUGUGUUUGAUGCUGUAUCGUUGGUAGGCCUCGUACCAUAUGUUGUUUCCCCAUCAAUGAUAGUGUAUUGAAACUCAAAUGCCCAUAGCGUAGAAGCCACAACCAUGAGGAAUCCUUGAUAAGUGCACUUAAGCAAGCAAAAGAUUCAUACUUUAUGUUCAGAGAAAACAUAUUGUCUCCUGACAUCUGCACCUUUGUAAUUAGAGAGUUGUACUUGUCUCUAAUUACACACUGGUCUUCCCUGAACUGAAUAUUAUGGCCUUUAUGAAGAAGUUGCCCCACACUAAGGAGAUUGUAAUUUAAAUCUGGAACAUAUAACACAUCAGAGAUUCUUUUUUGUUCUCCAGACUUGGAUAGAAAAAGAAUAUCUCCACAUCCUUUGGCCACUAGCUUUCCACCAUCACCAAUCCUUACUUCUGAGUUGUUGGUAUGCUUGAAAUUGACAAAGGCACUUUUGUUGCCUGUCAUGUGAUUACUACAUCCGCUAUCAAGAUACCAUUUUUCUGCACACACGUUUCCUUCCCUGGCAGCUGCAUAUGCAAGUAGAACCACAUUAUCAUUUUCCCUUUCAGAAGCUUUUUCAUGCACAAAGCUUGAUUCGGCUCCUCCAUUUGUUUUGUUUUUGCAUGUUGACUUGAUGUGCCCAUAUUGCUUGCAAUUGUAGCACUGAAUAUUAGAAAGAGAGGAACCUUGUUCUCUUCCUCUUCCUCUUGAAUAACCACCAUAAUCUCCUCUUCCUCUUGGAUAACCAUAAUCUCCUCUUCUUCUUGAAUAACCAUAAUCUCGUGCAGAGCCUUCAUCAUUAGUUUUUUUUAGGUCAUUUGCAUAGCCACGUCCUUGAUUAUUUCUUCCUCGUCCACGAGUAAAGCCGCCUCUUCCUCUUCUAGAACUUCCUCUGAAUGAGACUUGAGAUUGAAAAGCUUGCUCAACAGGGCCAGAGUCAAACUGCUUCAGUCGUAACUCAUGGGAUUGAAGAGAACCCAUUAAACUGUCAAGAGACAAAGUAGACAGAUCUUUGGAUUCUUCAAUUGCCACCACAAUAUAUUCAAACUUUCGGGGACAUACUUCGAAGAAUUUUUUCAGCAACUCUCUGAUCUUCAAUUUUUUCUCCAUUAAUUCUCAGUUGGUUGACUAGAGAAAUGACACGAUUGAAAUAGUCUUCAACAGAUUCUGACUCCUUCAUACGUAACAUAUCAAACUCACCUCUUAGAGUUUGCAGUCUUGCCAUCUUCACUUUAUCUUCUCCUUUAUAUGAUGCAAAGAGAGUGUCCCACGCCUGUUUUGAUGUAAUGCAUGAUGAGAUUCUUUCAAAGAUAGCUUCAUCCACUGCUUGAAAGAUAAAGAAUAAAGCUUUUUUGUCCUUCUUACGUGUCUCCUUCAGCUCUGUGAGUUGUUGUUGAGUGAGGACUGCUUGAUCAUUUGGCUCCACAAAGCCAUUUUCAACCACCUCCCACAAAUCUUGAGCAGCAUACAACACCUUCAUUUGGAUGCUCCAUUGACUAUAAUUCUUCCCUGUAAACUUUGGAAGCUGGGGCUGUAACAAGUUGUUGUUUGAAGCCAUAUGAUUCUGAGUUUCCAGCUCUGAUACCACUUUGAUGGAAUAAAAGAAUGAUAUUAUUGGUGGUGGGUACGGUUAUGUGGAAGUAAUAAUGGGUAAGAGAAGAAACUUGUUCUCUUGUGAUAAUCAAAAGACAGAAAGUAGUGGGACACUAUUUUAGAUAUGAUAAUGUUCCUUCCUUGAUUGAUGCAAAUGAAGAGAAAAGGGUGGCUUUAUAUAAUAGCCACUACCGACCUAACACAUUAAAAACACAACUAACACCAAACAUAGUUAAUUCAACUAACUUCUACCACACCAUUAAUUUAACACACAACUACUAACAAACUGCCAACUAUUUCAAAGUUACCAGCUGACUAUUAAUGAAGUCUAGAUUACUUUAACAGUAUCGAAUCUAGCUUUAAUAUGUAUUGGGUCCUCUGGACAAGAAUUCUAUCCUUUUCGUCCUAACUAAUAUGUAGGGGAAAAACAAUACAUCAAUUAUCCUUUUCGUCCUAACUAAUAUGUAGGGGAAAAACAAUACAUCAAUUAUGAAUUUUUUUUAUCUGGGUUCGAAAUUAAAUAUGAAUGGAGUUUUGGAGGCUUAAAAGUUAUAAGCUCAAGAAAGGAAGGAAACUAUAUGUACAUUUGGGUCGGAGGCAAAGGUCCAGUCAUCUACCGUCCAGGAUAUACAGUAUCAAAAAAGGCUUAAGAAUUGUAAUAAGGUGACAUACGCCCACAUACGGCCAACGCUAGCAUAUUUCGUAAGUGUAUUAUAUGUCUUCUAAGUAUAUCAUAGUUAUGUGUCAAUUUUAGAUCCAAUUGCACACCCAAAAUACAGAAACAAAAUCAUUGAGAAUACACUUUUUUUCACUUAUAUUUUGAAUAUGCAUUGCCUGUAUUUCAUGUGUAUGAUAUAGGGGCUUCACUUAUAGUUUUUGCACAAAACCUCCCUUGAUGAAGGAUGUCUUAGAUUAAUGACAUCAAUGAUUUGUUACAUUUGGAGUACCCAACAUAACAGCUCUCUGAUUAACAAUAAAGUUAUAAAAUUUCAACAGUUUCAUACCUAACAAGCAUAGAGAAACAAAUAAAACAACCACAUUGCUUCGAUCACUGUACAUGCACACAGCUCACUUUCACUAACUACAGAGGCUAUAUUUUCUACAUAUACACUAACUUUUUCUUUCUCCAGCUCUCUUACACCACCAGGCUGGUGACAAACCCAGCUCGCGUCAUGUGGAGGACCAAAAGGAAAUGACAAGGAGAAAACGGCUAAGGAGAGACUUACUCUCAACACUUAGAAGGCAGAGCAGAGAUAACAGAGCACACUGCUUGUAUAAAAGUGAGUAUGAGGAGAAAAAUAGCGGUAGCAAUUGAAAUAGUUGCCCAAGGUGUGUUGCAAUAGUUUUGUCUCAAGUUUGCCUGCCAUUUGUGCCAAGACGUUCUGCAGUACUUGUUGAGGUCUGCACAAAGAAUAGCAAAAUAGAAGUCAUUAGAGUCCACAAUGACCCCAUCUGCAAGGUUGUUGAUCAGAGUAGACCCUCCACUACUGUCACCGAGCAUAUUUUCGACGAUUCCUUGCUUAACAACCAACUCCACAUCCGUUGCGGUGUUCACAAAGCGAUCCACGAUGACAACAUAAUUGUUUAUGUAAUUCUCCAUGCAAUGGCAUUGUUCAAAGGCAAGGAGGUUUCUGAUUGUAAGCUCUGUCUCAUCACUUAUUGCUAAUUUUGGAAUUUCUAGAAUCCCAUUAGCGAAUUGUAUGUCGAAUAAGUUUUUGGGUGAUCCCACCUUAAACUUGACUCCUGCUCUGUGUAACUCUGUGAUGCUGGAUGUGUUUAAGAGUUUCAAGUCGCCCCUUAGCAGGUGGUUUCAAUGGUAGAGGUAGAUACAAAUUUCUACAAAAAUCUACAAAGUGUUCUACUUUAGAAGUACAUAAUUUCUCCAUAUUGCCAUCCGUUCCCUCUAUGUGCAUUAGAGUUUUGAAGAAAUUGUGGCAAAGGUUAAGCAUCGAAAGCCUCUCAAUAUUGUUAUUGUUAGAAGAGACUUUGAUUUUUUCGGGGUCAAAAAGUUCCUCAAGAAUGAAGAAUGGCAGCUGAUUUUCAAACAACCGCAUGUCAGGCCAUACGUCUGGCAACAGCCAUGGUUUGUUAAAUAUGCGGUCAAUUUCAUCCUGCAAUUCAUCGAAACGAUACCUCAACAAGACCUCAAUGAUGAAGGCGGCAUCCACUAGAAUGAUUCUCACAAAUUCAUCACUGCUAACCUGAAUGGUUUCUGCAUAACAACUGCGCAGUUUUGCUUCUUGGUCUUUUACUUUCUGUACAUAAUCGGCUAGGCUUACCCUGGUCCGACGUAUAUAAUCUUGUAAGUACCUCUUUUUGUGAUCUUCCAUGGCUUUUAGGCCUUCCUCGCCAUGAUGAAGUGGGCCUAUAGAGACUACCUGAGGUGUGUAGGCCUUUUCACUCACACGCCGUAGUCGUUCAGGAACUCUAUAAAUGCAACACAAGGAGGAGAGGGAAGACAAGCCAUCCAACUCCUCACUCAUUGAAGUUACUAAUGGAAUGCAAGGGUUUUCAAUAUCAUGUGGAGCUUGAUCGCUUCCUUCCAUUUUCCGCUGAUGUGUUUGUUGUUGUCAAUCAUAAUGGAUGAUAAUGAAAUGAUAGUCACUGACACAACAAUAAACAAAUUUUUCAAGAUGGCUGAGAAAAUUAAUACAAACAUUGCAAUUAUAAGACCAAACACACAAAGACUUUUGAUCCUUGUAACUCUUACAUACCACACUAGUGCCUUAAGAAUUCGAUUUGAAUGCACCAAAUUCAUUCAAAACUCUUCUGGUCAACUCUGUUUCUUGUAAUUAUUCUUGGAAGAUUCUAAUACAUUUUUGAUUGAAAAAUUCCUACUAAUCAUGUGAAUCAGUACCAAAGUUUAUUUCAAAUUAACAUACAAACCCCACUUUUUUUUUCCUACAUAUAUACUUCUUUAUUUCCCCUCAACUUAUUGGAGCUUCUAAUAAAGCAAAUUCUUUCUGUGAUGAUAUCAGAUAGUAGAUUAUGCUUCCAGUCAAAACAUAGACAAACCAAAAUCCCAUUAGAAGAGAAGAAAAUAAUAUACGACAUUCACAUAACCUUCUGCUCAAUUCCAAUUUCCAACUACAAUGAAACAUAAGACACUUAAAAGCUUCAAGAAAUUGGAUGUGCAAGCAAACAUAGCGAAAUUAUGAAAGACAGAGAAAGGUGUUGGGCAUUGAAAACAUACCUGAUACGUAUUGAAACACAAUUUUUUUUUGCCUUUGGUAGAUGGAGUAGCUAGAAAAGCUCAAUGCACUUGCUCUUCUGCUACAUUUCAAUAUAAGAACAUUGUUUGGAAGUCCGGUCAAUUCCUCAAAGCUUCCUUGCCUUUGUUUUGACAUGCCGAUGCCCGUCUUGGGGAAGUUUGAAUAAUCCAUUGCAGGCCCCAUGAUAGGAUUUUUAGUACUUGUGCAAACAGUGUUAAAAAUCACAUAAAAUACUUGCAAGAAUACAAGGCUAUUGUAGUAUAGAUGCUCAUGCAAGGUCGUUUUCCUCAAGGACUAAUUAGCAAUUUAUGUAAAAACAAAUUCCAAUUACUACUUAAAAUAAAAAGUCAAGAAAGAUGAUUAUAAAUUUGGUGGAUUCUAAAAAACAAAUAUUAAACAAAAACAAAUACGAUUGAAAGAAAGAGUUUUGAAUAUCAAUUUAUAAAAACACUAGGGUUUCACCAUCACCUAGCAAUCCUAUGAACUUUUACCAAUUACUUAUGAUUUGCACAUGCCACUUUGAAGGUUAGGUUUUCCUAAUGUAUAUUCUACUUGGAACCUCCAACACAGAACGUAUAUCCAACAUGCAACCCGUCCGGACGUUCGGAUCAAAUCUGAACAUGAAAGACUCAUUAAGUUUUGUGAAAACCCUUUGAAAAACCAUGCAACCCUUAAGACGUGGUGUUCAUCUUAAGUGAAAUUACAAUUAUUAAUCACAAGAAGCUAGCAUAAAUUUCAGGGAACCUUCCGACCAAAAUUGCAUCCAAUUACUUUUCUAAAGAUCCUAAUGGUGAUCAGGCAUUAAGACAAUUAGAUAGUUUAAAAUAGUGAUUAACAAUUCAAAAUACGCAUGCACUCAUCAUAAGCAAUUAAAUAAAAAUCACAUAUUCAUGCUAAGGUUCAAGGCUUCACCCUAGCAAAAGAAAUUUAGUUACGCAUACUCAUAAUUGAAAUCCAAGAAAAUAUCAUUAAGAAGAAAAGAACGAAAACACCUGAAAGUUGUGAAAACCCAAAACCCUAGCAAUUGCUCUCUACAAUGCAAAGUUCAAAAAUAAUUAAGAAGUCCUAAAUUCCUUGUGAGAAAGAGCUUAAAUAUCCCUUAAAACCUAGCUGCCAAUGUACAGCUUUUCUAUCCCUACAAGGAAACUAAUUAAAGUAAAAUAAUACUAGGAAAUAAAGUCCAAAUUGGAAUAGGAGAAUUUGCCCAAAAUCAGCCCAGCCACGUUUUGGCCCCAAAUCUCCUCCAAAUCUGGCCCAAGAUAGCUUUUUUUAAAGACACUACUACAAAAAGUGAAAAAGACGACCAGAAAACAACGACGGUCUAAGUGAAAACCGUCGUGGUUUUUAAAAAGACGACGGUUCUAAAAACACCGUCGUGUAAUACCACCUUAGACAACUAAAAAAUGGAGAUUCAAAUGGCUGUUCAAAAACAACGACGUACCUAAUUAAACAACCGACGUCUAUUUGAAACAGAUUUCCGCAGUGUAAAAUCAAAGCAAACAAAGAACGGCAGAAGUUAUGAAUAGACCGACGUAGAAAGUAAAGACGACGAUUUCAAUAAAAGCCGCCGUUUUUACUCAUAAAAUAACACGACGAGGUUUUCGUAUAAGACGCCGUAUAAUUACAAACAAAUCCACGGCUUUAAAAUACAAAAUAAUCUUAACAGAUGACACAGAUUUGCAAUCAGAGAGACAAUUUUUUGGAAGUUGAUCAACGUCGUUGAAAAUUUGCAAUCAGAGAGACAAUUUUCAACGACGGUUAUAUUAUACCUAACGACGUUUAAAAACAAAUCAACGUCGCUCAACAAAUAUAUUACGUCGUCUUAGUCUUACUUAAGACGACGAAAAACGACGACAGUAGUAAAAAAACAGUCGUUGUUUUUAUAUUCUUAUUUUAUUUAAAUCUGUCGUGUUAGUUAAAAACGACGGCAUAACAAAAAACCGUCGUUUUGUUUCAAACUGAAUUAAUUUAAAAUUUCUUCAGGAAAGCAAAAUCUAUUUAUAAUUUCCUCGGGUUAGUAAUAUUGUGUCGUGUUAGUUUACAAAUUCUAGAACAUUAAUUUCCCUCAUUUUAAAUUUUCUCGGGAAAGAAAAAUCUAUUUAUCACGCUUUGUAAUUGAAAACUAAAACUGAAAGAAUUCUGGAAAAAAAACUCUAUUUAUAAUUUAAAAAUAAAAUGCACGUCGGUUGUAGUACACUUAACGACGUUUAACAAAAUAAUCUACGUCGGUAAUUAUAAAUCUACCGCCAUCUUACCCUAAUAUAGACGACGAGAAAAGACGACGGUAGAACAGAAAACCGCCGUUGUUUCAGUUUCUUUAACAGUUUGGUCCUUUAUCUUUCUGCAGGACUUGUAUAGUUCAAAGCAUUGACAAUGUCUUCAUCAUAUCUCCCAGCAACUACUGAUUCGAUUGCUCAUGCUUUAGAGGCCAUCUGAAGCCAUUUCUAUUCUUUAUCGCAUUCUUGAAACCCAUCUUCUUCUUCUGAAGCUCUACGGAUAAAGGAANNNNNNNNNNNNNNNNNNNNNNNNNNNNNNNNNNNNNNNNNNNNNNNNNNNNNNNNNNNNNNNNNNNNNNNNNNNNNNNNNNNNNNNNNNNNNNNNNNNNNNNNNNNNNNNNNNNNNNNNNNNNNNNNNNNNNNNNNNNNNNNNNNNNNNNNNNNNNNNUUUUUUUUGGGGUUGGUUUUUUAUAGUAACCAGUUAUAACAGUAGUGGUUGUGCAAUGUUUGGUUCCCUUAAGCUUCGAUCCAACCGUGUAGCCAGCUUUAGGUCAAUGUCUCCCAAACCACUCGGGUUUUAGGGCACUAGGUGUAGAACACCCCUAAGGACUUAUUAACUCAAGCUGAAAAGGCUACGAAACCAACUAACCACCCUGCCUCAUGCCAAAACUCUACCUUUUGUCUCGAAAAUCACUGCUGAUUAGGCAGGACUGGCCCGGUUACUAGCAAAGCUUCGGGUGAGGCAAUUAUUACUUUAUAACACAUACUAACUUUAUUUAAAUUGAACAGAAAUUAAAACACACUUGGACAAAAAGUAAGUAUUCCAAUCUCACUCCCCAAAAACCAUAUUGGUGUGAUGUGCAAAUUUCAAAGUAUAAUUCAUGAAUUAGUGUCUAAGCAACAAUAAAUAGAAAAGACUCUACUGUGGGAUUGAUUUUCACUAUGUCCAUUUAUUCUAACGUUUAAAAUAAUCUAUGGAUAUUGACUGAAAAACGAAAAUUUUAAACAAGACUUAAAAAAAACUAAAAAUCUAAAAUUUACUUUCCCACCCCCUAACUUAAAUCACACAUUGUCCUCAAGGUGUGGUAAAUAAUCAAAAGAAACAAGAGCAGAAACAAAACGACUAAAUCCUAGAAAAUGAAAAUCAAAAAUAAAGAAAAUACUCUAAGAAAAGAAACUAGGAAGGAAAAAUAGAAGAAUAAUAAAAUAAAAUAAAAUAAGAAAGAAAAGGAGAAAAACAACAAUAGAAAAGAAAUAGGAAAGAAAAUACCCAAAAAUGAGACACCUUGGGGAUUCAAAGGCAGGACCAGGCGGAGUGUUGCGAAAAAGCGCUGACCAACUCAACCACGUCCACACUGGCAUCAAAUAGGAGCGACAGCUACAAUAUAACCUGCUGUAGCUGCUGCAUCUGUCAUUUGAAAAAUAUUGGAUUCCCUUCUCCUACCCCGAGCUCAGAGCCGAAAGGCUCUCUUCUGUCCAUUCCCAUUUUGCAGAAGAAAAAAGAAUAUUGCUGGAUAAACCAAAGCCUCCGCUGUGUCCAGAGAAUCAGAAAAGGUCUCUGAUUUCUCUCUUCUCAAGGCCAUCCAUCUCCGCCUUCACUCUUCUUCAUUCUCUCCAACACUCACGAUCCUUUCCUCUCUUUCAACCCAAUUACACCAGCGUUUUCAUCUGCGUGAGGAGGCCACAUUUGCAGCAAACACAACCAGUGAGGUUGAAUUAUCUGAUGCACCUGAAUUUUUGGAUGGUUUUGGAGUCCCUAGAUUCCUCAAAUUCAGAUCUGUCUCCAUCCAUGUCACCAGAUGCUAACUUGUUCCAAGAUGAAAACAAGCUGAAGCCGAACAAGAGUCUAUUCUCCACCAGUAAGGACCCCAGAUCUGUGCAUCCCGUAGGUAAACUUUCGAACCCCAGAACUGGUUUUUUUUUUUUUUUUUUUCCGUUUUUUUUUUGUUUUGAAAAUAAAAGAAGUAAAGAGUUUAGAAAAAUUGGGUUGCCUCCCAAUAAGCGCGCUAUUUUAAGUCUGUAGCUAGACUUUGCAGAAGCCUGGUGGUCAAAUCACUGGUUCCUUCAGAGUCAAAGACUCGGCUGCAAUGUCAAAGGGUGUCUCCACGUAGGGUUUUAGCCUAUGACCAUUCACCUUGAACGUGUUGCCUUUAUCUUCAUUAGUGAUUUGAACUGCUCCAUGAGGAAAAACUUGAGUCACUAGGUAGGGUCCAGUCCAGCGAGAUUUUAAUUUCCCUGGAAACAACUUGAGCCUUGAACUAAAUAACAGAACCUUUUGCCCUGGCUGAAAUUCCUUCCGUAAAAUUUGACUGUCAUGAAAUGCCUUAGUUCUUUCCUUGUAGAUGCGAGAACUAUCAUAAGCACCUUGACGAAUUUCCUCUAGCUCAUUUAACUGCAAUUUCCGCUUUUCCCCAGCUGAGUCAUAUGCAAAAUUUAACUCUUUAAUGGCCCAGUAAGCUUUAUGCUCCAGCUCCAUAGGUAGAUGACAGGCUUUCCCAUAAACAAGUCGGAAUGGUGACAUCCCAAUAGGAGUUUUAUAAGCUGUCCUGUAUGCCCACAAAGCAUCAUUUAGUUUGAAACUCCAAUCCUUGCGUGUAGAGCUCACUGUUUUCUCCAAAAUACGCUUUAUUUCUCUGUUUGAAACUUCAACUUGACCAGAUGUCUGUGGGUGGUAUGGUGUAGCCACGCGAUGAUUAAUCCCGUAUUUUGCCAGUAGGUUAGCAAAUGGUUUAUUAAUAAAAUGCUUCCCCCCAUCACUAAGAAUAACACGCGGUAUUCCAAAACGUGGAAAUAUAACCCCCUGGAGGAACUUCAGGACCACUGAUCCUUGAUUAGUUGGUGCUGCAAUGGCCUCGACCCAUUUUGAAACAUAUUCCACAGCCACUAAAAUAUAUUGGUGCCCAUUAGAAGAUGGGAAUGGCCCCAUGAAAUCAAUACCCCAAACAUCAAAUAGUUCAACAAUUAGGAUACUUUGUUGGGGCAUUUCAUUCCUUCUGGAUUGAUUGCCGACCCUUUGACACCGAUCACAUGCCUUGCACCAAUUCUGUGAAUCUCUAAAAAGUGUUGGCCAAAAUAACCCACUCUGUAGGAUUUUCUCUGCUGUCCUUUUCUGCGCAAAAUGUCCUCCUCAAGCAUAGUGAUGAGCAAACUUUAAAACACUUUCUUGUUCAGCCUCCGGAAUACACCUGCGAAUAAUCUGGUCUGCACAAUACUUGUAUAAGUACGGUUCAUCCCAGAAAUAGUGCUUUACAUCAGAUAAAAACUUCUUUUUCUGCUGGUAGGAAAAAUCUGGAUGCACCACACCCUUAGCCAAAUAAUUGACAAUAUCUGCAAACCAAGGUGUGUCAAUUUUGACAGCAAAUAGCUGUUCAUCUGGGAAACUUUCACUCAAUGGUAGAGAAUCUGCCUCUGUAGCUGCUGGAAUAAUUAAUCUAGAUAAAUGAUCAGCCACAACAUUCUCACUGCCCUUCUUGUCUUUAAUCUCUAAGUCAAAUUCUUGAAGUAAGAGAACCCAACGAAUCAAUCUAGGCUUUGCAUCCUUCUUAGACAACAAGUAUUUUAGUGCAGCAUGAUCUGUAUAGACAAUUAUUUUAGCCCCAACCAAAUAAGACCGAAAUUUCUCUAGUGCGAACACAACUGCCAACAAUUCCUUCUCUGUAGUUGCAUAGUUAAGCUGUGCAUCAUUUAGAGUACGACUUGCAUAAUAGAUGACAUGGGGAAGCUUAUCUUUUCGCUGCCCUAAAACUGCCCCGACAGCAUAAUCUGACGCAUCACACAUUAGUUCAAAUGGUAAAUCCCAAUUUGGUGCAGCAAUGAUGGGUGCCGAAGUUAGGAGUGCUUUCAACUUGUUGAAUGCUUCUAAACAGGCCUUAUCAAAAUUAAAUGGUGCAUCCUUAGCCAAUAAAGUGCACAAAGGUCGACUAAUCUUGGAGAAAUCCUUGAUGAACCGACGAUAAAAACCUGCGUGUCCUAAGAAGGACCUCACACCUUUUACUGAUGUAGGAGGUGGCAGCUUUGCAAUAACUUCAAUCUUUGCCUUGUCAACCUCGAUGCCUUUGCUAGAAAUUGAAUGACCCAAGACAAUUCCCUGUUCAACCAUGAAAUGCCACUUUUCCCAGUUUAGCACUAAAUUUGUCGCUUGACAUCUCUGAAGAACUAAUGAUAAAUUCUGUAAGCAUUGAUCAUAUGAAUCCCCAAAAACAGAAAAAUCAUCCAUAAAAACUUCCACAAUAUUUUCGACCAAGCCAGAAAAAAUACUCAUCAUACAACGUUGAAACGUAGCAGGUGCAUCGCAUAAUCCGAAUGGCAUCCUCCGAUAAGCGUAAGUACCAAAUGGACAAGUGAAAGUAGUCUUCUCUUGAUCCUCUGGUGCUAUUGGAAUCUGAUUAUACCCAGAAUACCCAUCAAGAAAACAGUAAAAAGCCCGCCCAACCAACCUUUCUAACAUCUGGUCAAUAAAAGGCAAUGGAAAAUGGUCUUUUCUCGUCCCUGUGUUAAGCUUCCGAUAAUCUACACACAUUCUCCAACCCGUAGUCAAUCGUGUAGGAACUAACUCAUUAUUAUCAUUUUUCACCACUGUAAUACCGGUCCGUUUAGGCACAACUUGAGUCGGGCUAACCCAUUUACUGUCAGAAAUAGGAUAAAUCAUACCUGCAUCAAGUAAUUUCAUAACCUCUGUUCUAACCACCUCUUUCAUAAUUGGGUUAAGGCGGCGUUGAGCAUCAACUGUUAGCUUUACGUCGUCUUCCAUUAAUAUUCUGUGCAUACAUAGUGCUGGGCUGAUUCCCUUGAUAUCCGCAAUUGUCCAUCCCAAUGCAUCUUGAUAUUUUCUCAAUACACGAAGCAAUUUAUCCUCCUCUGUCGGUGUUAAAUCUGCUGCAAUUAUAACUGGCAACGUCUCUGCAGCUCCUAAAUAUGCAUAUUUAAGAUGUUGUGGUAAAGGCUUCAGCUCCAAUUUUGGCGGCUGCUGUCUGGAUGGUUUAAGGGGCUGUUUGGGCUCCCCUAAACUCUCAUACACAUUCCUAAAUUUUGGCAACACUGUGGGCAGACUGUUCAAUGCGUGUAUGUACUCAUGAACACCUUCAUCUUCAAAAUCUGUCUCAAAUGCCCCCUGUAAAACAUGCAACAACUGAUCUGUUUUUGAAUUAGCAUAAAAUCUGUCCUGCACCAUACUGUCUACCAUGUCAAUACGCAUACAAUCUAGCUGUUCAGCAGGACGUUUUGUUGCCGCAAACAAAUUAAACACCACAGAUUGGUCCUGAACCCGUAAAGUCAAUGUUCCAGCUUCCACAUCAAUUAAGGUCCUAGCUGUUGCCAUAAACGGCCUCCCCAAAAUAAUAGGUGUUUGAAGGUCUUCAUCCAUGUCUAAAACCACAAAAUCUGCCGGUAGAUAAAGAUUAUCAACCUUAAUAAUUAGAUCUUCAAUAACACCUCUUGGAUAAGUGAUUGAACGGUCAGCUAGUUGAAGUAUAAUUGAUAUAGGCUUUAAAUCUCCUUGCCCCAAUCGCUGAAAAACAGAAAAAGGCAUCAAAUUAAUACUUGCACCCAAAUCAAUUAAAGCACUCUUAAAAUUAGAAUUUCCAAUAGUGCAAGAAAUAUUAAAACUCCCUGGAUCUUUUUUCUUAGGUGGUAGUUUGUGUAGCAAAACUGCAUUGCACUGUUCUGUCAAAAUAACUUUUUCCAAAUCUGAAAGCUUCUUUUUGCUGCUGCAAACUUCCUUCAAAAAUUUGGCAUAUGAUGGAAUUUUCUUGAUUGCAUCCAGUAAGGGAAUGUUGAUUUGAACCUUGGAUAAUGUCUGCAUAAAGUCCUUGAGUUGCUGAUCUUUUACUUUUGGCUUCAAACGUUCUGGAUAUGGAAUUGGGGCCUCAUAAACACGCUCAGGUACUUGUUUUGGAACAGUUUCUAGAUCUGCCAUAUUAUGUUUUUCUACAGGUUUGGCAGGUUCUGCUGCUGCAAAAUUUUCUGUAUGAUCCUCCACUGCAUGCUGCUCCUUUUCAAUGUUAUUUUCACGAUUGUCAUAGCUUUUUCCACAUCGUAAAGUCCGAACAACUUUGCAAUCUUCACGUCCAUUUGGAUUAGGAAUUGUUUGACUAGGAAAUUUGCCCUUUUAUCUGUCUGAAAUCUGUGUAGCUAGUUGUCCAAAUUGUUGCUCCAAACUUUUAAUAGAUGCUUCAACAUUUUGAAAUCUUUGAUUGUUGCCCUCGAUGAAUGAUUGAGUUGUUGCUGCCAGUUUAGCAAGUUGAUCUUCCAUAGAUGGUUUGGAGGGAACAAAAGGUUUUUGUGCAUGCUGGAAUGGUUUGGCAUUAGUCUGAUUGUCACCCCAUUUGAAAUUAGGGUGAUCCCUCCAUCCAGGAUUGUAAUGAGUUGCAUAUGCAUCAUUCCUAGGCCUUUGAUAGCUGUUCAUCAUAUUGACAUGUUGUUCAACAAGCUCUGGGUAAGAGUCUCUAUGUGGGCAGCCCAUUAUGUCAUGUGUAGCCAUACUGCAUAUAGUGCAAACUGUUGAUGUAGGUGGCUGCUGUGUAGAACUUGCUAUAUGUUGUAGAAGCAUAUCAAACUUUGCAUCAAUUUUCUUAUCCAUUUUUUCCAUUUGUGCAGACAUGUUGGGAGAACCUACUGAUAACUCAAAAAUGCCCCUUUUCUGUGAAUGUUCUGCUGCCCAUUGCUGAGAUUCUGUAGCCAUCAUAUCAAACAGUUCAAAUGCCUCUCUUGCAGAUUUAUUUGAUAAUGAUCCUCCAGCUGAUGCAUUCACAUGGCUCUUAGAUGUAGGAUUAAGCCCAUCAAAGAAAAUAUUCAUUUGUGUAUCUGAAUCAAUUUUAACAUGUGGACACUUUAUGUACAUCUUUGUAUAUCUCUCCCACGCUUCAUGAAACUCUUCAUUAGGCUUCUGUGUGAAUGUCAAAAUCUCCCUCUUGUAAUUCAAUGUCUUGGAUGCUGGAUAAUAUUUGUUCAGGAAUUUUGUGUGUAACUGCUGCCAAGUAGUAAUGCUAUUAGCUGGUAGAGUGAAUAACCAAGUUUCUGCCUUGUCCUUCAAAGUGAAAGGGAAAAGACGUAACUUAAUAGCCUCAGCAGAAAAACCCCUAAUCAAAAUAUUCUUGCAACCCACAAUAAAUUUUGCAAUAUGUAUGUUUGCAUCUUCAUUAGGCAAUCCCCGAAAAGUAGGUAGAAUUUCAAGCAUAUGGUGCCUGAUCUCGAACGAAUCACCCUCUUCUUGUUCAGGAUACACAAUGCAAUUGGGAACAUCAGUGGCACGGGCUUCCAAUGACUCCCUGAGUGGUCUACCUGCCGCAGGUAAUUCUAACGCCAUGUUACUCUCGUUUGCAAACAGAUCCUGCAGAAAAGUGCCCUGCAGUGAACAGUCCCAAGCCCAAGUAACUUCUCUCCGCUGUCUAUGCAGUGUGCGCUCUGGUUCUGGAUCAAAUUGUACAAUCUGUGUAGUUCCUGAUCUGGUCUGGACCAUGCAGUCUGCAAAAUCUGCAACAGAAACAAAAUUGUUCAAUUUCAAUUUUUUUUUUUGGACGAAAAUUAAAAAUAAAAUAAAAUGAAAUAAAUCAGAAAAAGGUUAAACAAAAAUUGUCUAAAAUAGUCCCCAGCAACGGCGCCAAUUUCUUGAUAGGAUUUUUAGUACUUGUGCAAACAGUGUUAAAAAUCACAUAAAAUACUUGCAAGAAUACAAGGCUAUUGUAGUAUAGAUGCUCAUGCAAGGUCGUUUUCCUCAAGGACUAAUUAGCAAUUUAUGUAAAAACAAAUUUCAAUUACUACUUAAAAUAAAAAGUCAAGAAAGAUGAUUAUAAAUUUGGUGGAUUCUAAAAAACAAAUAUUAAACAAAAACAAAUACGAUUGAAAGAAAGAGUUUUGAAUAUCAAUUUAUAAAACCACUAGGGUUUCACCAUCACCUAGCAAUCCUAUGAACUUUUACCAAUUACUUAUGAUUUGCACAUGCCACUUUGAAGGUUAGGUUUUCCUAUUGUAUAUUCUACUUGGAACCUCCAACACAGAACGUAUAUCCAACAUGCAACCCGUCCGGACGUUCGGAUCAAAUCUGAACAUGAAAGACUCAUUAAGUUUUGUGAAAACCCUUUGAAAAACCAUGCAACCCUUAAGACGUGGUGUUCAUCUUAAGUGAAAUUACAAUUAUUAAUCACAAGAAGCUAGCAUAAAUUUCAGGGAACCUUCCGACCAAAAUUGCAUCCAAUUACUUUUCUAAAGAUCCUAAUGGUGAUCAGGCAUUAAGACAAUUAGAUAGUUUAAAAUAGUGAUUAACAAUUCAAAAUACGCAUGCACUCAUCAUAAGCAAUUAAAUAAAAAUCACAUAUUCAUGCUAAGGUUCAAGGCUUCACCCUAGCAAAAGAAAUUUAGUUACGCAUACUCAUAAUUGAAAUCCAAGAAAAUAUCAUUAAGAAGAAAAGAACGAAAACACCUGAAAGUUGUGAAAACCCAAAACCCUAGCAAUUGCUCUCUACAAUGCAAAGUUCAAAAAUAAUUAAGAAGUCCUAAAUUCCUUGUGAGAAAGAGCUUAAAUAUCCCUUAAAACCUAGCUGCCAAUGUACAGCUUUUCUAUCCCUACAAGGAAACUAAUUAAAGUAAAAUAAUACUAGGAAAUAAAGUCCAAAUUGGAAUAGGAGAAUUUGCCCAAAAUCAGCCCAGCCACGUUUUGGCCCCAAAUCUCCUCCAAAUCUGGCCCAAGAUAGCUUUUUUUAAAGACACUACUACAAAAAGUGAAAAAGACGACCAGAAAACAACGACGGUCUAAGUGAAAACCGUCGUGGUUUUUAAAAAGACGACGGUUCUAAAAACACCGUCGUGUAAUACCACCUUAGACAACUAAAAAAUGGAGAUUCAAAUGGCUGUUCAAAAACAACGACGUACCUAAUUAAACAACCGACGUCUAUUUGAAACAGAUUUCCGCAGUGUAAAAUCAAAGCAAACAAAGAACGGCAGAAGUUAUGAAUAGACCGACGUAGAAAGUAAAGACGACGAUUUCAAUAAAAGCCGCCGUUUUUACUCAUAAAAUAACACGACGAGGUUUUCGUAUAAGACGCCGUAUAAUUACAAACAAAUCCACGGCUUUAAAAUACAAAAAUAAUCUUAACAGAUGACACAGAUUUGCAAUCAGAAGAGACAAUUUUUGAAGUUGAUCAACGUCGUUGAAAAUUGCAAUCAGAAGAGACAUUUUCAACGACGGNNNNNNNNNNNNNNNNNNNNNNNNNNNNNNNNNNNNNNNNNNNNNNNNNNNNNNNNNNNNNNNNNNNNNNNNNNNNNNNNNNNNNNNNNNNNNNNNNNNNGGAAGUUGAUCAACGUCGUUGAAAAUUUGCAAUCAGAGAGACAAUUUUCAACGACGGUUAUAUUAUACCUAACGACGUUUAAAAACAAAUCAACGUCGCUCAACAAAUAUAUUACGUCGUCUUAGUCUUACUUAAGACGACGAAAAACGACGACAGUAGUAAAAAAACAGUCGUUGUUUUUAUAUUCUUAUUUUAUUUAAAUCUGUCGUGUUAGUUAAAAACGACGGCAUAACAAAAAACCGUCGUUUUGUUUCAAACUGAAUUAAUUUAAAAUUUCUUCAGGAAAGCAAAAUCUAUUUAUAAUUUCCUCGGGUUAGUAAUAUUGUGUCGUGUUAGUUUACAAAUUCUAGAACAUUAAUUUCCCUCAUUUUAAAUUUUCUCGGGAAAGAAAAAUCUAUUUAUCACGCUUUGUAAUUGAAAACUAAAACUGAAAGAAUUCUGGAAAAAAAACUCUAUUUAUAAUUUAAAAAUAAAAUGCACGUCGGUUGUAGUACACUUAACGACGUUUAACAAAAUAAUCUACGUCGGUAAUUAUAAAUCUACCGCCAUCUUACCCUAAUAUAGACGACGAGAAAAGACGACGGUAGAACAGAAAACCGCCGUUGUUUCAGUUUCUUUAACAGUUUGGUCCUUUAUCUUUCUGCAGGACUUGUAUAGUUCAAAGCAUUGACAAUGUCUUCAUCAUAUCUCCCAGCAACUACUGAUUCGAUUGCUCAUGCUUUAGAGGCCAUCUGAAGCCAUUUCUAUUCUUUAUCGCAUUCUUGAAACCCAUCUUCUUCUUCUGAAGCUCUACGGAUAAAGGAAGAGGCUAUCACAAAUCUGACGGAUCUUCUUAGUCAAAAAAAUCAAGCAGAGGAUCAGGCACAUCUGAUCUUCAGAUUUCCCUGAGAAGCGAACUUUCCUUCGACAGCGAGUGGAGGCCAGGCUUGCAUCUCUUUUGAUGGAAAGCAAGGAGUAUUCAGAAGCACUAAGUGUCCUAUCAGGCUUGAUCAAGGAAGUGAGAAGGCUAGUUGACAAGCUUCUUCUUGUCAACUAGCCUAAAUGUAAGCUCAAUUUCUCUUUGAGAAAGACCUCCAAAUUAUUGUCUUUGAGAUGUGAGAGACAGUGUCUCUGAGAGAGGAAGAACUUGGAACCCUAAAUGUAAACCGCGAAAAUGAAUGAAAGCGACAAAUUUAUAGAAUAAAUUUUUAAAACCAACGGCGGUACUUACCAAGAAACCGCCGUUUCAAUUGUAAAAUCAACGUCGGUAUUACUGACGUAUAUUACAGAACUCCACGUCGGUACAUUAAUAAUCACGACGUCUUAAAUAAUCUACCAUGACGCGAGUUAUUACUUAUGUACUUUAAUUUUUGAGUUUACUACGACGGUACCUACAACACUACUGUCGUAUUUAUUUACCACGUCCGAAGUUAAAUUUACCGACGUAUUUUGUACUUUAUACGUCGUAGUUAUAUGUAACCGCCGUAUUAUUUUUUUGAAAUGGUUUUAUAUGUAAGCAACUUUUCGUCUACUUGACUUACACAUUAGUUGUUUUUAUAUUCUUAUUUUAUUUAAAUCUGUCAUCCAAAAAAGAAACUUUACAUAUUGCAGAAUAUUAAUUUCCUUCGUUUUAAAUUUCCUCCGGAAAAAAAACUCUAUUUAUAACGCACUGUAAUUGAAAAAUAAACUGAAAGGUCACGGGAAAAAAAAUUCUAUUCAUAAUUUAAAAAUUAAAAUCCACGUCGGUUAUAUUAAACCUAACGACGUUAAAUGAAAUGAUUCCACGUCGAACGAAAAAUAUUUCGUCGUGUUAGUUAAAAACGACGUAGUUAAAUGUAACCGCCGUAUUAUUUUUUUGAAAUGGUUUUAUAUGUAAGCAACUUUUGGACUUACACAUGCACUGUUUCCAAACCCGAUUAAAAAUUUCAAUCUCCAGAGAAACCUUUUCGUCUUUUUUCCUUGUCAGAGCAUUAUCAGAGUUUCUCAUCGUCUUCCUCUCGUCUUCUUCGUCGUCCUUGAACUUAAACAUCGAUCAUCUUCCUCUUGCUUUCAUUGCACGCAAAAGGUAAGCUUUCAUUUUCACUAUUUUGGUUACUGUUUUGCAUGCUCAUACGUUUUUUGUUUGAAAAAUCUUUUUACCUUUUUUCUGGCCAAAAUCAUUUUACUUCUUUCCAAGUUUGAUAAAAUAUACAGACAAAAAGGGAAAGUUUCCAACUUUGAAGACAACUACCUCAACUAAAUGAGACGACGGUAGACCACGACGGUUCGUCAGUUGUUCUAGCGUCGUCUGAAAAUUGACAAAGUUGUUUUUAAAAUAAUAGUCUUUUUUUAUAUGCUUGUUUAAUUGCAGGUUUGAUUUCUCUGAACAAUGGUUUUUGUUUUUCCCUUAUUUGAUAAAAUAUAAAGAAAAAGAAACUAGGGUUGGUAUCUAAUAUAGACGACAAAAUAUCUUAUUGUUUUACGUCGUGUGAAUGUUAAUACCACGACGGUGUAUUACUAUUAACGUCGUAUGAACAUAAAUACCACGACGUUAUAUAAAUAAUAGUUUACCACGACGGUGUAUUACUAUUGACGUCGUGUGAACAUAUAUACCACGACGUUAUAUAAAUAAUGGUUUUAAACAUUUAUUACGUCUGAGAUUAUUUCAUUGCGUCGUCUAAAAUCAUAUCAUACGUCGUAUUUUUUUAAUACCGUCGUUUGUGUUCUUAAUGUUUUCCUGAAAUAUUUUCACUUGCAGUUUUGUCUGUUAAAAUGGUUUCUCAACAACAAACUAAGGAUUCUGGCUCCAAGAAGCUUGGAAUGGUAGCUCCUCAAGACAAGUCUUCGAAGGAGAUGAAGUCUUCGAAGAAGAUGAAGUUUGCUUCAUCAUCUGCUGAGACAGAACCAACCAGCCAGACAACAAUCUCUGAUGAUUCAAAGACUGGUCGAGGCAUGAGCACAAUGCCUCGUGUUGUGAAGAGAAAGCUUCAGAAACUGAGGCCAAUUGUUGAGUACAAUAAAAGGGGGAAAGGUGUUGGCCAAGCACAUAUUGAGAUGCAGUCGUAUAUUGGUGUGUUGGCACGCUCCAGGAUCCCACUUGUGGACAAGAAAUGGUCCCAAAUCCCCAAGGAUAUAAAGGAGCAGAUUUGGGAAGCAGUUGACAUGGCUUUUGUCGUAGGCCAAGGGGGCAAGACCUCUGUUUUAGCUUCUGCUUCCAAGAAAUGGAAGGAUUUCAAGUCUACACUAACGAGGCAUUAUAUCCUUCCAUACACCAAUGACAGGGAGAAAUUAAGCCAACCCCCUGAAACAUAUAAAUUCAUAGAGAAAGCACAAUGGGAUGCCUUUGUAGCUUCAAGGCUAUCCAAAGAUUUUGAGUCUGUGCAUUCUCAACAUGCACAGAUUAGGGAGAAACUCGAGUACAAUCAUCGAUUGUCUCGAAAAGGAUAUGCUGGAUUGGAGGAUCAAUUGGAGGAAACCAUGCCUGGGGUAGAAAUUGAUCGAUCUACCUUAUGGAAGAGAGCUAGACAGGACAAACAUGGUAACAUCCCUGAUCCAAAGGUGGCAGAGAAAGCAAAAUUAAUUGUAAGCCUACUAUCACUCUGUUUUAAAUUUUUAUUAAACUGUGAAUUAUUCUUAUUACGUCGUAUGUUAUAUUUUUCGUCGUGUGAAUGAUAUUACCACGUCGAAAAGUUUUUAAAAACGUCGUUAAAGGUCUAAAUAGGAAUCACUACUAAUUUUCUGUAAUUAUAGCAUAAGACGUCGGUGGUUCAUUUUCGCGUCGUUUGAAUGAUAUUACCACGUCGAAACUUUUUUAAAAACGUCAUUAACGGUCUAAAUAGGAAUCACUACUCUGUUUUCUUUAAUUAUAGCAUAAGACGUCGGUUGUUUAUUCAUUUCGUCGUUUUAAAUAAAUAACCACGUCGGUAUAACUACCGUCGUGAUAAGUUAUAAUAACGUCGGUUUAUACGUUAUUGCGUCGUGUGAAAUUAUAUAAUACGUCGUUUGUACAUAAAUAACCGUCGUGUGUUUUUUUGUUUAUCUUUGUUUUAGGAUGAAUUGCAGAAACAAGUCUCGGAAGGCAAAGUCAGAGUAGAUGGCAGCAAUGAUGUGCUGACCAUGGCUUUGGGCCCCGAGCAUCCAGGCAGAGUGAGGGGAGUUGGUGCUGGUGUUUCCCCAAGGCAAUAUUUCAAUUUGCCCAAACCACAGAGGGUGAGCUUUGACGACCAUUUGAAGGACAGUUUAAGAGUUCUCCUUCAAGAAGAGACUAAAAAGAUGGAGGCUAAGGCAAGGGAAGAGGCCUUAAGAAUGGAGGCUAGGACAAAACAAUUGGUAGAGGCUGAGAGGGAGCAUUUCCUGAGUCAGCUUUCCCAAUUAAUUCCCAAUUUUGAUCCAAGCAUGCUUAAACCAAGAAUUAGCCAAAGCCCCAAAAAUCCAAUGUCUGACAAAGCUAGCUGCUCUGGAGGUGAUGUGAGAUCCCUACAUUUGGAGGAUGAUACUGCCAAAAUGGGGAAACAUCAGCCAGAUGAAGAGAAGGAAGAAGAAAAAAGAGAUGAAGAGAAGGAAGAAGAAAAGGAGAAAGAAGAUGAAGAAAAGCAUGACGACAAGGUAUGUUCACAUAACUUUGCCUUUUUUAUUUGUUUUUCAAAAUUUCAGACGUCGAUAUUUUUAUUUAAUCCGUCGUUUGUUUAAAACUUAGACGGCGGACUUUUUUUAAGACGUAAUAAAAUAUUUAAACGACGGUUUUUGCACCGUCGUUUAAAUGGUUUCAGACGACGCUUUAUUCAUAAAAUCGUCGUCUUUAUUGAAUUACCACGACAGUUUUUUCACCGUCGUUUAAAUACUUUUAAGACGACGUUUUAUUCCUUAAACCGUCGUCUUUGUUGAAUUACCACGUCAUUUUUUUUAUUUCUUUAAACAGGUUAUUGAAGUUGGUGCUUAUUCAAAUAUGGAGGCGCCAUCUUCUUUAAAAACCCUUUGUCGUUUUGUGGAAACGACACUCCUGCCUGAGGAUAAGACACUCCAAUUUACAAUUGAUAAGGAGGUGUUUGGUGGUGAGCGCGAUACCUUCCUCCUGCCUGAAGAUAUUACACAAUUUGCAGGCAUGGAAGAAAUUGGAGCUACUGUAUUGGCUGUAUAUAUGAGGUUUGUACUUCUAAAAUAAUACCUCGUUGGUUUAUAUAUUGCGUCGUCUUAACUAACUAACCACGUCGUCUUAACUAACUACCGUCGUGAUAAAUAUAUUAUAACGUCCUCAUCUAUUUCAGUACGUCGUGUGAAAUAUUAUAAUACGUCGUUUUUUUAUACAUAACCGUCGUGUUUGUUUGUGCUGACUUGUUUAUAUUAUUUUAUGUAUUUAGGUACUUACACGAUGUUUUGAAACAAGCCAAUAUGUGCAGCAUGGUUGGCUUUAUCGACCCUGCUACAGUUAGUGCCAACUCUGGCACAAUAACUGAAAGAUCACGACUGGUAGCAGCUCGACUUCAGAAGACAGACGGUGAACAGAUUUUCAUGAUGCCUUACAAUCCAGGGUUAGUCUCCUUAGGAUUUUGUUUUUAUGAUUUUCAAUAAAUGACAGCUUAUAAACUAACCACGUCGGUGUUUUAUUUUAUUUAGUCGUUUGAAACUACUAACCACGUCGGUAUUUAUUUAUCGUCGUGAUAAAUAUAUAAUGUCGUCGUUAUCUACUUUAUUUCGUCGUGUGAAAUACUAUAAUACGUCGUUUUUGUAAAUAACCGUCGUUUUUAUAUUCAUUUUGUGCAGCCGUCAUUGGAUCUUGCUGAUUGUAAGAGCAAAGAAGGAGACCGUCUAUUUUCUGGAUCCUCUGCCAGGUCAUCGUGUGGUCGACGAAGAGGCGAAAAACAUCGUGAACAGUGCUUUAAAAAUAUAUAAUACCCACAUAGCCCGAGCACGACGUAAAAAUGUAAUUUGGAAAACUCUCUCAGGCACACCAAAGCAACCCAGCAAUGUCGAAUGCGGGUACUAUGUGAUGCGCUUCAUGAGGGACAUCAUCAUGGAUCCUUCCUUGGGGUUUGAGAAUAAGGUAAGAAGAAAUUACCUUCAUACAUUUCACGUCGUUUUUUGUAUUAUCAACGACGGUCAUGUAAAAUUAACGUCGUUGAAUGGAUAUACUACGUCGGUUAUGAAAAAUAUCGUCGUCUGUGAUUGAAUUUCUUUUUAUUUAUAAACCCUAAUAGUCAUUGUUUAUGCAGUAUGCCAAGGGAAACCAGGAAGCUUCAUACCCCCAAGAAGCCAUUGAUGAAGUCCGGAAUGAAUGGGCAGAGUUUGUUUUCCAAAUUAUUAAACAGGGCAAUUAUUGAACACUUGAUAUUUAUGUAUAAUGUACAAAUUUUCUCUAUAAUAUGUAAUGUAAAAAUUUGUUGAGGUUUUCUUAAAUUAAAAAAAAAACAAACAUACAAAUUGCUUAACCGACGUGUAAUACUUUUCCAACGACCUAAUAAAGUCAAAAACCGUCGUAUUUUGUUGUUUCGUGUUUUAAACAAAUACGACGUAAAAAUAUAGUUAGACGACGUUCUUUGAACAAUUGAGUCGUUUAUGGUUUACAACAUCUUCAAUUUCUUAAGGGUUCAGGGUAUCAUCGACGACGUUUAUGUAACGACAGCGGUUAAGUCGUGGAAUAUAUAUUUUACGUCGUAUAGUUAAAUAGCCGCCAUGGUUUCUCAUUUUAACGACGUCAUUUUAACGACUUAGUAGUCUAUUACAAUUUACAACGUCUACAAUUUAUUAACACCGACGUGGUUUGUUGUUGUGGUAAGAAUAUUUUAUUAUUUUUAUAUCAAAAUAUUCAAAAUAAAUUUAAAAUAAAUCAGAAAAUUGAAAAGUCAUCUCCUAUGAAGUCAUUGAUAUAUUUUCUUCCACAUAAACCUUGAAAAAAUUCAUUUUGAAUAACAAAAAUUUAAAAUGACCAUCCAAAACAAAAUUGUUUUGAUGAGUCAUAAAAUCACUUCUAGUUUUAUGGUUUAGGGUUUAGAGUCUAGGGUUUAGAGAUUAGGGUUGUUAUUUGUUGGGGUUUAUUUUUAAAGUAUAAUUUUUGGGUAGUCUAGGGUAUAUGUUAGGCUUUAAAACCAUAAAACCUUUUAUAAACUUAAUUUUUUAAAUUGUAUAAUUUAGUUUUAUGGGUUUAGGGUAUUAAUUUUUAACGACGGUGGUUGCGUCGUGGAAUACAUAUUUUACGUCGUACAGAAAAACAUACGACAUGGUUUACGCUUUAAACGACGUCAUUUUAAUAUGUAAGUCGGUUUAUAUAAUUUACAACGUCUUUAAUUUCUUAACACCGACGUGGUUUUUCAGUCGUCGUUAUAUAAAAAAUUCAAAAUAAAUUUAAAAUUAAUCCGAAAAAUGAAGCUUCAAAAUGAACGGCCUUACGUUCUUAAUCCGAAAAAUGAAGUUUCCGUCGUGGAAUAUUAAAUUUACGUCGGUACUUGUAGAACUUUCGCCUUGGUUUUUCUUUCGACGUUUUAAAACGCGCGAGCUCUAAAAAUUUUCGCGUGACCUAAAUUUUUUUAGAUUUGGCUCUUAUUCUUAUACUUCGAACCCUGAAACCUAAAAUUUUCAGAUUUCGCUCUCUCACUUCUGCUCUAAUUAAAAGUUGCACUCUCCAGGCUUCGUCGAAUCUGUGAGCUCGUCCAACCUGUAAGUACAAACCCUAUCUUCCCCUUGUAAAUUCAUUGAAUGAUAUUAGGUUGUUUUGUUAAAGGGUUUUAUGUGUAUGCUUUGCGAUCUGUUAAUAAUGUGCUUAUAGGUAUGGGUUCAUAGAUUUUCUGUUUAAUGGGUUCAUGGAUUACAUUAUCUGUUAUGUUGAAUUGGGAAUGGAUUUAAUUUUGUCGUAUCUUUUAAUCACCCUAUGUUAUGUUGAAUUGGGAAUGGAUUUAUUGUUUUCAUGCUUGGUUUCAUGUAUAUGUUGGUUUCUUGCUUGGUUUCAUAUAUAUGUUGUGUUCUUAAUGGGUUUUGUGUUCUUGAAAAUAAACUGAGACACGACAAAUUUUAAGGCAUACGACGACGAUUACACGACGGUUUUUUUAAACUACCGUCGUUGUAUUACUUAUACAAGACGGUUUUUUCAUAAACCGUCGUUUGUAUUACUUAUAAUAGACGACGUCUGUUGAAAAUCCGUCGUCUAUAUAUGCCAAAUACGUCUGUUUUUGUUUAAAACCCGUCAUCUCUGUUGUGUAUUACUUGCGAUUAGAUCAUUGUAUAAUCUGCUAUAGUGAUGGUCAUUGCCUGUAUUUUCACUUUAUUAUAGAUAAUAGGUUAUAGUGUCGGAGAUGGAUAAGUCAUGGAUGCACUCGGAUAGAAGAUCGAAGGCAUAUGAAUUUGGGGUGGAAGCAUUUUUGAACUUUGCUUGAGAAGUACUUUCCCCCUUCAUUCUUUGAUAUCAUGGUUCAUCUAGUAGUACAUCUUGUCAGAGAAGUUCGUCUAUGUGGGCCAGUAUAUUUUAGGUGGAUGUAUCCGUUUGAAAGAUAUAUGAAAGUGCUGAAGGGGUAUGUUCAGAAUCGUACUCGUCCCGAAGGUUGCAUUGCUGAGCGGUAUAUAGCUUAAGAAGCGGUAGAGUUUUGUACUCAGCAUUUAUCUGAUGUUAGUACAGUUGGAGUGCCUUCAAGCCAAAAGAUGGGACUUUCAAAGCCAUUAUCAGGUUGCACAGUGAGCGUAGUUGAUCAGGACCUGUUGAAUCAAGCACAUCUAUAUGUCUUGGAGAAUACGGAGGAAGUCCUACCUUAUAUCGAGUACGUAUGAGCUUUAUUCUUUAAGUUUCCAUUUUAAAUUAUUUCUUAUGUUUAUCUUCUAUAUUUGGGACCGUAAUGCUUGAAUUUUUCGUGUCAUGUAGGCAACAUAUGAUCCACAUCAAGAUUGCUUAUCCAAAAUUUAGAAAGAGAACAAAGUGGCUGCAGGAUAAGCACAAUAGCACUUUCAUUCAAUGGCUACGCUUCAAGGUAUAUGUUGUUGAAUAACAUAUUUCUCUUUUAAUUUUCUUCUUAUUUAUAUGUUAGAUUGAAUUAAGAUAUGAUUAAUUUGCAGGUUCAAAGUGAACUUGAGGAAGACAAUCAUGGCGUAUCAGAAAAUUUAAGGUGGCUAGCAGCUGGUCCAAACAUGUCAGUGCCAUUAUAUAGGAGCUAUCUUAUUAAAGGUAUUAAAUUCAAUAUCAAGGCACAAGAUGAUGUGCGGACAACUCAAAAUAGUGGAGUUUAUUUACUUGCACAUACCAUGCAAGUUGCUAGUGCCAAGGAUAAAAACCCAAUUCUCUCAAACAUGGGUUUCUAUGGUGUCAUUCAAGAAAUUUGGGACCUUGACUACCAAAAGUUUACAAUCCCAGUCUUUAGGUGUGAUUGGAUAGAUAGUUCUGGUCUUGUAGUCGACGAACUUGGAUUUACCCUUGUAGAUUUGAGUAAAAUUGGACAUAGGAAUGACCAAUUUGUUUUGGCUUCUCAAGUCAAACAAAUAUUUUUUGUUGACGACCCGAUGCAUCGUGGUUGGUCGGUAGUGUUAUCAAUGCCUAAUAGAGAAUAUAAUGAUGUUAUUGGUGAUGAAGUCUUAGGUGAUGUGAUAAUUGAGUGUGAGCCAUUUACUAGAGGGAUGCCAAAUGUUGACACAUUUGAUGAACUGGUGGGUGAGUUAGGCGGUCAAAAUAUUCGAGAUGGGUGUGAAGAUAUAUGGAUUGAAUGAUGCUUAUGUAAUUGGCAGUGUAUGACAUUAAUUUUGUAAUAUAUUGUAAUGUGAUUUCUUCACUUUCUACGUUCAAAUAAAACACGACGUUAUUGUGAACCAGUUAUUCAGCAUAUUUACCGACGUCUUAAAGCAACGUAACAAUGAAGAACCACGACGCUAUUGUGAAGCAAUUAUUCAGGAUAUCACGUCGGGGAAGGAUUAAGAACCGCCAUGUAAUUCAAAAUAACACGACUCCAAUCCCAUAAUACCGACGUCUAAAAAACGAGAUAUAUAAUCUGAACGUUAAAAAAUACGACGUCAUCAUACAUUUUCCACAUCGCAAGUUCUUUUAUAAACGAAGAGGAACGAAAUGAAUUCCGACGGAAAUUCAUUAUAACCGCCGUCUAAUAACAAUUAAACGACGUUAUUUGUAAUACGGCUCUCAUCAUAAUCAACGCCGUCUAUAUGUUCUGUAAUACGGCUCUCAUUUAUUUGGAACCGACGUUGUUUAGAAGUUCAACGUCGUCUAUAUUAUUAAGUGCGUCGUGAGUAAUGAUGAUAGAUAUAAAUACAACGUCGACUAUAUAAAUGCCACUGACGUUGUUUCGCAUUUCAACGUCAACUGUAUAAAUACAUACGUCGUAAAUAAUGACACUGACAACUAUUUCCACGUCAUCUUUUUUAGAAAAAUCGAAGUGGAAAAUUUAUUUCACGACGGUUGUUUGUAAAUAAGAGACGUAGUAUAUUUCAAUAACGUCGUCUUCUCAUGUAUUUAAAGACGUCAUAUUUUUUCUUGUCGUGUAAAUUAUAUUUAACGGCGUAGUAUUUUAGUUGUCGUCGUUGUAUGUAUAUCUUGCGGCCUUGUUCUUUUAACAUGUGUCAUAUUUUUCCUUUUUAACGACGGUGAUUUGUUUGAGUUGGUCGUCUAUUCUCAUCCUCGACUAUUUUCUAGAACUUUAGCAGACUAAACACGUCUGUUUUUAUUGUUUUCCGACGUUGUUUUAUUUAACAACGUCUAAUAUUUAUCGUCGUUGUUUGUUUCUGAAAAUAUGACGUAUAAAUUUUGUAAUACGACUCUCAUAUAUUUGUAACCGACGUUGUUUCGUUUUUCAACGUCUACUCUAUAAAUACAUACGUCGUAAAUAAUGACACUGACAACUAUUUUCACGUCAUCUUUUAUCGAAAAAUCGAAGUGGAAAAUUAAUUUUACGACGGCUGUUUUUAUAUAUGCGACGUAGUAGGUAUCAAUAACGUCGUCUUCUAAUGUAUUUAAAGACGUCAAAUUUUUUAUUGUCGUGAAAAUGAUAUUUAACGGCGUCGUAUUUUUAUUUUCGUCGUUGUAUGUCUAUCUUGCGGCCUUGUUCUCUUAAUAUGUGUCAUAUUUUUCCUUUUUAACGACGGUUUUUUUAGAGAGUUGGUCGUCUAUUCUCAUCCUCGACUGCUUUUUUAGAUCUUUUUGCAGUACAAAGACGUCGUUUUGUAUUUGUUGAUGACGUUGUAUAUUUUAACAACGACGGUGAUUUUGCGUCGUGGUUUAUGAGGGAAAAGAUGACGGUGGAUUCCACGACCAUUGAAAAACCGAAUACACGACGGUGAUUUACCGUCGUCUUUUUGCUUUUUUGUAGUAGUGAGAUAAAAAUGUUCUGAACACUUCUCUAGAAGGCCACGAACCCAUCCGAGGUCAUCUUGGGCUCCAAAAACACAAUAAAAGCCCAACACGUCACUAUUCCAGCACCGCGCACUGCUCAUUUAUUUUAUUGCCAGAAAAUAACCGCUUGGAAGAAAAAUCUGAAAUUUUGAUACGAUCAAGCUAAGUGACUCAAGAACGUCCUCCAACUGGAAUUACUCCAAAAUUCCUCAAUUUGAUUAUGUUUUGCUCCAGAGAGAGUCGAAAGUCCUAUAUUGGAAAUAUAAUUCAAAGUAUCAAAAUUCUUCCAAAAUAUUAACCAAAAUAUACUAAGAAUGAGGUUAAAUAUAUAAUAUAAAAUAUGUCCAUCACCCCACAACAACUAAAGAACCAACAUUUUGUAGAAGGUUUUGUCUAUACCUUUGACUGUAAGUAAAUCUCUUGUAUCUGCUCCUGUGGUUCGGUGAAGUUUCUUUGUGUCCUUUCUGCGGAGUCUCCCAUGCUUGUUCCAUGAAAAUGUUCUAGGAGAAAAUACGGUUGUUUCUUACUAGAUUCAAAUGAUUAAGAAAAAUAAAAACGCAAGAAAAAAGGUAUUUUCUUGAUGGACUUGGUGAUGAAAAAUAUCACUCUCUUUAUAUGUCGUCUUCCUUGGACUUUGAGACCUUGGGUUUCGAUUCUUCUUGAGGAUUGCAUAGGGUUUCUAGGCCCAAGAAUACUUUGAGUUAGUUUUUGCGUUUUGGGCUUUGAGACUUUGAGACUAUAAUGAGUGGAAAGUUAUAAGGGGUAAGUUAUAAGGGGGUCACUUUAUAGCCAUCAGAUUAAUCCAAGGGCUGGGGAGAAUUGAGAUAAAGUUUCACAAUUGGGUAGGUGAGGAACCCAAACCCGAAUUGAAUAUCCAGCACGUCCAAAAAGAAGAAGAAGAGGGAAACACGUCCGAAAAAGAAGAAGAAGAGGCAAGUUCGAAGUUUGAACAGAAAGAACUCAUCUCUCUAAAACACAGAGGUCUGAGAUACCCAAUGAAGGCAACGGCUAACGACAGUUGAAGGCAACAAUUCGCCACUCCGUUCUCCAGACCCCGAAAAAGUAUUUAUUUGGAGUAGAAGGGGCAAAGGUGUGGAUUCCAAAUCAGUGAAGGGGCGAAGCAGUGGAAGGGGAAGGGGAGAAGCUGUAUUCGUUGGAAGUGUAGGUUCCAUUUGUGGAGCAAAGAAAUAGAAAGACCCCACACAGACACCUUGCAAUAACCAGCAUUUGGUGAGUAAUUUAUGGAAUUUGAGUUUAGGGUUAGAGUAAUGGUUUUCCCCAAUUUGUACCAUAAAUUUUGUUGGAUUUGGCAUCUCUUCGUUGUGCUUCAGUUGCAUGUUAAUUUUUGCUUAGGUAUAUGUUAAAAAAGGAAUGAAAAUUAAGUCAAUAACAAGUGAAUAACAUGUCAAUAAUGAUAUGAAUAAGAUAAUGGUGUUGAAUUGGAGGAGGCCCUCAAAACCUUCCACAUUUGAAGCAGUGCAUAGUGCAGAUUAAGAAGAGGCGCUAGAAUAUAUAUAUAUAUUUUAUGAAGUAAAUAUGAUUUCCUUUGUUACUAAAUUUGCCUGAGAAACAUUUGAACAGAUAAUAAUAAACUCAUGAAUAGAACUGCAAAGCAUUUGAUGAGCAAUGUAAGGAAUUUAAGUUUAGGGUUAGAGUAAUGGCAUCUCUUAUUUGUGCUUCAAUUGCAUGUUAAUUUUUGCUUGGGUAUAUGUUAAAAAAUGAAUGAAAAUAAAGUCAAUCACAUGUCAAUAACAUCUCAAUAACAUGUCAAUAACAUGUCAGUAAUGAUAUGAAUAAGAUAAUUGUGUUAAAUUGGAGGAGGCGCUCAAAACCUUCACAUUUGAAGCAGUGCAGAGUGAAGAGUACCUCUCUGGCACUAGAAUUUAUAUAUUUUGUGAAAUAAAUAUUAUUUCAUUUGUUACUAAAUUUGCCUAUGAGAAAUGAGAACAGAUAAUAAUAAACUCAUGAAUAAAAGUGCAAAGCAUUUGAAAUGAAGGUUGAUCUAUGACGAUUGUGGGUGACUGAAGAAAAAGGUAGAAAGAAAGAAGGAUGUGGCAAUUGCUUAGCAAGCAGAUAGCAGAGUACAUGCUUUGCUUUGCUUCCUUCCACUAUAUUUCUUAUUUAUUUAUUUUGGGUUGUGUAUGAGAUGACAAUAAUUGUCAUGUGUGUGAAGUGCAGAACUUGCCUACAUUGCACUCACACGAGUAUGGAUGCAUAAAUAAAACACGUGAAAUUGUUUGUAAUUCACAUAAUCAUUGCAUUAACAGGUAUUUGCACAAAAAUUGUCAUAUUGCUUUGAUGAUGUUAAAGGCUGUGAUGAGUAAUCCCUAUGCUCAUGUACUUUGUAAAAGUUGUAAUGUGCCUGGUUGACUAGUUGUGAUUGUGCAAAUACGUGGUAGUAUAUAUGUUCACGUUAUUUCACAUUGUAUUUGAGGAAAUGGGAUCCAACGUGGAGCUGGUAUGGCCAGAGGCAGAGGUAUAUUCGUCACGGGUGAACAACUGCUCACAUGCAAAUUCAUCUCUAGCUGCAAUUCGAGCGAAGUUGAGUGCGGAACAAUUAGAACAAUUCAAGACAUCAUGCUUUGGCCAUCUUCUGAAUAUAGAUAAGAUUCAGUUUAGCGGGCAGAUUGUGCAUGGGGUUGUGUUGCGUAGAGUAGCGGGGCAGGGUGUGAAAGACUUGGAUGGACUGAGUUUCUUAUUAGGGUGUGACGUUGCUCAGUUCACUCGUCAGGAUUUCUGUUUGAUCACAGGGCUUCGUUUUGGGGAAGUGCCUGAAGUUUCCAGUGGAGAGAGUGAUGAAAUCAGACUUCAGAAAAGAUAUUUUAUAGACGAAGGAAUUACAUGCAAUGCUUUAGAAGAAGCAUUUGUGAGGUGCACAGAGGAAGAUGACAUCUACAAGCAAGCUCUUGUUUACUUUGCUGAGUUAGUGGUUUUGGGAAGGGACAAACAUUUGAACAUCAAUCUAAAUUACCUGACCCUUGUAGAGGACUUGGAUGCGUUCAACAGGUAUCCGUGGGGUUCGGUGUCCUUUGACAAAACCCAAGACAGUCUAUUUUCUGCACCAACAAAGUAUGUGAAAAGCUUGGAAAAUGAAGAGGGAAGAGGGAAGGGGAAAAGUAAGGUAACGGGAACAAGCCGGAGAAAUGAGAAGGGCAAGAAGGAUAAGCAUGGUGAAGCGCAAAUGAGUGGCUGGAGUUUUAAAGGUUUCACGUAUGCUUUCCAGGUACAUGGUAAUAAUGUUCAUGUCAGUUAUGUUUUGUUUUUCUUUAAAACAUAAAUAAUGACUUUUGUCCUGUGAAUUGUGUAGAUUUGGGUAUAUGAAUUAAUUCCUAGAAUGGCGGACCUGAAUUACUGCAAGGUUGUUGAUCCGACCGUUGUCCCGCGUAUUUUGCGAUGGAGAACUACUACGUCUGUUCCAGAGAUGAGAAAGUUGAACAAUUAUUUUUUCCAGAGCAAAGAGGUUUGGUUUGCAGCCCUUGGAACUAUUGAUAAGAUUGAAUGAAAUUAUGAAGUAGAAUGAUUUGAUAUGACUCUUGUCUGUAUUCUGAAACAGUCAGUUCAGUUGCGGGCGCUAUGUCCGAGUGAAGAGGAAAUGAGACAGCCAUAUUGGAGUUGGCCACAGGAUCGCCCUGCUGUUGUCUCAGCAGAGUCAAUUCCUUCUUCAUGUGGUGAUCUUGAUGAGUUGAACAAGGUGGUAAGUUGGUUGAGGUCCGAGUUGUUUCAAGUAAAGCGGGAAAAAGACGUCCUUCACUUAAAGGUCAUACGGAUGGAAAAACUGUUGGACCAAUGUUUAGGUCCUCAGUUUGAGCAGGAAGUAAGGAGGGACCUAGCUUUACUGAAACAGAGGACGAAUCGUUGUGUCAUCUCACAUCUAUUUAAGGGAUAUGGGGAAAUGGAUGACAUUCAAUGGGAUGAAGGGCCAAGUAACAGAAAUGAGGGAGAGGAAAAGGAAGAUGAAGGGAUUGAAGGGGGUGAAGGGCCAAAUAAUAGAAAUGAGGGAGCACAUAAGGAAAAGGAGGGGAUUGACGGAGAGGAAAAGGAAGAGGAGGGGAUUGAAGGGGGUGAAGUGCAAGGAAAACCAAGUGAGGUAGAGGAAGGGCAAAGGAAAAGAAGUGAAGGAGAGCAAGUGCAAGUAAAAAGUAGCAAAGGAGAGGAAGCCCAGAGACAGAGCAGUGAGGGAGAGGAAGUGAAAAGAAAAAGCAGUAAGGGAGAGAAACUGCAAAGGAAAAAAAGGGAGGGCAAGGAAGUGAAAACACAAACAAGUGAGGAAAAGGAAGUGCAAAGAAACCAAUGUGAGAAAGAAGAUAAUGAAGUUAUGUUGCUUGGGGGUGACAUUGGCGAGAGCACGGAGGGGACACUGCUUGAGUUUACUGUCGGGGACAUUGAUUUGGAUGAACCUACAGCUGUGCUAUCUCAGUUGAACGUGUGGUUGAAUGAUAAAGGUAAAGCUCUGGCACAAGGGGUCCAAUUACGGAAAAGGAAGAGGAUCAUUCCUUUGUGGAAGAUCAUUGAAGGCAGUGAAUUGGUUCCAAAAAUUGGGGCACAGACAACCGGACUGAAGAUGUUAGACCCAAUGAAGGCGAUUUCGCAUGAUGAUCUGGUGAAAUUGCUGAAACUUUGUUGGGAAUGGCGCCAGGACCCAAAGUAAGUCCCUUGCAAUUAUAAGAUACAAGCAUGACUGUAUAUAAUUUUUUAUAUACAGUGUUCUAAAACUGUUUUAUAUUCAUAGUUUGGUGAUGCAAUUUGGCAACGUGGAAGCUGAGAUUGAAUUCUUCGCUUCCCUCGUGAAAGCUGAUGGUUGGCUGAAAGGAGAUGUAAGUGUAAUUGAUUAUGCAUUUGUUUUAAUGUACAUACAUUAUGAGAUUGACAAGAAAAACAUGUUGCAGCACAUUGAUUUGGGGUUGUAUCUCAUCCGGAAGCGACAACAACAGUUGGAGACAGAUUCGGUAGAAGUAGCGGACUGGACAACGACCGAUGUUUUUUUUAUGGUAUGUCAUCGGCCUUGACCAAGUGCCGUUAAUAAUUACACAUUUUCCAUACACACACUAGUGGAGGUGUUUAACCAUUGAUUGUUUUGUAUUUCACAGAAUCACAUUCGUACUUGCUUUGCGGAUAAUAAAAGAAAAAAACAGCAGCUUGGGUGGAAAAUCAGGAAAAGUUUACUAACCGUUGUAAAUGGGAAGGUUCCUCCGUGUGGGUUGGAUUGGCAGACCGUCUAUAAGGUGUAUACCCCAUUUAUGUUGACGAAGUACAAGCAUUGGGUGGCUGUAAUGAUUGAUCUGGUAUUGUGUGAAAUCAAAGUGUACGAUUCAAAGGUUUCACUAAUUCCAGAUGACAUCGUAAAGGAAGAACUCGGCCCGCUAUCAAUUACGCUUCCAAAUCUUCUCAACACCAUCGACUUUUAUGAAAAAGGUGUUUAUGCAAACAAUUGCAGCCAAGAUUAGUGGUGUCCGUGGCCAAUAGAGCGUGUGGAUGUUCCACAACAGUCUAAUGAGUAAGCACAACUUGCAAUUUAAUUUUAUUACUUUCAAUUGUCAAUUACGUUAGAAUGUCAUUAGUUGAAUUGAUCGAGUUCUUGUUUUGCUUCAGAGGCGAUUGUGGCAUGUUUGUGUUAAAGUACAUUGAGCUUUUCAGCGCUGAGCUUCCGUUAGCUACUUGCACCUCGCACAACAUGCCUUUUUUUCGGUUGAAAUUGGCUGCGGAGAUAACAAGGGGAGAUGCUUACUUCCCAUGAUAUUGGUUGAAGAUGACAAAUGGUACAUGAGAAGGUUUUGGGAAUGUCCAUUCUCAAACUAAUGUAAAUACACAAUAGAGAAGUACGGGUCCUUAUCGAAUUCUACCGCUAACUCCUUCAUGACAUUUACAUGUUUGUUAACCAAACUGCAUUGAAUUGGAAUUUUAAGACUGCAUAUGUGAAUUGGGAUUUGAAGAUGGCUUUUUAAGUGUAUUACAUCAUUGCAAAGUGAUAUGUCAUUGUUGAUGCAAGCCACCAUUAAUCGCAAUGUGUUGCAUCAUAAUAGGUGUCUAAACAUGCGAAAGGUUUUCCGCAGCUCAGUAGCAUAAAAGUAGAAACAAAGACAAUAUACACAAAAUGAACAACAAUUCACAAAUGCACCGACAAGCAAUACACACACAACAGACAAACAAUAUACACAAACUUGGCCUGCCAUAUACAGAGAAUAGACAUGCAAUAUACACACAGUAGACAUGCAAUAUACACACAAUAGACAUGCAAUAUACACACAAUACUCCCUUAACACACACAAUAGACAUGCCCUUGCCCACAAUAAUGAUGCAAUAUACUUCAGUCCCCAAGUACACCAACCAUAGGGAAGUCGUAUUGAAUAGGAUAUUAAACUUAACAGUUGUUCUUCCUACUAAAAGAAAGAAUAAGGUUCGUUUCCCCCCUUCAUUCUUACUUGAGUGAUACUUGUGGCCCCAAUAAACAUCCAAUUUUGGGGCAAUGAUAUUCCAUAUACAUGCAGCAAACUAUCAAUAAACCUUCAAUAAACCUUCAAUAAACAUUCAAUAUCGUUUCUAUAACAUGCGAAAUACAUGCAGUUACCAAAUAUUACAAAAUGGGUUUAGGGUCUCAUUGGUGGUGCGUGCAACAUGUCUUGUGCGGGAGAACUUUCACAAUCUUUUAAACCGUGCAGUUAAAUGAUCAUUAAAAGAACAAAUAAAAUGACAAUUGAUACAACUAAUAAAACUAAUACCAAGUCCUUAAUGGACUUCAGCAUGUUCAGCACUCUAGCAUCAUACGUGUCAUCUUGAUGUUCUGCUUCAGCGGAGGUUACAUCAACCCAUUCGAAUCCAUUGCAACUGGUGGCUCCCUAAUUGCAGGCAUCAUAUAUGGAAUAUAAUUCUGUCAGAGUUAGACAUAGGUUUUUUUUCACCCACAUACAUAUUCUUUAAAUUAAAACUUACAUAGGAGGUUAGACACUUCCAGAAUGGCUUCCCUCGAUUUUUGUCAGAUUUUGAAACCCGAAGCACCAUUGUAGCUCCACAAUACUGACACCUCUUUGUUUGAGCGGGAGAUGAAGAUGAAGACAUGUUUAAUCUUCUCAGUUGUACCUCUUCUCACUCAGAUCUUCUCACUGAAACCUCUUCGGACUCAUACCUUCUCACUCAUAGUUGUCAUUCAUACCACUUCACUCAUAACCCUAAACUUGUCACUCAGCUCUCUCUCAUCUCUGCCCAAAUCGAGUUAUAUUUCUUUUUUUUGGGAUCAUUUGGUGGGUUGGUCACGAUGUCGACACCUGUACCGUCAGCAUUGUGACAUCUUUUAGCCCGAAAAGCAAUAUAAACUACUUCACUACCAAAUAUAUUUUCUGAAUAAUGACGGGACACUGCUUCAAUUUUAUUAAUUUAUUUAUAUUUCAUUAAGGCAACUAGUUGGAUAAGAAUCCGUCAUUAUUGGUUCCAUUUUAAUAACAUUACUAGGGGUAAUUGGGUGUGGGAAAAUGAAAAAGUAUAUGAUGGGACCUUCUGUCACUAGUCAGUAAUCCAUCACAUUUGUAUCAAUGAAUUUGAUAGUGGGAUAAACCCAAAAAUGGCUAUGCAAAUAGCCAUUUAAUUAACUUUUUGACUGUCUGACUCUGUAUGCACCGUUAUGACGUUUUCCCUUCUUUUGUCUUAAGUUUUAAUUCACUGGGGUUCAGUUUCUUUCAAAAGGGUCAACUUGGAAAAACCCCAACUGGAAACACCUUUUCAAAACACUAUAAACAGAGGCUAAAACAAAACGUGUACCCCAAAUAUUAUCAUUUAUCCCCUCUGCCACUCCUCAAAUCGUUCCAUUCCAAAAACUUUUCAAUGAAUUCGAAACACUUCACUACAGUCGGAGGAAAGAGAAGGAAGCAUGUCCAUUUCGAUAUGCCCGAAGCCUUCAUCCCGGAGUCCGCUUGGUUUCAAGUCAUGUUAUACGUGGCAACCGAAUCAUCGGAAGAUCUCUUCCGUAUGGCAUCUGUGUGACGAUUGUUCCGAACUUUGGCAAACAGUUCACAAGUGUGGAACACCAUUUCAAUGGCAAAGUACCCAGACCAUCCUAUAUGGUACCGUGCCAGACCUGCGGUCCAGCAUUUCUUGCAACAAUGCAGGGCUUGCGAUAACCCUGAGUCCAUAUUUAGAGAAGCAUUCGAAGGUUUUUUCAGGCACGGUAAGGUGGAAGCGUUGUAUGGGAUGCGCAUUGCAGCCACGGCAGGCCAUAUGGAAGCGGCAUAUGUAGUUGGACUACUUGGUAUGUCCGGAAUUGGUCAGUCAAAAGAGGAUGCAUUACAAUUCUUGUGUUCUUUGAAUCAACGUAACAACAUUGAUAUGAAAGGAACCAGGGAUGCUUUGACAGGAAGAUUUCACGGAGCAUUUGUUGCAAGACAUAUCGUAGAUAUGUUUGACUAUGGGAAGAUUAAGUUCAAUCGGUGCAGCGCUUGUAACAACAAUGAAUGGUAUUUUGUUAUUCCAGGCUGGCCUAGUGAAGACAAGAUAAAUCCUGCGUUGUGGACUUGUUGCAAUCGAUGCAAAUGGCACCGUGAGAGUAUUUUUUGGUGCAAACUGAUGCGUGAGUAUGUUGUGCGAGGGAAUCACGUAUUUUUGCAUUAGUUUUAGUACGAAUUUACGGUUUUGAUGCAUUGUGGACUUGCUUCUCUUCACUUCUAGGUUGGCUGGCUACGUUAUACCUAUCUCAGUUUAAAUGUUGUUCAAAUGUUGGUAUUUUGUCAUAAACCGUUUUAUAUAUAAAUGUAUAAUAUUUAUUAUAUAGCGGAAUUAUUACUUACAUCAUAGACGGCUAGGAAUGACAUUUUACUGACACAGAUAUUUUGCUCACCGACCCCAAUCUUCAUAUUUGAUAAACGAAAAGUUAUGCAUGGAGUAAAUAGGUGUCUUUUCACCAGUGCUUGGGAAUGACAUUUUCCCACUUAGCAUAUCCGAAAGGAUUUGGUUACACGUUUCUUAACCUAGGGGGUUGAACAGUGAAUGACGUAGACUAUUUUUUGUGUGUGGAAGGAGUACAAUGGAUGACUUGUAUAUUUCCAUAUUAUGUUUCAAAACAUCCCUUCAACCUAAAAAAUAAAAAAAUUAACAAAUUGAAGAACAGAGAAACCGAUGAGCACUACAAAUGGCCUAUUCGCACGGAAAAUAAAAUUGUUUUCAACAAGUUGGACUAAAUAUAAUUAACAAAUGGACAGCCUAAAAAGUAAUAUCAUAAUAAUUAUAAUAAUUGUGGAUAAAUAAUAAUAAAAUACUAAUGUAACAUAACCAUUAAACAGGGAAUGCAGUAGGAAGAUGAAAUCGCAAUAAGUUCGUAGAAAUUUUGGGAUCGUUUUUCUAAUUUUUGUGUAUUUAGUUAUGAAUUUUCCAAGAAAAAAGGUAAUAAAAUAAUAAUUUAGGGUAAAAUGGGAGGAUGUGGCCAUGUUCGGUAACGUACACUUGUGCAAGUAGUCAAAAGUGACGGGCUGAGAUCGCGCCAGGUGUCAUAUUCUUGUUAAUUUUGGAUUCUUUUGUUAAAAAAUCUUUGAAACUAGGUAAUAAAUAGUAGGAAAAUCGUAAAAAUGGCCCAAAAAUUACUCCGGCCUCCUUUUGACGUCCUAAAACUAGGAGAACCUAUAAAUCAUUCGUCUCGCAAUGAAAUAAUCCAAAUUGUGUUACAUAACUCACUUUCCUCUUAACCCUAAGUAUUGAUGUUUGUUAACUUCAACUUGAAUAACCUACUUCAACAAGCAUCUCCCGUUAAUAUUGGGAAUUAAUUUUACAAAUGCGUAACAAUGAAUCGGAGAAUUCAGCAACGGAGAUGGAGUGUCAAUGAGUUCGUAGCAAUUUUCGGAUAAUUUUUUUAUUUUGUGUGUAAUUAGUUCUGAUUUUUGUAAGGAAAAGUAAUAAAAUAAUAAUUUAGGGUAAAAUGGGAGGGUGUGGCCAUGUUGACUGACGUACACUUGUGCAAGUAGUCAUCAGUGACGGGCUGAGAUCGCGCCAGGUGUCCUUUUGCUAUUAUUUUGGCUUUUUUAGUGCAACAAUCUGUGGACAUAGGUAAUAAAUUCUACGAAAAUCCAAAAAAUGCCCGGAAAAUGAGAAAAUGAAAAUUAUUUGUACAUAACUCACUUUCCUCUUAACCCAAAUUCACGUUAACACGUAUAUUUCGGAUAAUAUUCGAAAUAUAAUUUCUAAUAAUACAAUAUUUAGUUUCACUAUAUACAAUAAUAUGUUUUUUUUAUAAUAAUGUACAUAAAUAAUAAUUGCACAUGCUUUGAAGCCAUCAUUGCAACUACGCCUAGAGCUUUGAAGACGUCAGUUCGUAUUCAAUAAGUUGUCCACAUGCAACUGCACCUAGAGUUUUCAACACGUCAGAGGUAUUCAAUAAGUUGUCCACAUGCAACUGCACCUAGAGUUAUUAACACGUCACAGGUAUUCAAUAAGUUGUCCAUAUGACGCCGCAUUGGGAAUCAGUAAUAUAUUUUCAAUCAUGUCAAAUCACAUAAAUAAUGCCAUACUUUUUCUCAAUAACCUCACACAAGUGAAGCAAUUUUAAAACCCUUAGUGAAUAUUUAUCCUAGUCUAUAUGAGUGAUUAUAUAAUCAGUUGCAUAAUAUUUUUUUCACAGUAUAUGUUAACUUUGAGAGGGAUUCCACAAACAUAAAAUAUAAAGAAAGCAAGAAAUAGUAGGAAAUGAACCAGUACAAAAAACAAUAUAUAAAGUGUACAUAAUAAUUCCAUAACCUUGUCACAAACGCACUCACAAAAGCUUUUCCAUAAACCUUGUCCUAACAUAUAAUAAAUAAAGGCAACAUUGCAUAUGAUGCAACCAUGUCCAAAUCUGAUAAGUGAUCAAAAACAAAUGGACAUGGCAGCAACAUAUGAUUGAAGUAGAUGGGCUCUUUGCAUCUUCUGUUUUCGUAAUUAAAGACAUCAAAAUAUUAAGGUUUAAAUCUUCCAUAGUAGUUAGCAUCAAAAUAGCUUUGAAGCAGAGUGUAACGAAAAUUCCAAUUCCACUUAUUUGCCUCUGCUCAAACACGAGAACCAAAAUGGUUACUUCCCUUGCUGAGUAUAUUUGGUGACGUCGGAAACGGUAAUAGAUGACCAAUCAAACCCGGGUACGACGAGUUUUGCAUAGGAUCGGAAGUAGUCGAAUCCAGCUUGCAUCACACGCUUCUUUGACUCCACUACAUUAGAUGAGUUCUUGUAUUUUUGAACAGCUACACUCUGAAGUCGUUUGUGUCUACGCUUCAUGCGCUGCAACUUCGCCCUAUCCAGAUUGGCCUGCCUUUUGUCAUCUUCAAUUUGGCCUUCCACAAAUUCCAAACGUGCCCUUGCCCUUUGGAUUUCAUCACCAAGUUGAAGAUGCCUCUCCUUCCAAAAAGCAACAACUCUUUCAGACUCAAAACUUCCAACAAAAUGGUCAUUCUGUCUAGCAAUGUGACAUUGCUUGUCUGGUGACUCACUUGCGUGUCGAAGCCGGUCUUUGUUUGGAGGGGUGUUUAUUAUACUCACAUCAAACUUGGUUGUGCUUAUGCUCAUUCUUUGGGGGGAAUGAGUUUGUUUGCUUGAGAGAGUAUCGGUAGAUGGAGACAGAUUCGGUGGAGGAGUGAGUUUUGUGUGGAAGGAGAUUUUAUAUGAAAGGGGUGAUAGUAAUACCAAGAAAAGGGUUCCCGCCAAAAAAUAUUUGGUUGACAAAGUAGAAAUUAUUUUUUUAGUCUGAUACAAUCUAAGUUUAAUCCUAACUAGUUUGGUUGAGUUAACUAAGUAGAUGUCACUUCCAUUGACUUUCUUUCAACAACUAUCAGUGGUGUAAGGAGAGUGUGAGGUUGACAUGCUUGAAAAGCAAAAGCUGACACCUAUUUUUAAAAAAUUCCCGCCAAAAAGUACAUAUGUUGACUACACACAAGCUUUGGUAUGUUGGUCUAUAAACCUAUGUUCCCUUUCUCAAACGAAAUUGCAUAUGCAAUCCUCAUCCUCCCAAAACAAAGAGGAUUAUUCAAGCAUGUCAACCUCUUCAGGCGCCAACAACACAAUCGAACAUGACAAAUUGGAGUCACAGGUUCUAUUUCCACAUUGUACUCGCCGACCCCUUCCUUUUUCAACAUCAUUUGGGAGUGAGGGGGACUCCGAUGAUCCAUUAGAGGCAAUACAUGCAGUCAGUGGCAAGCUGGAUUAUAAUUCCAGACUGAUCAAUUCAUGGCACGAGAAAUGUGUUGAAGACGAGGCAAUUUUGGCUGAUCUUAACAUUAGGGUGAGCAAAGCGUUAUCCCAAAAGAACAAGUACUUGAAGCUGAGUCAUAGCAGGAAGCUGAAAGCUGAGGAGUUGGAUACAGUAAUGAAUGAUGAAAUGAAAGGUUGUUUGAUGAACCAUAUGCGAUGCGAACAGCACCAUACUGAACUGGAGUUGGCAUUCAACGAAGGAUUCGACAAAUUCCGAGCAUUUGCGGCAACUACUCAUACAAGUUAUGAUUGGAACUAUGUGUCCCCUGAUGCUGUGAGAGAGAUACUAGACGAUGGGGGUGACAUGAAUGAGCAUAAGCACGUCAAAGCUGCUCGGAAGAAGCCGACCGAUACGACUAAGUGAUUGCGGCUACCGCUGUUCAGUUAGUUGAGGGUGACCGUGGUAUUGCACAUAUACUCCCUUAAUGUCAUUAUCUAACUUAAAAUAACACAAAUAUCAGUUUCAUUUGCUUGAUAUAUAAUUAUUGGGACUAUGUAUUGCAAGUCAUCAUGUGUUAUAAUGUCUAACAUUAUAUUUUGCAAAUAUGGAAAUAUUAUUCAAGAAGCAGUCAAUAUCACAGAAAGCCGGGAAUCAGUAAAUGCUCCUUAUCAUGUCCAUUUACAUUAAAGAGCUGGAGUACUAAUGUGUUCAAAAAAAACUGACACGUGAGUCAUAAGUAACAUAACAUGUGCUAUACAUUGUUUACUGAAUGGUUUAUGGUUUAUUUGUAUAUAAUAAAAUUUCAAAUAUUGCUGAAGAUUUAUUUCGUGUAUAUCACUAGGGAUAUGAGUGGCCAUAAGCAUGUGAGACCUGCUAAGAAGAAGCUGACGAGUACGACCCAGUGAUUGGCUACCGUUGUUCAGUUGGUUGGGGAGAUCGUGGUAUUGCUAUGAGGAAGCACACAAUAUGUUUUGCAAUCAAAUGUUCUUUUGUGUGUGGAAUUAUGAGUAUUUAUGUAAGUUAGUGUACCCUUUAAUAUUUUUCACCUAAGUAUCGAAAUGCAGUUUUUGAAUGUUAUGUUUUUUUUUACCCGCUGCUUUCUAUUUGCUCUGUUCCAACAAAGUGCUUCAAGUAUCCUUCACUUACAAAAGUGUACAAAAUCGUGCCCCUAAUAACCAGUCGGAAAAAGUGGCUACUGCUGGAAAUGAUUACUGGUAAUGGAAACAACAGCUGGCUGCUGUAAUUGCUGCAUUACCGUGAGGAUUUGAAAAAUGAAUCUCUGUUAAAACAAAUUUCACCCUAAACUGCCCAUUUUACAUGGUAAAAGUCAUUGCUUCUUCAAAUCUUUUGCAGCUACACGAUGCGUGGUCAGAAUCUUUGACAUAUACGACUUCUGCCACUCUUGUUUCCCAAUUUUUUCUUUCGCUCACGUUGAACACAACUUUACAAGCAUCCUCUGUUUUGAGCUCUAGGAAACAUGCUGUACUUUGUAUUAGUUCUUGCUCAAACUUUUGAAACAUUGUCCUUGUGUACAAGGUAGCCAUUUGUUUGUUCAUUGGCAUCGGUAGAAGACAUUGAGCCACUUCAAAUGCAUCUGCGUGAUCAGCAACUAACUCUUUUUCACGUUGAUGAGAAAGUGCCCUCUCAAAUCGUAUUAUGAAAUCCAUCAACGAAUUUCUCCUUGAUAUGUAUUGCUUGAAAAAACCAUGAGAACCUUCCGCUCUUUGGCUGCUUGACAUUCCAGCGGCAAAAAAUUGUCGUGCGUAGGCUGGAACCCAAGAUUCCCUUAAAUCAAACAUUGAACUUAGCCAUGGAUGGUCAGUCAAACCAGCCUUUGUAACCACAAUAUUCCAUUUUGCAUCAAACUCAUCCUUAUUGUCAGUAUCCCAUAUGGCUUUCUGAAAUUCAGGCCAAUACUCCUUAUAAGCGUCACGUGGUAACUUAACAGAGAACUUUGAUGUGAUGUGCUAUAUGCAAAGUCGAUGAAAUGUACUCGGGAAGGCUAUUGAAAUCGCUAUGGCCAUUGCCGCAUCUUGAUCUGUAAUGAUCGUUUUAGGUUCCCCACCUGGCAUGGCUUUCUUAAACUCCUCAAACAUCCAAACAAACGACUCAGUCGUUUCCUUGCUCAAAAAUGUGCAUGCUAACACAAUUGUCUGACCAUGGUUAUUAACUCCCAACAUUGGUGCAAAUGUCAAGUCGUAUCGAUUCGUGUUGAAUGUGGUAUCAAAUACAACAACAUCUCCAUAAAACCCAUACGCCCGUCUAGAAGUUGCAUCUGCCCAAAAACAUCGACUAAACCUAUCAUGCCCAUCUCCCUCAAUCUUGAAAUAAAAAGCCUCAUUUUUUUUCUGUUCAGCCAUAAAAUACUCGGUCACUAGUUCAACAUCGUGGUUCCUCAGCUUCCCAAUCACACUACAUUCAAGAUUGUAGAUAUCUUUUUUGAUAAAACCGAUUUUAUCCAUUCCUCCGGAUUGCACCUCGAAAAUACUUACCUUCUGAUGAAUGGGAAUAUUAACUGAACCCAACUGUUUUGUGAGUACUUUUGUAGAAUCUGAAAUAUGACGGUGUGAUCUCAAUAAAUGCAUUCUUUCUAAGGGUGUCAUCUUAUGAUUGUGUCCCUCUGCAAAAAGAGAAAUGUUAUACUUGUUGCUCCCAUUUGUCUUCACAACCACAAUCUUUGCUUUGCAAUUGCAUCUACUUAUUCCCCGUUGUCUUUUUCUCUCCCGAGUUUCAUCCUUCCUGUAUGCACCUUGUUUGCAACAUACAAAUUCUUUCCUCAAAAUCUCUUUCUUAUUUUUCCCCCAAAAGCUAGAAUGAAGUCGAAUACCAAAGCCAGCCAAGAAUGCAUAUCUAUUAUAGAAAUUGUAAACGAGGUCAAGCGAGUCAAACUUCAUCCCAACUGCUGGUGUUUCCUCAUUUCUUACUUCAGGAAUAUAAACCCUCCCAUUAGCUGUUGCACAUUCAUCACUCUCUGAGCCCCCAGACAUUUUAUCUACGUAUAUUAUUGAUCCACUUCUAUAUUACUGCAUAGCAAUUAUUCAUUCAUUAAUCAGUCAUUACUGCAUCACAACAUAUCAAUGCAUUCCACUUACACAAAACAUUGCCCAAAUUGACACAAAAUACGCAUAGCCUAACUUCCGAUUACACAAAACACAAGCAAAAUUUCAUAAAAGUUACGUCAUCUCUUGUGAAAUAAUCUGGUCAAAAUAACAUUAGAACCAACAUGUUCAACUAAGAACACAAAUGUAAUUCAAACCACCAAUUACAGAACUUCACCCAAUAUCCUCUCCAACUGCUUACUCCUAAUGUCAUUAAGCCUAAGUUUAGGUUCUUUUACCUACAUUUCAUAAUUUUUCACCCCGACCAACAACAAUGAACUAAGUAUAUUGAAUAUUCACAAGGAAAUGACACAUUAUUGAUGCCACAAAUGACGAAUUUCCCACCCUCACAAAAAAUAAACCUAACCCAAUAAAAUCAAUCCAGCAAGUGAACUUACCUCUCAAAAUCAAUCGAGAGCUCUGAAGUCAGUCAGCUUGAAAGAAUGUGGUGGACAUUAGAGAAGACUCUUUGGUAUUUGAGACUCCAUCUCUAUCAAAAUCGAGGAACAACUGCUGCUGCGGCUUCUAGCUACAAAAACAGAUAUGCUACUUUGCUUUCAUCUAGAAUCUUGUCAGCUGAAUGAAAAAGAGAAGGGGUUUUCACUUGAGCCAUAGAAUCAAAACAGGGCAACAGCUAGGUAAGAGCCAUUCUUCGUAAUACCCAGGAUACCAUAGAUCGCAGGCCUCCCAACGAGCUAAUGACAGUGGAGUGACUAUAAGGUUUGGGAGAUUUGGAUCCUUCUAAUUGUGGGUUUGCUUUACAUUCAAAAAGAAAGGAUUGUGUUCUUCAGUUUUUCACAGAGAGGGAAAGAGGGGAACAACUGAAGUUGGGUUUCUAACGGGUUAGAUUUCAACCCGAUUCUACAUGCACCCUCUUUUAAAAACUCACCGUUGGAUGAAAUCCAACGGCUCUUACAUACCCCUCAAAAACACCCCUUAUAACUUCCCACUCACUAUAGAAGCUCCCCCAACUAAAUCCCAAAAGGGAAACAGAUUUGAACAACAUACAAAUUUGAAGGACACACAAAUAUGAAUCUCAGCACCGGUGAGAAAUUAAUUUUAGUUGAGGUUGGUAGGUAGGCAUUGGAAGUUUUUAUUGUUUUUGCUCCAAGUCCCUCCUCCACUCACUAAUACAGAUUACUCGCAAAUGAACUAAAGUCUGCAGGGAUAUAUGGACUCCCCUGUCCAUACGAAUGUUGGAAGAAAUGUGUGUUAAAUUUUAGAGAGACGGGUCUGUGACCCACCACUAGCAACGUUGAUAUUGUCUCCAACUUAACUACAUGUUUAGUAGAUGUGGGGUUUUAUACAAAAAGUAUUGAUGUUAUUGGGAAUGGAACCACUUAUUAUAAGUUAAAAUUUAUUUAGUCAAGUUUCCUAUGUGGGACUUUCUAUUCUUCAACAAGCCCCUUCAUGUGGGACCACCACAUAGUGGGCCACACGUAGAGCCAAGUCCACAUCGGAGUCAAUCAUUCAAGCCCAAUACCUAAACACCACGUAUUGUGUGAGGGGUAGGGGUAAACAUUCAAGCCCAACAUAUGAACACUGUAACAUCCCAACUCCAAAUUUAAUCCCUUAUUUAAAUUAUUUAAGUGAAAUUACAAAUUUACCCUUGGGGUAGGGAUAUUUUGGUCAUUUUCUUACCCGAAAAGAGUUUGGGGCAGUGACUAGUAUUUUUUGGUAGAUCGUACUGAGAUGAGUCUGUAGACAUGUAGUGGGCUCGAUUCGGAGUUGAAACGAAGAAGUUACGAGCAAAACAUCACCAAUGGCAAAACCGUAAAUAUUUCAAAAUGAAUUUUUAAUAAAAAAAACCUGAAAAACCCUCUCUCUCUCUCUCUCUCUCUCUCUCUCUCUCUCUCUCUCCUGCGCACAGCCCCUUUCCCCCCUUCGUUUUUUCUUUCCGUGGCUUCCAAGAGCCACCAUCGCCACCACGAAUCACCACCGGCCAUGAGGCCGGACUCGUUCGAACUGCCGCCGCAUCCUCUUCCUGUUCCGGUCGCUCCCAGUCGCUGCCAUCCGCUGUGCUGGCCGGAAAUCGAAGAAAACCAGCCGAUUUUUGUCAAACUUUCGGCCGCUCGUUCUCCCACUUCCGGCCACCAUUUUGGCCAUCCAGGUAUAGAUUUUGAACCUCUCGAGCUGUUCUUGCUGCCUGUUGUGUUAGAUUUGGGAGAUUUCCGCGUUUUGAAGGUCGAUUAAACGAUGGAAGUUUGGCUGGUUUUUGGCCUCCGAUUCCGGCCACUUUCGGUCACUUUUUGGGGUAGGUCCAAGAACAAAAGUGGUUCCAAAUAGGGUGUUAUACCUAGGGUAGGAGUCUUGAGCCGUGGUUUUGAGAUUUCUCGGUGAUGCGUAAUCGCUUUGGACACCCAUACGCUACCGGCGCGUGUGGUGGCGCGUGGGCACUGUAGAAAUGGGGUAUUGUGUCCCGAUGCGAUCCCCUUGUUGUCACGAGUGUGUAGUGUGCUCGGAUUCCAAUUUGGUUGACAUUCGAACCCCGAACGAAUUUCUCCUAUUGCACGUUAUCCGCGUUUGAUAGGUUUGAACCGUUGGAUAGUCUUGAAUUUAAUAUAUUUAAUCUAAGCAUUUCUAGGAUCGUGUAGGAAUUCACGGAUCAUGAAUCGGAACCCCGGAUGUUCCGAUUUAAUAAUUUAAAGUUUAUGUUUAUAUUAACUGUCAGAUCGUGCAAUCGUGAGCGAUCCGACCUUCCGAUCCGGACCAAACGUGCAGGACGUAUAUCCUAAACCUUGUGGAACCUAUAGGAACUUUCGAAUCAGAAUUUAGAGGUCGUGGGCCUAGUGGCCCCGUUUGACCAAGUGUGGAUAGUUUGACCCUUGGUUGACCUUGAGUCUUCCAAGGUAGUUUUCCUUCCUAGAAGGAUUAUAAUGACCCUAAUGACAGGUCUUGAGCGUUGUUGAGCCAUGUUGACUAGGUUAAGAUUUUUAGAGUGUUUAUUAUUGUCGUAGGAAACUCUUGGACAUUAUUUUAAUAAUUGGAAUUAUAAAAGUGAGUUUUGGGUUCGGCUAUGACUUUAGUGAAUGGACUUUAUUUUUAAAUGAAUAGCAUGGCUUUGUGAUGGAAUUUUUAGGCAUGUGAAUUUAAUGGUUUAUUGAAAUUCAUUUUUAUAAUUAAUAGUUAAUUUAGCAGUUUUGGUAAAGUAUUAGUGAUGUGUGGGGUACUUGGGAUUUUGUUGAGGUUUAUACAAUAUUAGAGAUUAACUUAUAUAUUUAAAUAUAGGUAUGAAUGUAUGAAAAGAGUUUAGAAUGUCAGUUUGAAGUACUAUACGCACUACCCUAGGUACCUCAUCGGAUUUUGAUUACACUAUAAGUACCACCCUGUGAUUGUCAGGUCACCCAUGGCGUAGGAUUUUCCGGCGGAAUGACAGACCCCAUACGUGACGUUGGAAUUUCCGGCGUAUGGGGAGAUGAUAUUAUGAUUGUUAAGUCACACGUGGCAUAGGUUAUCCGGAGUGCUGACAGACCCCAUAUGUGGCGUUGGAAUUUCCGGCAUAUGAGGAGAUUAUGUGAUUGUUAAGUCCCACGUGGCGUAGGUUAUCCGGCGGGAUGAUAGACCCCAUACGUGGGGUUGGAAUUUUCGGUGUAUGGGGAGAUGAUAUAAUGGUUAGGUCACAUGUGGCGUAGGAUUUUCCGGCUUGAUGACAGACCCCAUACGUGGCAUUGGAAUUUCUGGCAUAUGGGAGAUUAUGUGGUUAUUAGAGAGAUGAAUUAAGAUUAUUAUACUGAGUUGGGAACGAAUGAUGUUUGAAAAAGAUUUUGUUUGGGAUUUCUGCAAUUGAUUGCAUGUUGAUGGACUUGGAAAUUUUGUAUGAAAGAACUACGUGUGGCUUGAUCCCUUAGUAAGGGUACAUAUGCAGCUUAGGGUAGUGCCUAGGUGCAGCCGUGUGCUAAACUUUACUCAUGUUGUGUGAUGGAGAUUCGUUCGGACCUUGUUGUUAGUCCUGAAUUUUAGGUGAAAAUGAGAUGCAGUCUUGUUAGGAGGUUUAAAUUUUCUACGUUUAAUAUUUGGGAAUUUAGAUGAUGGAAAUCGCAUUUGGCGUUCAUAAAUGUGUUUGAGUUUAUAUUUGCAUUGUUUAGAGUUAGUUGGUGGUUUCGUUUCGAAUUAUUUGAAGGCCGAAGGCUGAUUAUGUGAUUUAUAUGAAAUUAUCUUGUGCAUACUGCCAGUUGUGAAUAUCAAAUGUGUUUUAUGCACGUUGAAAUUUUUAGGAUUGUUCAACUUACAGGGGAGACUGCCGAAAUUUCGGCAUAAAAUCUCGUGCCCUUAUUCCUUAUUGGGAAAAAUGAUUUAGUUUUAGAAGUGGGUUCGACAUCGGGGUGAUGUCGGGAAUUUUCACAGGAUUCAUCUCGGGUUUCGGGAAAUUCGGGUCGGGUCCUGUCAAACACCACGUAUUAGGUAAGGGUAAAGGCUCAAUUCAGGCCCAGUCAAUCAACCCAUUAUGAUAUCAUGUUAAAUUUCAGAUAGACGGGCCUGUGGCCCACCACUAGUAACAUUGAUAUUGUCCCCAACUUAACUACAUGUUUAGUAGGUGUGGAGUUCUAUACAAAAGAUCUCGAUGUUUUUAGGAGUGAAACCACUUAUUAUAAGUUGUAAUUUAUUUAGUCAAGUUUCCAGUCAACCUGACUUUGAUACCAUGUUAAGAUUUUAAAGGGACGAACUCUUGGCCCACCAUUAGCAAUAUCGACAUUGUCCCCAACUUAACCACCUGUUUAACAAGUGUGGGGUUUUAUCCUAAAGAACUCGAUCUUAUUAAGAGUGGAGCCAUUUAUUAUAUGAAACUUUCUAUUUUGUUAACUCUGUGUAUUCUUCAUCAAUGUGAACACCCCUAAACCAAUCAUACCUGAUACGGAUUGAAACACAAGUUUGUUUUUUGCCUUUGGUAGAUGAGUAGCUAGAAAAGCUCAAUGCACUUGCUCUUCUUCUGCUACAUUUCAAUAUAAGAACAAGGUUUGGAAGCCAGGUCAACUCCUCAUAGUUUCCUUGCCUUUGCUUUGACAUGUCUAUGCACUUCUUGGGGAAGUUUGAAUAAUCAAUUGCAGGCCCCACGACAACUAAGGAACCAACAUUUUGUAGAAGGUUUUGUCUACACCUUUUGACUAUAAGUAAAAUCUUUUGUAUCUGCUCUUAUGUUUCGGUGAAGUUUCUAUGUGUCCUUUGUUGAACGAAAAAAUGAGGUUGUUUCUUACUAGAUUCAAAUACUUAAAAGAAAAAAAGAAAUUAUUGUUUCUUAAUUGAUUUUAUGGUGAACAAUAUCAAACUCUCCUCUUAUACGUCUUCUUCGUUGGACUUGGGGUUGUUUUCCUUAUAUGUCCCUUAUAUAUAUAGGGCCUUUGGUUGAGCCCACAAAUACCUUCAGUUAGUUUUUGGGUUUAGGGGCCUACAGAACCUGCACUAAACAAUAAAAGAAAAUACCUAAUUAGUUUAGUACGAAUUCUAUAAUGAAGGCUUUAUUAGGUAAGAUUUUAUUUCUUAAUCGUUAGAUCAAAUUUGACAGGACCCGUUCCUGAAUUUCUCGGAAAUCAGAGCGAACCCCGUCCUUGUUUCGACAUCACCCCGAUGCAGGGUCCACUUACUAAAAACCGAGACUUUCUACCAAAAUUUUGAUAGAAUCUCCCUUGUAAAUUGAGCAAACCCAACAAAAAUUUCAGCCUGCAACAUACAUAAAAAUAAUCCCAACCAGCAGCAUGCUUACAACAUACAACAAAACGUACUAAAUGGCCUCCGGCCUCACAAGUAAAAUUUAACAUGGGUAAUCUACUGAUGUAAACGAUUCGGCCUUCGAACACUGCUUGCAACCUUCCUGAAGCGACUACUGGCUAAGGGGCGCAAAACAGAAAACAUGUGAGUGGACAAAAACAAGAUUCAAUUAAAACAACAUAGUAACCCCACCGUGUAAAAAUAAUGCUCAAGACAUGUAGGUUUACAAUUCAUAAUUAAAUAUUCAAAAACAAAUUUCAUUUAAAAUUCUUUAAAACCACAAAUCACUCCAUCCAUAAAACCUCAUGCCCACAAUUUUACUGCUCCUACCAACCCACUGUAUAGACUCUAAUUUCUUCACAAUCACAACUAUAUAUAAAUAUAUAAAUUGUAUCAUACAACAUACUCCUCACACUACUUAGGUACAGGGGAAACAAUCCAACCGGAGGAUCGUUUAACUAGCCCGCAGGAUUUUCAGGUGCUAUCCUGAGUCUAGGAAUGAGUGGUCCAACCAGGGGACGAAACUCUAUAGCUCACACACCGGAACAUCCAACGCCACGUGUAGCUCCAAUACUAAGUCCUACAGGCACAGACUGGAUCACCACACACCGGAACAUCCAAUGCCAUAUGUGAUAAUCCCAAGCAAUAUACAGAGUCUUCCCAUACGUCGGAACAUCCAACGCCGCGUAUGGAAAGUGUUCACACGCCGGAACAUCCAACGCCACGUGUGGGAAGCCUAUUAACUGGGGAAAGUACUUACAUAGUGUAAUCAUACAAUUUCUCUCAACAACUCCUCAUACUCAAGUUCUUCCACAAACUCACCUCAACAAUCCCAAGUACCCCACCUAUAGACAAUAUAUAUAUAACUUCCCCAAAAUCUAUACAAAACAUACUCUCGAUAUCCAAAUAUGCCAAACUCACAAUAUAUUGCCAAAGUGCAAUACAAACAUCAAAAUCAACACAUGAAUAUAAUAUAUAUUCAAUAUACCAUUUAAAACAUUAUGCGUAAAUCUUUCAUCAAUAAAACCAUGCGUAUGAUUGAAAACAAAGUCCACUCACAAGUAUUCCUACGCUGCUUGACCACGAGAGAGUCCUGCCUGCUGAGUACGUGCAGUAGGAGCACCUAUUUUGAGAUACAAACCUUUAAUUAAUAUAAAAUUACUUCAAAACGGAAAACACAAAUUAAAUACUUAAAUCCCCAAGUUCCCAGUACAUGUACGUUGAACGAGGUAUCCUAAGGUCUAGUUACAAGUUUGGGAAUCGCUCACGAUUGGACGGUUAUCGCUAACCCACAAAUUUUGAAUUAUUGAAUCGGAACAUUCGGGGCUCCGAUUCACGAUCCGUGAAGUCCUACGUGAUCCUAGGAAUACCUAAAACAACAUAUUUUAAUUGGAAAACGCACAAUAUGCGAAAAUCCGUUCGAUAGUCAAACGAUGUCCGAAUUGAGAUUCGCAAAAUGCUACGCACUCGUGACAACCUGAGGAUCUCAUCAGGACAAAGUGCAACUUCACCACCCUCACCCACGCGCCGGCAGCGCGUGGGUGUGUAGAGUAAAUUCCGGCGAUGGAAAAACUCCACACCUACUUGAGGUCAGGAUCUCAUCACUCAACUACAGGGAGGUUCAAUUAGGACGGCAACUGGCCGGAAUUUCACUUUGAAAUCCAGCCAAAACUUAGGUUUUCUAAUCGGUUCCUAGACAACAAAUCGAUCUAAACCUAUGCAACAGUCAGCUAGACUAAGGAAAAAGAGGAAGAAACCUCACAUUUUUCACUGGAAUCGGAAGGGAGAGGCGACGGGGCGACGUCGGGAAGACUCGGGUUUGAACCAGUCGAUGCCGUUGACGAUUCUCGCAUUUUUCGGGGGGACUUUGGGUGGUUCGGGUUAGUGGCUUCACGACGAGUCGAACGGGACCGGUCUCGGGGGCUGGGGUGGUCGGGUGUGGUGGCGGUGUGGUGGUUUUCGUCUCGGUGAACAGUAACAGGGGAGGGUUUCGCACGCGCAGAGAGGGACUCGGGAGAGAGAGAGAGAGAGAGAGAGAGAGAGAGAGAGAGAGGAGAGAAAAGAAAAAUUAGAUUUUUACUCUCCUCUUUUCAAAAUAUUUACAAGUUUGCCACUAAUGAUGUUUUGAUCGCCAUUUUCUUGUUACAACUCCGAUUCAAGCCUACCGCAUGUCUAGGAAUUCAUCUCAGUACCACCUACCCAAAAUUACCAGUCAUGGUCCCAAACUCUUCCCGUAACAGAAAAUGACUAAAAUACCCCUACCCCAAGGGUAAAUUCAUAAUUUCACUUAAAUAAAUUAAAAAUAGGAAUCAAAUUUGGAGUCGGGGUGUUACAAAAUUGGUUAGUACGAUCCAACGGUUAAUAGAUAAAACUUUACAUAAAAGUCAUAUAUAAGGCCCUCACUAUAGAAUGACUCGUUAGUUUAGUCUCUUGUUACAUAUCAACUGUUAGAGAUAUUUUUUUAAUAAGGAUCUACCAUACCACAUAGUUGGAUAAGACAUUAUACACAACUUUUGUAAGAGCAUCUCCAGCGAGCCAGGCCAGCCCAAGCAGCAAGGGGCCUUAAGCCCGGUAAGCAGCUCCAGCGCUCAAGAUUCAGCCCAGGCAAGGUGUGGAACCCACAAGGAGAUCUGGCCCGUCACCUUGCCUUUGGGUUUCAGUCAGGCUGAUGUCAACGAAAGAAUUUCAAAAAAAUUUUGCCGUUGCAAUGCACGCGCCAACGAUAAAUUUUCUUUGGAUUUCUUGCGUUGAUCCACAGCUACCAAAAACCAACGGCUACAAGCCACGUGGCUUCUCCAAGAGCCUCUGAUCCAAAAAUCUUGUCAAAUCUAACGGCUGUCCAUUUUUUGGCUAAAAAAAUAUCAAAAAAUUAUGGAAACAUUUUCUAUAAAUACCUACAAAUAUUAUUCACUUCCCACACCAAACCUUCAUACAAAUUCAUAUCCUUUCAAUAUUUUUCACUUUCCACACAAGAUUUUCUACUACUAAAUUUCAUUUGUGUAAAAAUACAAGUGGCCUCUUCUAUCAAAGCCGGAGGCGCGUGGACAACCGUGGAAGAUAUUUUGUUGUGUGAGUGUUGGGUCAAAGUUGGUCAUUGCCCGAUCACCGGCAAUGAGAUGAAGUCCUCUCGUAGGAGUUUCUGACAUCGCAGCGAAAGUAAGAUGUGAUAUGAGAAUGUAAGGAAUUUGAUGAGAGGAAUGGGAUUUGAGGAGUUUGAUGUAGGAAUUGAUGUUGAAUUGGAUUUGGGAGGUAUGUAUAUAUGAUUUGAGAGUAUGUGUUUAGGGAUUUUGAUAGGAGGAUUUGAGGAAUUUAGAUUUGAGGGAUUUGGAUUUGGGGAAUUUAAAUAUGAGGAAUUGAUUUAGGGUUUGGGUUUGAAUAUGAGAAAUUUGAUAUGAGAGUUUAGAGACAACUGAUGAUUGAUUGCUCUAAUACCAUGCUAAAAUAUAAAUAUGGUUUGAAUACUUUAGGUUGAGUUUUAUUCUUUUCCAUAAGGAGGUAUAUAUAGCAGUUUACAUGAGUGUUUUACAAGGAAAUAGAUACAGUAAUCAAUUAGGAUAAUAUCUCCUAAUUAUACAAUAAUUUGUCAACUAUAUAGAAUAGGAAAGUAAAUUCCUUAAUUAAUCAAGAAAAUAAAUCUCAUUGAUUAAUUAAGAGACUAACGUCAACAUUUAUAAGCCAUGGAAGAGCAGAAAAAGAGGUACUUAGGAGAUUUUAUACGUCGGACUAAGGUAAGCUUAAAGGACUAUAUCAAAAAAAUAAGGGACCAAGAAGCAAGACUGAGAAGUUGUUAUGCAAACCCAUUAAGUUUAGCAGUGAUGAAUUUGUAAAAAUCAUUCUAGUGGAUGCUGCCUUCACUAUUGAGUUCUUAUUGAGGUUCUAUCUGAAAGGAUGUAGACAUGAAGGAGACCGCUUAUUAAACAAAUCAGCUCCCAUUCUUUAUUCUUGAGGAUCUUUAUCACACAUACAUAAUAACCGACUCUUUUAGGAAUUAUUACAGUACUCAUGAUCAUGAGAGGCUUUCAAUAAUUAAUAUUUCUAAGAAUUUCGUCACAGCUGGAAUAUUGAAUUUGGAGGGGAAGGGAGACAAAUGGAACAGAAUAUCAUCUUCUUCUAGUGUUGGAAAUUUUAUAUUAUUUAAUAAUAUUUAAUUUCUAUUGUGAAUGAAAAAUAAGUUUCUUUAAGAAACGUGUGUCUUAGGCCAGUUUUUCUAACUGGUCGGCUUCCUUAGAUUUGUGCCUAUUGCUUUUCAAAGUAUAAUGAUGCAAUGGUUGUAUCUCGUUCAGGCAAAUGGAAGGUAUAUAGCAAUUUAUAGAACAAUACAGUAAUCCAGAAGAAAUAUUAUGAAAUGAAAAGAAUAAAAAGUAAAAAAAGAGAAGGAAAGGAAUUCCCACCUGCAAUGUAUAUGUAUGAAAGGAAGGACCAAGUUUGUUUUAAAAUGGUAAGAACAAGUUGAUUUAUAAUUGGGUUCAGAUCAACUCAUGGAUUUCUUGCCUUUUCUAUUCUCCUUCCUUGGACAUGAACUGUUUAAUCUUGGCUCUUCCCCAUCAUGUUGGGCCUAUCUUCUUCUUGAGGAUUGUAUAGGCCCAGGAAAUGCUUCAAGAUAGUUUUUGUGUUUUGGGCAUUGGGACCUAACUUCACAAAAAGAAAACAGAUUUGGCCAAAAAACAAAUUUGAAGGACAUUGAAAUUGUACCUGUAGGAUAGGUUAAAACACUGUAAGGGAGGUAAAUAGUACGUUUACAUAGUUUAAGUGUAAUAAAGGAAUAAAAACAUGCCCAGAGGAUUGAUAAGUGAUAUCAAUUCUUGAAUAUAGAGAACGUAAAAUAAAGGAACACGUAUAAAAUUAUUUUAUGUGGUAAAACCCCAUCUCUAGGGAAAAUCCACGGGACUUCUUAGUCCAAAACAAAUCUAUUAUAGAACGAUGAUUACAAGAAGUACUCACACACUUAUCCUAGACACAUUCUAGAUAAUGUUUACUGACCUCUUCGUAACUCAACUUCUGUCACAGGAUGAUCUUUCGACACUUCUUAUGUUGAACGCAAUACUAGUCACGAUUUCUUUCAAGCUCAUUGGAGAAAAACCGCCACAACAGUCUCGGUGCCCUCAAUCUUAUGAGUCACUGAACAUGCAAAUGAAUACAAUAUGAAUGAUAAAAGUGUUUGAUAAAUCACCAAGUUAUGGAACACUUGAUGAUUUAUUUCAAGUAAAAAUUCAGCUUUCCAAAGUUUAUGAAUUGAAAAUAUGAUCGUUAAAGCUCUCUAAACAAAAAAAACGAAGGUCUUAUUUUAUAGACUUUUUCUUUACAAGAAAGAAAACACGUUGAAAACCAAAUCUCCAAUUUCAAGGCUUGACAGAAAAUCACAAAAGUAUCUUUCCUAUUCUAGAGAUUGGUCACAUGAAGUCCAACCAAUAGGAAAUGAGAUAUUUAAGAAAGGAAGAUUUUGAUCAAUAUCAAUAUCAAAUGAAUUCUUAUAUGCCUAGUCAACUAUUAAGGGUAUCUUAACUACUUGAUAUUAUGAUAUGAUUGAAACAUGAUUUCCACGUUAGAAAAUUAAGGGGAUUUUAAAACAUGAAAGUAAUAGGAGAAUCAAAUUGAUUUGGACCAAAAUUGCCUAAAAAGAAAACACUCCUAAAUAAACUUCAAUUCACUUUUAAAAACAGUAAAACUUGAUUGAAUCGUUCUUUAAAACAAUUCCCUAAUAUACAUGCAUGAUAGUGACAUCACUUACCUCUGAAUCAGAUGCCUUUUACGAGUCAAGCCACAAGUUUGUGUUUUGGGGAUUGCUGAGCUGCAUCAAUCCUGCCAAUGUCAAUUCUGCCCCUAGGCUCUCUCAAAGCACGUUUACAAUCUAUGCUAAUAUAUACUAGAGUUUAUGCUAGUAUCUAGAAAAUGCCAACACUAAUUUCGUAACACGUAGAAAUUGUUAGAGAUUGGAAGUUUUUUUCAUUUUUUUCUUCCAGACUCUCCACCACUCACUAAUACAGUUUACUCAUGUGAUGAAUUUACAAAACCUAUUUCUCUACUCUCACAAAGACUAUACUUAGGGGGGGUGUAUUCAAUUAGGAGUCUAGAGCGUUUAAAAAGAUUUUGUUUAAGUGCCAGCUUUCAUAGAACUUGAUGGAACUUUAUAAUUCGUAUAGAACUUGAUAGACUUUCAGAAGACUUCUGUAUAAUUUGUUAAUAAAACUUUCUUAAGCUUUCAUAGAACUUGAUAGGCUUUUAUUCCAGAAUUAUGUAGACAGUAUAUUUCAUUUUAUCCCCAUCCUUGUCAUUUAAAGAAAGAAACUUGAAUGUUUUCAAUCAAAUUUGUUUUUGUUACCAAAGCAAAAACAAAAAGUACUUGUUUGCGAAGGAAGAACAUAUGCACAGUUCAAAAUGAAAAGAAUAAGAAGCAAAGUACCUAUUGGACCAAUGAAUGCUGUGUCAACUAGAGAAGCAAUUGGAUCGGCUGUCAAAGCCAAUGCUACAGGCAAUGCAUCGAUGGUCCAAAUUGCAAUAAAAAAUAUUUUGUAUAAUGGUUCUUGCAGACAAAGACCACAUAAAUUCUGGACUGGUCCAGCUUGAAUAAUAAGGUUAGAUUAGCCGAUGGAUGAGAGUAAAAGCAAAGAAAGUUGAUGAAUUCAUCACCAAUUAUUUAAUAACUGUAACAUCCCACAUUGACCAACGGAGAGGGGGUGAUGUGCCUUAUAUGUACAUGCCCACUUCCAUCUAGCAUGAGUCCUUUUGAGAGCUCACUGGCUUCGGAGUCAUGGGAACUCUGAAGUUAAGCGAGUUGGGGCUAAAGCAAUCCCAGGAUGGGUGACCCACUGGGAAGUUGCUCAUGAGCUUUAGAAACAAAAAUCAUGAGGGCAUAAAGGGAGGCCCAAAUUGGAUAAUAUCGUGCUACGGCGGAGCCGAUCCCAGGAUGUGACAAUAACCAAUAGAGUAUUUAAACAUAAACAACAAUGUUUGAUAAACAAAACAAAUAGUCCAAAUAUUAUCCAAAAAACAAUUCUAAAACCAAUCAUUCCAAACAAACUAGUCAUUCCCAAAAACUCUCAAAAAACCCACUCAUUCCAAAUUAUAGGAUAUCCAAUUUGAGCGCUCCUCAGGAGACAUUUUCAAAAAUGCAUCCUUUUUUGUGUUACUAUGCAACAAAGAGAGCGCUUUAUAAUGAGCACGUUCAUCCAAAUUUGAGGUCUCCUUAAUGGCAUCCCACAUAUAACUCUGCUGCUCUCGCUCUUUUCCCCUUUUUGCCAAUAGGUUAUGGACCUCCCGGAAGUCGGUGACAAUUGAAUCAAUGCUAAGGCUAAUUCUUCCCAUAGCUUGUUGGGUGGUCACAUUUGAGAUGGCAUUCCCUUCCAAAUCUAUUCUAGUUCGUUUCCUCUAGUAACAAGCAUAAAUCCUAGUAACAAGCAUAAACCCUAAUCCCAACCUAUAACCUAAUAACAAGAAAAACACGAUGAAAAAAAAAUCAUGGAAAAAGAAAACCCAACGAGGUAUUGAUCAAAAAAAAAAAUAGGGAGCAUACCUUCACAGAUGGAGGAAGGAAGCUGUUUGUCUUCACAGAGAGAAAAGCUAGGGAAAGAGAAAAACGUCUGAUGAAAUACUUUGGGGGGAGGUUGGAUUUCUUUUGGUCUUUGAUAUUUAUAACUCUCCCCUUAAAACCUACAAAAAUUUAUCACUUAAUGAAAUCCUUCCAAAUAUAUGACCUUUCGAAUACACCUAGAUUUGAUUCAACUUUUUUAUAAUCCUAAUUGAAUACACCCAUAUUUGAGUGGACUUUUUAAAAGUUCAUAUAAGUCCGAAUUGAAUACACCCAGACUUGUAAAACCUCUUUUAAAGUUUGUAUAAAUCCAAAUUGAAUACACCCGGAUUUUUAAAAUAUUUUUUAAACGCUUUAUAAUCCUAAUUGGUACAUCCCCCUUAUUCUCAAAAGACUAUAUCACUUUACCUCUAUCUCUGUGAAAUGUAAAAAGUUGAAACUUUAAUGUCAAACCUCGACAAAAGAUGAACUUCCAUCAGUUGCGUUGAAUUUGGAUUUGUUGAACUAAAGUGGUUUUACUUUCUCUGUCAGUGUUUGAUGACUUAAUUUGGUAUUUACUUCUUUUUUUCCUUGGAAAUGUGUUCCACCAACGUGAGGAAGAAAAAUGUGCACAAAUUAAUAUAUUUAAUAAAAGCCCAAGAUUUCGGAAGCACAUAAUUUCUACAAAAAUCUAGAAAGUGUUCUACUUUACAAACUUCUUAUGUCUAUCAAUUUCUACUAAAAUUAAUUUCUCUGUGGUGCUCAGAUUCAUCAUAUGUGUGUCCUUAAUUUUAUUGGAAAUUAGAAGUUUCCAUAAUUUUUAUUUUUUGGGAAUUUUCUGAACCAAGAAAAAUCAAGUAAAAUUAAUAAAGCUUAAAUUGGAAAGGGAAAAUAUCUAGAGGACGCAUUGUAGGAUUUCUCAUGCCGAUAAUUGUACCCUCUAAAUAUAUAGGGACAUAUUUUUUUUGUUUUCAUGACAUGUGGUCCUAAAAUUAUUGUUCCUAGCGGGCUCUCCACCCCCUCUCAAAUUUACGUGGUCCAUUAUGAUUAACCAUAUAUUUUAUUGACCAUCCAGCUGUGAGGUUUUAUCCCAAAAACCUUAGGUACAUUUCUCAAUUAUGUCUGAUACAUCACAUCAUGCCACAAUUGUAUAUUCACAAUUAUGUCUGAUACAUCACAUCAUGCCACUUGCCUCAAAUGAAUUUAAGUGAGUGUGGCAGUGGGAAGUAAUUACUUCUAGGUGCCCCUCAUCAUUCGUCUAUAAAAUGGUGAAGCCAGUGGCUAUAAGAGCCAGCUCCAACUUUCUUUUAUUCGUCUAUAAAAUGGUGAAGCCAGUUGCCAAGUUAAUUUCAGUCCUAAUGGGGUUUCAUCUCCCACUCAUCUUUGCUAUUCUCAGUGUAAGCUCUGCAAUUUGAUUAACUUUUCCAUUCUCUCUCAUUGUACUCUAUAUAAACGAAAGUUUUGUGUUCCUAUAAUUCUCUUUGAUUUUAUUUAGUACGUACUUAAGUGUCGUCCACUAAUUAAUUACAGUUUGUGAGAUUUGAUUUUAAUUAGAGUUCGAAUUAAUGUUGCAGCUAGCAGUGGUUGCACUGGCAAACCAUGCUGCUCAACCAGCACCUCAACUUUACUGGAACUCCGUCCUGCCAAACACACAAAUGCCAAGAUCUAUCAGUGAACUUCUGCAUCCUGGUUUGUGUUGAGCUCUUUAGAAUCUUAGAUAUCUCUUCUACCUGCCAUUUUACUAAAAUAUGUUCGACCACAUAUUUAUCAGUUAACUACUGUCAUUACAUGAGUGACACUUAUUCACAAAUCGGCUGAUCACUUAUUUUCCAUUUUACAUGAGUGAUAUAUAAUUUGCAGACUCCACAAAUGAAGAAAAUAUCGUGAAUGCUGUUGGGAAUGGAAAGCGCAAACCUGAAAUUUUCCCAUUGAGAAAUAUAAAUUACGUUCAAAGCCAUUAUGGAGUGUUAAAUAGAAAUUACGUUCAAAGCCAUUAUAAAAAACGUCCUCCUCCACCUGAAAAUAUCCCAUUUGCAAAUCGAAAAAAGUACGCACUAGGUUCUCCUCCAUCUGACAAUCAACUACUCCAUUAUAAAGAGUUAGCUAUUUUCUUCUUCGAGAAGGACAUGCGCCCUGGCGCAACAAUGAAGUUCCAAUUCCCUAGAAAUUCAAACACGGCUACUUUCCUGCCACGCGAAAGUGCUCAAUCGAUCCCCUUCUCCUCUAACAAACUACCAGAAAUUUUCAACCAUUUUUCAGUGAAGCCAACAUCUGUGGAAGCCAAAACAAUUAAGCAAACAAUCGAAGAGUGUGAAGCUCCAGGCACUAAGGGAGAGGAAAAAUAUUGCGCCACAUCUUUAGAAUCAAUGGUUGAUUUUAGCACUUCGAAGCUUGGAACAAGAAACGUUGAAGCAGUCUCGACGGAGGUAUUGGAAAAAGGAGCCACCAUGUCCAUGCACAACUAUACAACAAUGCCGGGACUGAAGAAGUUGGCAGGUGACAAAGUCGUUGUGUGUCAUAAGGAGAACUAUCCCUAUGCUGUGUUUUUCUGCCAUGCAAUAAAACAAACAGCAGCUUAUGUUCUCUCCCUGAAAGGCGAUGAUGGGGAGAAGGUUAAAGCAGUAACCAUCUGCCAUCUAGACACAUCAGAAUGGAACCCAGAGCAUUUGUCCUUCCAAAUCCUCAACGUUAAGCCCGGAACCGUUCCCAUCUGCCAUUUCAUUUCCACUGAUGCUAUUGCCUGGGUUCCAAAACACAAAUUUGCAUGAUCAUCACUUAGCACUGUGGUGUAAGAUAUAUGAUGAGAUAAAGUUUUUGGUAUUAGUGGUCGGGUUGCCUGAAAAACACAGAUUACAGAAACUGCUUGAAAUUAACCCGAUCAUGUUUUCUCUUGUAAGACUUCAACUUGUACUCCUAAAGCAAGUUAUAUUUAUGAAGAGAUAUUAAUCUAUAUAUAUUUUAUGUAUAUAUAUAUAUAUAUAUAUAUGCUUUGGCUUUGUGGUUCUACCCAGUGUUUGAGUGUUGAAUUGUUACGUUGGAAUAGGCUGAUAAUGCGUGUAGUUAGAGAAGCCUUCAUUUAUAUCAAAGUCCUCAAACUAUCAAGAACUAAUGUAUCCAGAAACAUAUACCAAGACGCAAAACAACAUAUUUUCCAUGCUCUGUCUGUAACGCCAAAGCAAACUUCCUUUAUCACAUCAUUUAAAGGAUCAAAUUCCAGUACUAAUCUAAUCCAUCAUGUAAAGCAUACAAGUGCCUCCCUAAAUUUGUCCAUUGGAUAUAAAUGUUGAGAAAAUUAGAGUACACAACUCUAAUAUGAUAGUUGUACACAACUCUAAUAUCAUAAAGCAAACAAAAUUUCUAAGUUAGUUUGCUUUAUGAUAGUUGUUUUUUGAAGGGGUCCUUAGAUCCUAUCUCAAAAAGUUUGGCUUUUAUUAGGUUUAACUCUGGUUUUUAUCUCUACCCACUAACUUUUAUCUCUCAUUUUUAUUACCCAUUUUACCCUUUAAAAUAAAUAGGGCAAUAAACUAAAAAUUCUGAUUUAAUGCAUGUUUUACUCAUAAGAGAACUAAAAACUAAAAAUUCUAUACUCUAACACAAAAAAUGAAAACUAAAAACUAAAAUUGAAAUGGUUUCAAGCAAUUGCAUGUCAGGCGCUAUAUAUAAUGUAUUAGCCAUGGUUUGUUUAAUACGCGGUCAUUCGUCAUUUUCCCAUUCAAAAUAUUGAAAUUACGAACUACAUACCAUGAAAGAUAAGAAACUAAAAGCUUCAAGCAAAUAGAAAUGUGCUACAAACAUAGUAAUGAAGAUGUGGAAGCAUUAUCUCAGACGAAUGAUUCUGAAGUGGAAAAAACAAGAACAAAAAAGGAAGUGAGUUAAAUUUGCACCUGCUAUGUUCAAACGACAAAGUUGGUUUCCCUUUGGUCGAUUACAAGAGAAGCUCAAUGCAGCUUACUUGGUUCCUCUGGUAGAUGAAAAUAUAAUUUUUCUCCUAAUAAUAAGGGUAUAGUGCAAUCAAUGAUGGGCUGUAUAGAACAACUUUUUUGUUUUAUGUGUUUAUGUGAGACAUGUUUUGCCAGAUUGAAUUAAUGUCUUCUAGCCAUGUACCUUAUCUUUUUGCCGGGCCAUGAGUUGAAUGUAGAGGCAAAGUAUGGACUUGGGGUCAAGUUUGACUUGUAAAAUAAUUAGGAAUUGAAUGGCUCCUACGUUCAAUUAUUUUAAUUUUUUUUCCCGAGCCAUUCAAUUCCUAAUUAUUUAGAUUUUCGAUUUAGUGAGCAUCCACAAUCAUGCUCUCUAUUUUUAAGUUAAAUUUUAGUUAAAAACAUAUAAAAGUUAUUUAGGAGCUCUCUAUAAAAUUUAAACUUCAAUCGUUUUCUAUAGUUUAGGGAGUCAUAAAUGUCAUAACUCUUUUUUGAUUGGUCCAUCUCUAUUAAAAAAUAAAAUAAAAAAUAGUUAGCAUGAAAUAAAGGUUUGAAAUACUCAUUAAAUAAAGCAGCAUUAAAUUAUAGGGAGCCACUAAGAGUCCUUUCUCUCUCCUCAAGUUUAGGAGCUCCUAGAGGUCUCCCUAUUUUAAGAGGUGGAUAGGGAGUAUGGUUGGAAUUGUAUUUUUACAAUUCCUCCCUAAAAAUUUUCUAUGGAUAGGUGGUUUUAAGGAACCCAUUGUGGAUGCUCUGAUCUCAAAGAAAGAAAACCUCGAGUUUGCAAGCAAGUUUUCUACGUAUGUAUAUAUGAAAAACUGACAUUUAUGAAAAUAAUAAAUCCAUAUUUUUAUGUAAGCCAACUUUCUAAAUCCAUGUACUAUAUUUAUUAGGGAAAUAUUGGAGAAACUGAUUAUUUUGAAAAAUUAAAUGUGAAAAACUGAACAAAAAUUUGACAGGUUACAUAUUUCAACUCAUUCAGCAGCUUAGGUUGUGAAGACCUCAGAAGAGGCUAUGCAAUGAGCCUAGCUAGUGCACUGUUGAUCACUUCAGUGUUUACCGAUCUGUAAUUUUUCCAGAUUGGUUAUAUUUUCCUUUACAUAUUCUUAUAUUUUUCCCAGUUGGGGAGACUUAUAAAUAAACCCAAAAUGGGUACAAUAUCUAUACAGAAGGACAAAAUUAAAGUGUUUGGACAAUAAUCCCCUAUUCAUUUUGGGAUUGCCUAAGGAAUUCUUUUUCUGAUUUUCAAUGAUGCAAAGGACUGUUGUUUGAUGCUUGCCGUAUGGAGCUAAGAAAACUUGCUUUGAUAGUUUUGGACAGAUGCAAGCUACUGUUGUUGGUAGGGGUGGGCACGGUCCGGAUUGGUUCGGUUUUACUCUCAAACCACAGCUGAACCAAUAAGAAAAUAACGGUUCGGUUUGGUUCGGAUUAGCCUAAAAUCAUAAUGGAAACCGAACCAAUCCAAACCACUUGUAAUCGGUUUGGUUCGGAUUGGUUCGGCCGGUUUGUGCCUAACACAAAACCAUGCAUUUUUCAACCUGCUCUUACAUUAUAAUGCUAACAUUUUGCCAUUAUAUCAUUCCAUUCCAUUCCAUCAAAGGCUAAUACAACAUCAUUCCAUUUAUUCAAAGGUUGUCCAAUGUCUAGCAUGCAUCUAAGUUCACAAUUUCCAUCAAAACAAACAUAUACAUAAUUUGCAUUAACCAAGUAGCAUUACAUUUACUCAUUGCAUUCAUCACAAUUCAUAAGAGAUGAGAACGAAUCAAUUUUACUUUAACAUAUUAAACAAAUGCAUUCUUUGUAAUAGUUAAACAUUCUCACAUCAUGAAUAUCGGCAAGCUUAUAAAGCUGCUGCACCAACUUGCUAAUUGAUUCGUCUGUACCAGGAACAACAGUAGUAAUGCGAGAGAACCCCUCAACUUCUGCAUGGCCAACAGCUAAACUCUGGAAACGAGAAACCAGCUCAAUUAUAACAAAUGCCUAAAACUUCUACCUUAACAGAAGACAAAGGAGGAAAUAACAGCAGAAGGAAACCAAAUUUCUCAAUUUAAUAACUGAUAUUUCCAAAGGAUUCUUAAGUCUAAAAUUCGACCAAGACUUGAUUAACUAUUCCAAUGUCUAGCAUGCAUCUAAGUUUAUAACUUUGUUCCUUCUUUAACAAAAAGAACAAGGAGAAAAAGCUAAUAAUAAGGUAUCCUUCUUUAACAGGCAUCAAGCAUAUCACAUAAGCAACAUUUUAUAUACAUUAUUCUAUGAACAAAACUAAAUCAAAGCAAGGUAUGCUACAGUCUUUUUGUACAAUAAAAUAGAUUAACAUAUUUUAUAACCAUAAAAAUGAAAAAUUAGGCCUCAUAGAAAAUACCAUUUUAUUUUUCAACUCUCUAACUUUUUAUAUAACCAGUUAUUGGAGACAAUACAAAAAAUAAAGUAGUAGACAGAACUAGCAUAUUUUACAAACCCAGCUGAUGAUGACGAUCCACCACCAACAAUAUUCCCAUAAUCAAUCCUUGCAUAACCUGAUGGUCGAUGAUGGAACUUGGGUUUUGUAGAGAUGGAUUUCGCUGAGGACAAAUGGGUGGGUUUCGCCGAGUUCGAAUCAUGUUGGCUUGAGUUAGCGUCGAGGGAGAGGGAGAGGGAGAUGUAGCAGAGAGACAAAGAGAGAGGGAGAGGUAGCAGAGAGAGAUGGAGAAAUAAUGAGAGGGAGUUGCGGCUAGGGUUAAGAGACGAAGGAAGGGAGAUAGGAGAGAGGCUCUUCUGAGGGAGAGAGAAUGGUUAGAUAACUUAGAUGUGUCCGUGAGUUGUAGUUUUGGAGUCCAAUCAAGUGUUGCAGGGUACAUGGUACACUCUUAAAUAACCACUCAAACCUUGCCACAUGUAAACUAAAUUAAAUAAAUAAUAAAUUGAUUUAUAAUCGGUCCGGUUCGGUUUAGGACAGUUUUUAAAACUCUCAAACCACAGCUGAACCAAACCAAACCGGUUCGGUUCGAUUUUUCAAAAUGUUGACUUUUUCUUUGGUCAAAACCAAACCAAACCAAUCCAAUAUAAUCGGUUCGGCUGGAUUGACCUGAUCGGCCAGAUUGAUGCCCACCCCUAGUUGUUGGGAUGAUCUUUUCACGUGAAAUGAGGAUGACGAUACUUCUACACUACACAAUCCAACGAAUUCACAUUUCUAUUUCAGAUACAUGUAUAAACAGACAAGGCUUUAAAAUAUGGGAUGCUGCACUGUUGUUGCUGCUGCUGACACUGUUACUGUGUUGCUGCUACUGUUACUGCGCUGCUACUGGAAGAAGGACAAGGACUUCACAUGUUGCUUUCGUCCUUUGUGGAGGAGAGAGACCUAGGACUUGCAUGUCUUAGAUAUUUAAGAUAAGGGGCUUUCGUGCCAUUUUGAAAAUACUUUGGGUGUUUUUGAAAGCUGCUUGUUUCUUUUGGGUUUCUCACUAAAUUUCGCUAUUAGAAGGGAAAAUAAUAAUAAUAAAAAUACAGCUCUUAUUAGCAACAGGGUUACAAAUUCUUCUACAACACACCAACUGUUGUAAAAGUUUGAAGGUGGAGCCCACAGAGGAAGUUUCCUUGCAUCUUCCAGGAACUUUCCCUUCCCUGUAUUUAUCAAUUCAGGAAGUUUCCUUGCAUCUUCCAGGAACUUUCCCUUCCCUGUAUUUAUCAAUUGAGGAAGUUUCCUUGCAUCUUCCAGGAACUUUCCUUCCAUGUAUUUAUCAAUUCAGGAAGUUUCCUUGCAUCUUCCAGGAACCUUCCCUUCCCUGUAUUUUACCAAAACCUUAGCCUAUAAAUAGGCUUGCUCAUUCACUUGUAAUACACACCAAAAUGAAGAGAAGAAUGAGUGAGGAAAGAAAGAAAGGAAGAGAAGGAAGAAAGAGGGUGAGUAAGUAGAGAGAAAAAUAGAGUGGAGAGAAAUUAGUGAGCCACAUAUAUUGUAAACACUAAAGUUGUAGCCCUAUUAUUUUACAUAGUGGAAAAGUUACUACUGCUGCUCUCCGGGGACGUAGGCAUAGCCGAACCUCGUUAAAUACUGUGUCUCAUUUACUUUACGUGCAGCUCAAUAUUCAUACAUAUUCCAGGUUAUUUUUAUAACACGUUAUCAGCACGAGAAGCUCUCAGGUAUAAUUUUUGUGCUGCACUAUUAUCUAUACUACUAACCACUAACAAAAAUGGACCCUUGGUAAUACUAAACAUAUUAUCAGUGGGAGACCGUUACUAAUACUAACUUUUUCUUAUUUUAUUCGGUGGUGGUUUUAACCCCACAUUUAUUUACUGUAUGGUGUAGGUUUAUUACCCAUACAUGCACCUUUACUUUAUCGCAAAUUUAUUUUACCGCAUAUUUAUUUUAUUUACUGUAUGGUGUAGGUUUAUUACCCAUACAACAGUAUUUAUUUAAAAGGGUGGUGCGAGUUUAUCGUCCACGCCUUUGCUUUUAUUUAAAUGUAUGGAGCAGAAUUAGUGCCCAUACAAGCACAAUUUACUUUACCGCACAUUUAAUUUUAUUUAAAGUAUGGUGCGGGAUUAACGUCCAUACAGCAAGCAAUUUAAUUUAUGAAUUUAAUUUACCGCACAUUUACAUUUAUUUAAAAGGGUGGUGCGGGUUUAUCGUCCACGCCUUUACUUUUAUUUAAAUGUAUGGAGCAGAAUUAAUGCCCAUACAAGCACCUUAACUUUAUGAAUUUAAUUUACUGCACAUUUACAUUUAUUUAAAGUGUGGUGCGGGUUUAUCGUCCAUACCAGUAAUUUAUUUAUCAGCAAUUUAUUUUAUGGAUUAAUUGUUUAUUUAUCAGCAAUUUAUUUUAUGGAUUAAUUGUGCUGUAUGAUGAGUUUUUCCAGUAUGCAGAUCAGGACCAGAAGUUCCUUGAUCCUCAUCAUACAAUUACAUCAGGACUUGAAGAUCCUUGAUGAUGAUAUUAAAAUGAGAGCUGGCAGUCUCACCGGUACUGUAUUUGUAAACAUGUGAUUGGACUUAAAGGUCCUUGAUCCCUGACAUGUAAAUAAGGACCUAGAGUUCCUUAAUGAUGUAACAGUACCGUAUUGGUUCAUAGUGCCGUACACAUUGAUGAUAACUGUACUGGCAGAUGAAUAGAUACGUAUUCAUGACUUGAUGAAUAGUACUAUUCACAUGAAUAGUGACGUAUGCAUAAAUAUUAACCAUUUUGGGUAAACCGUCACUAUAUACAAAAGGGAACCUGCAGUUCCUUAAACUCAUGGAUGAGCAAUUAAAUGAGAUGCCAGAAGUUCCUCAAAAUAUGGACAAUUAUGUAAGGGCUUGAAGUCCCGAAAUAUGUACAGAAAAUUGUAAAAAUGUCCAUACCAUGAGAAUAUGUGGCUUUGGCCUGAAGUUCCAAAUUUAACAGUGUUGAGAACCUGAAGUUCCAACAAUUAAAUGGACAACCCUUGAGGUAUUAUUGCAAAUUGUGGUAUGCCACAUAUUUCUUUGGCAUAAGAAGAUGAUGAAUUUAAUAAAGUUCGAUUUUGUUAUAAUCGACACCUCAAGGAAGAAAUAUAUUUUGUGAAUUCCGGUUGUUAAGAAUACACCGCGAAAUGGAUAAUAUUAAUAUAAACCUCAAAUAAUGAAUUGAGACUCCCCACAUAUUUUGUUAUAUCUGGGCCGGAAGCCCAUGGAUCCAAAUAUAUGAGAGAUCCUAAACUUGAAGUUGUGGGUAUAUAGUAGUUAAUGCUCUUCACUACUAUAUUGCGAUAUUAUCAUGGCUUUUACUCAAUUCAUAUUUCAUGUCCAUUUGAAAAGGGCAAAUAAAUUCUGAGUUUGUGCCCAGGCCAUAAGUUCCGGGCUACCAUACGUUGAAAUAUGAAAUUUGGGAGAGUCGAUGUGGUUAUUUGAACCUAUAAGGCACAAGGUUCCAAAUCGUCAUUUUGAAAAGACGUAAAAACCAAAGGUGCAAGUUUAAGAAUGUGCGCAAUUAUUAUUACAGGAACAUACAACAGAUAGAUUUUUUCCACUUGCAAUGAAGGUGCAGGCCCUGUAAAAUCUAUAAAAUUACAUUAUGUUCUGGAAGCCUCUGAAGGAAGAGGACGGCGCCUCUUAAGCUUAGCCAUGAGCUUCUCAUGGUCUCCCAAAAUUCUUUCAUUGGAGACCUGCAGCAUGUCUAGCCUUCUCAGUGUAUCAACAGAGUACGAACUCACCAGUUUCAACAAGGAAUUAUUCUCUCCUUUAAGUUUCUCAACCUCCUGUUGAGACUCAUGAAGCAUUCUUUGGAGAGACGAAUUUUCAGUUGUUAAAUUCUCAACCUCGUUUGCUCUGGCACGCAAACGAUCAGCCAUGUUAGAAACAGAAACAGCACUCUGAAUGCUAAAAGCCAUUGAGUCAUCAAUAGCCUCUUCCUCUGAUCUCCCCGUCAACAACAUUUCAUCCAUUGGAGUAAUGAAAUUCCUAGCUACUAUGACAGCAGUAGCAUCAUUCAUCAUCACAGAAUCAUUAACUGUGAGAUGACGAUUUUUGGAUACAAAGGAUGGACGCCAAACUUGGGCGUCACUGGUAGUUGUGGGAGUAUCAUUUAAAUUGAAAUAAUUUGGGCAGGAAGAAGAGGAAGCCAUUUUUAAGAAGGUUUCGAAGAAAGCCUUAGGAAAACUAAAGUUUCAUAAAAUGAAGGAAGUUAAGUUGAAACGCAAUUGCUCCAAUCAAGUUUUGCAAAGGCAAUAUCUAUAGACGAAAAUAUGGCAAUAUCUUCAGGAUUCCAAUAUCUUCUCGAAUCCCCAUAUUAUCUUUUUCUUUCCCAGAGUCCAAAACUUCACGUGGCCUCUAAUAAUGCCUGUCGGCACUUUCGGCGUUUUUCAAAGUAUUAUUUUCAAAGCCGAUCUUGCUUUACGGAUUUCACGGAACUACUUUUUCAAAAGUAUCCCGAGAAUCUCGCAAUUUUCCUAUGGUUAAUUUGAAAUUCACCGGUUCUACCUAUUUAUUGUAUUUAUGUAUAAAUGUGUUACUAACGAAAUUUUCUUUGCAAAAGACAUCCAGUUUUCUCCAUACCUAGUGAUGCGAUAUCUACUUAUUUUUCUUAUCAGUGAGCACUUAAUAUGCCUGAGAAGCAAGACUAUCUCUGAUCAUACAUUCAGGAAGCAAGACUAUCCCUGAUCAUGUUUCCGCUACAUUAGGGAACUGUGAAGGUGACCUUAUGCUCCAAUCUCCUGAGGUCUUUCUAGACUAGGAGAAAUGAGAGCUUGUUGUUUGCUCCCACCAGCUUCCUUCCUUGAUUGCUUACCUUACCUUGCAAUCAAUAUCACAAUCUUUUUGCAUUUUUUCUCUUUUUAUAACUCUCUGUUCAUAAGAGAUUUUAUUUCUUUAGAAUGAACAUCUGAAGAAUGAAUCCAUGAAGUAAUCCUAACUAUGAGGGUUAUUUGUUUUGACAGAGGCAAAAGAGUUGUGAUUUUUGCUCUUGCAGGAUAUAACUAGAUCAUCAAGCGCUACAUUAUAUUUACUGGGCUGAUAUGAGCUUGAAUGAUACUUGAGAAAAGUUUCUCCCACCUAAGGAUGUAAGCAAUACUUGUGUUAUUUUAUGCUUAUAUACCUAUUUGAUAUUUUAUCUUGAAAGGUAACUAAAUGGGGAGAUAAGUCCGUUCCAAAAGAAUGACUUGUAUGUAUCCAUGAAUUAUUAAUGCAAAUUUUACAGAUUGCAAGUUGGAUACAUUGAUAAUACACUGCACAGAUUAAAGUCCCAUAAGAACAGAAUAUGGGUAUAGCAGUGAUCAAUAUGAUGCACGCCUAUUGCGUAGCAAAUGAUAUGGAUUGAAGUCCCGAAAGGACAAUCCUUUGACAUUUCAAUAUUGAUAUUAUGCACGCCUAAUGCGUAGCAAAUUAUAUGGGUUAAAGUCCCAUAAUAUGGGUUAAAGUCCCAUAAAUUAAUUGACAUGUAUGUAUUAAUCUGUGGCAUGCCUGCAGCAUGACAGAUAUAUGGGUUCUAAAUGUUCCAACUCCCUAAAUGGAGAUUAUCCACGCCCUACUAUAAAAUAACGCUCCAUUGGAGGUUAUAAUCCACAUUCUCACAUAAUAAAAGCCCCCUGCAGUGGCUUGGGUACCCAAAAGCAAAGAAAUGCUUAUAAUUGAUGCAUGCGCAUGCACAUGAGAAUGGUGGGAUCAUGAAUUGAUGAAUGACAAUUUUUGAUCAUGAAUUGAUGAAUGACAAUUUUUGGUUUUAGAGUAGCUACUCAAAUCAUCAAUGGGCUGUGUUGAUUGGAACCACGUUCAAUUAUUAAAUGUCGACAAUAUCAUUGGCCAAAAUGGAACGAGGUAAUUCCAUUAUAAAUGAGAAUGAACGUGAAAGAACAAACCCACAAUACGAACCCCAAAAUUUGUUAAUACUAAAAGUUAUACUUGGGUGUUCGGAAUAAAAGGAAAUAUAUCUACUUUGUAUGACACACUGUUUCUGGCAGAAACAAGGAAUGUUGGGUUUUCUCCAUAUUUACAGAUUCAAUUGUGCCCCCCUUAUUACACAAUUACGGAGACCAACAUAUUAUCUUUAAGGGUUAUUAAUGCACAGAGCAUAUCGCCAGAAGCGAUUUCCUAAAGAUGUAUAAAUAGCUGGGUAAAAGCUAUAUAAUGUGUCAUAAAGUUUAAUCCCUUUUAACCAAAAUCUGUUGAGAGGAUUGAUAUUGCAUAGAGCAAGUCCCUAAAGAACAUGUGCUUGAAGCACAAAAUUUGUACUCAAUAUUAAUAUGCAUAAAUUACCUCAGUGAGUACAUUGAUUAUAAUGUGAUUGCAACACAUUAAAGCUUCUGCAGAAUUCAUGAAAUAUUUGUCUCGAUCGAGCAUUAUGCCAACGAGAUUCUUGCUUAUACUAAGAAAGUAUUAAAGUAUUUUUAUGAGGAUUAUCCGUUGGACACUUUAAUGAUUUUCCGGAAGUAUAUUGGACCGGACAUCAUAUUUUCCAGAUAGGGCUCAACUCCAUCACCAUCAUUUUGGGAUGAUGUGAGGUAUAUUUGAUGCUAUCUAAGCAUAACACCAUAUAGGGGCAUAUUUUUUUAGUGAACUUAUAAAUAGCCCAAGUGUUCUAAGAUAUGCGGACUCAGGAAAUCUCUAUGGUCGCUUACUGGAAAAAGCUAGUCAUGAAGUUUUCAGGGGGAGAUAUUCAUCAGGGAGAGCAUGGUAUUAAUAAAGACCUUCAUACACUAUUGACUCACAGCAGCAGUGUCAACUAUGAUAUUCAGACAGAUGAUCAACAGUAUGGCUUAAAGAUAUUUUGCCAAGCAUCAGGGGGAGCGUGCUGUCAAUACAGACCCUUACCCACUGUACUCUUUUUCCUUCGUCCAGGUUUUUAUCCCACUGGGUUUUUCCUGGCAAGGUUUUAACGAGGCAGUGUCGCACGCGCGUCAAUAUACACAGAAUUUUAUGUUACACGUGAUUAUGUACUCUUUUUCCCUUCGACCAGUUUUUGUCCCACUGGGUUUUUACUGGCAAGGUUUUUAACGAGGCAUAUUCCAUAUCAUUUGUGGUCUCCAAGGGGGAGUGUUGUAAAAGUUUUAAGGUGGAGCCCACAGAGGAAGUUUCCUUGCAUCUUCCAGGAACUUUCCCUUCCCUGUAUUUAUCAAUUGAGGAAGUUUCCUUGCAUCUUCCAGGAACUUUCCUUCCGUGUAUUUAUCAAUUCAGGAAGUUUCCUUGCAUCUUCCAGGAACCUUCCCUUCCCUGUAUUUUACCAAAACCUUAGCCUAUAAAUAGGCUUGCUCAUUCACUUGUAAUACACACCAAAAUGAAGAGAAGAAUGAGUGAGGAAAGAAAGAAAGGAAGAGAAGGAAGAAAGAGGGUGAGUAAGUAGAGAGAAAAAUAGAGUGGAGAGAAAUUUCUCCAAGAGAGAAAAAUUAGUGAGCCACAUAUAUUGUAAACACUAAAGUUGUAGCCCUAUUAUUUUACAUAGUGGAAAAGUUACUACUGCUGCUCUCCGGGGACGUAGGCAUAGCCGAACCUCGUUAAAUACUGUGUCUCAUUUACUUUACGUGCAGCUCAAUAUUCAUACAUAUUCCAGGUUAUUUUUAUAACACCAACAUCAAUCUAGCCCUGAUCCACUCUUUUACAUACUUGAAAACAAAACAAAACACGAAAAACAAAAAACAACAGGGAGAAAAUGGCUCCGGAGAGACUUACUGCUAAUACUUGAUCAAUAACAGAGAUAAUAGAGCACACUGUUUGUAUGGCAGUGAGUAUCAGAAGAAUAAUAGCUGCCCAAGGUGUGUUGAAAUACUUUUGUCUCAAAUUUGCCUUCCAUAUGUUCGUGGUCUUCUCGCAAUACUCGUUUAGUUUGCCAGCAAGAUCACCAAAAUAGUAGUUUCCCUGGUUAAUCAUAAUGGAAACCUUACUGUUGUCACCUAGCGUGUUUACAACAAUUCCAUUGUCAACAAGCAACUCUACAUCCUUUGGGGUGUUUACAAAUUUAUCCAGGAUGAAAACAUAAUCGCUUAAUUAUUUAUUAACGCAAUGGCAUUGUUCAAAGGCAAUGAGAUUUCUAAGUGUAAGCUCUGUGUAAUCAUGUAUUUCAAUUUUUGGAAUUUCCAAGGUGUUUUUCAAGAACUGUAUAUCGAAUAAGUUCUUGCUUGAUUCAACGUUAAACUUAACUCCGGCCUGGUGUAGUUUUGUCAUGCCGGGUGUACUUUGGAGCCCUACAUUUUCUUUUAGGGUUGGAUCUGGCAGAUGUAAAGUUCUAAUAAAAUCAACAAAUUGUACAGGUUUUUUAGGAUCAGGAGGCAUAAAAGACUUACGGAAGGCUGGUGAGUUCUCCAAGUUUUCUAAACGCAGUGCCUGUUGGAAGAACCUGUAAGAGAGUUCAAUUAUUGAAGGCUCCCCAGUCUGGGCACCUGUAAGAUUGUAAAGAUCCUCGAGAAUGAAAAAUGGCAGCUGAUUUUCUAGCAUAAGCAUGUCAGGCAAUAUAUUUUGUAGCACCCAUGGUUUUUUAAAUAUCCAAGCAUUAUCAUCCGGCAAUUUUUCUUCCUGAAAUUUUUCUUCGGAUUUAUUCCUCAACAAUAGCUCAAUGACAAAGGCGGCAUCAACUAGAAUGAUAUUCACAAAAGCGGCAAUGUUAAACUUCUUAGUGUCUUCAUAAUAAUGACGGAGUUCAACUUCUCUCUCCUUUAGGUACCUGAGUUUGUGAUCUUCCAUGGCUUCUAAGUUUUUGCUGCCAUGGUGAAGUGGGCCUAUUGAGACUACUUGUGGUGUGUAGGCCUUUUGUUUUACGUUCCGUAGUCGCUCAGGCACCCUGUAGAUACUGCAGGCAGGGGACAGGGCACGGAAGUUUGUCAACUGAUUUUCCAUGGAAGUUGCUUGGUUUUCUAUGUCAAAAGAAGCUUCAUUGCUGCUUUCUUCCACUUUCUUCCUCCGCAUUAUGUGUUGUUCUGAUUGUAAGUGACGAGGAUGGUGAUGAUUCUAGACACCAUAAUCAACAAAUGUUUCAAUCAUAAUUGACAUUUCAAGAUGCUCCGACAAAAAAUUAGAAAACAUUCAUCACAAAAUGCGAACUCAUACAACAGAUGGGUUGAGAAGAUCCACACAUUGCAAUCAUACAAUCCAAUUGAACAGGGAUUACUCCCUAUUCUCCUCUCUCUCUAAAAAAGAUUUUCAUAUCGAUAACAUCUUAUUGCAAGGGACUUGUACAUCAAGUGGUGAAGAACAGAAAUUCAUAUUCUUUCAAUCAACAAAUUUCGAAGAAGUUUGUUUGUUUUAUUUUUGGGGGAAAAAAAUCUGAGCAUAUAUAGAUGCAUAUUAUACGUAGACCUAAGGUGAAAACAUACCAGAUUUUUACUCCAUUUUUCAUGAGGUUUAAGUUCUUGAUGUAUAUAUUUAUCUCAAGUGUAACAUCCCACAUUGAUCAACGGAGAGGGGGUGAUGUGCCUUAUAUGUACAUGCCAGCCUUCAUCUAGCACGAGGCUUUUUGGGAGCUUAUUGGCUUUGGAGUCAUAGGAACUCUGAAGUUAAGCGAGUUGGAGCUAGAGCAAUCCCAGGAUGGGUGACUCACUGGGAAGUUGCUUGUGAGUUCCCAGAAACAAAACCGUGAGGGCAGAGAGGAGGGCCCAAAGCGACCAAUAUCAUGCUACGGCGGAGCCGAUUCUGGGAUGUGAUAAUUUGGCAUCAGAGCUACUCUGCCGUGUGGUGUGAGUGUGCCGACGAGGACGCCGAACCCUUGAGGGGGGUGGAUUGUAACAUCCCACAUUGACCAACGAAGAAUGGGUGAUGUGCUUUAUAUGUAUAUGCUUGCCUAUAUCUAGCACGAGGCCUUUUGGCAGCUUACUGGCUUCCGAGUCAUAGGAACUCCGAAGUUAAGUGAGUUGGUGCUAGAGCAAUCCUAGAAUGGAUGACCUACUGGGAAGUUGCUCAUGAAUUCCCAGAAAAAAAAAGCUGUGAGGGCAGAUAGGGGGGCCCAAAACGGGCAAUAUCGUGCUACGGCAGAGCCGAUCUUGGGAUGUGACAUCAAGAAUUUAUAUCCUCCCUUUUCAGAUCUCAUGUUCCAGUCAAUACAUAACGAAACAUAAGAAACUAAAGUCUUGUUUAUACCCAUCCUCCCACCCACCCACGGCCAUCCACCCCUACCCCCUAUCUCCAUUAAAUCUACAAGUAGCUCAUCAAUUUCUCCACCAUCCCAAGUUCAAUAUACCACCCAACAACCAUCUUACCCAUCUUCUCAUUGAUCUUCCACCCAACAUCCAACACUAUCUUCAUAAACUCUUUAGCUUAAUCUCUCUGUUGCUUUUGUUUUUUGUUUUUUAGAAAUUAAAUUUUUUAGUUUAUUUUUUUGUUGGUACAAAUUCAAUGAUAAAGAACAUCGAACUCGUCGCAACAUCCUGUUCUAGAUCCAAGCUCUACCACCAUCACAACCCUCUCUUGACCUCCGACCAACCUUAACACCCAACUUCAAAUCUAGGUUGUUUGAAACCCAGCCCCCAACAACCCCCCCAAGUCAUCCCAUUGCAACUGACUUGUAGAUGAAGUAGUAAAGAACAAAAAGUCAUAUUCUUCCAAUCAAAACGUAUCAAGUCAAACAAAAUUUCUAGUUAGUUUGCUUUAUGAUAGUUGUUUUUUGAAGGGGUCCUUAGAUCCAAUCUCAAAAAGUUUGACUUUUAUUAUGUUUAACUCUAGUUUUUUGCAAUUUUUUUUUAUCUCUACCCACUAACUUUUAUCUCUCAUUUUUAUUACCCAUUUUACCCUUUAAAAUAAAUAUAGUAAUAAACUAAAAAUUCUGAUUUAAUGCAUGUUUUGCUCAUAAGAGAACUAAAACCUAAAAAUUCUAUACUCUUACACAAAAAAUAAAAAAUAAAAACUAAAAUUAAAAUGGUUAUCAAACAGACCCUUAUAUUACAAAAAACCUUAACUGACCACCUUAUAUGGCAACUGAUNNNNNNNNNNNNNNNNNNNNNNNNNNNNNNNNNNNNNNNNNNNNNNNNNNNNNNNNNNNNNNNNNNNNNNNNNNNNNNNNNNNNNNNNNNNNNNNNNNNNUAGCAUUCUAAAAAAAGUGGCCUCAUGGCAGCAUUCAUUAAUUGACAUGGCAUGACACAUCAGUUGCCACAUAAGGUGGUCAGUUAAGGUGGUCAAUGUUGUGUGUCCAAAUAGCAUUACUAAAAAAAAAUCAAAUAUUGAACUCAUCAUAAGAGAACACAGAAAAACCUCACUGCUUGCAACUCUUACACCACCACUACACGAACAGAACAACUGCUAAUUAAAAUGAGUCACAUGUCACAUGUCACAUGUGGUACUUAACUCUAAAAACUUAUUUAGAUUAUAUAUCCAUAUUUAUAUAUCCUACUCCUCGAUCAAAACAACCAUGAAACAUAAGUGACUUAAACCUCUAGGCAAAUGGACGGUAUAUAGCAAUUUAUAGAACAAUACAGUAAUCCAGAAGAAAUAUUAUGAAAUAAAAAAAAUAAAAAGUAAAAAAAGAGAAGGAAAGGAAUUCCCACCUGAUAUGUAUAUCUAUGAAAGGAAGGACCAAGUUUGUUUUGCCUUUGGUUAAUGACUAGAAAAGCUCACUUGUAUAUUGCUUUCUCCGGCCGUAGAUGCAAGAGAAAUUUUCUCUUAAUAAUAGCACAAUGAUCGGGUAAUCGUAAGAACAAGUUGAUUUAAAAUUCAGGUCAACUCAUAGAUUUCUUGCCUUUUCUAUUCUCCUUCCUUGGACACGAGCUGUUUAAUCUUGGAAUCUUCCCCCAUCAUGUUGGGCCAGUCUUCUUCUUGAGGAUUGUAUAGGCCCAGGAAAUGCUUGGAGGUAGUUUUUGUGUAUUGGGCCUUGAGACCCAACUUCACAAAAAGAAAACAGAUUUGACCAAAAAAACAAAUUUGAAGGACAUUGAAAUUGUACCUGUAUGAUAGGUUAAAACACUGUAAGGGAGGUAAAUAGUACGUUUACAGAGUUUAAGUGUAAUAAAGGAAUAAAAACAUGCCCAGAGCACUACUACAAUUUUUCCCUGUCCUGGCAACCCUUUGUGAUCGGUAAAAACACCAUUAUUGACGGAACUUCGUCAGUAAUUGCUUCUUGACGACUGCAGCGACGAAAAUGAGUAUAGUCAGUAAAAGUCCCGUCAGUGUUACUAUUACUGACCAACUUUUGCAACUUAUUCGUCAGUAGAGGUGUGUCUCUGACACAAGUCAUGAAGUGACUCUAAAUUAUUACUGACAAAACAAAUAGCCACUAUUAAACAAGCUUUUGUCAGGAUUAUUAUUUUAGGAUGGAGUACUAGUGGCAAAGAUUUGUCAAUAUUGUUUUCAACAAAAAAAAAAAUUCAGUCAAUUUGCUUCUGAGCUGAUGCGCCUUUAGAUAUCCUUUUCUGAAAUGUCUUUUGUUUUCUAAUAUAAUGGAUGUUUUUCUUUAAUAAAAAUUUAAUGGAUUCUGAAAAUGUAAUAACAAUUAUAAAUACUCAUAGAUUGAACCAUUCAACCCCCAUCCUUAUAAAUAUAAACUACCAAUGUCGAUUACAAUAGCCAAAUAUUACAAAGUCUGCCUACAUCAGUAGAGUUCAAAAACUUUAGGUGCCCUUACUAUACAAAAGUAUGCAAUUCCAAAUAUUCAACAAAUACACUACAAAAGCAUGCAUACCCCAAUAGGGUCCAAAAUACAACGUCAGCAACUAUAUAUACCAAAAAUGCAUAACACUAAGUAACUGCAUCUAUUCAAGUCCAUGAGUACCUUGAUCUGAUUCUAAAAAGUCUGUCUCACUUGGGUAUGCAUCCCCCCUCAGCAAUCCAGUUAACCCACCAAUAGGAGUAACUGACCUGGCUUGAUAAGGCAUUUGAUGGAACAUCUGCGGCGAGUAAUAUGACAUAUGGAAUGGGUUUGGCAGCUGCUGGUACAAUGGGUGAUGCGAAGCUGACGAGCACGAUAACAUCUGCCUCAUUUCCUCAAUCUCUUGCUGGUUAUGCUUCAGCAACUCUUGCGUCGCCUUCAAUUCAGAACGCCAAUGAUCCUGGUCAUGUUUGUACCUUUCUUGUAACUCUACAUACUGUGACUCAAGGUGAACAUAGUCGUGCCCUCGCAAUCUCUUGGAUGACCCUGCUUUCGUUUGAAUCCAAGGCACCUGAUGGGGUUUCACCCCAAGUCCUUCACCACGAACACUAUUAUUUGUCUCAGGACCCAUUGCCUCAACAUAAGCCCUUCUUCGUGUCUCUAAAUUAUCAGGACAUUCAUCUUCAACCAAUUCCUUCAACUUUUCCUGCAUUUCAGCCUAACAAAAACAAAAUAUAUAUCCUUCUCCAUCAAAUUGUGGUCAUCAUAGAACUAGCCCAAUAAACUCUACAAUGAUGAAUUGCAUUAUGUAAUAAAAAUUUAGGCCAAUUAGUCUUCUGGACCUCUACUGUUUUGUUUUUCAUAUGCUUAAACAAAUAAAAGAACAUAAAGAAUAGUGAACAAGAAAAAAAAACUACCUCCAAACAACUUUCCAUAUGCUUAAAAAAAAAAAAAAAAAAAAGUCAACCAAAACAAAAUAAGAGAAACAUCCUGGACUAUGGCUAACAAUUCCUCAUGAAAAUGAACUUAUAUAUAAUUAUUCCAAUAUAUAGUCCAUAUGCUUACAUAUUUCUGCUCAGCCACCAAGUUAACCCAUGAUCGAUCUUCGUCACGCCGUGUAUGCUUAUCUUGGAAAAACCAAAUAGGAUCGGGGUCUUCACCAUGUUUCUUAUUCUUAGCAUGCAAUCAAUAAAAUAAAAUAAGAUAAUCAAUUAGCUAACACGACCUCAUAUGCUCAAUAUUUGAAUAUAGUAAAGAGUAAACAUUCAAGUGCAUCAUCAAAACUGACAUAUUGUGCUUUGCUGCGAGCAUAAGACUUUGUUCUAGAUGUGUGAUUCAAUGUUUGUUUACUCCGAUUUUCAACAUUUCUUUUAGCUUGCUCCUUUUAUUAGCAAAAACAAAACAUACUUAAUCAUUGCACAGAUUAUAUAUACUGAGUGUUGUGUAAUAAUACGUACUGCAAUCUCAUCUUUUUCCCAAUGUUCAACCAACACCCUCCAUUGAUCUGGGUCUACACGAGAAUCCCCACAUUGCCACCGUCUUUUACUUCCUGUGAAAGGCUUAUAAUAAGCUUUCUUCAAAUCACUCUUGAAACUUCUCCACAAUUUUUCAAUAUUCUUCAUUGUUACAUCCUUGAAGACAUGAAUCAUAGGUUGUUGUUCAGGACGAAAUUCAAUGGUGCCCUGCAUCCACAAUAAGGUAGUCUUACAUCAAGUUGAAAUAUACCUAUUAAACUCAAUUUCAUGCAAUAAGUAUUCAAUAAUUUUAGGAAAACCAAACCCGUAGAGUGUCCCAGACAUCAAGUUUGCAAGAGUCUGGUACUUUUUCCCAUUUUAAAUACUUGAUCGGAAUUAGAUUGGCAUCCCGCGCCAAAAUACCCAUGUAUCUAGAAAAAUGGGGACUAUUGUCACUAAUAACUCUGCCAAAUGGAGAUAAAUCAACUGACUCUUUUUUGUUAUUUAGAAACCAGUUGCAUUUCCCUUGACCUCGACCUUGCUUCGCCUCCUUGCCUACAUGAAAAGUUAAUUUUAACUGAUCAAUACAACAAGAAAAUAAUAAGAAACUGUAAGGUAAUAAGUUUCUCACACAUUAUUCAAAUGAAAAAUUAGCAUAGCUAUUUGGAGAUGAUGUGAUCGUGAAACAUCCCAUAUUCAAUACAUUUGUAUAUGAUUAAAACAUACCAAUUUAUUAAAAGAAAAAGGAAAAGAAAACCAACAUACCAGUAGCACUUAUAGAACCAUCUCCCUCUAGACUAUCCCUAAAGUCAGCGUUGGGCCCUUCUUGUGAACUAUCUUGAGAACUGCUCAUCUAAAAAAUUUGAUAUGCAUAACAGUGAAGGGGUAACAAAUUAAUCAGACAUCAUUGGUAAAAGAAACUAUUACUUCAACAUUCUAAUACAAAACAAUCUACUAAAGAAAUUCUUGUACAAUAUUCUUAAAAUUACGUAGUCCAUUUAAGCUGACAGCUCAUCAAAAUACAUGAAAAAUUCAAUACUCCAUGUCAUCAUAAAGCUCAUCCUCGUUUUCAGUAGAGAGAUCGUCUGAAGACUGUUCAUCUUCUUCAUCCUCAUUUCCGGGCUCAUGCUCAUCUACCAUCUCAUCCAUAUCAACCCUAAUAUGAAAUUCCUCAUUGUCUAGCAGCUGAUCAUCAAGAUUCGGAAUGGCAUAAUUAUCAGUAGCACUUAAAAGGGUUAUCUAUAGUUGGAGCUAGAUCACUAUCUUCUAGCACAUCAAAAAAAUCUCUUGGUUGAGUUUGGGUUGGCACAUGCCAAUGACUGUCUUCUGGAUCUACAACAUAAAACACUUGUGUAGCUUGAGAAGCCAAUAUGAAAGUGUGUCUUUCGUUUGUCGCAACCGAUUGAAACUAACCAAAGGGAAACCAUACCCAUCAAACCUCAUCCCCCUAUCACUAGCAGUAUCAACCCAAUCACAGUUAAAUAAUGUAAUUUUCCGACCAUUAUCAUUCUGUUCUAUUUGACCCCCGUAAUUAAGUUCAUAAAUCUCUUUAAGAACACCAUAAUAAUCAACAUUGCCAAUUACUGGAUUGCGAUCUCUUGCGCUUGAGUAACUAGAUGUCUCUGCACAUUGAAAUACACCACUAUUCUGAUUCUUCUUUUUAUCGUCUACUGAUUUAAUCCGGAACCUACACCCAUGAAUUAUGUGAUUCUUAUACUUGUUCACAAAUCUACUAGGACCAAUUGAUAGCCAACGCAAGUCCUCAGAUAUUGACAGAUCAUGGGCUGUGUACAAUUUAGUAACCUAUAAUUUAAAACAACAACUAAAGUAAAUAACUUUAAUUAAAAAUAUGGUGCAGCAACAUAAAAUGAAUCAUAUUACAACUAAACAUACUUACAUGAUCCUUGAACCAAGUUGGAAAUAUCUUAUUUCUCAUCCCCUCAAUUUCCUGUAUGGUCUUCCGUCGAUUACUUUGUCUCAAUUCUUGGAAGCAUUUUCUGUUUUACAAUAUAAUAUAAUGACUUGUUAGUUAUUAAUUCAUAAUUGAGGAUUGAAAAAAAAAAAUAUCAACAACUUGCUUGUUUUUAUUCAUAAAUAUCUUACUCUAAAAAAGGGGAAACUUCAUCGCAAUUGAACAAGACCACUCUGCGACAUUGGUCCCAAACAUCUUUGUCAAGAUAUAUUUGUUCAGCUGAACCCUUAGAAUGACAUGAAGAGUCAAAAACUUUUAGCUCCCCAAUGACACCACGACCAAUACCAUCAGCAUUUCGACCCUUUCGAUUCCUUCGAGUCUCAACGUUGCUAAGAUACAUGGUACACAUAGCUAAUCCCUCGUCGACAAGAUAUCCUUGUUCCAUACUUCCUUCAGGAUAACUCUUAUUCUGAACAUAUUUCUUUAAUGUUUGUAGGUAUCUAAAGAUAUGGCAAAAUUGAACAUGUUAAUUUACAAUUAAAAUGGAAAACUAGAAAUAAUAAAUAAGAUUUGAACUAAUUACCUUUCAAUGGGAUACAUCCACCGGUAUGGGGCAGGCCCUGCGAUUGCAGCCUCAUCUGCCAAAUGCAUGAUUAAGUGUACCAUCACAACAAAGAAGGAAGGAGGGAAUAUCUUUUCCAUCUGGCAUAAUGUCACUGCAAUCCGAGGUUUUAAAGCCAUGUAUGACGCUUCAUAUUCCUUCUUACUACAUAACCGUCUAAAAAUUGCACUUAGCUCAAGCAAAACAAUGGUAACAGCUUUUGGUAAUACUCGUCGUAUUGCAAGGGGCAGCAGCUGUUGCAUUAUAAUAUGAUAGUCAUGACUUUUCAAUCCGUGUAUUUUUCUCUCAUUCACAUUAACACAUCUAGACAGAUUUGCAGAAUACCCAUCAGGAACUCUCACAUUUGCCAAGACUUCGCAAAACAUUGUUUUUUCCCUUUUCCUCAUGUCAAAAAGUGCUGGAUCAAAAACUUCCUUACCUUUCCCAUUUAUAUAAGGGUGCUGUUUUCUCCUUAUAUUCAAAAUUUGAAGGUCCUUACGAGCUUUUAUUCCAUCCUUUGUCUUCCCAGGAAUAUUUAACAGUGUACCUAAAAUGUUUUCACAAACAUUCUUUUCAAUAUGCAUUAGAUCAAGGUUAUGCCGUAUCAAAAGAUAUUGCCAAUAUGGUAACUCAAAGAAUAUGCUUUUCUUCUUCCACUGAACUUUGUUACUAUUUAUAUUCGUUGUGGGAUAGGUAUUUGUAUUCCUAAUGGGACAAGAACAUUUUUUGGGUUUUCCUUGCCCAACAAAAACAGCUGACUUCUUUUUGGGUUUUCGAAAUGUGAAUGUCAAACUUGACAAUUUUUCUAAACACUGUGAACCUGUCAAGGGAAUAGGUGGAAGAGCAUGUUCUUCCUUACCGUUAAAGGCUGCUUUAUCUCUUCGAAACCUAUGUUGUAUAGGUAGAAAUCUCCGAUGACCCAUAUAACACAUCUUACUACUAUUUGCCAAAUGCAUUGAGACUGUAUCAUCCAUGCAAUGCGGACACGCUUUCUUCCCCUUCGUGCUCCAUCCUGAAAGAAUUGCAUAUGCGGGAAAGUCAUUAAUCGUCCAUAACAAUGCAGCCUUCAUUGUAAAAGUUUGGUUGGCAAACACAUCAAACGUCUUAAUACCAACCUCCCACAACUCUUUCAACUCAUCGAUUAAAGGCUUCAAAUACACGUCAAUAUUAUUGCCAGGCCCAUCAGGACCAGGAAUUAUUAACGAUAACAAUAAAUUUGGUUGCUUCAUACACAUCCAUGGAGGCAAAUUAUAAACUGACAGUACAACAGGCCAUGUACUAUGGGGUUUGUUCAUAUUUGAAAAGGGAUUAAACCCAUCACUUGCAAGCCCCAAUCGCACGUUGCGUAUCUCCGAAGAAAAUUCAGGGUAUAAGGAAUCUAAAUGCUUCCAUGCACGAGAAUCUGAUGGGUGCCUCAUGAAUCCAUCUUUAGGACAUUCGGUUGCAUGCCAUCUCAUAUCUUCAGCGGUAUGCUUCGACAUAAACAAUCUUUGCAACCUUGGUUUUAAUGGAAAAUACCGAAGAACCUUGGUUGGAACCUUAGCUGAUGUGUUCUUACUCAAAGAACCUCCCACAAUAUUGACUUUGUACCUUGAGGCACCACAAAGUGCACACUCAGUCAAGUCUGAUGUAUCUUUCCAAAACAGCAUACAAUCAUUGGGGCAAACAUCAAUCCUCUUGACUGUAAGUCCCAACUCCCUAAUGAUUUUUUUAGCAUCAUAAUUAUUUUUUGGUAAACAAUUCCCCUCUGGCAACAAUUGUUUAACCAAUUGUAACAGCAUUGUAAAGACAUUAUCGCUUCCCUAAACAUUUAAUCUGGAACAGUCUUACAACAGAAUACAAUUUCUUAUAUUUACACCUAGGGUACAACUCCAUAUCUGCUUCUUCAAGUAACUUAUAAAAUAUUUCAGCCUCAGGUGUUUGGCCAUCAAAGAUAGGUGGCUCUGUCGAAGUCCCAACAGUUUCUCCAAUUAUUGGUUGCACAAAGGCUUCAUUGAGAAAAUCAUGAAUGUCAUCUAUACAAACUUCUUCAUUAUGAACUGAUUCUAUAUCCUCUUGGAAUGGUAAAUUUGUCAUGGGCUCCCCAUGAUGCCUCCAAGGGCCAUUCAUAUAUGUGGGAUCCAUUCCUUUUUCUAUAAGAUGAAGCUGGAUGAUGUUUCUUUCAUAGUGAUAACGGUUACAACAUUUUUUGCAAGGACAUAUGACCCUCUCUCCAAAACCCACUUUGGCAAAGACGUCAUCUAAAAACAUUCUCAUUCCGUCUGCGUAUUCCUUACAAUUUCUCCUUAAAUGUACCCAACUUUUAUCCAUAGUUCACCUAUAUUGAGUGCAAGGCACCAAAUACAAUUAUUCAGCACAGAUCAUCCCUCAUACUUAUUGUCUAUAAAUUCCUAUCAGGUGGGUCAAUUUAUUAUCCAUUAGAUGACCCUCAUGACCAUCUACAUCAAUUCACAAGAAAAACCAAAUUAAAAUAACAAAAACCUGAGUCUAAAGAAUAUAUUAACUAAGAAAUUGCACAUUCAUUCAACUGAAGAAAAGAACUAUAACACCAAACAACUAGACCCACUUAAUAGCUAAAGAAACUCACGUCAUAACAACAAAGUAUACAUAUUAAACAACAUAUCAACUCAUAGAUAAAAGCCCGAUAAUCUCAAUACUAUGAACAAUCUUAUUCAAAAAUAAUAAGAUAACAGCAACAUAAUAGAAAAAAGUAAAGGGAAACACACCUGGAUUCUAAGUUUCCAACAACAAUUCAACACUCCUGCAGUAGAUUAAUACAUACAUACCCACAUAUCAAACUUCACCAACAAAUAAUAAAAAAUUAAAACAAGAGCUUUGAAAAAUCAAAGGAUUCGUGUCACAUCCCGGAAUCGGCUCCGCCGUAGCACGAUAUUGUCCGCUUUGGGCCCCCCUCUCUGCCCGCACGGUUUUGUUUCUAGGAGCUCACGAGCAACUUCCCAGUAGGUCACCCAUCCUGGGAUUGCUCUAGCCCCCAACUCGCUUAACUUCGGAGUUCCUACGACUCCGAAGCCAGUGAGCUCCCAAAAGGCCUCGUGCUAGAUGGAUGCGGGCAUGCACAUAUAAGGCACAUCACCCCCUCUCCGUUGGUUGAUGUGGAAUCUUACAAUCCACCCCCCUUAAGGACCCGACGUCCUCGUCGGCACACUCGCACCACACGGCAGAGUGGCUCUGAUACCAAAUUGUCACAUCCCGGAAUCGGCUCCGCCGUAGCACGAUAUUGUCCGUUUUGGGCCCCCCUCUCUGCCCGCACGGUUUUGUUUCUAGGAGCUCACGAGCAACUUCCCAGUAGGUCACCCAUCCUGGGAUUGCUCUAGCCCCCAACUCGCUUAACUUCGGAGUUCCUACGACUCCGAAGCCAGUGAGCUCACCCCCUCUCCAUUGGUUGAUGUGGGAUCUUACAAUUCGUUUAUAUCUUGGAAUAAAAUCAGUAUUCUAAUUUUUAUAUCUAAUUGGAAGGAUUCAUGGGUCAUUACCUACACUAAAAUACUUGAAAAAAUAAAAUAAACAAACAAAAUAAGAACAAAAAUUUCACCAGAACAGAGGCACAAAAAUCUCACCAAAACAGAGGGCCUCUUUAAUGAAGGACAACCAAGUCAGCCCCAAUUGAAAAGAGCAAAGAACCCCCAGAUUUAAUCUCUCUCUCAAUCUGAAUCAGCAACCCCAAUUGAGAAAAGCAAGGAAAACCCCCCAAAUUUAAUCUCUCUCUCUCAAUCUGAAUUAGCAACCCCAAUUGAGAAGAGCAAGGAAAACCCCCCAAAUUUAAUCUCUAUCUCUCUCAAUCUGAAUGAGCAGACACGAAAAUCACUACCACACAUGACUCCAACUCCAUUAGCUAUGAGGAAGAAUACAAUUCAUUCUUCAAUGAAAAGAAGAGGGAAGAGAUGGCCGGUUUGGAGGAAGUAGAAAAGCUCAAGUAAACAAUUGAAGUUUUUUAUAUAUCAAUAGGAAAAUUUUGAAGUUAAAAAUUAUAUUUAAGAAUAGUAUUGGCAAUCGAACUCGUCAGAAAAAAAGUUGGCUUCCUGGUGUCUGAAAAUUUAGGCGCUUAUGUUUUCACUUCCCGCGUUAAAAGAGACUGGCGCAGUGUCUCGUCAGUAAAGGUAGUAAUGACAAAAGACUUUGUCAGUAUUAUUUACUAGUGAAAAAUCACUUUAUUUUGCUAGUAUUUGGUCUCAGUACUGACUAAGCUGCUCUUUCAUCAGUAUUAGUCCGUCAGUAUAAGCUAAAAUUGUAGUAGUGAGAGGAUUGAUAAGUGAUAUUAAUUCUUGAAUAUACAGAAUGUAAAAUAAAGGAACACGUAAAAAAUUAUUUUAUGUGGUAAAACUCCAUCUCUGGGGAAAAUCCACGGGACUUCUUAGUCCAAAACAAAUCCAUUAUAGAAUGAUGAUUACAAGAAGUACUCACACACUUAUCCUAGACACAUUCUAGAUAAUGUUUACUGACCUCUUCGUAACUCAACUUCUGUCUCGAGAUGAUCUUUCAACACUCCUUAUGUUGAACGCAAUAUUGGUCACGAUUUCUUCAAGCUCGUCAGAGUUCUUCCAACUCUCCUAAUAUUGAAUCCGAUACUAGUCACGAUUGAUUCAAGCUCAUCGUAGAAAAACCGUCACAAUGGUCUUGGUGCCCUCAACCGUAUGAGUCAUUAAACAUGCAAAUGAAUACAUAUAUGAAUGAUAAAAGUGUUUGAUAAAUCACUGAGUUAUGGAACACUUGAUGAUUUAUCUCAAAUAAAAACUCAGCUUUAAUGCUUUCUAAACAAAGAAGACGAAGGUCUUACUUUAUAGACUUUUUCUUUACAAGAAAGAAAAUAAGUUGGAAACCAAAUCUCCAAUUUCCAAGGCAAAAUCACAAAAGUAUCUUUCCUAUUCUAGAGAUUGGUCACAUGUAGUCCAACCAAUAGGAAAUGAGAUAUUUAAGAAAGGAAGAUUUUGAUCAAUAUCAAUAUCAAAUGAAUUCUUAUACGCCUAGUCAACUAUUAAGGGUAUCUUGACUCCUUGAUAUUUUGAUAUGAUUGAAACAUGAUUUCCAAGUUAGAAAAUUAAGGGGUUGUUAAAACAUGAAAGUAAUAGGAGAAACAAAUUUAUUUGAACCAAAAUUGCCCAAAAAGAAAACACUCCUAAAUAAACUUCAAUUCACUUUAGUAAAACAUGAUUGAAUCGUUCGUUAAAACAAUUCCCUAAUAUACAUGCAUGAUAAUGACAUCACUUACCCCUGAAUCAAAUUUGUUAAUGUAUGCAUUUUGAGUUUUUUUUUCUUUUGGCUUCCCUUGACAAUUUUGUAAUAGGAAAAUCAUUGUAGUUUCUCAAGCUCUAAGUUUAGAUUAAGAAUUACUUCUCUAGGUGUUCUUAUCUGCCUACAUUCUGAUGGAAAACAAUGCGUUUGACAAAGGUAAAUUCUGCAUUACACUACAUUGCAUUCACUAAAUUUCUUAAGAUUAUGACUAGUCAUCUUUCUUUCGUAUGACUAGUCAUCUUGCAUUCGUAUGACUAGUCAUCUUUCCUUCGUAUGACUAGUCAUCCUUUGUUUCAAUUAGGAUUUCCAGCUCACUGUUUCCAGCUGGGGCUUAAGCAUUUUUUUGUCCUUUUCUACGAAUUUCUCAGCUUCCAUGUGUCUAUUCUGACCUAGGAAUUUUUGGUAAAAGCCAUAGAAUUCCUCAUUUGGCAGCCGUCACUUUUGGGGACAAGUUGUGGAAAGUUUCAUAGCAAACUUUCGCUUCUUCUUCCUCAAGAGUAACCUUCAUAUUUUUCAUCUUUGAGUUCUCUAAAUUGUUUCUUUUUGAAAACUGCAUUUGAAAUAUGAAAACUUCAUCUUGCUAGAUCAAACACUCUAUCAUAUACAUCUAGGUCAGAUUCAAGAUUGAUUUCUUCAAGAGUAUGGUUUCUUGAAGAAAUUGGUCAUUUUCUCCAUGAAUCCAAAUUUCAUUUCUGUCUGAGUUAGAGCUUGCAAGCUGGUGCCAUGGGAUGAAUGAGCUGAAGAAGGAGCUGCCAUUGCCAUGAAGAACUGAGCUUCAAGCUUUGCUAAGUUGGAGAAGAAGAUUGCACAAAGGAGAUAUAGCAUCUUCCUAAAUAGACCUAGGAAUUUCUUGAGCUUGCUAGUGUUCUUUGUAAGAAUCUUUUUGCUUAGUGGAUUGCCUGGUCGGUUGAUGACCCCCAGUUUUUCCCAAUGGUGGGUUUCUGGGUGAACAAUAUCUGGUUUCCAUCUCUGUAGAUUUUUUGGGUUUGUGUUCUUGAUAGUUGACUAGUCAUCUGAAUUUGUGUGGUUGACUAGUCAUCUUUUUCUGCUGUUUGGUGUUUUCUUGAUUAUGUUGUCUUCACACACUUUUACCAUAGUUGUUGCUAGCACAAGGGAUGCCUAGAUUGAUGGGUCCUUCUGAGUGCCUAGGUUGUCACUAGUAAUUCUCUAGGCCUGCAGGUACAUCUUGGUAUGCUUUGUGUAUGUUAUUGUUUGGUUUAAUUCAUAUCUAACAGUUGACUAGUCAUAAGAGUAUUUGGUCAAGGUCUAGAGUGUGUGAAGUUUGUUGCGUUCUUGAUUGAAUAUCUUUUAAAUUUACCCUUCGUCACCUAAUUACCAAUUUGCAGACUCCACAAAUGAAGAAAAGAGCACAAAUAUCGUGAAUGCUAUUGGGAAUGGAAAGGGCAAACCUGUUCAAAAAGGGUAUGGAGGGGGCGUUAGACUUUACGUUCAAAAAGGGUAUGGAAAACGUCCUCCUCCAUCUGACAGUCAACUACUCCAUUAUAAAGACAUAGCUAUUUUCUUCUUCGAGAAAGACAUGCGCCCUGGCUCAACAAUGAAGUUCCAAUUCCCUAGAAAUUCAAACACGGCUACUUUCCUGCCACGCGAAAGUGCUCAAUCGAUCCCCUUCUCCUUUAACAAACUACCAGAAAUUUUCAACCAUUUUUCAGUGAAGCCAACAUCUGUGGAAGCCAAAACAAUUAAGCAAACAAUCGAAGAGUGUGAAGCUCCAGGCAUUAAGGGAGAUGAAAAAUAUUGCGCCACAUCUUUAGAAUCAAUGGUUGAUUUUAGCACUUCGAAGCUUGGAACAAGAAACGUUGAAGCAGUCUCGACGGAGGUAUUGGAAAAAGGAGCCACCAUGUCCAUGCACAACUAUACAACAAUGCCGGGACUGAAGAAGUUGGCAGGUGACAAAGUCGUUGUGUGUCAUAAGGAGAACUAUCCCUAUGCUAUGCUAUGUUUUUCUGCCAUGCAAUAAAACAAACAGCAGCUUAUGUUCUCUCCCUGAAAGCCGAUGAUGGGGAGAAGGUUAAAGCUGUAACCAUCUGCCAUCUAGACACAUCAGAAUGGAACCCAGAGCAUUUGUCCUUCCAAAUCCUCAACGUUAAGCCCGGAACCGUUCCUAUCUGCCAUUUCAUUUCCACUGAUGCUAUUGCCUGGGUUCCAAAACACAAAUCUGCAUGAUCAUCACUUAGCACUGUACGUAUAAUAAGCUUGGUUGGGUUGCACCCCUGUAUAAUUAUCUCCCUACUUAUUUCUGCCUCUUCAUCAUGUGGUGUAAGAUAUAUGAUGAAAUGAAGUUUUUGGGAUUAGUGGUCGGGUUGCCUGAAAAACACAGAUUAUAGAAACUGCUUGAAAUUAACCCGAUCAUGUUUUCUCUUGUAACGAUAUAGACUUCAACUUGUACUCAUAAUAAAGCAUGCUAUAUUUAUGAAGAGAUAUUAAUCUAUAUAUGCUUUGGCUUUGUGGUUUUACCCAGUGUUUGAAUGUUGAAUUGUUACGUUGGAAUAGGCUGCUAAUGCAUGUAGUUAGAGAAGCCUUCAUUUAUAUCAAAGUCCUCAAACUAUCAAGAACUAAUGUAUCCAGAAACACAUACCAAGACGCAAAACAACAUAUUUUCC